AUAAAUUACUCUGUUCUGGUAUUAUGAAUAUACUACUUUCAAUUCAUCUUGAUAUCAUGGCCACCGAUUCUUUUAUACUGUUGUUUCCUUUGCUGUCGACACAUCCAGAGAUUUUAUCAUGUUAAUUAUCUUUUAUGCAGGAUAUGGGCUUCAGCCUCUUCGACUAGGCUGCACAGUCAUCACAGUAUUGUUUCGGGCAGUGAAACCAGAGGAAAACCAGAGUCAUGUUUAGAUUUUAACCUUGUUUUAUGUUGGAAAGUACUGCUACUUGUCUUUAUAUUUGGUAAUUCAGCCGUAGGUUGCUAUGCUGGUUGGGAUUUACUCGUGAACCAGAGUUUUUCUAUCUUAUAUCCUGAAUUUGUUAUCCCAAAGUUUCCUGGCUUUUUAACUAUUUUGUUGUUACAUGUUGAUAUUGCUUUGUUCAUCCUUAUUCACCUACUAUAGCUAUUUGCAAUCACAAAAUCACUUGAUGGCGGUGAGCCUAGAGUUAUCAAGCUGAUAUUAAUGCUUCGUAAGAUCUUGUGGUACCUUUUAUUUUAAACAAUUUUACAUUAUGGUCAAAUUCUAUAAGUAUAUGAAAUUAUGUAUAGAUACUAGGUCGGCCGUGGCAUACCUCGCCACGUCCUCGUCCAGGAGCGCGCCUACCUCCUCCGUUCACGGAUCUGGAUCUGAAGGAGGCCAAGGAGCUCGUAGAGAAGGCGUCCGCCGUGUUGAAGGAUGGAGUUGAAGGAUGGAGUUUGGAAGGAAGUGGUAGAGAGUAUUGCCGAGAAGAUGUGGGCGGUCGGCACGAGAUUGUUCUCGAGUGAGACGAUGAGAGAAAUUCCAUGGGAGGGAGGAGCUUCAUGGGCGACGCUACGCACAAGCUGGGGCCGGACGGUGGGCGUUUAGCUGGAGGUGAUGGAGCAUCUGGAAACUUCUCGUUGCGUAGCGGAUUGGAGAGCUGCACGGGACCGUCGAAGCGCGAUCGAACGGCUGCAAGCGCGAUCGAACGGCUGCACAACCAAAGGAUGACGUGGCUUACUGAGGAGCGAGCUUUGUGUACGCGUUUGUUAUAUAGAAAUGUGUUUUAUAUUUUAUUUUUAUACAUAUAUUCCAAAUUUUAAGACUUGGCUGCCAAAAUAUUAAUAUCCAUUUAAUUUCCAGCCUCUCGGUUUAUUGGAACACAAGAUUUUCAGAAAUUAGGAAUAGGAAAAACACAAGUGUUAUUUACAACGCAGAAAGGUCAUAAAACAUAUUUGGAUCACGCUCAAAUUUAAGGGACAAAGCCCGGUGUAUUUCAUACAUGCGCUAAAGAAGACAACAUAUAUAAUAACAGAGUGUAUAUAGAUAAAUGUCACAAUAACAUCAGAGUAUUUAUUACAUAGCGGAAGUCUUACAAAAUAAAUGAUAAAUAUAAAACGAACUAAAGAUCAUCCUUGGCGCCAUAAAGUUAACUCGCCACCUAGAUCAAAUCAUUACUUUCGGGUAUUUAUUAGCUAAACAGAUUAAUGUUUUACUUACCAAAGCUAAUUCAUUAGCUUAUGGUAGUAUAUGCUAAGAUGUCCAUUUAUAAUAUUUCAAUCAAUCAAAGAAAGCAAACCAGUCAUUUAUCAUCAGAACAAUCAACAAACAUUUUUAAAUAAAAAAAUAGUUUUAAUUUUGUCUUAGGUUCCCUAUCUCUUAAGAAUGUCAUAAAUGUAGAAUUCUAAGGUGUGAAAUCCAUCUUGUCUUAGAGUGGAAAAGAUAAGAGUAAUCAGAGUAUGACAACAAAAGGUGAGACAUGAUCAAGAUAAGUAUAGAAUGAAUUAUAGUAAGGUAAGUAGGUAAGAGUUUUAUCCAUUUCUAUCUAGGUUUCGUCCUACAGUUAACAUUUCCUUUAAUAACACUUCUGUCACACCCGGAUUUAAGUGACAGAGCCGGGUGCAUCUCAUACAUACGCCAAAAAAUAUAUAAUAACAGAGUGUAUAGAGAUAAAUGUCACAAUAACAUCAGAGUAUUUAUUACAUAACAAAAGUCUUACAAAAUAAAUGAUAAAUAUAAACCGAACUAAGGAUCAUCCUUGGCGCCACAAAGUCAACUGGGAGACGCCACCUAGAUCAGAUCAAACUCCUCGUUGUGUGGCUCCUCCUGAACCACCUGUUCUUCUCCUGUGGGGGAGUGUGAGACAGCAAGAGUGAGCUCACACAUGAUCAUAGCUAAACAAGUUGUUGGGAAACCAGUGUACAUGAACUCACCAAAGGUGGGAGUUCAUAUGAUGUGUAAGACUAAUCAACAAUAGGUGUUAAAGCUGAGCAUUGCUUUUAAUAAGUUGAUCAAAAUUUUAUUAGCAGUUACUAAAUGUAAGUGAAUACCAAACCAUAAUAAAAAUAAUAGAACAAAAUUAAUAAAUAAUUCCAUGCAAUGCAAAUGACAAAUUGAAAUUUAAAUUCCAUAAAUUUAUCAUGCGAGAGUUCCGAGCUGCUCAUGAUCGUGAGCACGGCUAGUAUACCAGUUUUACACUCUGCAGAGGUUGUGUCCUGUACUACAAGUUAUUUUACCCAUCUGCCAACGGAUCGCGACUCUCAUACACCUCUACCAAGGAAGCGAGGCUGGACAACACUACGAGGCCUUUAUAAAGUUCCACUGGCUUCCGAAAACCCGCUACAAUUUAUGGGAAGAGCACUUGCAAGAAUCCCCUGUCUGACCGCCAUCGCAGCAAAAUCAACCCGAGAACCUCCUUGCAUGCAACUUAGGGAUGUUCCUAAAACAUCCGACUUGUAUCACAAAUCUAAUAUUUUAGCAUAGAUAUACAUAGAAUUUAAAGUUAAUAUUCGACAAUGUUAUUAAGAAUAUUAUGAAGUAUUUAAAUAAUUUUUUGUAUAAUUUUUUAUGUAUAUUAUUUUCUCCCUACAACAAAAAGGUGAAAAACAUCUGAAUCCGUAUUCGGAUAGACAUCCGAAUUUUAUAUGAAUUAUUUAAAAAGAUAUAGAAUGAAUUUAAUGUUUAUUUUUUAUGAAGAUUAAUAGUCUCAAUGCUAAAAACAAGAAUAUAAAUUUACAAAGCAAAUUCUAUAUGUUAGUUGUUCACAAUCGAAGAAAGAAGACCAAAAAAUGACAUCCGAAUAAAUAUCCGGAUCCAUCCCUAAUGCAACUCCCCUACUGCUGUCACACCCAGUUUUAGAAGGCAAACCGAAUGCGAACCAUGUACAUGACAGGAUCAACGAUUCACGUACACAGCAGUUACAUAACUGGACAUCAUCACACAAUGCUCAAAUAAUGACAUAAAAGAGGGUAUAAUAGUCGAUUACAUCAUGAUGUCCAGGACAUCCACAUAGUCUUUAACAAUAAUCAAAGUGCAGAAAAGAAAUGUAGAUACACAUGGCCUACACAGGCAAUCGACUGGGGGUUUGCCGCUAACCCACGCCUAGAACUCAUCGUACUCUUGGAACUCCUAAAAGUCCUCCUCCACGGCUUCUUCUUCACCUCAGCAGUGGUUGCAACACGGACAACCUGGGGCGGGGGUUUGGUGUGUAAAGCAAGGGUGAGUACACAUCAACAUACUCAGCAAAAUGUCCCGUUUGGCUGUAGUGGACUAGCUUUAUGUGGAGUUAAGUCAAGCAGUUGCUUUUAGUUGGUCAGGUUAUUAUUACUAGUAGAAAGCCAGGCUUUAGUAUUAACCCAAGUUAUUAACCCAAUGCACCCUUUCCAAACGGAAAGAAUACCACUUACCAGUACCAUAGUCAUAACCAAAACCAUCAUCCUCAUCACCACCUGUAAACCAUACAUCUCUGAUCAAGUAUCUCUAAUCACUGGAGCUCCCUUGGCCGCUCAUAACCGCAAGCACGGUUGAUAUAUCAGUUUCAUAACACCCUGCAGAGGUUGCACACAUUACCUACAAGCCGUGAUUCCCUCUUGCCUCAGGCCGAUCAAACCCUUAAACACUACCAAGGUGAAUAGGCAUGGUCUCACUACGUAGCCUUUACAAAGAUUUCCUGGGGCUAUAGCCGCCCGUUAGGUUUCCUAAAUGCACCGCACUCCUCCCAUGGGGCGAACCAACCUUGGCAGAGCGAGCUGCAUACACCGAGUCCCAUUAACGGCACAACGGCGAAGCGAACUACACCCCAGUUCCUCUAAUUACUCAGCUAAGGGCGUCUCACUCCACCCUCAUGGUUGCACUAUUUUCCCGGGCGGUCAUCCAACGAACUAGUCCUUACGGAGAGGCACUCGAGAAACAACUCGAGUCCCCUAAAUGCCACAAAUACCAUCAUCAUAAUCAAAAGGGAAAACAACGUAUCAUAAAUAAUCUUAUCAUGUUCAUUGAUUAAUGUGGAGCACUAGCAUAUAGCUAAACCAGAAUAGGUAAACAAGGACAAGAUAGACAAAAGCUAGUCAAUCCUUAGGUAUAAACUGUGUAAAUGCGGGGAGUGAAUUAUAAGAAUGAGUAGUGAAAGUCGCCUAGAGGGGGGGUGAAUAGGGCGAAACUGAAAUUUACAAAUAUAAACACAACUACAAGCCGGGUUAGCGUUAGUAAUAAAGAAACGAGUCCGCGAGAGAGGGUGAAAAACAAAUCCCAAGCAAAUAAGCAAGUGAGACACGGAGAUUUGUUUUACCGAGGUUCGGUUCUCUCAAACCUACUCCCCGUUGAGGAGGCCACAAAGGCCGGGUCUCUUUCAACCCUUCCCUCUCUCAAACGAUCCACGGAUCGAGUGAGCUUUCUCUUCUCAAUCACUUGGAACACAAAGUUCCCACAAGGACCACCACAAGUUUGGUGUCUCUUGCCUCAAUUACAAGUGAGUUUGAUCGCAAUGAAAGAAUCAAGAAGGAAGAAAGCAAUCCAAGCGCAAGAGCUCGAAAGAACACAAGCAAAUCUCUCUCUCUAAUCACUAUGGCGUUGUGUGGAAUUUGGAGAGGAUUUGAUCUCUUUGGUGUGUCUAGAAUUGAAUGCUAGAGCUCUUGUAGUAGUUGGGAAGUGGAAAACUUGGAUGCAAUGAAUGGUGGGGUGGUUGGGGUAUUUAUAGCCCCAACCACCAAAUGUGGCCGUUGGGAGCCUGUUUGCUCGAUGGCGCACCGGACAGUCCGGUGCCCCCUGCCACGUCAUCACUGCCGUUGGAUUCUGACCGUUGGAGCUUCUGACUUGUGGGCCCGCCUGGGUGUCCGGUGCACACCGGACAGGUACUGUUUGCUGUCCGGUGUGCCAGUAUGGGCGCGCCUGACUUCUGCGCGCGCUGCGCGCGCAUUUAAUGCGCCGCAGGUAGCCGUUGGCGCCGACUAGCCGUUGCUCUGGAGACGCACCGGACAGUCCGGUGAAUUAUAGCGGACUAGCCGUUGGAGUUUUCCGAAGCUGGCGAGUUCCUGAGGCCGCUCCUCCUUGGCGCACCGGACACUGUCCGGUGUACACCGGACAGUCCGGUGAAUUAUAGCGCGAGUGCCUCUGGAAAUUCCCGAAGGUGGCGAGUUUGAGCUGGAGUCAUCUGGUGCACCGGACACUGUCCGGUGGUGCACCGGACACUGUGCGGUGUACACCGGACAGUCCGGUGCUCCCAGACCAGAGAGCCUUCGGUUGCCACUUUGCUCCUUUGUUGAAUCCAAAAACUUGGUCUUUUUAUUGGCUGAGUGUGAACCUUUUACACCUGUAUAAUCUAUACACUUGGGCAAACUAGUUAGUCCAAUUGUUUGUGUUGGGCAAUUCAACCACCAAAAUUAAUUAGGGACUAGGUGUAAGCCUAAUUCCCUUUCAAUCUCCCCCUUUUUGGUGAUUGAUGCCAACACAAACCAAAGCAAAUAUGGAAGUGCAUAAUUGAACUAGUUUGCAUAAUGUAAGUGUAAAGGUUGCUUAGAAUUUGAGCCAAUAUGAAUACUUACAAGAUAUGCAUGGAUUGUUUCUUUCUUAUAUAACAUUUUGGACCACGUUUGCACCACAUGUUUUGUUUUUGCAAACUCUUUUGUAAAUCAUUUUCAAAGUUCUUUUGCAAAUAGUCAAAGGUAAAUGAAUAAGAUUUUUGCAAAGCAUUUUCAAGAUUUGAAAUUUUCUCCCCCUGUUUCAACUCCUCUUAGUGUUCAAGAGGGUUUUGAUAUAUCAUUUUGAAAUACUACUUUCUCCCCCUUUUUAACAUAAUAGGAUACCAAUUGAAAAUAUUGUGGUGGUGCGGUCCUUUUGCUUUGGGCUCAUUUCUCCCCCUUUUUGGCAUGAAUCGCCAAAAACGGAACCAUUAGAGCCCUAGAAGUAGUUUCUUCCCCUUUGGUCAUAAACAAAUGAGUUAAGAUUAUACCAAAGACGAAGUCCUUUUGCUUUCUCCCCCAAGGAUGGAGAGUGGUAUGUAGCGACGGCGAAGGUUGAGUUACGGAGUGGAAGCCUUUUUGUCUUCGCCGAAGACUCCAAUUCCCUUUCAAUAUACCUAUGACUUGGUUUGAAAUAGACUUGAAAAUACAUUAGUCAUAGCAUAGGAAGGGGAUACGAUCAAAGAUAUAUAAAUGAGCUAUGUGUGCAAUCUAACAAAAGAAAUUGCGCGAAUCAAGAAUAUUGAGCUCAUGCCUAAGUUUGUUAAAAGAUUGUUCAUCAAGAGGCUUGGUAAAGAUAUCGGCUAAUUGAUCUUUAGUGUUAAUGUAAGAAAUCUCGAUAUCUCCCUUUUGUUGGUGAUCCCUAAGAAAAUGAUACCGAAUGGCUAUGUGUUUAGUGCGGCUAUGCUCGAUGGGAUUGUCGGCCAUUUUGAUUGCACUCUCAUUAUCACAUAGCAAAGGGACUUUGGUUAAUUUGUAACCGUAGUCCCGCAGGGUUUGCCUCAUCCAAAGCAAUUGCGCGCAACAAUGACUUGCGGCAAUGUACUCGGCUUCGGCGGUGGAAAGAGCAACCGAAUUUUGCUUCUUUGAAGCCCAAGACACCAAGGAUCUUCCCAAGAACUGGCAAGUCCCCGAUGUGCUCUUUCUAUUGAUUUUGCACCCCGCCCAAUCGGCAUCGGAAUAACCAAUUAAAUCAAAAGUGGAUCCCUUAGGAUACCAAAGCCCAAACUUAGGAGUAUAAGCUAAAUAUCUCAAGAUUCGUUUUACGGCCGUAAGGUGAGCUUCCUUAGGGUCGGCUUGGAAUCUUGCACACAUGCAUACAGAAAGCAUAAUAUCCGGUCGAGAUGCACAUAAAUAGAGUAAAGAACCUAUCAUCGACCGGUAUACCUUUUGAUCCACGGACUUACCUCCCGUGUCGAGGUCGAGAUGCCCAUUGGUUCCCAUGGGUGUCUUGAUGGGUUUGGCAUCCUUCAUCCCAAACUUGGUUAGAAUGUCUUGAGUGUACUUUGUUUGGCUGAUGAAGGUGCCCUCUUGGAGUUGCUUCACUUGGAAUCCUAAGAAAUACUUCAACUCCCCCAUCAUAGACAUCUCGAAUUUCUGUGUCAUGAUCCUACUAAACUCUUCACAUGUAGACUCGUUAGUAGACCCAAAUAUAAUAUCAUCAACAUAAAUUUGGCAUACAAACAAGUCAUUUUCAAGAGUUUUAGUAAAGAGUGUAGGAUCGGCCUUUCCAACUUUGAAGCCAUUAGCAAUAAGGAAAUCUCUAAGGCAUUCAUACCAUGCUCUUGGGGCUUGCUUGAGCCCAUAAAGCACCUUAGAGAGCUUAUAGACAUGGUUAGGAUACUUACUGUCUUCAAAGCCGGGAGGUUGCUCAACAUAGACCUCUUCCUUGAUUGGUCCAUUGAGGAAGGCACUUUUCACGUCCAUUUGAUAAAGCUUAAAGCCAUGGUAAGUAGCAUAGGCCAAUAAUAUGCGAAUUGACUCAAGCCUAGCUACGGGUGCAUAGGUUUCACCGAAAUCCAAACCUUCGACUUGGGAGUAUCCCUUGGCCACAAGUCGAGCUUUGUUCCUUGUCACCACACCAUGCUCAUCUUGCUUGUUGCGGAAGACCCACUUGGUUCCUACAACAUUUUGGUUAGGACGUGGAACUAAAUGCCAUACCUCAUUCCUAGUGAAGUUGUUGAGCUCCUCUUGCAUCGCCACCACCCAAUCCGAAUCUUGGAGUGCUUCCUCUACCCUGUGUGGCUCAAUAAAGGAAACAAACGAGUAAUGUUCACAAAAAUGGGCAACACGAGAUCGAGUAGUUACCCCCUUAUGAAUGUCGCCGAGGAUGGUGUCGACGGGGUGAUCUCGUUGUAUUGCUUGGUGGACUCUUGGGUGUGGCGGUCUUUGUUCCUCAUCCUCCUUGUCUUCCUCAUUUGCAUCUCCCCCUUGAUCAAUGCCAUCAUCUUGAGGUGGCUCAUUUGCUUGAUCUUCAUCAACUUGAGCUUCAUCCUCAAUUUGAGUCGGUGGAGAUGCUUGCAUUGAGGAGGAUGGUUGAUCUUGUGCAAUUGGAGGCUCUUCGGAUUCCUUAGGACACACAUCCCCAAUGGACAUGUUCCUUAGCGCGAUGCAUGGAGCCUCUUCUUCACCUAUCUCAUCAAGAUCAACUUGCUCUAUUUGAGAGCCAUUAGUCUCAUCAAACACAACGUCACAUGAGACUUCAACUAGUCCAGUGGACUUGUUAAAGACCCUAUAUGCCCUUGUGUUUGAGUCAUAACCAAGUAAAAAGCCUUCUACAGUCUUAGGAGCAAAUUUGGAUUUUCUACCUCUUUUAACAAGUAUAAAGCAUUUGCUACCAAAGACUCUAAAAUAUGAAAUGUUGGGCUUUUUACCGGUUAGGAGUUCGUAUGAUGUCUUCUUGAGGAUUCAGUGUAGAUAUAACCGGUUGAUGGCGUAGCAAGCGGUGUUGACCGCCUCAGCCCAAAACCGAUCCGAAGUCUUGUAUUCAUCAAGCAUGGUUCUUGCCAUGUCCAAUAGAGUUCUAUUCUUCCUCUCCACUACACCAUUUUGUUGAGGUGUGUAGGGAGAAGAGAACUCAUGCUUGAUGCCCUCCUCCUCAAGGAAGCCUUCGAUUUGAGAGUUCUUGAACUCCGUUCCGUUGUCGCUUCUUAUUUUCUUGAUCCUUAAGGCGAACUCAUUUUGAGCCCGUCUCAAGAAUCCCUUUAAAGUCUCUUGGGUUUGAGAUUUUUCCUGUAAAAAGAAUACCCAAGUGAAGCGAGAAUAAUCAUCCACAAUAACUAGACAGUACUUACUCCCGCCGAUGCUUAUGUAAGCGAUCGGGCCGAAUAGAUCCAUGUGUAGGAGCUCCAGUGGCCUGUCGGUCGUCAUUAUGUUCUUGUGUGGAUGAUGAGCCCCAACUUGCUUUCCUGCCUGGCAUGCGCUACAGGUCCUGUCUUUCUCAAAAUGAACAUUUGUUAAUCCUAAAAUGUGUUCUCCCUUUAGAAGCUUGUGAAGAUUCUUCAUCCCAACAUGUGCUAGUCGGCGAUGCCAGAGCCAGCCCAUGUUAGUCUUAGCAAUUAAGCAAGUGUCGAGUUCAGCUCUAUCAAAAUCUACCAAGUAUAGCUGACCCUCUAACACUCCCUUAAAUGCUAUUGAAUCAUCACUUCUUCUAAAGACAGUGACACCUAUAUCAGUGAAAAGACAGUUGUAGCCCAUUUGACAUAAUUGAGAUACGGAAAGCAAAUUGUAAUCUAAUGAAUCUACAAGAAAAACAUUGGAAAUAGAAUGGUCGGGUGAUAUAGCAAUUUUACCAAGACCUUUGACCAAACCUUGAUUUCCAUCCCCGAAUGUGAUAGCUCGUUGGGGAUCUUGGUUUUUCUCGUAGGAGGAGAACAUCCUUUUCUCCCCUGUCAUAUGGUUUGUGCACCCGCUGUCGAGUAUCCAACUUGAGCCCCCGGAUGCAUAAACCUACAAAACAAGUUUAGUUCUUGACUUUAGGUACCCAAAUGGUUUUGGGUCCUUUGGCAUUAGACACAAGAACUUUGGGUACCCAAACACAAGUCUUUGAUCCCUUGUGCUUGCCCCCAACAUAUUUGGCAACUACUUUGCCGGAUUUGUUAGUUAAAACAUAAGAUGCAUCAAAAGUUUUAAAUGAAAGACUAUGUUCAUUUGAUGCACUAGGAGUUUUCUUAGGCAACUUAGCACGGGUUGGUUGCCUAGAACUAGAUGUCUCACCCUUAUACAUAAAAGCAUGAUUUGGGCCAGAGUGAGACUUCCUAGAAUGAAUUCUCCUAAUUUUGCUCUCGGGAUAACCGGCAGGGUAUAAAAUAUAACCCUCGUUAUCCUGAGGCAUGGGAGCCUUGCCCUUAACAAAGUUGGACAAUCUCUUAGGAGGGGCACUAAUUUUGACAUUGUCUCCCCUUUGGAAGCCAAUGCCAUCCUUAAUGCCCGGGCGUCUCCCAUUAUAAAGCAUGCUACGAGCAAAUUUAAAUUUUUCAUUUUCCAGGUUGUGCUCGGCAAUUUUAGCAUCUAGUUUUGCUAUAUGAUCAUUUUGUUGUUUAAUUAAAGCCAUAUGAUCAUGAAUAGCAUUAAUAUCAAUAUCUCUACAUCUAGUACAAAUAGAUACAUGCUCAACAAUGGAUGUAGAGGGUUCGCAAGAAUUAAGUUCAACAAUCUUAGCAUGAAGAAUAUCAUUUUUAUCUCUAAGAUUGGAAAUGGUAGCAUUGCAAACAUCUAGUUCUUUAGCCUUAGCAAUUAAAUUUUCAUUUUCUACUCUAAGGCUAGCAAGAGAAAUGUUUAAUUCUUCAAUCCUAGCAAGCAGAUUAUCAUUAUUAUCUUUAGGAUUGAGAAUUGAAACAUUACAAAUAUGUGAAUCAACCUUAGCAUUUAAACUAGCAUUUUCAUUCCUAAGGUUGUCAAUCAUCUCACGGCAAGUGCUUAGCUCACUAGAUAAUUUUUCACAUUUCUCAAUUUCUAGAGCAUAAGCAUUUUUAACCUUAACAUGUUUCUUGUUUUCUUUAAUUAGACAAUCCUCUUGGGAGUCCAAAAGGUCAUCCUUUUCAUGAAUAGCACUAAUCAAUUCAUUUAAUUUUUCUUUUUGCUCCAUGUUAAGAUUGGCAAAGAGAACACGCAAAUUAUCCUCCUCAUCACUAGCAUUAUCGUCACUAGAAGAUUCAUAUUUAGUGGAGGAGUUAGAUUUAACCUUCUUCCGUUUGCCGUCCUUUGCCAUGAGACACUUGUGGCCGACGUUGGGGAAGAGAAGUCCCUUGGUGACGGCGAUGUUGGCGGCGUCCUCGUCAUCGGAGGAGUCGCUUGAGCUUUCGUCGGAAUCCCACUCCCGACAAACAUGGGCAUCGCCGCCCUUCUUCUUGUAGUAUCUCUUCUUCUCCUUUCUUCUCCCCUUCUUGUCGUCGCCUCGGUCACUGUCACUAGAUACGGGACAUUUAGCAAUAAAAUGACCGGGCUUACCACAUUUGUAGCAAACCUUCUUGGAGCGGGACUUGUAGUCUUUCCCCCUCCUUUGUUUGAGGAUUUGGCGGAAGCUCUUGAUGACGAGCGCCAUCUCCUCAUUGUCAAGCUUGGAGGCGUCGAUUGGUUGUCUACUUGGUGUAGACUCCUCCUUCUUGUCCUCCGUCGCCUUGAAUGCGACGGGUUGAGCCUCGGAUGUAGAUGGAUCAUCAAGCUCGUUGAUCUUCCUCGAGCCUUCGAUCAUGCACUCAAAACUUACAAAAUUCCCGAUAACUUCCUCGGGGGUCAUUUUAGUAUAUCUAGGAUUACCACGAAUUAAUUGAACUUGAGUGGGGUUAAGGAAAAUGAGAGAUCUUAGAAUAACCUUAACCAUUUCGUGGUCGUCCCACUUGACGCUCCCGAGGUUGCGCACUUGGUUCACCAAAGUCUUGAGCCGGUUGUACAUGUGUUGUGGCUCUUCCCCUUUGCGAAGCCGGAACCGACCGAGCUCCCCCUCGAUCGUUUCCCGCUUGGUGAUCUUGGUGAGCUCAUCUCCUUCGUGCGCGGUUUUGAGCACAUCCCAAACCUCCUUGGCGCUCUUCAACCCUUGAACUUUGUUAUACUCCUCUAUACUUAAAGAGGCGAGGAGUAUUGUUGUCGCUUGAGAGUUGAAGUGCUCGAUUUGGGCCACCUCAUCCUCAUCAUAAUCCUUGUCCCCUACGAAUGGUACCUGUGCACCAAACUCAACAACAUCCCAUAUACUUUUGUGGAGUGAGGUUAGAUGAAAUCGCAUUAAAUCACUCCACCUAGCAUAAUCUUCACCAUCGAAAGUUGGUGGUUUGCCUAAUGGGACGGAAAGUAAAGGUGCAUUUUUAGAAAUGCGAGGGUAAUGUAGGGGGAUCUUACUAAACUUCUUACGCUCUUGGCGUUUAGAAGUUACGGAGGGCGCACCGGAGUCGGAGGUCGAUGUUGAUGAAGUGUCGGUCUCGUAGUAGACCACUUUCCUCAUCCUUUUGUGCUUGUCCCCUCUCCGAUGUGGUUUGUGGGAGGAAGAUCUCUCCUUCUUCUCUUUGUGGUGCGAAGAAGAUUUCUUCUCCUUUCCUUUGUUGGAGGAGCUCUUCUUCUUCUCCUUCCUCUUGGUGCGGGACUCUUCCGAUGAAGUGCUCCCGUGGCUUGUAGUGGGCUUUUCGCCGGUCUCCAUCUCCUUCUUGGCGUGAUCUCCCGACAUCACUUUGAGCGGUUAGGCUCUAAUGAAGCACCGGGCUUUGAUACCAAUUGAAAGUCGCCUAGAGGGGGGGUGAAUAGGGCGAAACUGAAAUUUACAAAUAUAAACACAACUACAAGCCGGGUUAGCGUUAGUAAUAAAGAAACGAGUCCGCGAGAGAGGGUGAAAAACAAAUCCCAAGCAAAUAAGCAAGUGAGACACGGAGAUUUGUUUUACCGAGGUUCGGUUCUCUCAAACCUACUCCCCGUUGAGGAGGCCACAAAGGCCGGGUCUCUUUCAACCCUUCCCUCUCUCAAACGAUCCACGGAUCGAGUGAGCUUUCUCUUCUCAAUCACUUGGAACACAAAGUUCCCACAAGGACCACCACAAGUUUGGUGUCUCUUGCCUCAAUUACAAGUGAGUUUGAUCGCAAUGAAAGAAUCAAGAAGGAAGAAAGCAAUCCAAGCGCAAGAGCUCGAAAGAACACAAGCAAAUCUCUCUCUCUAAUCACUAUGGCGUUGUGUGGAAUUUGGAGAGGAUUUGAUCUCUUUGGUGUGUCUAGAAUUGAAUGCUAGAGCUCUUGUAGUAGUUGGGAAGUGGAAAACUUGGAUGCAAUGAAUGGUGGGGUGGUUGGGGUAUUUAUAGCCCCAACCACCAAAUGUGGCCGUUGGGAGCCUGUUUGCUCGAUGGCGCACCGGACAGUCCGGUGCACACCGGACAGUCCGGUGCCCCCUGCCACGUCAUCACUGCCGUUGGAUUCUGACCGUUGGAGCUUCUGACUUGUGGGCCCGCCUGGGUGUCCGGUGCACACCGGACAGGUACUGUUUGCUGUCCGGUGUGCCAGUAUGGGCGCGCCUGACUUCUGCGCGCGCUGCGCGCGCAUUUAAUGCGCCGCAGGUAGCCGUUGGAGCCGACUAGCCGUUGCUCUGGAGACGCACCGGACAGUCCGGUGCACACCGGACAGUCCGGUGAAUUAUAGCGGACUAGCCGUUGGAGUUUCCCGAAGCUGGCGAGUUCCUGAGGCCGCUCCUCCUUGGCGCACCGGACACUGUCCGGUGUACACCGGACAGUCCGGUGAAUUAUAGCGCGAGUGCCUCUGGAAAUUCCCGAAGGUGGCGAGUUUGAGCUGGAGUCAUCUGGUGCACCGGACACUGUCCGGUGUACACCGGACAGUCCGGUGCUCCCAGACUAGAGAGCCUUCGGUUGCCACUUUGCUCCUUUGUUGAAUCCAAAAACUUGGUCUUUUUAUUGGCUGAGUGUGAACCUUUUACACCUGUAUAAUCUAUACACUUGGGCAAACUAGUUAGUCCAAUUGUUUGUGUUGGGCAAUUCAACCACCAAAAUUAAUUAGGGACUAGGUGUAAGCCUAAUUCCCUUUCAAGUAGGACAUAGAUGGGUCAAGGGACACUUGCCUUCACCAACCAGCUGCUGCUCAGGGUCUUCACCUGCAACUCCUUCGGACUCCACCAACUGACCGUUAUCUAUACGAGUUUCAAACAUACAUUCCACAAAUUUAAUAUAAAGGAACAGUACACCAAACAAUAGAAUGCAAUAAAUAACUAGACGUUCGAUGCAGGGCUCACACCUACGACUAAGUGAGAAAGGGAGAGUAACGGUCGAGGCUACGGCCGACGAGCGAUCACGUCACGCGAUUAUAAAUUAAAAUACUCGUCUAAACAGAAUGAUAUUAAUUUAGCCAUCGCGUUAAGCAUAGGGUAAAGUCAUAUUCCAUGUUUAAUUAUUAUGAACAGAUAAAGGUAAAUUGAAAGGAUUAUCGCGCGGCGAAACGCGCGACACAACACUUAAAUUGAAUUAAGAAAUAAACGACUCGUCGCGCGACGGAGCGCGCAACGAUACACUUGCAUUAAUUAUAAAGAGACGCUAAACGUCGCGCGACGAAACACACAACGACAUACGCCAUCUAAAUUGAAUUUAAAACGAAACGUCGCACGACUGGACGCGCGACGCCACACAUUAAAUAAUCUGAAAUUAAGACGAAUCGUCGCGCGACGAAGCGCGCAACACAACUCAUUAAUAAAGAUGAAUUUAAAAUGAAUCGUCGCGCGACGAAGCGUGCGACGCAGCACAUUCAUUAAACUAAAUCUAAAACUAAUUAAACUGAAAAUCGAUCGCAGCACGCACUGGGGCUGCGCGCGCGGGAACACGUUGCGCGUGCCGGGGCGCGCGAGGCCGCGCCGGGGACAUGCGAGACCACGCGAGUCACGUUGGGGGCGCGCAGCCACGCCGGGGGGGCGCGCGGGGGCGCGCCAGGAGGGUCGUGGGGGGGCAUGGGGCCGCGCGGGACACGCACAGGGGCCACGCGUGGGGGGAAGAAUAAGGGGAGGGGGAGGAGAAGAGGGAGAGGGAGAGGGGAGCUCACCUCGGGAAACAAAUCCGGCGAUCUCCAUCUCCAAAACCUAGGGCACCACGGGGGAGAGAGAGGUGGGAGAGAGAGGGAGUUGUGCGCGGGAGAAUUGAAUGAGGGGAAAGAGACCAGGGGAGGGGGGGCGUGGCAUGGGGAGGGCCAGGGCGCCAGGGGCGCAUGGGCCAAGGCCAGACCGAGCUGGGCCGGGUCGGGUCGGACUGGGUUGGGCUAGGCUGGGCCGCACCGCGGGUCAAAAUUCUGUGGCACGCACAACCAUAGAUCGGAAUCCAAUUCGUGAAACAAAAUCCGAAACGAGACUAAGCAACACACUCGAUUAAACACGACAUCAGACAAAGAAAUAUGCCUCGGCAUGAUGCAACACUCAUGUCAAUUUAGGUUUUUUUUGUUUACACAUGACACAGACACCAGUCGCUAUAUUGCUUUGAAAUAUGCAAGAAGGAGCGAAACGGGAAAACAAAAGAGAGUAACGCCUGAAUUUGGUGAGUAAAAAGAAGAAAAAAUUCUACCCCCAAAUUCAGGGGGUUACAAAUCUAUCCCCCUUAAAAGAAUCUCGCCCUCGAGAUUCAAAGUUGGCCAACAAAGAGUUCAGGAUACUUGGCCAUCAGAUCAUCUUCACGCUCCCAGGUUGCUUCUUCCUCAGAGUGGUGACUCCAUCUGACUUUGCACAUUCUGAUAGUUUUCCUCCGGGUGACUCUGUCUGAAGUCUCAAGAAUCUGCGCUGGCUUCUCUAUAUAGGUCAGGUCCUCCUGGACCUCCAAUCCUUCCACUGGCAACUGCUCUUCUGGCACACGCAGACACUUCUUCAACUGAGGCACGUGAAAGACAUCAUGCACUGCGGACAAGCCUUCUGGCAGACUGAGAUGAUAGGCCACUUCUCCACGCUUUGCGAGAAUCUGAUACAGACCAACAUAGCGGGGCGCUAGCUUGCCUUUGACUCCGAAUCUUCUGACUCCUCUGAUAGGCGAUACUUUCAAGUAGACAAAAUCUCUAACUUCAAAACUUAGCUCUCUCCUUCUUGUGUCUGCAUAGCUUCGCUGCCUUGAUUGCGCUAUCUUCAGGUUCUCUCGAACCAUCUUGAUGUUCUCUUCAGCUUCGAGCAAAAUGUCUAGCCCGGACACUUGCUUUUCUCCAGGCUGAUCCCAUUGCAAUGGAGUCCUACAACUCCUCCCAUAGAGCGCCUGAAAUGGUGACAUCUUCAAGCUGGCCUGGUAGCUGUUGUUAUAGGAGAACUCUGCAUAAGGUAACCUCUUGUCCCACCUGAACUAAUCUUGCAACGCACAAGCUCUCAACAUAUCUUCGAGGAUUUGAUUAGUUCUUUUAGUCUGGCCAUCUGUGUACGGAUGGUAAGCUGAACUGAAAUUCAGAUGUGUACCCAAGGCUUCAUACAACUGCUGCUAGAAAUGAGAGGUGAACUGUGUUCCUCUGUCUGACACUAUCCCCUUUGGCACACCAUGAAGACAAACGAUCCGGGACAUGUACAACUCUGCCAACACUGCACUGCUGUAGUUGGUCUUGACGGGUAUGAAGUGGGAUGACUUGGUUAAGCGGUCCACCACUACCCAAAUGGAAUCGUAGCCGGCUCGAGUGCGAGGCAAUCCGACUAUGAAUUCCAUUCCGAUUUCAUCCCAUUUCCAUUGAGGAAUUCGCAACGGUUGCAACAAUCUAGCUGGCCUCUGAUGCUCUGCCUUGAUCCUUUGACAACUAUCACAUAUAGCCACAUGCUCUGCGAUCUCCCUUCUCAUUCCGUACCACCAGAAUUUCUUCUUCAGAUCCUGAUACAUCUUUUCACUUCCAGGGUGUAUAGAAUAAGCUGACUCAUGAGCUUCCUUAAGGAUCAACUCCCGAAUGGACUGGACACUGGGAACACAAAAGCGAUCCUUGAACCAUAUCACACCUUCAGCAUCUUCCUGAAAGUCUUUGCCUCUUCCUUCCAAAAUCAGCUGCCGGAUUUCACUGAUCUUCUCAUCAUCCUUUUGUGCUUGUUUGAUUUCCCGCUCUAGGGUAGGCUCUCAACUGUCAUUCCUCGCAUAUUGUUCAAAAAUUCGAGGCUCAACCUGUCAAACUCUUUGGCCAACUCAUAAGGCAUCGGAUGAGCGACCAUCAGGUUGACUUGACUUUUCCUGCUCAAUGCAUCUUCCACUACGUUUGCUUUGCCUGGAUGGUAAUGAAUCUCCAAUUCAUAGUCUUUGAUCAACUCUAACCAUCUUCGUUGCCUCAUAUUCAGCUUCGACUGAGUGAAUAUGUACUUCAAACUCUUGUGGUCUGUGUAAACAUCGCAUUUCUGCCCAUACAGAUAGUGUCUCCAUGUCUUCAGUGCAUGAACCACUGCUACCAACUCUAGGUCAUGGAUUGGAUAAUUCUUCUCAUGAUCCUUCAGCUGUCGGGAUGAGUAAGCCACAACUCUUCCCUCUUGCAUCAACACACAUCCCAAAACCAGUGUAACAAGCAUCGCAAUACACCGAGAAGGGCUUGUGCACAUCAGGUAAGACUAAGACAGGCGCUGUAGUCAACUUCUCUUUCAGCGCUUCGAAGGCUUCUUGGCAUUUCUAGGUCCACUUGAACUCAACCUUGUUGCCUAGCAAAGCUGUCAUCGGUUUCGUGAUCUUCGAAACCCUUCAAUGAAUUGCCGAUAAUAUCCGGCCAUUCCAAUAAAGCUCUUGAUUCCUCGAGCAUCUGUUGGCGCUUUCCAAUUCAAAAUGUUUGCCACUUUCUUCGGAUCCACAGCCAAUCCAUCUUUGUUAAUUAUGUGACCUAAGAACAGGACUUCAUUGAUCCAGAACUCGCACUUACUCAACUUUGCAUACAACUGGUGCUCUCGCAAUCUCUGCAAUACCAUCCUCAAAUGAUUCACAUGCUCUUCUUCACUUUGAGAAUAUAUAAGAAUAUCAUCAAUAAAUACCACCACAAACUUGUCAAGAUAAUCCAUGAAUACACUGUUCAUCAGAUUCAUGAAGAAGGCUAGUGCAUUCGUUAGUCCAAAAGACAUAACAGUGAAUUCAUACAACCCAUACUUGGUAAUGAAUGCCGUCUUCAGAAUGUCUGAGGGUCGGAUCCUGGGCUGAUGAUAACCUGACCUCAGAUCUAUCUUUGAGAACAUGGUGGCUCCUCUCAACUGGUCGAACAGAUCUUCUAUUCUGGGCAAGGGGUACUUGUUCUUAAUCGUGACCUCAUUCAGAGCUCGAUAAUCGAUGCACAUCCUUCUGGUGGCAUCUUUCUUCUCCACGAACAGGACAGGGGCGACCCAAGACGAGGUGCUUGGCUGGAUGUAACCUUUCUCUGACAGCUCAUCGAUCUGCUUCUUGAGUUCAACUAACUCUGGUCCAGACACUCUGUAGGCUCUUUUAGAAAUGGGGGCGGUGCUAGGAAGAAGCUCUAUGGCAAACUCAACUUUUCGCUCUGGUGGCAUGCCUGGUAAGUCUUUCGGAAACACAUCUGGAAAUUAUGACACAACCUUGAUAAUCUCGAGUGAAUCUGGCUCUUUGCUAUCAAUAGCCAUCUGAUGACAACUUCCUUUCCUUGGCUCAGGUGAGAUUAACUUGGCUACCACUUCUUCUCCUAGUGGGGACACCAACUUAAUUAUCCUCUUAUCACAACUGAUAAUUGCUUGAUACUUAUCUAGCCAAUUCAUCCCUAGGAUGACAUCUAUUCCCUGAGUACCCAUUACUAUGAGAAUAGCGGGAAAAGCUAUCCCCCUUAUUUCCACACUUACAUUCAAGCAAAUUGUGGCGGAACUGCCCGAAUUAUUCCAACUUAAGUGCCCAAGUCCCGCCUUAGAGGCUAGACCACACUUAAAUGGGAAUAACUCGUCAAUCCCUCGGAUCUAGUCCGACACGGCCACUGACAGGAUCAAGUACCACAAUCUCACUCGAAGGUGAGUCACAGAGCAAAUACAAUAAAGCAUAAAACCAUACAUGUCACAAUGUUAAAUUAUUACAUCACCAUCAUCAUCAUCGGAGUUUUGCAAAAGUAACCAUCAUUGUUUGAAGUGCAGCGGAAUAAAACUAACGGUAAAUAAAACAGAGAGAUGGAGAAGCCUGUCCCAUCACUCCUCAUGCUCCUCCUCAGCCGAGGCAGGGUCCCACUCGACAGUCCAACCCGGUGGCAGGGUGGUCGGCCAAGUUAUCCCAGCAACCAUCUCCUCCAGAGAACCUGUAAAAAAUUAUGCCACAAGCAAGGCUGAGUAUACUAAUACUCAGCUAGACUUACCCGGUGUGAGGAGUCUACUCCUCUACCUCUAGACAUGCAGCUGUUUGGCUGUGGGGUUUGGUUGCCAAAAGCACUAGCUGAGUUUCUAAAUCGAGAUUUUAACUUAAUCAAAGUUAAGUGUGACUCUCUUAAGGCUAAAAGUGAACUAUCUACUCAUACAUGGUAGCAAGCAUUAUUAACAAUCAACAUCUUUUCUCAACUCAUCAUACUUCCACUUAUUACUCAAUGCAGUACAAUGGAUCAAGCAGUCUCAUUAGCUGCGAGAAGCAGACGAUUCGAAUCGAGUUUUUAUCCUUGCAAGGUAAACCUAAACACACGACAUGUAGGGGCACUCCGUCCCCACACACAUCAACCGUCCCCAUCGAUUCCCCGUCAGCAGAACAGGGCUCACCGCCUUGGCGUACAAUGCCUCACUGACCCCGACUGGCCAUCGUGCAGUGACCGCACUUGUACCCACCAUAACCGGAAUGGGAGACCUCGUCUCAGGACGCGUGAGGGGAUAUGUCCACUGCCGGGUUCACUCAGGUACUAGGCUUACCGAUUUACCAUAUUUCUCGGCAUGUGCUCAGUACGUUCAAACGCUUGACACAGGUAUCCGCACGUUAAUCCUUAUUCCAUUUUCCAUCUCGUAAACAACCAAUCCCCAUGGAUUGUUGUCCACCAACUAGUAUCAUGACAGUGUGAAAGUGGGUACAAUCAAUUUCCUGAUCUCGCGCGAGUGCUAGAAAAAUCACUCGUCUUCUACCGAGAUCCUAUUUAAUUAAAGCAACUACUCGACCUGUCAUACUAGUAUUCAUUUCAAAAGGAUUCCUGAGAUCAUGCAACUAGGGUUUCAAACAAUUCCUACACCUAAGUGCACAAUCAAUCCUACAAUCAUUAAGUGAAGUAAAAUAGCAUAAAUAACAGGUUAUGCAUAAAACCGGGGCUUGCCUUCCAAAGCAGUGGCAGGCAGGUCCUCUGGUGCUGGCUCUGGUGCUGGAUCUGGGGCUACCUCCUGAGCAGCUCCUUGCUCCGGCACGAGGACGUACUCUCCGUCAGCAAGAUUACAGUCUAUCGAAAUGCAAUGAACAUGUAUGUCAUGAUUAUGCAUGAUUUAAUAACAUUAUGCAAAAGAAACGAAGUCGAGAAGUAACUUAGGGUUUUCUUAGUUAUGCGGGGCUUCUAGUGGUACAUAGAUAGACUUAUUAUUCUUUGGACUUAGGUUUUCCUUUAGGACAACAUAUUGGUUUGGUAUUGCUUUGAUAUAUUUUUGUGGACAGCAAAUAAAGUUUUUUAGGGACAACCUUUAUUCAUAUCUUUUAUUUCUCUUCCCUUAAUUUCCAUUUAGGUUUUCUAGGGUAGGUUUGAACUACAACAGGGUUUUAAUAAUUUCCAAAAAUUCUGUAAAAAUUACAGUGGGUUGUCACUGGCUAUUUUAGCUUGUUUUAAGAAUUAGAGGCUUAAGGUAUAAAAGUUAGGCCUUAAACAAAAAUAACAAAAGUUAGGCAAAAAGGGGCACUUUACACUACACCUCCUAGUUAGGGGUAGGCUCUGUCCUAAAGGUUAUUUUUGUUGGCAUCCUCUGGUAAUGAUAGGUCUUUGUGCUAAAAAUCACAGGAAACUAAGGGGUGGUUAAUUAGCUAUGAUUUUCCCAAGUUUAAUGUCAAAAAGGCACUUUCUACUACCUUAUUAUUUGAAAAAUGUCAAACAGCAGAUUUCCUAUUUUUCUUAGGUUCUUUCUAAUAAAACAAUAGUUAUCCCAAGGGUGGGGGUGUUUUCACCUUGGGGUUAUUUUUGUGGAGUUUUUCUAAGUUAUCCUUGUUUUAAUAAAAUAAAAGAUAUCCUACUUAAUUUGUACUAAACCAGGGUAUAAUAUAUUUUUCCAGUGAACUACAUUGAAUAAGUACCUCAACAAAAAUAGGGGUGCCCUCUGGUUCAAUAUUUGUGUCACUUUUCCUAUUUUUCUUAAACUUAAGCAUAUUUGGAAUAAGGGGUUUAAAACUAACUUAAUGUAAUGGACAGAGGGGUUUAACAUUUUUAAACAGGUUAGUAGGUGAAUAUAAACUUCUCCAAAUUUUCCUAACCUUAGUCAAAUAGCCUAACUAUUUUUCUUACUAUUAUUUAGCUUUUGGCCAAAGUUAACAUUAAAUCAGAACUUUUAAGUUUUCCACAGCAUCAAGGGGUUUUAUAUUUUUCCUAAAUAGGUUACAUGAUUUAGAGUCUGGCAAAAUUGGUUUGACCAAAAUUGGAUAAACCAAACAGAAGUUAUGGGUUUUUAAAGUUUCUGUUUGAAUUUAAAUUAGGUUUUAAUUAAGUUUUCCUGGAAAAACAGUUUGCGCCGAGGCCCCUGGGUUUAAAACAAUUCAAACCUCGCAGAUCUACCCUUAAGGCACUAUUCACUUGAGUCUCUGACCUUUCACUUAACCCCCUGGGUUUCUCUCCCUCUCACCCGCAGUCCCUCCCUCAACUGAAACAGUAGCCGCGGGAAAGAAAAGGGUGGCGCGGCUUACCGGCGGCGAGGGAGGUCCGGCGAAGGGUAGGGUUGGCUCGGGGAGGGUCUGGCGAUCACGUCGAGGUACGGCGCGUCGUUGGGGAUGGCUGGAAUCGCCCGGUCCACGUGAGCAGGCGGGCGAGCUCGUCGGCGGCGUGUGCUCCGGCCUAUCCACGGCGGCAUAGUUCAAUCCAAGGGCAUAGGGAGCUUCGUGGAGGUCUAAGGAGUCUAACCGUGCAAGGAAUCGAAGAGAGGCGCACGGUGUACCUCGGUCCACGGUUGCCGGCGGUCGGUUGAAGUCCGGUGACCUUGGGCCGGCCUCUCCGGUGAAGCAGAGCCCGAUUCCUCGCUCGGGGAGCUUCACGGAGACGUGCACAGUCUUCUCCGAGGGCUGGACGGGGUUGGGAAUGGCUGGGCUGGCCGGUCUACGGUGGCAGGGGCUCGGGUGGCCGCGGGCACGUCGCGUAUGGGCAAACGGCGGCGAACUGAGCUCCGGUGAGGCUUGAGCGCGUGCGGAGGGGUACGGCCAAGGCUCCUGGGCGUUUUAUAGUCGCGGACGCGGACCAGGGCACUGGCUUGGCUUGGGCGCGGCGCGGGCGCGCGCGCGGGCGUGCUCUGGCGCGGCAGACGGCGUCGAACACGUGGCGGUUUGUUUCUUCCAGUGUUCAAAUGUAGCCAGAGGUCGCAAACGUGCGAAUCUUUGCAAAAGUCCGGCGCAGACCUCUUCCUGGCACCUAGGGCUGUCACUCAACUGUGAGACGCCGGGGCAGAUACGGCCUAGGGAGGGAGAUCUUCGGGUGCCAAAUCAGGUGUGUCAUACUGAGCAUAUCACGACAAAAGCCAUGCCAUGGCAUGUCAAACGUCCGAGUCUCGAGCUCAACUUUUUCCAGUGGGUGCCCUAAGUGGUAUUGCACAUUUUUGGUAUAGAACCCAAGUGGUUUUGGCGCCAUUUUUAAAGUGAACACGGUUGAUCUUUGAUUUAGGGCUAAAGUGGGACUUAGAGGGAAUUAGAGAGCUCUAGCUCUCUUUCCACUUGGAGAUUUGAAAUGGGGUUUCCUUAGGGGCCUUUUUGUAAUAUUUCCCUCCCCUAAUUGAUGGUUAUAAUGUUGCUUAGGGUUUGGGUAAAGAUUACCCAUGUUUUGCACAUUUGCUCACUCUCUUUCCCCUCUUAUCCAUGGUUUUGGGAGUUAGGGUUUAAGAGAGACCUAGGGUUCCUUCCCCCUCUCCCAAGGUGAUAGUUGCACACAAUUAGGGUAAUGCCUUUGGUCAUUCCCAACUCUUGGUAAAAACUUAGUUUCCAAAGCCCCUUAUACUUUUGCUCCUUAAGUUCUUCCACAUGUGAUCAUAGUCUUGAGUGCCAAGGUGUGCUCCAGCCAUGGCAACACCUGGGGUGUUACAGCCCUCCCCCCUUAAAGGAAUCUCGUCCCGAGAUUUUAGGUAGAGUCCCUUGGAGGGUGCUGGAAGGUGCGUUGGUGCUACUCUUUCUUUAUACUCAAGUUUCUCUUGUUAACUGCUCUUCGAAUGUCAUUCUCUUUGCAACUUCAGAAGGAAGCCCUUCUUAAGUUAAAUCCACAACUUAGACUAUCCUUAUUAUCUAAGUUUUUCUUAUAAUUGAAUUCAAAGGGCAGGUGGGGGUGGGGUUCUGGGGUUACAUACCGACUCCUUUGGGUAGAAAGUCGGGGAAGCGAGAGCGUAGAAAAUCCUCAGUCUCCCAUGUAGCUUCUUCUGCUGAAUGGUGACUCCACUGAACCUUAUACAUUCUGACCGACCUCGCCCGAGUUGAUCUCUCCUUUUGAUCUAACACCUUGACGGGGUACUCUUGGUAGGAUAAAUCUGGUUCUAUCUCAAUGUCUGGUUCUGGCAGUACUUCAGUGGGUAGACGAACACAUUUGCGCAACUGAGACACAUGGAACACAUUAUGUACUGCUGACAUGUGAGGUGGCAAUUCCAAUUGGUAAGCUACGGGUCCACAACUUGCCUUGAUCUCAUAGGGUCCAAUGUAGCGAGGAGCUAACUUGCCCUUGAUCCCGAAUCUCUGGACACCCUUGGUGGGUGAUACCUUCAGGUAGACAUGAUCUCCCACCUCAAACUGUAGAGGCUUCCGCCUCUUAUCAUGAUAGCUCCUUUGCCUAGCCUGAGCAGCUUCCAAGUUCUUGGUAAUGACCUUGACUUUUGCCUCUGCCUCGAGUACUAAGUCUGGCCCAUAAAUUUCCCUUUCUCCCGCUUGAGACCAGUUUAGUGGGGUCCUGCACCUUCUCCCAUACAAAGCCUCAAAAGGUGCCAUCUUCAGACUGGACUGGUAGCUGUUAUUGUACGAAAACUCUGCCAAAGACAGACACUUGUCCCAAUCCUUCCCGUAAUGUAGUGCACAUGCUCGCAACAUAUCUUCCAAAAUCUGAUUCACCCUUUCGGUCUGGCCAUCUGUUUGUGGGUGGUAUGCUGAGCUUCGGAUGACAUGGGUCCCAAGCGAUUCUUGCAGUUUUUCCCAAAAGCGUGCCACAAACAGUGCUCCUCUGUCAGAUAUAAUGGUUUUGGGAAUACCAUGCAAUCUCACUAUCUGAUCAACAUAAAUUUCAGCAUACUUCUCGGUCUUGUGGGUGGUGUGUACUGGCAAGAAAUGAGCCGUCUUGGUCAAUCUGUCCACGAUAACCCAAAUAGAAUCAUGGUGCCUGGAGGUAUUGGGUAAUCCCACUAUAAAGUCCAUGCAAAUGUCCUCCCAUUUCCAAGAUGGUAUGGGAAGGGGUUGCAGAGGGCCUGCUGCCUUCAAGUGACUAGCCUUUAUCCUCUGACAAGUAUCACACUCGGAUAUGUACUUGGCAAUUUCCACUAUACCAUGACACAAUUUUAGCGUCAAACAACUGACGGUAAAAAUAGAUGUUUUGCGACAGACAGUCUGUCACAAAAUAUUACCAUCACGCUAUCUGUCGGUAGUUAUUGUAUUGGAGUCAACAAAUCUGUCGGCAAUAAUGUCGAGCUAUUGUGGCAGUCCAUCUGUCGGUAAAACGGAUUAUGCGUGGCGCAAAGUCUGUCGGGAAAAAGUAGCAUCAGAUCGUUUGUCGGUAAAUGGAUGUCAUGAUCCUAUAGCGAAAAAAUAAUUAACAAGCGAGCGUGAGUAGGAAUUGAACUCGUGACCCUUUGCAAAAAGAGAAGACACAUAUCUAAUAACUAGUGAGGAUUAUUCACUCUAUUCUCAAUAUUAUUCAUUAUAAAACUGUACACGUUAAUUAUUGAAGGGCUACAACUCACUUGCAAUGUAACGACGUGAGCUGGCUGGCUGUGGAUUGAAAAAAUGUGAACUCAUUUAAUUUUUCGCUGGAUUGAAAAAAUGUGCAAUUCGAUCAAAUGAAAAUGCUAUAACAACAGUGAUAGACCAUCCUGAAUUUUAAUUACACCCGGAGAGAUUUGCAUGAACUUGUUUAAUUUGUCCGCAGAUCCUGUAACACCUCAAAUCUCGGUUUUGGGAUUUAGUAGAGUUUUCCAAAGGUUUUGAAGUAAGAUAUAUUUUACUCUUACCCUUGAAAUUACUCUUCCUAAAAAUAAGGAAAAGAUAAACGUGGAAUCUUGAAUUGAACUACACAUUUAAAAAGAAGUAUUGUCUUGCAAUAAAUAAAGGCACUAUUAAUUUGAUAAACUUUAGGUUUGCAUUUUGACCAUGAAAUAUAAAUUUGAAACUUCGAAAAAAAAGAACAAAAAAAGAGAAGUUUCAAACUUGGUUAAUAAUGAUUUUUAGGAGCAUGCAAGUAUAUAUUCAAAUCAAUAGAACAAUAAAAAUAAUUAAUAAAAUAAUAUUUUGCAUAUAUACUGGAUUUUUGCCUGUGCAUUUAAAUAGAUUUGAAGUUUGUGAAAUUGAAUUUGAAUCUGAUUUAAAAUAGGAAUAAUCCUCCGUGCGCUCAUUCUUAGCCCAUUUAGACCAAACGUUCCCUUGUUGAUUUUUUAUUCACUAGCCGCUGAAUAUGUCGUGAUGACACCACUGUGCCAUCAACAUGCAAAUGAACCGUGAGGAAAGCAAACUCAAUCAGAGACGUUAGCGAGUCCUUCGACCGGGUAUCUCGCGCCGCCCUGAGUCCACCCUAGGCUUUAUCUCCUAGUUAUUUAUUUGAUCUCGAUCAUCUCCUCAUCCAUCGGAUAUCAAAACCAUGCCAACUCAAAACGGCUGCACCGCGUGGUCAAGUAGUUACCAAAGCCAUCGACAGGAGUGGUGCUCGACGCCGCUGCCAUCAUUCAACACAUGUGCGAUUGAUCGGGCGUUAGGAAUUGCGCAUGGGUGAUCACCAGGUGGCCAUCGUGACGUUCUUCAUCUCGGCGAAAGGUUACUGCGGGUCGCCGAUGCUCGCUGCGAUCACCAGAGUCUAGUCUCGCUGGUGGUCUAAGGCGGUCGCAGGGAAAAGGUCACUGGAGCUUGCGUCUCGCCGCGGAUCCACACUACAUCGCCGGCCAACUCCUCCUUCAUCUACGGUAAGACCCCGUUUUCCAUGGGUCUAAGUACUAUGGGUCUAUUGUAAUUGGCUAUACUCAUUCCCUUGUGAAUGUUGAGGCCAAGAUAUUAUAGUCACUAUGGGUCUGUUGUAAUUGGCUAUACUGCAUUAGUAAUAUAAUUCUCAUUUCAGCCACCCAACUCGGAACCGAACAAGCUCUAUAUAAUACUUUUAUUAAACUUUCAAUUUGUAUUUUCUGUUGGGAGUUUAUAGACCUUUUGAUAAAGUAAUUGACAAAUUAUUGAAAUAUGUUGUAGGGAAGAGGUGCUGGAAGCAAGGAUCGGAGUGCUUGAAGUGUGUGAAAAAAAUGAUAACUCGCAUGCAUGCUAGCCGUUGGCGUAACACCCAGCUAUGUUGUAGGGAAGAGGUGAUGGAGAGAUUUUAGUUUGCUAGAUGAAUCUUUAGACUUUGCAUGUAAUAGAACUGAAAGAUCACAUCAGAAUUUAGGAAACAUGUAUGCUAUUAUUUUUAUACGUUCAUCACACAAACCAUGUUCCAACAAACCAAUAUAUGUUGGAAUUCAAAGUCAAAGAUUGAUUUCUUUCUUUUAGUAAUUAAAUUUCAUAUAUUCUGAGCUACAUAUUAUUCAAGUUGUCCUGCAAUGUUCAUCAUAAUCGGUUUAUUAUUUGUUGUAUCAGCAUAUAUUUGUAUGCAUGAUUCUUUUUUUUAAACUGCACAUAGGGAAUAACAUUAGACAAUCUGUCGGUAUAUAGACUUUUAGCGACACACAAGGCGUUGACACAAGAAUAUGUCGGCAAAAAUUUGUCCGACGGCAAAGCUAUGUCUGUCGGCAAUAACAUAAACAUUGCCGACAGAUAGUCUGUCGGUAGAUCUAUGUCUGCCGGUAAAGGUUAUUGCCGAUAGGACCUUCGCCGACACACAUUGUCUGCCGGCAAAGCUCUUUACCGACGGACUGUGCGACGCUGUUCAGGUGUUUUACCAUCAGACAAUCCAUUGGCAAUAUUGUGUCAUGGUGUAGUGUUCCCUUUUCAUUCUAGUCCACCAAUAUAGAGAUCUGAGAUCAUGAUACAUCUUGUUGCUACCAGGGUGCAUGGAGAAUUUGGAAAGGUGAGCUUCGUCCAGUAUCUUCUUUCUAAGCUCAGGGUCCUUGGGAACAACCAAUCGAUCUCCAAACCAUAGGAUUCCCUUGUUGUCCUGCCGGAAACACUUGUAUUUCUCUGCCUUUUGCUUGAUCAUAUCCUUGAUAACCUGAACACCCUUAUCCUCAACCUGAGCCCUUAUGAUCUGCUCCUGCAACGUGGGUUCUACCGAGAUAUAGCUUAGGUCACCUGAAGAAACAACUUCCAGGUUUAAUCUGCACAACUCAUCACACAGGGUGGUAACUCCCACAUCCAUGCUCAUGCAAUAGCACUGGGCCUUUCUGCUUAAGGCAUCUGCCACAACAUUGGCCUUACCAGGGUGGUAAUGCACCUCCAGAUCAUAGUCCUUGAUCAACUCUAACCAUCUCCUUUGCCUCAUGUUCAGAUCUGCCUGAGUGAAGAUGUAUUUGAGGCUCUUGUGAUCAGUGUAGAUGUUACAGUGAGCUCCCAUCAGGUAGUGUCUCCAUAUCUUUAGAGCAUGAACUACAGCUGCCAAUUCUAGAUCAUGUGUAGGGUAGUUCUGCUCAUGGGGCCUGAGUGCCUGGGAAGCAUAAGCAAUCACUCUGUUCUCUUGCAUCAGGACACAUCCCAAACCAGUACCAGAAGCAUCACAAUAAACUUCAAAUGGCUUGGUGUUGUCAGGUUGAGCUAACACCGGGGCUGUUGUCAAAUGCUGUCUCAAGGUAUGAAAGGCAUCUUCACACUUUUGGCUCCACUCAAAUUUGACUCCCUUCUUCAACAGUUCAGUCAUUGGCUUGGCAAUUCUGGAGAAAUCCGGAAUAAAUCGUCGAUAAUAUCCUGCCAAUCCCAGAAAACUCCGAAUUUGCUUUACUGUGGUCGGGGGUUUCCAAUCCAUCACUUCUUGCACCUUCUCAGGAUCAACUGAUACCCCAUCCUGAGAAAUGGUAUGACCCAAGAAUUUGAUCUCCUUCAGCCAGAACUCACACUUGGACAACUUAGCAUAAAGAUGAUGAUCGCGCAAUCGUUGAAGCACAAUGUGCAGGUGCUCAGCAUGUUCGUCUUCAUUCUUGGAAUAGACCAGAAUAUCAUCAAUGAAGACGACCACGAACUUAUCCAAUUCUGGCAUAAACACUGAGUUCAUCAAGUACAUGAAAUAAGCCGGGGCAUUGGUCAGCCCAAAAGACAUCACCAGAAACUCAUACAGUCCAUAUCUGGUAGAGAAAGCCGUCUUGGGAAUAUCGCUGGCACGGAUCUUGAUCUGAUGGUAUCCCGAGCGAAGGUCUAUCUUGGAGAAUACCUUGGCUCCAACCAACUGAUCAAACAGAACAUCAAUGCGAGGCAACGGGUAUUUGUUCUUUAUGGUCACCGCAUUGAGAGGGCGGUAGUCAACACACAUCCUCAAACUCUCAUCCUUUUUCUUCACAAAUAAUGCUGGACAUCCCCAUGGUGAAGUGCUGGGACGAAUAAACCCCUUGUCCAACAACUCUUGCAAUUGCUUCUUCAGUUCUGCCAAUUCCGCGGGAGGCAUCCUAUAAGGUCUCUUGGAGAUAGGAGCAGUCCCGGGUUGCAACUCAAUUGCGAACUCAAUAUCUCAGUCAGGUGGCAUCCCUGGCAAUUCCUCCGGAAAAACAUCCGGGUAGUCAUGGACCACUGGGAUCUUUUCCACUGGGGAUUCUAUCAUAACAAAGGCACAAGAUCGGGUACAACCCUGGUCAGGCAAAUACAGUGUGGUCUCACCACAAGUUGGUGAGUGCACCUCAAUGGCUCUAGCCGCAAUAUCCAUCACAGCCUGAUUUCUGGUUAACCAGUCAGUUCCCAAUAUAAUAUCCACACUCUCCAAACCCAAAAUGAGGAGGUUGGUCUUAAUUAUCAGACUACCAAACCUUAUAGGCACAUUCUUGUUAACUUGAUAGGUGGCAACCCUGCCUCCUGGGGUUGAAAUUGUAAUGCCCCCAUUGGUGUGGUGAAAGGGCAACUGGCAUUUGGCACUAAACCUUGCACUGAUAAAACUAUGCGAAGCACCGGAAUCAAAAAGAACAAUAGCAGGAAAAUUUAAUACUGUAAAGAUACCAGUCAUGACGGGUGCUCCCUCUGGAAUAUCUGCCAUGGUGGUGAAGUUCAGUCGGCCUUGCCUCACUUGCACCUUCUGCCUCUUCCCUUGGUUCUGGUUAGCAUUCUGCCCCUGCCUCUGCUGGUUCCUGGGGCAAUUCUUGGCAUAAUGCCCAGUAUUGCCACAAGUGAAACACCUGUUGUCAUUGGCCUGGUGGUACUGCUGCUGCUGAUUAUUCCUCUGAGCUGGGAACUGGUUACGGUUGGGUGCCUGCUGCUGCUGCUGCUGCUGAGGUCGGAUUACCCAUCGCCCUUGCUGCUGUUGGGGUCCCCUACCCUGGGUGUCGGACACAAUCCGGAAACGCUGUGGCUGAGCUGAGGGUCCUGCCACAGGGGUCUUCCUCUUUUUCUCUGCCUGCCGAGCUGAAAUGCAGUCCUCCUGGGAGAUGGCCAUGUUGACCAACUCAUUGUAGCUGUUGGCCCUAACGGUGUUGAGACGAUCCCGGAGCUUAGUGCUGAGCCCCCUUCUAAAUCUGUCUCGCUUCUUCUCAUCUGUAUCUGCAUGAUAUCCAGCAUACUGGCACAAAUCAUUGAAGGCCUGGGCAUACUGCAACACUGUCCUGUUGCCCUGAGUGAGUGCCAAGAACUCAUUAAGCUUCCUGUCCAUGAUCCCGGCUGGUAUAUGGUGUCCUCUAAAAGCUGCCUUAAACUCCCUCCACUCCACCUCUCGGUCCUCGGGCUGCAUAGCAAGAAAGUGAUCCCACCAAGUCCUUGCAGGUCCGCGAAGCUGCUGGGUGGCGAACCUGACUUUGGUGACCUCUGAGCAAACUCCAUGGAGUAGUGGGAAUUUGGAUUCCACCACUCGCAGCCAUACAUCUGCGUCAAGUGGGUCCUCCGCCCUUGUGAACAGUGGAGGCUGGGUGUUGAGGAAUUCCUGAUAGGUGGCUGCCGCGGGGUGACGUUGGUGGUCUCCACCACCAUAAUGCUGGGGUGGUGGCUGACGUUGAGCCAGCUGCCUCAGGAUCUCAUUCUGCUGAGCCAUGAGCUCCUGCAGAGUGGGAGGUGGGGGUGGUGGUGGAACGUGCUCGUUCUGGCCACGACGCUGCCUCCCAGCCAUCUGAAAAACCACAUACUUACUUAACACCACAGUUCCAAUUUCAAGAUUUCAUCAUGGGAAAAAGUUAAAACAGCAUGAUAGGCUCUAACUUCAACAAAAGGGAGUUUAAAGAGGCAUAAAUUUUUCCUUCCAAUUUUAAACUGAUAAAAGCAUCCAUCAAACAAGCUCCCAAGAGAGUUUAACACGGUUACAUCAAAUUGUUCCAAAAUGACUCAACUCUACCUAGCCUAGUACCCCAAGGGUGCAAAAGCUAAGCUAGCGGCGAGGAGUCCGACUGUCCAACUUCUAAGCCUACCCUGGACACCUAGUGAGCGAACGAAGCAACACUUGACUCGGGGGAAGGUGGUCUUCCCGAGCCAGCAGUGUCUAUACUGGAAGCAGACUCGUCUCCUCCCUCGAUGUCAACGUCCUCGUCAGCCUCCCCACCAUGGAUCUCUUGGUGAUGCAUGUCUAGGUGCUCAUUUGCUUCUGCCAUCUGCUGCUGAGUGUUGAGGAGCUGAUCCUCUAGGACCUCAAUGGUGUUCUCCCGGGUGCCCACUAGCUCCUCCAACUCAUGAAUCUCACCAGACAGCUGCUCCACUUGCAAAUCUUUCUCUACCAUUUCUUGAGACAAGUCGACCACAAGCUCCUCUCGGUUAUCCAACGUGAUCUUGGUGGCCUCCAGUAGUGCCAUCAGAUGGGACAUGGCCUCACCGCGCAUCACCUGCAGACGGUACAGAGCAUUCAUGCACCGUACUGUCAAGUGCGCAGUCUGUCCUGGGUAGAUGGCCCAGAUAUCCUUAGCAUGCUCCACCUGAUCCUUCCACAUUGGGUCGUCCUCCUUUUCAGCGGGGAACAAGCCAAUGGGAUGGGUAGCCAGCUCCAAGGGAUGGAACCCGCAGAAGGUAGUCAAUCCAUGCAGAGCGAUCGCCUCGAUCGUGUCCUCUGCCCGGUACCCGAAAGACUCUGAGUCCAAGGAGCGCCAGCCUGGCUGCAGGGGAUGAGGCUCCAAGGUCAUCCUCACCCUACAGCGGGGCACUCGGUGCUUCUCGAACUGCUGCACCGCGUACUGAGGGGGUGUCGUGUAUCCAGCCCCCUGAAGUACCUCCCACAAAAUGCGGGGAAAACACUCUCGUGCAAGUCCGUCCGUGUGGGUCAGUGCAUUUCCGUCAUCGGAGGAUCCGUGGGAAGCCAUCUGUGUACGGUUAAGCGUAAGUAAAAGAAAAGAAUUAUAAAAAGAACAAGAAAAAUAAAACUCAGCCUUUCUCUAGUUAAGUAAAAAGGCACUAAGGACCUAGCUGGUUGUUAUCUUGUUUUUAAGUCCUUACUUAGUUAUCCAUUGCUUAAUUAUGAAUGCAUGCAUGCUCGUCCUGAACGACCUCACAACAAGAUAGAAGGAAUAGGGAGGAACUCCCAUCCUGUAAAAGUGGCCUGUAGGGCCUAGUUACUUAGCCACCUAGCUACCCUUCUAUUAACCUAAGGCUUCACGUCCUAGGUCUAUCCUGCUCGUCCUACUAUCUAUCCAACUUGUUUCUAUCAAGUUUUAUUUAGAAAAUUGAUGGUAUUUACAUUUUAUUGAUUCCUCUGUGGUGGUACAAGCUCCGAUACCAGCUGUGGCGGAACUGCCCGAAUUAUUCCAACUUAAGUGCCCAUGUCCCGCCUUAGAGGCUAGACCACACUUAAAUGGGAAUAACCCGUCAAUCCCUCGGAUCUAGUCCGACACGGCCACUGACAGGAUCAAGUACCACAAUCUCACUCGAAGGUGAGUCACAGAGCAAAUACAAUAAAGCAUAAAACCAUACAUGUCACAAUGUUAAAUUAUUACAUCACCAUCAUCAUCAUCGGAGUUUUGCAAAAGUAACCAUCAUUGUUUGAAGUGCAGCGGAAUAAAACUAACGGUAAAUAAAACAGAGAGAUGGGGAAGCCUGUCCCAUCACUCCUCAUGCUCCUCCUCAGCCGAGGCAGGGUCCCACUCGACAGUCCAACCCGGUGGCAGGGUGGUCGGCCAAGUUAUCCCAGCAACCAUCUCCUCCAGAGAACCUGUAAAAAAUUAUGCCACAAGCAAGGCUGAGUAUACUAAUACUCAGCUAGACUUACCCAGUGUGAGGAGUCUACUCCUCUACCUCUAGACAUGCAGCUGUUUGGCUGUGGGGUUUGGUUGCCAAAAGCACUAGCUGAGUUUCUAAAUCGAGAUUUUAACUUAAUCAAAGUUAAGUGUGACUCUCUUAAGGCUAAAAGUGAACUAUCUACUCAUACAUGGUAGCAAGCAUUAUUAACAAUCAACAUCUUUUCUCAACUCAUCAUACUUCCACUUAUUACUCAAUGCAGUACAAUGGAUCAAGCAGUCUCAUUAGCUGCGAGAAGAAGACGAUUCGAAUCGAGUUUUUAUCCUUGCAAGGUAAACCUAAACACACGACAUGUAGGGGCACUCCGUCCCCACACACAUCAACCGUCCCCAUCGAUUCCCCGUCAGCAGAACAGGGCUCACCGCCUUGGCGUACAAUGCCUCACUGACCCCGACUGGCCAUCGUGCAGUGACCGCACUUGUACCCACCAUAACCGGAAUGGGAGACCUCGUCUCAGGACGCGUGAGGGGAUAUGUCCACUGCCGGGUUCACUCAGGUACUAGGCUUACCGAUUUACCAUAUUUCUCGGCAUGUGCUCAGUACGUUCAAACGCUUGACACAGGUAUCCGCACGUUAAUCCUUAUUCCAUUUUCCAUCUCGUAAACAACCAAUCCCCAUGGAUUGUUGUCCACCAACUAGUAUCAUGACAGUGUGAAAGUGGGUACAAUCAAUUUCCUGAUCUCGCGCGAGUGCUAGAAAAAUCACUCGUCUUCUACCGAGAUCCUAUUUAAUUAAAGCAACUACUCGACCUGUCAUACUAGUAUUCAUUUCAAAAGGAUUCCUGAGAUCAUGCAACUAGGGUUUCAAACAAUUCCUACACCUAAGUGCACAAUCAAUCCUACAAUCAUUAAGUGAAGUAAAAUAGCAUAAAUAACAGGUUAUGCAUAAAACCGGGGCUUGCCUUCCAAAGCAGUGGCAGGCAGGUCCUCUGGUGCUGGCUCUGGUGCUGGAUCUGGGGCUACCUCCUGAGCAGCUCCUUGCUCCGGCACGAGGACGUACUCUCCGUCAGCAAGAUUACAGUCUAUCGAAAUGCAAUGAACAUGUAUGUCAUGAUUAUGCAUGAUUUAAUAACAUUAUGCAAAAGAAACGAAGUCGAGAAGUAACUUAGGGUUUUCUUAGUUAUGCGGGGCUUCUAGUGGUACAUAGAUAGACUUAUUAUUCUUUGGACUUAGGUUUUCCUUUAGGACAACAUAUUGGUUUGGUAUUGCUUUGAUAUAUUUUUGUGGACAGCAAAUAAAGUUUUUUAGGGACAACCUUUAUUCAUAUCUUUUAUUUCUCUUCCCUUAAUUUCCAUUUAGGUUUUCUAGGGUAGGUUUGAACUACAACAGGGUUUUAAUAAUUUCUAAAAAUUCUGUAAAAAUUACAGUGGGUUGUCACUGGCUAUUUUAGCUUGUUUUAAGAAUUAGAGGCUUAAGGUAUAAAAGUUAGGCCUUAAACAAAAAUAACAAAAGUUAGGCAAAAAGGGGCACUUUACACUACACCUCCUAGUUAGGGGUAGGCUCUGUCCUAAAGGUUAUUUUUGUUGGCAUCCUCUGGUAAUGAUAGGUCUUUGUGCUAAAAAUCACAGGAAACUAAGGGGUGGUUAAUUAGCUAUGAUUUUCCCAAGUUUAAUGUCAAAAAGGCACUUUCUACUACCUUAUUAUUUGAAAAAUGUCAAACAGCAGAUUUCCUAUUUUUCUUAGGUUCUUUCUAAUAAAACAAUAGUUAUCCCAAGGGUGGGGGUGUUUUCACCUUGGGUUAUUUUUGUGGAGUUUUUCUAAGUUAUCCUUGUUUUAAUAAAAUAAAAGAUAUCCUACUUAAUUUGUACUAAACCAGGGUAUGAUAUAUUUUUCCAGUGAACUACAUUGAAUAAGUACCUCAACAAAAAUAGGGGUGCCCUCUGGUUCAAUAUUUGUGUCACUUUUCCUAUUUUUCUUAAACUUAAGCAUAUUUGGAAUAAGGGGUUUAAAACUAACUUAAUGUAAUGGACAGAGGGGUUUAACAUUUUUAAACAGGUUAGUAGGUGAAUAUAAACUUCUCCAAAUUUUCCUAACCUUAGUCAAAUAGCCUAACUAUUUUUCUUACUAUUAUUUAGCUUUUGGCCAAAGUUAACAUUAAAUAAGAACUUUUAAGUUUUCCACAACAUCAAGGGGUUUUAUAUUUUUCCUAAAUAGGUUACAUGAUUUAGAGUCUGGCAAAAUUGGUUUGACCAAAAUUGGAUAAACCAAACAGAAGUUAUGGGUUUUUAAAGUUUCUGUUUGAAUUUAAAUUAGGUUUUAAUUAAGUUUUCCUGGAAAAACAGUUUGCGCCGAGGCCCCUGGGUUUAAAACAAUUCAAACCUCGCAGAUCUACCCUUAAGGCACUAUUCACUUGAGUCUCUGACCUUUCACUUAACCCCCUGGGUUUCUCUCCCUCUCACCCGCAGUCCCUCCCUCAACUGAAACAGUAGCCGCGGGAAAGAAAAGGGUGGCGCGGCUUACCGGCGGCGAGGGAGGUCCGGCGAAGGGUAGGGUUGGCUCGGGGAGGGUCUGGCGAUCACGUCGAGGUACGGCGCGUCGUCGGGGAUGGCCGGAAUCGCCCGGUCCACGUGAGCAGGCGGGCGAGCUCGUCGGCGGCGUGUGCUCCGGCCUAUCCACGGCGGCAUAGUUCAAUCCAAGGGCAUAGGGAGCUUCGUGGAGGUCUAAGGAGUCUAACCGUGCAAGGAAUCGAAGAGAGGCGCACGGUGUACCUCGGUCCACGGUUGCCGACGGUCGGUUGAAGUCCGGUGACCUUGGGCCGGCCUCUCCGGUGAAGCAGAGCCCGAUUCCUCGCUCGGGGAGCUUCACGGAGACGUGCACAGUCUUCUCCGAGGGCUGGACGGGGUUGGGAAUGGCUGGGCUGGCCGGUCUACGGUGGCAGGGGCUCGGGUGGCCGCGGGCACGUCGCGUAUGGGCAAACGGCGGCGAACUGAGCUCCGGUGAGGCUUGAGCGCGUGCGGAGGGGUACGGCCAAGGCUCCUGGGCGUUUUAUAGUCGCGGACGCGGACCAGGGCACUGGCUUGGCUUGGGCGCGGCGCGGGCGCGCGCGCGGGCGUGCUCUGGCGCGCGCGCGGGCGUGCUCUGGCGCGGCAGACGGCGUCGAACACGUGGCGGUUUGUUUCUUCCAGUGUUCAAAUGUCGCCAGAGGUCGCAAAUGUGCGAAUCUUUGCAAAAGUCCGGCGCAGACCUCUUCCUGGCACCUAGGGCUGUCACUCAACUGUGAGACGCCGGGGCAGAUACGGCCUAGGGAGGGAGAUCUUCGGGUGCCAAAUCAGGUGUGUCAUACUGAGCAUAUCACGACAAAAGCCAUGCCAUGGCAUGUCAAACGUCCGAGUCUCGAGCUCAACUUUUUCCAGUGGGUGCCCUAAGUGGUAUUGCACAUUUUUGGUAUAGAACCCAAGUGGUUUUGGCGCCAUUUUUAAAGUGAACACGGUUGAUCUUUGAUUUAGGGCUAAAGUGGGACUUAGAGGGAAUUAGAGAGCUCUAGCUCUCUUUCCACUUGGAGAUUUGAAAUGGGGUUUCCCUAGGGGCCUUUUUGUAAUAUUUCCCUCCCCUAAUUGAUGGUUAUAAUGUUGCUUAGGGUUUGGGUAAAGAUUACCCAUGUUUUGCACAUUUGCUCACUCUCUUUCCCCUCUUAUCCAUGGUUUUGGGAGUUAGGGUUUAAGAGAGACCUAGGGUUCCUUCCCCCUCUCCCAAGGUGAUAGUUGCACACAAUUAGGGUAAUGCCUUUGGUCAUUCCCAACUCUUGGUAAAAACUUAGUUUCCAAAGCCCCUUAUACUUUUGCUCCUUAAGUUCUUCCACAUGUGAUCAUAGUCUUGAGUGCCAAGGUGUGCUCCAGCCAUGGCAACACCUGGGGUGUUACACAAAUGCUAUCGGCUCGAAUUCUACUACCGGCUAAGUCAAUUUGGAUGGGGGUUGACAUGGUAGUGAUUGGAAGAUUAUGUGCUUCUACCCAUGAUGCAGUAAUAAAUGAAUGCGUUGCUCCAGUAUCGAAUAACACUUCUGCAAUAUGGGAGUCGACUGGAAACAUACCUACUAUCAUGCCCGGGGUUUCCUAAACUACUUCAGCCUCCAAGUGAUUCAGUCUCCCAUGGUUGUAGCGCGGUUGGGAGCGGUUGCCUGCUCCAGGCUGGGGCACAUUCUGCUUUGCUGGGGCACUGGGGCCUGACUGCUGCUGGGUUGCCUUCUUCGGACAUUGCAUUAGCCAAUGGCCUUGCUCUCCACAAUGGAAACAUGCUCUGCUUCCACCCUGAACUGGUGCUGCUUGACUGCUCUGGUUGGUUGCUAGGGCGGGGAGACGAGGUGCCUGCUGAUUCUGCCUCUGGAAUUGACCUCCUCCUGACUAAUUGUUCUGGCGAUUCUGCUGCUGGUGCUGAGGUUACUGCCUCUGAAACUGCUGCUGUUGAGGUGGGCGCUGGUUCUGCCUGAACUGCUGAGGUGGGUUGCCUAAGAAACGAGGGCGAUUGCUGCUUCCAGGCUGGGGUCCACUGAUCUUAUGCUUGCAAUCCUCCAUCUCUUUGCGCUUCCUCUCUGUCAUGAUUGCUAUGUCGAUCAGGUGCUGAAAUGUGGGAAAGGUAUGAUUCAUCAGCUGAUACUGCAGAGGAUCAACUAAGCCUCUCAAGAAGCGAUACUGCCUCUUGGCGUCUGUGUUGACAUCCUCAGGAGCAUAGCGAGACAGCUGCAAAAACUUGUCUCGGUACUCACUGACAGACAUAGGCCCUUGCUUGAGCGCCAGAAACUCCUCCUUCUUUACUGUCAUCAGGCCUGCGGGAACAUGGUACUAGCGAAAGCUAUCUCUGAAUUCUUCCCAGGUGAUGGUGUCGGGGUUGGCAUGGGUGGCGAGAUAGGACUCCCACCAAGACUGGGCUGCUCCUCUCAACAGACGGGGACCAUACAGAACUUUCUCCCUGUCGUCGCACUAGGCGGUGUGUAACUCCCGCUCCAUAGUACGCAGCUAAUCUUUAGCAUCCAUGGGAUCAGAAGAGUGAGCAAACACCAGGGGAUGACCUCUCAUGAAUUCAGCACGCUUGUCUCUGGGCAUAUGAGGCAUCUGAGGCUGAGGUGGUGGCUGCUGCUGGUGAAUGGUGGCCAGAGUCUGACCAAUGGCUUGAACUGCCUGAGUCUGCAUCAAGAACAUCUGCUCGAUGGUCAUCGAGGGCGAUGGUGGCAGCUGCUGACGGGGUGCCUCAUCCUGCUGUGCUGCCUGCUCCUACUGAGCACGCCUUCCUCCUCUGCGCCUGUUGUCUAACAUCUGCAGAAUGCAAUCACAUAUCAGAACUGAUUUUGCAAGCAUGCAACAUAAGAAAAGAGUAUAGAAUCCUUCCACAAUACUGAACAGACGAACAUCUUCACUAAUUUCCAACACAGGCAGACACAGCUUCUCACAUAAAGAGGAAAGUAGAACAAAAGGGCUUCCCAACUAGAUAACUAAUUUUAUUAACAUUUAACAGGUAAACCAAAGUGCAGGGGAUACCCACACCCUGGCGACAGUCAUUACAAAGGUAAACCAAAGUGAAGGGGAUACCCACACCCUGGCAACAGUCAUUACAAAGAUCCAAAUCCAACAUAGUUCAUAAUGACAAACAUAAAGGCACAAGAUAAGCAAACUACCCUGUCUAACUAAGACUAACUAAGAGUAAGACUAAUGCUAAGACUAUAGCUUCUAUAUAUAUUUUUGCAUUAAUUACAAGAUCUGACGCUGACGAUCUAUGGUUCUAAAUUUAUCUUGGUCCUGCAGUCGGGGUUACCAUAAGCAUGGUGUCCACGCUGAGGUGAGCGGUAUGGGUGCUGAGUCCCGACGGGAGCGGGGGAGCUAUCCUCCAGGUGACGAUGCUCCGCGCGCUCAACCCGCAGCUGGGCGAUCUCAGCACGAGCCCUACUCAGCUCGUCUAAUGCAUGGUCCAGCUCCGUGUUUAGCACGGCGGCUAGGUUGACUGUGCUGCUCAACCUAGGAUUGUCCUCACCAACAGGUGAGACAACCACGCCUCAUGUGCUGCCAGAUGGGCGGCAGAGGUAAUACUUCAGGUUAAUACCAUCAGCUACCCCACCGAGCACUAAGCAGUAGUGCGAAAGCGCAUGCCGUGCGGCAUCUUGCAUGGCCGCCUCAGCUGAGUCCUGCUCAGAGAUAGAAUAGUGCUCUGAGCAGACCUUCGCACCCCGGAGACUGUUCUCCGGACGGCGCACCAAGCAGGUCACCUCCCAACGGCCCGAGUAAACCCCGCGACUAUGCUGGAAGACCACAGUGAUACUCAAUAGACCAAGUAUGCCGGUCAAGUGCCCCGCGUAGCAAGGUGUCGAGCGCAUCAUGAAAGUGACACCCGCGAGCGGCGUCACGGGUGAUGGGUCGGGCAACCCAUCCUUCCAGCUCCUGCUCCUCUGAAAGGUCGGUGCUGUGGCUCGAGCUGCUGUCACCACCUCCGUCGUCUAGGUCUCCUCCAGCAGCUACUCCAGCGGCUGGGGCGCUCAGUGGUGGUGCAGGGGGCGCUUCCAGCGGGAGCACAUGGGAGCAACUCCUCACAAACUCUAUCUCCUGCUGAAGCGAGAAAGAAGAGUCCUGCUGCUCCAGCUCCUGUCGUCGACGCUCCUGCUCCUCGUGUAGGCGGUGGUGCAGCCUCUCCAAGUGGCUAGACUGACCAGUCACUGGAUGGUGAAGCAGACGCUCAGCGAGACAAGAAGGCAAGAAAGGAAUGACUGACUUCCAUGCAGUGUGUCUAACACGAGCCAUCUACAAAAGACACCGUAAGCAUAAGAGUGAGAACAGAACUAAUAUGACCAGCAAGUAGACUGUAAAAAAAUGAGGAAUUAGAAUAAAACAAAAUUUUCAGCAAGGUAUAAUAAUAUAUAGUAGAACAUAGGUUUGGUCGAUAUGACCAACUUUUGAAGGGAUACCAAAGUCAAGGUGAUAAUAGGGGUCUAUAAUCCUUAGAACGACCAUUCUAUUCUAAGUUAGCGGUCCUACAGUCAGCACGGCUUUGAUACCACCUAUGUCACACCCGGUUUUAGAAGGCAAACCGAAUGCGAACCAUGUACGUGCCAGGAUCAGCAAUUCACGUACACAGCAGUUACAUAACUGGACAUCAUCACACAGUGCUCAAAUAAUGACAUAAAAGAGGGUAUAAUAGUCGAUUACAUCAUGAUGUCCGGGACAUCCACAUAGUCUUUAACAAUAAUCAAAGUGCGGAAAAGAAACAUAGAUACACAUGGCCUACACAGGCAGCCGACUGGGGGUUUGCCGCUAACCCACGCCUAGAACUCGUCAUACUCUUGGAACUCCUGGAAGUCCUCCUCCACGGCUUCUUCUUCACCUGAGCAUUGGUUGCAACGUGGACAACCUGGGGGUUUGGUGUGUAAAGCAAGGGUGAGUACACAUCAACAUACUCAGCAAAAUGUCUCGUUUGGCUGUAGUGGACUAGCUUUAUGUGGAGUUAAGUCAAGCAGUUGGUUUUAGUUGGUUAGGUUAUUAUUACUAGUAGAAAGCCAGGUUUUAGUAUUAACCCAAGUUAUUAACCCAAUGUACCCUUUCCAAACGAAAAGAAUACCACUUACCAGUACCAUAGUCAUAACCAAAAUCCUCAUCCUCAUCACCACCUGUAAACCAUACAUCUCUGAUCAAGUAUCUCUAAUCACUAGAGCUCCCUUGGCCGCUCAUAACCGCGAGCACGACUGAUAUAUUAGUUUCAUUAAUAAAGAUGAAUUUAAAAUGAAUCGUUGUGCGACGAAGCGCGCGACGCAGCACAUUCAUUAAACUAAAUCUAAAACUAAUUAAACUGAAAAUCGAUCGUCGCGUGCACUGGGGCUGCGUGCGUGGGAACGCGUUGCGCGUGCCGGGGCGCACGUGGCCGCGCUGGGGACACGCGAGACCACGCGAGUCACGCAGGGGGCGCGCAGCCACACCGAGGACGGGGCAGGCGCCGCCGGGGAGGGGCCGAGCAGGGGCGCGCGCGGGGAAGCGCGUCAGGGGGCCGCGCGCCGGGGGGGGGGGGCGGGGGAGCCGCCAAGGGGCCGCGUGGGAGCGUCGUCGGGGCCGCGGGGGAGCGCCGCUAGGGGGCCGUGCGGGACGCGCGCAGGGGCCACGCGGGGGGGGGGAGAAGAAGGGGAGGGGGAGGAGAAGAGAGAGAGGGAGAGAGAGAGGGAGAGGGGAGGGGAGCUCACCUCGGGAACCAAAUCCGGCGAUCUCCGUCUCUAAAACCUAGGGCACCACGGGGGAGAGAGAGAGGGCGUUGUGCGCGGGAGAAUUGAAUGAGGGGAAAGAGACCAGGGGAGGGGGGCACGACAUGGGGAGGGGCAGGGCGCCAGGGGCGCGCGGGCCAAGGUCGGGCCGAGCUGGGCCGGGCCGGGUCGGAUUGGGUCGGGCUAGGCUGGGCUGCACCGCGGGUCAAAAUCCUGUGGCACGCACAACCACAGAUCGGAAUCCAAUUCGCGAAACAAAAUCCGAAAUGAGACUAAGUAACACACACGAUUAAACACGACAUCAGACAAAGAAAUAUGCCUCGGCAUGAUGCAACACUCAUGUCAAUUUAGGUUUUUUUGUUUACACAUGACACAGACACCAGUCGCUAUAUUGCUUUGAAAUUGGGAAGGAGCGAAACGAGAAAAGAAAAGGGAGUAACGCCUGAAUUUGGUGAGUAAAAAGAAGAAAAAAAUUCUACCCCUAAAUUCAGGGCGUUACAACUGCCCUUGCCUUUUCGGGUAAAGUAGUCUUCCACUAGCUUUCCUAAUUAUUUAGCCAAGGGGUCCCAUUCCUCCCUUAUGGUGGCACGUGUUUCUCAAGUUAAGCUCCAUGUUCCAAUUAAUAUUAAUGAUCUUGACAUGAACAUAAAUAGAAUAACAAAAUAAUUGGAACAUGGAUAUAAUGAAAUAUUAACCCAAAACCAUGUAAAGCGAUAGCAAAACUACCCAAGUGAUUCAGGGAUAACAAGGUAAAGAGAUAAACAGUCUAGGGUGACCUAUUGGGUCCCAUCAAAAUUAAAACUAUGCAUGAAUAAGUGAUAUUAAAGAACAUUAUUGGGUAAUAAAAAUGGUUAAGGGUACAACUUGCCUUCAAUGAGCUCCUGCUCAGCAACUUCUAUCUGCUGGGCACCAGGAUCCUCAGUCACAGGCUCUUCUACUCGCCACAAUACAAACAAGCACAGUAUAAAGGAGAAAUUAACAUCACACCAAACAUGUAAACAAAAUACAUAAUAAUAUUCUACACAUUAAAAUAAAAACCUAGGAACAGGAAUAAUUGAUUUUGGAGUUAUGUAUUUUAAAUUAUGAAUUUCCAAAGGUUUUAUGUGCUUGAUAUAUGAUUAAGUGAGAAAUUAAUUUUCUUACUGUUUUCAUGUCAAAACAGAGACUCUAGGUGGUAAACAAUAAUAUUACAAAAUUUUAGAAACUGGAAUAUAUCAAUUUGGACUAAAAAUGGAUUUUCUAUGAAUUUUACAAGUUCUAGCAUUUAGUUUUGCACAAAAAUCCAUUUCUAAUUAAUUUUCUCUGAUUUUCUAAUUCUCUGUACAGCGCGCCAAUUUCUGGGAAGCACAGGGGUGAUUACAUACAAAUCCUGUGACUCAGUCAAUAGUAGCCCUGGACCGCGGGUUGGAAUCCAGAAAACUUAGGGUCUCUUUAAUAAAUUUACCUGACCGAAGGGGUAGGUUUCGACCAGGGCCGCAGGAUCCUAAAUCUACGGUCAGGAUUAUAUUGCUAACGUGGUGAAAUGGUACGCAUCGUCGACCGUAAGAUCUGAAAUAUACCACCCAGAUCAUACUUGAGCCCGAUUCGCUCGAUCACGAUCCGGCGGUCGCAGAUCACCAAAACCGAAACGUUAUCUGCGCUCUGAUCCCAACCGUCCAUGCCCUGAUCGACGCCUAUCGUUAAUCGUGGGCGUGAAUCACCCGAACGCAGCGGCGCCCAUCCUCCUACGGCAGCGCCAUCGCCGGUGACUCACGAACACGUGAUUCGCGGGCUAAAACUUCUAUCCUAAUGUAGCGAUGGUUAGCAGGAUUGAUAAUAUACACUCUGGAAUGGUGCUCACUGGGGAUUAAGGACCGUGUGACAACGUCAUGGUUAGCGGCGGAGUCCGCACUCCGAUGAGGAAUUGCCGAUGGUGCAGUCGAUGCAAUGCCAUGCUGAGUCACCGGCGAGCAUCAACAGCGUCAACCGAAGUCCUUGGACCUCUUCCCGGAGCUCGGCUGACGCCAACGACUCUAGGCGACGACGACGGAUCUCAAAACUCCCUUGGGCUUGGCAAUGGCGGUGUCAGUUUGUUCUGGGAGGCUAGGCUCACGCGAGACGGUAGCAGGGGAAGGAACGGGUCACGGGGACUCCCAUUUAUCCCACGGGGUUCCGGUUUGGAGAGACGGGGAGUUCUCCCACGUUCCCGGCCAUGGCGGCAAUAUCCGCGCCUUCUGUUGCGAAGGAGAAGAACGCGCUGACGUGUGGGCCCCACGACAAAGCGUCAACGGGUGUCCGUAGAGUUCGUAGGUCACAGUUUCGCCCCCGGACCCACGCGACAGUGAGACAUCACCCACACGCCCGAGUACGCGGGACGUCUGUCCAACCGGACCCACCUGCCAGUGGCCCACAACGCAAGCGGUGCGUUCGCUGGGCCGCGCGGAGGAAACAUGCUCGUGGGCCUAGGGUGAGGGGAUCCGGCCCACACGUUUUAUUAUUCUUUUCUUUUUUUUCCUCUUCCUUUUCUUUCUCUUUUAAUUUCUAGAAUUCAAAUUUGAAUCCAGUUUUAAAUGUGAACUUGUACUUAUUUUAAAUAUACCAAUUGAACCAAAUAUGGAAGGCCUAAUUAUUUUAUAUAUGUUUUCUUUAUUUUUGUGUAGCAUUUUCCUUUCUUUUCUCUAGACUCUAAUACGCAAAUUAGGGUUAAAUCCCCAAAUUUGGAUUUUAAUAUAUUUCUUUUUACACUAUUUUAUAUUGUCACAAAAUGCACACAAAGUAAAGUGCAGCAUGAUGCAUAACUUAGUGGCAUAUAUUUUAUAAUUAUUUGUUUUUAAGUAUGGUGUUCACAUGUGAUGGUACAAAAAGGUCAAACUCCCACAUAGAUAAAGUGAAAUUGUUUCUCCUUUUAUAUUAUCUCUUACAAAUUACAAAUUGGGUAUUACAAAUCCUACCCCCUUAAAAAGAAUCUCGUCCUCGAGAUUUAGGAAGGACUAGGGAAAAGAUGGGGAAAAUCUAUGCGAAGAUCUUCUUCUCUUUCCCAUGUAGCUUCAUCUUCUCCAUGAUGACUCCAUUGGACUUUGCACAUCUUUAUCACCUUAUUUCUUGUGACUCGAGUCAAAGUAUCAAGAAUCUUGGUAGGGUAUUCCGUAUAAGUCAAAUCACCCUUGUAACACCCUAAAUUUGGGGUAUAAAAUUUCUUUCUAAUUAUCACCCAAAUUCAUGUGUUACUCUUCUCUCUCUAGUUUCUAUCUAUCUCUAGAUUGUCUCUCUCUCUCUCUCUUUCUUUUAAGUAGAAUUAGCUUAAGUGAGUAGAGGUUAAUUAUUUAUUUUUGCCAAAACAUUAUGGGUCAUGACAUGUUGCAUCAUUCUGAGCUUAAAUAAUCUUUGAAUUGUUGCACAUGUUUGAAUUAGUUUGAAUUUGAAACCUAAUUUAAAUUUUGAAUUGAAAAUCCUAGAGAAAAGAAAUAGAAAAGGAAUUAGUAAAUUCAGGAAAAAGGAAAAGCCAUUCUGGCCCAAACCAGCCCAGCCAGGCCGCGCGCCCGUGCGCCUGCUGCCCCUAACAGGCGGGCCCCGCCUGUCAGCGACAGUUUGUCCCGCUCCCUUCCCUCCCUCUCGCUCGCUGCCCAGUGGGGCCAACUUGUCGGCGCCAGUUGCUUCGCUUGCGCGUCCCUCUUCUUUCUCUGUCUCGCGGGCCCGUUCUGCCAGGCGCUGAGCCAUUGCCCGCGCGCCCCUUCUCUCUCUCUCUUUGCGUCGUGGGCCUUCCCUGUCAGCUCCGCCCUCCCCGCGCCUGUCGUGGACCAGCGAGCGUGCACUCGCGCACGUCGCCGGGAUCCUCGGUCACGUCGCUCUGCCCACGCCCAGCUCCUUUUGAGCCCCCGCCUGUGUCCGCACUCACUCCCCCGCCUCAUUUCACGCAGUCCCGCCCUCGCUCGCGCUCUGCUCAUGCUGCUAGACCUCGCCGGAGACCUUACCCGCCUCCUCGGCCAUCUAGCUCGCCGGAGACCGCGCCAGGCCACCCCGAGCUCCGCCCCAAGGUGAGACACCUGUACCCGUGCCCAGUUUCCCCAAUUUCGCUCUGUGGUCGGCCAAUUUCGGCUUCGCCGGAGUUCGGCCGUGGCGGUCCGCCGCACCCGCGCGGUGACUGGCCAAAUUAGCCCGGCCUAGUGCCCCGAUGUUAGUCCCUAAGGUACCCCUCCAUCUGCUGAAGCUAUCCUAGGCCUUAGCGCGCCUCAAGCCCCCUCCCCGCGGCCGGAAUCCUUCACCGGAGUUCCUCCGGUCCGCCCGAGGCCUUCUCCCCGUCGUUCUCCCCUCUCUGUCGUUAGAUUCGUGGCCUUUUCCCCGCCACUGAGUUUGUCGUGGCAUUCUCUCCCUCUCUGCCCAAUCCCGGCGACCCCGGAACCACCCUAACACGCUCCUGCCCCAAUUCCGGCGACUUCACCGCCGCGGAGAGGAGCAACGCUGCCCGCAGCCGUUCACCCUCCCUCGGUCUGAUCUCCCCUGUCCGAUCUUGAUUGCAUGGCCCAGGUCGCGGGAUACAUCUUCCCGCACGCGCGCCCUGUGCCCCUGGCCCGCCUGUCAGCGCCCGUGUCCCCUAGCCCUAGCGCUGGGCCCGCUCAGUCAGUGCGCUCUCCCCUCGGUCGCUGACACCCCCUGGCCCACCUGUUAGCGCUCGCCCGCACGCGCGCGCGCCCUCGGUCGUAGAUCUAAUCUCUGUCGUCGGUUUCUUAUCUAACGGGUUGAAUCACCCAAUACCCCUUUGCGCAUUAGUUUUGUUAAAGAGACUCUCGGUUUGUUCAGAAUCAACCCGUCGUCCCUGGUUUUCGCGCGCAGGCCCAUAUAUUCUUGCAGAUUUAACACUGGACUUUUAAAUAUUCAUGGAAUUAGACCUAUUUUCAUAUUUUGAAUUCCCAAACUUGUUUAUUUCAUAUCUUUUGCAUAUGAACUCUAAAUUUAGUGAUUCAAAUUGCAAAAUGUUCAUAGGAUUAUUCUCUGUUUAAAUAAAUUAGUUCCAUUUACAUUCUAUGCAUUAUAAUUUUUAUGGUUAAUUAUGAACUAGUAUAGGUGUAGAUUUAUUUAUUUAAUAAAAUAAAUAAAAGGAAAACCCUAGAGAUUAAAGUGUAUUUGAUCUUGUGAAGAUUAAUAAUGUGUAUUACAUGAAUUUAUCUCUAGUCUAACUUUUAGGUCACAAUAAAAUAAAUUGAACUAGGUUAUGUAAUUGUGGGCAAUACUUAAAGGGAUAAUAAUCUAUUUCUAAAUGAAGUUAGUUUAUGUUAUACUUUGAUCUCAUUAUCCCUUAUGUAGUAUUGUGUCUUUUUAAGAUGUAUUCCUAUGUUUGUACAUGUUUGGUGUGCUGUUCAUUUGUACUUUCCAAAUGUAUUGAAUGCAUGCUCGCUUUAUUUAAACAACGAGCAGUUCGAGGUUCCUGAGUGUGUUGUUGGAGACCUCCCUGAGCAACAACCUGAUGAAGGCAAGUGUCCUCUGACCUAUUAUGUCCUACAUACUCUAUAAUUCACUGUCCCGCAUUACUUUAUGAAACCUAAGGUUUGACUAGCUUUGUAUCUACCCUGUCCUUGAAUUACCUUUUGGGUUAUCAUGGUUAGCAUCUUGCUUUUGCUUUACUUUAAUCAAUGAACAUGAUGUGAACAUUUAUGAUACGUGAUCUUGUGAUACUCUAGGGGGCUCAGGCCUUUUUCCUGAGUACCUCUCCGUAAGGACCUGUUCGUGGAGUGACCACCCGGGAUAACAGUGCAACCACGAGGGUGGAAUGGGACGCCCUUAGCUGAUUAAUUAGAUGAACCUGGGGGUGUAGUUGGCUUUGUCGGAGGGCCAUCAAUGGGGGCUAGAGCGUAGUGCUCGCUCUGCCAAGGGGGGGGGGGUGCACAGGUUCAUUCGAUUUGGUUUUGUUAGUCACCCACCUUGGGGAGGUGUACUGCGUUUGUACGAUUGGCGAAACCUAACGAGCAGCUAUGCACCAGGGGAGUUUUUGUAAAGGCUACGUAGUGUAUCCCUGGCCAUUCACCUCGAUAGUGAAGAUCGGGUCUGUACAACCCAGGUUGGGAAGGGAUCAUGACUCGUGGGUAAAGUGUGCAACCUCUGCAGAGUGUUAGAAACUGGUAUAUUAGCCGAGCUCACGGUUAAGAGCAGCCUUGGGAUCCUCUUUGAUUAGAAAAACUUUGGAUACUUUUAUGAUGAUGGUUAACAAUGAUGUUAUAAAUCUGACCUCUGGUAUUUCCUCUUUUGAGGGAGUACUUUUGGGUAAUAACUAGGCUGUUACUAAAACUUGGCUCUACAAAUAAUAAUAAAUACUUGACCAACUAAAAACAACUGCUUAACCUCAACCCCAUAUACAGCUAGUCCACUUUAGCCAAACGGGACAUUUGCUGAGUACGUUGAUGUGUACUCACCCUUGCUUUACAAACCACCCCACCCCAGGUUGUCCCCAUUGUACUCAGUACUCAGGAGGUGAUGCUGGCAGCAUGGAGGACUUUGAGGAGUUCCAGGAUUACGACGAGUUCUAGUUUAUUAUUAGUGGCAAACCCCCAGUCAGCUACCUGUGUAGGCUUAUCAUCUAUGUUUCGUUUCUCCACACUUUGAUAGUUAUGCUGAAGACAAUGGUUAUGUAAUAGACUCUGUGGAUGUCUUGGACAUCUUUUUGUAAUAAAGUACCUUUCCGCUAUUUAUUUCGAGCAUUAUGUGAUGAUGUCCAAUUAUGUAAUCGCUGUGUACGUGAGUUCUGAUCCUGGCACGUACAUGGUUCACAUUCGGUUUGCCUUCCAAAAACCGGGUGUGACAUAAGUGGUAUCAAAGCCUUGCUGACUAUAGGACCGCUAACCUAGACUAGAAUGGUCGACCUAAGGAACUAAAGACCCCUACUCUUACCUUGACCUUAGUGUCCUUUCAAAAGUUGGUCAUCUUGACCAACUCUAUGUUAUCUACUUAUCUCAAAAAGUUUGGUCUCACUUUUCUUUCUGUUUACUAUCUGGUCUCAUAGUUCUACUCUUACUCUUGUGCUUACGAUGUCUUUUGUAGAUGGCUCAUAUCAGGUGCACUGCACGUAAGUCUGUGAUCCCCUUUUUGCCUUCUCGCCUAGCGGAGCGUCCACUGCGUCGCACGGUGCCAGGUCAGUCCAGUCACCUGGAGAGAUUGAUUCGUCGCCUGCACGAGGAGCAGGAGCGCUAACGCCAGGAGCAGGACCAGGAGCAGCAGGACUCUUCCCCCUCGCCUCAGUAGGAGGUGGAGUCUGAGAGGCCGCCUUCCCCUGCACCCCAGCCAGAGAUGCCCCCUGCACCACCACAAGGCAUCCUGGCUGCUGGAGGAGACCCUGACGAAGACGGAGAUGACGACAACACCGAUGGCAGUUCGAGCCACGGUACGGAGCUCUCGGAGGAGCCGGAGCCGGAGGGAUGGAUUGCUAGACCCAUCACUCGUGACGCCGCUCUCGGGUGUCACUUCCACGACGCUCUCGACACCCUACUGCGUCGGGCCUUCGACCGACACACUUGGUCCAUCGAGUACCAUUGUGUAGUCUACCAACAUCGUCGCGGGUUAUACCCGGACCAGUGGGAGGCUACUUGCUUGGUGCGCCGUCCGGACGAUGAUCUCUAGGGUGUAGAGGCCUUCUCAGAGCACUAUUCUAUUACCGAGAGGGAUACUACCGAGGCAGCCAUGCAAGAUGCAGCACGACAGACACUUUCUCAGUAUUGCUCAUUAUUCAGCGGGGUAGCUGAUGGCCUCGACCUGAGGUACUACCCUUGCUGUUCGACCAACAGUACUAGAGGUGUGAUUGCCUUGCCAGUUGGUGAGGGCAAUCCCAGGCUGAACAACAUGGUCAAUCUGGCUGCCGUGCUCAACACAGAGUUGGACCACACCCUUGACGAGUUGGGCAAGGUUUGGGCGGAGGUAGCGAAGUUGCGUGCUGAGUGCGCAACACGCCACUAUCUGGAUGGUGGUUCUCCCGCCCCCGUCGGGAUUCAGCACCCUUACCGUUCACCGCCUCGUGGUUGCUUCGACUAUGGUACCCCAGACUGCAGGACUCGGAUAGAUUUGGAUCCCUAGAUCGACAGAGUCGGAGUCUGUAAUAAUGCUAGUUCAGUGUCUUAGCCUAAGUCAGUUUUAGUUAGAGUUAGUUUAUUUAUCUUAUGUUGAAUGCUUGUUAUGAUGGACAUGUACUGAAGUUGGAUAUUUGUAAUGAUUGUCACUAAGGUGUGGGUACCCCCUGCAACUUGGUGAAGUUAUUAAUAAAGUCAGUUAUUUAGUUGGCUAAUCCAUUUAUUUCCACUUUCCUAUUUAUCUGAGAAGCUGUCAACGAAGAUGGUCAUUUGUUUAGUGCUAUGAAGAUUUUCUAUACAUCUUUUCUUAUGCUGAAAGACUGCAGAGUCAGAUUUGAUAUAUGUGUGUUAUUUCUACAGAUGUCUGAGAACAGGCGUAGAGGUGCGAGACAUGCUCAUCCAGAACAGCAGGCACCCCAAGAGGAGGUAGCCCCACAGCAGCAUUUGCCACCGCCACCACCGAUGACCAUUGAUCAAAUGUUCUUGAUGCAGACCCAAGCAGUCCAAACAAUUGGACAUACCCUAGCAGCUAUGCAGCGGGUGCAGUAGCAGCCACCUCCACCUCAGCCUCAGGCGCAAGUCCAGAUGCCUCAAGUGCUCAGAGAUAAGCGGGCAGAUUUCAUGAGGGGCCAUCCCCCAGUCUUUGCUCAUUCUGCUGAUCCUAUGGACGCUGAAGAUUGGCUGCGUACCAUGGAACGUGAGUUGCACACUGCCCAGUGCAACGAUAGUGAGAAGGUGUUGUACGGUCCUCGACAACUGAGGGGAGCAGCCCAGUCUUGGUGGGAGUCUUACCUCGCCACCCAUGCCAACCCUGAAGCCAUCACUUGGGAAGAAUUCAAGGACAACUUCUGUCGCUAUCAUGUGCCCGAGGGACUGAUGAUAGUGAGGAAGGAGGAGUUUCUCGCUCUGAAGCAAGGUCCCUGUCUGUCAGCGAGUACAGGGACAAGUUUCUGCAGUUGUCGCGUUAUGCCCUAGAAGAUGUCAACACGGAUGCCAAGAGGCAGUACCGCUUCCUGAGAGGAUUGGUUGGUCCCCUCCAUUACCAGCUGAUGAACCACACCUUCCCUACCUUCCAACAUCUGAUCGGAGCAAUCAUGACUGAAAGGAAGCGUCGGGAGAUGGAGGACAGGAAACGCAAGAUUGGUGGAUCUCAGGCCGGGAGUAGCAGCCAUCCUCGCUACUCAGGCAGCCCACCUCAGCCAUUCAAGCAAGGUCACUAGCACCAGCAUCAGCGUCAGAACCAGCCUCAGCCUUGGAAGGAGGUCUCCACCUCGCUAGACCCCAGGGCUCGGCCUCAACAUCGGCCUCGGGAGGAAUCGCGUCCUCGCCCGACCCCGGCCUCGGCCUCAGGAGGAGUCUCCGCCUCGCCCGGCCUUGGGCUCGGACCGACCGCGCCACGAGGGAUACAUCAUUACCCUACCCCUAGCUAGCUCAUGCUAUGGGGGAACAAGACCGGCGUCUCAUCUGGCUCGCCCCGGUAACAAGUAAUGAUGGCUCCCCGCGUGCGUCCAUGACGACGGUGGUUCUCAGCCCCCCUACGGAAGCUAGGAGACGUCAGCAAGAUCCCAGCAACACCGACAGCUGUGCUUCUACACAGGGCUCUAGCACUCCUCUGACGGCCACGAUACCGCGUACACAGGGCUCUAGCACCUCUUCGACAGCCACGUUGGCAUGUACACAGGGCUCAGGCACUCCACUGUCGGACACGUUAGCGCAUUGCUACACCCCCAUUGUACACCUGGACCCUCUCCUUGCAUCUAUAAAAGGGAGGUCCAGGGCCUUCACGCGGGAGGUCGGAGGGUCGCGCGGGGGAAUGAGCGGACGAACAGGCUCAGUCUCUCCCUCUCGCGAACGCUUGUAACCCCUACUACGAGCACACACCCCUGGAGCGAGAUAACACGAGCCGUGUUUCCUCCUUGUGUUCCAUCUUGCGCCAACCCAUCUGGGCUGGGACACGCAGCGACAAAUUUACUCGUCGGUCCAGGGACCCCCCGGGGUCGAAACGCCGACAUUUGGCGCGCCAGGUAGUGGCCUGCUGCGUGUUAACGAACAACUUCCCGUUGAGUUCCAGACGGGUAGUCUCCAGCAACCUCUUCAGCCCGGGACGGUGCUCCGCUUCGGGAGUCUCGAGUUCAUGUCCCUCGACGGCAACUACGACAUGGUACUCCUCCCCCCGCAGCGCGACAGCAACAACGACGAUCGCCAGCUCGCCCGGCAGCGGCGAACUCGACGACCUCUUCCCCCCGUGGCGGAAAAGCAGCAUCUGGGUUUGUCCCGCCACCCUACUCGCCGCAGGAAGAGGAGACGGGGCAACCGUGGCUAGGCAGGAGGCAGCAUCUCGUCGGCUGUCGAGCGAGUCGAUGACGCCGGCACCCCAACGGGGGACAUGUCGGGCGUUGUCCUCGCGCCUAAGACAACGACGAGUGUCGUUUCCCCGCAAUGUGCCAACCCCAAGCGGACAGAUGACGCCAGCACUCUCGCGAAGGACUUGCUGGGCAUUAGCCUCGUACCUGAGAUAACGGUGCAGUCUGUCCCCGACGCGACUUCGUCACCGUCCAUCGAUCAAGAGGUACCGUCCGUUUUCCACCCUAUGCCUUUUAGAUUCAGCUUCGAUCCACCAAGCGACCCCGCUUCGGUGAGCGCUUUCGUAAAGGCAUACCCUAACCUUCCGGGGUACCAUAUGUGCUCAUCCUGGGACCGACUGACGGCCGUCUCGACCUACGGGCCCCCGGGUUCCGAGGAAGAAGACGACCCCGACUCCGGUUGGGAUUUCUUCGGGCUCCGUGAACCCAGUGCCAUGCGAGACUUCAUGACCGCAUGUGACUACUGCCUCUCCGAUUGCUCUGAUGAUGGCCACAGCCUUGACGACGAGGGUUGUGGCCCAAGUCGCGAAUGUUUCCACGUCGUUCUGGGGGGUCACGACGAAGGCAACCACCUUGGUAUGCCGGAGGAUGAUGAUCCCCCUGGGCCUGCUUAUCGCGUUGACAUCCCGCGGGAGCUAGCUGUGGUCUCAGUCCCUACGGGGGGUUAGGACACACAACUCGAGCAAAUCCGCGAGAUGCAGGCCAAGCUCGACGAGGAAGCAGGGCAACUUGUGCAGCUCCGGCAAAACAUUGAGCAGGAGUGGGCAGGCCGAGCGCUCGCCGGAGAAGCGCGUCAUCAGGCCCGGGACGUCUAGUGCCAUAUCGUUGACGAUGCCAGGGUAAGGCUGCCCCCGGCCUCCAGCGGGGUCGGCCAGAAUCUGGCUGCAGCAGCAAUAUCGCUCCGAGCAAUGUCGGAGCCAUCUACCACCGAGGGGCGGCGUAUCUAGGGAGAACUCAAGAAUCUCUUGGAGGACGCCGCGGUCCGACGGGCCGAGAGCUCUGCCUCUCGAAGGCAAGGGUGCCCACCGGAGCAUCGCGCAACGACUUCCCGACUCGUGCGGGAGGCCUCGGUCCACACCGGGUGCACGCGAGACGCGACGCCUGCAUCCCCGGAUUGCCUCGGCAACGAGCGCCGCCACCGCGACCGUCGAGCCUGCCUCGACGAGAAGGUGCACCGAGGCUACCACCUCAGGCAUGGGGGACGCUACGACAGUGAGGAGGAUCGGAGCCCCUCGCCCGAACCACCAGGUCCGCAAGCCUUCAGCCAGGCCAUACGACGGGCGCCGUUCCCGACCCAGUUCCGAGCCCCGACUACCAUCACCAAGUACUCGGGGGAAACAAGGCCGAAGUUGUGGCUUGUGGACUACCGGCUGGCCUGCCAGCUGGGUGGAAUGGACGAUGACAACCUCAUCAUCCGCAACCUCCCCCUGUUCCUCUUCGACGCCGCCCGAGCCUGGCUGGAGCAUCUUCCUCCUGCGCAGAUCUCCAACUAGGACGACCUGGUCAAGGCCUUCGCUGGAAACUUCCAGGGCACGUACGUGCGCCCUGGGAACUCCUGGGAUCUCUGAAGCUGCCGCCAGCAUCCAGGGGAAUCCCUGCAAGAGUACAUCCGGCGGUUUUUGAAGCAGCGCAUCGAGCUACCCAACAUCACCGACUCGGAUGUCAUCGGGGCGUUCCUCGCCGACACCACUUGCCGUGACCUGGUGAGCAAACUGGGUCGCAAGACUCCCACCAAGGCGAGUGAGUUGAUGGACAUCGCCACCAAGUUCGCCUCUGGUCAGGAGGCGGUCGAAGCCAUCUUCCGGAAGGACAAGCAGCCUCAGGGACGCCAGCAGGAAGACAUCCCCGAGGUGUCCGCCCUGCGUGGCAUGAAGAAGAAGGCGAAAAAGAAGUCGCAAACGAAGCACGACGCCGCCGACGCAGAUCCCGAAGGAGCCAACCUGUUCGACAAGAUGCUCAAGGAGUCGUGCCCCUAUCACCAGGGUCCCGUCAAGCACACCCUUGAGGAAUGCGUCAUGCUUCGGCGCUACUUCCAUAAAGUCGGGUCCCCGGCGGGAGAUGGCAAAGGCCAAGACAACGACAAGAAGGAGGGCGACAAGGCAGAGGAGUUCCCCGAGGUCCAUGGCUGUUUCAUGAUCUACAGUGGGCAAGUGGUGAACGCCUCGGCUCGGCACCGCAAGCAGGAGUGUCGGGAGGUCUGCUCGGUAAAGGUGGCGGCACCAAUCUACCUAGACUGGUCCGACAAGCCCAUCACCUUCGACCAAGGCGACCACCCCGACUGCGUGCCGAGUCCAGGAAAGUACCCGCUCGUUGUCGACCCCAUCAUCGGCAACGCCAGGCUCACCAAGGUACUCAUGGACGGGGGCAGCAGCCUCAACAUCAUCUACACCGAGACCCUCGGGCUCUUGGAGAUCGAUCUGUCCACGAUCCGGGCCGGUGCGGCGCCCUUUCACGGGAUCGUCCCCGGGAAGCGCGUCCUGCCCCUUGGACAACUCGAUCUGCCCGUCUGCUUCGGAACUCCCUCCAACUUCCGAAAGGAAACCCUCACGUUCGAGGUGGUCGGGUUUCGAGGAACCUACCACGCGGUGCUGGGGAGACCGUGCUACGCCAAGUUCAUGGCCGUCCCCAACUACACGUACCUCAAGCUCAAGAUGCCAGGCCCCAACUGGGUCAUCACCGUUGGAUCCACGUACCGACACGCGUACGAAUGCGACAUGGAGUGCGUGGAGUACACUGAGGCCCUCGCCGAGUUCGAGGCCCUCAUCGCCGACCUAGAGUGCCUCUCCAAGGAGGUGCCUGAUGCGAAGCGCCACACCGGCAACUUCGAACCGGUUGAGGCGGUUAAGUCCGUCCCUCUCGACCCCAGCAACGACGCCUGCAAGCAAGUUCGGAUCAGUUCCGAGCUCGACCCCAAAUAGGAAGCAGUGCUCGUCGACUUUCUCCGUGCAAAUGCCAAAAUUUUUGCGUGGAGUCCCUCGGACAUGCCGGGCAUACCGAGGGAUGUCGCCGAGCACUCGCUGGAUAUCCGAGCUAGAGCCUGACCCGUGAAGCAGCACCUGCGCCGCUUCGACGAAGAGAAGCGCCGGGCCAAAGGCGAGGAGAUCCACAAGCUGAUGGCCGCAGGGUUCAUCAAAGAGGUAUUCCAUCCCGAAUGGUUAGCUAUACCUGUGCUUGUGAAAAAGAAAGGUGGGAAGUGGAGGAUGUGCGUAGACUACACUAGUCUAAACAAAGCAUGUCCGAAGGUUCCCUACCCUCUGCCUCGCAUCGAUCAAAGUGUGGAUUCCACUGCUGGGUGCGAAACCCUGUCAUUCCUCGACGCCUAUUCAGGUUAUCACCAAAUCAAGAUGAAAGAGUCCGACCAGCUCGUGACUUCUUUCAUCACACCUUUUGGCAUGUACUGUUAUACUACUAUGCCAUUUGGCUUAAGGAAUGCAGGUGCAACCUACCAAAGGUGCAUGAACCACGUGUUCGGAGAGCACAUUGGCCGAACGGUCGAGGCUUACGUCGAUGACAUCGUUGUCAAGACAAGGAAAGCCUCCGACCUCCUCUCUGACCUUGAAAUGACAUUCAAGUGUCUGAGAGCGAAGGGCGUGAAGCUCAAUCCCGAGAAGUGUGUCUUUGGAGUCCCUCGAGGCAUGCUCCUAGGGUUCAUCGUCUCCGAGCGGGGCAUCGAGGCCAACCCGGAGAAAAUCGCGGCCAUCACCAACAUGAGACCGAUCAAGGAUUUGAAAGGAGUACAAAGGGUCAUGGGAUGCCUUGCGGCUCUGAGCCGCUUCAUCUCGCGCCUUGGCGAAAGAGGGCUGCCCUUGUUCCGCCUCUUAAGGAAGACCGAGCGCUUCACUUGGACCCCCGAGGCCGAGGAAGCCCUCGGGAACUUAAAGGCACUCCUUACAAAUGCGCCCAUCUUGGUGCCCCCCGCUGUAGGAGAAGCCCUCUUGAUCUACGUAGCCGCAACCACUCAGGUGGUCAGCGCCGCGAUCAUAGUCGAGAGACAAGAAGAAGGGCAUGCACUACUCGUCCAGAGGCCGGUCUACCUCAUCAGUGAAGUGUUAUCCGAGACCAAGAUCCGCUACCCGCAAAUUCAGAAGCUACUGUACGCAGUAAUUCUGACACGGCGAAAGUUGCGACACUACUUUGAGUCUCAUCCGGUGACUGUGGUGUCAUCCUUCCCCCUGGGGGAGAUCAUCUAGUGCCGAGAGGCCUCGGGUAGGAUAGCAAAGCGGGGAGUGGAGCUCAUGGGCGAAGCACUCUCAUUCGUCCCUCAGAAGGCCAUAAAGUCCCAAGUCUUGGUGGAUUUCCUGGCGGAAUGGGUCGACACCCAAUUGCCAAUAGCUCCGAUCCAACUGGAACUUUGGACCAUGUACUUCGAUGGGUCGCUGAUGAAAACAGGAGCAGGUGCUGGCCUGCUCUUCAUCUCACCCCUCGGGAAACAUCUCCGCUACGUGCUGCGCCUCCAUUUCCCGGCGUCAAACAACAUGGCCGAGUACGAGGCUCUGGUUAACGGGUUGCGCAUCGCCAUAGAGCUAGGGGUUUGGCGCCUCGAUGCUCAUGGCGACUCGCAGCUUGUCAUUGACCAAGUCAUGAAGAACUCCCACUGCUGCGACCGGAAGAUGGAGGCCUACUGCGACAAAGUUCGGUGCCUGGAAGACAAGUUCUACGGGCUGGAACUCAACCAUAUCGCUCGACGGUACAACGAGACUGCAGAUGAGCCUUGGGGCGGACAACGGUUCCCCCGGACGUCUUCUCCAGAGACAUACAUCAACCCUCCGUCAAGAUCGACGACACGCCCGAGCCCGAGGAGGCCUCAGCCCAGCCCGAGGUAUCCUCGGCCGUCGAGGGUGAGGCCCUGCGCGUCAAGGGAGAGCGGAAUGGGGCCACGCCUAACCCAAACUGGCAGGCCCCAUACCUGGAAUAUCUCCUCCGAGGAGAGCUACCCCUCGACAAGGCCGAAGCUCGGCGACUAGCACGGCGCGCCAAGUCGUUCGUCUUACUAGGUGAUGAGAAGGAGCUCUACCACCGCAGCCCCUCAGGCAUUCUCCAACGAUGCAUAUCCAUCGCCGAAGGACAUGAGCUAUUGCAAGAAAUACACUCGGGGGCUUGCGGUCACCAUGCAGCACCCCGAGCCCUUGUGGGGAACGCCUUCCGACAAGGCUUCUACUGGCCGACCGCGGUGGCCGACGCCACUAGGAUCGUACGCUCCUGCCAAGGGUGUCCAUUCUACGCGAGACAGACGCACCUGCCCGCUCAGGCCCUGCAGACAAUACCCAUCACCUGGUCGUUUGCUGUGUGGGGUCUGGACCUCGUCGGUCCCUUGCAGAAGGCACCCGGGGGCUUCUCGCACCUGCUGGUCGCCAUCGACAAAUUCUCCAAGUGGAUCGAGGUCCGACCCCUAACCAGCAUCAGGUCCGAGCAGGCGGUGGCGUUCUUCACAAACAUCAUCCAUCGCUUUGGGGUCCCGAACUCCAUCAUCACCGACAAUGGCACGCAGUUCACUGGGAAGAAGUUCCUAGACUUCUGCGAGGACCACCACAUCCGUGUGGACUGGGCCGCCGUAGCUCACCCCAUGACGAAUGGGCAGGUGGAGCGUGCCAAAGUAUGAUUUUGCAGGGACUUAAACCGAGGAUCUACAACGACCUCAACAAGUUUGGCAAGCGAUGGAUGAAAGAGCUACCCUCGGUGGUCUAGAGUCUGAGGACGACGCCAAGCUGAGCCACAGGUUUCUCGCCGUUCUUUCUAGUCUAUGGGGCCGAGGCUAUCUUACCCACAUACUUAGAAUACGGUUCCCCGAGUACAAAGGCGUACGACGACCGAAGCAACCAGACCAGCCGAGAAGACUCACUAGACCAGCUGGAAGAGGCUCGGGACGUGGCCUUACUACACUCGGCGCGGUAUCAGCAGUCUCUGUGACGCUACCACGCCCGAGGGGUUCGGCCCCAAGGCUUCCAGGUGGGAGACUUGGUACUUCGGCUGCGGCAGGACGCCCGAGGGCGCCACAAGCUUACUCCUCCCUGGGAAGGGCCGUUCAUCAUCACCAAGAUUUUGAAGCCCGGAACAUACAAGCUGGCCAACGAUCAAGGCAAGGUCUACAGCAACGCUUGGAACAUCCAACAACUACGUCGCUUCUACCCUUAAGAUGUUUCAAGUCGUUCAUAUACCUCGUUUUCUCUUUACAUACAUAAAUAAAGUCUAAUUUUCAAGGAAGGGUUAGCCUUGCCUCGGCAAAGCCCAACCCUCCCUCGGGGGCUAGAAGGGGGGAACCCCCUCUGCGUCAAAAUUUUCCUCGGAAAAAGUCUUUUGCCAGAACGUCUUUCGUGCUUUCAGACUGCUUCAAUAGCGGGAUCCUGAAAACGACGAGAGUACACGUAAGCGGAAAGGCCGACCGAGCCGAGGGACUCCUACGCCUCCGGGAUACGGAUACCUCACUCAUCACCUUCCACGAUAAGUAACUCACGCUCGGAUAAGCGAUUCUGCUACCGAACGAGUCCUAAUGCUCAAAAACUUUUCUGCCAGAACGAUUUUCGUGCCUUCUCGACUAUAUCGAUAACAAAAUCCUGCGAACGAGUAAGAGUGCACGUAAGCGGCAAGGCCGACCGAGCCGAGGGACUCCUAUGCCUCCGGGAUACGGAUACCUCACUCAUCACCUUCCGUGAAAAGUAACUCUCGCUCGGAUAAGCGAUUCUGCUACCGACGAACAAGUCCUGAUACUUGAAACAAGAGGAAAGGAAACACAGCUUUAUAAUCCGGCGUUAAAAUGUUUAGGCCUCGGCGGCCGCAAAAAACAUACACAUACUACAGACAAACUGUUCCUACAGGUUCAGACAUCGGCAGGGGGAGCAGCAGCACCCUCGGCGUCAUUUCCACCUUCGGCGGAAUCUGGCCCGGCCUCGGACGGCGACACGGGCGGAAGGAUCUCCACCUUGAAGGAGGACGCCAGCACCGCGCUUGGGCCAUCGCAGCCAGGAUCUCCGCCAAGGCCCCGGCCCGAGCAGACACCUCGGUUGGCCGCUCCGUAGCCUCAGCCAGCUGUCCCCCGAGGACCACAGCCCGGCUCACAGCCUCGGCAGCAUGACUCCGAGGUUGGUCCCGCUCGCGGAUGACCUGGCCAAGCUCCAGCUGCCGCUGCUGCACCUCCUCGGCCUGGGAAGCCACCUGCUCCUAGGCCGACGAAGCCUCUUUUCGAGCCGACUCCGCCUCUGUCCACACCGACACCGCUGCCUCUGGCUCCAGCUCAUCGCAGAUCGGCCGAAGGUUCUAAAACUGCGCAAGAGAGGCCUUGAGUGGCAAGGCCGACCGAGCCGAGGGACUCCUACGCCUCCGGGAUACGGAUACCUCACUCGUCACCUUCCGCACAGGGCAACUCACACUCGGUUAAGCGGUUCAGCUAGCCGACAGGCGAGUCCUAGUGCUCAAAAUGAGGAAGAAACACGGCUUCACGCCUAAAUACCCAGAUGUUCAGGCCUCGACAGCCACAAUGAACAAACACCCACACUCAGGGUGCCAUUACAAAUGGAACUCCGGUUCCACUCCCGCGGGUAUGAACAACCUCCACACCAGAGGGCCUGCGGGACAACAAACUCCAGGUGGCUCGCCGGUGACCACUGCACCAGCAGCGACAACGACCUCCGCUUCGGGUGGCUAAACAGCAGCAGCGAUGACCUCAGGGCAGACGCUGCUGUGACAAGGCCCUCGCCCACGUCCCCACACGAGGGGCCAGGACAAGCCAUCGAAGCCAAAGAGCCGGGGUCCGACCGCAGGUGGCGCCGAUGGUCUCGUCGGCGGAGAAACCUUCUCUGGCUGCUACCACCUCAGCACCAACGACAGCGGCCACCUGCCCGCCAACACCGCACCAGCGAGCGGCGGCCGCCCAAAGCGCACCGGCAAGUCCUCACUUCUGUUCUUGCCACGAGAACGAGAACGGGACCGUCCCAGAACACGAGUACCGCCCUCGCGAUGUACGACGUGUUGUGCAGCCGAUGGCGCAGGGAGGACCUAGACGUGGCCGGCCCGCACACGGCACAACCGCCGCCUAGGGUGGAGGACGGACAGUUGCACCCUAUCCGAGCAGCAGCAGUUCGCCUUCCCCCGCAUGGCUGGAGGACACCUCCUCCGCACAGCUGGAGGAUGCCCCUCUCCCCCGAGCGCCGGAGGAAGAAGCGGGUCGCCGGCCCACGCGGAGGUAGGCCCCAACUCGCCCCGCCCUCUUUCCCAGCACGGAUGAUGAAGAUCCUUGAAGCUGAGGGCGGGGCAGAGGUCGCAGCCCGGCUUGCUUCUCCCCACCACCGAACUGGUGGUCAUCAUCCUGGAUGACCAUUGGUGAGGGAAUGCAGCCGGGCUGCAUGAUGAAAAUCCUUGAAGUCGAGCGAUGGCUGAAGGGUGCCAACCCCCGCGAGAUCGUGCUCCUCCAACAGCAGCAAGACAAAGACAGCGCGGGUGCUCCCCAUCCGGGGGCUCGGAAGGUGGAAGGGCGUGAUGCAUAAGGGGAGUGCGAAGGCAUGGCUACCGCCCGGGGGAUCGAUCCCUUUUUAAAGGCGGCUCUCCCCACUCGCAUCCUCAAGCGUCACGGGCGAAGUCUUCACCGACGUGCUCCAGGGUCCUCCCCCUACGACACGGGGGCUGGGUCCCACACGUCAUGCAAGCUAACCCGAAACGGAAGAAGCCAAACCGCCGCACGCGGAGCAUGUAACCGCCCCGCGGUUACAAGCACUCCUCCAUCCUCGCCAAAACCAGCGGUCGAAAGGGCGGACCGCCAUGCAGGUGGCGUGCAACCGCACCGUGGGGGCGCACCCCUUCGACUUCGUCGCAUCCAGCAUGGAGGCCCAGGCCCACAUGUCAUGUAACCGGCACGCCGGUUACUACGUGCAAGAAACUGCACCGCCACUUGCGCCAAUGUCGCGCCUUCUCGACUGCGGAACUGGUGCUGCGACUUGAGGCAACCCUGUGUGUGGCCCAACAGUGCCAAUCGAGCACAACGAUCAUGGGUCAGUCAGCCGCGGGAGGAGGCGUGGCGAUUGAUAUGGCCAAAAGUGGACUGGCGGUAAUGGCAGCAGCAGACGAGCGGAAGCAGCGGUCAAAUCGUCGGCAGGCUCGCGUCCCCUCCUGGAGCGGCAGGGGAGCCCUCUCCCACGGCGUAAAGACGACGUGCCCGUGUUCCGUUCCUCGAAUGGCACGCGCACGCGGCCGCCCCGCGAGCCGCCCGUCCCGUCGCAUUAACUCCUUGGAGGGGCAAGCGACACCUUUGGCAGGUGAAGCAGGCGUCGUUUCACCUCCGCCAUGAUGACCGCGUCAAAAAAGGUGCGCCACACUAUUUAAAUUCAUAUUCUUUUCCUCUUACCCUUUCUCUCUCUUGCUACAGGGACCGAGAAAGGGGAUAUUUUGAAAGGGAUCCUUCUCCGCGAAGGAAGCGGGCCCCGAGCCCUCCUACUGAUCAGGGGUUCGAAGGCUGGCCCCUCGGAAGGGUUCGACAGCCGCCCCAGAGCACUCGGGCUUCAAGCUCAUUACUGAUCAGGGGUUCAAAGGCUGGCCCCUCGGAAGGGUUCGACAGCCGCCCUAGAGCACUCGGGCUCCGCGCCCACUACUGAUCAGGGGUUCGAAGGCUGGCCCCUCGGAAGGGUUCGACAGCCGCCCCAGAGCACGCAGAGCAAGGGAUGACUCUGGGUACGUCCGUUACAUGGCCGAGGCUCGAGCUACGCUCCCGAGGUACCCUAGGACAUUUCCAAGACCUGCAGGAGCAAUUUUGUAACGGAAUCCCACCAGAGGGAGGCAUCGAGCCCUUGGACCCUAUCGAACGGGUCUGGGUCCGGCAAAUCACCUGCAGGUACUUUUGGAGCGCGCCUCUGGGCCACUAGCCGACCCUUAUCGAAUGGGGCACGGGCGUCCACUCGGAUCACCCAUUAGCAACUCACUAGAGACACCAUGUUCGGCGCCCUCCGAGGGCAACAUGGCGCUUUCCCCCCCCUUCCUCCUUGCGGAAAGGCGACAAAGGGGCGUAUAAUAAAAGUCGAGACAGUCCUUGAUCAUCCUCUUGCUCCGUGCAGAGGCUCGGGGGCUGCUCUCGCAAACUCGGCUAUGGCCAAACCGUUGACAACGUCAACAAACCAGCCUAAAAACUCGGAACCUGACCAUGCACCCGGGCUACGGCCAGGCCGCAUGAGGGAACAACCAGGUCGGCCGAGGCGUCACGAAAGUCAUUAAGACCUCAGAGGAAUCAAACCACUCCUCCGAGGCCUCGGGGGCUACACCCGGCGGGUGCGCUCGCGCGCACCCACCGGAACAAAGUGUAACCGAGAAAGGCCGGUCCCCUCGCAAAAAAGUGCGGCAAAGCCUCCAAGCGAGUACCAACACUCCCUUUGAGGCUCGGGGGCUACUGUCGGGUACCGUAAUUAGGGGUACCCCCAACACUCCUAAACACGGCUGGUAACCACCAUCAGCACAAAACCGCAAAGACUGAUGGGCGCGGUUCAGGUCAAGGCCUCUUCUACCAAGGGACGCGAUCUCGCCUCGCCCGAGCCCAGCCUUGGGCGAGAACAGUAGUCCCGGACGAAUUCACGCCUCGCCCGAGGGCCUCAAGCGACGGGCGCACCCUCGACUCGCCCGAAGCCCAGCUCGGGCAGGCUUCGUUGUGAAGCAACCUUGGUCAAAUCACCUCACCAACCGACCGUAUCGCAAGAGCAUUCAAUGCGAGGAUCGCCUGACACCUUAUCCUGACACAUGUGCCUCAGUCGGCAAGGUCGAAGUGACCACAGUCACUUUGCCCUUUCACUGACCGACCUGACAGGAAAACAGCGCCGCUCACCCCGCUCCGACUGCUGUGCCACCCACUAGGGCGAUGCUGACAACCACCAAGUUCAGCCUCGGGCGCAACAGGAAACUCCGCCUCGCCGGACCUUAGGCCUCAGCCUCGGAAGGAGGUCUCCGCCUCGCCCGACCCCAGGGCUCGGCCUCAACCUCGGCCUCGGAAGGAAUCUCGUCCUCGCCCAACCCUGGCCUCGGCCUCAGGAGGAGUCUCCGCCUCGCCCGACCUUGGGCUCGGACCGACCGCGCCACGGGGGAUACAUCAUUACCCUACCCCUAGCUAGCUCAGGCUACGGGGGAAAAAGACCGGCGUCCCAUCUGGCUCGCCCCGCUAACAAGUAAUGAUGGCUCCCCACGUGCGUCUAUGACGACAGUGGUUCUUAACCCCCUACGGAAGCUAGGAGACGUCAGCAAGAUCCCAGCAGCACCGACAGUUGUGCUUCUACAGGGCUCAGGCACUCCUCCGACGGCCACGAUACCGCGUACACAGGGCUCUAGCACCUCUCCGACAGCCACAUUGGCAUGUACACAGGGCUCAGGCACUCCACUGCUGGACACGUUAGCGCAUUGCUACACCCCCAUUGUACACCUGGACCCUCUCCUUGCAUCUAUAAAAGGGAGGUCCAGGGCCUUCAUGCGGGAGGUCGGAGGGUCGCACGGGGGAACGAGCGGACGAACAGGCUCACUCUCUCCCUCUCGCGAAUGCUUGUAACCCCUACUACGAGCACACCCCCCUGGUGCGAGAUAACACGAGCCGCGUUUCCUCCUUGUGUUCCAUCUUGCGCCAACCCAUCUAGGCUGGGACACGCAGCGACAAAUUUACUCAUCGGUCUAGGGACCCCCCGGGGUCGAAACGCCGACAACAUAUGUGUCAUGUUUUUUAUACGUUUCUUUCUCUAGUUAAUUGUGAUGUAGUAUUGUGUUGCGUAAAUAUCCAAAAUGUUUGUCGUCUUUUUAGAGGUGUUAAUGUUGUGCGCUCGACGAUAUGUAGUUAGCUAACGCUAGUGUGUGUGGUUGCGCUACUUAGUGUUUAAUUCGCUAGCGUGUACUUAAAGUAUCUUGUGCUAUUUCAUUGUAUUCAUACAUAUGCAUCUUGCAUCUCAUUUAGGACCGAGAGAGGAUGAUCGUGCAAGUGAUGUGGUGCCAAGCACAAGAUGCAAUUGGUGGACGACCCAAGGAAGCAUGGACUUAACCAGUGGAUGCUCGCCAAGCGAGCACCUCCCCCAGCAAACACUAUCUAAGUGUUAAAUUAAAGGCGAGCCCCGGUUUUAUGCAUAACCGUUAUAUAUGCUAUUUUACUACACUUAAUGUUUGUAGGCUUGUACUGUGCAUUUAAGUGUAGGAGUUUCCUGAAACCCUAGUUGCAUGAACUCAGGAUUCCUUUUGAGAUGGAUACUAGUAUGCUAGGUCGAGUAGCUGCUUUACUAAUUAGGGAUCUCGGUAGAAGUCGAGUGAUUUUUCUAGCACUCGCGCGAGGUCAGGAAUUUGUUGUAUCCAUUUUUAUAUCAUAAUGAUGAUGGUCUGUGGACAACGGUCCAUGGGGAUGCGUUGUCUACGAGACGGAAAUUGGAAUAAGGAUUAAGGUGUGGUACCGUGUGUCAAGCGUUUGAAUGUACUAAGCACAUGCCGAGAAAUAUGGUAAAUCGGUAAUCCUAGUACCUGAGUGAACCUGGCAGUAGAUUGCCCUCCUCACGCAACCUGAGAUGUGGUCUCCCAUUCCGGUUAUGGUGGGUACAAGUGCGGUCACUGCACGACGGCAGUCGGGGUCAGUGAGGCAUUGUACGCCAAGGCGGUGAGCCCCUCUCUGCUAACGGGGAAUCGAUGGGGACGGUUGAUGUGUGUGGGGACGGAGUGCCUCGCCACAUCGUGUGUUUAGGUUUACCUUGCAAGGUUUGAAAACUCGAUUCGAAUCAUCUGCUUCUCACAGCUAAUGAGACUGCUUGAUCCAUGCUGCUACAUUGAGUAAUAAGUGGAAAUGAGGUGACUGGCAAAAGAUGUUGAUUGAUAAAAUGUUUGAUACCAUGUAUGCAUAUCUAGGUACACAUCUAGUUUAAAAAGGAUCAUACUAAAACUAGAAAAGCUAAAACUUGAUUUUAGACUCAGCUAGUGCUUUUGGCAAACCAAACCCCUCAGCCAAACAGCUGCAUGUCUAGGGGUAGAGGAGUAGACUCCUCACACCAGGUAAGUCUAGUUGAGUAUUAGUAUACUCAGCCUUGCUUGUGGCAUAAUUUUUGCAGGUACCUCCUUGUUGUGGUUGAUGGUGUGACUUGGCCUCCAUCCCUGCCACCGGGAUAGACGGUCAAGUGGGUUACUGCUUCCACAGGAGAGGACCAGGAGGAGUAGCGUGGCUAGGCUUCGCUAUGUUACUCAGUUUUCUCCGUUAGUUAUUUCCGCUGCAUUAAAAUUUAUGAUUAUUAUUUCUGAAACUCCGAUAAUGUAAUCACUAUUGAUACUUAAUAAAUUUGUGGUAUUAUGUUUUAUUGUAUUUCUCUGUGCCUCACCUUCGUGUGAGCUAGUGGUAUUCGAUCCUGGUAAGUGGCUUUAUCAGACUAGAUCCGAGGGACUGACGGGUUAUUCUUAUUUAAGUGUGUUGCUGCCCUUAAGGGUGCGACUUGGGCAAUUAAGCUGGAAUAAUUCGGGCGGUUCUGCCACACUCAGGCGAAUGUACCUAGCCUCCUAUAAUUCCGUUAACUCCUUCUUAAGUUCCUUUAGUUCUUCUACGAACAUCAUGUAUGGCCGUUUAGAAAUAGAAGCAGUCCCAGGUAAGAGAUCAAUGACAAACUCAACUUCCCUAUCUGGUGGCAUCCCUGGUAACUCCUGUGGAAAGACACCCAGAAAAUCCCUAACCACCCGGAUGUUGUCACCAACAAACUCCCCAUCUAUAAAGAAUGUCGCACGUUGGGUAGAAGUAGUUACUGCAAUUUCAACUUGAAACCUUUCUCCUUUAGGGCUGGUGAGUUCUAUAGUACCCUUACCACAUUGUAUAAUGGUCUUUGCCUUUCUUAGCCAUGACAUACCAAGGAUCAGAUCUAUACUGCUUGCCUCUAAUAUUAUAGUGGUAGCCAAGAAUUCUCUUCCCAUUAAUGUUAAUGUCAAUCUAUGUGUCAUAUAACUUGCUUCAACAGGCCCUUUAGGUGUAAUUACUAUCAUUGGUGUUUUCAUAUUUUUCAGUGGUAACUCAUUUGUGUUGGCAUGUCAAGCAGACAUGAAUAAAUGUGUAGCACCAGAAUCAAAUAAUAUUUUUGCAGGAAUUGCAUUAAUGUAAAACAUACCAAGUGCGAUGUCAGCUCCUUCCGCAGUAGCAUCAGCGCUGACCUGAAUAACCCUGGCAAUAGAGAAUCCCUUACCAGAUCUUGGAGUCUGCUGUUUGUUCUGAACUGGGGUAGUAGCAAUCCUCUGUGGGCAAACAUUUGCAUAAUGUCCAGUCUUCCCACACUUGUAGCAAGUUGUGCCUGCACUCUGUCCUGAAAAUUUUGUCGGGCUGCCAGUGGGGGUAGCCUGACGAGUCGGUGGAGUCCCCAGAGGUGAGUGCUGACCUGGGCGCUGGCCUCCUCCAGUGCGAACUGGUGUACCCUGGGGUGAACUGUAGCGAGGACAAACACUGCUGCUUCCCUGACCCUAGGAUAUCGCCUUCCUCUUCAAAUCUCCCAGCUGAACACGCUUGUGUUCAAUAGCUAGGGCCUUGUCAAGCAGCCUCUGGAAUGAUGGAAAUGUAUGUGCCACUAGAGCAUACUGCAGAGGUCCAUUGAGUCCUUCAAUAAAGUGCUCAUGCUUCCUCUCAUCUUCAGCAACUUCAUCUGGUGCGUAUCUAGAGAGCUAAAUGAACUUGUCGCAGUACUCGCUGACUGAUAUGCUUCCCUGCUUCAGCGAUAGAAAUUCCUUCUUCUUAAUCUUCAUCAGUCCAGCAGGAAUAUGGUAGUUUCUAAACUAAGUAGCAAACUCCGUCCAUGUGAUAGUAUCAGCAGCAUCGUGGGCAGCGAUGUAUGAAUCCCACCAAUUAGCAGCAGGACCUGUCAGACGACUAGAAGCAUAUAGAACCUUCUCCCGGUCAGAGCAUUAGGCAAUAAUCAACAUCUUCUCCAUAGACUUCAGCCAAUCAUCAGCGUCCAGUGGAUCAGAAGAAAUAGCGAACGUCGGUGGCUUAUGGCUCAUGAACUCCCAGUGCUUGUCCCGGGGUGGAACUGGUGGUGGGGGUGGAGGCAGUGGUGCUUGCUGCUGUUGCUGUUGCUGUUGCGCCCUUCUCUCUUGGCGUAUCUCCUCUCGCUCUUAGCGCAUCUCCUAGCGUAUAUCCUCUCGCUCUUGGCGCAUCUCCUGGCGUUCCUGCCGCAUCUACACAUGCAUAUCCGCCAUGGUGUCUGCCAUCUAUUGCAUUAUCCACAUCUAGGCUGCAACUGCGGGGUCAGCUCCGGCUGGUGGAGGCUGUGGAGGAUCCAUCUCAGGUUGUUGUUGUGGUUGUCUAAAUAUCAUCCAAGUGUGUUGAUUGGGAGGUAGAUCAAUUCCACCACCCUUCCUGGUAUUGACCAUCUGAGUUAGAAACAUAUGGUAAGAGAGAAAGGAUUGUAGACAAGGCAGGUAAUUAUGAGGCAUGUUACUUUCGGGGAUUUAUUAGCAAAGUAGAUUUAUGUUUUACUUACCAAAACUAAUUCAUUACCUUAUGGUGGUACAUGCUAAGAUGUCCAUUUAUAAUAUCUCAAUCAAUCAAAGAAGCAAAUCAGACAUUUAUCAUCAGAACAAUCAACCAACAUUUUUAAAUAGAAAAAAUAGUUGUAAUUUCGUCUUAGGUUCCCUAUAUCUUAAGAAUGUCAUAAAUGUAGGAUUCCAAGGUGUGAAAUCCAUCUUGUCUUAGAGUGGAAAAGAUAAGAGUAAUCAGAGUAUGACAUCAAAAGGUGAGACAGGAUCAAGAUAAGAUAAGUAUAGAAUGAAUCAGAGUAAGGUAAGUAGGUAAGGGUCUUGUCCAUGUCUAUCUAGGUUUCGUCCUACAGUCAACAUUUCCUCUUAUACCACUUCUGUCACACCCGGAUUUAAGUGACAAAGUCGAGUGCAUCUCAUACAUGCGCCAAAGAAGACAACAUAUAUAAUAACAGAGUGUAUAGAGAUAAAUGUCACAAAAACAUUAGAGUACUUAUUACAUAGCGGAAGUCUUACAAAAUAAAUGAUAAAUAUAAAAUGAACUAAGGAUCAUCCUUGGCGCCAUAAAGUCAACUGGGAGACGCCACCUAGAUCAGAUCAAACUCCUCGUUGUGUGGCUCCUCCUGAACCACCUGUUCUUCUCCUGUGGGGGGUGUGAGACAGCAAAGGUGAGCUCACACAUGAUCAUAGCUCAACAAGUUGUGGGUAAACUAGGGUACAUGAACUCACCAAAGGUGGGAGUUCAUGUGAUGUGUAAGGCUAAUCAACAAUAGGGGUUAAAGCUGAGCAUUGCUUUUAAUAAGUUGGUCAAAAUUUUAUUAGAAGUUACUAAAUGUAAGUGAAUACCAAACCAUAAUAAAAAUAAUAGAACAAAAUUAAUAAAUAAUCCCAUGCAAUGCAAAUGACAAAUUGAAUUUAAGUUUCAUAAAUUAAUCAUGUGAGAGUCCUGAGCUGCUCAUGACCACGAGCACGACUAGUAUACCAGUUUUACACUCUGCAGAGGUUGUACCCUGUACCCACAAGUCAUGUUACCCAUCUGCCAAGGGAUCGCGACUCCCAUACACCUCUACCAAGGAAGCAGGCAGGCAGGGCAACACUACGAGGCCUUUACAAAGUUCCACUAGCUUCCGAAAACCCGCUACAGUUUAUGGGAAGAGCACUUGCAAGAAUCGCCCGUCUGACCGCCAUCGCAGCAAAAUCAACCCGAGAACCUUCUUGCAUGCAAUUCCCCUACUGCCCUUGCCCCUUUUGGGUAAAGUAGUCUUCCACUAGCUUUCCUAAUUAUUUAGCCAAGGGGUCACAUUCCUCCCUUGUGGUGGCACGUGUUUCUCAAGUUAAGCUCCAUAUUCUAAUUAACAUUAAUGAUCUUGAUGUAACACCUCAGGUAUUACCAUGGCUAGGGCACAUUUAUGCUUUAAUGACUGUGAUCACAUGAGGAAGAAACUUAAGGGGAAGAGUAUAAGAACCUUGGAGACUAGGUUUAACCAAGAAAUGUGAAAGACCAAAAACAUUACCCAAGUUGUGUACACUUAUCACCUUGUUCAAGAAGGGAGUAAACCCUAGACCUCUCUUGAACCCUAUCACCUAAACACCUUGGUUAAAGGGAAGAGAUUAAGCAAAGGUGCAAGUCAUGACCAAACCUUUGGCACAAAGUUAAGUAACUUAUUAACCUACAAUUAUAGAGAGGAAACAUUGCUAAAAGACCCCUUAAGAAACCCCAAAUCCAUUCCCUAAGUAGAGAAAGAGCUAGAGCUCUCUAAUUCUCUCUAAGUCAAAAACUACACCUAAUCUAAAGAUCCACCGUGUUCACCUUGAAGAUGGCACCAAAACCCCUUAAGUUCUAUACCAAAAAUGUGGCAUACCACCUAGGGCACCCCCUGGAAAAAGUUGAGACCGAGACCUUGACGUUUGACAUGGCUUGGCAUCACUUUUGUCGCGCAGCGGGCAGGGGGACAAGCCAGUUUUGGCGUCCGCAUAUCUUCUGACCUAGGGCUUAUCUUCCCUUGGAACUCACAUAUGAGAGAUAGCCAUAGGUGCCAGGAAGAGGUCUGCACCGGAUUUUUUGCCAAGAUUCGCACGUUUGUGAUCUCAGUAGGCAUUUGAACACGGGCAGAUGAACACUUCCACGUGUUCGACGCGUUCUGCACGCGCCAGAGCAUGCCCGCGCCCGACCUCGCGUGCCCUGCGUCGCGCCAAAGGCCAGCCGACGCCAUGGCCCGCGCCCGCGCCUAUAUAACGCCCAGUGACCUUAACCGUACCCUUUUGCGCAUGCUCAACCUCACCGGAGCUCAAACUCACCGGCGUUUGCCCGUGCACGGCGUGUCCGCGGCCACCCGAGCCCCUGCCACCGUAGACCGGCCAACCAAGCCCUUCCCAACCCCGUCCGACCCUCGGAGAGGACUGAGCACACCUCGGUGAAGCUCCCCGAGCGAGGAAUCGAAGUUUGCUUCACCGGAGAGGCCAGUCCACGGUCGCCGGACUCCCUCCGACCGCCGGCGAGCGUAGACCGGGUAAGCCACUGCGCCAUUUUUCGAUUCAAUGCACAGAUAGCCUCUACAUCACCCCGUGAAGCUCACCGGGCCAUUGGAUUGAACUAGAUCGCCGUGGUUUGGCCGGCACACCCACCGCCGACGAGGACACCCGCCUGCGCGCGUGGACCGAGCGAUUCCGGCCAUCCCCGCCGUCGAGCCGUACAUCGUUGUGACCGCCAGAGCCUCCCCGAGCCAACCCCGCCCCUCGCCGGACCUCUCUCGCCGCCGGUAAGCCGCGCCGCCCUUUUCUUUCCCGCGGGUACUGUUUACAUUAGGGGAAGGACCUCGGGGAAGAAGAAGGAAAGGUCAGGGGGAUUUUUGAACUGUCAGUGACUCAGGGGAAUAGUGGCGCAGGGGUAGAUUUGAGUGGGUUGAUUUGGAUUAAACCCAGGGUCCUCGGCGCAAAGUAGUUUUCCAGGAAACCUUUAUUAAAUCUGAUUUAAAUUUCGAACAGAACUUGAAUAAUUCAUAACUUCUGUUUUAUUCAUCCAAAUUUAGUCAAACCAAUUUUUUCAGACUUUAAAUAAUGUAAACUGCUUAGGAAAAAUAUAAAACCCUUAUGUACUACAGAAAACUUUAGGGUUCUGAUUUAAUUAUUGUUUUGACCAAAAGCUAAAUAAUAGGAAUAAAAAUAGUUGCACUAUUUGACUAAGGUUAGGAAAAUUUGGAGAAGUUUAUGUCCACCUACUGACCUGUUUAAAAAUGCUAAACCUCUCUGUCCACCCCAUUAAGUUAGUUUUUGCCAUUUAUUUUACAAUAUGCUUAAGAUUAAGAAAAAUAGAAAAGGUGAUUAAAAUGAUGAACCAGAGGGCACUCCUAUUUUUGUUAGAGUACUUAUUCAAUGUAGUUCGCUAGAAAAAUCUAUUAUACCCUGGUUUAGUAUAAAAUAAGUAGGAUACCUUUUAUUUUAAGAAAACAAGGAAAACUUAGAAAAACCCUACAAAAAUAACCCCAAGGUGAAAACACCCCAACCCUUGGGAUAGUUAAUGUUUUGUUACUAAGAACUUAGGAAAAAUAUGAAAUCUGCUGUUUGACAUUUUUCAAGUAACAAUGUAGUAGAAAGUGCCUUUUUGGCAAUAAACUUUGGAAAAUCACAACUAAAUAAUCAUCCUUUAGCUUUCUGUAAUUUUUGGCAUAGAAGCUUAUUAUUACUGUUAGAUGCCAACAAAAAUAACCUUUAGGACAGAACCCAUCCCUAAUUAAGAGUUGUAGUGCAAAGUGGCCCAUUUACACAACUUUUGUUAUUUUUGUCUAGAGCAUAGCCUUUUUAAAUGGAACCUCAAAGUCCUAGAACAGGCUAUAUUGACUAUAGGCAAGCCACUGUAAUUUUUACAAAAUUUUUGGAAAAAAGUUAAACCAAUGUUGUAGUUCAAACCUCCACUAGAAGUCAUAAAUAGAAAAUAAAGAAAGGAAAAUGAAUAAUGGAAAAUGGUGUCAUCCCAAAACCCUUUGUAAAUUGUCCACUGAAAUAUAAAGGAAAUACCAAUCCACUAUGCCUAUCUCUAGCAAAACCUAAACCAAGAGUUAUAAGCAUAAACCACUAAAAGCCACAUAUGACCAAGAAAACCCUAAGUUACUCAUUAACUUAGUUUUUCUUCCUUUAGCAUAAUGUUAUUAAAUCCUGCAUAAUCAUGACAUACAUAUUCCUUGCAUUUCGAUAGACUGUAACCUCGCUGACGGAGAGUACGUCCUCGUGCCGGAGCAAGGAGCUGCUCAGGAGGUAGCCCCGGAUCCAGCACCAGAGCCUGCACCAGAGGAUCUGCCUGCUACAGCCUUGGAAGGCAAGCCCCGGUUUAUGCAUAACCUGUUAUUUAUGCUAUUUUAAUAUACUUAAUGAUUGUAGGAUUGAUUGUGCACUUAAGUGUAGGAGUUGUUUGAAACCCUAGUUCCAUGAUCUAGGAAUCCCAUUGAGAUGAAUACUAGUAUGCUAAGUCGAGUAGCUGCUUUAUUCAUUAGGAUCUCGGUAGAAGUCGAGUGAUUUUUCUAGCACUCGCGCGAGGUCAGGAAAUUGGUUGUAUCCACUUUCUUCUCAUAAUGAUGCUGGGUUGUGGGCAACAAUCCAUGGGGGUUGGUUGUCCACGGGAUGAAAAUUGGAAUAAGGAUUAAGGUGUGGUACCGUGUGUCAAGCGUUUGAACGUACUAAACAUAUACCGAGAAAUAUGGUAAAUCGGUAAGCCUAGUACCUGAGUGAACCUGCCCGCAGAUUGCCCUCCUCACGCGACCUGAGACGUGGUCUCCCAUUCCGGUUAUGGUGGGUACAAGUGCGGUCACUGCACGACGGCAGUCGGGGUCAGUGAGGCAUUGUACGCCAAGGCGGUGAGCCCCUUUCUGUUGCCAGGGAAUCGAAGGGGACGGUUGAUGUGUGUGGGGACGGAGUGCCCCUACACGUCGUGUGUUUAGGUUUACCUUGCAAGGAUAAAAACUCGAUUUGAAUCGUCUGCUUCUCGCAGCUACAAGAUAAAAACUCGUCGUGUGUUUAGGUUUACCUUGCAAGAAUAAACAAGGUGGUUUCGUCCACAACAAAGCAAACGAUAGCAGAUGAAGGUAAGGUUGCAAAGGUAAUAGUAUUUUACAAGCCAACCCUUCAUUGUUUCCAUUACAUUAAUUUAUCUACCUAAAUACAUUUUUUGUACAAAAGUUACAAGAUUUUUUCUAAGACUACACCAAAAAUUCUCAGCUUCAGUUCUUCACUCUUCGCCGACAUCAGGCUGAAAAUUUUAUUAUAUAAAGUGUUUUAGCAGUUUGAAAUAGAGAAAAGCAGAAGUUGAAAGGUAAGGACGUUAUUUCAGACUUCAUCAAGAAGAGCUCGAACUUCGUUUCCGGCCAGUUCUCGACCGCCCUUCGCCCAUAUCUGGGUAAUAUUACCCACGCUUCGAGGUUCGCUUGGAAUAUUCUCAAGGUCAGCUGGGGAGAUAGUGAAGGUGGGCUUGUUAACAUCUCUCAAAUGCUUACACCCAGCUUUUGCAAAUAUAUUAGUUGUUCCUCGAGCGGCCACUAGGGCACAAAAAUCUCCGUGCCCCUCCAUCACUUUGUCAAACUCAUUGAUUUCUUUUUUCCACAAACUCAAGCGCCUUCAAAAUAUCAUCGGCAGAAUAUUUCUCUUCUCCUCACAUUGCCCCGAUUGAACUAAAAAUCUCGCGCGGGCGAAGGGAGCAUCGAGUUGUGAAGCUAGAGUAGGUGCCCCGAUGCAUUUUGAGGGCUUCAAAUAAUUUAGAAUGUUUCUCUGCUUCGGCUUUGACUUUAUCCUUUAAACCUUUAACCUCAUGCUCAUAACGGAUUUCAGCUUCCUUUAAAUUUGAAUGUGCUUCUUCAAGCUAUUUGUUUUGAUCAGAAAUUCGAGUAGCAUGCUCCUUAAUCCGAAGGUGAGCUUUAGUCAGGUUUGCUUCGGCAGUCUUAAUCUUUGAAUCUUUUUCUUCCAGAAGAUUUUCAAGUUCUUUCACUCUUUCUUCCAAGUUAUUGAUAACAAGCUCAUUUUCCUGUCUUUGUUUUCUUGUUGCAACUUUAAAGCUUUUCUCAAUAGUAGGCUCUGUUAAAAAGAUGAAGUCACGUUAGCCCGAAACUCUCGAAAUUUAAAAAUUAAUAAGUUAAAGAGGUAAACAUUAAAGUUAUACCUUAAAAUUUGAAUAGAACAAGCUCCCAGUAACAUGGUGUCUCCUAUAAUUGUUGAGAUCUCGUUCGAGCUUUGGGAAUUCGAUGCUCCUUGAUAAAGUAUUAACAAUUUUUGCUCCGGCACGGUCAGUGAUGCACCCUAGAAUCUCCUCGUCGAAACCACCAAGGAGCACGGAUCCAGGCUUGUAGCCGCCAGCAAUAGCGAAUUUUUUUUAACUCAGAGAUAUCUUCUUUGGAGAGUUCCUGGCCCCCAAGUGUCGUAGGUUCAACUCUCUAUCCUCCAAAGAAACUCCUUCCAAUUCUUUCAUUUUUAAGGGCUAGGGCGAAGCCCUAUUAGUGGUCACUUCAGCCAUUUCUCUUUCGGGAACCACAUCAGCUAUAAUCCUGUCAAUCUCUGACAUUGUGGUUCCAAGAGGGCCUCCUCUAUUUUCAGCUUCAGGGGCCGCUUCAUCAGCUUCGACAUCAGCAUUAGCUUCGGCAUUAGCAGGGGCAACACUUUUUUCUGCCGAGACUGGGGGCGGGGUCUUAUGGAUAGCUUUCAUCACAUCCAUCAUGCAUCAUUUCUUCUGACCCACUCAUUUCCCCCAGUUGCCGAAGCAAUCUUCUCCCAUUCCGCGCCUUUUUCAACCCCUUCUCCUUUGACUGCAAUAAGCUAGUCAGAUCCGACCCUAGGGGACUUAGCAUAGCAAACGGGAAGGGUUCAGUCAUUACCUUCAAUAUUUCUGUAACGUCGGUAGAGGAGGAUGAAGAGGUGCCAGUAGUCUUCUCUGGUACAUCUUGUACCUUCGCCUCGGUAGGGGCCAAGAUUGAGGAGUUUCGUUUUUUGGGAGCCAAAACCUUCAACUUCACUGAAUUUUUUUUGUUUUUAGAAGCCCUCUGAUCUUUUUCAAUGGAACGCAUGGCUUGUAUUUUCAAAAUGCUUACAACCCUCUUUUUCUUUGCUCCACCAGCUCCUUUGUCAAGCCUUUCGUAGUCUGGGUGCUCGAAGUUAAGGGCGUCCAUCACUCCGUUCAGCCUUCGUUUUUUGAGUGUCGAAGGCAGCUAUCAUCAAUUGAUCCUCCUUCUUCGUAUAAUUCCCAAGGAUCUCAUUGCACAUUGUCUCUAUCAUUUCCAACCAUUCGGCAUAAGGGCCACAGAAAGAAUCCUAAAACUUAAACCGAUAUGGCAACCGAACGAGCUCAAAUUUUUCCCUUCUUUCUUCUUCGGCACCCCCCACCCAACAGAUAUUGGAAAGGUUUUGUUAGCCAGGUAUUCUUGCACCAAAUCUCAAGUACUAAUGUGCUUUGACAUGACUCUGAAUUCCAAUUCGGCUAACUGACAGGGGGAGCCAAGUUGCAUGUUGCACAAUGGUCGUGUCAUGUCGAAGCUCAAUCUCAUGGGACUCAUCACCAGUCAUAAGCUUCUCCAUUUUCUUUUCAUCAGCUUUCACAUAAAACCAUUCACUUGUCCAGCCAGUCGGCCACUUGGUACGAUAUCCAAUCACAAGAGCCUUAGUAUCCUUUUGGUAUGCAAAAUUGUAACACCCGAAGUUAGUAUGCAGUCCAUCAGCCCUAGCCUUAGUUUGGUAAUGGAGUUUGUGUACUCUGCAAAAUCCUUCGCCAUUAGCAGUUUUUCCUUGACUUCGUAAAACCCAUAUGUACACGCUGAGUCUGACUAUAACAUUUGGGGUUAGUUGAUGAAGGUAGAUUUCAAACUUCUUUAAAACUUCACCGAUCAUUUCAUAUAGAGGGAACCGAAGUCCUACUCUGAAGAAGCUCUUAAAACAACGAUUUUGUCAUUUCUUGGUUCAAGAACCACUUCUUCCCCAGUGAACCGUAUCAGUUCGUCAUUAUUUUUUCCAAAAUAUCCUAAUUUCUUCAUUAAAACCAAAUCUUCCGCCUUAACUAUGGAUUUUACAAACUUAAUGUGGCUAGGCUUGCUUGGACUCAAAAUGCUGUCAUCCUCUUCAUCAUCACUAUCAGCUUCGAAAAUAGUUGGUUCAGCUUCGGAAACAACAACAUCUUUUAUCGGAACAUACUCUUUUUUUUCUCAUACAACUAACCCAGAACGUUUCAUCAUUUCUGAAAUAGGGGUCGUCUCAGUAGCUUCAGCUUCUUCUCCUUCAUUUGUUACUCUGGUAGUAGACCUGACUCUAGCCAUUUCAGUUCUGUGAGACGAAGCUAGAUUCAACUAAUUGGACAUUUGUCCGAAGCUUGGACAGCAAGUGCACGGAAAGCAGAGAGCUUCGACUUAAGUAAAAAUUUUCAACGGCGCAAUGAUGCAGUAGCAAUAAAUGUUGUGGUAACUUCUCACCAACUCGUCUGUUUAUAUAGCCCCGCAGGUGAAGAAGGCAAACCGCCGAAACGUGCGUACUGACUGAUCGGUGGACUGGUAAGCGUCGUAGGUUUUUAUUCGUUUUUAAUAACAAGCUUAGGGAAGGUGUUUUUUGAACCUUCGACAUCCAGAAGCCUUCAUGUUUUUCGCGGAUCGAGCUCGUUAUGAAAAAACGGCAUGGCACCACGAAGGGGCUAUUGUUGGGGGUCUCCUCUGCCGAAGGUCCUCAAUACGAAGAUAUUGUCUGUAAGCAACAAGAUUGAAUACCCAAGCUACAACGAACAUGUGUAAAGAGUCGAAGGAUGACAACUUCGGCUUAAGGUGGCGACGAAGGUCAAACAUAAUGACGAGUCAAAGAGGAAAAGACUAGUUAAUCCCUAAUGUUUUGUAUUAGGAUUAUGUGCACAUGUUAAGGUCAUAAAUGUAUUUUUACUCAGGCUGCAUCUCGUUCCUAUAAAUAGGUGAACAAUAUCCCCUGUACGGUUCACGCUGGAUUGUAAUUGCUCCCGUGUCAUCACCUUCAAACAAGCCGAAGUUAUCAAUGUAAUAUAAACUUUGAUAAGGUUUAUUCAUUUAUUAUGAAAUAAUUAUGUGACAUGACAUCACAUUUUGCAUGUAUAUUCUUACAUUUAUGAAUGAUGAAUACUCGUUCUUCAUGACCUUCAUUCGUUUGAAGACUAUUAUACCUGAAAGGAUAUAAUGCUUCAAAGGACGAAGGUCCUUAAUGUUUAACAAUUGUGUUGCCUCGUUUUUGGUUCACAACAAUCAAAAACAAGUGACCAACACUCUGUUGCAUUGGGACCAGCCCGGUGAAAGGCAGGUGUUCGGCCUGGAUAUUUUGAUUGAAGCCGAAGAGAACAUCAGAAUUGUUUGGGAGAAUCUGAAGACAACAAAGUCCAGGCAGCAAAGCUAUGCUAACACAAGAAGAAGAGAGUUGAGCUUCGAAGUGGGAGAUAAUGUUUACUUGAAGGUGUCACCCAUCAGAGGAAUCAAAAGGUUCAGGGUCAAGGGCAAGCUAGCACCUCAAUACAUCGGACCGUACCAGAUUCAGGCAAGACAUGAAGAAGUGGCAUAUCAGCUCAGCCUACUAGAGAGUCUGCCAGUCGUGCAUGAUGUGUUCCACGUGUCUCAACUGAAGAAGUGUGCGAGUACCAGAAGAGAAAUUGCCAACCGAGGAUCUCGUGGUUCAAGAAGACUUAACUUAUAUUGAGAAGCCAACCUAGAUUCUGGAGACAGUAGACAGUCACUCGAAGAAGCACCAUCAGAACAUGCAAAGUCAAGUGGGGCCAUCACUCAGAGGAAGAAGCAACCAAGGAAAGAGAAGGUGAUCUGAAAGCCAAAUAUCCCGAACUCUUUGUUAGCCAACCCUGAAUCUCGAGGGUGAGAUUCUUUUUAAGGGGGUAGGUUUGUAACACCCUAAAUUCAGGGGUAUAAAAUUUCUUCUCUAAUGCCGACCAAAUUCAGGUGUUACCUCUUGUUUCUCUCUCUCUAGACUUCUUCUCUCUUCCCUUUUAUUAGAAUUAUAUCAAUUAGGUGAGGGAUUAACUAUUUAUUUAAUAUAGAAAAACAUAUGUGAGUCAUGAAAUGUUGCAUCAUGCUGAGCCUAAAUUAUUCUUUUGUUUGAUGCACAUGUUUGAAUUAUUUGAAUUGGGUUUGAAUUUGAUUUGAAUUCCAUAGAGAAAAUUAAAAAAAGAAAAGCAUUUGGAAAUUCCGGAAAAAGGGAAAACAGUUUUCGGCCCAUUAAGCCCAGCUCGGCCCAGCCAGUCGCACGCGCGCGCUCCGCCUGACAGGUGGGUCCCACCUGUCAGCGUCAGCGACAGCCGCGACCGCGCGCUUUCUUUCUCUCUCCUUACUCGGUGGGGCCGGCAUGUCGGUGCCACCGCCUUUCCCUAGUGCAUGCCCUCCUCUCUCUGCGCGUGGGUCCCACCUACCAGUCAUGCCUGCGCCCCGUCUCAUGUUGCGUUCGCGGUCACUGUCCGAUGGGCCCACCUGUCAGCAACUCACCCCUCGUCCUGGCCCGAACUGCUCCCCCACGCGGAGCACUAGCCCAUGUCGCCCCGAGCCCACCUAUCAGCCUCUCUCUCUCCCCCCAUGACGUCCACUCGCCAUGGCCGGCCUCGGAGCAUAAAACCCCCUCCCCUUCCCCGCGUGCUCCCGCCUCUGCUAACCACCCCGCGCUCUCGUCUGUGCCUUGGCCGUUGUCAUUGCCCAUUGGCCGUCGACAUACGCGCCGCCGGAGAUCCGUGCCAUCGUACUCACCGGCGUCACCCACGGUGAGCCCAAUACUCCCUCCUUUCUCCCCAUUCUUCAUCCAUUCGUUGCGGCUGUGUUGCCCGAUGACUCCGCCUUGGUGGCCGUAGCUCGUGCACCCCGGAGAAAGCCCCUCGCCGUCGGGCAUGGCCGACUGUGCACCCGGCUCGGGGUUGAAGACGAUUCCGAUAGCCGUGGCCCACCCUGCAGCCUCACUCCCUCCCCCCUCUUUCCCCUCGCGCGGUCACUGGCCUGUGGACCCCGGUCCUGCGCGUCAGUGCUGCGCGCGGCAUCAAAGCCCUUUCCCCCACUUUGUGCCGCUGACUGGCGGGACCCGUUUAUCAGUGCGCAUCUGCUUUCGCGCCCGCGUUUGCCUCGCGCCGCUGACCAGCGGGCCCUUUCUCGUCGUGGCCCCGCCUGUCAGAGGCCAAUGCUCUAGCGCUCUAUCACGAACCCCUGCCGCGCCGGCGCCGCUGGCCCGUGGACCCCGCUUGUUAGGCGUCCGCGCCCACGCGCCCGCGAGCUCGUACGCUGGAUCUAAUCAUAUCCGUUGUUCGAAGAUCGGAAGGCUGGCAGAACCCUGUACCCCUUCGCGUGGUAGUUUUGUUAAAAAGAUCCUCGGCUUUCUGAAAAUCAACCUGUUGUCCCUAGGUUUCAUGCGCAGGCCCGUCUGUUUUUCCAGAAUAGCCUCUGACCUUUUAGUUUAUCACAUAAUUAGACCUAGUUUUGUAUUUUGAAUUCCAAAAACUUGUUUAUUUCAUAUCUUUUUCAUAUGAACUCCAAAUUGAGUGAUUCAAAUUGCAAAAUGUUCAUAAGAUUAUUCACCAUCUGUUGAAAUUAUAAUCAUUCACUGUCUGUAGGUAUUAAUUUUAAGUCUAGACUAUAGGUUAGUUUAAGUGAUAGUUUAUUCAUUAAUAGGAAAAUAAAAGGAAAACCCUAAUGGUAAUUAGAUGAUUAACUUUGUGAGGUUAAUAUCAUGUAAUAUAUGAAACCAUACAUGGUAUAAUUUUAAUAAUUCAUUAAGAUAAAGGAAGUUAAGUUAUGUGAUCCAUGAGAAAAGCGGUACUUAGAGAAUCACAAACCUCUAGGUGUAAUUGUCCACCGUAGAACCUAGAUUUCACUCUUGUGUGUAUACCAUACUUUCGAGGUUGUGUUCACUUGAUUGUACAUGAUUGGUGUACUAUUUAUUUGUCAUUAUCCAAAUGUGUUGAAUGUAUGAUCGCUUUGUGUAGACAACAAGCAGUCCGUGGUUCCUGAGUGUGUUGCCGAAGACUUCCCUGAGCAGCAACCUGGUGAAGGCAAGUGUCCUCUGACCUAUUAUGUCCUACUUACUUUAUAAUUCAUUGUCUCACAUUACUUAAUUGAAACCUAAGGAUUGACUAGUUUGUAUUCACCUUCUCCUUGAUUACCUUUUGGGUUAUUAUGUUAGCUUCAUGCUAUUGCUUUACAUUAAUCAAUGAACACGAUGAGAAUAUUUAUGAUAUGAUGAUGUUAUCUUGAUUAUGAUGAUGAACUGUGAUACUUUAGGGGACUCCGGCUAUUUCCUGAGUACCUCUCCGUAAGGCCCUGUUUGUUGAGAAACCACUUAGGAUAACAAUACAACUAUGAGAGUGGAAUGAGACACCCUUAGUUGAAUAAUUAGAGGAACUAGAGGUGUAGUCGGCUUCACUGUAGGGUCGUCAAUGGGGUCCGGGCACAGUACUUGCUCUGCCGAGGCUGGUUGCCGAGGUUCUUUCGAUUUGGUUUUGUUAGUCACUCUUCCUGUGGGGAGAAGUACUGUGUUUAUCUAACUAGAGAAACCUAACAGUCAGCUAUGACCUCUUGGGAAUCUUUGUAAAUGCUACAUAGUGAAACCUUGCCUACUCACCUUGGUAGUGUUUGAGGGUUUGAUCGACCCGAUGCAAAAAGGGAUCACGACUCGUGGAUAAAGUGUGCAACCUCUGCAGAGUGUUAGAAACUGGUAUAUCAGUCGUGCUCACGGUUAAGAGCAGUCUUGUGAUCCUCUUUGAUUAGAAUAUUUUGGCUACUUUUAUGAUGAUGGUAACUGAUGAUGAAUAUAACUGUGGUUUCUGGUAUUUCCUCUUGGAGGGAGUACCUUUUGGGUAAUAACUGGGUUUAUUACUAAAACUUGGCUUACUAUUAGUAAUAAAUUCUUGACCAACUAAAAGCAACUGCUUUAACCUUAACUACACAUAUAGCUAGACCACUUUAGCCAAACGGGAUAUUUGCUAAGUACGUUGAUGUGUACUCACCCUUGCUUUAAAAACCACCCCACCCUAGUGAAAGGGAAAUAGGGUUAACCAUUUCCUAUAAUUAGUUUUGGUGGUUUAUGACCAACACAAACAUAUGGACUAACUAGUUUGUCUAGAAUUCAUGUAUUACAGGUGCAUAAGGUUCAAAUAAACCAAGAAAGAAAUCAAGUUAGGGACACAAUUUAAUUGGAGCAAAGAACUUGAGUGUGCUAAAAAAUGGCGCACCGGACUGUUCGGUGCACCAGGGUCGUACAACUUCAAACCAGUCACUCUUGGGAAUUCCAAAGCGCGCUCCACUAUAAUUCACCGGACCGUCCGGUGAACCAGCCGAGCAACGGCUCCCUGCGCGCCAACGGUCACCUGCCAUGAUGAAUAGUGCGAGUCAGAAGUUAGAGUGCAGAAGUCAGAGGGCACCGGACUGUCCAGUGCAGCAAGACGACAAAGGCUCCAACGGUCGACUAGCUCCGAACCCUAACGGUUGCGCUAACAUGGCGCGCACCGGACAGUGCACAGAAGUUGUCCGGUGGCGCACCGGACUGUCCGGUGCGCCCAUCGCCAGCAGCCUUCAACAACAGCUAUGGAAGUGGUUGGGGGCGAUAAAUACCCCCCAACCACCUCAUUCAUAACCAUCCAAACAUCCCAUUCAUUACAAGAGCAAAAGACUUGACUCCUAGACACAUUUAAUAGAUCAAAUCUUCUCCAAGCCUCCAAAUCAACUCAAUUCCAUUAGGGACUUGAGAGAGGGUGUUUUUGUGUUCUUUUGUUGCUCUUGUCGCUUGGAUUGGCCUUUUUCUUUUCCCUUCUAUUUCUCAAGUGACUUGUAAUCGAAGCAAGAGACACCUAAGUGUGUGGUGGUCCUUGCGGGGUCUAAGUGACCCGUGAGAUUAAGGAAAAGGCUCACUCGGUCUAAGUGACCGUUUGAGAGAGGGAAAGGGUUGAAAUAGACCUGGUCUUUGUGACCUCCUCAACGGGGACUAGGUUCUUUGGAACCGAACCUCAGUAAAACAAAUCACUGUGUUCACUCGCCUUGAUUCUUGUUUGGUUUGUUUUCGCUCUCUAAUGUUUCCUUGCUAGUGUGAAUUUGAGUUGGCUCCCAUACGUUAUCCGCAAUCCUUGAGCAACUCCUAGCAAGAGAGAUAUUCGUUUGAACUUGAAUUUAAUUCUAACGCUAAUCUCUGACCUUAGUGUGUGUUUAAGUUUAUAAAUUUCAAGUUUCACCUAUUCACCCCCUCUAGGCGACUUUCAAUUGGUAUCAGAGCCAGUGCUUCAUUAAGAGCCUAACCAACUCGAAGUGAUGUUUGGAGAUCGCUCCAAGAGGGAGAUCAUGACUGGCGAAAAGCCCACGAGCUCGGGGAGGACUCUUUCAAGGGAGUCCGGCAACAAACACAAGGAGGAAUCCUCUUCCUCCAUCAAGUCGCAUCGGAGAGGUGACAAGAAGAAGAAGAUGAAGAAGGUAGUCUACUACGAGACCGACUCUUCAUCACCCUCCACAUCCGGCUCGGAAUCGUCCACUACUUCUAAGUGCCAUGAGCGCAAGAAGUAUAGUAAGAUGCCCCUACGCUAUCCCCGUAUUUCAAAGUGUGCUCCAUUACUUUCCAUACCCCUAGGCAAACCACCAUAUUUUGAUGGUGAAGAUUAUUGUAUGUGGAGUGAUAAAAUGAGGCAUCAUCUAACCUCACUCCACGAAAGCAUUUGGGAUAUUGUUGAGUUUGUAGCGCAGGCACCAAAGGUGGGGGACAAGGACUACGACUCGGAUGAGGCCGCCCAAAUUAGGCACUUUAACUCCCAAGCCACAUCUAUACUCCUCGCCUCCUUGUGUUGAGAGGAGUAUAACAAGGUGCAAGGGUUAAAGAACGCCAAAGAAAUUUGGGACGUCCUCAAAACCGCGCACGAAGGGGACAAGGUGACUAAGAUCACUAAGCGUGAAAUGGUCGAGGGAGAACUCAGUCCAUUCGUCCUCAACAAAGGAGAAGAGCCGCAAGCCAUGUACAACCGGCUCAAGACCAUGGUGAACCAAGUGCGCAACCUCGGGAGCACCAAAUGGGAUGACCAUGAGAUGGUCAAGGUUAUUCUUAGAUCCCUCGUAUUUCGCAAUCCUACUCAAGUUAAAUUAAUAUGUGGGGAUCCUAGAUAUAAACUAAUGUCUCCCGAGGAAGUUAUUGCAAGUUUGUGAGCUUUGAACUUAAGAUCAAAGACUCCAAACACAUUGUCAACUUGGAGCAAGGCGCUACCUCUACACCCGAGGUGCAACCCGUCGUAUUCAAAGUGACAGAAAAAAAGAAGGAAGAGUCUACACCAUGUAGGCUUCCAAUCGACGCCUCCAAGCUCGACAACAAGGAGAUGACGCUCAUCAUCAAGAGCUUUCACCAAAUCCUCAAACAAAGGAGGGGGAAAGACUACAAGUCCCGCUCCAAGAAGUGAAAGUGACAGGGACAAAGACAAGAAAGGGAAGAAGGAGAAGAAGAGAUACUACAAGAAGGGCGACGAUGCGCACAUAUGUCAGGACUGGGACUCUGACGAGAGCUCCACCGACUCCUCCUCCGAUGAGGAUGCCGCCAACAUCGCCGUCAACAAAGGCCUCCUCUUCCCCAACAUCGGCCACAAAUAUCUCAUGGCAAAAGACGGCAAGAAGAAGAAGGUACAUUCUAGAAGUACCUCCAAAUAUACUACAUCUAGUGAUGAGGGUAGCUCUAGCAAUGAUGAAGAUGAUUUACUUGCUCUUUUUGCCAACCUUAACAUGGAACAAAAGAAAAAAUUAAAUGAACUAAUUGAAACCAUUAACGAGAAGGAUGAUCUCUUGGAAAGCCAAGAGGACUUUCUUGUUAAAGAGAAUAAAAAUUUUGUUAAAUUGAAAAAUGAUUAUGCUCAGGAAAUAGAAAAAUGUGAAAACUUAUCUGAGGAGCUUAGCAUUUGUCAUGAUUCAAUUUCAAGUCUUAGAACUGAGAAUCCCAGUUUAGUUUCUAAGAUUGAAAAAUUGAAUGUUUAUAAUGAUUCAUUUUCCUGUCUUAGAGAUGAGAAUAAUAAAUUAAAUGCUAGGAUUGAGGAAUUGAAUGCAUGCAAACCAUCUACAUCUAAUGUUGAUCAUGUUACUAUUUGUACUAAAUGUAUAGAUGUUAAUAUUGAAGCUAUGGAUGAUCACCUUUCCAUGAUUAAACAACAAAAUGAUCACAUAGCUAAAUUAACUGCUAUAAUUGCCGAGUAUGAACUAGAAAAUGAAAAAAAAAUUUGCUCGAAGUAUGCUUUAUAAUGGGAGACGCCCUGGCAUUAAGGAUGGUAUUGGGUUCCAUCAAGGGGACCAAUCCAAUGUCAAGCUUAAUGCCCCUAAGAAAUUGUCUAACUUUGUGAAGGGCAAAGCUCCUAUGGUUCAGGAUAGUGAGGGCUAUAUUUUAUAUCCUGCAAACUAUCCCGAACAUAAGAUUAGAAAGAUUCAUGCUAGAAAACCUCAUUCUGUUUCUCACCAUGCAUUUAUAAAAAUGAGGGUUCUAGCUCUAGGCACACCACUCAUGUUAAGAUGCCUAGAAAGAAAAUUCCUGCUGCAUCAAAUGAACAUAAUGUCUCAUUUAAGACUUUAAUGCUUCAUAUGUUUUAACUAACAAAUCAAUCAAAAUAGUUGUCAAAUAUGUUGGGGGCAAACACAAGAGUCCCAAGACUUGUGUUUGGGUACCCAAGGUGCUUGUUUCUAACGUCAAAGGACCCAAGACUGUUUGGUUACCUAAGAACAAGGCCUAAAUUGUUUUGUAGGUUUAUGCAUUCGGUGGUUCAAGUUGGAUAAUUGAUAGCGGGUGCACAAACCACAUGAUUGGGGAGAAAAGAAUGUUCUCCUCCUAUGAGAAAAAUGAAGAUCCCCAAAAAGCUAUCACAUUCGGGGAUGGAAAUCAAGGUUUGGUCAAAGGUUUAGGAAAAAUAGCUAUAUCUCCUGGCCAUUCUAUUUCCAAUGUUUUUCUUGUGGAUUCUUUAUAUUACAAUUUGCUUUCUGUCUCUCAAUUAUGCAAAAUGGGCUACAACUGUCUAUUUACUGAUGUAGGUGUUACUGUCUUUAGAAGAAGUGAUGAUUCAAUAGCAUUUAAGGGAGUGUUAGAUGGUCUGCUAUAUUUAGUUGAUUUUAAUGAUAACAAAGCUAAGCUAGACACUUGCUUAAUAGCUAAGACUAACAUGGGUUGGCUCUGGCAUCGCCGACUUGCCCAUGUUGGAAUGAAGAAUCUUCACAAACUUCUAAAGGGAGAGCACAUUUUAGGACUAACCAAUGUUCAUUUUGAGAAAGAUGGGAUUUGUAGUGCAUGUCAAGCAGGAAAGCAAGUUGGAGUUCAUCAUCCACACAAGAACAUCAUGACGACUAACAGGCCGCUUGAGCUACUCCACAUGGAUCUAUUCGGCAUGAUAGCUUACAUAAGCAUCAGUGGGAGUAAAUACUGUCUAGUUAUUGUGGAUGAUUAUUCUCGCUUCACUUGGGUGUUCUUUUUGCAGGAAAAAUCAUAAACCCAAGAGACUUUAAAGAGAUUCUUACGACGGGCUCAAAAUGAGUUCGGAUUAAAGAUCAAAAAGAUAAGAAGCGAUAAUGGGACGGAGUUCAAGAACUCCCAAAUUAAAGGAUUUCUUGAGGAGGAGGGCAUCAAGCAUGAGUUCUCUUCUCCCUACACACCUCAACAAAAUGGUGUAGUGGAGAGGAAGAAUAGAACUCUACAGGACAUGGCAAGGACCAUGCUUGAUGAAUACAAGACUCCAGACCGGUUUUAGGCGGAAGCAAUCAACACCACUUGCUACUCCAUCAACCGGCUCUACCUUCACCGAAUCCUCAAGAAAACAUCGUAUGAACUCCUCACUGGUAAAAAGUCCAAUGUUUCAUAUUUUAGAGUCUUUGGGAGUAAAUGCUUUAUUCUUAUUAAAAGAGGUAGAAGUUCUAAAUUUUCUCCUAAGGUUGUAGAAGGCUUUUUACUAAGGUAUGACUCAAACACAAGAGCAUAUAGAGUCUUCAACAAAUCCAUUGGAUUAGUUGAGGUUUCUUGUUACAUUGUGUUUGACGAGACUAAUGGCUCCCAAGUGGAGCAAGUUGAUCUUGAUGAAUUAGAUGAUGAAGAGGCUCCAUGUGUCGCACUAAGGAACAUGUCCAUUAGGGAUGUGUGUCCUAAGGAAUCCGAAGAGCCCACACAAGCACAAGAUCAACCAUCAUCUUCCAUACAAGCAUCUCCACCAACUCAAGACGAGGAUCAGGCUCAAGAUGAUGAAGAUGAAGAUCAAGAGGAUGAGCCAUCUCAAGAGGAGGACAUUGAUCAAGGGGGAGAUGAAGAUGAUCAAGACAAGGAAGAUGAUCAAGAAAUUAGGGAUCAAAGACCGCCACACCCAAGAGACCACCAAGCAAUUCAAAGAGAUCACCCCGUCAACUCCAUACUUGGUGACAUUCAUAAGGGGAUAACCACUAGAUCUCGAGUUGCACAUUUUUGUGAGCAUUACUCUUUUGUGUCUUCUAUUGAGCCAUACAGGAUAGAAGAUGCACUAAGAGAUCCGGAUUGGGUGGCGGCAAUGCAAGAGGAGCUCAACAAUUUCACAAGGAAUAAGGUAUGCCAUUUAGUUCCACGUCCUAAUCAAAAUGUUGUAGGUACCAAAUGGGCAUUCUGCAACAAACAAGAUGAGCAUGGUGUGGUGACAAGGAACAAAGCCCAACUUGUGGCCAAAGGUUAUUCACAAGUUGAAGGUUUGGAUUUUGAUGAAACUUAUGCACCCAUAGCUAGGCUUGAGUCAAUUCGUAUAUUACUUGCCUAUGCUACUUACCAUGGCUUCAAGCUUUAUCAAAUGGACGUGAAAAGUGCCUUCCUUAAUGGACCUAUCAAGGAAGAGGUCUACGUUGAGCAACCUCCCGACUUUGAAGAUAGUGAGUACCCUAACCAUGUGUAUAAACUCUCAAAGGCGCUUUAUGGGCUUAAACAAGCCCCAAGAGCAUGGUAUGAAUGCCUGCGAGAUUUUCUUAUCACUAAUGGCUUCAAAGUCGGUAAAGUCGAUCCUACUCUCUUCACUAAAAUUGUUGCAAAAGACUUAUUUAUAUGCCAAAUUUAUGUUGAUGAUAUUAUAUUUGGGUCCACUAACAAGUCAACAUGUGAAGAGUUUAGUAGGAUCAUGAUACAGAAAUUCGAGAUGUCUAUGAUGGGGGAGUUGAAGUAUUUCCUUGGAUUCCAAAUCAAGCAACUCCAAGAUGGCACAUUCAUCAGCCAAACCAAGUACAUUCAAGACAUACUUAAUAAGUUUGGAAUGAAGAAUGGCAAACCCAUCAAGACACCCAUGGGAACUAAUGGGCAUCUCGACCUCGACACGGGAGGUAAAUAUGUAGAUCAAAAGGUAAUAUCGGUCAAUGAUAGGAUCUUUACUCUACUUAUGUGCAUCUCGACCGAAUAUUAUGCUUUCUGUAUGCAUGUGUGCAACAUUUCAGGCAAAUCCUAAGGAAGUUCAUCUUAGAGCCAUGAAAAGAAUCAUGCGAUAUUUAGUUUACACUCCUAAGUUUGGGCUUUGGUACCCUAAGGGAUCUACCUUUGAUCUAAUUGGGUAUUCCGAUGCCGAUUAUGCCGGAUGUAAAAUAGAUAGAAAGAGCACAUCAGAGACUUAUCAGUUUCUAGGAAGAUCUCUAGUGUCAUGGGCUUCAAAGAAACAAAACUCUGUAGCUCUUUCCACCGCCAAAGCCGAGUACAUCGCUGCAGGCCAUUGUUGUGCACAAUUACUUUGGAUGAGGCAAACCCUUAGGGACUAUGGCUAAAAAUUGAGCAAAGUCCCCCUCCUAUGUGAUAAUGAGAGUGCAAUCCGCAUGGCGGAUAAUCCUGUUGAACAAAGUCGCACUAAGCACAUAGACAUCCGGUACCACUUUUGAGAGAUCACCAACAAAAGGAGGAUAUCGAAAUUGCUUAUGUUAACACCCACAACCAAUUAGUUGAUAUCUUUACCAAGCCACUAGAAGAGAAACCCUUUAGCAAACUUAGAAAUGAGCUAAAUAUACUUGAUUCUCAGAACUUUGAUUGAAACAUUGCACACAUAGCUCAUGAAUAUACCCUUGAUCAUAUCUCUUUCAUUUGGUGCAAAUGCAUAUUCCUUAUUCUUCUUGUGCCAAGACUACGACUAAUGCAUUUUCAAGUGUAUUUCUAUACUAAGUUGUAGAUUGAAAGGGAAAUGGAGUUUUUGGCAAAGACAAUGCUUCCACUCAACUCGAACGGUAUCAUUUACCCUUUGCCGGUAUUCCACAAACUCUCAAUGGUAUAACCCUUCACUCGUAUUCAUUUUACCAUUUGUGAGAAAGUAUAGGCCCCAUAAGGGGAGAAAAUACUCAAGGGCUCUCAAGUUCUCCGUUUUUGGCGAUUAAUGCCAAAGGGGGAGAAAAUAUUAAGCCCAAAGCAAAAGGACCGCACCACCAUUCAAAAUUUCAUAAAUAUGUAUUUCAAUUGGUAUUUGAUCAAAAUGGAUUUUCAAUUGAUAUGUGAAGAAAAUUUCUCAAUUGGUAUCUUCAAAACUUCACAUUAAGUAUGAAAGAAUUUCAAUUAGUUUAUUUUCAAUAAGUAUCUAACUUUCAACUCAUGUGUGAGAGAAAAAUUUUAAUUGGUAUCUACUUCAAAACCCUCUUGAAAGCUAAGGGGAGAAUUUCAUUCAGGGGGAGCUUUUAUAUAGUCGAAGGAAAAGCAUUUGAAACAGGGGGAGGAAUUUCAAAUCCUAAAAAUGCUUCUUGCAAUCAUAUUUCUAUAUCUUUGACUAUUUGCAAAAGUUUUUGAAUAGAUUUCCAAAAGAUUUGCAAAAACAAAACCUAUGGUGCAAAUGUGGUCCAAAAUAUUAAAUAAAAGAAAGCCAAACCAUUCACACUUAUUCAUAUGUUUAAAAAUCUUUCAUUGGUUUAAUUCUAAGUAACAUAUGCACAAUCAUCUCAAACUGCAAACUAGUUACAUUUCUACACAUUUCAUUGCUUUGGUUUGUGUUGGCAUCAAUCACCAAAAGGGGGAGAUUGAAAGGAAAAUAGGGUUAACCAUUUCCUAUAAUUAAUUUUGGUGGUUGACGACCAACACAAACAUAUGGAAGUUUUGAAGAACUUGAGUUUGUCUAGAAUUCAUAUAUUACAGGUGCAUAAGGUUCAAAUAAACCAAGAAAUAAAUCAAGUUAGGGACACAAUUUAAUUGGAGCAAAGAACUUGAGUGUGCUGAAAAAUGGCACACCGGACUGUCCGUUGUGACACCGGACAGUGUCCGGUGCACCAGGGCCGUACAACUCCAAACCAGCCACUCCUGGGAAUUCCAGGGCACGCUCCACUAUAAUUCACAGGACUAUCUGGUGAACCAGCCGAGCAACAGCUCUCUGCACGCCAACGAUCACCUGCCACGAUGAACAGUGCAAGUCAGAAGCCAGAGCGCAGAAGUCAGAGGGCACCAGACUGUCCGAUGCAGUAAGACGACAAAGGCUCCAACGGUCGACCAGCUUCGAACCCUAAUGGUUGCGCUGACGUGGCGCGCACCGGACAGUGCACCGAAGUUGUCUAGUGGCACACCGGACUGUCUGGUGCGCCCAUCGCCAGCAUCCUUCACCAACGGCUAUGGAAGUGGUUGGGGUUAUAAAUACCCACCAACCACCUCAUUCAUAACCAUCCAAGCAUUCCAAACAUACCAUUUAUUGCAAGAGCAAAAGACUUCACUCCUAGACACAUUCAAUAUAUCAAAUCCUCUCCAAGCCUCCAAAUCAACUCAAUUCCAUUAGGGACUUGAGAGAGGGUGUUUUUGUGUUCUUUUGUUGCUCUUGUCGCUUGGAUUGGCCUUUUUCUUAUCCCUUCUAUUUCUCAAGUGACUUGUAAUCGAAGCAAGAGACACCUAAGUGUGUGGUGGUUCUUGCGGGGUCUAAAUGACCCGUGAGAUUAAGGAAAAGGCUCACUCGGUCUAAGUGACCGUUUGAGAGAGGGAAAGGGUUGAAAUAGACCCAGUCUUUGUGACCUCCUCAACGGGGACUAGGUUCUUUGGAACCGAACCUCGGUAAAACAAAUCAUCGUGUUCACUCGCCUUGAUUCUUGUUGGAUUUGUUUUCGCUCUCUAACAUUUCCUUGCUAGUGUGAAUUUGAGUUGGCUCCCAUACGUUAUCUGCAAACCUUGAGCGACUCCUAGCAAGAGAGAUAUUCGUUUGAACUUGAAUUUAAUUCUAAUGCUAAUCCUCGACCUUAGUGUGUGUUUAAGUUUAUAAAUUUUAGGUUUCGCCUAUUCACCCCCUCUAGGCGACUUUCACCUAGGUUGUUCCCAUUGCAAUCAGUGCUAAGAAGGAGAUGCAGGCAACAUGGAGGACUUUGAGAAGUUUUAGGACUACGACGAGUUUUAGUUGUGUUAGUGGCAAACCCCCAGUCAGUUGCCUGUGAAGGCCUUAUCUACUACAUUUCGUAUUCCGCACUUUGAUUACGUUAAUGACUAUGUUAUGUUAAUGACUCUGUGGAUGUCUUGGACAUCUUGAUGUAAUAAAGUACCUUUUCCGCUACUUAUUUUGAGCAAUGUGUGAUGAUGUCCAACUAUGUAAUCGCUAUGUACGUGAGUUUCUAAUCUUGGCACGUACAUGGUUUGCAUUCGGUUUGCCUUCCAAAACCAGGUGUGACAAGGACCCAGGCAAGAAGCUGACUAGAAGCAUCACUAGUUUAGGACCCUGUCCUUGUCCUUGGUGCUAUGCACAAACACUAGUGCAUACAGAUACAUCACAUGUUUCCUUGUCCAGAUUAUCCAUGAGAUUGUGAUGCGAUGUGAACUCGGGGCAGGAUCCAUUGCAUCGCUCAGUUCUCAAAGAACUGAGUGUUGGAUCGAUCACAUCCAGCUCUAGCUAAAUGAGGGUCAUGACCCUGCUAGAGGAGGCUGACUGUAACACCCCAAAAUAUCAUUUUAGGUAAUUUAGGAAAAGUUUAUAUCAAGAUUUAAAUGAUUAUUUUUGAAAUAAGGGAUUAAAUGAAAAAAAAGGAAAAGGCCUCCAAUGAGUUAUUCUUCCUCGAAAUAUUCUCUCAAGGAUUACACAAAAUUGUUGCUUAAUAUAGAGUUCAUGGGUAUUUAUGAAUAGGUAAUAAACACUUAAUUUUUAAAUAAGGUCAUUUUUUAUUUUCUUUUAAAAGGGGUCUUUAGUUAUCUCAUUGUGAUUUAUUCUUUAUUGAGCCAUAUAGCAUUUACUUAGAGAAAAUAAAAUCACAUAUAUUUAUAUUUUGCGUUAUGCUGGGCUUUUUGAUUGUGCAUAUUUAAAUCUGAAACAUCAACAUAGAAUUGAGUUUGAAAUUUGAGAAUUAAAUUUGAAAAUAGAAAUUAGAAAUAAGAAAGCAGAAAAAAUAAAAACAAAAAAAGAAAAGGUAAAGGACCCCCUUUUUCUCCUGCUGGGCCAAAGCCCCCCUACCUUGGCCCAUCCGGCUCACCGUUCCGCCAGCCCAGCUUCACACACGCGCGACCAUUGUCCCACUGACAUGUAGCCCCGAUUUGGCGGUGACCUCACGUGUGCCCGGAUAACCCCAUUGCGCCAACAUGUGGGCCCAGGUGGCACACACCCGCCCGGUUCCUUCGCAUCGACAGUUGGGUCCCUAAUGUCAGCCACUCAUCCAUUGCCUGUGUAUUCUCACCAAUGGUGACCGCAUGGGGGCCUGUGUGGCAGCCGGUGCAACCUCCCCCCCCCAUGCAUCUGUAUCGCUGGUUUAUGGGAUCACCACUUGACAAACCGGCUUCAGCUCCCUGGACGCGACAAACUCGCCGCUGUCCACCCAAUAUUCUCGUGCCUCGUCGUUAAUCCGAGCUCUAGAUUUGUAUCCUAUCGGUGUAUAAAUAGCGAGUGCUAGCACCAUUGUCUAUGGAUGGGAGGGAGAGAGGAUGCUGUAUCGGGCGGGCAGCAGCGGUCUCCAAGGGCAGAAGGAGGGGAGAAUUGCCGCCACAAAGAAGAAUCUGGCGCACCCUCGUCUGAGCCCUGGCCUGUGCGUGCCGAUGUUCACUGGAGGUUAAGUAUGUUGUGUGUGGCAUCUUCGGUCAAGAAAGGUGACUACGGAGCUGGCAAUUUCUCGACGGGCUUUGGGGAACCGAGCGCCGUCAUGACCGUUGCGCAACAACGAACUUCAUCACUAGUGAGUGCCCUAAUUGAGUUUGCAGGAUUCUUGGCUGGGUAUUAGGCGUUGUGGGUGUGAGAUUGGAGCACUGGGGUACCGUGACACGGUGCUCCGGCAAGCCCUCAACCGUGCGGGGCGGAGGAGCGGCUAUUGCCGGCGGCUAUGGGUGGAAGAUGACCUGUGUGUUGUGGGAUCAUGGACGAACGGUGGUGAUUAAAUCUUUCCUUACCUCUUCGUCUCAUAUAGAUUCAGCCGUUGCGGGGUGAUCGGGUGGUGGAGAUUGGAUUACGCCAAAAUUAAAUCUGGAUCAUAGAUCUGAAAUCCGAUGCCCCUGGUUGCCUACCGAUUUACAUAUAAUCUGGGCACUUGAUGAGUGAUCCAACGGCUCAGAUCAUCCAAUACCCCUUCGACCGUGCGUAAUUUGUUAAAGACUCCAUGGAUUUUUAUGGAACCAACCCGUGCUCCACCGCACUAGAAGAACCAUCGCCAAUAGGUCCUAAACUUUAUGUUUUAAACCUUGAACUUGGUUAAAAUAGUGUCUGCAGUCCACAGUUCUUGAAUUAAGUAAAAUAAUUUUGAGAAAAUGAUUUUUAGUAUAAAAAUAAUUCUAGAAACUUGUUUAAUUUAUAUUUAAUUCAUAUUAACUCCUUUUUGACCCAUUCCAGUUGCAUUAAAUUCAUAAUAAUGUUGUUUAUCAUCUAGUAACCUUAUUUUGUUAUGAAACAUAGGUUAAAUUUAUACACUUAGUUGGUUUUAUAUCUAACACCUAAAUGUUGGGGAAAUCAUAACUCUUUAACCGUAACUCCGAUUUUAGUGGUUCUCGAACGUAGGAUCUCGUCGCGAUGCGUAGAUCACUAUUAUGAAGUUUGUUCUUAUGUUUGGUGUAAUGAUAAUUUUGCCUAUACCAUGUUUGUUUGUAUCGCAACGAUUAGUAGCGAGGGUUACGAGAAUCUUAAAGACCAAGCUGGUACCUGGGAAUAUUGAGUCACAGGCAAGUUGUGCCCUUGAUCACUUUUCUUUACCCAAUAAUGUUCCUGUUAAUCACUGUAACAUGCUCAGGUUAAUUUGAUGGGACCCAAUAGAUUUCCACUAGCAUUGUUUAUCCCCUACCUUGCAAACAAAAGCAUUAUUGGGUAGUUUUCCUAUUGCUCUACCUGGUUUUGGGAAAUCAAUGUUAUAUUAUGAUCAUGUUCCAGUUAUACUGUUGUUUUAAUUAUUGUUCAUGACAAGAUCAUUGUGUUAAUUGGAACAUGGAGCGACCACCCGGGAAAACAGUGCUACCACAAGGGUGGUAUGGGACGCCCUUGGCUGACUAAUUAGGAAGUCUAGUGGAAGAUUACCUUACCCGAAAGGGGCAAGGGCGGUAGAGGAGCUGCAUAUAGGGAGGAUCUCGGGUCGAUCAUGCUGCGAUGACUUUUCGAACGAGGGAUUCCUAUAUUGCCCUUCUCAGAAAUUGUAGCAGGUUUUCAGAAGCUAGUGGAACUUUGUAAAGGCCUCGUAGUGGUACCCUGCCUCAUCUCCUCGGUAGAGAUGAAUGGGAAGUCGCGAUCUCUUGGCAAAUGGGUAACAUGACUUGUGGGUAAAGAUGUGCAACCUCUGCAGGGUGUAAUACUGGUAUAUUAGUCGUGCUCACGGUCAUGAGCAGCUCGGACCCUCACAUGAGUAAUUUAUGGAACUAAACUUAAUUUGUCAUUUGCAUUGCAUUGUGGGUGUUGUUAUUAAUUUUGAUCUCUUACUUAAUUGGGUUGAUAUCUACUUAUACUUAGUAACUGCUAAUAAAUUUUUGACAAACUCUAAAAGUAAUGCUCAGCUUUAACCAUCUCCUUUGGUAAGCCUUACACUUCAUAUGAGCUCCCACCUUUGGUGAGUUUAUGCACAUUAUUCCCCUCAACUUGUUGAGCGAUGAACGUAUGUGAGCUCACCCUUGUUGUACUCACAUCCCCCUAGGUCAAGGUCAGGUACCAUAGGAUGAGGCGCAUGAAGGAUGCAGUGACGAGUUUGUGAGUGGUCUAGGCCGUUGUCUCCCAGUCAACUUUGGUUGCUGGAUCAUUGACUUCAUAUAAUAUAAUUAUUCAUUUAUUUUGUACAGAACUCCUAUUAUAUAGUAAAGAUGUGACAUUCGUUUAUGUACCAUGAGUCAUCAUUUGUGUGAGACUUGAUCCCAACACUCUUGGUGAUUAUUUCGCGCCCGGGUUUUGUCCCCUAAAACCCGGGUGUGAUAGAAGUGGUAUCAGAGCAAUGUUGACUGUAGGACGAAACCUAGAUAGAACUGGAUAACCUUACCUACUUACCUUUGCUACUCUGAUUCUUUCUAAACUUUUCUUAAUCUUUUCUCAUCUAUUGGUGCUUUACUCUGAUUACUCUUACCUUUUCACUUCUAAAGACAAAAGCGGAUUUCACACUUUGAAAUCAUUUACCUAAAGUGACCUUUAGGAAUAGGAGACCUAAUCUUAGGAACAAAAAUAAAACUAUUUUUGUAGGUAUCUAUACGCUUGAAUGUUUUGUUCUUAUGAUAACUGUUUGAUUUGGUUCUUUGAUUGAGUUGUGGAGUAAUGUCCACAAUUGCAUCUGCAUAUACAUAUAGGCAUAAAAAAUGUGUUAUAAGAUAACUAGCCAACCUAGAUUAUCCCCCAUUAAAAAUAUAUCUAGCUUAAUAGAUCCAUUUCAUCUAGUAGAGAUACCUUAUCCUAAUAAGAUACAUCCUACCUUAAAAAGAUUCUAUCUUAUCCACCCAUCUCAACCCAUCCACUUCGCUUAUCUCAUCAUGAAGUAACAACCAUGAUCUAAUCCAAAAUUAAAUAGAUCUUAUCUAGUCAAAUCUAGUCACGCCCAACUAAUCUAGAUCCAAUCUAAAAUGAGUUACUCAACAAGUUAGUUAAUCCUGAUGAAAUAGAUUAGACCCUACUCCUAUAAAUAUGUUUUACCCUAAAUUGGUGCCCUAGGCUAACUUGACCAUAUACAACUACCUGGCCUCAUGUAACUACCUUACCCAUCAAAUGGUUGCAUAGCCCCUCUAUUUCAACCUAACAACAAAACAAAGAUUCUAACCAACCUACCUCAUGAAAUCUAUCCCAUCCAUAAUGCCACCCACAAUUAUCUUAACUACAUGUCCCUAACUCGAAUGAUCACACCACGACCAAAGGAAAGAAGAUGGUCAACCUCGUCAAGGAAGGAUAAGCACCAACUCAACUCUUCAAAGACAAAGACCAAGCGGGAUCACCAGAUGAGUCAAGAUCCACCCUUCAUGAUGGAGUCAUUCCUUGCCAAAAUCUUUCUUACCCAAUAUAUCCUGGCUCUAACCAAAUCUCAUCUUGCCUAAAAAAUAGCUAGACAUAACGAGUACUCAUGCUUUGCUAGUCACCUUACUCGAAGUUAAGAACUUAGAGAAAAAACCUUUGCAUAUUAGAACCAACACUGACCUACAAACCAAAACCCUCUGUAAUCCCUUUUCUUAGUAAUCUCGAGGACGAGAUUAUUUUUAAGGGGGUAGAAUUUGUAACAUCCCAAAAUAUCAUUUUGGGUAAUUUAGAAAAAGUUUAUAUCAAGAUUUAAAUGAUUAUGUUUUGAAAUAAGGGAUUAAAUCAAAAAAUGGAAAAGGCCUCCAAUGAGUUAUUCUUCCUUAAAAAACUUAUACUUCGAAAUAUUCUCUGAAGGAUUACACAAAAUUGUUGCUUAAUAUAGAGUUCAUGGGUAUCUACGAAUAGGUAAUAAACACUUAAUUUUUAAAUAAGGUCAUUUUUUAUUUUAUUUUAUUUUAUUUUAAAAGGGGUCUUUAGUUAUCUCAUUGUGAUGUAUUCUUUAUUGAGCCAUAUAGCAUUUACUUAGAGAAAAUAAAAUCACAUAUACUUAUACUUUGCAUCAUGCUGGGCUUUUUGAUUGUGCAUAUUUAAAUCUGAAACAUCAACAUAGAAUUGAGUUUGAAAUUUGAAAAUUAAAUUUGAAAAUAGAAAUUAGAAAUAAUAAAGCAUAAAAAUAAAAACAAAAAAAUAAAAGGGAAAGGACCCCCCCUUUCUCCUGCUGGGCCGAUUCUGUGGGGGAUAGAUAUCCCCCGGGUCCACUAAAGGAGUAAAAGACCUCACGAAAGGCCCAAAGGCCCAAUAAAUCGUAAAGUCAUUCUUUCGUGGGCCUGGGGAGAGACAACCAACAAAGCAGAGCGACGUGAGACCGGAUUAGUGCAAACCCGGACGGCCCACAACGUCGAACGAGUGAAUCACAACAGAGACCCGACUUUCCCGCGCUGGAGCCCCCAUGCAACGGAGCCAUGCGAGGAUAAGUCGGCGAGGGUUACGUAGGGAUAAACUCAAGAGGUUCACUACCUUUUAGCUACUUGUUGUUAUCAUAUCCACGUGUACUGCCCCACGGUCGAGUAUAUAAGGCCUAGGGGGCACCCCUUCAGAAGGAUGGACCCUAUCUUACUUAGCCACCCACCUCAACUCUCUGUGUUUUCAAUCCAGAGAGCCCUCUUGUAACCACAUACACAUACUCACCAGGACGUAGGGUGUUACGCAUCUCUAAGCGGCCCGAACCUGUAAAUCUUGUCCACUGUCCCUCGUGCGAUCGGCACGAACCAUUUUGCUACAGUCGUCGACACCGUCCUACUCCUAAAAACACCUUGAGGGGCAACCCCGGGUGUGCGGUCGGACCCAAAACACCGACAGCUGGCGCGCCAGGUAGGGGGUGUGUCGACGAUCCAAGCUAGCUCAAUGGCCGUCACCUUCAACAGCAAGAUCACCAUGCGUCCCGGAUCCGUAUUCUACUUUGGGACAAUCUCAUCUGUAGCGGAUGAAGAGGGAAUUCUACACCGUAUCGCGGAUCCGCCGGAAAAGAAGUCUCCUCCAACAAACCCCGAAAAUGCCGGAGAGGCGCAACCUCCGGCUCUUCGGAAAAAGAUCGUCUUCGGAAAGCCGGGGGCCGAGAGUUCGCUGACCCGGAAGACUCCGCUGUCUACUUCCCCGACAAAAGAAUGGACACGGAUCGCGAGGAAGAAAGAGACCAGGGAAAAACAAGUCGUUCUUUCCGUUCCUCUGGCCUCAAAAGAGAACGGAAAGAAAGUCGCCACGACAGCAGCACCAUUCUACCCCGACGUCCUCUUCAUCGGGAGAGUGGAGUCGCCCACCGUCUCUGACGACGAGCCGACCGCGCCCGGAGAAGAACCGCCUCAACGAGAAUCCCGCCGACGGAGGAACCGACGCAGGAACGUUCGACGACAUCACGCGGCCGGAGAACGGGAUCCGGAGCAGCCUGUCUCGCGAGACAAGGUCUCGGAGAUAGGAGAAACUCCGGAAGAACGCGUCUUCAGAGAACGAAGGAACUCCCGACGACGUGAUCGUCGGCGGGUUCAGGAACAGGCCGAGCAAGACGCAAGGCAACGCCGGGAGAAUCCGCUCUUCGGGCGCAACCUGAAUCCCGACUUCGCCCGAGCUAUGAACACGCCAAGCGAAGUCGGAGGGGUACUAGCUCGGAUAGCUGAUGGACUUCCUCGGACUCCCGACGCCGAGGGAUACCGACGCCUGUUCACCCAAGCAGCCAACCAUCUUCUACCGCUUGCUCACCCGCCGAACGAUCUACGACACGCCAUCAACAGUCGCCGAGACACGCGAAGCUCCAUCAAUGCUUCGCGCGAACGGCGGCAUGAGAACGAGAUUCGCCGUCGGGAGGAGUACGACCGGGAUCAUGGCAUCCCGACUCAGAGUCAGGCCACCAGGACUGAGUCGGCAACGGCCUCAACUGGCGGAACCACCCGGGGACGGUCGAGGAACCACAAUCACAACUCCCCUCCCCGGGACAUACAUCGUCCCUGACGACAGGAGGACAUGUGCGGAGUGUCCGCUCUUACUCCGCGCCUUAGGGCCAUCCAAUGGCCUCCCAACUUCAAGGUAUCCAAUGUCGACAAAUAUGAGCCUAAGCAGGAUCCAGGGGGUUGGCUAGCCGUCUACACCACCGCUGCUCGGGCUAUCGGAGCAUCUGAGGACGUUAUGACCGCGUAUCUGCCCAUCGUCCUUGGGCAAGAUGCGCUACAGUGGCUACGACAUCUACCCCGACACUGCAUCGACGACUGGGGAGACUUCAGUCGAUGUUUCACCGCCAACUUCUAGUCCCUCUCCGACAAGCCAGCGCAACCGUGGGACCUCAAAUCCAUCAAGCACCGGGGGGAUGAGACUCUCCGGUCGUACCUCAAAAGGUUCCAGACCAUGAGAAACCGCAUCCCCGAGGUCACGGAGGCGGCCGUGAUUGAGGACUUCUACAGAGGAUCCAACGACUCGACUUUUGUCCGAGCCAUACUACAGAAGGCACCGACUACUUCCGAGGAGCUGUUCCAGGAAGCCGACCUCUACAUCACCGCCGACGAGCGAGCUCAGGACCUCAUCGGAGGAGCAAAGCCUGCGCCGGCAGCACCACGACGCGACGCGAACCAGCCACCCGACAAACGCUGGGAGAAGAGGCCUCGCGAAGAAGUACACACCGCCGGACCGCCUGCCUCUCGCGCCCGAGGAGGACCUCGCGGAGGCGAGCGCACACUGGACGCCAUCCUCGACGCCUAGUGCCCAUACCACAAGGACAUGCGCCACACUCUUCGCAACUGCCGGGACUUCAAGCACUCCGUUGGGCAUGGCCGACCCUUCCAACCUCUACCUCCUCCUCCGCCAAGGGGAGGACCGGAUGAACCGCGACAACCUCAUCAGCCGGAGGAGGGAGGAGGAGGAGCUUUCCCACGCGUCGACAGGGAGGUCAACGUCAUCUUCGGCGGACAUGGGUCGCAGGAGAACAAGAGACAACAAAAGCUCAACGACCGCCAGAUACUGGUGGCGACCACCGGUCCUCCCGCCCCAUACCGGUGGUCAGAACACCCGAUCACCUUCACUCGGGAAGAUCAAUGGCUCAACUUCGACCAUCCAGGCAAAUACCCGCUCCUCGUUGAUCCGGUGAUCCGAGAGAGCCGGGUGAAGAAGGUGCUAGUGGACGGGGGGAGCAGCAUCAACGUCACCUUCCCCCGGACGCUCCAAGGCUUGGGGGCUCACCUCAAAGAGCUCCACAAGUCGGACACUCCUUUCUUCGGCAUCGUGCCGACGGAGGGGGAAUACCCGCUGGGCCACAUCUACAUGCUGGUCACCUUCGGAACUCCGGAGAACUACAGAACCGAGUUCCUGAGGUUUGAAGUGGCAAAUUUCGACUGCGGGUACAACGCCAUCAUCGGAAGGCCGGGAUACUGAAGAUGCCAGGACCGCAAGGGAUCAUAACUGUGCGCGCCGACUUCCAAGGCGCCGCAGAAUGCUUCCGAGUGGCCAUCCAAGCGGCUCUCACCACCAAGCCGUCAACGGUCCCUUCUACACUGGCGAACUCUAAGCCUGAGGAGGACCUCGCCGUACCGGCAAACGAAGCUCAGGCCGCGACCUCUAUGCGGCCGACUGAAGAAACCAAGCGAAUCAACCUGGGGUUCGCUGAUGAGCGCAAGACAGCCAUCAUCAGCUCUAGCUUGGACGACAAAUAGGAAAGCGCGCUCGUCCAGUUCCUGCAAGAUAACCGAGAUGUAUUCGCAUGGCAACCUGCGGAUAUGCCGGGAGUCCCAAGAGAACUGGCCGAGCACAAGUUGAAGGUUUAUCCCCAGGCGAGGCCGAUCCGGCAAAAGCUACGUUGUUUCACGCCCGAUAAGAGAGAGGCCAUUCGCGCCGAGUUAGCUCGCUUCGUUGCGGCUGGAUUUAUUAGAGAAGUAUUACACCCCGAGUGGUUAGCCAACCCUGUUCUUGUACUCAAAAAGAAUAAAGUGGAUUGGCGCAUGUGCGUCGACUAUACUGAUCUCAACAAACACUGUCCGAAGGAUCCCUUCGGGCUCCCGAGGAUAGAUCAGGUGGUGGACUCUACUGCCGGGUGUUCCGUGCUGUCUUUCUUAGAUUGCUAUUCCGGGUAUCAUCAAAUUAGUUUGGCAAAAGAAGACGAGGAAAAAACGGCGUUCAUCACUCCGUUUGGUGCUUUCUGUUAUACCUCCAUGUCGUUCGGCCUCAAAAACGCUGGAGCGACUUAUCAGAGAGCCAUUCAAACAUGCUUAGCCGAUCACUGGGACAAGCGUGUGGAGGCUUACGUAGAUGAUGUGGUAAUCAAAACAAAAAAUUCGGAAAACUUCAUCGAAGACUUACGGCUAGUUUUCAACAGCUUGAGACGAUAUAGAUGGAAGCUCAAUCCCGAAAAAUGUGUUUUCGAGGUACCAGCAGGAAAAUUGCUCGGGUUUAUUGUCAGCUACCGGGGAAUUGAGGCUAAUCCAGAUAAGAUUGAAGCUAUCAUGAAGAUGGAAGCUCCUCGGUCACAAAAGAAGGUUCAGCGACUUACUGGAUGUAUGGCAGCUCUGAGCAGAUUCAUAUCCAGGCUGGGAGAAAAAGGUUUGCCAUUUUACAAGCUACUCAAGAAGGUGGAUAAGUUUCAAUGGACUUCAGAAGCACAAGAAGCUCUAGAGGCACUGAAGAAAUUCUUGACAACACCACCAGUACUGAAACCACCCCGGCGAGCUACGUCGAUUCAACCGGCUGAAGAUUUGCUACUGUAUAUCUCUUGCACGACUCACGUGGUAAGCACCGCGUUGGUAGUCGAGCGAGUAGAAGAAGGACAUGCCUAUCCAGUACAACAUCCCGUCUACUUCAUCAGUGAAGUUCUAGGCCCCUCGAAGAAAAAGUAUCCUCAAGUUCAGAAGCUAUUAUACGCAGUACUUUUAACUGCCCGCAAGUUGCGUCACUACUAUGACGACCACAAAGUCAUAGUAGUCACUGGUUUUCCAAUAGGGGAUAUUCUUCACAACAAGGAAGCCAUUGGUCGAAUAGCCAAGUGGGCUUGCGAGCUGGGAUCCCACGACAUCGAGUUCUGACCUCGCACUGCCAUCAAAACUCAAGCACUAGUUGAUUUCGUAUCAGAGUGGACAGAACAGCAAGUACCAGAUAAUCCAGAAACUACAGAAGUAUGGCGAAUGUAUUUUGAUGGCUCGCUGAAGCUGCAGGGAGCAGGAGCAGGGAUCCUCUUCACCGCACCUGGAGGCGAACACCUCAAGUACACCCUCCAGUUGCUAUUCCCGGCUUCUAACAAUGCAGCCGAGUAUGAAGCUUUGAUACACGGAUUGAACAUCGCCAUAUCGCUGGGCGUCAAGAGAUUGAUGGUAUACGGAGAUUCUUUGGUAGUCAUCAGCCAGAUAAACAAGGAAUGGGAUUGUUCAAGUGAUUCAAUGGGAAAAUACUGCGCUGCCGUCCGAAAGUUGGAAGAUAAAUUCGAGGGUCUGGAGUUUCAUCAUGUAGAAAGAGAUCGGAACACAGCAGCUGAUGUACUGUCCAAGCUCGGAUCCAGUCGAACUCAGGUCCCACCCGGAGUCUUCGUGCAAGAAAUUCUGCAACCGAGUAUCUCAAUGGAUCAAACAGAAGAGUGCAACAUCAUAAAUCAACCCGAGUUAGACUCUGAUGACUGGAGAAGGCUGAUUAUUAAGUACAUAAAGAAUGAAGAAGAACCAGACGACAAGAACUCGGCAGAGCGCAUUGCCAGGCAGUCGGCUCACUAUACACUCAUUGGGGAGGAAUUGUACAGAAGGGGCGCAUCAGGCAUCCUCAUGAAGUGCGUUCUCCCGUCCACUGGGAAGCAACUUCUGGAGGAGGUCCAUGCAGGGCAAUGUGGAAUUCAUGCAGCAUCCAGAACACUAGUCGGAAAGGUUUUCAGGUCAGGAUUCUAUUGGCCGACGGCGAAGAACGAUGCAGCCGAGUUAGUUCAGAGAUGUGAAGCUUGCCAAUACUUGUCAAAGCAAUAGCACAUGCCAGCACAGCAACUACAGACCAUACCAGUAACCUGGCCUUUCGCAUGCUGGGGACUGGAUAUGAUUGGACCUUUCAAGAAAGCUCAAGGGGGAUAUACUCAUGUAUUGGUGGCGAUUGACAAAUUCACUAAGUGGAUAGAGUUCAAGCCCAUUGCUUCUCUAACCUCUGCUAAGGCCGUGGAAUUCAUACAAGACAUAAUAUUCAGAUUCGGGAUACCAAACAGUAUCAUCACUGACCUAGGAUCCAACUUCACCAGUUCAGAAUUCUUCGACUUCUGCGAGCAAAAGAGCAUUCAGAUCAAGUAUGCAUCUGUAGCACAUCCAAGAGCCAACGGGCAGGUUGAGCGAGCCAACGGAAUGAUAUUGGAGGCACUCAGGAAAAGGGUCUUCGAUAAGAAUGAAAAAUUCGCAGGAAAGUGGAUAAGAGAAUUGCCUUAUGUUGUUUGGAGCCUAAGAACCCAACCUAGCCGAGCCCUGCAUGGAAACACUCCUUUCUUCAUGGUCUAUGGGUCGGAGGCAGUGCUACCUGCUGAUCUCAAGUUUGGGGUGCCAAGGUUGAUCUUCGAAAGUAUAGCAGAAGCUGAGGCCACCAGGCUGGAGGACGUUGAUGUACUUGAGGAAGAACGGCUGAAUGCGGUAAUCCAAUCAGCACGGUACCAGCAGACUCUAAGGCGCUAUCUCGACAAGGCUGUGCGGCAACGGUUCUUUUCAGUAGGAGACCUCGUCCUCCGCCAAAUUCUAACGGGAGAGGGACGGCACAAGUUAUCACCCUUAUGGGAAGGACCCUUCAUAGUAGCAGAAGUCACUCGGCCCGGAUCGUAUCGCCUCACUCAGAUGGAUGGCACGGAAGUUGGGAACUCCUGGAACAUAGAGCACCUCAGAAAAUUUUAUCCCUAGCUGUAUUUCAGAACUGCUGGGGCGACAAUGUAUUCUGUAAAGUGGAAAUAUGUCAUCAAUAAAGAGAGAUUUCAAAGAUACUCGGCUCGUUUACGAUUGACUUGCAUUCUCACUUAACUCGGGGUGACCACUAUGCCCUACAAACGGAGCAAUCGACUUAAAUCGGCAACGAUUUAAGACGGUGCAACAUGCUCACGCUUACUUAACUCGGGGUGACCACUAUACCCUACAAACGGAGCAAUCGACUUAAGUCAGCAACGACUUAAGGCGGUGCAACAUGCUCACGCUUACUUAACUCGGGGUGACCACUAUGCCCUACAAACGGAGCAAUCGACUUAAGUCGGCAACGACUUAAGGCGGUGCAACAUGCUCACGCUUACUUAACUCGGGGUGACCACUAUGCCCUACAAACGGAGCAAUCGACUUAAGUCAGCAACGACUUGAGGCGGUGCAACAUGCUCACGCUUACUUAACUCGGGGUGACCACUAUGCCCUACAAACGGAGCAAUCGACUUAAAUCGGCAACGAUUUAAGACGGUGCAACAUGCUCAUGCUUACUUAACUCGGGGUGACCACUAUACCCUACAAACGGAGCAAUCAACUUAAGUCGGCAACGACUUAAGGUGGUGCAACAUGCUCACGCUUACUUAACUCGGGGUGACCACUAUGCCCUACAAACGGAGCAAUCGACUUAAGUCGGCAACGGCUUAAGGCAGUGCAACAUGCUCAUACUUACUCGACUCGGGGUGACCACUAUACCCUACUAACGGAGCUACCGGCCAAAGUCAGAGGCGGUUUAAGCCGGUGCUACAUACUCGCGCCUAUGUAAUUCAGGGGAUGACUUCCAUAUCCCGCCAACAAAUUUCAUUACCACAAAUUUACGAACCAAUAAAUUCUGAUGCAAUAAGAGAGUAAUUAUGUCAUUCGAAUGAUAAACUGAUGUCUUCUAACAAAUACUCGAUCAUGCUAAUCGCGCGCUCAGAGCACGCAAAAUGUUUCUCUAUUUCGCAAUGUCUUUUUCAGGAGCAACCGACGAAGUAGGACGACUCGAGGAAUCGGGGGCAGCAUUCAUGUCAGCCUUUAUGUCUUCAGGAACAACCACGCCGGGUCUCCUCAUUAAGAUUCGUCCAGCACGAAUAGCCUUAUCCAUGGCUUUAUCGCGCUGGGCUUUGAGAGUAGCUGCAGUUUCUUCAGCAACUUUAGCAGCCAGCCGAGCGGCCUCUAACUCCUGGGCAAUGGAUUUCUUGGAAGCUCGGAGCUCUUUGAUGGUGGCAUCCUUCGCUGAUAUCAAUUGUUUAAGGCAGGUCGCUUCGUCCACAGAUUCUUGCAGCCUACAACGUUGAUUGUCCAGUUCCUCCAUUGUAAAGCGGUGACUCCUCUCCAAAAUGGUCAGCGAGUUGCUAGAAUCACGAUACAAUCUGUCUAGAUUGUCACGAGAAGCAGCAAGGAUACGUUUUUCUUCCUGCAAACAAAAAUCAAUUCCUUCAGAAAUCAAGCAAGUAAUAAGAGCAUAGCAAGGCAAGGCACGGUUUUGUAAGUUACCUUUUCAGAGUCAAGCCGAGCAUGAAGAGAAGAACUCAGGGCAUUGGCAUCAUCCAAGGCAGCGGAAACCUGAUUUAAUUCAGUUUGGCUCUGAGAGUACUUCUCCUCGAAGUAAGCGCACCGUUGAACCAUUUCAGCCUGAUCUCGGGAAUGUUUUUCCUCAAGAAUUGCAAUCUGCCGAGUCAUCCCUAGCAAGAAGUAAUCAAACAAAACGAGGUCAGAAGGUAAAACAGUCCACAACAAAGGCGAAGAGAAGAAAAAGGGCACUAACCAGCGUUAGUUGCCUCCAGCUCGGAUACACGACGAUGAAGUGACACUGGAUUCCAACACGCAAGAGACGAAGCCAUUUCUGGGACGGAAGCACCCUGCAAUCUCAGCUGGCUGGCCAUCCCAUCUACCAAAGUGUGAUGAGAAGAACAAAUGGGCAUAAUGACAAAAGUUCAUGCAACAUAAAGAACAAGCUAAAAUACAGCACAGUACCUGGAGGUUGGAAAAGAACGAAGGGAUCCCCAAAUCAGGAGAAAUCAGCUGAUAACCAGGCGCAAGGCCACCACCCGAAGCAGCUUGCGACGGGCCAGUAGGAAUCAGUUCAGUGCCUUCAACAGAGCCAAACGCCCGAUCAGCGGGGACGCUGCCCUCUAAAGCGCCUCCCUGGUCCAAAGUUUGGGGUACCACCAUGCAGCCAGAGUGUGGAGGUGAUCCCGCGUGAACGUCCAUGGAAGUGCAGGAAGGAGACCCUACCUGGGCACCCUCGGGGGCUGGGUCAUGGUUGGCACUGCCCACUUGAGCCGGAUCAUCCCCGGCAACACCCUCGGGGGCUGGGCAGUGGCUUACACUCUUCACCCGAGCUAAGUCAUCCCCGGCGACAUCCUCGGGGGCUGGGCAUGUGUCAGCACCAUUCUUGAGGUCCAGGCUCUCCGCAGUAACCACCUCUAAGGUUGACGGGCCUUCAGCCAUUUCCAUGGGAUCAGGACAAUCCAAGUCAGCAUCCCGACCCUCGAGAUCGCGCUCUAAGGUCGACGAGGCGCGGGAUGACCUCAACCUAGCAUCAGGCACGGCAGCGCAAGUCUCUGUUGCAUCAUCAUCCACUGGCUCUGAUAACAAGUCCUCUGGGACCAUAUCCUCAAGAGUUUGAUCAAAGUUGGCCAGGGACAGUUCUUGCAGACCAAUGAGGGCAGACAAAGCAGGAGAAGGAACUCCACUACUUCCACCGCUGGCGAUGAACUGCCGACUGUUUUUCCGAGUUAAAGGAGCUUCAUUUUCUUCCUCCUCAUCUUCCACAGUGCACCCAUUGGGUUCAGUAGCAGUUUGGGUACACCCAUUGGGGUCGGCGUCAGUAAGUCCAGUCGCAGGCACUUCUUCAGCAGCAGGAACUGAGGUACCAGCAUCCUCAUCAAAACUGGAUACUCGCCGGAGGCGUCUUCUUUUCUUCUUUUGCUCAUCAGCAGAAGGCUCAGGCUGAUUGGUUCGGCUAGGACGCCUCGGGCGAGUACUAACAGGUUUCUGGACAUCCAAAGUUGUAUCAACCUCUGGAAGGGGCACCACCGCCAACGUACCAACAGGAGCAGCGUCGGAGGAAUCCUCAGCUAGCAGAUCAAGCAUAUCAUUUAUGUCCGCAUCACUAGGGUUCAGGGGCACUUCAAAAUGAACCUGCCGUUCAUCAUCAGGAAUCUCCCCAAGUGAAGCAACCAAAGUAUUGAUUUCUUCAGCAGAGGGUCACACUCUAAGGCCCAAAUUGCCAUCAGUCACAGGCGGAUUUGACACAAAAAGGGUGAAGGCUUUGGGAGGAGGCAGGUUCCAGGCCGAGUAUGCCGCUGGAGCACCAACAUUUGACACCUUACCCCUGAGAAUCAUUUCAAGUCGGCUUACGAAGUCUACAGAAGGAAUUCUCCUAUUGGUAACCCGAGUUGAGUCGGCCAGCCCUCGAUACAGAUAUGCUGGAUAGGCCCUAUCUUUCAGUGGCUGAAUGUUCUUGAAAACAAAGUCAGCGACCACAGCUUCAGCAGUUAGACCUCUCUCUUUCAGCAGUCCCACCUCAGUUAGCAACACACCUGCCUCAGCCACUUCCUGAUCUGUGGGAGACUCGGUCCAGCUCGAAGUACGAACGUCUGGCUGUCUUCCCGACCGGGAGGGAAGAGAAUUUCCAUAAUUAUCAACUAUGAACCACUCUAGACGCCACCCCUUAAUACUGUCCUUGAGGGGAAUCUCAAGAUACUCGGUUUUCCGCCCGCGGCGCAUCUCCAAACUGGCACCUCCGACCAACUGAUGCUGUCCCCCGGCCAUCCCAGGGCGACAAUGAUACAAAUACUUCCAUAAGCCGAAAUGCGGCAGCACGCCAAGAAAGACUUUGCAUAAAUGGACGAAAAUGGAGAUUUGCAUAAUGGAAUUAGGAUUCAAAUGGGUCAAGUUAAUGUGGUAGAAAUCAAGGAGGCCGCGGAAAAAGGGAGAGAUGGGAAGGCCGAGGCCGCGGAGAAGAAAAGGAGCGUAGACUACAGACUCGUGGGUAUCCUCUGUCGGGACAGUAGUCCCGUGGCAAAUCCGCCAAGAACAGAGUUCCCGCGGAGGAAGAACCCCGAUGGAUACGAGGUGGAGGAGUUCAGCUUCGGAAAUAAUGGACAUAUGGUUACCUGCGAAAGGCAACUGGCUGUUGGGGUCGAUUGGAGGGAUCACCGCAGCAGACGAGCUCGCAGUUUUCCUCUUGGGCGCCAUCUCGAUUUUCACCAGCGAACAGAGUAGGAGGCGAAUGGCAGAGAGGAUUCAGAGGCGGGAAUGCAAGAACUAGGGCACGGAAAGCAAAGGCGGCUAAAAGCGCAGCUCUUAUGGGAUAUUCUCGAGCCAGAUACCGUUUCAAAAAGUGCCCAGUCAUCACCCGGCGGUUAUUUCCGAAACCCCAGCAUGCCACGUGGUCAUCCGGCGGUUAUUUCCAAAAAGCCGAUGCGCCACCUCAUCACUCGGUUAUCAUCCUUGAAAUAACUCAUGCGGCCGGCUAUCACUCGGCGCUGAUUCUAAAACGCUGAUUUCGUAUUCAGUCGCUCGGCAUUACCUCUAAAAUACCGACGUCACCAUCCAGUCACUCGGCGUUGACUCUAAAACGUUGAUUUCAUACUCAGUUGCUCGGCAUUGCCUCUAAAAAGCCGAUGCCGACCUCCAGUCAUUCGGCGUUGCCUCUAAAACGCUGAUUUCAUAUUCAGUUGCUCGGCAUUGCCUCUAAAAGCUGAUGCCGACCUCCAGUCACUCGGCGUUGCCUCUAAAACGCUGAUCUUGUGUUCGAUCGCUCGGCAUUGCCUCUAAAAGCCGAUGCCGACCUCCAGUCACUCGGCGUUGCCUCUAAAACGCUGAUCUCGUGUUCGAUCGCUCGGCAUUACCACUAAAAUGCCGACGUCGACCUUCAACCACUCGGCGUUGACUCUAAAACGCUGAUUUCAUACUCAGUUGCUCGGCAUUGCCUCUAAAAAGCCGAUGCCGACCUCGAGUCAUUCGGUGUUGCCUCUAAAACGCUGAUUUCAUAUUCAGUUGCUCGGCAUUGCCUCUAAAAGCCGAUGCCGACCUCCAGUCACUCGGCGUUGCCUCUAAAACGCUGAUCUUGUGUUCGAUCGCUCGGCAUUGCCUCUAAAAGCCGAUGCUGACCUCCAGUCACUCGGCGUUGCCUCUAAAACGCUGAUCUCGUGUUCGAUCGCUCGACAUUACCACUAAAAUGCCGACGUCGACCUUCAACCACUCGGCGUUGCCUCUAAAAUGCUGAUCUCGUGUUCGAUUGCUCUGUAUUACUUCUAAAAUGCUGACGUCGACCUUCAAUCACUCGGUGUUGCUUCUAAAACGCCGAUACCGACUACAAGAUUACUCGGCAACUACUUCUGGAAGCGUCAGUGUGAUGCACAAGUUAUUCAUCUACUGUCUCAAAAGAAUCAGUUCUAUAAUCAAGGAAAGCGAGUCAUCGAGAAGGAGCCAACGUCAUUUUUUCAUUAAGGGAAGACAAUAAGCUUACAAACCAACUCUUUGCGAGUUGAUGCUUCCCUACUAUUACUACAUUACAUUACUACUACUACUAUACUACACUAUACUACUCUACAUUACUACUACUACUAUACUACACUAUACUACUCUACAUUACUACUACAUUAUUCUAACUACACUAUACUAAUAUCUAAAGACCAGUGGCGUUUAGCCACUGGCCUUGCUGCUGCCGCCUCUGGUGCUGCCUGUGCUGCUGCCGCCUCUGGUGCCACCCUUGCUCCCGUCGCCGCCGCCGCUGCCGCUGCCGCUGCCGUCACCGUUGCCGUCGCCACCGUCGUCGUCGUCGCCGUCGUCGUCGUCGUCAUCCUCGUCCUCGCCGUCGUCCGAGUCCUCCUCAUCCGAGGAGAACUCCGACUCAUCCGAGCCCUCGAGCCCGGAGCGCUCGACGGCCCGGAUGUACGUCCAGACUUCCGCGGCGAUUCCCUGGGAGUCGUCUGAAUCAUCAGACGACGCCGGGGGAGAGACGGGAGCCGGAGACCCCUCGGACUCGGAGGAGAACUCCUCCUCCGAGUAUUCCGAGUCGCCGAAUUCCUCCGAUGGAGGAGUCGGCUCACGCUUGCGUUUGUUACUCUUGCCCAUGGCGGAAGCAGACAGAAGGGAAGAGAAGGAUGCAGUAAAGAACAGCGAAGAGAUGUGAAAAAACCAGAGGAGCAACAGCGUUAUUUAUAGAAGGGAAAGGUAACCGCUCACCUCCAACCUGGUCACUGAACAGUCGCAAAGCAUUCAAUAAGCACUUCCACCCGUCUGAAGACACGUCAGACGGCUGACGCCGUUUCAUGCAACACUACACCCAUUGGGACUCCAGUCAACAACGCAAAGGAUAUGAUUACACUCGUCGUCCCAUCACAUUACUACUCAGAAGCAGCCGGCUAAAACACUCAGCGUACCAAGCCGUCCCUUGCCCACACCCAUUGGGGGGGACGCCCAGGAAUUAUCAAGUAUAUUUUUCAAAACGGUCACAUCCGUGCAGGGCACGCAGUGAAUACCUCAAGACAAAAAUGAGAUAUCAGUAAGGAUCAGAGGAAAGCCAAAAAUAGCCAGCGAAGUACAAGAUAUGGCCGACAGAAGCGACGUGAAGACUAGACAGAGAACGUCCAUCAAACGUCCAAUCAGUCGCAGAAGCAAAUAAAUUGCACUACCUAGCAAGAUAUGGAUGGAUUGCAAACUCGGCUGCUAAAGACAAAAUAUAUGCUGACCUCUGCAGCAAAAAAUUGAUGACAUAAUGCUGACCUCCAAAGCAUAAUACAAAUAGCUUCAUGCCAAUUUUUACAAGCAAAAGGAAGACCUUCGAAUGGAUUAUCCUUAAAGAAUCCAUUUGAAGGUCGGGGGCUACACCCAUUGGGUGCACCUCCGGAGCACCCAAUGAAAUUCAGAAUCCUACAAAUCGAAGUGCCGACCUCUAAGGCACAAGCACGAAACUAAGCUUCGGUCAAAUGAGUGAUUGGAGCAGGAGAAGACAGCAGGAAGUCGUUUUUCUUCAAAACACCCGCAAGUUGGACCUGGGAUCUUUAGGCUGAUUACCUCUAAAUUAACCCAAAGAUCGGGGGCUUGUUGGGGAUAGAUAUCCCCCGGGUCCACUAAAGGAGUAAAAGACCUCACGAAAGGCCCAAAGGCCCAAUAAAUCGUAAAGUCAUUCUUUCGUGGGCCUGGGGAGAGACAACCAACAAAGCAGAACGACGUGAGACCGGAUUAGUGCAAACCCGGAUGGCCCACAACGUCGAACGAGUGAAUCACAACAGAGACCCGACUUUCCCGCGCUGGAGCCCCCAUGCAACGGAGCCAUGCGAGGAUAAGUCGGCGAGGGUUACGUAGGGAUAAACUCAAGAGGUUCACUACCUUUCAGCUACUUGUUGUUAUCAUAUCCACGUGUACUGCCCCACGGUCGAGUAUAUAAGGCCUAGGGGACACCCCUUCAGAAGGAUGGACCCUAUCUUACUUAGCCACCCACCUCAACUCUCUGUGUUUUCAAUCCAGAGAGCCCUCUUGUAACCACAUACACAUACUCACCAGGACGUAGGGUGUUACGCAUCUCUAAGCGGCCCGAACCUGUAAAUCUUGUCCACUGUCCCUCGUGCGAUCGGCACGAACUAUUUUGCUAUAGUCGUCAACACCGUCCUACUCCUAAAACACCUUGAGGGGCAACCCCGGAUGUGCGGUCGGACCCAAAACACCGACAGAUUCCCCCCUCCCUCGGUCCAUCUGACUCACCGUUUCGCCAGCCCAGCUUCACACACACGCGACCAUUGUCCCACUGACAUGUGGCCUCGGUUUGCCGGUGACCUCACGUGUGCCCGGAUAACCCCAUUGCGCCGACAUGUGGGCCCAGGUGGCACACACACCCGCCUGGUUCCUUCGCACCGACAGCACGGUCCCAAAUGUCAACCAUUCGUCCAUCGCUUGUGUAUUCUCACUAAUGGUGACCGCAUGGGGCCCUGUGUGGCAGCCAGUCCAACCUCCCCCAUGCGUCCGUAUCGCUGGUUUGUGGGACCACCACUUGACGAACCAGCUUUAGCUCAGUGGACGCAACAAACCCGCCACUGUCCACCCAAGAUUCUCGUGCGCCAUCGUUAAUCCGAGCUCCGGAUUUGUAUCCUCUCGGUGUACAAAUAGCGAGUGCUAGCGUCAUUGUCUAUGGAUGGGAGAGAGAGAGGAUGAUGUACCGAGUGGACAGCAGCGGUCUCCAAGGGUAGGAGGGGAGAAUUGCCGCCACGAAGAAGACUCUAGCACACCCUCGUCUGAGCCCUGGCCUGUGUGUGCCGAUGUUCACUAGAGGUUAAGUAUGUCGUGCGUGGCAUCUUCGGUCAAGAAAGGUGACUACGGAGCUGACAAUUUCUCGACAGGCUUUGGGAAUCGUGCGCCGUCAUGAUCGCGCGCAACGACGGACUUCGUCACUGGUCAGUGCCCUAAUUGUGUUCGCAUGAUUCUUGGCUGGGUAUUAGGCGUUGUGGGUGUGAGAUUGGAGCACUGGGGUGCUACGACGCGGUGCUCCGACGAGGCCUCAACCGUGUGGGCGGAGGCUCGGCUGUUGCCGGCGGCUAUGGGUGGAAGAUGACCUGUGUGUUGUUGGAUCGUGGACAAACGACAGUGAUUUAAUCUUUCCAUACCCCUUUGUCUCGUAUAGAUCCAACCGUUGCGGGGUGAUCGGGUGGCGAAGAUUGGAUUGCGCCCAAAUUAAAUGUGGACCAUAGAUCUGAAAUCUGAUGCCCCUGGUUGCCUAUCGAUUUACAUCUAAUCUGGGCACUUGGUGAGUGAUCCAACGACUCAGAUCGUCCAAUACCCCUUCGACCGUGCGUAAUUUGUUAAAGAGUCCCUGGAUUUUUAUGGAACCAACCCGUGGUCCACCGCAAUAGAAGAACCAUCGCCAAUAGGUCCUAAACUUUAUGUUUUAAACCCUGGACUUGGUUAAAAUAAUGUCCACAGUCCACAGUUCUUGAAUUAAGUAAAAUAAUUUUGAGAAAAUGAUUUUUAGUAUAAAAAUAAUUCUAGAAACUUAUUUAAUUCAUAUUUAAUUCAUCUUAACUCCUUUUUGACCCAUUCCAGUUGCAUUAAAUUCAUAAUAAUGUUGUUUAUCAUCUAGUAACCUUAUUUUGUUAUGAAACAUAGGUUAAAGUUAUACACUUAGUUGGUUUUAUAUCGAACACCUAAAUCUUCGGAAAAUCAUAACUCUUUAGCCGUAAAUCCGAUUUUAGUGGUUCUCAAACCUAGGAUCUCGUCGUGAUGCGUAGAUCAAUAUUAUGCAGUUUGUUCUUAUGUUUGGUGUGAUGGUAAUUUUACCUAUACCAUGUUUGUUUGUAUUGCUACAAUUAGCAGCAAGGGUUACGAGAAUCUUGAAGACCAAGCUGGUACCUGGGAAUCUUAAGUCACAGGCAAGUUGUGCCCUUGAUCACUUUUCUUUACCUAAUAAUGUUCCUGUUAAUCACUGUGACAAGUGAAAGGGAAAUAUGCCCUUGGGCAAUUUCUAUUUUGUUUUGGUGAUUAUGUGCCCAACACAUUUAAAUAAGUUCUUAUGUGCUAAAUGAAGAGAGAAGUGCAAAUCGAAGAGAAGGUAUGUUUCUAGACUUAGUAUAUUGUUUUGAGUACUAACAUAUAUUGUCUAAGUGCUAGAAACAGAGAAAAGAAGAGUAGAAAAGAAAUGCAAAAGACUUGGCUUGGUAUAGCCAAAGUCUAGCUCGGCUUGGCACACCGGACAGUGUCCGGUGCACCAGGCCAACCUCUGGUGACUAGGCCACUCUCGGAAAAAAUCGGCGGCGUACGACUAUAAUUCACCGGACUAUCCGGUGGUGCACCAGACUGUCCGGUGGGCCAACGGCCGCCAGCGCAACGGUCGGCCGCGCAAUCCGCGGGCGACGCGUGGCCCACACCAACGGUCGGCAGGGGGCACCGCAUUGUCCGGUGUGCACCGGACUGUGUCCGGUGCGCCAACUGCCACGAAUCUGCAACGGUCAUCUGCGCCAGAACAGGAAGAAGAUCGGCACCGGACUGUCUAUAGUGAUUGUCCGGUGCGCCACCCGAUAGAAGGCAACUUUGGCCUUCCUUGUUGGUCUCCAACAGCUCCUAGCUGCCUUGGGACUAUAAAAGGGACCCUAGGCGCAUGGAGGAGUUACCCAAGCAUUCACUAAGCAUUCUAAGUCUCCCACACUCCGUCUUCGCGCACUUGAUCGAUUGUGUUAGUGAUUUGAGCUCUGUUCUAGUUGUGAACUCUUUGUGCUUCAUUUUGAGCUCAAGUCUUGGCUUGUGUGCGUGUGUGUGCUGCGGAUUUGUGUGUGUUGCUCCCCAACCUUACUCUUGUGCUUUCAUUGUGAUCUUUGUUGUAAGGGUGAGAGACUCCAACUUGUGGAGAUUCCUCGCAAACGGGAAAAAGAGAUAAGGAAGAAAAGUCGUGGUAUUCAAGUUGAUCAUCGGAUCACUUGAAAGGGGUUAAGUGCAACCCUCGUCCAUUGGGACGCCACAACGUGGAAGUAGGCAAGUGUUACUUGGCCAAACCACGGGAUAAAAUCGCGUGUCUCUUGUGUGCUUUCUCUUUGAUUAUGUGUGUUCACAAGAACUGGUUUCAAGCUACUUAGUCGUUCUAACUUUCAUAAUCAAGUUUUUGUGGCUAUUAGUGUUGAAUUUUACAGGAUCACCUAUUCACCCCCCCUCUAGGUGCUCUCAGUUGGUAUCAGAGUCAUUCUCUUCAUCUAAGGGACUAAUCGCCCGAAGAGAUGGAUUCUAAGGGAAAGGGGAUGGUGGUCAAUGACAAGGAGAAGGAGUCCCUCUUCAACGAGCCAAGGGACGACAAGCCCACAGACUCAGGAUCGAGUCAUAAGAAGAGGGACGGGAAGAAGAAGAGGCGGGUCAAGAAGAUCAUUUACUAUGACAGCGACGCCUCCUCUUCUUCACCUAGAGACGACGACGACGAUGACUCAUCUAAAAAGAAAUCGGUUAAUCAAAACUAUUCAUUUGAUUAUUCUCGUAUUCUGUUCAAUUCCAAUGCUCAUUUGCUUUCAAUUCCACUUGGCAAACCUCCACACUUUGAUGGAGAGGACUACUCUUUUUGGAGUCACAAAAUGCGUAGUCACUUAUUUUCUCUCCAUCCUAGUAUUUGGGAGAUAGUUUAAAAUGGAAUGCAUUUCGAUAGUACGGAUAACCCGGUGUUUAUUAAUGAACAAAUUCAUAAGAAUGCACAAGCUACCACUAUUUUGCUAGCAUCUUUGUGCAGGGAUGAAUACAACAGGGUGAGCGGCCUGGACAACGCCAAGCAAAUUUGGGAUACCCUCAAGAUAUCACACGAGGGAAACGACGCCACCAUGAUCACCAAGAUGGAGUUGGUGGAAGGCGAGCUAGGAAGGUUCGCGAUGAUUAGGGGAGAGGAGCCAACACAAACAUACAAUAGGCUCAAGACCCUGAUCAACAAAAUUAGAAGCUGUGGAAGCACAAGAUGGACGGACCACGACGUCGUUCGUCUAAUGCUAAGGUCAUUUACGGUAAUUGAUCCCCAUCUUGUAAACCUUAUUUGUGAGAAUCCUAGGUACACCAUGAUGACGCCCGAGGAGAUUCUUGGGAAGUUUGUGAGCGGGCGCAUGAUGGUGAAGGAGGCUCGAUAUGCGGACGAUGCUCUAAACAGUCCACUACCCGUCCACGAGCCUCAAACCAUUGCCCUUAAAGCAACCAGCAACAGGGAGACGCUACCAAGCAAGUGGCAUAAGUGGAGGCCGUGGGCCUCAACAAAGAUGAGAUGGCGCUUAUCAUCAAGCGCUUCAAGACCGCAUUGAAAGGAUGCAAGGAGCACCCCAACAAGAACAAAACAAAGGGAAAGCGCUCCUGCUUCAAAUGCGGUAAGACUGGUCACUUUAUAGCAAAUUGUCCCGAUAAUGAUAGUGACCAGGGACAAGAAAAGAGCGGGAAGAAGGAGAAGAAAAAGAGCUACAGGAAGGCAAAGGGCGAGGCACACCUCAGAAAGGAAUGGGACUCGGACUGCUCUUCCUCCGACUCCGAUGACGAAGGACUCGCUACCUCGGCCUUCAACAAGUCCUCUUUCUUCCCCAACGAACGCCACACUUGCCUCAUGGCCAAGGAGAAGAAGGUAAGUGUUUGAGAUACCCCUAAGUACACUACUUCUAGCAAUGAUGAUUCUAGUGAUGAUGAAGUAGAUUAUACUGAUUUAUUUAAGGGUUUAGAUAGAACUAAAGUAGAUAAAAUCAAUGAGUUAAUUGAUGCUUUAAAUGAAAAAGAUAGAUUGCUAGAGAAGCAAGAGGACAUUUUAUAUGAGGAGCAUGAUAAGUUUGUUAGUGUGCAAAAAUCUCUUGCUUUAGAAACUAAGAGAAAUGAAAUGCUAUCUUCUGAGUUAUCUGUCUGCUAUGAAUCUAUCUCUAGCUUAAAGAUUUUGAAUGAUGAUUUAAAUGCUAAGCUAGAGGUAGCUAAUAAACCUAGUUCAUGUGUAGAACAUGUUGUAAUUUGUAAUAGAUGCAAGGAUUUUAAUAUUGAUGCUUGUGAUGAAAAUCUUGCGUCUAUUACCAAAUUAAAUGAUGAGGUGGCAAGUCUUAAUGCUCAACUUAAGACUUGCAAGGUUGAUUUUGAUAAGUUAAAAUUUGCUAGGGAUGCCUACACCGUUGGUAGACACCCCUCAAUUAAGGAUGGACUUGGCUUUCGAAAGGAAGCCAAGAACUUAACAAGCCAAAGGGCUCUCAUUCCCAACAAGGAGAAAGGAAAGGCCCCUAUGGCUAGUAGUACUCAAAGGAAUCAUGCUUUCAUUUAUAAUGAUAGAAAAUUUUCUAGGAAUGCUCAUUAUAAUAGGAGUUAUGAUGCGUUUAAUUCACAUACUAUGUUAGCUUCUAGCUCUACUUUUGUGCAUGAUAGAAGUAAGCCUAGGAGAAAUCAUGUUGUGCAUCAUGUGCCUAGGAGAGUAUGUAAUGAACCUUCUACUAUUUACCAUGCUUGCAAUACUUCUUUUACAAUUUUUUGUAAGAAUGAAAAAGUAGUUGCUAGGAAGUUGGGAUCUAAAUGCAAGGGAGAUAAGACUUGUAUUUGGGUUCCAAAGGCUAUUGUGACUAACCUUGUAGGACCCAAUAAGAGUUGGGUACCUAAAACCCAAGUGUAAAUUACCUUGCAGGUUUAUGCAUCCGGGGGCUCAAGCUGGAUUAUCGAUAGCGGAUGCACAAACCACAUGACGGGGGAGAAGAAGAUGUUCACCUCCUACGUCAAGAACAAGGAUUCCCAGGAUUCGAUCAUCUUUGGAGAUGGGAACCAAGGCAAGGUUAAAGGAUUGGGAAAGAUAGCCAUUUCAUCUGAGCAUUCUAUCUCCAAUGUGUUCUUAGUUGAAUCGCUCGGAUACAACUUAUUAUCUGUGAGUCAAUUAUGUAACAUGGGUUAUAAUUGUCUAUUUACAAAUAUAGAUGUUUCUGUCUUUAGAAGGAGUGAUGGUUCAUUAGCGUUUAAGGGUGUAUUAGACGGUAAACUCUACUUAGUUGAUUUUUCGAAAGAGGAGGCCGAUCUAGAUGCAUGCUUAAUAGCUAAGACUAGCAUGGGCUAGCUAUGGCAUCACCGUCUAGCACAUGUUGGGAUGAAGAACCUUCAUAAACUUCUAAAGGGAGAACAUGUGUUAGGACUAACCAAUGUCUGCUUCGAGAAAGACAUACCUUGUGCAGCUUGUCAAGCAGGGAAACAAGUGGGAAGCACUCAUCACAGCAAGAAUGUGAUGACUACAUCAAGACCGCUGGAGCUUCUUCACAUGGACCUCUUUGGACCCGUCGCCUAUCUUAGCAUAGGGGAAAGUAAGUAUGGUCUGGUUAUAGUUGAUGACUUUUCCCGCUUCACUUGGGUGUUCUUUUUGCAGGAUAAAUCAGAAACCCAAGGGACCCUAAAGCGCUUUCUUAGGAGGGCUCAAAACAAAUUUGAGCUCAAGAUGAAAAAGAAAAGAAGCGACAACGGGUCUGAGUUCAAGAAUCUUCAAGUGGAGGAGUAUCUUGAGGAGGAAGGCGUCAAGCACGAGUUCUUUGCUCCCUACACACCACAGCAAAACGGUGUGGUAGAGAGGAAGAACAGGACGCUUAUCGACAUGGCAAGGACGAUGCUUGGAGAGUUCAAGACACCCGAGCGGAUUUGGUCGGAAGCUGUGAACACAGCUUGCCACGCCAUAAACCGGCUAUAUCUGCAUCGCCUCCUCAAGAAGACCCCCUACGAACUCCUUACCGGUAACAAACCUAAUGUAUCUUACUUUCGUGUAUUUGGGAGCAAAUGCUACAUUUUGGUGAAGAAAGGUAGACAUUCCAAAUUUGCUCCCAAAGUUGUAGAAGGGUUUUUACUAGGGUAUGACUCAAAUACAAAGGCGUAUAGAGUCUUCAACAAAUCAUCGGGUUUGGUUGAAGUCUCUAGCGACGUUGUAUUUGAUGAGACUAAUGGCUCUCCAAGAGAGCAAGUUGAUCUUGAUGACAUAGAUGAAGAUGAUGUUCCAACGGCCGCAAUACACACCAUGGCGAUUGGAGAUGUGCGACCACAGGAACAACAAGAGCAAGAUCAACCUUCUUCCUCAACAAUGGUGCACCCCCUACUCAAGAUGAUGAAUAUGUUUCUCAAGAAGAGGCGCGUGAUCAAGGGGGAGCACAAGAAGAACAAGUUAUGGAGGAAGAAGCACCACUGGCCCCUCCAACUCAAGUCCGAGCGACGAUUCAAAGAAAUCACCCCGUCGAUCAGAUUCUGGGUGACAUAAGCAAGGGAGUAACAACUCGCUCACGUUUAGCUAAUUUUUGUGAGCAUUACUCGUUUGUCUCUUCUAUUGAGCCUUUCAGGGUAGAAGAGGCCUUGCAAGUGAAAGGGAAAUGUGCCCUUGGGCCAUUUCUAAGUAUUUUGAUGAUUAAGUGCAAACACAAGUGAACUUAUGCUAAGUAAUGGACAAAGUGCAAAUCAAGGGUAAAGGUAUGUUUCUAUGACUUAGUACAUUGUUUUAGAGACUAAUGUAUUAUGUCUAAGUGCUGGAAACAGGAAAAAUCAAGUUGAAAUUAAAGAUGGCUUUGUUCAGCCAAAGUCAGCUCAGUCUGCGUGCACCGGACUGUCCGGUGGUGCACCGAACAGUGUCCGGUGCGCCAGGCUGACUCAGGCGAACUUGCUGCUCUCGGGAAGCAAUUAACGGCGUACGGCUAUAAUUCACCGGACUAUUCGGUGUGCACCGGACUGUCCGGUGAGCCAACAGUCGGCUGGGCCAACGGUCGGCCGCGGAAUCCGCGCGUGACGCGUGGCAAGGGCCAACGGCUAGAAGGGGGCACCGGACUGUCCGGUGUGCACCGGACAGUGUCCGGUGCGCCAACGGCUCCAAAGCGCCAACGGUCGGCUUCGCCAAAGAAGGAAAGAAAUCCGCACCGGACAGUGUCCGGUGGUGCACCGGACUGUCCGGUGCGCCAGGCGACAGAAGGCAAGAAUUGCCUUCCUGGAAUGCACUCAACGGCUCCUAGCUGCCUUGGGGCUAUAAAAGGGACCCCUAGGUGCAUGGAGGAGAAAACCAAGCAUUCUCUAAGCAUUCCUAAGCACCAAGACUUCGAUUUCGUGCAUUUGAUUCUUUGUGAUAGCAAUUAGAGCUCCAUUUGAGUUGUGAACUCGCUGGGUUGUGUUGUGAGCUCUUGUUGUGACUUGUGUGCGUGUUGGUACAUUGAUUUCGUGUCUUUUGUGCGUUGCUCAUCCCUCCCUUACUCCAUGCUUCUUUGUGAACAUCAAAGUGUAAGGGCGAGAGGCUCCAAGUUGUGGAGAUUCCUCGCAAGCAGGAUAUAGUAAAGUGAAAGCAAAACACCGUGGUAUUCAAGUGGGUCUUUGGACCGCUUGAAAGGAGUUGAUUGCAAUCCUCGUCCGUUGGGACGCCACAACGUGGAGUAGGCAAGUGUUGGACUUGGCCGAACCACGGGAUAAACCACUGUGCCAUCUCUGUGUUGAUCUCUUUGUGGUUAUCGUGUUGUGCAAGUUCUCCUCUCUAGUCACUUGGCUUAUUCGUGCUAACUCCUAAUCAAGUUUUGUGGAUUAAGUUUCAAGUUUUUACAAGAUCACCUAUUCACCCCCCUCUAGGUGCUCUCAAUUGGUAUCGGAGUCGUUCUCUUCAAGAAAGGGACUAACCGCCCGAAGAGAUGGAUCCUAGGGGCAAGGGGAUGGUGGUCAACGAUAAGGAGAAGGAGUCCUUUGUCAAUGAUCCAAAGGAGGACAAGCCUACUAACUCGGGCUCGAUCCACAAAAGAAAAGAUGGGAGGAAGAAGAAAACAAGGCGCAUCAAAGAGAUAGUCUACUACGACAGCGACGAAUCCUCUUCUUCCCAAAAAGAUGACGACAACGACUAUGAGAAAAAGAAGACGGUUAAUUCAAACUUCUCUUUCGAUUAUUCUCAUAUUCCUCAAAGUACCAAUGCUCAUUUACUCUCCAUUCCACUUGGUAAACCUCCUCAUUUUGAUGGAGAGGACUACAGAUUUUGGAGUCACAAAAUGCGUAGUCACUUGUUCUCUCUCCAUCCUAGUAUAUGGGAGAUAGUAGAGAGUGUAAUGAAAUUUGAUAGCUCGGAUAGUCCUUUAUUUAUCAAUGAACAGAUUCAUAAAAAUGCACAAGCUACUACUGUGUUGUUAGCCUCAUUGUGCAGGGACGAGUACCAUAAGGUGAGCGGCUUGGACAAUGCCAAGCUGAUCUGGGACACCCUCAAGAUCUCACGUGGGAGGAACAACGUCACCAUGCUCACCAAGAUGGAGUUGGUGGAGGACGAACUCGGGAGAUUCGCGAUGAUCAGGGGGGAGGAGCCAACCCAAACUUACAACAGGCUCAAGACCCUCGUCAAUAAGAUAAGGAGCUAUGGAAGCACGUGAUGGACGGACCACGACGUCGUCCGCCUAAUGCUAAGGUCCUUUACUGUCCUUGAUCCACAUCUUGUCAACAAUAUUUGUGAGAAUCCCAGGUACACCAAGAUGUCGCCCGAAGAAAUUCUUGGGAAAUUUGUAAGUGGGCGGAUAAUGAUCAAGGAGGCGAGAUACGUGGAUGAUGCAUUGAAUGGCCCAAUCCACGAGCCUCAAACCGUUGCUCUCAAAGCGACAAGGAGCAAGGAGGCACUACCUAGCAAGGUGGCGCAAGUUGAGGCGGCCGGGCUUAAUGAGGAAGAAAUGGCCCUUAUCAUCAAGCGAUUCAAGACGGCGCUAAAAGGUCGCAAGGAGCACCCCAACAAGAACAAGACGAAGAGGAAGCGCUCCUGCUUCAAAUGUGGUAAGAUUGGUCAUUUUAUCGCUAAUUGUCUCGAUAAUGAUAGUGACCAGGAAAAGAAGAGUGGAAAGUGGGAAAAGAAGAAGAACUACAAGAAGGCGAAGGGCGAGGCACAUCUUGGAAAGGAGUGGGAUUCAGACUGCUCCUCGUCCGACUCCGACAACGAAGGACUCGCCGCCACCGCCUUCAACAAGUCAUCCCUCUUCCCCAACGAGCAUCACACAUGCCUCAUGACAAAGGAGAAGAAGGUAUGUACUCGAAACAAUACUACUUAUGCUUCUUCAAGCGAGGAUGAGUCUAGUGAUGAUGAUGAAAUAGACUAUUCAUGCUUAUUCAAGGGAUUAGAUAGAACAAAAAUUGAUAAGAUUAAUGAAUUGAUUGAUGCUUUGAAUGAUAAGAAUAGAUUACUAGAAAAACAAGAGGACCUUUUAUAUGAAGAGCAUGAUAAAUUUGUUAGUGCACAAAAUUCUCUUGCUCUAGAAGUUAAAAGGAAUGAAAUGCUCUCUUGUGAACUAUCCACUUGUCAUGAAACCAUUUCUACUUUAAAAAGUGUGAAUGAUGAUUUAAAUGCUAAACUAGAAGUAGCAAGUAAAUCUAACUCUUGUGUAGAACAUGUUAUGAUUUGCAAUAGGUGCAAAGAUUUUAAUGUUGAUGCUUGUAGUGAACACCUAGUUUGCAUUUCUAAAUUAAAGGAUGAAGUGGCUAGUCUCAAUGCCCAACUUAAGACUAGCAAGAGUGAAUUUGACAAGCUAAAAUUUGCAAGGGAUGCCUACACGAUUGGUAGACACCCCUCAAUUAAGGAUGGUCUUGGCUUCAAGAGGGAAGUCAAGAACUUAACAAGCCAUAAGGCUUCCAUCUCCGCCAAGGAGAAAGGGAAGGCUCCUAUGGCUAGUAGUGCUCAAAAGAACCAUGCCUUCAUGUAUCAUGAUAGGAGACAGUCUAGAAAUGGUUAUAGAAGUUAUGAUGCUUUUGAUUCUUAUGCCAUGGUUGCUUCUAGUUCUUCUAUUAUGCAUGAUAGAAAUUUAGCUAGGAGAAAUGUUAUUAAUCACAUGCCUAGAAGAAAUGUUGUUCAUGUGCCUAGGAAAACAAAUAGUGAACCUUCUACAAUUUAUUAUGCUUUAAAUGCUUCCUUUGCUAUUUGUAGAAAGGAUAAGAAGAUAGUUGCUAGAAAAUUAGGAGCAAAAUGCAAGGGAGAUAAAACUUGCAUUUGGGUCCCUAAGGCUAUUUGUACUAACCUUGUAGGACCCAACAUGAGUUGGGUACCUAAGACUCAAGCCUAAAUUUGCCUUGCAGGGUUAUGCAUCCGGGGGCUCUAGCUGGAUUAUCGACAGCGGAUGCACAAAACACAUGACGGGGGAAAAGAGGAUGUUCUCUUCCUACGUCAAGAACAAGGAUCCCCAAGACUCAAUCAUAUUCGGUGAUGGGAACCAAGGCAAGGUUAAAGGCUUAGGCAAGAUUGCAAUCUCAAAUGAGCACUCUAUUUCUAAUGUAUUCUUAGUUGAGUCGCUUGGAUAUAAUUUGUUAUCCGUAAGUCAAUUAUGUAAUAUGGGAUAUAAUUGUCUAUUCACAAAUGUAGAUGUGUCUGUCUUUAGAAGAAGUGAUGGUUCAUUAGCUUUUAAGGGUGUAUUAGACGGCAAACUCUAUUUAGUUGAUUUUGCAAAAGAGGAGGCCGGUCUAGAUGCAUGCUUAAUUGCUAAGACUAGCAUGGGCUGGCUAUGGCAUCGCCGCUUAGCACAUGUGGGGAUGAAGAACCUUCACAAGCUUCUAAAGGGAGAACACGUGAUAGGUCUAACUAAUGUUACUUUCGAAAAAGAUAGACCUUGUGCAGCUUGUCAAGCAGGGAAACAAGUGGGAAGCUCUCAUCACGCCAAAAAUGUGAUGACAACAUCAAGACCCCUGGAGUUACUUCAUAUGGACCUCUUCGGACCAGUCGCCUAUCUAAGCAUAGGAGGAAGUAAGUAUGGUCUUGUUAUAGUUGAUGAUUUUUCCCGCUUCACUUGGGUAUUCUUUUUGCAGGAUAAAUCUGAAACCCAAGGGACCCUCAAGCGCUUCCUAAGGAGAGCUCAAAACGAGUUUGAGCUCAAGGUGAAGAAGAUAAGGAGCGACAAUGGGUCCGAGUUCAAGAACCUUCAAGUGGAGGAGUAUCUUGAGGAGGAAGGAAUCAAGCACGAGUUCUCCGCUCCCUACACACCACAACAAAAUGGUGUGGUAGAGAGGAAGAACAGGACGCUUAUAGACAUGGCGAGGACGAUGCUUGGAGAGUUCAAGACCCCCGAGCGAUUUUGGUCGGAAGCCGUGAACACGGCUUGCCACGCCAUCAACCGGGUCUACCUUCAUCGCCUCCUCAAGAAGACUUCGUAUGAGCUACUAACCGGUAACAAACCUAAUGUUUCGUAUUUUCGAGUUUUUGGGAGUAAAUGCUACAUUCUAGUGAAAAAGGGUAGGAAUUCCAAAUUUGCUCCCAAAGCGGUAGAAGGGUUUUUGUUAGGUUAUGACUCAAAUACAAAGGCGUAUAGGGUCUUCAACAAAUCAUCGGGUUUGGUUGAAGUCUCUAGCGACGUUGUAUUUGAUGAGACUAAUGGCUCUCCAAGAGAGCAAGUUGUUGAUCUUGAUGAUGUAGAUGAAGAAGACGUUCCAACGGCCGCAAUACGAACCAUGGCAAUUGGAGAUGUGCGGCCACAAGAACAAAAUGAGCGAGAUCAACCUUCUUCCUCAACAAUGGUGCAUCCCCCAACUCAAGACGAUGAAUAGGUUCAUCAAGAGGAGACGUGUGAUCAAGGAGGAGCACAAAAUGAUCAAGUAUUGGAGGAAGAAGCACAACAGACACCUCCAACUCAUGUCCGAGCGAUGAUUCAAAGGGAUCAUCCCGUCGACCAGAUUUUGGGUGACAUUAGCAAGGGAGUAACUACUCGGUCUCGAUUAGUUAGUUUUUGUGAGCAUUACUCCUUUAUCUCUUCUAUUGAGCCUUUCAGGGUAGAGGAGGCCUUGCUAGAUCCGGACUGGGUGUUGGCCAUGCAAGAAGAGCUCAAUAACUUCAAGAGGAAUGAAGUUUGGACACUAGUGCCUCGUCCCAAGCAAAAUGUUGUGGGAAUAAAGUGGGUGUUCCGCAACAAACAAGACGAGCACGGGGUGGUGACAAGGAACAAGGCACGACUUGUGGCAAAAGGUUACGCCCAAGUCGCAGGUUUGGACUUUGAGGAGACUUUUGCUCCUGUGGCUAGGCUAGAGUCCAUUCGCAUUUUGCUAGCAUAUGCCGCUCACCAUUCUUUCAGGUUGUUCCAAAUGGAUGUGAAGAGCGCUUUCCUCAACGGGCCAAUCAAGGAGGAGGUGUACGUGGAGCAACCCCCUGGCUUCGAGGAUGAAUGGUACCCCGACCACGUGUGUAAGCUCUCUAAGGCGCUCUAUGGACUUAAGCAAGCCCCAAGAGCAUGGUAUGAAUGCCUUAGAGACUUUUUAAUUGCUAAUGCUUUCAAGGUUGGGAAAGCCGAUCCAACUCUUUUUACUAAGACAUGUGAUGGUGAUCUUUUUGUGUGCCAAAUAUAUGUCGAUGACAUAAUAUUUGGUUCUACUAACCAAAAGUCUUGUGAAGAGUUUAGCAGGGUGAUGACUCAAAAGUUUGAGAUGUCGAUGAUGGGCGAGUUAAGCUAUUUCCUUGGGUUCCAAGUGAGGCAACUCAAGGAUGGGACCUUCAUCUCCCAAACGAAGUACACGCAAGACUUGAUCAAGCGGUUUGGGAUGAAGGACGCCAAGCCCGCAAAGACUCCAAUGGGAACCGACGGACACACCGACCUCAACAAAGGAGGUAAGUCUGUUGAUCAAAAGGCAUACCGGUCUAUGAUAGGGUCUUUACUUUAUUUAUGUGCUAGUAGACCGGAUAUUAUGCUUAGUGUAUGCAUGUGUGCUAGAUUUCAAUCUGAUCCAAGGGAGUGUCACUUAGUGGCCGUGAAGCGAAUUCUUAGAUAUUUAGUCGCUACGCGUUGCUUCAGGAUCUGGUAUCCAAAGGGGUCUACCUUUGACUUGAUUGGAUAUUCAGACUCCGACUAUACUGGAUGUAAGGUCGAUAGGAAGAGUACAUCGGGGACGUGCCAAUUCUUAGGAAGGUCCCUGGUGUCAUGGAGUUCUAAGAAACAAACUUCCGUUGCCCUAUCCACCUGAAAGUUGCCUAGAGGGGGGUGAAUAGGCAAGUUAAAAUAAUUUCAACUAAAACUAGAAGCAAACUGGGUAAAACUGAAUUGAUCUCGAAAUUCACCCAGUUAACUCUAGAAAUGAGAUGUUCUAAAUGAUCCACAGGGUUCAAAGUAGUAGAUCUGAGAAGGGCACUUCUCAAAAUCCACACACCAAAAAGAUAUAAACAAAUCUUCCACGCAAUGGUGAGAGAACGAAGAACACAAACAAACACAAUGAGCAAGAACACAAGAGACACAAGAUUUAUCCCGAGGUUCGGUCACACCACCAAGGUGCCCUACUUCCUCGUUGAGGCGCCCACAAAGAGUCGGGUCUCUUUCAACCCUAAUCCUCCCUUUGCCGACCACAAAGGUCAAGCCCACACAAUAAUCUUUGCUCAAAUGAGCGGGUAAUACAAACUUUCUUGUGGUCUUCCACAAGAUUUGGAGACUCACAAGAGACACCUAGUCGUUUAGGAGCUAGAAGCUCCAAGAGUAAUGAAUCCACAAAGAACUCGAUGUAGUACCAAAGCUCGAAUGAAGAAGAGCAAGAGAGAUUUGGAGAUAAAGCACAAAAACCGCAGCUCUCAAACUCACUCAAAGAUUUCUCUCCAAAGAUUUGAAAUGGGAGAGGCAAGAGGUGUGUGAGAGAGAGUGGGAGGUGUUUCUCAGGUUGGGAAUGAAGUUUUGUGCGUGCUCUACUGUGGGGAAGAGUGUGGGAGGUGUAUAUAAAGGUGCCCCAAAAGCUGGUGACCGUUAGGGAAAUCUGACUGAAAUUCGGUUGAACCGGUUUCAAAUUCGGUUGAACCGGAUUCCACCAGUCGGUUUUCGGUUCACUGGCGGACUCAGCCGGAGACUGGACCGGACUCAAAUUCGGUUCAACCGGUUUCAAAUUCGGUUCAACCGGUUUCAAAUUCGAUUGAUCCGGAUUCAAAAUUCGGUUCAACCGGUUUCAAAUUCGGUUGAACCAGAUUCAAAAUUCGGUUGAACCGGUUUUCCAAAAAUCUGCACACGACUUUUUCUAACAGGACUGACUGCAGACUGGCAGUGACAGAGGGGAACAGUGCAGAAACCGGUUGAACCGGUUUUAGGUCCGGUUGAACCGGUUUUUGAACUGUUGCACAGAUUUUGAGAAAACCGAAGUGAAACCAGGGUAAAAUGGAAGUUUUAGAUCAAGGAUUUUGAGCUUUAGUACCAACACCAACCUUCUUUUUGGAUCCCCCUUGAUAGUACGACGAUUCCUAUACUCAAGUUAAAUAAAAUAUAAUUAAGUAAACUCCUUGAGUAAUUGGUGUCUCAUGUGAUUUCUCCAUGAUGUUGCUUCAUAAGGAUCACAAACAUCUUUGUCUCACCUUUUGAAGCAAACACAAAUCAAGCCUGUCACUUAUGCCAUUUCACCAUAUAUGAGUUUAAAUCAUGGCUUCAAGUCACCUUACUGAUGCAUCAACAUGUUGUAACUCUUCAUAGCUGAUUAGUUCAUCGACUUAGUGCAAGUACUCUCUUCUUCACCUUAGCCAUGGUACCUCGAUCUACAAGUCGUCGCUUGGCCUUCACCUUCGCUUAGUUCCUCGAAGCCCUUUCCUUGCUAUCUUCACCCUAUCAAGCCAUUCUUGAGUCACAUCCUAUUGAGCAUCCAUUGAGAGAAUCAUUUCUUCAAUAUUGUGAACCUUGCUUGAAUGUCAUCUAGAUAUAACUGCUAAGAUCAAUCAAGCUCUAGUUUGAUUCUCAUAGAAGCAUAUAUGGACUGAUAGUAAUAUGGUCAAGCCAAUUCACGAUUCCUCAUAUCUUAUUCACUUUGGCUUGACCUAUCCUCUUAAUCACUUCAUCCUCUAUUCUGAUCAUAUGUAUGUAGUGAUUUCUCGGGUCUUGUCCAUAUAUUCAAACCAAUAUAGAGAUCAUAUAAUAUCCAUUUGCAUUGUCUCAUUGGUUAUUUAACAUCGUGUUGAACCUUCAUUCACUGAUCAUUAUACACUAUUCAAGUAUGUUCAUCAUACUGAAUUUCCUGUUCAACACUUAGCAAACUCGUUAGACCUUUAAAUGUGUUGUUAUCCAAAUCAUCAAAACUCACAAAAGGGAUGAAUGCACUUUCAAUCUCCCCCUUUUUGGUGAUUGAUGACAACACAUUUAAAGCUUACAUAAGAUUUGAUAAAUAAGAUUUUGAAUCCUAUGAUAUAGUUUCCUCCCCCUAAAUAUGUGCAUUUCAGAAAAUAACACUUUUGUACUCAAAUGCCAAAAGCACAUAUUUGGGUCAAAGUAUGGAGACAACUUAUAUUAUACUAUUCAUGAGGUGCAGUGUGUCAUAAAAUAAACGUGAUGCUCAUAACAUAGUAUGCACUCAUCAAUUUUCUACAUCUUAUGUUUUUCUUAUGAUUCCCCCUUUUUGUUAAUUAUAUCUCCCCUUCUUAAAAGUCUUCUAACACUUAGUUACAUAAGACUAAAGGUAAGCUUUAAUGCAAAAUUUCUCCCCCUUUGUCAUAAAUCUCCAAAAAGGAUACAAAGAAUAUAAAGGGUAGAAAUUAUGAUUAAGCAAGAUGGGAACACACUAUUAUGAAAAGGGUCCUUAGAUGGCACAAAGGUAAUGGAGAAGUGACAUGAAGUGAUGUACCUUUGCAUUUUUACCUUUUCAAGGGGAGUUCCAAACUUGUGUUGGAUUUAGAAUUCAUUUGCAAGCUCUUGUUGGCAUAAUUGUGAUAUAGGUCCAAGAUAUUAAAUGAAGAUUGUCAUACUAAAUUGAAGGUGAAGCUUGAUACCUGGAGGCUAGAUGUCACCUAGCAUUUUCUUAUCACAACAAGAGGCAACAUGACAAUUGCACAAGUAUGGAUUCUACAACUAGUGAUCAUGUACUAAAAAUAUCAAUUGAAAAACACCAAUUGAAUAUAAUCAUACAACAUAAGGAACAUGUGCACUAUUUAAUCAAUUAAGUUCUAGAAAGGAGAAUUUAUAAGCUAUGCUACUUUAGACAUUUGCAAUCCAAAAGGAUAUGAUACAUAUUUACCAAUUUUAGAUGACAUAAGAUGUGACAGAACCUCCCAAGUAAUUAGGCCCACCUACAGUUGUCCUUGUCCAACAGACAUCAGACACCCUGUAGAUGUUCCUAAGUCACUUGACAAGUUCGGUAUCUUUCCUUACCUUACCAGGAACGUUUCACCCGUCUUGCAGACAUUACAGAACAUCGGAGUUAUAGAAGUGCGGAAGCAAUUACAUAAACUUACAUUUAUUUAGAAAGUAAGAUCAAGUUACUUAUUACAGACCAGAGCUAUAAACGAGUGCUGAGUAGUAUUAUUAUUACACAUAUCAAGGGAGACAAAAACUCCUCCCGAUAGCUUUAAAACAAAAAGAUCCUAUAUGGAGGACCACGUCCUCCCGCAUCUUCACUCUUGCUUUUCUUCAUUUGAUACCACCUUGGAGCAAAAGCAACAAAAAUUUGUCGCUUCCUCACCUAAAAACAACAAAGGGAUAAACCCUGAGUAUGAAAUUACUCAGCAAGUCUUACCCGACUAAGGAAAAGACUCUCAAGGGUAUGCUGGAUAAAUAGGAGUCAAGGAGAGGCUUUAGCAAGAAUCAACUUAGAUACUUUUGCAGAAAUAGCUUACUAAAGUGGGUCCUUACUUUCAAUAUUUUAACGCCAGAUUAAAUAUUUAAUAGACUCUGUUUGCAUCAAGUCUAAUUUCAUCAUCUCAUCAAUACAACAUCAUUUUUAUCCAUAGUGUUCACAUCUUGACUUAGGUUGUAGGUCGGAGCUCAAGUCUCCACUGUCCGGGGAUAUAACGGCGAUCCGAAUCGAUUUACUCAGCUGAGGAUUUCUAACCACACGACAUAUGUUUCUCGUAAACCUUGAUGUCUACUAUUCCCACGGAUCCUCCACUGCAUGAACAGGUCCGCGCCACCCGAGAGUACACCACCCCUUUUAGGCGAUCCGUUGCCAGGAGGGUACGUGCCACUCUCGCCAUCUCUCCACGCCCAGUGCGCGAUUGUCUUUUCAUGUAUGGAAUAGCCGGGUUCAAGCUUACCCUGUCCCAUUCUCAGGGCAUGUGGCUAGAUAAGAUAGUCCUUGAUCAACAGGCCUACAUACGCAUCCAAUCCUUAAUUGACCCGGGCGGAGCAUCACCUGUUCCUAGCCCAAGUCUCGAUUUAAGUAUUUCCAUCCUUAGGAUUGUGUCUGUUCCUUAGGAUGAAAGAGCAUCACAGGGAACUUUGCAGUAAGAUCCCAUUAUUGCUCCAAAUGAAAAUAUUCUUGCAGGUAGAAGCCAUCCUUUCUCGAGUUAAAUUAAGGACAACCUCUAUCCACAAGAUCUAAGCAAGGCUAAGCAUUUUUGUAAAUCAUAUUUUGAUACUUCACAGAAGUAUCUAUAAAGGUAUGGAUAUCAAGGAAAGCAAUGCAUCAAAGGGUUUCAAGCAAUUCCUAUGAACCUAAUGCACAUUUCACUAGACUUAAGUGUGCGAAAAGUAUUUAAAAACACAAGGAAAGGGGUUGCAUGCACCGGGGCUUGCCUUCGUUAGUAGGUGAGUCAGGCUCGGACUCGCAGUUGUCGAAGUAGAGCCAAGUCCUUGGCCGAGAUUCCAAAGGUGGCGGUGUCUUUUCUUCAGUCACUUCACCCUCUUCUCCGUUUUCUAAAUAUAACCAUAUAGGUAUAUAUAUAAGAAUGAAUGCCAUGUAAUGCAAACUAUCACAAAGAGAGGUGGAGAACAGAAACACUACAACUAAAGCACAUGACAAGAAUACACCUAUUUCUUAUCGCUCGAUUAAAGUGACCAAUUUGAAUUCACUUAGGCAAACAAGGGAAUUAAUCUAACUUAUAUCUCAUCCAAAAUCUUAAAACUUCUUAAGCAACUUCCUCUCUUCCCUAGAUAAACUUAUCUCCUUUCCAAAGGCGUGGAGAGUAUCACUGACUUACAUAGAUCACGAUGCUCGCGCGAGGUUGAUCGGGGAAAACGUGAGUUGUAUGGUUUGCGGUGGAGCUACCCACAACGCCAGAUCACGGCGACAUGCCCCUGUUCCGGCCCAAGCACGACAUUAGUGUUAGGGAAAACAGCUCGGUGAGCUUCACUGAUAUGGAACAGGCACAACACAGACCAAUACUUGCCUGAACUAGCCUGGCCACGGCGAGGUGACAAAUUGGUAGGCGUGGUCACAACUCAUAGGAGUUUGGCGCGUGCAGCCCUGGACAGAGCACACUGAUGGCUGGGGAAAGGAGAAGCUACACGAACCUGAAGGCACAGCGACCACCUGCUGCAAGGAACUCAGGGAAAGAAGUUCACUGAACCAUGUCUCUUAUGGCAGCUAAAGCGGGGCAGGUGUCCCUGGACUUGCACAAAUUCAGUGCAAAUGUAUUCCCAGUGUGCCAGCAGUACAUGGACAUCCCCUACGUGUCUUUCAUGCCCAAGUUCCUCACAGAUGCACAGACACACCCAUAACACUGAACCUAGUCAGCACUUUCAGCCCAAAAUAUCAACUUGUCCAAUUACUCAAAUAGGGAAUAGAGCAGAUAAGGUUCACUGAAGCAGAUAUUUUUUUUUCAGUCCAAACUUUAGAUAUUUCGGUGAUGGCCAAGGUUCUGAAUAUCCCUGCGAUUCCCUCAUCUCUAUCUUAAUCUUUUACAUCAGUGGAGCACGGCAAGGGAAAAGAUCAGUGGCAGAUAUUUCUGUUCAUCCGGAUCUACUGUACUCAACUGACCCCCCCCCCCCCCCCCCCUCCCCCCCCCCCCCCCCCUCCUCUCUCUCUGUUCAGCCACCUGUUUCUCUCUAUAUUUGUUAAGAACAACUUAGUCUCUGUUAACAGAACUUGUUCGCUAAUCAAAGAUCUUCAAAGUUACUAUAGGGUUCUUAGACUCAAACUUCAUAAAUCCAAAGUUAUGGUGCCCAAAAAUCAACUAUAUUACACUGGUAGCUUUUUUUCUGGUCUGAACUUCGAAUUCCAGUCAACAGUCCCCAUCUGAUUUCUCCUUUUGACAGAGGCAGUUUAAGCAUCAUUAUCUCCUAAAUUUAUGUGACAGCAAGCGAGGCCCUCAUAAUAAAACUUGCUCAAGAAUACUAGCUCUCCAACUUUGCUUACACUAAAUUUGUUCCUAAUCACAUAGGAUAGUUUCUGUAAGGCCCCAAAGUUGACUCAACAUACAGAAAUUCAGAGUUAGCCACUCUGGUCGACAGUCAGAAUUCACUAGUCUGACAGCACAACUUGGAACAGCUUUUUCUUCCAGGUUUAUGUGGAACCAAGUCCACAUCACUAUAUAAAACUUGUUCACUGUACUUUGGUCUUCAAAUUUGAUACAGAAAAUUUAUCCCAAAACCAAAUGUAUUAGCCACAAAUGAGCUCCAAAAUCAGUACCUUUUACUGAAUUUCAGUUUCAGUGAACUGAACAAAAUUUCAGUCGAAGCAACCUGACAGCCCAUCUUGGAGCUAACUUCUCUCCCAAAUUUGUGUAGCACCAACCCAGCAGUGCUUGAACAAGUUUGUUCUCCUAGAUAUGGUCUUAAAACUUGCUGCAGAAACUUUGGUUCAAAACCACCUAGAACAGGCACUACACAGCUCCAAAACUGCACUAAAAAUAUUGAUUUCAGACUUUCAGUUCUGAAUAAACUAAGUCACCAACCACCCGACAGUCAAACUUUGAGCAGCUGUUACUCCAAUUUUCGUAUAGGAUCAUGUCCAUCACCUUUAAAGAAGUUGUUCACCAAUAUAUGGUCUUUAAUUCCUCUAUAGAAACCUCAGUCCAAAACCUUAUAGAACAACCACAAAAGGGCUCCAAACUUGGCACCAUACAACAAAUUUCAGAUUUCAGAACUGAACCAAAUUCAGUUAUAGGAAUGCCUAGCAGCUGAUCUUUGGGGGCAUUUUUAUCCACUUUUUAUGUGGGAACAAGCCAAAGUCACUUAAAGAAACUUGUUCACCAUCAUAUGGGCUUCAACUUCUCUAUAAAUACCAUAGCACAAAACAUUACAGAACAUCCACAAACCAGGUCCAAAACUGCUAUCCACACUGAAAUUCAGUUACUGUUUCCAAUCUGAAAAUUCAGAAACACAGCAGCACCACUUUAAACCACUCUUUUGCCUGGAUUACAAAUGUUUCUAGGGGCAAGUUGCUUAAUAAAGUUUAUACUACUAUAGCUCCUCUACAAGUUUGAUAUAGUAACCAUUAACCAAAACCUCUUGGAUUCCAAACUACAAUAGCCCAAAGUUUGCUCCAAUUGCUGAAAUUCAGAAUCUGAAUUUCACUAAGUCUGAAAUCUACAAUUUCUGACAGCUCUACUUGGGACUAGUUUUUCUCCAAGUUCCAUAGAGUGUUAGGGCUAGGUGACUUAACCAAACUUAUACUCCUCAUGUAGCUCUAUGACUUUGUUAUAAUGAUCAUCUUCAAAAUGGUUUUAGAUCAGAAGUUACAAGGGUCCAAAGUUGUCUAGUUUAUAUUAUUUUCAGCAAUUCCAAAAUGAACCCAAAACUGAAUUUUUGUACUUAACUCCAAAUUCUUCCACACAACUUAUGAAUCUCCAAAUAAGAAAUAUAUCCACUUUUCCAAGCUCUACAACUUUGAUAUAUGGACUUUUAGCUAAAUCCUUCUAGAUCUUGAAUUCCCCUUUUGGGCUAGUUUUAGGGUUUCAAAUGAGUUUCAUUUGUGUUUCAGCUUCUUCUAGGGAUUCAUCCCUUUGAUCCCUCCACCUAGAGCAAAGUUACACUCUAGCUCAAGAUCCAAUCUUUGAUACACAUAGCUCAUAUCCAAAAUGUCCUGGUUUAGAAUUUUCUUUACUUAACCAUCUAUUCCAAGCAAAGCUCAAGUUAAGGUUUGGAGUUAUUCUAGCUUCUUAAGUGCUUCUUCCACUUGACCAUCAUUCCAAAACAAGGCUACUCUAGGCUCUAAGACUUACCUUUAACAUUUAAGACUCCAAGUCAAUUUGUUACUUGCUCAAGAGAUGAUCUUCCCUCAUUUUGCUUAAAACAGGUCCUUAACUAAGUCCACUACUCAACACACAACAUCACACUUUUUGUAAAGUUUUAACCUAGUAAAUGCAUUCUAGGUGUAACAAGCACAUUAAUGCAGAUGCUUAUGAUGACAUGUCAGAGUUUUAGUUUACGUAACACCAGGGGUGUUACAUAAGAGUAGCAUAUACAAGAGAAACUCAUUCUCUUAUGAAAUGUAUAAAAGAUACAUUUAUUGGCGCAAAGAAUCUUUGAUACCCAUCAAAAAUUUGCAGUGGAAGCGAUUGUCUUUGCCCGAAGGUUCCUUUCUAAUUUGAGACUACACACAUAAUAGACUUGAAAAUGAAGUUAGUCUCAAAGAUUCAAAUUAUAAACCAUUCUCCCCCUAAAUGUGUGCAUACAAGUGAUGAAUACUUGUUUAGCUUAUGCACUUGGACUUAUGAGGCCAGGGGAUUAAGUUCUACAAUUUGAACCUUGGUACAAAUAAAGUAUGAAAAUAUAAAAUUGCACCAAUUGAAGGAAUUGCUCAUAAUCAAAAGGUAUACUAAUAGACAUGAUAUGCAAUAUUUUAAGCCAAGAUUCUUGAGAAGUUAGCAUGUUUGACUCAUACCUCACUAAGAUGACUUAAGACUAACUUAUGAUAUCACCACAAGAGGUAUUAAUCAAAUAUCUAGAGAUUCUUUAAUCAUCACCACAAGUGCAACCUUAUGAUGUGACUUAAGAUAUUGCAUAUACAUGCACACACUAGCAUGUAAGAGCCUAGAUACACAAAUGUAAUACAAUAGUUCAUGAAGUGACACACCUUUGUUCUACGCCACAUGGUCUCCAUUAUAAUCAUGAAUUUCCAUCUUAGCUUUUGAUAGGCUUGACAUUUCAAAGAGAAGCUUAUCCUCUUCAAACAAUCAAGAGAAAUUCUUCAUUUCUAUGGAACCAUUCAUCCUCAUUUGAUGUUCUCCAAGGUGUGAGACUACACAACAUGAACUUGAAAGAAUUCAUUAGUCUCACAAGAUAUAGGCUAAACUCUCCCUCAAUUUAUGCAUGCAAGAGUACACAAAGUACACUUAUGCACAUCAACAAUACGAGGUUAAAGGAGAUGUUUGCACUAUAUCUUGGUUUAACAUAACAUGCUUUACAUAGAUGAUAAAAAUUAAACCAAUUGAAAGUUUAAGAAUUGAAAGUAUAUCAAUUGAAGUCCUGAAGGGUAAAGCAUGCUAAUAUGAACCUCAAAACCUCAUAAUGAAGGAUAUCAUAUAAAUAUGUCACUACAUCUUCAUUAUUUGGUUGACAAAAAAAGUAUAACUCCCUUCUUGAAUCACUGUGAUCUCUUUUCUCUUUACGAUUUCAUCCAACCAAGUGAUCUUGAACUUCUUUCAUCUUUUCUUGAUUCGAUCAAUUAAAACUCAAUGAUUGAAACAACCAAGGCUCUUAUAUCCAUAGAUUUUGAAUCCAAAGCGCUUGGAAGGACCUUAUUGAAACACUUAGAAAAGAGAGCAUUAGAAACACAAAGGAGGGUUUCACAAAUGAUGAUCCUUAUAUGAGGAUGGCAAAUGAAUCAUCAUUCUUAGAACCCAAAAGGGUAGAUUAAUUUAUUUUAAAUUAGUGCACAUAUAUGGUUGAUGUCAAAGUUAUAUGCACUAUUGAACAUUUUAUAUUGCAAUGAAAUUAAUCUAUAUUAUGGUACAUCCCACUAAGGAAAGAAUACUAAAACAACUGAAGGAGAGGAAGUUUUCAUACCUUGGCCUCUUAUCAACUUCAUCUUACUUUAGUUGAAUAAUAUCCUUAAGCUUGUGAUUUAUCCAAUUUAAAACAAGCACCAUCUCUUAACAUAGAUUUUCUAUGGAUAAACUCAACACAAGAGAUGACAUUAGUAUCACAAGCAUUAGUUUCUUAUUUAGCAACCCUUUAUAUGCGAAAGACAAGCGUGUUGCUAAAAACAGAAAAACCUCAUAAUAUGGACUAAAUUUCCCUUGAGCCCUUAAGCACAAUAUAUUUUGAAUGAUAUGGAUAAUAUGCAUGGUUAUUCAAUAAAGUCUAAAGGGCUGACUUAAUCCAUAUUAUGGUGAGUGUCUAAUAUAGAAGAAUCAAAUCCAAAUUAACUAGAGAGAGAGUACAUCACAUAGUUUUGGAUUUGUUGACCAUAUGAUAAUAUUCAUUUAUCUUCCAAUUAGACCUUUAUUUCAUAAUCAAUAAGUAAUGUAUAUCCUCAAGUGCUUCUUUUCCCUUAGUGGCUACACAAGUCACAAAAGAGAUAAGAUUUGAAAAUAAUAUGCACUUGAGAUUCAGUUGUUACCACCCUUGCUACUAUCUCCAAAUAUGAUUUAUAUAUUCAUUAUCGAGCACCCAACUUGAUCCAUUGAAGGAGUGAUCCUGCAAAACAAGUUUAAGCUUCGUAUUUUGGUACCCAAUUUUAAUUGAGUCCUUUAAGAUUAGUAGUAAGAGCCUUGGGUACCCACACAUUCCUUAUUGUGGCCUUUCUCUUUGUGUAGGCAUCCACAUAUACUUGACAACCAUCUUACUAUGGUUCCAAGUUAAUAUGUAAACUCACAGAUAAGAGCAAGAGUUAAGAAUAGGAGCCUUUUCUCCUUUUCUUGAUACAUCAUUGUGUUGCCUUCUUGAUGAUGAACCUAGCUUGACCUUGGGUGCACCUACCUUAUCAAGGUUAGUUGCACAAGCAUUCAUAUCAUAAAGACAAGUUAUGCAUGGAAUUUACAACUUAGUGAUCCAAUUCAAUGUGAAGCAUAUGGAUACCGAUUGAAGUAGAUUUCUAAGAUAUCAAAAUAUGGGUUUCCAAAAUUUAUGGAUCACUAAUUGUACCUUUUACAGUUUAAAAAUCAUAUCCAUGUUAGUGCAUAUGUAUGUGAUGGAUAUCAAAAAAAAGAUUCUUAUGCACUUUUAGAUUUAACGAUAAGAGAAUUUUAAACUGCAUCAAGAGUAGCUAUUUAGAAAACGAAGAUUACAAUCCAUAUGAAUGAGAUACAAAUUUACCAUUUUGGAUUAUCUUAGUAUAGCUUACUCAAGUGAAACUUAUUCUCUAUGACACAAGAUAUAUAAUGUUCUCCCACUAGAUAUGUGCAUCAAGUAUUUGGAUGACUUGCCACAUGCACUUUCAAUUCAGUUAAGAGUCUCAUGAGGAGUAUAUUACAUAUCAUGGUCAAGGCAUGACAAAUUUGCAAUGAAUUAACUUAUGCCUAAGAAUACUUACCACCAUAUAGAAUGUACCAUUUAUUAUACCAAUUUGACAGAUCUUACUAUCUGUGGUGGUGUCACCUUAGUAUUCUUCUUUUCAUCAUUUGUGGAGACUUCCUUCUUUGUUAUCUCUUUUCCUUUUAAAACUAGUCGAUAAAACACUUUGAAAAGAGGUAUUAGUAGUACAAGGAAGUAUUUAAUGAAUGAUGAUAUCUAUAUAUGAAUGGCAAACAAAUCAUCAUUUAUGAGGCGUAAAGGCAUAAAUUAAAUUCCUUUUAAGUUAAUGCACAUGGAGCAAUGAAUUCACAAUAUGCAUUAAUUUACAAAUUUAAGCCAAAAGGAAUGUAAUCUUCAUAUUGACAUUCCUUUCCAUAGAAUAUAUUAUUACCAAUUGAAAGAAUGCCACUUGGAAGGAACUACUAUUGAUCAACUACCAAUUGAAGCAAUUUGUUCCAUACCUUUGCCUUGAACAUUCCUAAUCUUCCUUUUAGGUGAAGAUUAACCUUUAAAGCUUGUGAUUUUACCAAUUUAAAUAGCACAAUCUCUACUUAUGAAUUUCCAUUAAAUAUCUUAAAAGAGAUUGUAUUAGUAACACAAGCAAUAGUUUCCUAUUUAGCAACCUCUAGUAUAUGAAUGACAAGAAGGUUACUAAAACAAGGAAACCUCAUGAUAUGAACUAAAUUACCCUUACAAGCAUCAUGCAUAACAUCAAUUGUAAAAAAAGAUGAAAGUAGCAUGAUUAUUUAAUUAAGUUUACAUGGCAAGUUUAAUUCAUAGCAUGGUGAGUGAUUAAUGAAGAAGACUCAAAACCAAUUUAAACAAGAAUGAAUACAUCACAUAGUAUUGGUUCGAUCUUCUUUGAAUGUUGAAUGGCACACUCCAUUUGGGAAACACAUUCUCAUGUUGUGAGACUACAUAAACACUUAGAUAGAAACAUUAGUCUCACAACUCUAGUCAUAUAGAGAAUUCCCCAUUUGGUAAGUGCUAUAAGAAUUUGAAUUUCUUACUUAGCACUCUAUUCAUUUAAGAACAUGGGAUAAUACUCUUUAUGUCUAGGUCAUGGCAAUAAUAUGAUGAUUAACUUGAAAUAUGUCACAAGAUACAUACAAUCAAUUUAAAGCAUGUAGAUUAUCACAAUAUAAAAAUAUGAACUUGCAAUCUACCAUAUAAUUAGAUCCUUUCCAAAGCAAGGUAAAAUCUUUUAAGUUCAUUCACAAGUGCUUCAUUUUUCCUAUGUGGCUACAAAAGACACAAAGGAAUAUACCAAUUAAAAGCAAUGUGCACUUAAGAAUUAAUUGUUACCAUCCUUUGGAUAUCACUUGGUUGUAGGCCUUUUGCUUGAUUCCCACAAAGGUUAAUCCUUAUUCCCUACAACAUAAGUUCUUGCUAGAGAUGAAUAUGAAGUUAGUGAUAUAACAACUCAAUUCAUCUUUGGGUCAAUCUUAAAGGAUAAACAAUGUAAGAUUGAUAGCUUGAGAUAAGAAUUGAGUUGAACCGCUCAAGCACCCCAAAGCUUCAUAUCAUCUCUGGGUACCUGCAAAACUUAUUAAGUACAUUUUGGUACCCAUCUCAUGAUAGGUCCAUCAAGGUUAGCCAAUAAGGACUUAGGCACCCAAAUAGCCUUGGUCCUAGAAUGUGGUGAACUCAUCACCUUUCUAGCACAAGAGUCAAAUUUGGGUCUCCUAAGCAUAUUUGAAUGUAUCGACAAGUUAGGCUUAGGAGUUUUACCCUUUGGACAAACCUUGAAUAGAUGACCUCUUUCACGGCAAUUGUAGCAAAUGUGGUGCUUGUCCUUGCAAUGCAUUUGCCUUUUGCUUUCAUCCUUCUUGAUGGUCAUCUUUCUUGAUCGUGCAAGGUCUUGGUUCUUCAUGCAGGGGCAUGAACCAAUUUCAUGACCCUUCUCCUUGCAUCCAUAGCACCUCCUAUCGCUUCUCUUUGAUCUUUCUUUGUUGAAGCACAUAGGUACAUUGUUAGAGCAAAUAAUAUGAUCAUUAAUUUUCUCACCUUGAGUCUUGCUCAUGUCCUUCUUGGAAAGCUUGUUAUUCUUUUGAAGGGGUUUUGUGCAUGCUACGGUUGUCCCCUUCUCAAGCUUUUUCACCAUAUUAUCACGGUUAUCUUGAGAAGGUUGAGCAUGACACUUUCCCUUCAAAAUAAUUAAGCUCCUUCUUAGCCUUCCAACUUCUUCCUUGAGCUCUUUAUUUUCUUGUGUGAUAGAAAUAUUACUAAUUCCUGAAAUUUCUAGCUCAAUGGAAGAUUGGCUUUCUUGAGAGCAACAUUUGUUAGCACAUGAUAAUAUAGUUUCUACUUAAGUACAUGUGCAUAUGUGAGGUUGGUAUGAUUUAAAAUUAGUUAACACAACCUCAUGAGCCAUUUCUAACAUGAUAUGUGAAUCCAUAAAUUUAUUAUGAGAGCACACAAGCAUAUCAUGUUUUUCUUGCAAAGCUAGAUUUUCAAUAUUUAGCCUUUCUAUCGUGUUCUUGAACAUAGCAUUUUUAUUUUCUAAUUGAUCAAUAUAUGAUGAAUGAUUAACAACUUUAAUUUGCUCAAUUGAAAUGUCUUCAUACCUUUGGACCAAAUCAUCAUGAGAGCACUUUAGCUUCUCAUGCUCUUUGGUCAACUUCUCUAAGUCUUCGAUUUUUCUGAUGAGGAAGUCUUCUUGCUUAUGAAGCAUUUCUUUUUGUUCUUCCGCUCUUUUCAUGAGUUUGAGCAAGCUCAUCCUAUGUUUCUUGCUUAGCUGACCGAAGAAUUGUUGAAGAUCAUCCUCAUCUUCACUAUCACUUUCUUGCUCCUCCUCAUCCUCAAUUUCGCUUUCACUGUCACUUCCAUUAGCAAUAAAGCACAUAUGAGAAGUGGAUUUGAAAGACAAACCUUGUGAAGAGGUGGAUUCGUCGUUUGGUCUCCAUCGAUCAUUUUCUUCUUCAAUUUUGUUCUUUGCCUCAUCUUCCUUCAUUUUGAGGAACAUCCUUUCGGCGAUUCUCAUGGCAAGAUCUAUUGCCCUAGGAUCAACAUCUGCAACAAAAGAUGAAGUCGAGGCAACCUCAACUUUUUCAAGCUUAGAAGCACUUUCGUUUCUUAGUCCCCCCGACAUGAUCUUUUCCUCACGCGGUCAAGCAUUAGAACGAGGAUUAGGCUCUGAUACCAAUUGAAAGUUGCCUAGAGGGGGGUGAAUAGGCAAGUUAAAAUAAUUUCAACUAAAACUAGAAGCAAACUGGGUAAAACCGAAUUGAUCUCGAAAUUCACCCAGUUAACUUUGGAAAUGAGAUGUUUUAAAUGAUCCACAGGGUUCAAAGUAGUAGAUCUGAGAAGGGCACUUCUCAAAAUCCACACACCAAAAAGAUAUAAACAAAUCUUCCACGCAAUGGUGAGAGAACGAAGAACACAAACAAACACAAUGAGCAAGAACACAAGAGACACAAGAUUUAUCACGAGGUUCGGUCACACCACCAAGGUGCCCUACUUCCUCGUUGAGGCGCCCACAAAGAGCCGGGUCUCUUUCAACCCUAAUCCUCCCUUUGCCGACCACAAAGGUCAAGCCCACACAAUAAUCUUUGCUCAAAUGAGCGGGUAAUACAAACUUUCUUGUGGUCUUCCACAAGAUUUGGAGACUCACAAGAGACACCUAGUCGUCUAGGAGCUAGAAGCUCCAAGAGUAAUGAAUCCACAAAGAACUCGAUGUAGUACCAAAGCUCGAAUGAAGAAGAGCAAGAGAGAUUUGGAGAUAAAGCACAAAAACCGCAGCUCUCAAACUCACUCAAAGAUUUCUCUCCAAAGAUUUGAAAUGGGAGAGGCAAGAGGUGUGUGAGAGAGAGUGGGAGGUGUUUCUCAGGUUGGGAAUGAAGUUUUGUGCGUGCUCUACUAUGGGGAAGAGUGUGGGAGGUGUAUAUAAAGGUGCCCCAAAAGCUGGUGACCGUUAGGGAAAUCUGACUGAAAUUCAGUUGAACCGGUUUCAAAUUCGGUUGAACCGGAUUCCACCAGUCGAUUUUCGAUUCACUGGCGGACUCAGCCAGAGACUGGACCGGACUCAAAUUCGGUUCAACCAGUUUCAAAUUUGGUUCAACCGGUUUCAAAUUCGGUUCAAUCGGAUUCAAAAUUCGGUUCAACCGGUUUCAAAUUCGGUUGAACCAGUUUUCCAAAAAUCUGCACACGACUUUUUCUAACAGGACUGACUGCAAGCUGGCAGUGACAGAGGGGAACAGUGCAGAAACCGGUUUUAGGUCCGGUUGAACCGGUUUUUGAACUGUUGCAUAGAUUUUGAGAAAACCGAAGUGAAACCAGGGUAAAAUGGAAGUUUUAGAUCAAGGAUUUUGAGCUUUAGUACCAACACCAACCUUCUUUUUGGAUCCCCCUUGAUAGUACGACGAUUCCUAUACUCAAGUUAAAUAAAAUAUAAUUAAGUAAACUCCUUGAGUAAUUGGUGUCUCAUGUGAUUUCUCCAUGAUGUUGCUUCAUAAGGAUCACAAACAUCUUUGUCUCACCUUUUGAAGUAAACACAAAUCGAGCUUGUGACUUAUGCCAUUUCACCAUAUAUGAGUUUAAAUCAUGGCUUCAAGUCACCUUACUGAUGCAUCAACAUGUUGUAACUCUUCAUAGCUGAUUAGUUCAUCGACUUAUUGCAAGUACUCUCUUCUUCACCUUAGCCAUGGUACCUUGGUCUACAAGUCGUCGCUUGGCCUUCACCUUCGCUUAGUUCCUCGAAGCCCUUUCCUUGCUAUCUUCACCCUAUCAAGCCAUUCUUGAGUCACAUCCUAUUGAGCAUCCAUUGAGAGAAUCAUUUCUUCAAUAUUGUGAACCUUGCUUGAAUGUCAUCUAGAUAUAACUGCUAAGAUCAAUCAAGCUCUAGUUUGAUUCUUAUAGAAGCAUAUAUGGACUGAUAGUAAUAUGGUCAAGCCAAUUCACGAUUCCUUAUAUCUUAUUCACUUUGGCUUGACCUAUCCUCUUAAUCACUUCAUCCUCUAUUCUGAUCAUAUGUAUGUAGUGAUUUCUCGGGUCUUGUCCAUAUAUUCAAACCAAUAUAGAGAUCAUAUAAUAUCCAUUUGCAUUGUCUCAUUGGUUAUUUAACAUCGUGUUGAACCUUCGUUCACUGAUCAUUAUACACUAUUCAAGUAUGUUCAUCAUACUGAAUUUCCUGUUCAACACUUAGCAAACUCGUUAGACCUUUAAAUGUGUUGUUAUCCAAAUCACCAAAACUCACAAAAGGGAUGAAUGCACUUUCACCACCGCUGAGGCCGAGUACGUUGCCGCAGGACAGUGUUGCGCGCAACUACUUUGGAUGAGGCAAACCCUCCGGGACUUUGGCUACAAUCUGAGCAAAGUCCCACUCCUAUGUGAUAAUGAGAGUGCUAUCCGCAUGGCGGAUAAUCCUGUUGAACACAGCCACACAAAGCACAUAGACAUCCGGCAUCACUUUUUGAGAGACCACCAGCAAAAGGGAGAUAUCGAAGUGUUUCAUGUUAGCUCCGAGAACCAGCUAGCCGAUAUCUUUACCAAGCCUUUAGAUGAGCAGACCUUUUGCAAGUUGCGUAGUGAGCUAAAUGUCUUAGAUUCGCGGAACUUGGAUUGAUUUGUAGCAUACAUGUGUUUAUGCCUUUGAUCAUACUCCUUAAUGCAUUUUAUUGUUUCUUUAUGGCGCUCAAGUUGUACAAGCACUCCCCGGACCUCACAAGUCCUUUGCAAGUGAUGCACAAAUUUAGGGGGAGAUGUGCUACAACUUGACCCUUUGAGACUAACUGUGUGCUUGAGUUUGCUUAAUUUAGUCUCAAAGGAGGUUUGAAAGGGAAGAGGUGGACUUGGACCAUGCAAGACUUCCACUGCACUCCGAUGAAAGAGUAACUUAUUCCAAGUUCAUCCAUGUACUCUUAUUGCCUUUUUACUCUUAGUUGAAGAUUUUGGUGAGGCAAUGGGGUUAAAGGGCCAAAAUUGAUCCCGUUUUGGUGCUUGAUGCCAAAGGGGGAGAAAAUAAGGCCAAAGCAAGGAAAUGGAUCAGCUACCACUUGAGAAUUUUGGAAAAGUAGAGUUAGAGUUUUUUGGUUGUCAAAAUACUCUUGCUUGUCUCUUAUUGUCAAAAGUUGGACUCUUGUGGGGAGAAGGCUUGAUAAUGGGAAAAGGGGGAGUUUUUGAACUCUUUGAUCAAUUUCUCUUGAAAUAUCUCUCCUUAUGUUUCAACAAGUGUGUUUGACUUAGAGAUAGGAAAUUGAGUGUGAUUUGCAAAAACAACCCAAGUGGUGGCAAAUAAUGAUCCAUAUAUGCCAAAUUUGAAUCAAAACAAUUUUGAGUUCUCAUUUGUAUUUGAUGUUGCACUUCCUUCAAGUUGCUUUUUAUUGUGUUGGCAUAAAUCACCAAAAAGGGGGAGAUUGAAAGGGAAAUGUGCCCUUGGGCCAUUUCUAAGUAUUUUGGUGAUUAAGUGCAAACACAAGUGAACUUAUGCUAAGUAAUGGACAAAGUGCAAAUCAAGGGUAAAGGUAUGUUUCUAUGACUUAGUACAUUGUUUUAGAGACUAAUGUAUUAUGUCUAAGUGCUGGAAACAGGAAAAAUCAAGUUGAAAUUAAAGAUGGCUUUGUUCAGCCAAAGUCAGCUCAGUCUGGGUGCACCGGACUGUCCGGUGGUGCACCGGACAGUGUCCGGUGCGCCAGGCUGACUCUAGCGAACUUGCUGCUCUCGGGAAGCAAUUAACGACGUACAACUAUAAUUCACCGGACUGUCCGGUGUGCACCGGACUGUCCGGUGAGCCAACAGUCGGCCGGGCCAACGGUCGGCCGCGGAAUCCGCGCGUGACGCGUGGCAAGGGCCAACGACUAGAAGGGGGCACCGGACUGUCCGGUGUGUACCGAACAGUGUCCGGUGCGCCAACGGCUCCAAAGCGCCAACGGUCGGCUUUGCCAAAUAAGGAAAGAAAUCCGCACCGGACAGUGUCCGGUGGUGCACCGGACUGUCCGGUGCGCUAGGCGACAGAAGGCAAGAAUUGCCUUCCUGGAAUGCACUCAACGGCUCCUAGCUGCCUUGGGGCUAUAAAAGGGACCCCUAGGCGCAUGGAGGAGAAAACCAAGCAUUCUCUAAGCAUUCCUAAGCACCAAGACUUCGAUUCCGCGCAUUUGAUUCUUUGUGAUAGCAAUUAGAGCUCCAUUUGAGUUGUGAACUCGCUGGGUUGUGUUGUGAGCUCUUGUUGUGACUUGUGUGCGUGUUGGUAUGUUGAUUUCAUGUCUUGUGUGCGUUGCUCAUCCCUCCCUUACUCCGUGCUUCUUUGUGAACAUCAAAGUGUAAGGACGAGAGGCUCCAAGUUGUGGAGAUUCCUCGCAAGCGGGAUAUAGUAAAGUGAAAGCAAAACACCAUGGUAUUCAAGUGGGUCUUUGGACCGCUUGAAAGGGGUUGAUUGCAAUCCUCGUCCGUUGGGACGCCACAACGUGGAGUAGGCAAGUGUUGGACUUGGCCGAACCACGUGAUAAACCACUGUGCCAUCUAUGUGUUGAUCUCUUUGUGGUUAUCGUGUUGUGCAAGUUCUCCUCUCUAGUCACUUGGCUUAUUCGUGCUAACUCCUAAUCAAGUUUUGUGGAUUAAGUUUCAAGUUUUUACAGGAUCACCUAUUCACCCCCCCUCUAGGUGCUCUCAGCAAGAUCCAGACUGGGUGUUGGCCAUGCAGGAAGAGCUCAACAACUUCAAGAGGAAUGAAGUUUGGAGCCUGGUGCCACGUCCAAAGCAAAACGUUGUGGGAACCAAGUGGGUGUUCCGCAACAAGCAAGACAAGCACGGGGUGGUGACAAGAAACAAGGCUCGACUUGUGGCAAAAGGUUAUGCCCAAGUCGCAGGUUUGGAUUUCGAGGAGACUUUUGCUCCUGUGGCUAGGCUAGAGUCUAUUAGAAUAUUAUUAGCCUAUGCCGCUCACCACUCUUUCAGGUUGUUUCAAAUGGAUGUGAAGAGCGAUUUCCUCAACGUGCCAAUCAAGGAGGAUGUGUAUGUGGAACAACCUCCUGGCUUUGAGAAUGACAGGUAUCCUGACCAUGUGUGUAAGCUCUCUAAGGCGCUCUAUGGACUUAAGCAAGCCCCAAGAGCAUGGUAUGAAUGCCUUAGAGAUUUCUUAAUUGCUAAUUCUUUCAAGGUUGGGAAAGCCGAUCCCACUCUUUUCACUAAGACUUGUGAAGGUGAUCUUUUUGUGUGCCAAAUUUAUGUCGAUGACAUAAUAUUUGGUUCUACUAAUCAAAAGUCUUGUGAGGAGUUCAGCAGGGUGAUGACUCAAAAAUUUAAGAUGUCGAUGAUGGGCGAGUUAAACUACUUCCUUGGGUUCCAAGUGAAGCAACUCAAGGACGACACCUUUAUCUCCCAAACAAAGUACACUCAAGAUCUUCUCAAGCGGUUUGGGAUGAAGGACGCCAAGCCCGUGAAGACACCUAUGGGAACCGAUGGACAUGUCGACCUCAAUAAAGGAGGUAAGUCCGUUGAUCAAAAGACAUACCGAUCUAUGAUAGGGUCAUUACUUUAUUUAUGUGCUAGUAGACCGGAUAUCAUGCUUAGCGUAUGCAUGUGUGCUAGAUUUCAAUCCGACCCAAGGGAAUGUCACCUUGUGGCCGUUAAGCGGAUUCUUAGGUAUUUAGUUUCUAUGCCUUGCUUCGGGAUCUGGUAUCCAAAGGGGUCUACCUUUGACUUGAUUGGAUAUUCAGACUCCGAUUAUGCUGGAUGCAAGGUUGAUAGGAAGAGUACAUCAGGGAUGUGCCAAUUCCUAGGAAGGUCCCUGGUGUCUUGGAGUUCAAAGAAACAAACCUCCGUUGCCCUAUCCACCGCUGAGGCCGAGUAUGUUGCCGCAGGACAGUGUUGCGCGCAACUACUUUGGAUGAGGCAAACCCUCCGGGACUUUGGCUACAAUCUGAGCAAAGUCCCACUCCUAUGUGACAAUGAGAGUGCAAUCCGCAUGGUGGAUAAUCCUGUUGAACACAGCCGCACUAAGCACAUAGACAUCCGGCAUCACUUUCUGAGAGACCACCAACAAAAGGGAGAUAUCGAGGUUUUCCAUAUUAGCACUGAGAACCAGCUAGCUGAUAUCUUUACCAAGCCUUUAGAUGAGAAAACCUUUUGCAGGCUGCAUAGUGAGCUAAAUGUCUUAGAUUCACGUAACUUGGAUUGAUCUAUAGCAUACAUGUGUUUUAUGCCUUUGAUCAUGUUACUUUAUGCAUUUAUGAAAUUUGUUGCUUAUUUACGGUGCUCAAGUUGUGCAAGGGAUCCCCGGACCUCAUAAGUCCAUGUGUGAAUGAUGCACAUAUUUAGGGGGAGAAGUGCUACAACUUGAUCCUUUGAGACUAACCUUUGUGUUUGAGUGUACUUGAUGUAGUAUCAAAGGUGAAUUGAAAGGAAAAGGUGAACUUGGACCAUGCAAAGACUUCCACUACACUCUGGUAUUAGUGUAUUUAAUUCCAAGUUCAUUCUUAUGCUCUAGUUGCCUUUUGCUCUUAAUUGACAUUUUUGGUGAGGCAAUGAGGUUAAAGGGCCAAGAAUGAUCCCGUUUUGGUGCUUGAUGCCAAAGGGGGAGAAAUUAAGGCCAAAGUAAAUGGAUCAGCUACCACUUGAGAAUUUUGAAAAUAGUAGAGUUAGAAUUUUUUGAUUUGUCCAAAAUACUCUUAUUACAAAAUUUGGUCUCUUGUGGGGGAGAAUUUAUGAUUAUGGGAAAAGGGGGAGUUUUUGGCACUUGAUCAAUUUUUUCCAUUGGAAUAUCUCUCUUUGUGCCUAAACAAGUGUGUCUAACUUAGAGAUAGGUAAAUGAAUUGGAUUUGCAAAAACAAACCUAGUGGUGGCAAAGAAUGAUCCAAAUAUGUCAAAAUUUGUGCAAGUACAAUUUUGUUCUCAAUUGCAGUGAUGUUGCACUUCUUUUAGUUGCUUUUGGAUGUGUUGGCAUAAAUCACCAAAAAGGGGAGAUUGAAAGGGAAAUAUGCCUUUGGGUAAUUUCUAUUUUGUUUUGGUGAUUAAGUGCCCAACACAUUUAAAUAAGUUCUUAUGUGCUAAAUGAAGAGAGAAGUGCAAAUCGAAGAGAAGGUAUGUUUUUAGACUUAGUACAUUGUUUUGAGUACUAACAUAUAUUGUCUAAGUGCUAGAAACAGAGAAAAGAAGAGUACAAAAGAAAUGCAAAAGACUUGGCUUGGUACAGCCAAAGUCCAGCUUGGCUUGGCACACCGGACUGUCCGGUGGUGCACCGGACAGUGUCCGGUGCGCCAGGCCAGCCUCCGAUGAACAUGCCACUCUCGGGAAAAAUCGGCGGCAUACGACUAUAAUUCACCGGACUGUCCGGUGAGCCAACGGCCGCCAGAGCAACGGUCGGCCGUGCAAUCCGCGGGCGACGCGUGGCCCGCACCAACGGUCGGCACGGGGCACCGGACUGCCCGGUGUGCACCGGAUAGUGUCCGGUGCGCCAACUGCCACGAAUCUGCAACGGUCGUCUGCGCCAGAAUAGGAAGGAGAUCGGCACCGGACCGUCUACAGUGACUAUCCGGUGGCGCAUCGGACUGUCCGGUGUGCCACCCGACAGAAGGCAACUUUGGCCUUUCUUGUUGGUCUCCAACGGCUCCUAGCUGCCUUGGGACUAUAAAAGGGACCCCCUAGGCACAUGGAGGAGUUACCCAAGCAUUCACUAAGCAUUCUAAGUCUCCCACACUCCGUCUUCGCGCACUUGAUUGAUUGUGUUAGUGAUUUGAGCUCUGUUCUAGUUGUGAACUCUUUGUGCUUCAUUUUGAGCUCAAGUCUUGGCUUGUGUGCGUGUGUGUGUGUUGCAGAUUUGUGUGCGUUGCUCCCCAACCUUACUCUUGUGCUUUCAUUGUGAUAUUUGUUGUAAGGGCGAGAGACUCCAACUUGUGGAGAUUCCUCGCAAACGGGAAAAGAGAUAAGGAAGAAAAGUCGUGGUAUUCAAGUUGAUCAUCGGAUCACUUGAAAGGGGUUGAGUGCAACCCUCGUCCAUUGGGACGCUACAACGUGGAAGUAGGCAAGUGUUACUUGGCCGAACCACGGGAUAAAACCGCGUGUCUCUUAUGUGCUUUCUCUUUGAUUAUCUGUGUUCACAAGAACUGGUUUAAAGCUACUUAGCCGUUCUAACUUUCAUAAUCAAGUUUUGUGGCUAUUAGUGUUGAAUUUUACAGGAUCACCUAUUAACCCCCUCUCUAGGUGCUCUCAACAUGCUCAGGUUAUUUUGAUGGGAUCCAAUAGGUUUCAAUAGCAUUGUUUAUCCCCUACCUUGCAAACAAAAGCACUAUUAGGUAGUUUUGUCAUUGCUCUACCUGGUUUUGGGAAUUAAUGUUAUAUUAUCAUCAUGUUCCAGUUAUACUAUUGUUUUAAUUAUUGUAUGCCAAGAUCAUUGUGUUAAUUGGAACAUGGAGCAACCACCCGGAAAAACAGUGCUACCACAAAGGUGGUAUGGGAUGCCCUUGGCUGACUAAUUAGGAAAGCUAGUGGAAGACUACCUUACCCAAAAGGGGAAAGGGCGGUAGAGGAGCUACGUAUAGGGAGGUUCUCGGGUCGAUCAUGCUGUGAUGGCUUUUCGGACAAGGGAUUCCUAUAUUGCCCUUCUCAGAAACCGCAACGGGUUUUCGGAAGCAGUGGAACUUUGUAAAGGCCUCGUAGUGGUACCUUGCCUCGUCUCCUCGGUAGAGAUGAAUGAGAAGUCGCGAUCCCUUGGCAAAUGGGUAACACGACUUGUGGGUAAAGAUGUGUAACCUCUGCAGGGUGUAAAACCGGUAUAUCAGUCGUGCUCACGGUCAUGAGCACCUCGGACCCUCACAUGAGUAAUUUAUGGAACUAAACUUAAUUUGUCAUUUGCAUUGCAUUGUGGGUGUUGUUAUUAAUUUUGAUCUCUUACUUAAUUGGGUUGGUAUCUACUUAUACUUAGUAACUGCUAAUAAAAUUUUGACCAACUCUAAAAGUAAUGCUCAGCUUUAACCAUCUCUUUUGGUAAGCCUUACACUUCACAUGAGCUCCCACCUUUGGUGAGUUCAUGCACAUUAUUCCCCACAACUUGUUGAGCGAUGAACUUAUGUGAGCUCACCCUUGCUGUACUCACAUCCCCCUAGGUCAAGGUCAGGUACUAUAGGAUGAGGCGCAUGAAGGAUGCAGUGACGAGUUUGUGAGUGGUCUAGGUCGUCGUCUCCCAGUCAACUUUGGUUGCUGGAUCGUUGUCUUCGUAUGAUGUAAUUAUUUAUUUAUUUUAUACAGAAACUCCUAUUAUUUAGUAAAGAUAUGACAUUCGUUUCUGUACCAUGAGUCAUCAUAAGUGUGAGACUUGAUCCUAGCACGCUUGGUGAUUAUUUCGCGCCUGGGUUUGGUCCCCUAAAACCUGGGUGUGACACUGACGAUUGUCGAAAGUUAUCGUGUACAAAUAGAGGUUAGAAUACAGUAGAUGUUUCGAGUCUAAGUAAGAAAUGUUUAAAUUUCAAUCCUAUAUUUAUCUAGGACACUCAGAACCAAUUAUUAUAUACUCCCACUGUCCUAAAUUGUAAUUCAUUUUAGGGAUUCUUACGGGACUUGAUGUAUGUGUAUUAUUAUGACUAGGGAAAUAAUUCCACACUUUUUGUAAAUCAUUAACGAGUGAGACCUACGCACUUGGAGAAAAAUCUUGCAAUAAAUAUGGCUACAAACCAAACACGUGUCUAAAUCGGUUAAAUUUAGGGACGACAAUGAGUAAGAUAUCCGGUGAGUACGCAAGGCCAUACUCAUACACAUCAAAGAAAAAAAAACAUUAUCUAUACCCACUACCCAUCAUAGGUACAAAAUUACCUCAUACACAUACCCAACAGAAGUAGAUGGUAUCCUACCCGCCAAAAUUUUAGUUGACAUGAUUAUUUUAAGUACAAAAGUAAGUACCGACACAAAAUAUCGGAGCCUCAUACCUCAUCAAUUUUGAAAGAUACUAAAAUAGCAUAUUAUCUUUGUGCGGCAUGACAAAUUCAUGAAACCCAACAUAAUUUUAUCACAAGAUUCAACAUUUAAAUUUAUAAGGAACACUUCUAAUAAUUCAAUCCCACUGUCAUUUGUUAGCGGGUGUGGGGUAAGAACAAUAUAUCCAUACCCACCAUACCCGAUGAGUAUAGUAAAUGGCCUAAUAAAAUAUUUGUGGGUAUUAAAUUCUUCAUACCUAUGCCAUAAUAGAGUUUUUGUCUAUAGGAUAUCGAGUUUCAGGUAUCCAUUAUCAUAUCUAGUUAAAAAAUUUAGCUAACCUUGAACGCGCCAGUACCUGCGCGGUCGAGUGAAGAAUCGAACAUGACCAUAUAUCCUUUCAAGUCGCAGUCGCAUCCCCUUUUGCCAUCCCGAGGCAAGUAUGGCACGGACUGCAGUGUGGCACUCCUACCUGUCAAUCAACAGCACUGUACGAGCAGGGGCAACAUCGGUAGCACACUAGGAAGUACCCAUAGGUCCACACCUCACAACAUCAGCAGCAGAGUAUUUAGUUUUGCAGGGGCGUAGGGCCACCUAGCUCUGAAUUAUUUCUGAUGCAGUGAAGUUGAUGACCCCACACUCAGCAGGCAGUACAAAGUGGCCCUGCUGCCUGUCAAUGAUUAUUUAGCGCAACAUUUGAGUCUUUGAAGAAUUGGAGAAGAGGAGGAUGCAAUGGAUGAUGGGAGAGGGCAUCAUUCUCGUGAGACGAUGACGAUGAUUACCAUGCAUGAUGGAGGGUGGCGACGGCGCCUGCUUUUGCAGGACCCAAAGUAGGACCCUAUAGAUAGGUGGUUAUGGACCAAAUAAUGUGACAUGUGAUAUGAUCCCUUUGUUGAGAACUACGUUACCACGGAUCACCAGAUCCGCUCCCUUCCCUCCCGUCAGCAGUAGAGGCGCAAGAAGCUGUAGAGAACUCGUCUCCCUUCCCAUAAGCACGACAGAGGAAACACACGAGACACAAGAUAUAGGGUUGGGCCUCUGGCCUCUUUCUGUUCUCUGUCAUAUGAAGGGGUGUACAGGUUCCUUAUAUAGAGAUGUGAGACCCCUCAGGGGCAAAGCCGGUAUUUGUCCACAUAACCCUAAUUAGGGUUACUUAACACUCCCCCUUGGGCGAAUACCGCGACCAACACAUGACUCUUUAAAACUCCCAAAAACCGAGUGGGAAAAAUAUGGAGAAAGAGUACAUGGUGACACAAAUUGCAUUUGCACUUUGUUGCCUCAUUAAAAACCUUAUGUGAGAAACUUCAGAAAAACUCACUAAGGAAAAAAGAGUACAACAAAUGUCAUCAGAACAAAUUUCGAUCUUCUGGAUCAGGAUUCCAUCGAAUCUCCCUUGAUCCUUGGAAAAACGUAUCAAUAUGGCACAACAUCUUCUUCUGGAAGUAUACGCACAUAGAGAUUUAGCAAACAGAUUGCAUACUGUUGCAAGGAUUAUUUCAGGAACUUCACCUCUACUCACUUCUAGGAUAUGCGAGGUAAGUACACGUAUCAACAUAUUUAGCUCCCCCUGACGAUGACAUCCGUCUAAGUCGUUAUCCCUCACAACUCAAGCAUACUCUUCAAGAUAUAUGUCUCAUUGUUCAUCUGGAAUAACGAGAAUGGAUGAGGUUGGGGUGCUAUAAUUUUCUAUCUUACACCACAAUUUAUACAUAGUUGUGCAAAGCAAGUAACAUGUCCUUCAAUAGGACUUAGGGGAUAAUAUAGUUGCAAUAGUACAUAUUCUAAAUAUGACACAUCGUUCCAGGCGUUCAUCCAUUGCAACAUCUAUGAUGGUGUAACAAAAGUCCAUCAAAGAUCGUAAUCCAUCAGGGAUUUUUUAUCGACAAGAUACAUCGUUAUAGUCUGUCAUUCUGGCACAAUGGGGAUAUUUUGCCAGUAACACCUAAACCUUAUAGGUUUCUGCCAUCAGGGCUUUAGAGGAUACCAUAAUUCCACAUAUAGUGGAAAUUACCAUGAGUAAAAAUCAUGGAAUGCACAUGUGCUUAUUCGGUGAACUUCAAGUCCUUUGGUACCUCAUCUUAUUCUUUUUCGGGUCUAUAUGGGUCUUUAUCCCUUUAUAGGGAUUAUCAAACUUUGGUGUUUAACACAGAUUUUAUUUCUUCUGGAAAGGUUCCAUUAAGGAACUAUAAUCUCAUCUAUGAGAUAUUCUCUCUACAUAGGAGAGUGUUCAUUCAUCAGGAAUGUAUUAUUCGGUACAAGAUUUAUAUGUUGCAUAUUUAUAAUUCAAAGAUAUGAAUCCUCCUAGGAUCUCAUGAUGGAUCUUCAGAAUCCUAUUAACUGCAUAUUUUAAUUCAUGUCAUUUGCCAGAUAUAUUACAUAGCGGAAUAGUGUUUAUUCAACACACAUGUGGGAUGGGUCUCUUACAAGACCACUUGAACCAUCGCAUUCACCACACAUUAUUUCAAUAGUGCCCAUAAAUGUCCGAACUUCAAGCUCGUGACUUUCAUUUUGCGAUUAUUGGUUCAACCUCAAUUGCAUUUAUCAAUGACCCGAUAAGAGAGCUUCAAACACUCAUGCCUAGGACUUUGUUUUGGAUCCCUUUGCAAUCUAUAGAGGCAAGAUAAGUGUCGACAUAUUUGUCUCCCACAUUUAAUAAUGAUCUCUGUCAUUUCCCAAAACGAAAGAUUCAUUGUUUCGAAUUCCCAGCACAAUGAUAUUGCGCGCAUUGCUAGAAAUUUCAUCAUCAAGAUGAACCUCUUCGUGAGGCAAAUCACCAUCAGGGUGAAUUAAUCGGAGGAGAGUUAUUACAGACCACGUGAAUCUGCAAUCAGAACAUAUGCUUUGACUAAGGCCAAUGGAUCAUAUUCGCAGGCGUCCCCGAGAAUAGAUCAAAUGCCAAUAAGUCAAAUGUGGAUAUGAUAUUAAUCCCGGGUAUAUCCACAUCUACAUCAGGUAGAAGCAUUCAGACCAAUAUGGUUACUCCUCAACGAUUUCUAGCAAACUCCAUAUACACAGGAGUACACACCGAAUGGCAGGUUCAGUUUGGCUUUUGUGCGUUUAAUAGAACAUUGAUGCAUUACACUAUAUGGGCAUUCCUCCCCCUAAUGCCGAGAUGUUCUUAAAAUCAUACAGAUAAAAUCCCCAACCACAAUCAUCCAGUUAUGGCCAAUGUAUGCUAUUGUGGUGAUUUAUUUGGGAAAUCUUACGCACAUUACAGAUAGGGGUUUUAUGCGGUGAGCUUUGGACAUUAAUGUAGUGGCAUGAAUACUACAUAUUUAUCCUUCAACAUGAAGGGUUAGUCUCAACAUCCAGUGAGACACACAACAACAAGUUGCUUCGUGGUUACAAUUCUGCCAACUUAUUGUUAUUAUUACCAAAUGCACAGUCAAUCAUUAAGAUUUAGACUAAUAUGCACAACACUAUUUUAUCCAUAAGGAUCCUUCAGGGGCUCAUGCAUACCAUUCGUUAUUUGGAGCCAGUAGUUGACUUCAGAUCAACAAGUAAAAUGACCAUCAGGGUCUAACGCUCACAAAGACAUUCACUGGUUGCAUUGUGCUUUUAAGCACAUAGGAAAAAUGUGUGUGUUUAUAUUGGUAGUGAAGUGCACGGCAUCAGGCCAAUGCUGCCAAACAAAGAUUUUUAUAUGCAGAGAUGUAUAGUCCAACUCGUUUUUAUCACUGCCCAUGGUUUACCCAAUUACUCAUACUGCUCUGAAAUUGGGUAUCAAUUUAUGCAACAUUUUUAGGUAUUAUACUUUUGAGAGAGAACUAAUAACAAUAGUCAAUUAUUUGUGAUGCUGCCAGCAGGGCAAACAUUUCUCCUCAUAUUAUAUACCGAUUUGUUCUAUAAAGCAUUAUUUCGAUCUCUUCGUUGUUCGGCAAAAAGAGAAGCUUUGGAAUAGAACAAACAAGGCCAAGAAUUCAUUUUAUCUGGGAAAAUCACCAUAUAACUAGCUUUUGAUGGAGCAAAUGAUGAUAACUGCUUGGCAAGAACGAAACAAGACUAGUAUCCGCCUAGGAUCCAUCUUCAACAACAGAUAUUACUGCUCUCAUACGAAGAAAUCAUUAGGAGUAGAGAGGAUACAAUAGGUCUCGACAAGAUCUUCAUAUUUCUAUCACAAAUUAUCAUCACUAGUAGUUUAUAGGUCAAUAAUUAUGGAUCUUCCGGCGCCAAGGACCAAUGACAUAUUAAUGCCCAAUUACACUUAAAGCUCUGUGGUGAUGUGGGAUUUCAUAGUUAUUUGUCUACUCUUCUCACUUGUGGUAGAUCAGAGGUAGAUAAUGGUAAGCAUGCCAAUGAGUGGAAUUCAGUGUAGUUUGGCUACAUAAACCCCAUGUAUGUGUCCAUUCAGGACCGACCUUUACCAUUUAGCUUACAGUGUAUACCAAACUUGUCAAAGGACUAUCUCGAGUCAAUUCAGUGACUAUAAGUAUUUACAAUUCCGAGAGAUGUAUGCGGCACAAGCAUAGAGGUCCUAGAUAGAACGAGUAAAGUGGUUCGACGGGAACACACUAUGGUUUUCACACAAACAUAGUAAAAAUUUUCUCAGAAUAAUCUCUUGGUAUACUCGCAACUUCGUGUUGCUAGCGAUUGCAUGUCCUUUUAUCUCAUAGUUUGCUUCAUGUCAUUCAACGACAAAGAGAGCAAUGUGCUAACAUCUGGUUGAGCAAUGUAUGACUGAGAUUUCUGAUCUUAAAUUAUUUGGUAAGGUCUUUUUGCUUACUAAUAGAAUCCCAAUUUGUGAUAUUUUAUAUGCCAAAAAGGUUUCCAUGCAUUAUAUAUCUUCAGGUUACUUCAGGUAAAACUUUAUGCAUGAGGAAAGAGAGCACGAAAUUAACUUAUCUGUGUUCUAUAUUAUUUCAUUUACUUUCCCAGAUUAUUCCAGCACUAUAGAGCUUGAUAUAGUUGUUAUAGCCACUUGGCAAUAUAAAUAAAUAUAUAAUGCCACACAACACAAUCAAAUAAAAUAUAGAGCUAAACAAAAUUAUUUACAAAGGUUGCGUUAUGAUGUGACUUUAGGGGUUUGAACAACCCACCACAAUUCACGCGAGUACAAGCUCUAGUGUCUGGUGUCAACACGUGUGCGACCAUCAGGGCUACGACAACACAACAAGCCUUCGUAAUAAGCGCAACAGGCACAAUUAUGGCGCAGUAAUCGGGGUACACGAUAAGUCCACGCAACAUGCGCAACAUGCGCAAUUGUGACUCAAUGAUCACGACAGACAAACAGUGCCUACAGGGCAUGCGAAAAAUACACGACUCGGCGAUGAGCCGAUGACAACCUGACUCAACGGGAGCAGCCCGAUUAAAUGAGAAUGCGACAUAGCAAUCACAUGACGCAACUAAAUUCUUACGACACAAAUACUGCGUCCUAUAGCCAGGACGCAGCCAAUGCUCAGCCAUUACCAUAACUCAGUCGAUUAAUAACGUAGCCUGAUCGACGCGGUCGAGUACCCACUAUACAAUCUAAUCGCUUAGUGUGAGUUCAAAAGCUCAACGCAACAUAAAUAUUUAGAGCGAUUUGAAGAUAUUUUCUCCAUAUUCAAGCAUGUGUUUUCUACUAAUUAUUUACUGCGGGAAAUAAUUAACUAAAGUAGAAAUUGCAACAUAAAACAUGCUUUAUUUUAUUUAUUAUUUACAACAUAAAAUAAAUAGAAUAAAGAUAUGGAGCCGACAUAUAAAUCUAAAUUUCACCAAAGUUUAUUAAUUCAAUAGAUUUUUAUGGAGAAAAUGGCAAGCCUAUUUUCCUUUUUUUUCUCAACCGUGACAUACAUGCAUGCAUGGAGAUAAGACGCAUGCCGCCAUGCAGGCUAUUCGGAGUCGCAUCCACUUCUUCUAUGCAUUUUUUAGGCCGAGAUUUUUUUUAUCUCUCAGCCGCAUGCAAACGUGCGUCACGCAUGGCUAGCAACAGCGCAGGCCCCAUUACAACUGUCAGAUCUAUAUUUUUAGCGGCUGCUUUGAACGAUCGCCUGGACAAAGGCGCCGGCCGGUCAAAGGCGAUCCCGUAAAUCAUAGAUACAAUCUAAAAAUUACAUACCGUUAGAUUGGAUAGAGGAAUCAAAGUCUAUCGCGUAGGACAGUUCGGCUAGGCCGGAGGACCUGCCGGCAUGGUGGAGAGUCGGUGCCGAUCGGAUCCACAACAAUAUCAAGGUAGAGCGUGCUGAUAACGUGUUGAGAAUUACGUUACCACGGAUCACCAGAUCCGCUCCCUUCCCUCCCGUCAGCAGUAGAGGCGCAAUAAGCUGUAGAGAACUCGUCUCCCUUCCCAUAAGCAUGACAGAGGAAACACACGAGACACAAGAUAUAGGGUUGGACCUCUGGCCUCUUUCUGUUCUCUGUCAUAUGAAGGGGUGUACAGGUUCCUUAUAUAGAGAUGUGAGACCCCUCAGGGGCAAAGCCGGUAUUUGUCCAUAUAACCCUGAUUAGGGUUACUUAACACUCUUGACUCUUGCUUUGGCUGUCGAUCCGAGGAGCAAUGCAACAGGGACCCGAAUGCACAACAUAUUUGUCUUGUCUAGAGAAUACCUGCUCGAUAUCUGUAAUGUCCUAAUGUAACCUCCUCAAACUCCGAACUUUGCAGCUCGGCGCGACGAGGCCCACGCCUCUGACGCCGACCCGGGCGCUUGCAGAGGCCGCCGAGGCAGCUCAUGGAAACGGUAGUUUUUGGCCCGGGCUAAGUGGGCUGCAGCUCGGGUCUAGCCCAAAUAACAUGUGAUGUCCGGACCGGCCCAGUGAAGACAAUAUGCCCCGCUGAAGCCCAGAAGCUACCUAAACUCCCAGCCGUCUCCUCCGCACGCGAAAACCCUAGCAGUUCGGUAGUCCCUCUCCUCUCGAGGUGGCGGCGCUCCCCCCGUCUUCUUCUUCUUCUUCUUCCUGUACUAUAUAGCCUCCCCUCGCAAAUCGUCACUGACGUUCAUUCCGCUUGCUUGAUUGUUCCAGGUAUUAGCAGUCGACCGGUUCCUCGGAGCACGUAAGUUCCUAAUCUUCGCUUCUUCUUGUGAUAGUUUUUCGAGUUGCCUCAUGUUUACCUUGAGUCGUCUGCCGACUCGCCACAUGGUCAAGGCGCAUCGCCGUCGAUGCCCGCCCGAUUCUACCUUCUCGCGUUUGAUUCCACCGUCAGCUGCCAUCACCUGCCUUUGUUCGGCCAGAUUUCUCUCUCGACGUUGUGUGGCUCUGAGGACCUGAGUACGCAGAUGGGCAGACGCGGAGGUGACACCGGAUGCUAGGGAAUGGGUAUUUAGCGGGCCUUGUCGUGGGUUUAGGUCUACAAUGGCCUUACUGAGCGGCAAUGUUUGGCGCAUAGAGAACUAGAUCCGGCCCCCUGCUACUUUGGUGGCUGCGCUGGUUUCUCAAUUCUCAUAUUGGGAUUUUAUUGAAUCCUUGAAACAUUUAUAACAUCCCUUGACCGCUUGUUGACUUAGAUCUCUAGUUGAGUAGGGCCUUGUUAAGAUUUGCUCUGGUCCGUGAGCGUGUAUGUUUACUUGUUGUGGUCUGUAGUACGCAUUCACCAAGUAAAUUUGGUGUUUUCACCGUAGAUACUGGUCUCUAUGCUCUUCUGUUUGGUUGUCCGUUAAGCCUGUUGGUAAUUUUCUGGUGCUUCACUAUGUCCUGUUGUCUGACACCUUGAACAUAACUCUUGUUAUCAUACAUUAGUGCUUGAGCUUUUCUUUGGAUUCUAACAGACAAUAGAUCCAAAGUACACUGGUAAUUUGAUUUUUAGGUUGAUUUGCUUUAGUUCCUUGGGUCAGUUGCUUUACCAUUUUAUUACCUGAUCUCACUGGCAUGUAGCUAAAAAGAGUGGAAGUAACUGAUACGAUGAUUUUUGAUGGCUUGAGCAGGAUGAAGUUUGUUGCUGCCUACCUGCUUGCUGUCCUCGCUGGGAACGCCAGCCCCUCCGCUGACGAUUUGACUGCCAUUCUGGAGUCAGGUAAUCUCAUUUAACUGUCAUUCCAAUGGAUAACUAUUCUUACUUUUAACUCUGCUUUGGUUUAUGGAAAUGAUUCAAGUCUGACAAUAGCAUUACCUGCUUCUUGAAUGUAGGGUAUUUACGUUUAAGUAGAAGUUAACAAUUAUUUAGCACAAUUGGUUUGAUUGUAUUCAUCACAAUAGUGGUCCUGUAUUCACUGAUUUAGUGUUCUGCUCUUCUGGUUGUACUUGGUCGCAUGGCUCAUGUAGCAAAAGCAUCUAAUGCAGUCAUUCCUACUUGUUCAUGUCGCAGUUGGCUGUGAAGUUGACAAUGAAAAGAUGGAACUCCUGCUGUCCCAACUGAGCGGUAAGGACAUCACCGAGCUCAUUGCCGCGGGCAGGGAGAAGUUUGCUUCAGUCCCAUGUGGUGGCGGCGGUGUCGCUGUUGCGGCAGCUGCACCUGCUGCUGGCGGAGCUGCUUCUGCAGCUGAGGCAAAGAAAGAAGAGAAGGUGGAAGAGAAGGAAGAAAGCGAUGAUGUAAGAUCGUUGUUCUCCAAUUCUGGCUGCACAUUUUUUCCCUAUCAGAGCAGCAGUAACAAACUACUCUGUUCUGGUAUUAUCAAUAUACUACUUUCAAUUCAUCUUGAUAUCAUGGCCACCGAUUCUUUUAUACUGUUGUUUCCUUUGCUGUCGACACAUCUAGAGACUUUAUAUUGUUGAUUAUCUUUUAUGCAGGAUAUGGGCUUCAGCCUCUUCGACUAGGCUGCACAGUCAUCACAGUAUUGUUUUGGGCAGUGAAACCAGAGGAAAACCAGAGUCAUGUUUAGAUUUUAAGCUUGUUUUAUGUUGGAAAGUACUGGAAAGACUGCUACUUGUCUUUAUAUUUGGUAAUUCAGCCGUAGAUUGCUAUGCUGGUUGGGAUUUACUCGUGAACCAGAGUUUUUCUGUCUUAUAUAUCCUGAAUUGGUUAUCCCAAAGUUUCUUGGCUUUUUAACUAUUUUGUUGUUACAUGUUAAUAUUGCUUUGUUCAUCCUUAUCCACCUACUAUAGCUAUUUGCAAUCACAAAAUCACUUGAUGGCGGUCAGCCUAGAGUUAUCAAGCUGAUAUUAAUGCUGGUCCCUUUUAGUUUAAACAAUUUUAAAUUAUGGUCAAAUUCUAUAAGUAUAUGAAAUUAUGCAUAAAUGUGUUUUAUAUUUUAUUUUUAUACAUAUAUUCCAAAUUUUAAGACUUCGUUGUCAAAAUAUUAAUAUCCAUUUAAUUUCCAGCCUCGGUUUAUUGGAACACAAGAUUUUCAAAACACAGGAAUAGGAAAAACACAGGUUUAUUUAUAACACAGAAAGGUCAUAAAACAUAUUUGGAUCAUGCUUAGGAACGCAGCUGGCCGACACCGCGGGACCAACAGCGGCGGCGGGAAUUGGCAGGCCAUCUCGCCAUAGACACGUCUAGCUUCAUUGGCAGCAACAAAUAAUCUCACUUUUAACAUUUCCCACAUAAAUUGCCAAUGUUUUUUAUGACGAUAAAACAACCUCCUAUUCUAUUUACAGAAUUGUAUCAGGAUUCCAUAUAUUUUUUUCGGCGUUUCAACCGCGGGGGUCCCUGACCGAUGAGUAAAUUGUCGCUGCAUGGCUCAGCCCAGAUGGUUCGGCGCGAGAUGGAGCGCGAAGGGGGGAAAGCCAGAGGGAGACAGGCGUAAAAGGUGAAACCCGCGGCCUUCGUGUUUGUCCCGCGCCCAGGUCGGGUGCGCUUUCAGUAGGGGGUUACAAGCGUUCGCGUGGGAGGAAGCGAGAGGCUUACGCGCGCGCCGUCCCGUCCUCCCCGCGCGGCCAACCCUCUGUAAGAGGACCCUAAGUACAUGCCGUCGUGGCCUAAGUACAAUGGGAGAUGUAGCAGUGUGCUAACGUGUCUAGCAGGGAGGAGCUAGUGCCCUAAGUACAUGCCGUCGUGGCAGCCGGAGAGGUUUUGGCACCCUGUUCGUGUAAUGUCGUGGUCGUCGGAGGAGUGCUGGAGCCUUGCGGAAGGACAUCUGUCGGGGCUGUCGAGUCCUUGCUAACGUCUCCUUGCUUCCGUAAGGGGGCUGAGAGCCGCCGUCGUCAUGGAGCACGCGGGGCGCCAUCAUUACUUGUUUUACCAGGGCGAGUCAGAUAGGACGCCAGUCUUGUCCCCCGUAGUCAGAGCUAGCUAGGGGUAGGGUAAUGAUGGCCCCUCCUGUGGCGUGGUCGGUCUGAGCCCUAGGUUGGGCGAGGCGGAGGCUCCUCCGAGGUCGAGGUCGAGUCUGUCUUCCGAGGUCGAGGUCGAGUCCGAGCCCCUGGGUCGGGCGAGGCGGAGACCGUCAGCUGAGGCCAGGGCUGAGUCCGAGCCCUGGGGUCGGGCGAGGCGGAGUUCGUCGUCUUCCGGGGCCGAGGCCGAGUCCGAGCCCUGGGGUCGGGCGAGGCGGAGUUCGUCGUCUUCCGGGACCGAGGCCGAGUCCGAGACCUGGGGUCGGGCGAGGCGGAGUUUGUCGUCUUCCGGGCCGAGACCGAGUCCGAGCCCUGGGGUCGGGCGAGGCGGAGUUCGUCGUCUUCCGGGGCCGAGGUCGAGUCCGAGCCCUGGGGUCGGGCGAGGCGGAGUUCGUCGUCUUCCGGGGCCGAGGCCAAGUCCGAGCCCUGGGGUCGGGCGAGGCGGAGUUCGUCGUCUUCCGGGGCCGAGGCCGAGUCCGAGACCUGGGGUCGGGCGAGGCGGAGUUUGUCGUCUUCCGGGCCGAGACCGAGUCCGAGCCCUGGGGUCAGGCGAGGCGGAGUUCGUUGUCUUCCGGGGCCGAGGCCGAGUCCGAGCCCUGGGGUCGGGCGAGGCGGAGUUCGUCAUCUUCCGGGGCCGAGGCCGAGUCCGAGCCCUGGCCUCGAGCUUCCUAUGGCGCCCGAGGCCGGGCUUGGCUGCUGUCAGCCUCACUCUGUCGAGUGGCACAGCAGUCGGAGCGGCGUAGGCGGCGCUGUCCUUUUGUCAGGCCGGUCAGUGGAGCGGCGAAGUGACUGCAGUCACUUCGGCUCUGUCGACUCAAGGGCGAGCAUCAGGAUAAGGUGUCACGCCAUUUUUGCAUUAAAUGCUCCUGCGAUACGGUCGGUCGUCGUGGCGAUUUGGCCGAGGUUGCUUUUUGGCGAAGACCGGGCCUCGGGCGAGCCGAAGGUGUGUCCGUUGCUUGAGGAGGCCCUCGGGCGAGACGUAAAUCCUCCGGGGUCGGCUGCCCUUGCCCGAGGCUGGGCUCGGGCGAGGCGAGAUCGUGUCCCUUGAGUUGAUCGAGCCUUGACUUAAUCGCACCCAUCAGGCCUUUGCAGCUUUGUGCUGAUGGGGGUUACUAGCUGAGAUUAGGAGUCUUGGGGGUACCCCUAAUUAUGGUCCCCGACAGUAGCCCCCGAGCCUCGAAGGGAGUGUUAAUACUCGCUUGGAGGCUUUUGUCGCACUUUUUUGCAAGGUGACCGGCCUCUCUCGGUUGCGUUUUGUUACGGUCGGUGCGCGCGAGCGCACCCGCCGGGUGUAGCCCCCGAGGCCACGGAGGAGUGGUUUGACUCCUUCGAGGUCUUAAUGCGUUUCGUGAUGCUUUGGCCGGUCUGAUUGUUCCCUCAUGCGAGCUGGCCGUAGCCCGGGUGCUCAGUCGAGUUCCAAGUUCUCGGGCUGAUAUGUUGACGCUGUCAACGGUUUGGCCGGAGCCGGGUUUGCGAGAGCAGCCCUCCAGCCUCCGCACGGAGCGAGAGGUCGGUCAAGGAUAGACUCGACUUUUUUACAUACGCCCCUGCGUCGCCUUUCCGCAAGGAGGAGGGGGGGGGGAAGCGCCAUGUUGCCCUCGGAGGGCGCCGAACAUGGUGUCUCCAGUGAGCUGCUAACGGGUAAUCCGAGUGGACGCCCGUGCCCCAUUUGUUAGGGGUCGGCUAGUGGCCCGGAGGCGCGCGCCAAAAGUACCUGCGGGUGAUUUGCCGGACCCGGUCCCCUUUUGACGGGGUUCGAGGGCUCGAUGCCUCCCUCUGAUGGGAUUCCGUUAUAAAAAUCGUUCCCGUUGGUCUCGGAAAUGUCCUAGGGUACCUCGGGAGCGUAGCCCGAGCCUUGGUUAUGUAUCGAACGUACCCAGGGUCAUCCCUCGCUGUGCGUCUGAGGCGGCUGUCGAACCCUUUCGAGGGCCAGCCUACGAACCCCUGAUCAGUAGUGGGCGCGAAGCCCGAGUGGCCUGAGGCGGCCGUUGAACCCUUCCGAGGGGCCGGCCUUCGAACCUCUGACCAGUAGUGGGCGCGGAGCCCGAGCGCUCUGAGGCGGCUGUUGAACCCCUCCGAGGGGCCAGCCUUCGAACCUCUGAUCAAUAGGGGGGCUCGGGGCCCGUUUCCUUCGCGGAGAAGGAUCCCUUUCGGGGUAUCCCCUUUCCCGGUCCCUGUUGUAAGAGAGAGAAAGAGGAAGAGGAAAAGGAUACGAAAUCGAAUGACGUGGCGCACCUUUUUUGACGCGGUCAUUGUGGCGGAGGUGAAGCGUCGCCUGCUUCGCCUGCCAAAGGCGCCGCCUGUCCUACCGCAGAGUUAAUGCGACGGGACGAGUGGUUCGCGGGGCAGCCGUUGCGCGUGCGCGAGCCGUUCAAGGAACGGAACACGGGCGUGCCGUCUUCACGCCGUGGGAGAGGGUUCUCUCGCUGUCCCAGGAGGGGACGUGAGCGUGGCUGACGACUUGACCGCUGCUUCCGCCCGCCUGCCACCGCCAUUACUGCCGGCCCAUUUUUGGCCGUAUCGACCGUCACGCCUUCUCCCGCGGCUGACUGACCCGUGACCGAUGUGCCUGGCUGGCACUGUUGGGUCAUACGCAGGGUUGCCUCGAGUCGCGGUACUGGUUCCGCAGUCGAGGAGGCACGGUAGUGGCGCGAGUGGCGGUGCAGUAUCUUGCACGUAGCAACCGGCGCGCCGGUUACAUGGCGUGUGGGCCUGAGCCCCCAUGCUGGACGCGUUGGAGUCGAAAGGGUGCGCCCACUUGGUGCGGUUGCAUGCCGCCUGCGUGGCGGUCCGCCCUUUCACCCGCUGGUCUGGGCGAAAGUGGAGGAAUGCUCGUAACCGCUGGGCAGUUGUGCGCACCGCGCGCGGCGGUUUGGCUUCUUCUGCCCUGGGCCAGCUUGCAUGAUGCGUGGGACCUAGCCCCUGUGUCGUAGGGGGAGGACCUUGGAGCGUGUUGGAGAAGACUCAGCCUGCGAUGGCUGAGGACGCAAGUGGGGGGAGUUGCCUUUAAAAGGAGGGUGACCCCCUUGAAAGGCAACCAUGUCUUUGCGCUCCCCUCAUGCGUCGCGUCUUUCCACCCUCUGAGCCCCCGGAUGGGGAACACUCGUAGUCCUUCUGCCUUGUCGUUGGAGGAACACAACUUCACGGAAGUUGGUACCUUUCAGCCAUCGUUCGGCUUCAAGGAUUUUCAUCAGGCAGCCCGGCCGCAUCCCCUCGCCGGUGGUCACCCAAGACGGUGACCACCAGCUCCUGGGUGGGGAGAAGCAAGCCGGGCUGCGGCCUUUGCCCCUCCCUCAGCUUCAAGGAUGUUCAUCAUUAGUGCUGGGGAGGGGAGUGCGCCAAGUUGGGGUCGAUCUCCGUGCCCUCAGCGAUCGGGGGGGGGGGCGUUCGCCGUUCGUGGCGCUGGCAGCUGCCGCGUGUCCGGCUCUCCGGCCCGAGCGGCUUCGGCGCCGCUUCCGGUGCCACCUUCCGCCACGGCAGCCGGAAGAGGUUUCUCCACCGAAGAGAUAGUCGGUGCCGCCCGCGGACUGACCUUCAACUCUACGGCCUUCUGCUCGUCCUCGCCCCUCGAGUGGGGACGUGGGCGUGGGCCUCAUGGCAGCAGCAUCCGCCCUGAGGUCAUCGCUGCUACUGUUCGGCCGCUCGGAGCAGAAGUCGUCGGCCUUCUGUUGCUCCGCAGGCCCUCCAAUCGUGGGGGGUUGUUCGUACCUACGGAGGUGGAACCGGAGUUCCGUUUGUAAUGGCACCUUGAGUGCCGGUGUCUUGUUCAUUGUGGCUGUCGGGGCCUGAACAUGUAUGUAUUUUCGGCACGGAAUUGUGUUUUUCCUCAUUUCGAGCACUAGGACUCGUCUGUCGGCUAACUGAACCACUCAACCAAGUGUGAGUUGCCUCGUGCGAAGGUGGCGAGUGAGGUAUCCGUAUCCCGUAGGCGUAGGAGUCCCUCGGCUCGGUCGGCCUUGCCGCCCGAGGCUUCUCUUGCUUAGUUAAAGGAAACCCUCGGCCGCUCUUCGAUGAGCCGAAGCCGGUGUCAGCACGGAUAGAGGCGGAGUUGGCUCGAAAAGAAGACUUCGUCGGCCGGAGCCUGGCCGGGCCGUCCACUGGUGGGACCGACGCCGGAGUCGAGUUGCCGAGGCCACGAGCCGAGCUGAUGUCCUCGGGGGACAGCUGGCUGAGGCUUCGGGGUGGCCGGCCGAGCCGUCUGCUUGGGCCGGAUUCCUGGGGAAGACCCUGGCGGUGAUGGCCCGGGCGCGGUGCUGAUGUCGUCCUUCGAAGUAGAGAUCCUCCGACCGCGUUGCCGUCCGAGGCUCGGUCGGACUUUGCCGAAGGUGUAGCUGACGCCGAGGGUGCUGUUGCUCCCUUCAACUGUCAAGGUCCGAGCCUGCAGGAUCGGUUUAUCUUGUAGUGUGCGUAUGUUUUCUGCGGCCACCGAGGCCCAAACAUACUGUCGUCGUGUUGUAAAGCUGCGUUUCUUUUCCUCUUGUUUUGAGUAUCUAGACUUAUUUGUCGGUAACAGAAUUGUUUGUCCGAGCGAGAGUUACUUUUCACGGAAGGUGAUGAGUGAGGUAUCCGUAUCCCGAAGGCGUAGGAGUCCCUCGGCUCGGUCGGCCUUGCCGCUUACGUGUACUUUUACUAGUCCAUAGGAUUCUGCUAUCGAUAUAGUCGAGAAGGCCCAAAAAAUCGUUUCGGUAGAAGAGUUUUCGAGCGUGAAGACUUGUUCGGUCCGCGGAAUCACUUAUCCGAGCGUGAGUUACUUAUCGCAGAAGGUGAUGAGUGAGGUAUCCGUAUCCCGGAGGCGUAGGAGUCCCUCGGCUCGGUCAGCCUUGGCUGCUUACGUGUACUCCGUCGUUUUCAGGAUCCCACUUUCGAAGUAGUCGAAAAGCACGAAAGACAUUCUGGCAGAAAAGAUCUUUUCUGAGGAAGAUUUUGACGCGGAGGGGGUUCCCCCCUUCUAGCCCCCGAGGGAGGGUCGGGCUUUGCCGAGGCAAGGCUGACCCUUCCUUGAUGGUUAGACUUUGUGUGUGAACGAGGUGUAUGAACGACUUGAAAGCAUCUUAAGGGUAGAAGCGACGUAGCUGUCGGAUGUUCCAGGCGUCGCUGUAGACCUUGCCUUGACUGUUGGCCAGCUUGUACGUCCCGGGCUUCAGAACCUUGGCGAUGACGAACGACCCUUCCCAAGGAGGCGUGAGCUUGUGUCGCCCUCGAGCGUCUUGCCGCACCCGAAGCACCAAGUCGCCCACCUGGAGGUCUCGGGACCGAACCCCUCGGGCGUGGUAGCGUCGCAGGGACUGCUGGUACCGCGCCGAGUGUAGUAAGGCCAUGUCCCGAGCCUCUUCCAGCUGGUCCAGUGAGUCUUCUCGGUUAGCUCGAUUGCUUUGGUCGUCGUAGGCCCUCGUCCUCGGGGAACCGUAUUCUAAGUCUGUGGGCAAGAUGGCCUCGACUCCAUAGACUAGAAAGAACGGUGUGAAGCCCGUGGCUCGACUCGGCGUUGUCCUCAGACUCCAGACCACCGAGGGGAGCUCCUUCAUCCAUCGCUUGCCGAACUUGUUGAGGUCGUUGUAGAUCCGCGACUUGAGCCCUUGCAGAAUCAUGCCGUUGGCACGCUCUACUUGCCCAUUCGUCAUGGGGUGAGCCACGAUGACCCAGUCCACCCGGAUGUGGUGAUCCUCGCAGAAGUCCAGGAACUUCCUGCCGGUGAACUGGGUGCCGUUGUCGGUGAUGAUGGAGUUCGGGACCCCAAAGCGAUGGAUGAUGUUGGUGAAGAACGCCACCGCCUGUUCGGACCUGAUGCUGUUUAGGGGUCGGACCUCGAUCCACUUGGAGAAUUUGUCGAUGGCGACCAGCAAGUGCGUGUAGCCCCCGGGUGCCUUCUGCAAGGGGCCGACGAGGUCCAGCCCCCAAACAGCAAACGACCAGGUGAUGGGUAUCGUCUGCAGGGCCUAAGCGGGCAAGUGUGUCUGCCUCGCAUAGAACUGACACCCUUGGCAGGUGCAGACAAUUCUAGUGGCAUCGGCCACCGCGGUCGGCCAGUAGAAACCUUGUCGGAAGGCAUUUCCAACAAGGGCUCGAGGCGCUGCGUGAUGACUGCAAGCCCCCGAGUGUAUUUCUUGUAAGAGCUCCUGGCCUUCGGCGAUGGAUAUGCAUCGCUGGAGGAUGCCUGAGGGGCUGCGGUGGUAGAGCUCCUUCCCGUCCCCCAGCAAGAUGAACGACUUAGCGCGCCGCGCCAAUCGCCGAGCUUCGGCUCGGUCGAGGGGUAGCUCUCCUUGGUGGAGAUAUUGCAGGUAUGAGGUAUGCCAGUUUCGAUUAGGCGUGACCCCGCUCCGCUCCUCCUCGACGCGCAGUGCCUCACCCUCGGGGGCCGAGGGUGCCUUGGGCCGAGCCGAGGGUGCCUCGGGCUGAGCCGAGGCCUUCUCGGGCUCGGGUGCGUCGUCGGUCUUGAUGGAGGGUUGAUGCAGGUCUCGAGAGAAGACGUCCGGGGGAACCGUUGUCCGCCCCGAGGCUAUCUUAGCCAGCUCAUCCGCAGUCUCGUUGUACCGUCGGGCGAUGUGGUUGAGCUCGAGCCCGUAGAACUUGUCCUCCAGGCGCCGAACCUCAUCGCAGUAGGCUUCCAUCUUCGGGUCGCGGCAGUGGGAGUUCUUCAUGACUUGGUCAAUGACAAGCUGCGAGUCACCGCGAGCGUCGAGGCGUCGGACCCCUAGCUCGAUGGCGAUGCGCAACCCGUUGACCAGAGCCUCGUACUCGGCCACAUUGUUGGACGCCGGGAAAUGGAGGCGCAACACGUAGCGUAGGUGCUUCCCGAGGGGCGAGAUGAAGAGCAGGCCCGCGCCUGCCCCUGUCUUCAUCAGCGACCCGUCGAAAAACAUGGUCCAGAGCUCCGGUUGGAUCGGAGCUGUUGGGAGCUGGGUAUCGACCCAUUCAGCCACAAAGUCCGCCAAGACUUGGGACUUGAUGGCCUUCCGAGGGGCGAACGAGAUUGUCUCUCCCAUGAUUUCCACUGCCCACUUUGCAAUCCUACCCGAGGCUUCUCGGCACUGGAUGAUCUCCCCCAGGGGGAAGGAUGACACCACAGUUACCGGAUGAGACUCGAAGUAGUGUCGCAACUUCCGCCGCGUCAGGAUCACCGCGUACAGCAGCUUCUGAAUUUGUGGGUAGCGGAUCUUGGUCUCGGACAGUACCUCACUGAUGAAGUAGACUGGCCUCUGGACGGGCAAUGCAUGCCCCUCUUCUCGUCUCUCAACCACGAUCACGGCGCUGACCACCUGAGUGGUAGUGGCGACAUAGAUCAAGAGGGCUUCUUCGGCCGCAGGGGGCACCAAGAUGGGUGUGUUCGUGAGGAUCGCCUUCAAGUUCCCGAGGGCUUCCUCGGCCUCAGGGGUCCAAGUGAAGCACUCGACCUUUCUUAAGAGGCGGUACAGAGGCAGGCCUCUUUCGCCGAGGCGCGAGAUGAAACGGCUCAGAGCCGCAAGGCAUCCCGUGACCCUAUGUACGCCUUUCAAGUCCUUGAUGGGCCCCAUGUUGGUGAUGGCCGCGAUUUUCUCCGGGUUGGCCUCGAUGCCCCGCUCGGAGACGAUGAACCCCAAGAGCAUGCCUCGGGGGACCCCGAAGAUGCACUUCUCGGGAUUGAGCUUUACGCCUUUCGCCUUGAGACAAUGGAAUGUCGUUUCAAGGUCGGAAAGGAGGUCAGAGGCUUUCCUCGUCUUGACUACGAUGUCAUCGACGUAGGCCUCGACCGUUCGACCAAUGUGUUCGCCGAACACGUGGUUCAUGCACCUUUGGUAUGUCGCACCCGCAUUCCUCAAACCAAACGGCAUGGUAACAUAGCAGUACAUGCCGAAAGGUGUGAUGAAAGAAGUCGCGAGCUGGUCGGACUCUUUCAUCCUGAUUUGGUGAUACCCUGAGUAGGCAUCGAGGAAAGACAGGGUUUCGCACCCAGCAGUGGAAUCCACGAUUUGAUCGAUGCGAGGCAGAGGGUAGGGAACUUUUGGACAUGCUUUGUUUAGACAAGUGUAGUCUACACACAUCCGCCAUUUCCCUCCUUUCUUUCUCACAAGCACAGGGUUGGCAAGCCAUUCGGGAUGGAAUACCUCUUUGAUGAACCCUACCGCCAUUAGCUUGUGGAUCUCCUCGCCUAUGGCUCUGCGCUUUUCUUCGUCGAAUCGGCGCAGAGGCUGCUUCACGGGUCGGGCCCCAGCUCGGAUAUCCAGCGAGUGCUCGACGACAUCCCUCGGUACGCCGGGCAUGUCUGAGGGACUCCAUGCGAAAACGUCGGCGUUUGCGUGGAGAAAGUCGACGAGCACUGCUUCCUAUUUGGGAUCGAGCUCAGAGCCGAUCCGGAUCUGCUUGGAGGCGUCGUUGCUGGGGUCGAGAGGGACGGACUUAACCGUCUCCGCUGGCUCGAGGUUGCUGGCAUGGCGCUUCACGUCUGGCGCCUCCUUGGAGAGGCUCUCCAGGUCGGCGAUGAAGGCCUCGGAUUCGGCGAGGGCCUCGGCGUACUCCACGCACUCCACGUCGCAUUCGUACGCGUGUUGGUACGUGGGGCCGACGGUGAUGACCCCGUUGGGGCCCGACAUCUUGAGCUUGAGGUAGGUGUAGUUGGGGACGGCCAUGAACUUGGCGUAGCAUGGCCUCCCCAACACUGCGUGGUAGGUUCCUCGGAACCCGACCACCUCGAACGUGAGGGUUUCCCUUCGGAAGUUGGAGGGAGUCCUGAAGUAGACGGGUAGAUCGAGUUGUCCGAGGGGUUGGAUGCGUUUCCCGGGGAUGAUCUCGUGGAAAGGCGCCGCGCCUGCCUGGACUGAGGACAGAUCGAUCCGCAGGAGCCCGAGGGUCUCGGCGUAGAUGAUGUUGAGGCUGCUGCCUCCGUCCAUGAGGACCUUGGUGAGCCUGACGUUGCCGAUGAUGGGGUCGACAACGAGCGGGUAUUUCCCCGGACUCGGCACGCGGUCGGGGUGGUCGCCCUGGUCGUAGGUGAUGGGCUUGUCGGACCAGUCUAGGUAGACUGGCGCCGCCACCUUUACCGAGCAGACCUCCCGACGCUCUUGCUUGCGGUGCCGAGCCGAGGCGUUCGCCACUUGCCCACCGUAGAUCAUGAAGCAGUCGUGGACCUCGGGGAACUCUCCUGCCUUGCGAUCCUCCUUCUUAUCGUCGUCGUGGGCCCUGCCACCUUCCGCAGGUGGCCCGACCUUGUGAAAGUGGCGCCGAAGCAUGGCGCAUUCCUCAAGGGUGUGCUUAACGGGCCCCUGAUGAUAGGGGCACAGCUCCUUGAGCAUCUUGUCGAAGAGAUUGGCGCCUCCAGGAGGUUUCCGAGGGUUCUUGUACUCAGCGGCGGCGACAAGGUCCGCAUCGGCGGCGUCGCGUUUCGCGUGCGACUUCUUCUUGCCUUUCUUCUUGGUGCCGCGCUGAGUGGACGCCUCGGGGACAUCUUCCGCCUGGCGGCCCUGGGGCUGCUUAUCCUUCCGGAAGAUGGCCUCAACCACCUCCUGGCCAGAGGCGAACUUGGUGGCGAUGUCCAUCAGCUCGCUCGCCCUGGUGGGCGUCUUGCGACCCAGCUUGCUCACCAGGUCGCGGCAGGUGGUGCCGGCGAGGAACGCGCCGAUGACAUCCGAGUCAGUGACGUUGGGCAGCUCGGUGCGCUGCUUCGAGAAUCGCCGGAUGUAGUCCCGGAGAGACUCUCCCGGCUGCUGGCGGUAGCUUCGGAGAUCCCAGGAGUUCCCAGGGCACACAUACGUGCCCUGGAAGUUGCCGGCGAAGGCUUGGACCAGGUCGUCCCAGUUGGAGAUUUGUCCCGGAGGCAGGUGCUCCAGCCAGGCUCGAGCGGUGUCGGAGAGGAACAGGGGGAGGUUGCGGAUGAUGAGGUUGUCAUCGUCCGUUCCACCCAGGUGGCAGGCCAGCCGGUAGUCCGUGAGCCACAGUUCUGGCCUCGUCUCCCCCGAGUACUUUGUGAUAGUAGUCGGGGUUCGGAACCGGGUCGGGAACGGCGCCCGUCGUAUAGUCCGGCUGAAAGCCUGCGGACCGGGUGGUUCAAGCGAGGGACUCCGAUCUUCCCCGUUGUCGUAGUGUCCCCCACGCCUGGGGUGGUAGCCUCGGCGCACCUUCUCGUCGAGGUGGGCUCGACGGUUGCGGUGAUGGUGCUCGUUGCCGAGGCGACCCGGGGCCGCAGGCGCUGUGUUGCGCGUGCGCCCGGUGUGGACCGAGGCUUCCCGCAUGAAUCGGGAAGUCGCGGCGCGAUGUUCCGAGAGGUACCCCUGCCUUCGAGAGGUAGAGCUUUCGGCCCAUCGGACCGCGGCGUCCUCCAGGAGAUUCUUGAGCUCUCCCUGGAUACGCCGCCCCUCGGUGGUUGAUGGCUCCGGCAUCGCGCGGAGAAGUAUUGCCGCUGCAGCCAGGUUCUGGCCGACCCCACUGGAAGCCGGUGGCGGCCUUGCCCUGACAUCAUCGGCGAUGCGGUGCUGGAUGCCCUGGGGUAGAUGACGCGCUUCUCCGGCCAGAGGUUGGCUUGCCCAUUCCUGCCUGAUGUCCCGGCGGAACGGCUCAAGUGUUCCUGCUCCCUCGUCGAGCCUGGCCUGCAUCUCGCGGAUUUGCUCGAGCUAUGAGUCCUGACCCCCCGCAGGGACUGGGACCACAGCUAGCUCCCGAAGGAUGUCAACGCGAGGCGCAAGCCUAGGGGAUCACCGUUCUCCGGUAUACCAAGAUGGUUGCCUUCGCCGGGACCCCCCAGAUCGACGUGGAAACAUUCACGACUUGGGCCGCAGUCCUCGUCGCCGAAGCUGCGGCUACCGUCGGAACAAUCGGAGAGGCAGUAGUCGCAUGCGGUCAUGAAGUCCCGCAUGAAACUGGGUUACCAAGUCUGGAGAAAUCCCAACAAAAGUCGGGCUCGUCAUCUUCCUCGGAACCCGAGGGCCCGUAGGUCGAGACGACUGUCAGCCAGUCCCAGGGUGACCGCAUACCGUACCCCGGAGGGUUUGGACUCGCCUCUAUGAAAGCGUCCACCGAAGCGAAGUCGCUUGGUGGGUCAAGGCUGAAUCCAAAAGACACGAGAUGGGAAUCAGUCGGUACCUCUUGGUCGACGGGCGGUGACGAAGUCACGUCAAGGGCAGACUGCAUCGUCGUCUCAGGUACGAGGGUGACGCUCAGCAAGUCUUUUGCGAGCGUGCUGGCGUCGUCCGUCCGCUUGGAGUUGGCGCGUUGCGGAGAAACGGCGCUCGUCUUCGUCUCAGACGCGAAGUCGAUGCCCGACGUGUCCCCCGUUGGGGCGCCAGCGCCGUCGACUCGCUCGACAGCCGACGAGGUGCCGCCUCCUGCUUGGCCUUGGUUGCCCCGCCUCCUCCUCCGUCGGCGGGGGAGGCGACGGGACAAACCCGAAUGUUGUUCUUCCGCCACGUGGGGAAGACGUCGUCGAUUCCGCCGCCGGCGGGGGGGUUGUCGGCCGCCAUUGUCGCUGUCGCGCGACGGGGGAAGGAGUAUCAUGUCGUAGCUGCCGUCGAGGGACAUGAACUCAAGACUCCCGAAACGGAGAACUGUCCCGGGCUGGAAAGGUUGCUGGAGACUAACCAUCUGGAGCUUGACGGGAAGCUGUUCGUCAACACGCAGCAGGCCCCUACCUGGCGCGCCAACUGUCGGCGUUUCGACCCCGGGGGGUCCCUGGACCGACGAGUAAAUUGUCGCCGCGUGCCCCAGCCCAGAUGGGUCGGCGCGAGACGGAGCACGAAGGGGGGAAAGCCAGAGGGAGACAGGCGUAAAAGGGGAAACCCGCGGCCUUCGUGUUUGUCCCGCGCCCAGGUCGGGUGCGCUUGCAGUAGGGGUUUACAAGCGUCCGCGUGGGAAGGAGCGAGAGGCUUACGCGCGCGCCGUCCCGUCCUCCCCGCGCGGCCAACCCUCUGUAAGAGGGCCCUGGACCUUCCUUUUAUAGGUGUAAGGAGAGGGUCCAGGUGUACAAUGGGAGAUGUAGCAGUGUGCUAACGUGUCUAGCAGGGAGGAGCUAGUGCCCUAAGUACAUGCCGUCGUGGCAGCCGGAGUGGUUUUGGCACCCUGUUCGUGUAAUGUCGUGGCCGUCAGAGGAGUGCUGGAGCCUUGCGGAAGGAUAGCUGUCGGGGCUGUCGAGUCCUUGCUGACAUCUCCUUGCUUCCUUAAGGGGGCUGAGAGCCACCGUCGUCAUGGAGCACGCGGGGCGCCAUCAUUACUUGUUUUACCGGGGCGAGUCAGAUAGGACGCCGGUCUUGUCCCCCGUAGCCAGAGCUAGCUAGGGGUAGGGUGAUGAUGGCCCCUCCUAUGGCGUGGUCGGUCCGAGCCCUAGGUUGGGCGAGGCGGAGGCUCCUCCGAGGUCAAGGUCGAGUCUGUCUUCCGAGGUCGAGGUCGAGGUCGAGUCCGAGCCCCUGGGUCGGGCGAGGCGGAGACCGUCGGCUGAGGCCAGGGAUGAGUCCGAGCCCUAGGGUCGGGCGAGGCGGAGUUCGUCGUCUUCCGGGGCCGAGGCCGAGUCUGAGCCCUGGGGUCGGGCGAGGCGGAGUUCGUCGUCUUCCGGGGCCGAGGCCGAGUCCGAGCCCUGGGGUCGGGCGAGGCGGAGUUCGUCAUCUUCCGGGGCCGAGGCCGAGUCCGAGCCCUAGGGUCGAGCGAGGCGGAGCUUCCUAUGGCGCCCGAGGCCGGACUUGGCUGCUGUCAGCCUAACUCUGUCGAGUGGCACAACAGUCGGAGCGGCGCAGGCGGCGCUGUCCUCUUGUCAGGCCGGUUAGUGGAGCGGCGAAGUGACUACGGUCACUUCGGCUCUGUCGACUGAAGGGCGCGCGUCAGGAUAAGGUGUCAGGCCAUUUUUGCAUUAAAUGCUCCUGCGAUACGGUCGGUCGUCGUGGCGAUUUGGCCGAGGUUGCUUCUUGGCGAAGACCGGGCCUCGGGCGAGCCGAAGGUGUGUCCAUUGCUUGAGGGGGCCCUCGGGCGAGACGUAAAUCCUCUGGGGUCGGCUGCCCUUGCCCGAGGCUGGGCUCGGGCGAGGCGAGAUCGUGUCCCUUGAGUGGAUCGAGCCUUGACUUAAUCGCACCCAUCAGGCCUUUGCAGCUUUGUGCUGAUGGGGGUUACCAGCUGAGAUUAGGAGUCUUGGGGGUACCCCUAAUUAUGGUCCCCGACAAUUUUGUAAAAAGAAUCCAAGGAAAUUAAACAGGUGUAGUAUGUACUAUAGCACUGCCUGCAGCCUAGAGGCCCCUCAAAUCUUAUUUCUUCCAUCAGUGGCAAAUCUUCUGCCAUCAGUGUCAACUGGCGCCCCUCAAACAAAGGGUGAAGCUGUGUUUGCUUGACCCAGUGAAAACCCCCAAAAAUAUCCUGUACCCCACGUAGUUUAUCAUGCUGCAACACAUGCAUGCAAGUUUUGGAAGAAACCCUUUCUCUGUACAGACCUAUCAAGGCAAGUAAACUUUUCAAUAUAGUAUAGCAUGACAAGUAAACUUCAAAUACUCAAAAUAUCCUGUACCCCACGUAGUUUAUCAUGUUACAACACAUGCAUGCAAGUUUUGGAAGAAACCAUUUCUCUGUACAGACCUAUCACAAGGCAAGUAAACUUUUCAAUAUAGUAUAGCAUGACAAGUAAACUUCAAAUACUCUAUGCCUAUUUGGUUUCCCUAGCCUAAAAUAAAAAGGCUAAAAUUUAAUCUAAAGUACCAAACAAGAGCUAAAAGGGCUAAAAUAUUUUAACUCCAUUAACCCACAAAGAGGAGCUAAAGUGGGCUAAAAUAUUUAAUCAAGCACAUUAUGCUUCCUGCUUCAAGGAGGGAAUUUAAAGAUAUCUAUGUGAUCUUUGAGUUGAUGGAGUCAGAUCUCCAUCAUGUAAUAAAAGCAAACGAUGAUCUUUCUAAAAGUAUAAAUUUUUAAAACAACCCUCUCAUUUCCCUUGGAUGUUUUUAAAAAGGUUCUUGUCAGGGGCGAAUAUCAUGUGUAUGACAUUGGCGUGGGAUCAACGAGAGGUAUAAGUGUCCAACCAUUUGAAUCUGUUCGACCUUCAUAAGGCAGACCCUGUCUCAUCCGACCACCAGGCAUGGAGGACAGAUGAUUGACGUUUUUUGUCUCCCUCGAUCCCCGACUACCCAGGAUCUAGGGGCCAGACAAUUCCGCCUCGUAGUUCUGCCUCACCCGAUCUCCAACCACCGAUGGUCUAGGGGACGAAUGACUCUGCCUCGGAGUUUCGCUCGCCCGAUCUUCGCGCUCUCGAGACUGCUAAGGGUCUGGGAGUCGAGCGACCUCACCCGACCCCCAAGGAUGAGGGGUUGGAUACUUUGCCUGAUCACGUGGGAUCCAAAUUCUUAGGGUCGUACCAUGACGACCACUGCAAACGUUAGAAUGUGCAAGUCAGGCUCUGACACAGACAUGCAACCUGAAUGACGGCAUAAGAGUUGGUAUUCCAGAGCGCAUGUUACAUAUUACGGCGUGGAGAGUGGCACCUGCUCAACCACUCUGGUAAGUCAAUAAAGGACACGAGUAAACCAUUGCAGGAUGUGACAAAGUGUAAUGGCUUGCUUCAGGGUGGCAUUGACGUGGCUACACUACCUUGAUGGCAAGAGGGUUCAUCCACGGUGUCCAUCGGCCAGUGGGAACCCUAGAGGACAACAUGCUAUACGACAGUACCCGACCUCUACUCGCUUCGCUUGACCCUUCGACUCAUGUAACAUGAUCCUCCUCUCACCUAGCCUAUAAAAGGAAGGAAAGGACCACGGUUCAAGACACGAGCAUACAUAGGCAUAAACCGCCAGCACAAAUCCUAUACAAAGCACUUUUACCCCCAUGAGCACUCAUUCACAAGAGACUUGGGAGCUUGAUCGCUCUCUUGCCUGUUUGUAACCUCCUACUACAAACUAGUGCAGGGUAAAGCAAAUCGCUCAAUUGGACGUAGGGACAUUCCGCCCGAACCAGUAUAAACCUUUUUGUCCACUGUACACACCAUUGCUCCGAGACGGGCAAAGCACGAUAGUUACUAACCGGUGGUUACAACACAUCAACAAUCCUCACACCUCUAUCCUUGUGUCUUGGUUGCACCAAUAUGUACGGUUGCACUUUAUACCUUCCCUUCAUUUAAAUGUUAAUAUUGAACAUACAAGCGAGUUUUACAUGCAGAUUUAAUGCUGCAGAACUUGUUGUGUAUUACUUGAACAAUGUGCACAUGGUGUGGGUUGAUAUGUCUGCUUAUUUUAUAAAUUUUAUUGAAUUGUAAGGUUCUGAAUCUGGCAUUAACUUUUGAAGUACACUCCUUCCAUUGAUAUUUGGAGCGUAGGAUGUAUAUUUGCUAAAUUGCUCACAGGAAGCCACUCUUUCCAGGGAAGAAUGUUGUGCAUCAAUUGGAUCUUAUGACUGAUCUACUUGGUACACCUUCAAUAGAGUCUAUCUCCAAGGUUUGCUCACUUGUUAUUAGUGUGAUUCUUCUGUAGUAUUGUUGAGCUUAAUUUUUUAUAUUCCAGGCAUUACUCUGUUUUAGUUUUUAGGCAUGGAACUUGUAUAAAAUGCUCAAACUUUCAUUGGUAGUACACAAUUACUAACUUACUAAUUGUUUAUUUAUAUUUAUUGUCAUUUGUUUUGAAGACUUUCACUAUGCCUCUUUAAACAAGUACUGAAGUACUUCAAUGUUUAGUUACCGAAAACUGCAAAGUUAUGUACCAAUUGACAUCAAUAUUCAAUGACAACAGUCUUUUGCUAUUCCUCUAGAAUAUGUUGAAAACAAAGUGCCAACUGAUGAAUGACACAAAAUCAUGUGUCCUACACUAUGUUGAAGUGCAUAAAUGGAUUGUCUACCUUCUCCCAAUAACUUAAGAUUUUUUGGUUGAAUUAUGUCGGUGUUUUGACCCGAGGAUCCUUACCAACUAGUGAAUAAGUGUUGCGUGUCCCGGCCUAGAUGGGUGAUGCAAGAAGACACAAGGUUUAUCUUGGUUCGGGCAGUAGAAGGCCCUACUUCCAGUAGAGGAGGAUGAGACUCAUAUUAUCUUUCACCUAAGUGCUUGUAGUAGGGGAUACAAGCUAGUCGAGAGAGGGAGUGGACCCAAGUCUCUGAGGAUGAUUGCGGCAGGUGCCAAUAUUGGUCGAGGAGGGCAAAACCUGUGAAGUGUGGUUCUCCCCCUCCUGGAUGCCCUGCACUUCUUUUAUAGCCUUAAGGAGGGACCUCAGGAGCACCAAGGUUUGUUGAAAUGAGGAGAGGAGGCGAGACCGAGCCCCUAUAGCAGCAUGACCGUCGGAAUGGCUUCGGUCUUUGCAGUUGUCUUGGAUCAGGGGAAGGACGUUCGGCCCUGUAUCCCGCAUCUUGACCGAGCAGAGAGUCAAGGCUAGGAUCGGGGGCUCGUACGCGUAACCGAGCCUAUCUUGUGGAUGUGUUGUCCGAGUUGUAGUUGUUGGAAUAGUGAUAAAUAUGGUAAAAAGCACAUGGUAAUUCAUCUUGUAUGGCGUAAAGUAGACCUACACCAGCCCUACAGUUCUAUAGCCAUUCCGUUGUCAGCUGUCUUUGUGGAAGGGUUGGUGGCAUCGAGUGUCCUUUUGUCGAUGUUAUUUAAUGCGCACGUCUUCAUGGUUUUCGAGAUCUUCGACUGAGGCUGGGCUCGAGGCUAUCUUCUGUCUGAGAUGAGCUCGGGCGAGUGACGAAGAUUACUUUCCAUAAAAAGGGGGCCCUUGGGCGAGUCAAGGAUUUCUCACGUGCGCGACUUUCGCCCAUGGAUAGGCUCGAGCAAGACGCAAUUUUGAGCGACCGUUGAGCGGGGCCUCGGGCGAAUCAUGAUUCAACCGUACUUGAUCUCAGGGAACAUGUUUUCUGAUUUUUUCGGUACUCAGGUGUUAGGUACGAUUAUGGGCAUAGUCUGGGUACCCCUAAUUAUGAUACCCGACAGUAGCCCCGAGCCUCCAAGGAAGUGUAGGCACUUGCUUGGGGGUUCUGCCGACCUCUCGCAAGCAUGUUGCUUAAUCCUUUGAUAGGCGGUAGACUCAUUUCCGAUGGGGGCGCCCGAGCGCACCCAUCGAGUGUAGACCCCGAGGCCUCGGAGGGGUGAUUACUCCUUCGAGGUCUUUAUGUUUCCCUCUAUAGAUAUCGUUGACUUGUUCAUUGUACAUCACCUGGCUGUAGCCUAGGUGAAAAGGCAACCCUCGAGUCUCUACGUUGGGUUGUUGGUGCUUCCAACAAUUUUGCCGCAACAUAGGUGCAAGGGCAGCCCUCGAGCCUCUACACAUGGCGAGAGGACGAUCAAGGAAUGCCUUGACUUUUAAUGAUACACCUCUUCAUCGCGUUUCCGCAAGGAGGAAGAGGGGGAAAGCGCCAAGCUACCCUCAGUGGGCAACGAGCAUGACAUCUCCUAUGAGCUGUUAGCGGGUAAUCCGAGUGGAGGCUCGAGCCCCAUUUGAUAGGGGUCGGCUAGCGGUCCGAAGAUGCGCCCUAAUACACAUGUGGGUGAUUUGCUUGGUCCUAGACCCGUUCUAUGGGAUCCAAGGGCUCGAUUCCUCCCUCUGAUGGGAUACCGCUAUGAAUCAUUAUCGAGGGUCUCUGAUAUGUCUUAGAGUACCUCUGGGUUGUAGCCUGAGCCUCGGCCAUGUACGAAUGUACCCAUGGUCAUCCCUGACUCUAUGGUUUGGGGUGGUUGUCGAACCCUACCGAGGCGCCAACCUAGCUUCGAACCCCUGAUCUGUAAAGGGCUCAGAGCCCGUGUGCUCUAGUGCGGUUGCCGAACCUCGACGAGGGGCCAACCUUUGAACCCCUAAUCGGUAAGAGGCUUGGGCCUCAUUUUCUUUGCUAGGAAGGCGAUUCUAAGAGGUGUUUCUUUCUUGUCACCUGUGGAGAAGGGGAAGAGGAGAGAGAGACACACCUUUUUAUGCGCCUACCGUGAGGAGACGGAGCGACACCCAUUGGUUGCGUCAGCCGGAUGGGACGUGUGCCCCCAGGUGGGAGUUAAUGCGAUGGGACGCAAAGUCCGCGGGCUAUCCGUUGGGGCACACGGGAUUCGAAGAGACGAAAUCUGUUUCUAGACAUGAUUUUUCAAUGCAGGGGGGGCUCGGCCUUGACCUCACAGGUCCGUUAUAUAUAUAUAUAUAUAUAUAUAUAUAUAUAUAUAUAUAUAUAUAUAUAUAUAUAUAUAUAUAUAUAUAUAUAUAUAUAUAUAUAUAUAUAUAUAUAUAUAUGGGAGGGGGUCCCUCCCGGUUCUUACCUUGAUUUUGCCUUCCUAGCCUUAUCUACUACUACUCUUUCUAGCCACAGCCAAGAAUCGCGCAUUGAGAUGGGGAGAGAAAAGAGCUCGCACACCUUUUCUCUGCCGCCUCCCUCUAUUGCCAUGGCUAAGAAGCUGAACGUCCUUGCUCCCUGCGACCCGUGGCCCUUCUCCUCUUUGAUUGAUGAAGAUCUGCAAGGCCUGGUUGACGGGGGUCUGCUCUGCCCCCGCACCUUUGAGGUGCAGCCCAAGUGGCUCGUCCCUAGGGACGAGGAGGAGCCGACCCCGCCCGUGGGCUACGUUGUCAGCUUUGUAUCCUUCCACGAGCGGGGGUUCGAGGUGUCAGCGAACUAGUUCAUGCGGGCGCUCCCACACUACUACGGGGUGGAGCUUGACAACUUCAACCCCAACUCCAUAGCCUAGGCGACGAUUUAUGCGGCGAUCUACAAGGGGUACCUCAGGAUCGAGCCCCACUGGGAUUGAGCUCCACCUCUUCCGCACGGAGCCGUUCUCCCUCCCUUCAGAGGUGAAGAAGUUCCACCAUACGGUGAGGGCCGGCGGCUGCAUGCUCCAGCUGUGCUCGGAUCGGGCACAACUGUACAUCCCUGCCUCCCUUACCUCUUCGAACAAGGGGUGGCAGAGCUGCUGGUUCUACCUCAUUAAUGAUGAUGGAAGGUUGCUGGCAUACACCAAGAGGGUCGUGACCGUUGCGGGAGAGCACUGGCGGUGGGGCGCAUCGUGGGAGCAUCAGUCCUAGAUGGAGCCCUUCCUGGAUGCCCUACGGAAGCUCCACGACCGAGGGCUUACUACAGCCAGGGUCGUCGCUGUCUUCCACCGUCGGAGGGUGCUGCCGCUGGUGGAGCGGCGCCUGCGCUUGGACGAGAUGAAGCCCGAGUGAGAGCACCUAGAGGGGGGGGGGGGUGAAUAGGUGAUCCUGUAAAAAAUAGCUCAACAAAACAAACUUGGACUAAUAUUGGAUUAGUGAAAGCAGGAGCCAAGUUCGAAUGAAGAGUAUGAUAGGAGUAAAAUUCUUCACUUAAUUGCUCUUCACUAAGUGAGUAUUAAACUUAGAGCAAUUAUGCAAGUGAAGUGAAUAGAGAGAAAAUCAGAGUAAGAUAAAAAGACACAUGACACAAUGAUUUUUAUCUCGUGGUUCGGUCAAGUAGAAUGGUUGCCUACUCCAUGUUGUGGCGUCCCAAUGGAAAAGGGUUGGACUCAACCCCUUUCAAGUGAUCCAAAGAUCAACUUGAAUACCACGGUUCUUUUUAUAUCAACAAUAUCCCGUUGUGAGGAAUCUCCACAAUUUGGAGUCUCUCAUGCCUUACACAAAUGAUCUCAAAUGAACACAAGAGUAAGGGGAAUAGAAAAACACACAAGAACUAGAGUUGCAGCAACAACACACACAAGUCAAGAAAGAGCACACGAAACAACACAGCGGAGUUACAACUCAAAGAGGUGCUCAAAUCUCUAUCACAAUGAAACAACUGUGUGCUUACGAAGUCUCAGCGUUGUAGACCGUUCAAUGGGUGCUUGGUGUUGAGCUCCAUGCGCCAAGGGGUCCCUUUUAUAGCCCCAAGGGACCUAGGAGCCGUUGGAGCUCCAUUUGGAAGGCCCUGGUUGCCUUCUGUCCGUGGGUGACAGUGAAUAGUGUGCGGGCAUAGAAUCCCUUGAUUGGCUACUUUCUGCUUCUAGGGGGCACCAGACCGUCCGGUGCCCCACAUGACCGUUGGCCUGGGGCUGACGUGGCUACUAGUCAUUGGCUGCUGGCAUACCAGACUAUCCGAUGCUCCGUCCGGAUGAUUUGGUGAAUUAUAGCCGACGCUGGCUAAAAUUCCCGAGAGUGAGCAGUAUGACAGAUCGUGCACCGGACUGUCUGGUGCACACCAGACCGUUCGGUGAGAGGCACCGGACCGUCCGGUGCUCUUCAGUCCAACACGAUUUUUCUUUUUCUUUCUUUGUUUUUUUGCUCCUUUCGGACUUGACUUCGUAAAGUCACUGGCACUUAGACAAAUAUAAUUAGUACUCAAAACAAUUGACUAAGUUUCUAGAGCUUACCUUUUUACUUGGUCCAUAUAGAUUUUGCACUAGGUCCUUUUCCGAGCUCAAUUUGCUUCAUAUACCUUUGCUCAUACAUCAUGUUAGUUUAAACAUAAUGUGUUGUGCAUCUUAUCACGAAAACAAUAUAGAAAUGGCCCAAUGGCGCAUUUCGCUUUCAAUCUCCGCCUUUUUUGGUGAUUUAUGCCAACACAUCAAAAAGCAACUCAUAUUGACUUAACAUAUCCAAAAGAGCUAAACAGAGCAAAUCGAUGUCAAAUUGAAGACCAAUAAAAUUAUCAUAGGAUUUGGCAUAUUUGGAUCACUUUUGCCACCACUUGGUUUGUUUUCGCAAAAACAAAUUCAUUUUCCUAUCUCUAUGUCAAAAACACUUGUUUUGGCAAACCAAAGUAUCUUUCAAGACUAGUUUUGAUCAAGAGUAAAAAAACUCCCCCUUUUUCCAUAAUCAAAUUUCUCCCCAUAAGAGAGCAGUUUUUUUUGCAAUAAGAGGAUUUUGAUAAAAAAAUUAAGUAUACUUACACUAAUAUUUUGAAAUUUACAAGUGGUAGCUGAUCCAGUUGCUUUGGCCUUAAUUUCUCCCCCUUUGUAAUUAAGCACCAAAACAGAAGAACUAUUUGGCCCUUUAACCCCAUUGCCUCACAAAAAUUGUAAGUAAAACCAAGGGCAAUAUAGAUAGUGACUUGGAACAAGAGAUAUUGAUACAGGAAUGCAGUGGAAGCCUUUUCUUUGUCCAAGUCCACCUUUUCCCUUUCAAUGCAUCUUUGAGACUGUAUCAAUAUCACUCAAGCAAACACAUUAGUCUCCAAGGGUCAAGUUGUAGUACAUCCUCCCCCUAAACAUGUGCAUUAUUUGCAUAAGGACUUGUGAGGUCCAGGGAUGACUUGUACAACUUGAGCACCAAAAUAAGUAAAGACAGAAAUGCUUAAAAGAACAUGAUCAAAGGCAUAAAACACAUGUGUGCUAUAGAUCAAUCCAAGUUCCACGAAUCUUAGACAUUUAGCUCACAACGCAACUUGCAAAACCUUUUCUCAUCUAAAGGCUUGGUGAAGAUAUCGACUAACUGGUUCUCGGUGCUAAUAUGACAAAUAUCGAUAUCUCCCCUUUGCUGGUGGUCUCUCAAAAUGUGAUACCGGAUGUCUAUGUGCUUAGUGCGGUUGUGUUCAACAGGACUAUCCGCCAAGCAGAUUGCACUCUCAUUAUCACAUAGGAGUGGGACUUUGCUCAGAUUGUAGCCAAAGUCCUGGAGGGUUUGCCUCAUCCAGAGCUGUUGCGCGCAACACUAGCCUACGGCAACAUACUCGGCCUCAGCGGUGGAUAGGGCAGCGGAUUGAUGUUUGUUUCUUAGAGCUCCAAGACACCAGGGAUCUUCCCAGAAACUAACAAGUUCCUGAUGUGCUCUUCCUAUCAACCUUGCAUUCGACAUAGUCGGAAUCUGAAUAUCUGAUUAAGUCAAAGGUAGAACCCUUUGGAUACCAGAUCUCGAAGCAAGGCGUAUGAACUAAAUAUCUAAGAAUUCGCUUCAUGGCCACAAGAUGACAUUCCUUGGGUUCAGAUUGAAAUCUACCAAACAUGCAUACACUAAGCAUUAUAUCCGGUCUACUAGCACAAAGAUAAAGUACUGAACCUAUCAUAGACCGGUAUUGCCUUUUGAUCAACGGACUUACCUCCCUUAUCGAGGUCCAAGUGUCCGUCGGUUCCCAUUAGCGUUUUGGUGGGCUUUGCGUCCUUCAUCCCAAACCUUUUGAGCAUGUCUUGAGUGUACUUCAUUUGGGAUAUGAAGGUUCCUUCCUUGAGUUGCUUCACUCGAAAUCCAAGGAAGUAGUUCAGCUCGCCCAUCAUUGACAUUUCAAAUUUAUGCAUCAUUACCCUACUAAACUCUUCACAAGACUUUUGAUUAGUAGAACCAAAUAUUAUGUCAUCGACAUAUAUUUGGCACACAAACAAAUCACCAUUACAAGUCUUAGUAAGAAGUGUGGGAUCCACUUCCCGACCUUGAAAGCAUUAGAUAUGAGAAAAUCUCUAAGGCAUUCAUACCAUGCUCUUGGAGCUUGCUUAAGUCCAUAGAGCGCCUUAGAGAGCUUGUAAACAUGGUCGGGAUACCUGUCAUCCUCGAAGCUAGGGGUUGUUCCACGUACACCUCCUCCUUGAUUGGUCCAUUGAGGAAGAUGCUCUUUACAUCCAUUUGAAACAACUUCAAAGAGUGGUGAGCAGCAUAGGCCAAUAAUAUGCGAAUUGACUCGAGCCUAGCUAUAGGAGCAAAAGUCUCCUCAAAGUCCAAACUUGCGACUUGGGCAUAACCUUUUGCCACAAAUCGUGCCUUGUUUCUUGUCACCAGCCCGUGCUCAUAUUGCUUGUUGCGGAACACCCACUUGGUUCCCACAACAUUUUGCUUUGGACAUGGCACCAGGCUCCAUACUUCAUUUCUCUUGAAGUUGUUGAGCUCCUCGUGCAUGGCCAGUACCCGGUCCAGAUCCUGCAAGGCUUCUUCUACCCUUGUUGUUCACUUAUUCUCAAAUGCUAUAAAUAAGAACAAGGCAACACAAUUAUUAAUGGUUAAAUACCUUCGUCCUUCGAAGCAUCAUUUCCUCUCGGAUAUAAUGAUCUUUAGACGAAGGUCAUGAAGGACACACCUUCAUCAUUUUAUAAUAUGAACAUGGAUAUAAGUAAGGAAAUGAAGGAAUACAAAGAAAUGAAGAUAACAUUUGUUAUAUAUUCAUGAUUCAUUUAUCUUCAUUGUACAUGAAUAAGCAUUAACAAUAUUCAUAUUACAAUGGUAACUUCAGCUUGCUGGAAGGUGAGAGAGCGAAAAUGGCGCGAGCAAUUACAAUCCAGCGUGAACAACACGAGGGUACUGUUCAUCUAUUUAUAGGCACAGGACGCAGCCCAGGUAAAAUUACAUCCAUGCCCUUGAACAUUUGUUUACAAGCAACUAAAACUAAUAAGGUCCAGCUAGUCCUUUUUCCUUCUCUGCUUGGUCUGGGCCGAAGCUAUUGAGCUUCGGCAUUCCGCAUUAUCGCCUCUACGUAGAGUCUUCGUCUUGAGGGGCUAAACCGAGGCUGAAGGUAGCUUUGGUGAGCCUUUGUAUUAUUUUGCUGAAGGUGUUUUUCAUUGAGGACCUUCGACGGAGAAGAAGACCCCCAACAGUAGCCCCUUCGUGGUGCUAGAUCAUUUUUCCGUAACGAGCUCGAUCCGCGAAAAACACGAAGGCUUCAGAAUGCCGAAGGUCCGGAAAACACCUUCCCUAAGCUCGUUGCCGAGAAACGAUUAAAAUAUUCCGGACGUCGGACGGUCCACCGCUCAGCCAGUGUAGGCGGUAUGACGGUUCGCCUUCUCCCCCUGCAGUACUAUAUAAACAGACAGGUUGGUGAGGAGUUACCACAACAUUAAUUGCCAUUGCACUGUUGUGCUGUAAAAAAAUUUAACCAUAGCCGAAGCUUGUCCAGUUUGUUUGCUGCAGUCACACGCUUCAUCGUUCGAAAUCACCUUCGGCUUUAAGGAAUCAGAAUACUCAAAAUGGCUCGAGUAAGGUCCACCGCUAGGGUAUCAUGCGAGGGAGAUGAUGCUGAGACAACAGAGAUAGCGCCGAUAUCAGAAAUGAUGAGACGAUCAGGUCUAGUGACAUCGAAAAAAGCUAUUUCCGAAGGUGAAGCUGCCGAAGCUGAGCAGAUUGCAGCUAAGGACGGAAGUGAUGAAGAAGCUAAAAAAGAUUACAACAUUUUAAGCCCGUCGAAGCCAAGCCACAUUGAAUUUGGGAAAUCCACUGUAAUAGCAGACAACAUGGUUAUAAUGAAAAGCUGGGUUAUUUUGGGGAGGCCGAGAGUACGCUUGUCCGCUUUGCUGGGGAGGAGGUGAUUCCGGAGCCAAAAGAGGACGAAGUUGUUGUUUUCAAGAGCUUCUUCAGGGCAGGGCUUCGGUUCCCUUUACAUGAAAUGAUAGAAGAAGUUUUAAAGAAUUUUGAAAUAUAUCUUCAUCAGUUGACACCCAAUGCCAUCGUUAGACUCAGUGUUUACAUAUAGGCUCUCCGAAUCCAGGGUAUGAGUGCUAAUGCUGAAGCUUUCUACCGAGUGCAUGAGUUACAUUACCAGACGAAGGCCAGAGCGGAUGGCCUUCAUAAGAACUUUGGCUGCUAUAACUUUGUGUAUCGAAAGGAUACCAAGGCCUUGGUAAUCGGCUACCGCACCAAGUGGCCAACCGGGUGGACGAGUGAAUGGUUUUAUAUAAAAGCUGAUGAGAAGAAGAGAGAAAAAUUGAUGACUAUGGUCAUGAGUCUGAUGAAAUUAAGCUUCGGAAUGACAAGGCCCUUGUGCCACAUGCAACUUGGCUCCCCGUGCCAGCUGACCGAAGUUGAAUUUAGAGUGGUAGCUACCGAGAUUAGCACCAGGGACUUAGUGCAAGAAUAUUUAGCGAAUAGAACAUUUCCAACUUCUAGCAGCUGGGGGAUGCCGAAGAAAAAGGAAGGGGAAAAAGUAUGAGCUUGUUCGGCUCCGCUAUCGCUUCAAAUUUGAGAAACAAUUCAAGAAACCAUGCAAUGAAUGGCUAGAAAUGAUCGAAACCAUGUGCAAUGAGAUUCUUGGCAACUGUACGAAGAAGGAGGACCAGCUAAUGAUUGCUGCCUUCGGUACCUGGCCGAAAUGAAGGCUGAACCGGGUAAUGGAUGCAUUAAACUUCGAAUACCCCAAUUAUGAGAGGUUUGACGGAGGGGCUGGGGGUGUGAAAAGAAAAAGGGUUGUUAGCAUCCUAAGCAGGCAAGCUGCCCGCUCAGUAAAAGAAGAUGAGAAGGCCUUAAAGAAAACAAAAACAGCGCCAGAGCCGAAGGCAACAAUUAAGAAGCAGAAGCUUGACCAAACACCCUCUAUUGAAUCGAAGGUCGACGAGGCAGCAGAGAGAACCCCUCCGUCGCCAACUGCUGUUGAAGUGGUUGAAAUUUUGAAGGUAAUGACUGAUUCUCCGCCAUUCAAGCUGCUAAGUCCUCUGGGAUUGGAACUGACAAAACUUUUAUAGAGGAAGGAAACGCCCUCGGCUACAGAAGAGAAGGCCGAAGGACAAAAUAAACAAAGAACUAUGAAUAUAAUGCAAGCAAUUGAACAAACUCCGCCUUCAUCUUCGGCGACAAAAGCGACAAUUCCUUCAGAUGCCGAAGCUGCUGGCGAAGCCGAAGCUGAAGAACUAGCAGCCACAAUGUCAGAAGUUGACAGGCUUGUGUCAGAUAUAGUUGCACAUGUGUGCAGAGGAGACAAAUGUAGGUGCAGAAGAAAACAUGGCCGCAGUGCCAGAUGAAGGAGAGGAAAUUGAUAACACUCCUUUGGACAAGAGGGAUUUUGAUCUUCGGCACUUCAGCGUUCAGGAACUGUCUGAGGAAGACAAGUUGGAAUUGAAAUAAUUUGCUAUAUCUUGCGGUUACCAACCAGGGUCUUUGCUCUUCGGCGGGGUUGAUGAGGAAACUUUAGGAUGCAUUCGCGACCGCGCCGAGGUGAAGAUAAUAGACACUCUAUCCAAGAGUGUUGGAUUCCCGAAGCUAGAGACCGACAUUAGUUGUAACCAACGGCAACCCAUUGUCGGUAGCCUAUUUUAUUUCAACUUCAAGGUGAGACCUUCGUCUAGAUUUUUAUUACCUUCGUCUAAAUUUUUAUUACCUUAGUGGUGGAUUGAGUGUUCUAAUUUUACCUUUGUUUUGCAGAGCAUGUUGUUAAGUAAGGCAUUGAAAAUGCAGCAGGAUUCUGAAGAUAGAAAAAAUGAAGUCAUAAUUAAGGGCCUAGAGGAUAAAAUCAAGGAACUUGAAGGUUCUCUAAAAGAAAAAGACAUCCUGCUGCAAACAGACGAAGGUUCCCUCGCAGAAGCACGAUCUCAAAAUACUAAGUUGAGCGAGGAACUAGACGAAGCUCGAACAGUUUUGGACGAAAGUUCACGGCGCUUUGACCACAAAACAAAGGAGCUUGAAGCAAAGGUCACAACCGAAACUGAAAGGAAUACAAGGCUGCAUGAAGCUUUUGAGAACCUUCAAAACAAGUGUGCUGACUUUUCCACUCAGUGCGUUAACCAGUUGAAUGGGAUAUUCAACUCGGUUGGAGCUUGUCGGGAACCAUAAUUAGGGGUACCCUCAAGACUCCUAAUUCUCAGCUGGUAACCCCCAUCAGCAUAAAGCUGCAAAGGCCUGAUGGGUGCGACUAAGUCAGGGAUCAGUCCAUUCGAGCGACUCGAUCACGCCUCGCCCGAGCCUAGCCUCGGACAAGGGCAGCCGACCCCGGAGGAUUUCCGUCUCGCCCGAGGCCCCCCUCCAACGGCGAACAUAUUUCCGGCUCGCCCGAGGCCCUGCCUUCGCUAAGAAGCAACCCUGACUAAAUCGCCGCACCGACCGACCAAGUCGCAGGAGCAUUUAAUGCAAAGGUGGCCUGACACCUUUAUCCUGACGUGCGCCCCCCGGCAGAGCCGAAGUGACCGCCGUCACUUCGCCGCUCCACUGAUCGGCCUGACAGAAGGACAGCGCCGCCUGCGCCACUCCGACUGCGGUGCCAUUUGACAGAGUGAGGCUGACAGGCAGUCAGGCCCCGCCGGAGGCACCAUAGGAAACUCCGCUCUGCCCGACCCAGGGCUCGGACUCGGGCUAAGUCCCGGAAGACGGCGAACUCCGCUCCGCCCGACCCAGGGCUCGGACUCGGGCUAAGUCCCGGAAGACGACGAACUCCGCUCCGCCCGACCCAGGGCUCGGACUCGGGCUAAGUCCCGGAAGACGGCGAACUCCGCUCCGCCCGACCCAGGGCUCGGACUCGGGCUAAGUCCCGGAAGACGGCGAACUCCGCUCCGCCCGACCCAGGGCUCGGACUCGGGCUAAGUCCCGGAAGACGGCGAACUCCGCUCCACCCGACCCAGGGCUCGUGUGACACCCCAGUGUCACCUAGGGUUUCUCUCAAAUGCCAAACCAAGAAUCAUUAUUUUAUGGGAGCUUAAGUAAGCAUGAGCAUCAAAAUAACUCAAGUAAUAAAGAAUUCACCAAGUACGUGCUUAAAAAGUAUCAUGAUCAAACAAUGGAGACUUUUAAAAGAUAAAAAUGUGCAACCCUAAAUUAAAAACCCUAAGUGAGCCCUAUGAGCAAAAUUCAAGAAAAUAAGAACAAGGGUAUGAAAAGUUUAAAAUUAUGACUUGAGCCAAUUAUAAAAAUUGAAGUAUAUUUAAUGAGCAACAAGAACUGUUGAGAAAACUUAGCCAAAAUAACUCAAAUAAAACCCCAAAUCAAGCUUCUCAUGUGGGGACUUAAUGGGAUUUCUGAAUUUCAGAAUUCUGAAAUUCAGACCUUGAGCCAAAGAUCAGGGAUGUUCACCUUGAUCCCUAACUCGAAUCCUAAUGGCCCCAUUGACAAAAUUGUGUCUAACUAACCCCUCUGUCGUGUGCCAGAAGAUGGCAUUGGGACGCGAGCCCUAGACACAACAAAACCUUGGAUUUGCCUCGGGUUUGGGCAGGGAGACAGACCAGAUUUCCUGGCUCCAUAUCUCUGCAACCAGUAGGCAAAAUCCUAUGACCCCCACACAAGAAUGGUAGCUUGUAGGGAGGAGAAGAGGUUUUGUGCACUGACCAAGGCGAGAGCAGGCUCGGAUGAGCGACCACACGCGCCAGAACUUGGGCAGAACGCACGAGCACACGUGUUCGACCCUGGUCGGCACGCCAGAGCUCGCCCAACCCGCGCGCGCGCUUGCCCCGGCGUCCGGUCAAGUCCGCCGCGCGCCCACGCCCUCGGCCGUGCCCGCCCGCGCCUAUAAAGCCUCCCCGGGCGCACCUCUCUUCGCCCCGCACUCACCCUCGCCGGCCAGCCACCUUUCCUUAGCUCCGGCAAGCUCAAUUCCGCCCGCCAUUGCCGCAAGAGCUUCGGCCACCGUGGCCAGCCCACUCCAGCCACCCUCAAGUCGAGCUAGUGCUUCGGCUAGCUCCGCCAGUAGCCCGUGAAGCUUGCCAAGCCCUCGGACCCGGCCGAACUUCACCGGAGGCUCGAGAUCGACCUUACCGGACUUCGGUCUUCCGCCGCCGCGCGUGGACCGAGCUAUCCAGUGAGUCCCCGCCCAAUUCCUUGCGCUCAUGUCUUCUCUGGCAUCCCGUGGACCUCCCUGACCUAUUUGAUUGAACUAUCUCGCCGUGACCAGGCCGGUCUCCUCGCCGCCGACGAGCAUCCCCGCCUGCGCGCGUGGACCGACCGACUCCGGCCAUCUCCGGCGACGUUCCGCACACCGUUGUGAUCCCCGAGACUUCCCCUUCGUCCUCGACCACUUCACCGGAGCAAUCUCGCCGCCGGUAAGCCCCUCCGCCCUUUCUUCCGCCGCGGUUACUGUUUGAGGUAGAAGAAGGACCUCGGGUUAGGAUUUGUAGAACCCGAGGGGUUUUCUGUAACGUCAGUGACUCAUGUGAAUAGUAGCCUAAGGACUGAUUCGCGAAGAGAACUUAGAAAACCCGCCAGGGACCCCAGUGCAAAGUGGAUUUCCAAUUAAACCAAUUCUGUUAUUCUUUUAAAAUGACCAGAGAACUUAGAAAAUCCAUAACUUGAUGAAAUCUUAAUAAAAAGUUGUCAAACCAAUUUUGCUAGCUCCUGUAUAUUAUAAUCUAUCAUUUAAAAAUAAUAGACCCUAUACUUUCUGUUCAAGAUUUUAGAGUUUAAAAUUAAAAACAGAAACCCACUAAACCUUGUUUAAUUAAGGAAAAUUAGUUUUUCUUCUGUGCUGAACUUAAGAAAUUUUGUAGGUGUUUAAACCUCAUUUAGACACUGUUUAAAAAUAAAGGGAACCCUAGCAUUGAAAAAUAUGAUAUAGUUUCUCAUUUAAAGCUGUUUUGUCCAAAACUUAGAGAAAAUCAGAAAGACAUUAGAAAUUAAUGAACAGUGAUUAAGAUUAUUUUUCCUAAUUUACUUAUGUAACAGAGAACCUAGGAAAAAUACAGAGCCUAUUAAUUUGUACCAGUUUUGAAUUAAAAUGAUUUAUUUAGCCUUAUGUAGACUGAAAAUCAAUUAUUAGAGAGGCAAAACUAUAACCAAAAUGCUUAAUAAAAAUCCAGUGGACUUACAACCACCAGAACCCCACUACAAAAAUACAGAGCACCUCAGUCCAACUUUUUAAGUAAGGAGAAUAAAUACAAAAGGAUAAUGAGGCAUUUUGAAAAUAAAUCAUAAACAACCCCUAAUGAUGUAAUAAUGGGCAACCAAAAAUUAGCUAAGUCCAUUCUGAGAUGAACUACCAGAGAAAAAUGCAAACUCAUGAAAAAGAAGCAAACUCAUACCUAUUGCUAAAGAUUUAUGAGAAAGGCCACUUAAUUCAAAUAAUGCAUACCACCCCUUUCCUUAAGCAAAAAGAGGCCAAACUUCAGAAUGAUUGCUCUUGCACAAAAUAAUAACCAAGAAAAAUAAGAACUCUGUUGUUUGAUGUUUUUCAAAUAUAGUGGUAGUAGAAAGCACCCAUUUGGCUAGAAACUUGAGAAAACCAUAGGAAAAUAAUUAAAAAGUAUUAAUGACUAGAAGUUUGUAUCAAGUCAUGUUAUAACACAUAAAAGCCAGCAAAAAUGAGUUUUAGAGAAUUACCCACAGUUAAAUAAUAGUUGUAGUUCAAAGCACCCCUUCUGCCCUAAAAUUUAAUAAUUUUAUCUAGAGAGAACUAUUCACCUUCUGAUCCCCAAAUUUUGAGACAGAGAAACACACACCAUUAACCAGCCACUGUAAUUUUUGCAAAAUUUUUGGAAUUUUAAAAAGGCAACUUGUAGUUUAAACCUACUCCAAACCUUGAGAGAAUAAAAGAAAAGAGAAGAAGAAAUAAACCUCACCCCAAUAAGUCUAACUUGAGAACUUAAUCAACUCUCACCAAGACUUAAAAGAAUUCAGUGGAACCCCAAAAAUUUAAUCUACUUACCUUAGCUAAGUCUAACCCAAUUUACCAAGUAUACCACUAAGGGUCUUACAUAAGUAAAGUUAACUUGUUUAAACUCAAAAGAUCAUACACCUUUAAAGUUGUAAUUUCUAAAAGCACAUGUCAUAUCAUGCAUAUAUCUUACACAUUGCAUUCAUUAGAUUGUAAUCUUGCCGACGGAGAGUAUGUGCUCAUCCCCGAGCAAGGACCUGUCCAAGAGGAGGACCAGGAGCAGGCUUCAGAGGCUGCUAUUGAGGAUCUCCCCGCAGCCCCAGCAAUUGAAGGCAAGCCCCGGUUUUAUGCAUAACCUGUUAAUUAUGCUACUUUACUACACUUAAUGCUUGUAGGAUUGCAAUGUGCACUUAAGUGUAGGAGUUGCUUGAAACCUCUAGUUGCAUGAACUUAGGAUUCCUUUUUGAGGUGAAUACUAGUAUGCUAGGUCGAGUAGCUGCUUGCUAAUCAGGAUCUCGGUAGAAGUCGAGUGAUUUUUCUAGCACUCGCGCGAGGUCAGGAAUUGAUUGUAUUCAUCUUGAUAACGGGAUUUAUGUUGGUCUAUGGAUUUGGAUCCAGGGAGGAUGCCUUGUCCAUGAGACGGGAAAAAUGAAUUAAGGAUUAAUGUGUGGAUACCUGAGUCAAGCUUUUGAACGUACUAAGCACAUGCCGGGAAAAAUGGUAACCGGUAAACCUAGUACCUGAUUGAAGCCGGGCGUGGACUUUAUCCCUCAUGCGACCUGAGACUGGGUCUCCCAUGCUAGCUAUGGUGGGUACAAGUGCGGUCACUGCACGGCGGCAGCCGGGGUCAGUGGAGCAUUGUAUGCCAAGGCGGUGAGGCCUGGACGCGAAUGGGGAAUCGAUGGGGACGGCUGUCAUGUGUGGGGUCGGAGUACCCUGACAUGCCGUGUGUUUAGGUUUACCUUGCAAGGAUAAAACUCGAUUCGAAUCGUCUGCUUCUCGCAGCUAAUGAGACUGCUUGAUUCCUUGUACUGCAUCGAGUAAGAAGUGAAAGGUGGUGAUAUGAGAUAACUUGUUGAUUGAACUAAUUGAUUGUUACCAUGAAUGCUUAGAAGGAGCAAAUCUAGCUAAGUUAAUGAUGGUAGAAUUUGAAAAGCUAAAAAUUGAUUUUAGAAACAGCUAGUGCUUUUGGCAAACCAAACCCCUCAGCCAAACAGCUGCAUAGUCUAGAGGUAGAGGAGUAGACUCCUCACACCGGUUAAGUCUAGCUGAGUAUUAGUAUACUCAGCCUUGCUUGUGGCACCAUUUUUGCAGGUACCAUGCAGGAAAUGGUUGAUGGUGUGACUUGGCCUACCACCCUGCCACCGGGUUGGACGGUCGAGUGGGAUGUUGCUCCGGCAGGAGAGGAGCAUGAGGAGUAGUGGGCUAGGCCUUGCCCAUUUCCCCAUUACCGACGACAUCGAUUAUCCGCUACACUUUAUUCUGUGAACUUUAUUUGCUACUCAAAAACUCCGAUUUAUGUAAUAAUUCCGCACUUAAUUUGAGGUUUCCUGUUUUAUUGUAUUUCUUCUGUGACUCGCCUUCGAGUGAGAUUGUGGAAUUUGAUCCUGGUUAAGUGGCUCUAUCAAACUAGAUCUGAAGGACUGACGGGUUAUUUCGAUUUAAGUGUGUUACAGCCCCCUGAGGCGUGACUUAGGCACUUAAGCUGGAAUAAUUCGGGUGGUUCUGCCACAGCUGGUAUCGGAGCAAAUUCCACCACAGAGAAGGACAAUAAACCAUGAAUACCAAUUUUUAAAAUCUAAAACUUGCCUAGAAACUACUACAGAUCGUCAGGACUAGACCGCUAGACCUAGGACGAAAGGCCUUAGGCAUAGAGGGAGAAAUAGGUGGCUAAUUAAUUAGGCCCUGUGGGCCAAUACUUAUAUUUUAAGGAUGCCCUAAAAAGGCACCCUAUUUUCUUUUGAGAGGCAACGUUUCUUCCAGCAUGCAUGCAUUAUAAAACACCAAGAGAAAUUUAAAAUUGAGCUAACCCCCUUUCUUUAAAAUCAUCCGGGCUCUCUUUUUCUUUUUCCUUCCACCAUAAUCUUUACCUUUGAUUCCCUUCCGGAGAUGAAUUCACCCACCCCCGCCAGUGGAGGAGACUCUCGUUUCAGUUCUGACUUCCUUUCUCGCGAUGACUUUCCUUCCAUCUUGUGGGAAGUGCUUAACUCCGCCGGUUACCCUAUGCCCCCUUUGUACACGGUGCAGUUGUAUGAGGAGCAUCGGGUACCUCGUUGUCGGGUCUGGCUGGCUUUGGAGGCUCAUCCCCUUCAGCCGGGUUGGCGUUCUCUUGACUCUGAGACGAUUGGACUCAGGACGGACGACACCGUUGAGGCAGUAGCCAUGAAGACUCUAACGACUUUUUGUAUAUUGACCGGAUCGUGUGUUUGCACGGAUUACCUCGGACCAUUGUUUCUGACCGAGGAGCCCAAUUUGUUGCUAGAUUUUGGGAACAAUUGCAGGAGUCUUUGGGAACUAAGCUAAACCGGAGUUCAGCUUACCACCCAUAGACUGAUGGUCAGACGGAAAGGGUAAACCGAAUUCUGGAAGAUAUGCUGAGAGCUUGUGCGAUCGAUUGUGGCAAGAACUGGGAUAAGCACCUCUCCUUGGCAGAGUUUGCUUAUAACAAUAGUUAUCAAUCCAGCCUAAAGAUGGCACCUUUUGAAGCUCUCUAUGGAAGAAGGUGCAGGACACCACUCAAUUGGUAUCAACCUGGUGAAAGAGAAGUUUUUGGACCUGAUUUAGUGACGGAAGCCGAAAGGAAGGUCAAGCUAAUCAGGAAGAAUCUAGAAGCUGCUCAAGCCAGGCAGAAGAGCUAUCAUGAUAAAAGAAGGAAACCUCUCCAGUUCGAGGUGGGAAGUUUUGUAUACCUCAAGGUAUCCCCCACCAAGGGAGUGCCGAGGUUUGGGAUCAAAGGCAAGCUAGCCCCUCGUUACAUUGGACCUUAUGAGAUCAUAGAAGCAUGUGGACCCGUGGCAUACAAGCUGAAGUUACCUUCAAAGAUGUCUGCCAUUCACAGUGUUUUCCAUGUAUCUCAGCUGAAGAAGUGUGUUCGAUUGCCGACCGAGAUCAUAGCAGAGCCAGAAUUGGAGAUAGAGCCAGAUCUAUCGUACCAAGAGUACCCCUCCAAGAUUCUGGAUUUCAAAGAAAGAUCAACUCGGGCUAAAUCGAUCAAGAUGUUCAAGGUCCAGUGGAGUAAUCACUCAGAGGAGGAAGCUACUUGGGAAAACGAGGAAUUCUUGAGAUCCAACUUCCCCGAUUGCCUACCUAAGGAAGCUGGUACGUAAUCACACCCAACCCCUCCUCCUGCCCUUCGAAUCUAAUUUUCAAAAAUAUGAUCUUAAUUCAGAAUGAAGUAACUGUGAAGUAAAGCUUAAAAGGACUUCCUUCUGAAGUUGCAAAGAGAAUGACAUUCGAAGAGCAAUUUUGCCCUAAUAAUAAUAAUCACCCUUUUUCCUAUCAGUCUCACCCUUCGCUUCACCCUGGGAGGACUCUGGCCCGAAUCUCGGGACGAGAUUCCUUUAAGGGGGGAAGGCUGUGACACCCCAGUGUCACCUAGGGUUUCUCUCAAAUGCCAAACCAAGAAUCAUUAUUUUAUGGGAGCUUAAGUAAGCAUGAGCAUCAAAAUAACUCAAGUAAUAAAGAAUUCACCAAGUACGUGCUUAAAAAGUAUCAUGAUCAAACAAUGGAGACUUUUAAAAGAUAAAAAUGUGCAACCCUAAUUUAAAAACCCUAAGUGAGCCCUAUGAGCAAAAUUCAAGAAAAUAAGAACAAGGGUAUGAAAAGUUUAAAAUUAUGACUUGAGCCAAUUAUAAAAAUUGAAGUAUAUUUAAUGAGCAACAAGAAAUGUUGAGAAAACUUAGCCAAAAUAACUCAAAUAAAACCCCGAAUCAAGCUUCUCAUGUGGGGACUUAAUGGGAUUUCUGAAUUUUAGAAUUAUGAAAUUCAGACCUUGAGCCAAAGAUCAGGGAUGUUCACCUUGAUCCCUAACUCGAAUCCUAAUGGCCCCAUUGACAAAAUUGUGUCUAACUAACCCCUCUGUCGUGUGCCAGAAGAUGGCAUUGGGACGCGAGCCCUAGACACGACAAAACCUUGGAUUUGCCUCGGGUUUGGGUAGGGAGACAGACCAGAUUUCCUGGCUCCAUAUCUCUGCAACCAGUAGGCAAAAUCCUAUGACCCCCACACAAGAAUGGUAGCUUGUAGGGAGGAGAAGAGGUUUUGUGCAGUGACCAAGGCGAGAGCAGGCUCGGAUGAGCGACCACACGCGCCAGAACUUGGGUAGAACGCACGGGCACACGUGUUCGACCCUGGUCGGCACGCCAGAGCUCGCCCAACCCGCGCGCGCGCUCGCCCCGGCGUCCGGUCAAGUCCGCCGCGCGCCCACGCCCUCGGCCGUGCCCGCCCGCGCCUAUAAAGCCUCCCCGGGCGCACCUCUCUUCGCCCCGCACUCACCCUCGCCGGCCAGCCACCUUUCCUUAGCUCCGGCAAGCUCAAUUCCGCCCGCCAUUGCCGCCAGAGCUUAGGCCACCGUGGCCAGCCCACUCCAGCCACCCUCAAGUCGAGCCAGUGCUUCGGCUAGCUCCACCAGUAGCCCGUGAAGCUUGCCAAGCCCUCGGACCCGGCCGAACUUCACCGAAGGCCCGAGAUCGACCUCACCGGACUUCGGUCUUCCGCCGCCGCGCGUGGACCGAGCUAUCCAGUGAGUCCCCGCCCAAUUCCUUGCGCUCAUGUCUUCUCUGGCAUCCCGUGGACCUCCCUGACCUAUUUGAUUGAACUAUCUCGCCGUGACCAGGCCGGUCUCCUCGCCGCCGACGAGCAUCCCCGCCUGCGCGCGUGGACCGACCGACUCCGGCCAUCUCCGGCGACGUUCCGCACACCGUUGUGAUCCCCGAGACUUACCCUUCGUCCUCGACCACUUCACCGGAGCAAUCUCGCCGCCGGUAAGCCCCUCCGCCCUUUCUUCCGCUGCGGUUACUGUUUGAGGUAGAAGAAGGACCUCGGGUUAGGAUUUGUAGAACCCGAGGGGUUUUCUGUAACGUCAGUGACUCAUGUGAAUAGUAGCCUAAGGACUGAUUCGCGAAGAGAACUUAGAAAACCCGCCAGGGUCCCCAGUGCAAAGUGGAUUUCCAAUUAAACCAAUUCUGUUAUUCUUUUAAAAUGACCAGAGAACUUAGAAAAUCCAUAACUUGAUGAAAUCUUAAUAAAAAGUUGUCAAACCAAUUUUGCUAGCUCCUGUAUAUUAUAAUCUAUCAUUUAAAAAUAAUAGACCCUAUACUUUCUGUUCAAGAUUUUAGAGUUUAAAAUUAAAAACAGAAACCCACUAAACCUUGUUUAAUUAAGGAAAAUUAGUUUUUCUUCUGUGCUGAACUUAAGAAAUUUUGUAGGUGUUUAAACCUCAUUUAGACACUGUUUAAAAAUAAUGGGAACCCCAGCAUUGAAAAAUAUGAUAUAGUUUCUCAUUUAAAGCUGUUUUGUCCAAAACUUAGAGAAAAUCAGAAAGACAUUAGAAAUUAAUGAACAGUGAUUAAGAUUAUUUUUCCUAAUUUACUUAUGUAACAGAGAACCUAGGAAAACUACAGAGCCUAUUAAUUUGGACCAGUUUUGAAUUAAAAUGAUUUAUUUAGCCUUAUGUAGACUGAAAAUCAAUUAUUAGAGAGGCAAAACUAUAACCAAAAUGCUUAAUAAAAAUCCAGUGGACUUACAACCACCAGAACCCCACUACAAAAAUACAGAGCACCUCAGUCCAACUAUUUAAGUAAGGAGAAUAAAUAUAAAAGGAUAAUGAGGCAUUUUGAAAAUAAAUCAUAAACAAACCCUAAUGAUGUAAUAAUGGACAACCAAAAAUUAGCUAAGUCCAUUCUGAGAUGAACUACCAGAGAAAAAUGCAAACCCAUGAAAAAGAAGCAAACUCAUACCUAUUGCUAAAGAUUUAUGAGAAAGGCCACUUAAUUCAAAUAAUGCAUACCACCCCUUUCCUUAAGCAAAAAGAGGCCAAACUUCAAAAUGAUUGCUCUUGUACAAAAUAAUAACCAAGAAAAAUAAGAACUUUGUUGUUUGAUGUUUUUCAAAUAUAGUGGUAGUAGAAAGCACCCAUUUGGCUAGAAACUUGAGAAAACCAUAGGAAAAUAAUUAAAAGGUAUUAAUGACUAGAAGUUUGUAUCAAGUCAUGUUAUAACACAUAAAAGCCAGCAAAAAUGAGUUUUAGAGAAUUACCCACUGUUAAAUAAUAGUUGUAGUUCAAAGCACCCCUUCUGCCCUAAAAUUUAAUAAUUUUAUCCAGAGAAAACUAUUCACCUUCUGAUCCCCAAAUUUUGAGACAGAGAAACACACACCAGUAACCAGCCACUGUAAUUUUUGCAGAAUUUUUGGAAUUUUAUAAAGGCAACUUGUAGUUCAAACCUACUCCAAACCUUGAGAGUAAAAGAAAAGAGAAGAAGAAAUAAACCUCACCCCAAUAAGUCUAACUUGAGAACUUAAUCAACUCUCACCAAGACUUAAAAGAAUUCAGUGGAACCCCAAAAAUUUAAUCUACUUACCUUAGCUAAGUCUAACCCAAUUUACCAAGUAUACCACUAAGGGUCUUACAUAAGUAAAGUUAACUUGUUUAAACUCAAAAGAUCAUACACCUUUAAAGUUGUAAUUUCUAAAAGCACAUGUCAUAUCAUGCAUAUAUCUUACGCAUUGCAUUCAUUAGAUUGUAAUCUUGCCGACGGAGAGUACGUGCUCAUCCCCGAGCAAGGACCUGUCCAAGAGGAGGACCAGGAGCAGGCUUCAGAGGCUUCUAUUGAGGAUCUCCCCGCAGCCCCAGCAAUUGAAGGCAAGCCCCGGUUUUAUGCAUAACCUGUUAAUUAUGCUACUUUACUACACUUAAUGCUUGUAGGAUUGCAAUGUGCACUUAAGUGUAGGAGUUGCUUGAAACCUCUAGUUGCAUGAACUUAGGAUUCCUUUUUGAGGUGAAUACUAGUAUGCUAGGUCGAGUAGCUGCUUGCUAAUCAGGAUCUCGGUAGAAGUCGAGUGAUUUUUCUAGCACUCGCGCGAGGUCAGGAAUUGAUUGUAUUCAUCUUGAUAACGGGAUUUAUGUUGGUCUAUGGAUUUGGAUCCAGGGAGGAUGCCUUGUCCAUGAGACGGGAAAAAUGAAUUAAGGAUUAAUGUGUGGAUACCUGAGUCAAGCUUUUGAACGUACUAAGCACAUGCUGGGAAAAAUGGUAACCGGUAAACCUAGUACCUGAUUCAAGCCGGGCGCGGACUUUAUCCCUCAUGCGACCUGAGACUGGGUCUCCCAUGCUAGCUAUGGUGGGUACAAGUGCGGUCACUGCACGGCGGCAGCCGGGGUCAGUGGAGCAUUGUAUGCCAAGGCGGUGAGGCCUGGACGCGAACGGGGAAUCGAUGGGGACGGUUGUCAUGUGUGGGGUCGGAGUACCCUGACAUGCUGUGUGUUUAGGUUUACCUUGCAAGGAUAAAACUCGAUUCGAAUCGUCUGCUUCUCGCAGCUAAUGAGACUGCUUGAUUCCUUGUACUGCAUCGAGUAAGAAGUGAAAGGUGGUGAUAUGAGAUAACUUGUUGAUUGAACUAAUUGAUUGUUACCAUGAAUGCUUAGAAGGAGCAAAUCUAGCUAAGUUAAUGAUGGUAGAAUUUGAAAAGCUAAAAAUUGAUUUUAGAAACAGCUAGUGCUUUUGGCAAACCAAACCCCUCAGCCAAACAGCUGCAUAGUCUAGAGGUAGAGGAGUAGACUCCUCACACCGGUUAAGUCUAGCUGAGUAUUAGUAUACUCAGCCUUGCUUGUGGCACCAUUUUUGCAGGUACCAUGCAGGAAAUGGUUGAUGGUGUGACUUGGCCUACCACCCUGCCACCGGGUUGGACGGUCGAGUGGGAUGUUGCUCCGGCAGGAGAGGAGCAUGAGGAGUAGUGGGCUAGGCCUUGCCCAUUUCCCCAUUACCGACGACAUCGAUUAUCCGCUGCACUUUAUUCUGUGAACUUUAUUUGCUACUCAAAAACUCCGAUUUAUGUAAUAAUUCCGCACUUAAUUUGAGGUUUCCUGUUUUAUUGUAUUUCUUCUGUGACUCGCCUUCGAGUGAGAUUGUGGAAUUUGAUCCUGGUUAAGUGGCUCUAUCAGACUAGAUCUGAAGGACUGACGGAUUAUUCCGAUUUAAGUGUGUUACAGCCCCCUGAGGCGUGACUUAGGCACUUAAGCUGGAAUAAUUCGGGUGGUUCUGCCACAGCUCGGACUCGGGCUAAGUCCCGGAAGACGGCGAACUCCGCUCCGCCCGACCCAGGGCUCGGACUCGGGCUAAGUCCUAGAAGACGACGAACUCCGCUUCGCCCGACCCCAGGGCUCGGACUCCGCCCUGGCCUCAGCCGACGACCUCUGCCUCGCCCGACCCAGGGGCUCGGACUCGGCCUCGGCCACGGAAGACAGACUCGACCUCGGCUUCGGAGGAGCCUCCGCAUCGCCCAACCUAGGGCGCAGGCCAGCCACGUCAACAGGAGGCGCCAUCAUCACCCUACCCCGAGCUGACUUGGGCCACAGGGAACCAGACCGGCAUCCCAUCUGGCUAGCUCCGCCAGAUAGGCAAUGAUGGCGCCCCGCAUGCUCUGUGACGACGGCGGCUCUCAGCCCCCUUACGGAAGCAAGAGGACGUCAGCAAGGACCCAACCGCUCCGACAGCUGUCCCUCCGCCAGGCUCCAUCGCUCCUCCGACGGCCACGACAUCACACCAGCUGGGUGCCAAAAUCUCUCCGGCUGCCACGACGGCAUGUACUUAGGGCGCUAGCUCUCCCCCGCUAGACACGUAGCACUCUACUACACCCCCCAUUGUACACCUGGAUCCGCUCCUUACGCCUAUAAAAGGAAGGACCAGGGCCCUCUUAGAGAGGGUUGGCCGCGCGGGGACGAGGAUGAGACAGGCGCUCGCUUGGGGCCGCUCGCUCCCUCUCCCGCGUGGACGCUUGUAACCCCCUACUGCAAGCGCACCCGACCUGGGCGCGGGACGAACAAGAAGGCCACAGGAUUCCCACCUCUCUCACGCCGGUCUCCGGCCGCCUCGCUCUCCCCCCUUCGCGCUCGCCCUCGCGCUCGACCCAUCUGGGCUGGGGCACGCGUCGACACUCACUCGUCGGCCCAGGGACCCCCCGGUCUCGAAACGCCGACAGUUGGCGCGCCAGGUAGGGGCCUGCUGCGUGUUGACGAACAGCUUCCCGUCAAGCUCCAGAUGGGUAGUCUCCAACAACCUCUCCAACCCGGGACGGUGUUCCGUUUCGGGAGUCUUGAGUUCAUGUCCCUCGACGGCGGCUACGACAUGAUACUGCUUCCACCGCCGCGCGACGACGACAAUGGCGACCGACAACCCGCCCGCCGGCGGCGGAAUCGACGACGUCUUCCCCGCGUGGUGGAGGAACGACCUUCGAGCUCAUCCUGCCCUUUCCCCCGCCGACGGAGGGGAAGGCAGGGCGACCAAGGACAAGCAGGAGGCAGCGCCUCGUUGGCUGUUGAGCGAGCCGACAGCACCGGCACCCCAACGAGGGGCGCACCGGGUAUCGACUUCGCGCCUGAGUCGAAGACGAGCGUCGUCUCCCCGCGACACGCCCAUCCCGAGCAAGCGGACGACGCCAGCGCGCUCGCGGAGAGCUUGCUGGACGUCACCCUCGCACCUGAGACGACGGUGCAGUUAGUCCCCGACGUGACUUCAUCGCCGCUCGUCGACCAAAAGAGGCGAGUCCAAACCCUCUGGGGUUUCGCAUGCGGUCGCCUUGGGACCGGCUGACAGACAUCUCGACUUACGGGCUCUCUGGGUCCGAGGAAGACGACGGGCCCAGCAUCUGUUGGGAUUUCUCUGGACUUGGCAACCCCAGUGCCAUGCGGGACUUCAUGACCGCAUGUGACUACUGCCUUUCCGACUGUUCCGACGGUAGCCGCAGCCUCGGCGACGAGGACUGCGACCCAAGCCGCGAAUGUUUCCACGUCGAUCUAGGGGGUCCCUCCGAAGGCAAUCAUCUCGGCAUGCCGGAGGACGGUGAUCUCCCUAGGCCAGUGCCCCGCGUCGACAUCCCAUGGGAGCUAGCUGUGGUCCCCAUUCAGGCGGGGGGCCAUGACCCACAGCUCGAGCAAAUCCGCGGGGCGCAGGCCAGGUUCGACGAGGGAGCAGGGGCGCUUGAGCUGAUCCGCCGGGACAUCGGGCAGGCAUGGGUGGUCCAACCCCCGGCCGGAGAAAUAUGUCAUCUGCCCCAGGGUUUCCAGCACCGCAUCGCCGACGACGCCAGGGUCAGGCCGCCACCCGCAUCUAGUGGCGUCGGCCAGGACCUGGCUGCCGCAGCGAUACUUCUCCGCGUGAUGCCGGAGCCAUCAACCACCGAGGGCCGGUGAAUCCAGGGGGAGCUCAAGAAUCUCCUGGAAGGCGCCGCGGUCCGACGGGCCGAGAGCUCUGCCUCCCGAAGGCAGGGAUACCCCUCGGAACCUCAUGCCGCGACUUCCCGAUUCAUGCGGGAAGCCUCGGUCUACACCGGGCGCACGCGCAACACCGCGCCUGCGGCCCCGGGUCGCCUCGGCAACGAGCACCAUCACCGCGACCGUCGGGCCCGCCUCGACGAGAGGGUGCGCCGAGGCUACCACCCCAGGCAUGGGGGACGCUACGACAGCGGGGAGGAUCGGAGUCCCUCGCCCGAACCGCCCGGUCCGCAGGCCUUCACCCGGGCCAUCCGACGGGCACCGUUCCCGACCCAGUUCCGACCCCCGACUACUAUCACAAAGUACUCGGGGGAGACGAGACCGGAACUGUGGCUCGCGGACUACCGCCUGGCCUGCCAACUGGGUGGAACGGACGACGACAACCUCAUCAUCCGCAACCUCCCCCUGUUCCUCUCCGACACCGCUCGCGCCUGGCUGGAGCACCUACCUCCGGGGCAGAUCUCCAACUGGGACGACCUAGUCCAAGCCUUCGCCGGCAAUUUCCAGGGCACAUAUGUGCGCCCCAGGAAUUCCUGGGACCUCCGAAGCUGCCGGCAGCAGCCGGGAGAGUCUCUCCGGGACUACAUCCGGCGAUUCUCGAAGCAGCGCACCGAGCUGCCCAACAUCACCGACUCGGAUGUCAUUGGCGCGUUCCUCGCCGGCACCACCUGCCGCGACCUGGUGAGCAAGUUGGGUCGCAAGACCCCCACUAGGGCGAGCGAGCUGAUGGACAUCGCCACCAAGUUCACCUCCGGCCAGGAGGCAGUCGAGGCUAUCUUCCGAAAGGACAAGCAGCCCCAGGGCCGCCCACCGGAAGAUGCUCCCGAGGCGUCGACUCAGCGCGGCGCCAAGAAGAAAGGCAAGAAGAAGUCGCAAGCGAAACGCGACGCCGCCGACGCGGACCUUGUCGCCGCCGCCGAGUACAAGAACCCUCGGAAACCCCCCGGAGGUGCCAACCUCUUCGACAAGAUGCUCAAGGAGCCGUGCCCCUAUCAUCAGGGGCCCGUCAAGCACACCCUUGAGGAGUGCGUCAUGCUUCGGCGCCACUUCCACAGGGUCGGGCCACCCAUGGAGGGUGGCAGGGCCCGCGACGAUGACAAGAAGGAAGAUCACCAAGCAGGAGAGUUCCCCGAGGUCCGCGACUGCUUUAUGAUCUACGGUGGACAAGCGGCGAAUGCCUCGGCUCGGCACCGCAAGCAAGAGCGCCGGGAGGUCUGCUCGGUGAAGGUGGCGGCGCCAGUCUACCUAGACUGGUCCGACAAGCCCAUCACCUUCGACCAAUCUGACCACCCCGACCACGUGCCGAGCCCGGGGAAAUACCCGCUCGUCGUCGACCCCGUCAUCGGCGACGUCAGGCUCACCAAGGUCCUCAUGGACGGAGGCAGCAGCCUCAACAUCAUCUACGCCGAGACCCUCGGGCUCCUGCGCGUCGAUCUGUCCUCCGUCCGAGCAGGCGCUGCGCCCUUCCACGGGAAGCGCGUCUAGCCCCUCGGACGACUCGACCUUCCCGUCUGCUUCGGAACGCCCUCCAACUUCCGAAGGGAGACUCUGACGUUCGAGGUGGUCGGGUUCCGAGGAACCUACCACGCGGUACUGGGAAGGCCAUGCUACGCGAAGUUCAUGGCCGUCCCCAACUACACCUACCUGAAGCUCAAGAUGCCGGGCCCCAACGGGGUCAUCACCGUCGGCCCCACGUACAAGCACGCGUUCGAAUGCGACGUGGAGUGCGUGGAGUAUGCCGAGGCCCUCGCCGAGUCCGAGGCCCUCAUCUCCGACUUGGAAAGCCUCUCUAAGGAGGCGCCAGACGUGAAACGUCAUGCCGGCAACUUCGAGCCAGUGGAGACGGUUAGGGCCGUCCCCCUCGACCCCAGCAGCGACGCCUCCAAGCAGAUCCGGAUCGGCUCCGGGCUCGAUCCCAAAUAGGAAGCAGUGCUCGUCGACUUCCUCUGCGCGAACACCGACGUCUUCGCGUGGAGUCCCUCGGACAUGCCCGGCAUACCGAGGGAUGUCGCCAAGCACUCGCUGAAUAUUCGGGUCGGAGCCCGACCCGUCAGGCAGCCUCUGCGCCGAUUCGACGAGGAGAAGCGCAGAGCCAUAGGCGGGGAGAUCCACAAGCUAAUGGCGGUGGAGUUCAUCAAAGAGGCGAAAAGCGCCAAGCUCAAUCAUGGUCUUGGGGUUUAUCAUCUCCAGGCAGGGCAUCGAAGCCCACCCAGAGAGGAUUGCGACCAUCGCACAGCACCCCGAGCCCUUGUUGGGGGCACCCGGGGGCUACACGCACCCCCGGGAAGGACCGCUUGUCACCACCAAAGUUCUGAAGCUCGGAACGUACAAGCUGGCCAACAGUCAGGGCGAGGUCUACGGCAACGCUUGGAACAUCCAACGGUUACGUCGCUUCUACCCUUAAGAUGUUUUCAAGUUGUUCAUAUACCUCGCUCCCACGCAAGUCUUAGUCGUCAAGGAAGGGUCAGCCUCGCCUCGGCAGAGCCUGACCCUCCCUCGGGGGCUAAAAAGGGGGGAACCCCCCUUUAUCGCUCUGCAUCAAGAUUGGGGAACCCCUCUGCGUCCAAAAUUUUCAAUCAAAAAGGCUUUUACGUUCCCCCGGCUAUGUCAGAAGCAGGACCCCAAGGAGCGAACGUGGGUGCAUGUAAGUGGCAAGGCCGACCGAGCCGAGGUACUCCCAUGCCUCCGGGUUAGGGACAUCUCACUCGUCACCCGCCACGAAAAGUGACCCCUACUUGGGGAAGCCACCCUGCUACUGACAGGCGAAGCCGGACACGCAAAAUAAAAGGAAAAGGAGUACGACUUCAUGCAACGGUAACAAAGUGUUCAGGCCUCAGCGGCCACAGAAAGACACACGCGCAUCCAACAGAAACUGUUCCAACAAGUUAGGCGUCGCCUUGGGAAGGAGCCGCGCCUUCAGCUCCGUCCCCACCUUCAACGAGGUCCAUCUCGGCUUCCGGCGACGGCGCAGGUGGGAGGAUCUCCGCCUCAAAGGUGGUCGCCAGCACUGCGCUCGGACCCGUGGCGGCCGCAUCGAGCCUCUGGACUUCUGCCAGGGCGGCUUCAUCUUCGUCGGGAAGGCAAUACCCCUCGCUAACCCGCUCCAGGUCCACAACAUAGUGGGAAGCGAGCACGGCGAAGGCCUGCCUGACGCCGUGGUGUAGCGCCUCGCGGAGUCUGCCGCGCACAUGAUCGCCCAAGACUUGGAGGCGACUUUGAGGGGAGCUUCCUGAGGGAACGUCGCCGAAGCCAAGGAUCCGGUACACGUCCGAGACGGCUUCGGACAUGGCCGCGUGGUCAGCCUCCCUCUGCUCGGCCGCCCCGGCAAGCGCCUCGGCAAGUGCCUUGGCGGACUCAUCAAGGGCGGACUCGAGCUCUGCGAACAGCCAGAAGAAAGAUCUCAAACACAAGCAGAGGAAACAAACAGGAACGAAAACCAAGGAUGGCCAAGGCGUACCUCCGGCUCGGGCACGCUGCUCCGAGGCUGCGACCUGGGCUACGGCUAAGUCAGCUGCAAGGGUUUCGGCCCGGCUUUCGGCCUCGGCAGCCCGGCCCCGAGAUUGGUCCCGCUCCUCGACGACCCGGUCGAGUUCCGACCGCUGCAAUUGCGCUUCUGCGCGCGCCGCGGCCGCCUCCGCGCGCGCCGCUGCCGCCUCGGCUCUCAGGUCGGUGCAGAGCAACUGGAGGUCCGCUACCUCGGCACCCAGCUGAGAAAGGCGCGCAGUAGCCCCGGCGAGCGAGGUCCUCAGGGAUCGCAGCGAGCCCCAGACGUCGACCUCGCGGCGGAUGAACGAUGACUUGGCGGCGCUCCGAUCCGUCAGAUCCUGAGGGAAGGAAGCGGGGCGUCACGAAGAACGCCUCGGUCACAGAAGAGAAAAGGUAUGCCUGAAACCGUUACCUGGAGGAUUUUGGGGAUGUCCCUGUAGAAAACCUCCAGCGACGACCGGAGCGACCCCACCGUUGCUUCAGCACACUCGCGGAGCUCAUCCUAGGACUGGUCCUCCCGUUCAUCAUCGAGAACGAAGACGGGGUCCGAGGCCUCACGGGUCCGGAACCGGAGCAACUGGCGCCGGCCCUCGGAGCUCUGCCGCACAGCGACGAGGCUGCCGCCCGGCGGGACGGAUUGCGUCUCCACGCCCCCCUCUUCUGAGGCACCAAGCGCCGACGCAUCAGCCGUCUCAACAUCGGCAGCAACCGAUCGCUCUCCGACGGGGGCGGCAGCGACUUCAGUAGCGGCAGGCGCCGGCAUGGCCGGCAUGUUCGGUGGGCUCGGGACCACGUCAGCGUCAGCCGCCUCCCCUAUCACAAUGGCCGCCUCGGUAGAAGAGCCAGCCUCAGGAACCUGCUCCACGGCGACCGGUGCCGCCUGAGCCCCCUACGGUGGAACGCCUUGCGAGAAGGUCGGCUGGAAGGCAAGGCCUAGAGCGGCGCUGGCCACGCAAGCCAGCGCCGUCUUAAGGGCCUUCCGGGGUGCCAGGUCGGUCAGGCCAUGGCUCCGCUUGCUGAGGGAAAAAGGAAAAUCACGGCCGGGACAUAUGAAUGAAAAGCCAGGACGAAGACAUUCCGAGAUACUUACCCGCUCCGGGCCAUGAUCAACCGUGCCUGGGGGAAGUCUCUUGGACCUCGACCCCCGGAACCACCGCCGAGGUCCGCUUCGCCGGCAGCUUCGGCACCACCCUUGCUUUGAGCGCCCUGGACGCCCGGGGGGCGGACUGCCCAGGCACUGUCACGGCGACCUGAGGGUCGCUCCCCUGCGCUACCGGCGCGGGCGGUGGCUCUCGGGGAGCAGACGCUCCGGCCUGGCCCCCCGGGGUCGCCUCAGCUCUUCCAGCCGAGGGGUCCGGUACCCUCUCGGAUUGCCCCCGCCCCUCGGGCUGGGACCUCGGCGUCCCGACCCUAGGGACUGACGGCAUCAGCCUGCUCGGGGGCUGGUUUAACGGCUCCUGGCCAAACCCCAAGCCGGGGCUGAGGCCGAGGCGUGCAGCCAUGUCGUCCUCCUCGUCAUCAUCUUCAUCAUCGUCGUCGUCGUCGGGCGUUUCCGGCGACGGCUCCCUCGGGAGCCCCUCCCUCUCCUGCCGGCGACGAAGCUUCUCCAAGGCGUCUCGAGCCCGCCUCCGCUCACGGGCCCGGGCCUUCUCCGCGUCCUUCUUCUUCUUCUUCUCCACCACGGCGACCCGCCGCGCUGCUCGGUCCACCGCAUCCUGCGGGACCCGUGGCAGGGAAGGCUUGUGCCACCCCACCUCCUGAAGAAGGGGGAAAAACCCAACCGUAAGAACCAGGAGCAACCCGAUGCAAGAGGAAGGAAGAAGCGGACACUCACCAGAGUCACGCACCCUUGGUCUGGGCGCAUCAAAAGCUGGGAGUAGGCGGUGGGGUCCGGCUUCCCCAACGCGACGGACACCCGCCCGUGGAGGGCGUCGAAGGGAAGAGGAUCAGAGGACAUCCGCGAGCCCUCCAAGUUAGCCUCCGGUGUCAUCUCCCAAAGCGACAGUCGUCGCUCCGCCAAGGGAAGCACCCUCCGACGGUGGAUGGCGGCAAUCCCUCCCGCAGCGGUGAGUCCCCCCUUCCGCAACGCCUCCAAGGCCUGGAGAAGGGGUUCGAGGUUCUUCUGUCUUUUGUGUGGGGUCCCGUGGCGCCAAGCGUCAGCGGCAGUGGUGACUACUCGCUGGGAGAACGGCGGGAGCAACUCACCGUCAUUCCGGAGGUAGAACCACCGGCGCUGCCACCCCUUGUUCGAGGACGCGAGGAUGGCAGGAAUAUACAGCGACGCCCGCGACUGUCUCAGCAGAAGGGUGCAGCCGCCGGCCCGCACCGCUGCGUGGACUUUCCUCUCCCCCGUCGGCGAGGCAAAAAGCACCGCGAAAAAGAGAUGGGUCCACAAAUCCCAAUGGGGGGCGAUCCCCAAGUACCCCUCGCACACCGCUACGAAGAUGGCAGCCUGCGAGAUGGAGUUGGGGGUGAGGUUGUGCAACUCCACCCUGUAGUGGUGCAGGAUCGCCCGCAUAAAGCGGCCCGCCGGCACACCGAAUCCCCGCUCGUGGAAGGAGACGAAGCUCACGAUGUACCCCGGCGGUGGGGAUGGAGCGGCUCCACCCACGGGAGGAAUCCAUUCCGGUCGCUGCUCAUCGGUGAGAGGGCGAAGUAAACCCUCGCCAACCAGAUCCUCCAGAUCACUCGCCGUCACCAUGGAAAAAGGCCAUGGAUCGCGCGGCGAGAUGAUGGUCACCCGGUCAGCCAUCACCAAGCGGAAGGGAUGGCGGCGCAAGGGGCAGGAAGGGCGGUUUCCUCUUCUCUGGCUAAGUCUCUCGGGUUACAAAAACCUAAGAAGAAGGCAGGAAGCGGAGCAAAGAACCGUCACCAGACCCUCUCCCGGGUAUAUAAAGACCUAGGCGAGACCGGUUCAAACGUUCCGCCCGGACCAGACGCGGGAUUCGAAAACGCAAAGCGAACAGCCGUUCCCCGGACGACUCGUGCACGCGCAACGGUCGCCCCGCCGACCACUCGCCCCGUCACAUUAACUCCGCGGCGGGACAGGCGGCGCCUCUGGCAGGAGAAGCGGGCGACGCUUCGCCUUCGCCAUAAUGACCGCGCCAGUAAAGGUACGCCGCGUCGUUCGAUUUCGUAUCCUUUUCCUUUUUUCCUCUUUCUCUCUCUCUUGCAACAGGGACCGGGAAAGGGGGAUACCCCGAAAAGGGUCCUUCCUCGUGAAGGAACCAGGCUCCGAGCCUCCCUACUGAUCAGAGGUUCGAAGGCUGGCCCCCCGAAGGGUUCGACAGCCGCCUCAGAUCGCGUGGGCCCUACACCCACUACUAGUCAGAGGUUCGAAGGCCGGCCCCCCGAAGGGUUCCACGACCGCCUCAGGCUACUCGGGCUCCGUGCCCAUUACUGAUCAGGGGUUCGAAGGCUGGCCCCCGAAGGGUUCACAGCCGCCUCAGACACCGAGCGAGGGAUGACCAUGGGUACGUUCGAUACAUAACCAAGGCUCGGGCUGCGCUCCCGAGGUACCCUAGGACAUUUCCGAGACCAGCGGGAGCGAUCUUGUAACGGAAUCCCAUAAGAGGGAGGCAUCGAGCCCUCGGACCCCGUUGCCAGGGGACCGGGUCCGGCAAAUCACCCGCAGGUACUUUUGGGCGUGCCUCUGGGCCCCUAGCCGACCCCUAACGAACGGGGCACGGACGUCCACUCGGAUUACCCGCUUGCAGCUCACCGGAGACACCAUGUUCGGCGCCCAUCGAGGGCUACAUGGCGCUUUCCCCCCUCCUCCUUGCGGAAAGGCAACACAGGGGCGUAUGUAAAAAAGCCGAGUCUGUCCCUGAUCGCCCUCUCGCCCUGUGCAGAGGCUCGGGGGCUGCUCUCGCAAACCCGGCUCCGGCCGAACCGUUGACAGCGUCAACAUACCAGCCCGAGAACUUGGGACCCGACCGUACACCCGGGCUACGGCCAGCUCGCAUGAGGGAACAACCAGACCAGCCGAAGCGUUACGCGAGGCAUUAAGACCUCGGAGGAGUGAAACCACUCCUCCGAGGCCUCGGGGGCUACACCCGGCGGGUGCGCUCGCGCGCACCCAUCGGAACAAAACGCAACCGAGAAAGGCUGGUCCCCUUGCAAAAAAGUGCGACGAAAGCCUCCAAGCGAGUGCUAACACUCCCUUCGAGGCUCGGGGGCUACUGUCGGGGACCAUAAUUAGGGGUACCCUCAAGACUCCUAAUUCUCAGCUGGUAACCCCCAUCAGCAUAAAGCUGCAAAGGCCUGAUGGGUGCGACUAAGUCAGGGAUCAGUCCAUUCGAGCGACUCGAUCACGCCUCGCCCGAGCCUAGCCUCGGACAAGGGCAGCCGACCCCGGAGGAUUUCCGUCUCGCCCGAGGCCCCCCUCCAACGGCAAACAUAUUUCCGGCUCGCCCGAGGCCCUGCCUUCGCUAAGAAGCAACCCUGACUAAAUCGCCGCACCGACCGACCAAGUCGCAGGAGCAUUUAAUGCAAAGGUGGCCUGACACCUUUAUCCUGACGCGCGCCCCCCGGCAGAGCCGAAGUGACCGCCGUCACUUCGCCGCUCCACUGACCGGCCUGACAGAAGGACAGCGCCGCCUGCGCUACUCCGACUGCGGUGCCAUUUGACAGAGUGAGGCUGACAGGCAGUCAGGCCCCACCGGAGGCACCAUAGGAAACUCCGCUCCGCCCGACCAAGGGCUCGGACUCGGGCUAAGUCCCGGAAGAUGGCGAACUCCGCUCCGCCCGACCCAGGGCUCAGACUCGGGCUAAGUCCCGGAAGACGGCGAACUCCGCUCCGCCCGACCUAGGGCUCGGACUCGGGCUAAGUCCCAGAAGACGGCGAACUCCGCUCCGCCCGACCCAGGGCUCGUACUCGGGCUAAGUCCCGGAAGACGGCGAACUCCGCUCCGCCCGACCCAGGGCUCGGACUCGGGCUAAGUCCCGGAAGACGGCGAACUCCGCUCCGCCCGACCCAGGGCUCGGACUCGGGCUAAGUCCCAGAAAACGACGAACUCUGCUUCGCCCGGCCCCAGGGCUCGGACUCCGCCCUGGCCUCAGCCGACGACCUCUGCCUCGCCCGACCCAGGGGCUCGGACUCGGCCUCGGCCACAGAAGACAGACUCGACCUCAGCUUCGGAGGAGCCUCCGCAUCGCCCAACCUAGGGUGCAGGCCAGCCACGUCAACAGGAGGCGCCAUCAUCACCCUACCCCGAGCUGACUCGGGCCACAGGGAACCAGACCAGCGUCCCAUCUGGCUAGCUCCGCCAGAUAGGCAAUGAUGGCGCCCCGCAUGCUCUGUGACGAUGGCGGCUCUCAGCCCCCUUACGGAAGCAAGAGGACGUCAGCAAGGACCCAACCGCUCCGACAGCUGUCCCUCCGCCAUGCUCCAUCGCUCCUCCGACAGCCACGACAUCACACCAGCUGGGUGCCAAAAUCUCUCCGGCUGCCACGACGGCAUGUACUUAGGGCGCUAGCUCUCCCCCGCUAGACACGUAGCACUCUGCUACACCCCCCAUUGUACACCUGGAUCCGCUCCUUACGCCUAUAAAAGGAAGGACCAGGGCCCUCUUAGAGAGGGUUGGCCGCGCGGGGACGAGGACGAGACAGGCGCUCGCUUGGGGCCGCUCGCUCCCUCUCCCGCGUGGACGCUUGUAACCCCCUACUGCAAGCGCACCCGACCUGGGCGCGGGACGAACACGAAGGCCGCGGGAUUCCCACCUCUCUCACGCCGGUCUCCGGCCGCCUCGCUCUCCCCCCUUCGCGCUCGCCCUCGCGCUCGACCCAUCUGGGCUGGGGCACGCGACGACACUCACUCGUCGGCCCAGGGACCCCCCGGUCUCGAAACGCCGACAGAGCUGCUUCUGAAGAAUUUAACCCUUCGACCGAAGACAUCCCCGGGACCUUUGAUCACAUUGAAAAUGAAGUUGAAGCCCUUGACGAAGUUAUCACCGGGCACGGGGAUUUCUGUGCCCUGGUGGCUUCGCGCGGUACAACCACAACUUUUAUGAAGGCUGGAUGCACUCACGUAAAAACUGUUAAUAAGCCAAAUUUCAAUAUUUCGACAUCAGAUCUAGUUGACAUUCCAGUCGAAGCCCGAAGCAUAGGGAACAUAUUUAUCACUCAAAUCUGGGCAAAAGGCGGGCGCGAACUGGCUGGGUAUGAAGCGCGAAAACUACUUAACUCGGUAUGAAAAUUUUACCUGUCUUCUUUACCUUGGUUUUCCUUUACCAUAUUUCCUGAUUUCUUCAUACCUUCUUCUCUCUGUAGAAUGGUGGCGCCGAAGGCCGUUAAGCCGAAGUUUGUUCCGAAGGGCUGAAGAUUCUUAGAACUUUUGUAACUAUCUAUAGAAAGCUUAGGAUAUCUUUGCAUCAUUUGGCAAAAGAUUGUAACUGAUAGUUUGAACAAAAUAUUGUACUUAUUUGUGAAUACCUUGUAAUAUAAUUUCACCUUUUCGCUCCUGUAUGAACUGCUUUGUUGUGGAAGAAACCAUCGCUUGCAAUCUUUUGAGCCGAAGGCGAAAAACACCUUCCCUUAUUUUCGUUCACAUCAAAGCAUUUUUUCAUUAGAGACGAAGUACCUUCCCUUCUUUUAUCUGAGACGAAGCAUAUUCGUAUUCAAAGAAGCAUUUUGUCACUGAAGACAGACAUCUUCUGUCUUUCUUGUUAAUGUUUGUGCUUUAUGUCAUGAUGAUGAUCCUACAAAUGUCUAAUGAAUGUUUGUAUGAAUGCAAGAAAUGAUGUGAUGAAUUAUGCAAAUGUAUGCCAAAAACAUGCCCAGACUCUGCAUCCCCUUAGGAACGACUUUGGAGUCUCUUCACCUUUUACUUAGGUGGUAUUUCAGCUCUGCAUCCCCUUGGGAACGACUUUGGAGCUAAGCUCUACAUCCCCUUAGGAAUGUCUUUGGAGCUUCUUCACCUUUGACUUAGGUGGCAUUUAAGCUCUGCAUACCCUUAGGAACGACUUUGGAGCUUCUUCACCCUUGAUUUAGAUGGUAUUUUAGCUCUGCAUUCUCUUAGGAAUGACUUUAGAGCUUCUUAACUUACUCUGUGUCCCCCUAGGAAUGGCUUUGUAGCUUCUUCACCUCUUAGGUGACAUUUUAGCUCUGCAUCCCCUUAGGGACGACUUUGGAGCUUCUUCAUGACCUUUUGCACUCGAUGGUGCAAAUCCUAGUGUUACAUUUUACAUGUGGGGGAAUUUGGCCCUUGUAUUGCAGAGGGCUAAACAAAAAAAUGAAAAUUACAACCUAUGGUUCCAUUAAAAACCUUUCUCCCCCCUUGAAAGGAAAAGUGUGCCAUAGGGGAAAAAUAAGAAAAUUACAUUGUUUAUACAUAGUAUCGUCGAAGCUCAUCCGCAUUCCAAGACCUGGGUAUGUCGUUGUCGUCCAUAUCUUUUAGUAUGUAGGAACCGGGUCUUGACGAAGAUACCACCAAAAAAGGGCCUUCCCACUUGAGCUUAAGCUUCCCCACUGUAUCAGGGUUGGCCACCCUUCGAAGCACCAAAUGGCCUAGCUUGAUGUUCUUCAAUCUUACUUUUCUAUCACGCCAUUUGAUUGUUUCGGCCUGGUAUUUAUUGAUAUGCUCUAUGGCUUGUAGUCUGGUCCCUUCUAUGGUGUCUUUUGUUAUUUGGCAGUCACCUUCGUCCUCUGUUGAAUCUAAAAUUCUUAUUGAACCCAUUCUUGCUUCUUCCGGUGUAAUUGCUUCGUCACCGAACAGAAGUUUGAACGGGGUAAAUCCUAUUGACCUUGACACAACAGUGUUGUGAUUCCACACCACUUUUAUUAAUUUGUUAGGCCACUUUCCUCUAGGCUGAUUGAAGAUUGACUUCAUUAUUCCUGUUAUUAUGAUUCCAUUUGCACUUUCUACCAAACCGUUUGACUCCGGAUGCCUUACUGAUGUGAAGUGUAUUUUUGUGCCAAUCUGAGUAUAGAAGGUUUUGAAUGUCUCAGCAUCAAAUUGAGUUCCGUUAUCAACUGUUAUAGCCUUCGGCACACCGAAGCGACAAACAAUAUUCUGCCAGAACAAUUUUUGGACCAUGGCCGAAGUUAUUGUAGCCAAGGGCUUUGCCUCAAUCCACUUAAAAAAUAUUCUACUGCCACUACAACAUACUUCAAGUUGCCUUGUGCUGGUGGGAGUGGACCUAACAAAUCCAGGCCCCAUCUUUGCGAUGACCAGGUUGGCUGUAUUAGCUGGGUUAAAGACCUGCUUCUGGUCUCUGGCACACUUUUGGCAAUUUUCACAUUUUUGAACUAAAUCUGCUGCAUCCGAAGCUGCCUUUGGCCAGUAAAAACCUUGUCUAAAAACCUUCCCCAGCAAAGGCCUAGACCCAAUGUGGGCCCCACAUAAUCCCGCAUGUAUCUCCUUCAUUAAUUCUUGCCCUUCGAUUCUGGACAAGCACUUGAGCAAUGGAGAGAAAACUCUGUGCUUGUAUAAUUCCCCUUCUAUUAUUACAUAUGGUCUUGUCCUUGCUUCCAUUCUUUUAUUAUAAACUUCAUCAUCCAAAAGACAGUUGCCCUGGAGGAAAGAUACAAUCACAGUCCUCCAAUCUUCACUAUGUACUAGUGAAAUUGUGAGCACCGCUCUUUCCAUGAGCUCGACUGAAGGCGCUUUUAUUGUUUCAAAAAAUACUUCCGAAGGUAAUGGGAGCCCCUGUGCCGCUGAUUUGGCUAACAAUUCUGCAUGUUCAUUUUCUCCCCUUAGGAUAUUCUUUACAGAGAAUCCUUCAAAAGAGGCUUCCAACCCUCGGACAACAUCUAGGUACGUUUUAAGCUUUGGGUCUCUUGCCUUACUGCUCUUGUCCACAUGACCCGAGAUAACUUGUGAAUCAGUCUUGAGGAUUGCCCUUUUUAUACCCAUUGCCUUAAGUUUCCGAAGCCCCAAAAGAAGAGCAUCAUACUCUGCAAUAUUAUUUGUCCUUAAGUUUCCGAAGCCCCAAAAGAAGAGCAUCAUACUCUGCAAUAUUAUUUGUACAGCUGAAGUCUAGUUUUACUGCAUAGCAGGUUCUAACUAUGGAUGGUGCAACUAGAACGACAGCUGCCCCUGCGCCGAAGGUCCCCCAAGACCCAUCACAAAAUACCGUCCAAGCUUCAUCAUCGUUUAUUCUUUCUUCGUCCUGAGCCCCUAGCGUCCAAUCAACAAUGAAGUCUACUAACGCCUAAGACUGGAUCGAAGAUCUAUGAACAUAAUCAAUGGUAAAUUUGUUGAGUUCAGCAGCCCAUUUUCUGACUCUUCCUAUAGCUUCUCUGUUCCUCAUUAUAUCCUUCAGGGGUUGUGAUGAAGGCACUAUUACGUGAUGCUUGGAAGUAGUGCCGAAGCUUCCUGGAGGCCAUUAAUACAGCAUACAAUACCUUCUUCAACUCCAUGUAAUUCUUCUUUGAUGGACUGAGUACUUCAGAUAUGAAGUAUACCGGUGCCUUCUUUUUUACUUGGCUAUCUUGUUUGUCUUGUACAAGCACUGCACUAACCGCGGCAUGGGAAGCAGCCACAUAUAGAAGUAAUGGGGUUCCUGACGAAGGUGGGGUUAGAGUUGUUAGAUCUAUCAAAUACUGCUUCAGCUCUUCAAAGGCAGGUUCCUCUCUGCUGAUCUUGAAAUAAAUCUGUUCAAUGAUGCCAGCCUUCCUGCUAACCUCUGAGCCUCCUUUCUCAAAUUUGGCGGUUCCAUCUGAAGGAUAGCUUCGAUUUUGCUUGGGUUGGCUUCAAUACCCUUUGUCGAUACCAGACAACCAAGAAACUUGCCCUUCUUCACUCCAAAGAUACAUUUUUCUGGAUUUAAGUUAAGACCAGCCUAUCUGAAAUUGGCAAAUGUUUCUUGCAAAUCAGCAACAUGGUUCUCUUGUUUCAUGCUCUUUACUAUGAUAUCAUCGACAUAAGUUAGCACAUUUCUACCGAUCUGGGAGUGAAGAACUUUGGCAGUCAUUCUGCUGAAGCUUCCUCCAACAUUUUUGAGCCCCUCAGGCAUCCAAAGAUAACAAUAGGUGCCACUAGGAGUUAUAAAGCUUGUCUUCGGCUCAUCGUCUUAUUUCAUCCAGAUUUGAUGAUAACCUGAGUAGCAAUCCAAUAAGCUCCUGAGUUUCGAAGUAGCUGCUGCAUCCACAAGGGAAUCUAUUCUUGGUAAUGGGAAUUCAUCCUUCGGAGAUGCCUUGUUGAGAUCCUUAAAGUUAAUACACAUUCUCCAUUUUCCAUUUGCUUUCUUUACCAUGACGGUGUUGGCCAGCCACUCUGGGUAUGUUACUUCUCUGAUAACGCUGGUACUUAGAAGUCUUUUCACUUCAUUUCGUGCACCUUCGGCUUUAUCAUUGAACAUUUUCCGAAGCCUCUACUUUCUUGGUCUGAAGGACGAGUCCACAUUGAGUGAGUGCUCAAUAAUGUCUCUAUUGACACCACAGAGAUCAUUAGCUGUCCAAGCAAAACCAUCUUUGUUGUUAAACAAAAAUCUUAGCAAGGUCUUCUCUUGUUCAUCAGAUAGUUGAGAUCCCAACAACACUUUUUGCUCAGCAAUAUCUUCACACAAGAGCAUAGGCUUUGGUUGAUCUACCGAAGCAGCCUUUUCUCUUUUAUGCUUAUAUUGCUGAUAAGCUUCAGCUUCAUCUAUAUUAUGGAUGGCCUUCGAAUCCGUCCAACUUCCUUCGGCUCUCCUGGCAGCUUCUUUACUCCCAUGUACAACAAUGGGCCCUUGUUUCGAAGGUAUCUUCAUGCAAAGAUAUGCUAGGUGAAGUAUUGCUUCGAAGGCAUUGAGCGUCCCUCGACCAACGAUUGCAUUGUAUGGAUACUCCAUAUCAACAAUGUCGAAGACAACCUGCUCUGUCCUUGUGUUGUGAACGUAGCUAAAUGUGACCGGCAUGGUUAUCUUGCCGAGUGCUACAAUCUGUCUUCCUCCAAAACCACAAAGAGGGUGUGUUGCAUCAUGUAUCUUGUCAUCCAACUCUUGCAUUUAUUUGAAAGCCUUCGCGAAAAUGAUAUCCGCUGCACUGCCUAUGUCUACCAGGACAUUAUGGACCAGAAAUCCCUUGAUGACACAAGAUAUAACCAUUGCAUCGUUGUGGGGACAAUCCUUGAGCUGAAGAUCCUCUUGGGAGAAGGUGAUUGGUAUGUGAGACCAUUUGGAUUUGAUGAAGGGUCCUUGCACUCCAACAUGUUGUACCCUUCUCUGUGCUUCUUUCUUUUGCCUCUUGUUGGCUGGUUUAGAGCUUGAGCCGCCUGUGAUUGGGAGCACCAACUUCGUAGCCGAAGGUGCUACAACUUGGUUGCUUUGCAAAGCCAACGUCGCAGUUGUGGAAGUGAGUUCACUAGAGGUGGGCGCCAAUGUUGUUCACUUGUUCUCAAAUGCUAUAAACUAAGAACAAGGCAACACAAUUGUUAAUGGUUAAAGACAUUCGUCCUUCGAAGCAUCAUUUCCUCUCAGAUAUAAUGAUCUUAAGACGAAGGUCAUGAAGGACACACCUUCAUCAUUUUAUAAUAUAAACAUGGAUAUAAGUAAGGAAAUGAAGGAAUACAAAGAAAUGAAGAUAAUAUUUGUUAUAUAUUCAUGAUUCAUUUAUCUUCAUUGUACAUGAAUAAACAUUAACAAUAUUCAUAUUACAAUGGUACCUUCGGCUUGCCGGAAGGUGAGAGAGCGAAAAUGGCGCGAGAGCGAUUACAAUCCAGCGUGGACAGUAUAGGGGUAAUGUUCAUCUAUUUAUAGGCACAGGACGUAGUGAUGAGGACAUCACUUCUAUACAUAUAAUGAAUGGACCGAUAACACGAUCGUGUGCACGACAGCUAAAUCUCCAGGUAAGUUCUACCCUAGUCAAUUGUGUUUCGGAGCCUACGCUUGGGGCCAUGGAUGUUUUGAUGAUUAGGAACCUUGGAGAGGACCAGCAAGGACUUGGGAAAGGCCUAGGUGUUGAGGAGGAGCAGCAAGGGCGCCACAACAGGAAGGAGAUCAAGUCCGACUCGGCUGCGACUCCAUCUCGGGUUCCAGGACCAGUCUGCACUAAAAUGGACGCCCAAGAUGCAUCCAGACUCCGAUUGCGAUGGACUUGAUAUGGCUGGAAAGAUAAGGAGAUUAUCUAACCAACCCAACUAGUUCCACCCUAAAAUUCGUCGGGAGUCAACGGGAAUCAUCGAAACAAGUCAGCGUUCAGAUUCUGUUUUGGUGCUGCGACACCAUCUGUUGGGCUGUUGGGCCGUGUAUCGCGUCGGAGCCCAUUAGGGGCGAGUCCAGGGAUCACACACGCCCUAAUACUCUAUUAAUUCAGCAGCCACCACCACAUUAGGUUUGGGUUUUGCUUAAGUUAGAUCUGUCAAGAACAACCGCCAUAGAUCGGUUUGUGAGACCCCAACUUGUGAGCUUAAUCAUUCAUCCGCAAUAUUCUAGAUUGCGUUCUUUCUGCUUCUUGCUUGUGUCUUUGAUUCUUAUGCAGGAAUUAGCCCUCGUGGCGAGGUCAAUCGCGCAGUGCACGGUUGAUAACCAGAGGAGAAGUGGUGCUGCGAUUGCGGGGUUCUAGUCAUGUUGAUUGGAAGCCGGAUCGUCUGUGUGACAUCUCCACCAAAUCGAUAGUUAACUUCACCUGACGAAAGAUCGGGCACCCCCGUUCCUAUCCAGUGGUAUUCAAAUACUCAGGUAUUACCAUUAGGCUUACCCUAGUUUAGUUUAGGUUUUUCAUCCUAUAACUCCAGAUAAUUUCCAUACAAAAAAAUUUCCGCUGUCCUAGAACCCUUGUUUAGCCUUUGUAAUUUCGUUUUCACUUUGGCUUUGUUCAGUUCAUGUUCGUGGUUGAGUCGUGUUGCUGGUUUAGGGUGUAUCUUCGUCGUAGAUCAACUGCCCUCGCUAGCCUCUAUCCCAUCCACCAUUACCCAGAUCACAAGUCGAUCCACCCAUUAAUCGACUUGGCCUCGCUAGCCGCCGCCGCGCCAGCCCUAGAUAGAUUGCAGAUACGCUGCUAUCCCAUCCACCAUUACCCAGAUCACAAGUCAAUCCACCCCAUUAAUCGACUUGCCCUAACCGCUGUGAUUGCAGAUAGGGAAUUUUUGCCCUAACCGCCGCUUUCUAGUCGUGCCUCCAAAAACAUAACUUGAGGUACCUUCCUUAAACCGGACAUAACUUUUCGCUCGAGUGUCCAAAAAAUCUGAAAUUUUUACAGGAGCUUGUUGACAUCAUUCUGAGGCCAGCCCAACUUGCCUACGGCCUGUUUGGUUUCGAUAAAAUUGUCAAAAAAAUUCAGGAAAAUAAAGAAAAAAAUUUGUCAAAGCUCUUGCAUGCUUUUCAGAGAACUUGCUCAUUUUCUGUAGACCACAUCUGAUCUCUGUUUUAGAUGAAACUUGGUGUAGCUUCUAUUUUGUUGCUUCUUGUGCUGAGAAAAAUAUCAAAAAAAAUCAUACAAAAAAGAAAAACAAAAUCACCAGUGAAUCCUACUAGUGCCUUUUUGGCCUCGCUAGUACAAUAUUUACGGUACUGCCAUUCUGCUAUUUCCAUUGUUCUUUGUUCCAACUUGUUGUGAUACGCCUCGGAUACAUCUCUUAGCCAACAAUUGUGACUUGUGCUUUGGAUAUUUAUUGAACUUCGCUCAUCGGCACUCGAUUUUGUUCCACAUUCAUAUACAUAUUGUGCCUAUCCUACAGCUCCACAUACUAUAUCUUCUGAUUAGUACAGAUUUGACCUUGCAAUCGCGGUUUCACUACCUCUUGGUAAGUAUCACGAACUAGCCUCUGAUUGUACCAUCCUUUGCUUUGUAUUUCGUCAGACACUUGUAAGAGCUUGGUAAGAUACAAUAGAGCGUGUUCCUGUGUUCCACCCGAGAGGAGCAUGUAGUGAGAUUAUUAGGGAUAACCUUCACCGUGUGUUUCUUGUUUUUGUGUUUCGAUGGCAGGCGACGAAGAAGAAGCAAGGAUCCCUACAGACUUCGAUGAAUGUGUUAGCCGCCAAGAUCUUGAGGCAAACAACAAGCUCCUGAAGGAGCAAAUGGAGGAGACGGUCCACAAGUCAGUGCAUGAUGCCUUCAUUGACAUGAACUUUGGCAAGACUUACGAGAGGCUAGAUCGAUGAUUGUCCUAGAUUAUCGACAGACUUGCUGUGUUGGAGACGCAACAACAAGCACCGCCACCACCACCUCCUCGUCCACGUCUUCCCGAUGAUGCGGUGUUUGAUGAAGAAGGUAAUUAUGAUGAAGCGGCCACCAGAGAUUUGCGCCUACGUCGCCGUCUUCAUCAAAACAUAGAAGGUAUGCCCCACUGCCAGCAAGGUAAUAACAAUCAUGCUCCUAAUGACCCUUAUGCUAAGAUUAAAUUUUCUAUACCAUCUUUUUCGGGUCAUUAUGAUGCUGAGGGAUAUCUUGAUUGGGAGAUGACGAUAGAACAGAAAUUUGCUGCCCACCUUGUACCUGAACGACAUCAAGUUAGACAAGCCACUAGUGAAUUUAAAGAUUUUGCUAUUGUCUGGUGGACUGGUCUAGUUGGGGAUGGUAGAGCACCUACGACUUGGGAAGAUCUUAAGGUAGCUAUGCGUGAUAGAUUUGUUCCCCCAUCUUAUCAUAGAGAAUUGCGUAAGAAAUUGAUGCGUUCAGAGCAAGGGGAUAAAUCUGUUCAAGAUUAUUAUGCUGAGCUUCAGAAAGGAUUGCAGCGUUGUGGGAUAGUAGAGGGACAUGAGGACGCUCUUUGCCGUUUUUAUUCAGGUUUGCGUCGUAACAUUCAGGACAUUGUGGAUUACAAAGAAUUUAACACUGUCAACAAGUUGUUCCAGUUUGCUAUGCUCGCAGAGAAGGAAUUAUAGGGACGCCAACAUCGACCAAGGGCUACUUUUGGCGCCUCCUCUGCAUCACGGACGCACACACCUGCCUCGAGUCAUACUCCCUCGACACCUGCUGCACAUGUUGGUAACCUUCCUUUGUAGGUACCCGCCAAGAAACAGAAUUCAUCAGCACCUGCCGCACCUUCCAGUGGUAGUUCUUCGGGUAUUGUUUGCCACCGCUGGCAUGGGAUUGGUCACGUGAAGAAGGAUUGCCCGAGUCAGCGAACAUACAUUGCUACGGAUGAUGGCUACAUUAGUGCUUCCGUCGGUGAGGGUGACGAUGAUGACUCUAGUGAUGUUGCUGCUAAUGAUGAUGCCAUGCUUGGUGCUAAUGCUACGGUGAACCUUCGAAGCAUCAUGGUGCAGCGUAUUAUUAGUUCUCAUCCUGAAUCAUCAGAGAAGCAGCAACACCAUAAUUUGUUCCAGACUUUCUUCUCCAUCGAGAAUCGGCGUGCACGUGUUAUUAUUGAUGGUGGAAGCUGCAAUAAUUUGGUGAGUUCAGAUUUGGUCAAGAAGCUUGGCUUGACCACACGUCCACAGCCACAUCCAUACCACAUUCAGUGGAUCAAUGAUUCAGGCAAGGUUAAGGUAACACACAUGGUACGAGUGCAUUUCUCCAUUGGUAUGUAUUCUGAUUAUGCAGAUUGCGAUGUAGUACCUAUGGAAGCUUGUUCUCUUUUGUUGGGUAGACCUUGGGAAUAUGAUACUGAUGCAUGUCACCAUGGUAGGAGUAAUACAUACACUUUUAGGCAUAAAGAUAAAAACAUUACUUUGCUACCUUUGACUCUUGCUGAAAUUGUACAAGCUGAUAAAGAUAGAGCUGCAAGUACCCAUAAGGAACCAACUAAUGAGACAGAAAUUCAGCAACAAAUUAAAUUGAAAGCUCCUGUCAUGCUUGCUACUAAAUCUGAUCUUCUUGAAACUCAUGAUACUGAUGCUUGUUGCUAUGCUUUGGUUUGCAAAGAUGCUUUCUUUUCUAUUGAUGAUAUUGCUAGCACUUUGCCUGCAUCUGUGACUAACCUUUUGCAGCACCGAGCUGCUGGACCAUUUAAAAUUUUGGAGAAGAUUAAUGACAAUGCAUAUAAACUUGAGUUGCCCCCCCAAGUUUGGGAUUAGUCCCACCUUUAAUAUUUCAGAUUUAAAGCCAUAUUUGGGAAAAAAGAUGAGCUUGAGUCGAGGGCGACUCCACUUCAAGAGGGGGAGGAUGAUGAGGACAUGGAUGUGUUUCCCUCUGAGAUACCCCCUGGAUUACCACCUGAGUUGCCUCUAGAUAACAUUUCAGAUUUGAAGCCAUAUAUGGGUGACGAAGAUGAGAUCGAGUCGAGAACGACUCCAAUUCAAGAGGAGGAGGAUGAUGAGGACAUCACUUCUAUACAUACAAUGAAUGGACCGAUAACACGAUCGCGUGCACAACAGCUAAAUCUCCAGGUACGUUCUACCCUAGUCAAUUGUGUUUUAGAGCUUACGCUUGGGGCCAUGGAUGUUUUGAUGAUUAGGAACCUUGGAGAGGACCAGCAAGGACUAAGGAAAGGCCUAGGUGUUGAGCAGGAGGAGCAAGGGCGCCACAACAGGAAGGAGAUCAAGUCCGACUCGACUGCGACUCUAUCUCGGGUUCUAGGACCAGUCUGCACUAAAAUGGACGCCCAAGAUGCAUCCGGACUCCGAUAGCGACGGACUUGAUACGGUUGGAAAGAUAAGGAUAUUAUCUAACUAACCCAACUGGUUCCACCCUAAAAUUCAUCCGAAGUCAAUGGGAAUCGUCGAAACAAGUCAGCGUUCAGAUUCUGUUUUGGUGCUGCGACACCGUCUGUUGGGCAGUUGGGCCGUGUAUCGCGUCGGAGCCCAUUAGGGGCGAGUCCAGGGGUCACACAUGCCCUAAUACUCUAUUUAUUCAGAAGCCGCUGCCAUAUUAGGUUAGGGUUUUGCUUAAGUUAGAUCUGUCAAGAACAGUCGCUGUAGAUCGGUUUGUGGGACCCCAACUUGUGAGCUUAAUCAUUCAUCCACAAUAUUCUAGAUUGUGUUCUUUCUUGUUCUUGCUUGUGUCUUCGAUUCUCAGGCAGGAAUUAGCCCUCGUGGCGAGGUCAAUCGCGCAGUGCACGGUUGAUAACUAGAGUAGAAGUGGUGCUACAAUUGCGGGGUUCUAGUCGUGUUGAUUGGAAGCCGGAUCAUCUGUGUGACAUCUCCACCAAAUCGAUAGUUACCUUCACCUGACGGAAGAUCGGGCACCCCCAUUCCUAUCAUGCAGCCUAGGUAAAAUUACAUCCAUGCCCUUGAACAUUUGUUUACAAGCAACUAAAACUAAUAAGGUCCAUCUAGUCAUUUUUCCUUCUCUGCUUGGUCUGGACCGAAGCUAUUGAGCUUCGGCAUUCUGCAUUGUCGCCUCUACGCAGAGUCUUCGUCUUGAUGAGCUAAACCGAGGCUGAAGGUAGCUUUGGCAAGCCUUUGUAUUAUUUUGCCGAAGAUGUUUUGCAUUGAGGACCUUCGGCGGAGAAGAAUACCCCCAACAACCCUGAAAGUCUCAAUAGAAGAAACAAAAGAGUAAUGUUCACAAAAAAUAGCUAAACGUGAACGAGUGGUUACUCCCUUGCCGAUGUCACCCAGAAUCUGAUCUACUAGAUGAUUCCUUUGGAUGGUGGCCUAGACUUGAGUUGGAGGUUCUUGUUGUACUUCUUCCCCUUUAUCCUUUUCUUCAUGUGCUCCCCUUGAUUCAUGCCUUCAUCGUGAGGUACAUGUUCUUCAUUUUGAGUUGGGGGUUGCACCAGUGUUGAGGAAGAUGGUUGAUCCUGUUCUUGGUGUUCCUGAGGUCACACAUCACCUAUUGCCAUAGUUCUGAUUGCGGCCGUUGGAACUUCAUCUUCAUCUAUAUCAUCAAGAUCAAGUUGCUCGCAUGGAGAGCCAUUAGUCUCAUCAAAUACAACGUCACUAGUGACUUCAACAAAACCCGAAGAUUUGUUGAAGACCAUAUAUGCCUUUGUAUUUGAAUCAUAACCUAGUAAAAACCCUUCUACAACUUUGGGAGCAAACUUUGAACGUAUACUUCUUUUAACUAAGAUGUAGCAUUUGCUUCCAAAGACACGAAAGUAUGACACAUUGGGUUUGUUACCGGUUAGAAGCUCAUAAGAAUUCUUCUUGAGGAGGCGAUGAAGAUAGAGCCAAUUUAUGGCACGACAAGCUGUAUUUACAGCUUCCGACCAAAACCGCUCAAGCGUCUUGUACUCUCCAAGAAUUGUCCUCGCCAUGUCGAUGAGCGUCCUAUUCUUCCUUUCUACUACACCUUUUUGCUGUGGCGUGUAGGGAGCGGAGAACUCAUGCUUGAUGCCUACCUCCUCAAGAUACUCUUCCACUUGAAGAUUCUUGAACUCAGAUCCAUUAUCGCUCCUGAUCUUUUUCACCUUGAGCUCAAACUCAUUUUAGGCUCUCCUUAGGAAGCGCUUUAGUGUACUUUGGGUUUCUGAUUUAUCCUACAAAAAGAAUACUCAAGUGAAGUGGGAAAAUCAUCAACAAUUACAAGACCAUACUUACUUCCCCUGAUUCUAAGAUAAGCAACGGUCCCAAAGAGAUCCAUAUGGAGGAGUUCCAGUGGUCUUGAUGUUGUCAUCAUGUUCUUGCUUGGAUGAUAGUUCCCACCUGUUUUCCUACCUGGCAUGCUGCACAAGGUCUGUCUUUUUCAAAACAAACAUUGGUUAGUCCUAACACAUGUUCUCCCUUUAGAAGUUUAUGAGGAUUCUUCAUUCCAACAUGUGCUAGAUGGCGGUGCCAGAGCCAGCCCAUAUUAGUCUUAGCGAUUAAACAUGCAUCUAGAUCGACAUUCUCUUUCUUGAAAUCAACUAAAUAAAGCUUGCCAUCUAAUACACCUUUAAAAGCUAAUGAACCAUCACUCCUUCUAAAGACAGAUACAUCAAUAUUUGUAAACAAACAAUUGUAGCCCAUAUGACAUAAUUGACUUACAGAAAGCAAACUGUAACCAAGCGAUUCUACUAAGAAUACAUUAGAAAUCGAAUGCUCAGUAGUGAUGGCAAUUUUACCCAAACCUUUGACCUUGCUAUGGUUCCCAUCUCCAAAGAUAAUCGUAUCUUGGGAAUCCUUGUUCUUGACAUAGGAGUUGAACAUCUUCUUCUUUGUAACGCCCUGAAUUUGAGGGUUAAAAUUUUCUUUCUCUAACACUCACCAAAUUCAGGCAUUGUCUUUCCUUUUUCUUUUUCUUCUCAAAGUUCUAGUGAGAGUUAACUCGAUAUUGUGUAUAGGUAAACCCUAGGAGUAAUCCUUUUGGUUGUUCCAUCAUGCCGGAUCAUGCAUCUAUUUUUGUUGGUGGUUGAGUGAAUUUGUGAAAUGUGCACUUAGGUGAAGAAUUAGAGCAAAAAGGAAAAUAGAAACCCCCAAACCCUUCCUUCCCCCUUUUCUCCUUCUGGCGGCCCACCUGGCGUGCCCCCUCCCCCGCGGCCCAGUCUGGCGGCGGCCUAGCCGUGACCUUUCUUCCUCCCCCUCCUCCUCCCCCCCAUGCGUGGCCCACCCUGUCUUGGGCCGGCCGGCUGGUGCACGACCCAGCUGCCCCUCAACAGCCCCCCGCUCCCUCCGCGCGCGUGCGCGCUGGGCGGUUGACCAGCCGCUGCCGCCCUUGGUGGGGCCCACCCGUCAGUGCCCUGGUCGCCCCCUGUUCACCUCCUCUAACCUCCACGUUGCCCGUUUUUUUCUCACCCGCGUAGUUCAUCUCUCCCUCUCUCUUCCAAGCCGCCCGGAGCCGCCCCUGCCCUUGACGCCGUCCGUCCACGCCGCCCUCAUCCCCCGCGGUGAGCCUCCCCAUCUCCCUUCUCCCCCGCUUCCCUCUUCCCCCCCCCCCCCCCCCCCCCCCAGCCCCCCCCCCCCCCCCGCCCCCCCCCCCCCCUCCCCCCCCCCCCCCCCCCCCCCGUGCACAUCGUGCGCGUUGAGCGUGCUGUUUAUUUCACGUAGUUAAACUCCACUUAGAAUCGUUCACAUUAAUUAUCUCACGUAGGCAAACGACAACUUUAUUAGUGUCGGCCAAUCGGAAACCAAGUGUAACUCUAUUAGUGCAUGUGGUUAAUACCUAUUAGUAUGGCUAGGUGGAAUUAAAUGUUAUAAUGAUUAAUCGCAAAGCCUGCACGUAAUGUUUCUCGACUAUAGCUUUAGCCGUUGCGAUUCCUUUUUCUCUUUCUCGUAAUUAUGAAUGCAAACCAUAUGUCAUGUGCAUGUUCAAUUGAUCUGCUCUCUUGUAUGGUGUACUAUUUAUUUCCUAAUUCAAGGAUAUGGAUGUAUGUUUGCACUCGCAUAGAUAACGGUCUGGUUGUGGAGUCCGAAGAGAUCACAGGAGAAGACCCUGAGCAGCAGCUGGUUGGUGGAGGCAAGUGUCCCUUGACCUAUCUUUGUCCUAUACAUUCUAUAAUUCACUUUUCGCAUUUACACAGUUUAUACCUAAUGAUUGACUAGCUUUUGUUUACUUUGUCCUUGCUCACCUAUAUGGGUUGGGUUAUUUUGGUUUUAGCUUCAUGCUAGUGCUUCACAUUAAUCAAUGAACAUGAUGAGAUUAUCUAUGAUACGCUAUUUUCCCUUUUGAUUAUGAUGAUAUACUUGUGGCAUUUAAGGGGGCUCAAGCGGUUUCUCGAGUGCCUCUCCGUAAGGACCUGUCCGUUGGAUGACCGUCCGAGAAAACAGUGCAACCAUGAGGGUGGUAUGGGACGCCCUUAGCUGAAUAAUUAGAGGAAAUGGGGUGUAGUUCGCUUCGCCGUCGUGCCGUCAAUAGGGCUCGGUGUAUGCGGCUCUCUCUGCCAAGGGUGGAUUGCCCCUUGGGGAGGGUGCGGUACAUUUAGAAACCUAACGGGCGGCUACAGCCUCGGGGAAUCUUUGUAAAGGCUUCGUAGUGAUACCCUGCCAGGCCACCUAGGUAGUGGUCAAUGGGGAGUAGCUCUCUCCGUGCUCGCGGUUAUGAGCGGCCAAGGGAGCUCCAUUGAUUAGAGAUACUUGAUCAGAGAUGGUUGGUUUACAGGUGGUGACAAGGAUGAUGGUUAUGACUAUGGUAAUGGUAAGUGGUAUUCUUUCUGUUUGGAAAGGGUACUUUGGGUUAAUAACUUGGGUUAAUGUUAAAACCUGGCUUUCUACUAGUAAUAAUAACCUGACCAACUAAAAGCAACUGCUUGACUUAACUCCACAUAAAGCUACUCCACUACAGCCCAAUGGGACAAUUGCUGAGUAUGUUGAUGUGUACUCACCCUUGCUCUACACACCAAACCCCCCAGGUUGUCCAUGUUGCAACCCGUGCUCAGGAGAAGAUGAAGCCGUGGAGGAAGACUUCCAGGAGUUCCAAGAGUACGACGAGUUUUAGGCGUGGGUUAGCGGCAAACCCCAGUCGGCUGCCUGUGAAGGCCGCGUGUAUCUACGUUUCGUUUUCGCACUUUGAUUAUUGUUAAAGACUAUGUGGAUGUCUCAGACAUCAUGAUGUAAUCGACUAUUACUAUCUUUAUGUUAUUAUUUGAGCACUGUGUGAUGAUGUCCAGUUAUGUAACUGCUGUGUAUGUGAAUUGCUGAUCCUGGCACAUACAUGGUUCGCAUUCGGUUUGCCUUCUAAAACCGGGUGUGACAUUCUCCCCCGUCAUAUGGUUUGUGCAUCUUCUGUCAAUAAUCCAACUUGUGCCCCCGGAUGCAUAAACCUGCAAGGUGAUUUAAGCUUGGGAUUUAGGUACCCAACUCUUGUUGGGUCCUACAAGGUUAGUCACAUAAGACUUUGGAACCCAAAUGCAAGUCUUACCUCCCUUGCACUUAGGCUCCACAUUUCUAGCAACAACUUUAUCAUUUUUACAAACUAGCACAUAUGAAGCAUUAUAAGUAUGAUAAAGCAUAGUUGGGCCAUUAGUUGCAUUGCUAGGCGCAUGAGAAACAACCUGGUGAGCGUGGCGCCUAGAUCUACUCCUACCAUGAACAUGCGAAGAACUUGAAGAUGCAAACAUGGCAUGGGAAUUAAAGACAUCAUCAUGAUGUACAGGAAAAACAACAUGAUCAUAACAACCAUCAUGAUGCGCAAUAUCAGAUACAUUCUUAACAUGAGCAUACAAAUAGGCAUGGUUCUUUUUGUCAUGAAACGAAUGAGAGCUACUAGUCAUAGGUGCCUUCCCUUUCUCCUUGAUGAGAUUGGAAGUCCUUUGGCUUGUUAAGUUCUUGGUUCCCUUUUGGAAACCAAGUUCAUCCUUAAUGGAGGGAUGUCUACCAAUGGUGUAGGCAUCCCUUGGAAAUUUUAUUUUAUCACACUCAUUCUUGCAAGUUUUAAGUUGAGCAUUAAGGUUUGCAAUUUCAUCAUUCAACUUAGAGAUAGUGGAAGCAUGAUUACUGCAAGCAUCAACAUCAAAAUCUUUACAUCUAUUGCAAAUAGAAACAUGCUCCACAGAUUGACUAGCAGUAUUUAAUUUUUCUAUUCUAGCAUUUAAAUUAGCAUUUAAUCUCUUAAGGCUAGAAAUAGACUCAUGGCAAGAAGACAAUUCAGAAGACAACACUUCAUUUUUAUUAGUCUCUAAAGCAAGAGAUUUUUCAACACUUACAAGUUUAUCAUGUUCUUCAUAAAUAAUAUAUUCUUGUUUUUCUAACAACCUAUCCCUCUCGUUAAGGGAAUCAAUUAAUUCAUUGAUUUUAUCUACUUUAGAUCUAUCUAAACCCUUAAAGAGAUCACUAUAGUAUACAUCAUCACCAGAUUCCUCAUCACUAGAAGAAGUGUACUUAGGGGUAUCUCGAGUAUGUACCUUCUUCUCCUUAGCCAUGAGGCAUGUGUUAUGCUCGUUGGGGAAGAGGGAGGACUUGUCAAAGGCUGAGGCAGCAAGUCGCUCAUCGUCGGAGUCAGAUGAAGAGCAGUCCGAGUCCCACUCCUUGCUGAUGUGCACCUCGCACUUCGCCUUCCUGUAGUUCUUCUUCCUUAAUCUUUAACAACUGUGUUGCCUUGUUCUUGAUUCACAACAUUUGAGAAUAAGUGACCAACAGUGGCGUCGUUUCCCUCAUGAGAGAUCUUGAGGGUGUCCCAUAUUUGCUUGGCAUUGUCCAAACCGCUGACUAUGUUGUACUCAUCCCUGCAUAGUGUUGCUAACAAAACAGUAGUAGCUUGGGCAUUUUUAUGAUAUUGUUCAUUGAUAAGUACAUGAUUAUCACUACUAUCAAAAUGCAUUCCAUUUUCCACUAUCUCCCAAAUACUAGGAUGGAGAGAAAACAAAUGGCUACACAUUUUAUGACUCUAGAAAGAAUAAUCUUCUCCAUCAAAGUGAGGGGGUUUUCCAAGUGGAAUAGACAAUAAAUGAUCAUUCGAAUUAUAAGGCAUGUAUGAAUAAUCAAAAGAAUAGUUUUGAUUAACCGUUUUCUUUUUCGACGAAGAGUCUUCGUCGUCGUCAUCCCUUGGUGAUGAAGAGGAGGCGUCACUGUCGUAGUAGAUGAUGUUCUUGAUGUGCCUCUUCUUCUUUCCAUCCUUCCUCUUGUUCUUCCAGCCUGAGUCAGUGGGCUUGUCACCUUUUGGCUCAUCAACAUAGAGAGUCUCCUUGUCCUUCUCCUUGUCGUUGAUCACCAUCCCCUUUCCCUUAGGAUCCAUCUCUUUGGGCGGUUAGUCCCUUGAUGAAGAGAAUGGCUCUGAUACCAAUUAAGAGCACCUAGAGGGGGGGCAAAUAGGUGAUCCUGUACAAAACAGUUCAACAAAACAAACUUGGACUAAUAUUGGAUUAGUUAAAGCAACUGUGGGGGAUAGAUAUCCCCCGGGUCCACUAAAAGAGUAAAAUACCUCACGAAAGGCCCAAGGGCCCAAUGAAUCGUAAGGUCAUUCUUUCGUGGGCCUGGGGAGAAACAACCAAGCAAAGCAGAGCGACACAAGGCCGGAUUGGUGCAAACCCAGACGGCCCACAACGUCGAGCGAGUGACCACAACAGAGAUCCGACUUUCCCGCGCUGGAGCCCCCAUGCAACGGAGCCAUGCGAGGAUAAGUCGGCGAGGGUUGCGUAGGGAUAAACUCAAGAGGUUCACUAUCUUUUAGCUACUUGUUGUUAUCAUAUCCACGUGUAUUGCCCCACGGUCGAGUAUAUAAGGCCUAGGGGGCACCCCUUCAGAUGGAUCGACCCUAUUACUUAGCCACCUACGUCAACUCUCUGUAUUCUCAAUCCAGAGAGCUCUCCUGUAACCACAUUCAUCAAGCAUACUCACCAGGACGUAGGGUGUUACGCAUCUCUAAGCGGCCCGAACCUGUAAACCUUGUCUACUGUUCCUCGUGCAAUCGGCACGAACCAUUUUGCUACAGUUGUCGACACCGUCCUACUCCUAAAAGCACCUUGAGGGGCAACCCCGGGUGUGCGGUCGGACCCAAAACACCGACAGCAACAGCCAAGUUCAAAUGAGGAGUAUGAUAGGAGUAAACUUCUUCACUUAAUUGCUCUUCACUAAGUGAGUAUUAAACUUAGGUCAAUUAUGUAAGUGAAGUGAAUAGAGAGAAAAUCGCAGCAAGAUAAAGAUACGUGACACAACGAUUUUUAUCCCGUGGUUUUGUCAAGUAGAAUACUUGCCUACUCCACGUUGUGGUGUCCUAAUGGACGAGGGUUGCACUCAAACCCUUUCAAGUGAUCCAAAGAUCAACUUGAAUACCAUGGUUCUUUUUAUCUCAACAAUAUCCCAUUGUGAGGAAUCUCCACAAUUUGGAGUCUCUCACACCUUACAUAAAUGAUCUAAAAUGAACACAAGAGUAAGGGGGAAUAGAAAGACACACAAGAACUAGAGUUGCAGCAACAACACGCACACAAGUGAAGAAAGAGCACACGAAACAACACAUCAGAGUUACAGCUCAAAGAAGUGCUCAAAUCUCUAUCACAACGUAACAAUUGCGUGCUUGCGAAGUCUCGGUGUUGUAGAAUGUUCAAUGGGUGCUUGGUGUCAAGCUCCAUGCGCCAAUGGGUCCCUUUUAUUGCCCCAAAGGACCUAGGAGUCAUUGGAGCUCCAUUUGGAGGGCACUCGUUGCCUUCUGUCCACGGGUGCACUGGACUAUCCAGUACACACCGGACAGUGAACAAUGCACGGGCACAGAAUCCCCUGAUUGGCAACUUUCUGCUUCUAGGGGGCACCAGACUGUCUAGUGGGUGGCUCUAGUCCGUCCGGUGCCCCACAUGACCGUUGGCCCGGGGCUGAUGUGGCCACUAGCUGUUGGCUACUGGCACACCAGACUAUCCGACACUCCGUCCAAAUAGUUUGGUGAAUUAUAAUCGACGCUAGCUAAAAUUCUUGAGAGCGAGCAGUAAGACAAACCGUGCAUCGGACUGUCCGGUGCACACCGGACUGUCCGAUGAGAGGCACCGGACAGUCCAGCAUGAUUUUUCUUUUUCUUUCUUUGUUUUCUUUUGCUCCUUUUGGACUUGACUUCGUAAAGUACCUGGCACUUAGAAAAAUAUAAUUAGUACUCAAAACAAUUGACUAAGUGUCCAGAGCUUACCUUUUUACUCGGUCCAUAUAGAUUUUGCACUAGGUCCUUUUCCGAGCUCAAUUUGCUUCAUAUACCUUUGCUCAUACAUCAUGUUAGUUUAAACAUAAUGUGUUGUGCAUCUAAUCACCAAAACAAUAUGGAAAUGGCCCAAGGGCACAUUUCCCUUUCACCGAGGCCUCUAUGGAGAGUUCUCGGAUGGCGUCGACCGCCCUCACCACUAACGACGUCCUCAAGCGGGUCAACGGCAUCGGCGAUCUCCAUCCCUGGUUCCCCAGCCUCCGACCUGGGUAAGGAGGUGGCUGGCUGUUGGAGACUUGUUCUCAAGUGCUAAAAGUUAAGAACAAGGCAACACAGAAAAUGUUAAUCGUUAUAGUCCUUCGUCCUCCGAAGCAUUAUUUCCCUUAGGAUAUAAUGGUUUACGGACGAAGGUUAUGAAAGACGUACCUUCGUAAACUCAUUAAACGAUGACGAAGGCGAUAAUGUAAAGGAUAUAAAAGACAAUAUGAACGAUUAUAUAUUAUUAUCAGGCAUAAACAGAAAUAUUAUUGAAUUACAAGUGUACCUUCAAUCGAGAGAAGAUGACAAUACAAGCGUGACGCAAAAAGUGAAUGCCAAAUCAGCGUGAACAGUACGGGGAUACUGUUCACCUAUUUAUAGGCACGGGACACAGCCCUUACAAAAUUACAUUCAUGCCCUUUACAUUUGAUAAUAAUUCUAUAGUAGUCUAUCGAGGUCUGAAUAGCCUUUUCAUCUUUAAGUCGGUUCCACUCUUUGCUGUCACGCCGAAGCUUUCCUGCUCGCACCUUCGGCUCUGUAUCAACCUUCGUAUUAUUCCGGUCUACAACAAUGCCGACUUUAGUCAGAGGAUACCUGUUCACACAUUGUACUCCAGAAAUACUGUUAAAUCCUGUUUUUGAGGACCUUCGGAUGCCGAAGGUCCCCAACAGUAGCCCCUCGCAAUAUUAAUUUGUUUAUAAUAACGAAUUCAGAUUGCGACCUGGACGAAGGCUUUACGCCGAAGGUCCGAAAAAACACCUUCCCUUUGCUAGAAUAGCAACAUUCACUGACAAGCGGGGUCUUUGAAUUUUCAACGCACCGAGCGUAUAAAUACGGCCAUACCGCAAACUCAUUUAGCAUGCUCUCUGGCCAACCACUCCCGCUCACUCAAUUUUUAGCUCUUGUGCACUGUGAUUUGCUAAGCUUUUAGCUUUGAAGCUUCGGAUUUGGAAACAGUUUUUUAGUGUUUCCGAAGAUGUCCGAGGAUAAGAAGACUGCUGCUGAGACGAAGCUGAGCCUCGACGAAGAGAAAAAUUUGGGGUUUCUUAUAGCGAUGUCAAAGACCAACACGGAAAAGAUUACCAAGGAGAUUCUGGAAGGUUUGUCCGAAGAUACUGGUGACAGCGACAGCUAUGAUGUGGACAGUGGUGGCGAGGACUCCGAAGAUCGUCCAUGGCGACCAAGCCAUUCAGUUUAUGGUAAAUCAACUAUCAAAGAGAAUCAUCUUGUCAACAUGAGAGGGAGGUAUUUCCGGGAUUUGUCCAUUGUGAGGGCCGACGAAGGGGAAAAAACUUGCCCACACCCUGAAGAAAAUGAGGUCGUAGUGUACCGAAGCUUUUUGAAAGCUGGACUGCGAUUUCCUUUGAGCAGCUUCGUUGUGGAGGUACUGAAAAUAUUCGAAGUCUAUCUCCAUCAACUUACCCCCGAGGCAAUUAUAAGGCUAAAUAUCUUCGUAUGGGCCGUGAGAAGCCAAGGUCUGAAACCUGACGCAAAAAGCUUCUGCAAUAUACAUGAAUUAUCAUAUGAAACAAAACCUUGGGGUAAGGAACAGUAUCACAACAAUUUUGGCUGCUACAGUUUUGUUUCUCGGUCCGGGUCAAGCUGCCCCGUGCCAACCUUUCGGAAGAGAUGGCCCGGAGACUGGAUGACAGAAUGGUUCUAUGUGAAGAAUGAUCUGACAAUACGAGAAGAUAUCAAGGGUAUAAUCAUGCGCCCUAUUUGGCAAAGCUUCGGCCUUCGGAGGCCGAAGGUUGAAAUGAAUGAAGCUGCCGAAGAAUGCCAGAGGGCCUUCGGCGCAGUGUGCUCUUUCAUUGGAACAAGAGACUUAGUUCAAGAGCAUAUUGCCUUCAGGGUAUGGCCACUUGCGGAAAAAUGGGAAAUGCCACAAGAAACCGUAAAAGAAACCGACGAAGGUGGACUUAUCAGGUUGAAGUACACUUUUAAAUUUGGAGAUAAAUUCGUUGAGCCAGAUGAUGACUGGUUGAAAAGUAUUGAAAAUUUAAGCGAUGAACUGCUUGGGGCUUAUUCGAAGGCCGAAGAUACUGCAAUGUCAGCAGCCUUCGGAGGCCGAAAAAAGAAAAGGCUGAAUCGGGUAUUUGAUGCCAUCGGGUUUGUCUACCCUGACUAUUGCUAUCCCGUCCGAAGGCAGAAGAGAAAAAACACAACCUCUGCUAAAGAAGAAGUUGUAGCUGCUCCUAGCGAGCCAGAACCAAAAAGGAAGAAGAUAGAGGUUCUUACGCAUCGGCCGCGUUAUAUUGAACCAGCUUCGGUGCCUGAGUUUGCCGGAGAAACUCCUUCGGCCACCGAAGCUGAACAACCAACCGAGCCAACUGUGCUGCCAGAAGUCGCAGAAACGGCCGAAGUGCCAAAAAAGACAAAAUUGGAGCAAUCAAAGAUUUUGUUACCAGAAACGAAAGAGAAGGCCGAAGCGCCAUCCACAGAAAAAAUGGAAAAGGUAAAGGAAGCAACUGAGGGCUCCAAAACAUCAGAAGUUUUGAGUCCUGCAGCAAUCAUUGGGACAGUAAAAAAUGAAAAAGUGCCAGCCGUCACUCCGAAAAGAAAGAGAAUGGCUAAUGUGCUAGAUGUACUGGAAACGAUCAAGUCUUCAAGCACACCUCCGAAGAAGGCUGCUGUCACUCCUGAAACAACAGUUAAAACUUCUGUUUCUAAAGCUCCAGAGCAAGAGACUGAAGCCGAAGCUGGGCCCUCAGAGCCCGCAAAGAUAAAACCCUUGGAAAGUGAGACAGAAAAAAUAACAAAGCCAACUCUUGUUGAAGAAACCGGUGUUAUUGCCCCCGAAGUAUCCUCCAAAGUUCGUGAUUAUAUUGUUCGUCAUGCUUCGGGGAAAAAACUAUCAGAAAAGGAAGAACAAGAGGCCCAGCAUUAUGCCCAAAAACUAAAAUAUCCAAAGGGGGCAUUAAUAUUCAAUGGCAGUGGAGAAGAAGACUUCUUGUAUUGUCUCCCCGACAGCAAGGAAAUUUCUGUCUGUCGGGAGAUGAGCAGGAGCUUCGGAUUCCCAACUUUAGAAGACGGACUUUCGGUGCUGUCAAAGAACGAUCUGGCUGACAGCCUAGCUUACAACAGCUUAAAGGUGCGACAAAUGAAAUUCUUGUAUUUUUGUUGAGUUCAAAAAAAUUUUCGUUUGUUUAAACCUAUUGACACAGACAUAUUCCUCUUUGCAGAGCCUGAUACUCAGCAAUGCCCUCAGGGCACAGAAAGAUGCUGAGGACGAAGGAUGUACUAUAGCCCUGAGCAACCUUCGUUCCGAAGUAAUUGAACUGAGGAACGAAGGUCUCGAAAAAGAUAAAAUAUUAUACUCAUUGAUAAAUAAAAUAAAGGUAGACGAAGCUGCUUUUAAAAGUCAAGCUGAAAUUCAGAAACACGAAAUUGAAGACCUUCGGAAACAACUGGCCAGAGCCAAGGAAGAACGCACACUUGAAGAAACAAAGCGUGAACUCAGCGAUCAAUGGGCAGAUCACUUAGAAGUGACUGUUGAAGAGCUUCGUUCGUCCAAAAAGAGAUGCUACAACAAAUCUAUAGAUUGUGUUAAGAAAUUAAAGGCUAGCUUCGCCAAGGUUGGCGCGUUCUCAAGUGAGGAAAACUUUUCGAGAGGCAAUCCCGAAGGUGUUAUCGAAUGGAUUGGCCACGAAGCUGAAGCCUUCGAAGAAAUUUUAAAUAGCCGAGGAGAUAUAUGUGCCUUCUCUGGCGUCAGAGGGAUUGCCACCAUUUUAGAGAAGAAGGGCUGCGAACAUGUAAAAAUUUUAGCACAGUCCGAAGCUGCCUUAUCCUUUGAAGAUACAAGAGAUCCUUCGGCCGAAGCUAGCAUAAUUGAUGGAAAGUUUUUUACUGAUAUCUGGGAUAAUGGUGGCCGAGAAAUGGCCGGAGAAAUUAUUCGAAGAAGUGAAAAGGGUAUUCACGAUGCUAGAGAAGUAGCUGAGGCUGCUGAAAAGAGCGCAGGGGCCAAAGAUCAAUUAGGUAUUAAAUAAUAGUUUUUAUCGUGUUGUAAUCUUAGGCUUUAAAAUUUGUUUGCGAUUUGUAAUAGCAAUGCAGCCGUGUCCUGUCCUUCCUCAGAUCCUACUGAAGUAUCUCCGGGUGCACGGCCUAGGGGUGACGAUGAGAUUAAAAAGAUGGCUGAAGCUAUUAUGGAUGAAGUUGUCGAUCGACUGUUGAACGAAGCUGCAGAAGUGGUACUUAGGGAAGACUAAAUGCUAUUGUAAAAACAUUUUAAAUGUAACAUGUGUAAUAUCUUGUAAUCCUGUAUGUAAUAUAUUUGUUUUAUUUUUCUUUAUGGUUCAAUUCUUUACGAUGCAUGAAACUUUACAUACGUACCGUUUUUGAGUCUGGCGAAAAAACACCUUCCCUUCUUUUCAUGCUUCGUGAAGAAGAAUUACCAUUUAUCACAACAAUAUCCGAAGUAUCCUGAAAAGUGUUGAAGCUUCGUAGAAACAUUCUUCAAGGCUAUACUUCAGAGAUCAAUAUUAUUUCUCCUUGUGACUUGGCAUGAUUUGCCCCUUUUUCAAAGCGUUUUCCCGAAGAUUGGUAUCAUAUCUCUUUCUUAUGCCACAUGCAGUAUGAUGUAUGAUGCUUAUGUUAUGCAAAAAAUGAUGUGAUGAUGUUAUGCUAUGUAAGGUGAUAUUCCGAAGGCACACGCAUAUCUGCGCGAUAAAACACAAUCUUUUUGUGAAUCAGCGUUGAUUUUUCGCUAUAAGCCUCCCUUAGGAGCUUCUUCGCCUUUUACUUCAGCGGAAUUAGCGUUGACUUUUCGCUGUAAGCUCUGCAUUCCCUUAGGAACGACUUUGGAGCUUCUUCGCCUUUUACUUAGGCGGUAUCAGCGUUGACUUUUCGCUGUAAGCUCUCCAUUCCCUUAGGAACGACUUUGGAGCUUCUUCGCCUUUUACUUAGGCGGUAUCAGCGUUGACUUUUCGCUGUAUGCUCUGCAUUCCUUUUGGAACGACUUUGGAGCAGAAAACUUACACUGCGCUCCCUUCGGAACGACUUUUUGUGACUUCGUCAAACUUACUCUGCGUUCCUUGGAACGACUUUUCGUUGCUUCGAAGAAUUUUUUCGAUAAUUCGAAGGUCCUCUUUGGUAUGACAAAUCCUUAAACUGAAUGAAAAUAAAACUGAAUGAAAAAGAUUACUAUCAAGGUAGGAUAUUUGUCAAUAGAUGUGCUUUGAUUCUGGCACAGUGCUGUUGACCGUGCGAGCUUCGGACUGUUCUCUGAAGUCCCUUUGAUGCGGAUCAUAUUGGCUCCCUUCUGGCUGCUGGCCUUGUUGCAACGGAGGUGGAGGCGGAGGCUGUUGCCAGGAAGCUUGAGGCUGACUCGCCGAAGCAACAGAGACUGCAGGAUGGUUGCCCACAUAUUCUGGGAUGUAGGGCGAAUGAUACGAAGCUGUAUGCAUGACCUGCUUCGGCUGGGCUUGUUGUGCUGCUGCUUCAGCUAUUUCCUUUUGCUUCUGAAUAGUAACAUGGCACAUCCUGGUAGUAUGGCCUUUGUUCUCACCGCAGAAUAAGCAAAAGAUUCUUCUCGGUUGAUCGCCAAAUCUUCCUCCGAAGCCCCUGGCGCCUCUGCCUCUUGGAGCUGGUGGUCGGAAAGAGCUUUGCUGUUGCCCCGAAGCCUGUGAGGAGUAUUGUGGCCUUUGCUGUUGACUCCCUUUAUCAUCAUUUUGAGUAGAAUUGUGAAUUGACCUGACAUGCCUCGGGUAAAACCUUCCUCCGAAGCCCCUGGUCAUCUCAGAAAACCUGAAAGCCUCCUCCCUUCUUUGACGAAAAUCAUUGUCAGCUCGAAUGUAUUCGUCCAUCUUCUGGAGUAGCUUUUCCAGCGUUUGUGGUGGCUUCCUGGCAAAAUACUGUGCUGACGGCCCUGGCCGAAGCCCCUUGAUCAUAGCCUCAAUGACGAUCUCAUUGGGCACUGUUGGCGCCUGUGCCCUCAAUCGCAGAAACCUUCGGACAUAUGCCUGAAGGUACUCUUCAUGGUCCUGGGUACACUGGAAGAGAGCCUGAGCAGUGACCGGCUUCGUCUGAAACCCUUGAAAGCUAGUUAGCAGCAUAUCCUUCAAUUUCUGCCAAGAAGUGAUUGUCCCUGGCCGAAGAGAAGAGUACCAAGUCUGAGCAACGCUUCUGACGGCCAUAACAAAGGAUUUUGCCAUGACUGCCGUAUUGCCACCAUACGAAGAUAUAGUUGCUUCAUAGCUCAUUAGGAAUUGCUUAGGGUCUGAGUGACCGUCAUAUAUAGGAAGCUGGGGUGGCUUGUAAGUCUGUGGCCAAGGUGUAGCCUGCAAUUCUGUUGAGAGAGGAGAAGCAUCAUCAAAAGCAAAGUUUCCAUGAUGGAAAUCGUCAUACCAGUCAUCCUCAUUACGGAAGUCUUCCUGGUGAAGCUCUCUGCGUGGAGGCCUUCGGUUUUGAUCAUCUUGAACAAGAUGACGAACCUCUUCGGAAGCUUCAUCUAUUUGUCUCUGAAGAUCAGCUAGACGGGCCAUCUUCUCCUUCUUGCGUUGAACCUGCUGCUGAAGGAUUUCCAGAUUUUGAAUUUCCUGAUCUAGAUCAUCCUCCGGAGGUGUUGGACUGGCAGCCUUCCUCUUCUGGCUUCGUGCCUCUCUAAGAGAAAGGACGUCUUGAUUGGGGUCCAGCGGCUGCAGCGUGCCAGCCCCUGUUGCUGAAGCCUUCUUCGGCGGCAUGACGAAGGUGAUGCUUGCCGAAGGUGUUGAAAAGCUCAAGAAAUGGAAGUGAGUUCACCGGAGGUGGGCGCCAAUGUUGGAGACUUGUUCUCAAGUGCUAAAAGUUAAGAACAAGGCAACACAGAAAAUGUUAAUCGUUAUAGUCCUUCGUCCUCCGAAGCAUUAUUUCCCUUAGGAUAUAAUGGUUUACGGACGAAGGUUAUGAAAGACGUACCUUCGUAAACUCAUUAAACGAUGACGAAGGCGAUAAUGUAAAGGAUAUAAAAGACAAUAUGAACGAUUAUAUAUUAUUAUCAGGCAUAAACAGAAAUAUUAUUGAAUUACAAGUGUACCUUCAAUCGAGAGAAGAUGACAAUACAAGCGUGACGCAAAAAGUGAAUGCCAAAUCAGCGUGAACAGUACGGGGAUACUGUUCACCUAUUUAUAGGCACGGGACACAGCCCUUACAAAAUUACAUUCAUGCCCUUUACAUUUGAUAAUAAUUCUAUAGUAGUCUAUCGAGGUCUGAAUAGCCUUUUCAUCUUUAAGUCGGUUCCACUCUUUGCUGUCACGCCGAAGCUUUCCUGCUCGCACCUUCGGCUCUGUAUCAACCUUCGUAUUAUUCCGGUCUACAGCAAUGCCGACUUUAGUCAGAGGAUACCUGUUCACACAUUGUACUCCAGAAAUACUGUUAAAUCCUGUUUUUGAGGACCUUCGGAUGCCGAAGGUCCCCAACACUGGCGAUCACAAAGCCAGUCUCUCGGGGUGACCUGAGGGCCCCACCCUAGAGCGUACCAUGCUCUUUCUCGACGAGGAGAGCACCGUUGUCGUCCCCAUUGGGAGGAAUCCCUUCGUGUGGGGAGGACCAUGUCUUACGUUGCAGGACUAUGCCUCCUCGGAUGGCAUGUCGGCGUUCGCACUCGACGACCAGGAGGAGAUGGAAAUGUGGCAGAACUUCUAGCUCCUCGGUCGGGUAAGGGGAAGGAUCUUUUUGAACAACAACACAUUCCUUUGCCUAGGACGUGUCUUGAUGGCAUCUAUUUUCCUUUCAGGACCUUAUGGUGAAAUAUGCGGCCAAGUCUAUGUUCCUUCGCCGCGAAUUCGGCGUUUGGGAUUCGCUGCAGCGCCAGAGGGGCCUGCUUGCUCAGACAAAUGAGCAGCUUGCCUAGAAUAGUGUUGAAGCGACGGAUAUUCAAGCGCUCUACUCGGAGCUGAGGGACGAGGCUACCACAUCGCGGUGAGAGGCGGCGCCUCCGAUCAAGAGGGUUUGCGAGCUGGAAGAGGACUUUAAGAGGGUAUCCAAUGAACAUAAGGGGUUUCAGCGUCAAGCCAUAGAAGCCUCUUCCUAAGAUGGGUCCCUUGCUAAGGAACUCAAGGCUCAACUGGCCGUGGCCAGGCCCGGGCGAGAGGUAUGUGUUGUUUACCUAUGUUUUGCCUACCCAGACUACUUUCAGUUGUUCCUUAGUGUUUUGUUUGGUUGAUUUUAGAGUUUGAGCGGGACCUCCAUACCUCUAUUGAGAUGUCCCAGAUGCUCUCUGAGCCGUCGAUUAGAAGAGCGUCGUGUACGACGCCCUGUCCGACGUGAUGGCAGCCUUCAGACAGACCUUCGGGGCUGAGGACAUCACCUCGGUUGGUUCCCCACGGAGGCGCAUGUUGGCCCUAAGUGGCCACAUGCGGAGCGAACUCCACGAGGCCCUGCGUAUAGGAGUGAAGCGGGUGCUAGCUGUUGUCGCCUCUCACUACGAGAUUGAUCUCAAGCGAGUGAGCGAGGGCUACAUCCUCCCGGAGGGUGAUGACCUUGCCGAGGCAGAUGCUUGGAGGCUCGCGAAUGUCGUCUAAGGGCCGAGCUCGAUGAUGGCUUGUCAUUUUUAAGAGGAGGUGAUUCCGCUAGUGUCCCCGCUCGACAGGAUCCUACUCUGCGGCAACGCCCCCAAUGAUGCUAAGGGUGCUGCCUCGCCUUCUUCCGAUGCCUGAGUUGCUGGCCCUGCAGGGUUGUGUGAAAAACUUUUAAGUUUGUUUAUGAUUGUUUGAUUUCUCCAAGACUUUUCGUUGUUUUUUUGCAUUUUAUCAUGCACUUUUUCUCCUGUUUCGUGUUUAUUGGCUUGUCUUUUCACGGGAUUCCUAUCAAAAUAUGAGUUACCUUCUUAGGCGAAGGGUGGUGAGUGGGGAAACCGUAUCCAGGAGCGCGUAGGUGUUCCCGCGGCUCGGCCAUCCUUUCCUAUCGGGAUGUCUCUAGUUCUUUUAGGAUUCUGUUUUUUGACUAGGCCAAAAACAUGAAAGUCAUUUUUUAGUUAAAAACACUUCUGAGAAAAAGUGGCACAGAGGGGCUCCGCCCUUCUUGCCCCCGAGGGAGGUUUGGUCUGUUCAGACAGGGUCGAGCCUCACUUGAAGGUCAGAUCUUUUAUUUAUAUUUGAAGGUCGAAAUACAUAAUGACUUGGAAUUCUAAGGAUAAAAACGACAUAGCUAUUCAUUGUUCCUAUGACACCCUGGGUGUCUAUUUCGUGUUAUGUCGGGAGAUUUAUCCUAAGCUCGAAUCGUUAGUGGAAAUUUCUAUUUCUUGAUCAUGUCUAUCUCCUUUUAUCAAGUUACUCAUGAAAGUUUCACCGAAUUUAGAAUUAUUCAAUCUCUUGAAAUGCCGAAAUUUGGAGUCUGUUAAAACUUUUAGUGAAAACAAGAUUCAAAAAUCAACCAAGUCGUUUAUCCAACCUGUGCUCGAAUCCACUUUCUCGAUAUCCAAUCUAUGUCCAAAUAUUAAUCUGAAUUUGUACUCUCAAGCAAAAUCUCUAAUUUGUAGACCUCUAAUUAGUUCUUAUGUAAACCGACUUGUUAUCUCUAUAUCAUCAUUCAUCUCUAUCUAUCAGGUGUAUUCUAAAGAUUUCUUGAAGUUGAACCAAAUAAUCGGAUGAGAAGAUAAAUCCUACGCUUGCUUGAAAUUGCUUGUUUCAACAAAUGUGAAUUUUGAAAUUCAACCAAACCUUGUCAUCUUUCACAAACAACUCUAUGUAAACUCUACAACAAAAUUUAUUAAGGGUCCAAAGCCAAUAAAAUGUCGAGAAAAUACUCUGAUUGCCUUAAAAUUAUAAUUUGAAGCUUUAUAACGAUACUACCUUGACCAGAGUGAAAUUUCUGUUUCUAAUCACAAUACGAGGGUUGACCUUUUACAAAAGUAGUAGAACAAGCAAUAUAAAACAAUUUUUAUAUCUAAUUUAAGUCUUGACUCAACCUCCAAAUAUCUCAAACAGUGCCCUCAAGUUGGAUUAAAAUUCUGUUUUUAGAACUUAAACUUUUCUAAGUCUGAAAUUGAUGCCAAUUGGGUUGACGUCUCGCGUUCUCUAAUUUUUGCUAAGCAACUCGAGUUUGCACAAGUAUAAAAGUUGUUAAUAACUAAUAGAGGGAGAACAUAUUAAAAUAUAGCGUUCAUCCGAUUCCGUUUGACAUGUUUUGACACUCAAUUUCCACUUGUUUAGCAGUAGCGACAAACCUAUUUCGGCGAUCAUUAUCUCUCUAACCAAUGCAAGAAUCACCUCUAGUCCUAUGUAAGAUAUGUAGAGUGUAGAACACGGAAGAGAUCAUCUGCUACCUCUUUUGCCAAAAGAGCACGUCUGAUACCUCUUUUGCCUGUUUGAAAAUGCCUCAAAACACACAUGUCACCGUUCGUUGCUUUGCCUCUAAGGAAUCCUGCUCAGUUUGGCCACCGCCACGGCUUGCCAAUCCAUGGCCACUGUCGCCCAGCCAACUGCAAGCCGCCGUGGCUCACGCUGACCAGUGGCCGCGAGGUCCGCAGGCCCUUAAAUACGCCCAGUCGCGCUACUCUCUGCUCUCAUCUUCCUUGGACACGCCAAGCUCGUGUCUCAGCUUCCAUUACCAUAGCCGGGUCCAAGCCGUCCCUGCUCCUCCUAUGUUCAGUUCGGGCUCCUUCACCAAGCCACCGAGCCGUCGCUGCUCGGACCUCCAUCCACCUUGCCGCUAGACUUCUCCCUCGGCCACGACUCCUCCAGCGCCGGCUGCCUAGGCGAAGGUCCCUCAGGUCGCUGCUCCCUGCUCCUUGCGUGAGGAAGAAGACCCCCUGUCCAUGACAUGUGGGCCCAAGGCCAAAUGUGAGUGUGCACACCAAUUGCAUAUUUUUGUGUUCUGUUCAAAGAUCCAUAUCUUGAGUUUGGUAGCUUCUAAAAUCAUGAAACUUGUUUUGUUGCCUUCAUUAUAAAAUGCUCUACCUGAUAGAUCUAUAAGUUGGUAUGUUAUAGUGGAAAAUUACUGCUGUAGAAAUUCGUAUUUAAAAGAGAUUUUGAAAAUAAAUGAACUUGCCUCUCUCCAUAAAUUUAAUUUAUAAAUUUCUAAAAUGAUGAGACUUGUUUUCUUUGUUAGAUGGUGUCAUACCCUAGCUAAUAAAAAUAUAAAACCCAUAUGUUGUUUACUGUUUUCUUGUUGUGUUAAUUAAAAUAUGUUAAUAGAAAAAAAGAUGACUGAUUUGCUUGUUAUUUUGGAUUUGUAGCUAUAUUGCUACAAAUGAAUUAAAAAUUUUACAGUAGACGCUAUGUAUGUUGCUUGGUGACUAAUAAAAAUUUCAUGAUUUAUGGUGCAAGUAUCACUGAGUUAGUGAUUUAACUUGUUGGGUGCACAUUUAGUAGUUUUAAAUGAUUUAAAAAUAAUAUAAAGAUGUAAAAAUGAGAAAUGGUGUUCCACGGUAUUUGAAUGAUGUUAUAUUAGUCUAAGGAAUCUUAAUAUGGUCAUGCAUCUACAGAAAAUAAUUAGUUUUAGGUUUAAUUUGCUCUCACAUGCUUUAUUGCAUUAGUAAUUUAUCAUUUUUGUAGUAUUUAAUAUAUAUAACCUGAGAAUAUAAAUUCUGUGUAUUAGUCAUGAAUUGUUAUUACCUAUGCCUCAUAAAAAUUCUAGCCCCAAAUUAUAUGGUUUCAUAUGGUGCUAAAAUAACAUCCAUUUUAUAAUUAUAAGAAGACUUAGUGAAGAAUUAGAAGUAAACAAAAGCGUACAUGUUUCUUGAAAUGCUUAAGUUGUUCCUUAAUGUCAAUUCAACGUUUUACGUUUAUGUCAUAGUAAUAUAGAGCUGAGUGUUAGUAAUACUUUGUUGCCUGAUUGUGAAUUAAGUUAUGUCGGAUUGCCCACGAACUGAAAUUGUUGCUUGUAUGUUCUCCGAUUAUGGUGAUAAUUUAGUGAAGCAAAUUAUCAUUUCUGUGGUUGUGUUCUCUACAAAAUAUGUAGCUAACUUUAACAUAUAACUUAUCCAAAAAUUUCAUGAGCUUAUGCUAAAUGAUUUAGUAGUUAUGCUUGUAGCAAGUUGACUGUCACGUUUUGUUGUUUCCUAUACCGAUCUGAAUGAUUGUGUGGUUUGACUGAGUUAGAAUUAGAAUCACUUCUUAGGGGUAUUAUAAGAGUUGUAGUAAUGUUCCUAAACUUUCUAAAAAGUCUAAAACCACCUUUAUUGGACAUAAAGAACUCUAUUCAUGACUAUUUAAAGUUGCAUGUUGAAAUCUGUCCAAACCUGAAUAACAAUGUUUCUUUGAAAUGUUCCAGCUAGUUAAUCACCAAAUAAUCUUAAGAUGAUUACUAGGUGAGUGCUCGUGCGUUGCAACGGAACCGCUAAAUUGCAAUCAUUAGUACCAUACUAACUUCUAUAUACGUGUGUUGCUAUGGUUUCUAUAUAUCACAUAUGUCGACCUUAUUUUUUAAGUAGCAAUAAACUAUAUGUUACCAUGAAGCACUGGUGCCAUACAACAAUAACUGAAUGUUAUUGUUAAGUAGCAAUAUACUCUAUGCUAGACGUUUAACCGUUUUCCGAAAAAAUGUAGAAACCCUUAAUUAGCACUAAGAUGAACGACAAUUGCUCAACUCGGUUUUAUCCUGUAAAAUAGAAUACAACAAAAUUACCAUUCUAGGCAAACAAAGCUUCAGAGUCCACAAGAAUAUCAUCAGUUCGCUGCUAUGGAAGGGGGAGGAGUAGCGAAGAGAGGAGACGGGAGAAUGGAAGCAGCGUGAUUUGGGUUCUUGGAUGGUGGUGCGGGGCAGAGGAGGCACUUGGGGACAGUAAACCAAUACAUGAAGUUUAAUUCAAUGAAUAAUAGACUAAAAAAGGUCAGUCAAUUAUAUUAACUGAGCACUUUCUCAUAGUAAUCUAAAUGAACAACAUGAAUUUUGGUAUAACAUUUCUUAAAAUCCAGUGUUACACUCUGACAACACAUUUAAUGCCCAAUUUAGUUUGUAAAGUAUAUGGUGCACACCAACUUAUCUGACGAACCUAAUAUAUCUUUAUCUAGAAUGCAUAUGGUUACAUUUCAGUGUUGAACGCGAAGAACAAAUGAGCUACUCACAGGUGUAUCUGCUAAUGGAACAUUAAGCGCUUCCAUCAUUUCACAUAAAUAACCCUGUUCAAGACCAUAACCAUGGAUGCACACAAUAACUUUCUAUGCUUCAUCCUUCUACAAACUUGAAACGUUAUGAGUUCUAGCAAAACACUGAAAGAAAGAUACAAGUAGCUUUGACCAACGACAACUCUUGAGGCUCUAGGAUAAAGUUCAAGCAAGCUCAUAAGCAGUACUUGAGCGAUAUACAACAACACAAAUGCCAUGCAACGGAGACAAAAAUUAGUCUGCAUAUACAUCCUUAUGCUAGUGAAGGACUGAUUAUCACCUCAACAUUAGCAUAGUUGAUGUGAGAAACCAAUAUUGAUCUAAGCAGCAGCAAGCAAGCUAACAAAUCUUGAUUGUGUUUAAUAGAACAAAAACCUUAUUACUAUUAAAAAAGUUAUUUUCAUUCAGUAAUCACCCUAUAACUGCAGUAACAAGCUUAUUGACUCUAGUCUAAAAUGUAGGGAAAAAGAAACGAUUAGCGACUGGUUAAGGGCCAACAACACAUCAUUGUAUCAUCAUAAAUAAAAAAUUGUGGAGCUCACCUGGAGAUUCUUGAUAGUUGAGCCAUCCUUGUUGAACUACAAUUCAUUAGCUGCUUUUACUCUAAAGUUUACCUUCCUUUGAAGACGCACAUUCUUCCCUAUUGGAGCAGCGAGGCCGACAGUAGAAGUGGUGCAUGCGGUUAGAAAAAAUAACGGCAGAUUUAUAGCAAAACAAACCAACCAAAUGAAAGGACUACAUGGUGCCUACAAAUCGUUUUAGCUUUUGCUAUGUAUGUAGCUAGGUGUAUAAGAAAACUAUGCAUCUAGAAUUUUUUUUGCCUGAUAUAAUUUGGAACAGAUGGAGGAGCAUAGGCAUAAUAUUGAAUCAUGAAGGUAGAAAUGGAAGAAGCAUUUAAUUUAUUUCACUCAUAUUAUCAUGCUAUCUAAAAUAGGAUGCUACAAACACUUCUCAUUGUUGUAGCAGUAUGUAUGAUGUUUAGACUAUUACUGUCAAAUUCUAAAAACAAACUGCAUCAGUAAUAUUUAAUUAUUAAAUAAGGGAAAUACUGACAUCUCUUGGUAUUUCCCUUUUUGGAAAAAUAUAAGUAAGGUUCACAAACCAUGAAGAGAACACAUAACUACAGGUGAUUAUUACCCAUUUUAGCAUGAAAAAUUAAAAUAUAAUCAUAUAAAGCUGAGUGUGUAGUCUAUAAUUUCUGUGCUCCUCACAUCGCUUGUGAGUGAUUAUAUGAAAUGAAAUAUGUCAACAAAAAUAAAAAUCUCGGUGACGGUAACAUUUUUUUGUUUUAAAGAAGACUUGUUUAACUCAAGGUCCAUAAAAAUGACAUUUCAGGUAACAUAGAAGAUAAAGGUACAAAUAACGACUGUUAGGCUAGGACACAAAAAUACUCUAAACUGAAAAUCACUAAACGAGAACAAGUGUAAACAACAGUUGUACACACCAUAGAUAACAUAUAGAUCCAUACCUCAUCAGGAGCGACAAUAAUUAUAUGUGGAGUGAAAUUUGCACCAGCAAAGCAUGCCACCACAUCACCUUCCAACACAUGGUGCACGCGAUUAGAAAAAAUAACGACAGAUUUAUAGCAAAACAAACCGACCAAAUGAAAGGACUACAUGGUGCCUACAAAUCGUUUUAGCUUUUGCUAUGUAUGUAGCUAGGUGUAUAAGAAAACUAUGUAUCUAGAAAAGCUAAAACAACAUGUAAUUUGGAACAUAUGGAGGACAAUAUGCACAAUACUGAAUCAUGAAGGUAGAAAUGAAAGAAACAUUUAAUUUGUUUUACACGCAUGGUCAUGUUGUCUAAAAUAGGAUGAUAUAGAUACUUCUCAAUGCUAUAGUUGUACAUAUGGUAUUUAGACUAUUACUGUCAAAUCCUAAAAACAAACUGCAUCAACAAUAUUUAUUAAUCAAGAGCAAUAGUGACAUCUCUUGAGCUUUCCUUUUUUGGAAAAAUACUAGGUGAGCUUCACAAACCAUGAAGAGAACACAUAACUACAUGUAUUUAUUACCCAUUUUUUAGCACGAGAAAUUUAAAUAUAAUCAUAUAAAAUAAUUAAUGUAUGAUAAUAUAGUUUCACAUAACUACAGAACAUGUGCUUCUAGUAUAUAUAUUGUAUUGCACUUCAGUGACGACAUGCAAGUACUAAUUGAAUAACAUAAAUAAAACAUUGGAAGGGGUAAAUAGAAAAGCGUGGGUGAAUUAUACUAUGAAUCGAACUCUUGAUGUGACGAGAAUAUACCAGGCAAAAUAUUUAUCUAUGAACCCUAACCCCCUAAUCUCAACGGAGAGCAAGUGCACUCCCUCGCCCUCCCUAGGUUGGUGAAUAGAGAGUCGUUGUGGAAGGUAUUACACAGGAAAACAUAGCUUCCACUCACCGUUUUCCCCUAUUCAUGUGUUGUUCUCUAUUUAUAUUUUCUCUUAAAAAAUAAUGUUGGCCCCGUCAAAAGCAUCGCCAGCCAUCCUGCAGAAGAAAAUGGAUACAUGGAUCAGACACAUGAACAGAUCCAUUACAGCAUCCUCUUGGUUUUCAACCCUGCAUAGUAGAAACAAUAUCAUGAAAGAAAUUAGAUCCAUGACAGCAUAGCUAACACCAUCAUAAGUUCUAUAUGUACAUUAUCACCAUAUAAUAUGAACAACACUAUAGCAUGAAACCAUCUAGAUUCUAGACAUUGCAGUAAAGAAGCAAUUUGAGAAAUGAAUUUUCAAUAUUCCUUGUGCUUCUUCAUUAGAGAAGAUGGCAUUUCUAACUUCGACAGCUAGGGGAAACACACUUUUACAGUAAAGGAACUAUCCAGUAUUUCGAGGAAUUUGGCUUGUGAGUACAAUAGCCUGCCAGGUAGAAAUGUCAAGUAGAAGUCUAACCAGCUAUCAAGUAAAGCAUCUCCAACAGUGCCCUAGCUCAGUGUCCUAUCUUGACAAUAUAGGUCUCAAUUGAUAAAAAAUGGCUCCAACAAUACCCCAUUUUACAAAUUUUUAUCAAAAAUAUCCUCCAAUUGCUGCUUCAUAAGAGAGUUCUGUGUUAACUCAGAAGCAUACAUGUUUUGACUACAGUUGUAUAAAUGCAAUGAAGAAAACUUGAAUUAUAUAGUAUUUGUAUUUUCUUGACACGUCAUGUAUAACCUAUUCCGUUUGCUUGAAUAUGCAGGAACUAGAAGCCAAAGCUGCUACUUCAUAAGAGAGUUUAAUCUGGUCCAAGGUGUUAAUUUGCAAAAGAUUAGAAUCUUUUCAUGUGACCUGUAAAACACAUGGGCAAUUUAAUGCAUUAUUCCACUAAUUAUGGUAUCCAUCUGCAAAUGCAUACAAGUGUAAGAAAAAGGUUCUCUGAAGAAUAGACAUAACAUCUCUGAUUUCAAAACGCAGUUCACAUUUUGCCUUAAAUGAAGAAAAAUGGAGCCAAGCAAACAGAUGAGUGAAUAUACGCACAAACAACAUAGUGAAAUCAGUCAUUUAAUUCCUUAUGGUUAAGAGGAAGUACCUUGUGGUAAGCAUUGAUGCAUCACGAGAGAAGGAACAACCAGUGAGCAGGCAAUCAUCUCCAAUCUUGUUGCACUCGAGCACAAACUGCCCAGCCUUCUUGACGACGAGUUUGGCCUCCGCCUCAGUAUCUUCAUCGGGGUCCUCGUGGUGUCAUUUGGCCCAGGACAGCAAGUACUAUACAAUGUCGACACGCACCUUGAGAAGCUCCUACGAGCCCUCGGUGAAGAAGGGGUACUCGAUCUGCUGUUGCUUCUCCUCGACGAUGCUUCAUCCAAUUGUGCCCACAACAGAAGUGCAGAAAAGAUGUAAUUGUUAUACUUCCAGCUCAUUAUUCAUUUUUGUCAAUAAAAAUGCAGUAAAUUAUGCUUCAUCCAAUUGUGCUUAAGAAACAAGCAUCUUGUAGUAGCAAUAAAGUACAUACCCAAGAUGGUAACCAAACAGAAUAGCCCCCAAACAAGCAACACCAACAUAUGGCAGAACAUGUCCUAAGGAUUUAACUUGAACCUUCUCCAAUGGAAUAUCUUCAGGGUCAACUAUAAAAGGGUAAUCAAAUGAGUUGAGAGAAUGCAGAGACUGAAUGUCGUCUGCCAUUUAAACUUGCAGUAGAAAAGUGUGCAAAUGAAAAACAUCUGCAACACUGAAGGUGAUUUAGUAAUCUACCCACAUCACCUUCCGUUAUGGGUCACACAAAAUACAUGGACUCCAUAAUCAUGCAGAUUCCUCUUCUACAAGUACCCGCUUUCUCUGGUUUCUAAAAAGUGACUUAAUUUAAUUGUGAGUGGCAAUGUUCCUACCUUUCUUAAAAACAAAUAUUUGCACUAUUCAAAAUUACACAUAAAAAUUGCAUUCAUAGUAGAGGCAUUCAGAUCAGGAUCAUCGCCCCCACGGGGUUCAGAGGGACCAUAACAAAUAUUAUGAUGCCUCAAAAACCUGAAUCAAAUAAUAAGCACGGCAGAUCCCCAACUAACCACCACCCAGGACGAUCACAAUAGCAUAUCGAGAUAGUGAAAAUGCACCGCGUUUCCAUGAAUCCCCCCAACGCAAACACAACAAUGGUGCUGAGCAUAAAACAUGGACUACCAAAUCCAUCGACCUCCAGAUCCAAUAUCAUGAUCCCCUGGCAGCUGUCACAGAAUCUAACUGCAGUCAGCAGUUACAUUACCCCCUCUCCCAGAACAAACCCCCUGCCCCCAGUACCACAAGCAUGUGUUCAUGACACCAACCCCAACCGAAUCGAUCCACAAGUACAAUGCAUCAAUCUUAUCCGUAGCCCGAGACGCACCUGUCGCUGUGGCUUGCAAGCGCCCAUAUCGCGGGCUCGCGCGGAAGAGCCCCCCCCGCCGCCGCGCAGGUUGCCCAUCUCGAGGCCGGUGAGAUCCGCCGCCCGCGACCUCAGGCCGGCGCACCACCCACCGUUGCCCGUCGGCAUCCACACGCUGCAGGGGUUGACCGCCGGUAACCUUCCUUGACAGGCGAUGGGUGGGGCGGAUCAAUGUCGUGGCAACCUUCUAGGGCAGCAAGUACUAUACAAUGUCGACACGCGCCUUGAGAAGCUCCUACGAGCCCUCGGUGAAGAUGGGGUACUCGAUCUACUGUUGCUUCUCCUCGACGAUGUGUGCGGCCUGAUCGUCCUCCUGCGCAUGGAGGAGACGGUCGACCUAGCCAUCAGCCUCGAGCCAAACCUUAGGGAUCGGAGGCGGUUGCGGCACCACUGGAGGAGCUCCAGCAUCGUUACCGAAUCCCGCACGUCGACGCCUGGGGGACAAGGGCGGGUGCGGAGCGGGUGGGUCGAGCACUCGAGCUGGACCAUGAGGGCUCGGAGGCGGUUGCGGCGCCGCUGGAGGAGCUCCUGCACCGCACCCGUGCGGCGUAGUGGUUGCCUUGCCGCUGGAGUCCCGGAUCCCGACACACGAUGUCGGGGGCACGACGUGGAUGGGCGACAUCGACGAGCAAGGACCUUGCGUGAUUCAGGGGGAGGGGGACAACACGGAUGGGCGACAUCGAUGGGUGGGGACCUUGCGUGAUUCACGGGGGGAGGGGGCUGUUGCGCGCGGUGGCACGGUUGUGGACGCCUACGUUGAAAGCUUAUAGAGUAGUAUAGAUAAGAAAGCUGUAGAUAAAUUUAUUAUCUUGCUUGUGUUAAAAUUUCAUUACUAUAGGCCUGAUAGUUUAAGAGCUAUGAAUUUUACAAGAUGAUUGUUGUGUUCUGUCCACUGUGUGGACAAAUUUUGAACACUAUAUUGUUUGAGUUAAUUAAAAUUGGAACCACUUCUUGGUGAUUAUAAAAGUUAUAUAGUACUUUUACUAAGCUUUCCAAAAAUGCUUGUAUCAUCCUUUUUGGUGUUCUAAAGGUGAAGUUAUAGUUGUUUGAAGUGUGAAGAUUGAAUCUGUGUAAAUCUAGACAAUAAGGCCUUCCUAGUGUCUUUUACUCUUGAUACAAAUUAAAUCAACCUGAGAUGUUCAUAAAUUAUUUGUAAACAAUUUCAUUAUCUUUAUAUAAAGUCUAGGAUCACUUGUUUUGGAUGCAUAAAUCUUUGGUUAUGAAUUUUUGAAGUCACAAGUCUAAAUUUGUCCAAAUCUGGACAGAGCUGUCAUUUCAGCACUAUUUAACCUCGCUAUGUGUCUACUCACAUUGAGAUGACAAUACCAAAGUUGUAGAGAAUUUUUGAACUUUCAAAAAAGUAUUCGAUCACUAUUUUUGGAUGAAUCUCUUGUGAGUUAUGAUUAAAACAAGGAACUGCUAUGUUGCUGUCCAGAAACUUGUUGAUUGUGGUUAAUUGCACUACUGUCUUGUGUCUGUCUUGAAUGACUGCUUACUUGUUUUGGUUUUGAGUGAAAUAUGACUAAUAAUGAUAGUAACUAAUAUAAUUGGGCUAUAUAUAAGUAACUAGUGCACGUCUCCCUAAGUAGUAAAUUAAAUUGUUGAAGUCUAGUAAGUAAUCAGCUUCAAUCAACGUUAUUUUAGCAAGUGUCAUUAUAUGGAUAAGAAACACAAUUAAUGAUAUGUUACCAUUUCUAAUACUUAUGCUGCUAAUCUAAUAUUGUUAAAUAACCAACCUCAUUAGGCUAGUAUAAUAAGCAGUGUGAUUAGUCUAUUACUUUAUGUGUGUGCUUGCAUUAGAAUAUUGUGAAUGAUUGAAGAACCCAAUUAAGUAACCAUUCCUUUUUAACUAAGUCUACCUAUAUAAGAAGCCAUAGAAAAUUGAUGUGUACUUUACUUGUUUAAUAAUAAAAUAACCAAGAAUGAUUAAAGUAAAUGUGGUAAAUGCUUGUACUUGUGAUGGCGUGUUUGCGUUGGAUAACUAUAAGAAGCGUUCAUUGUCUUUCCGGUGGUUUUGAUUCAUGUGCCCAAUGAUGUAUAGAUAGCUAACGCUAGUGUGUGGCUGUUUACAGUGUCUUACGAUUUAAUGUUUAGUUUGCUACGGUAUGCCUUGGAGUGUCUUGUGCUAUUUUCCAUCCUGUUCAUACAUAUGCAUCUUGCAUCUCAUUUAGGACCGAGAGAUAUUGAUCGUGCGAAAUGAAGGACGUAAAGUGGAGCUGACCACAAGGCAAAGUCGGUAGACAACUUGAAGAUGGAUGGAUUGAACAAAGGCCAAGAUAGGAGAUGCUCGCCAAGUGAGUGUCAUCUAGCGAACACUACCUAGUGUUGGAUUCCAUGCAAGCACUGGUUUUAUGCAUAACCAUUAUAUAUGCUAUUUUACUGCACUUAAUGUUUGUAGGCUUGUACUGUGCACUUAAGUGUAGGAAUUGCUUGAAACCCUAGUUGCAUGAACUCAGGAUUCCUUUUGAGAUGGAUACUAGUAUGCUAGGUCGAGUAGCUGCUAUGCUAAUUAAGAAUCUCGAUAGAAGUAGAGUGAUUUUUCUAGCACUCGUGUGAGGUCAGGAAUUGGUUGUAUCCAUUUUUUAUAACAAAAUUAUGAUGGUCUAUGGACACGGAUCCAUGGGGAUGCAUUGUCUAUGAGACGAAAUUGGAAUAAGGAUUAAUGUGUGGUACCGUGUGUGAAGCGUUUGAACGUACUAAACACAUGUCGAGAAAUAUGGUAAACGAUAAGCCUAGUACCUGAUUGAACCUGCCCGUAGACUUUACUCCUCAUUGGACCUGAGACAGAGUCUCCCAUUCUAGAUAUGGUCGGUACAAGUGCGGUCACUGCACGGUGGCGGCCGAGGUCAGUGGAGCAUUGUAUGACAAGGUCGUGAGCCCUGUUCUGUUGCCAAGGAAUCGAUGGGGACGAUUGAUAUGUGUGGGGACGAAGUGCCCUAACAUGUCAUGUGUUUAGGUUUACCUUGCAAGGUUAAAACUCGAUUCGAAUUGUCUGCUUCUUGCAGCUAAUGAGACUGCUUGAUCCAUGCUGCUGCAUUGAGUAAGAAGUGAAAUGAGGAUUCUUGAGAUAAUAUGUGUGUUGCACUAAAUGUUUGUUACCCUGUAUGCUUAGAAAGGAGCAAACCUAGUUUAAGGAAUAUUAUAGAACUUGAAAAGCUAAAACUUGUUUUAGACUCAGCUAGUGCUUUGGCAAACCAAACCCCUCAGCCAAACAACUUCAUGGUCUAGAGGUAGAGGAGUAGACUCCUCACACCGGGUAAGUCUAGCUGAGUAUUAGUAUACUCAGACUUGCUUGUGGUAUUAUUUUACAGGUUCACUGCAUGACUUGGUUGAUGGUGUGACUUGGCCAGCCACCCUGCCAUCGGGUUGGACGGUCGAGUGGGAUCCCGCCUCGGUAGGAGAGGAUUAGGAGGAGUAGUGGGCUAGGCCUUGUCCUAUUCCUUUUUAUCGACGUUAAUUAUCAUCCGCUGCAAUGUUAAGAACAAUGUUAUCUUUUAUUAAAACUCCGAUUUAUGUAAUAACUCAAAUACUUUAAUUUAUGGUUUCAUGUUCAUUGCAUUUUCUCUGAGUCUCACCAUCGCGUGAGCUAAUGGUACUCGAUCCUUGGUUAGUGGCUCUAUCAGACUAGAUCCGAGGAAUUGACAGGUUAUUCCAAUUUAAGUGUGUCGCUGCCUUCAAGGCGUGACUCGGGCACUUAAGCUAGAAUAAUCUGAGUGGUUCUGCCACAGCUGGUAUAGGAGCGAAUACCAUUACAGAGAAGUCAAUAAGUCAUCAUUUCCAACUUUUUCUAAAGUAAAACAUGCUUAGAAACCAAUGUUGGAUAGAUCGUCAGGACGAUAAGAAUAGACCUAGGACGUGAAGCCUUAGGAAAUAGAUGGAUAGAUAUGUGGCUAUUUAUAUAGGCCGUAAAGGCUACUAUUAUUAGGAAGGAUGCUGUAGAAGCACCCGAAAAGUAGUUAGGUCUGAGAAGAUGCCUAGAAUGAGCAUGCAUCAUGAUUGUUGCAUCAUUGUUUCUUAUUAAUUAACAUGCUUCCCUCAUCCUUAUUCCAAUAAUAAGAAAUUGUGAAUAAUGUGAUGUAUUGCUAUUUUAUCAACUGCAAGAAAAUAACUUAUCGUGUGUUUCUAGGUUGUGUUAUGUGUUUCUUUUUCCUUGCUAUCUAAGACAUGUUGUAGUUGCUCAGUCCUUUUUGCCCUUAACCACCAAAAGUUGUUGCUUGUUCUGCUCAUAAAAACCAUGCUUGUGUUAGUAUUUUCUAACCCUUGUGUAUUUUACCCUUAAAGUUGCACCUGCACAGCUUGUAGACCCCCAUAGCUUGACCGACCAAAGCUUCCUUGUACACUUGUUUAUGUCAAAAAAUUGGUUGGUGUCUGUUUCCGCAAAACAAUAUCCAAUCACAAAUUCUUCUUGGAAGCCUUGUCCAAAUUCUCGUUAACCUCUCAUUUGCUCAUCCUAGAAGCCAACUGGUUUGGCGACCUCUCUUUUCGCCUGGAUCUAGUAAUCUUUUCCUUUGUGAAUCAUGUUGUGGCUUAUCAUCCGAAUCUCUGGAUCUCCUAUUGAUCCUGCCCUGUUAUCUUGUAAUCUGCUCCAACCCAUUCUCAAGUACUGGAUGUUGAUCAAUCUAAAUCUCGUGUUCUAAUCAUCCUCAUACUCUUUUCUCUGAGGAUCAUGAGCUUGUUUUUUCAACUGUAUCUCUAAACAGCGUAUCCAUUUGGUUCAAUGGAUUUUGUUGUUGUCUUUUGUUCUUUCAUGUAUCUACAAGUUUAUCAGUCUUAUUCUCAUGCUCGCUCCCUCCUCAUAUCCUCUCUUACUAAUCUCUGACUCGAUAAUCUUCAUGGUGAUCAUAAAGGAGUACAUAAAGUUGAAGAAAAUUCUUAUUCGUUGCUCCUUGUGACAACAGAUCUAUGUUUCAACUUUCGUCGUAUUUUCCGAGCCAUACUCUCAAGGGCUCCCUCUAUCUAUGUCGGUGCAUUUCUCAUUGGAUACGUUUGGUAAUGGUGUUGUGACUGACGACUGAUGGUGUCGCGACAAAACUGAGAGCCUCAUGUGGGCGCGCACAAAAGGUUGAGCUCCUCGGCACGCGCUGGUAUCGCGGUUAAUAGUCAUGAUCCAUUAUGGGACUAUAUGGAUGUGCUAUCUUUUGUGGACAUUCUCUCAAAGUGAUCGCUGCAUUUCGUCUCAAUAUGUCGCGAUGUUCUGUCAAAAUCUAUCUUCUGUAUCUUAUCAAAAUACCAUCUCAUGAAUUGGCAUCUACCUUCAACCUGGGAGUUACAUGCUUCUCCACCCUUAAUGAUUCUCAUUCGAAUCUCAAGACGAGAUUCUUUUAAGGGGGAAGGCUGUGACACCCCAAGUGUCUAUUUCAUGUUACGUUGGGAGAUUUAUCCUAAGCUCGGAUCCUUAGUGAAAAUUUCUAUUUCUCGAUCGUGUCUAUCUCCUUUUAUCAAGUUACUCAUGAAAGUUUCACCGAAUUUGGAAUUAUUCAAUCUCAUGAAAUGCCAAAAUUUGGAGCCUGUUAAAACUUUUAGCGAAAACAAGAUUCCAAAAUCAUUCAACUCGUUUAUUCGAACUCUCGAUGGUUGUUAUCCGACCUAUGCUCGAAUAUCGCUUUCUCAAUAUCCAAUUUAUGUCCAAAUAUUAAUCUAAAUUCGUACUCUCAAGCAGAAUCUCUAAUGUGUAAACCGACUUGUUAUCUCUAUAUCAUCAUUCAUGUUUAUCCAUCAGGUGUAUUCUAAAGAUUUCUUGAAGUUGAACCAAAUACUUGCAUGAGAAGAUAAAUCCUAUGCUUGCUUGAAACUGCUCGUUUGAACAAAUGCGAAUUUUGAUAUUCAACCAAGCCUUGCCAUCUUUCUCAAACAACUCUAUGUAAACUCUACAACAAAAGUUAUUAAGGGUCCAUGCCAAGAAAAUGUCGAGAAAAUACUCCGAUUGCCUUAUAAUUAUAAUUUGAAGCUUUAUAACGAUACUACCUUGACCAGAGUGAAAUUUCUAUUUCUAAUCACAAUAUGAGGGUUGACCUUUUACAAAAGUUAGAACAAGCAAUAUACAACAAUUUUUAUAUCUAAUUUAAGUCUUGAUUCAACCUCUAAAUAUCUCAAACAGUGCCCUCAAGUUGGAUUAAAAUUCUGUUUUCAAAACUUAAACUUUUCCAAGUCUGAAAUUGAUGCCAAUCGGGUUGACGUCUCGCGUUCUCUAAUUUUUGCUAAGCAAAUCGAGUUUCCACAAGUAUAAAAGUUGUUAAUAACUAAUACAGGCACAACAUAUUAAAAUAUGACGUUCAUCUGAUUCCAUUUGACAUGUUUUGACACUCAGUUUCCACUUGUUCAGCAGCAGCGACAAACCUGUUUUCGGGGAUCAUUAUCUCUCUAACCAGUACACGAAUCACCUCAAGUCUUGUGCAAGAUAUGUAGAGUAUAGAACAAGGAAGAGAUCAUUUGCUACCUCUUUUGCCAAAAGAGCAUGUCUGAUACCUCUAUUACCCAUUUGAAAACGUCUCAUAACACACCUACCACCGUUUGUUGCUUUGCUUCUAAGGAAGCCUGCUGAGUCUAGCCACCGCCAUGGCUGCCCAAUCCAUGGCCACUGUCGCCCAGCCAACUACAAGCCACAACGGCUCACGCUGACCACUUGCCGCGAGCUCCGCAGGCCCUUAAAUACGGCCAAUUGCGCCCCUCUCUGCUCUCAUCUUCCUUGGACGCGCCAAGCUCCUGUCUCAGCUUCCAUUACCGCAGCUGGGUCCAAACCGUCCCUGCUCCUCCUUUGUUCGGUUCGGGCUUCUUCACCAAGCCACCGAGCCGUCGCUACUCGGACCUCCACCCACCUCACCGCCAGACUUCUCCCUGGCCACGGCUCCUCCAGCGCCGGCUGCCUAGGCGAAGGUCCCUCAGGUCGCUGCUCCCUGCUCCUUGCAUGAGGAAGAAGACCUCCCUAUCCAUGACAUGUGGGCCCAGGGCCAAAUGUGAGUGUGCACACCAAUUGCAGAUUUUUGUGUUGUGUUCAAAGAUCCAUAUCUUGAGUUUGGUAGCUCCUAAAAUCAUGAAACUUGUUUUGUUGCCUUCCUUAUGAAAUGCUCUGCCUGUUAGAUCUAUAAGUUGGCAUGUUUUAGUGAAAAAUUGCUGCUGCAAAAAUUCGAAUUUAAAAGGGAUUUAGAAAAUAAAUGAGCUUGCUUCUCUCCUUAGUUUUAAUUUAAAAUUUUUGAAAAUGAUGAGACUUGUUUUGUUAGUUAGAUGGUGUCAUACCCUAGCUAAGAAAAAUAUAAAACCCAUAUAUUGUUUAAUGUUUUCUUGGUGAGUUAAUAAAAGUAUGUUAAAUAGAAAAAAGGAUGAAUGAUUUGCUUGUUAUUUUGGAUCUGUAGCUAUAGUGCUCCAAAUAAAUUGAAAAUUUUACAGUAGAUGCUAUGUAUGUUGCUUGGUGACUGGUAAACAUUGCAUGAUUUAUGGUGCAUGUAUCACUGAGUUAGUGAUUUAACUUGUUGGAUACACAUUUAGUAGUUUUAAAUGAUUUAAAAAUAAUAUAUAUAUGUAAAAAAUGAGAAAUGGUAUUCCAUGGUCUUUGAAUGAUGUUAUAGUAGUCUAAGGAAUCUUAAUAUGGUCAUGCAUCCACAGAAAAUAAUUAAUUUCAGAUUUAAUUUGCUCUCACAUUGUCGGGUACCGUAAUUAGGGGUACCCCCAACACUCCUAAACACGGCUAGUAACCACCAUCACCACAAAUCGCAAAGACUGAUGGGCACGGUUCAGGUUAAGGCCUCGUCUACCAUGGGACGCAAUCUCGCCUCACUCGAGCCUGGCCUCGAGCGGGAACAGUAGUCCCGAACGAAUUCACGCCUCGCCCGAGGGCCUCCUCAAGCGAUGGGCGCACCCUCGACUCGCCCGAAGCCUAGCUCGAGAAGGCUUCAUUGUGAAGCAACCUUGGCCAAAUCGCCUCACCAACCGACCAUAUCGCAGGCACAUUCAAUGCGAGGAUCGCCUGACACCUUAUCCUAACACGCGUACCUCAGUCGGCCAAGUCGAAGUGACUGCAGUCACUUCGCCCUUUCAUCGACUGACCUGACAGGAAAACAGCGCCGCUCGCCCCGCUCCGACUGUUGUGCCACCCACCAGGGUGAGGCUGACACCAGCCAAGUUCAGCCUCAGGCGCAACAGGAAGCUCCGCCUCGCCCGACCUUAGGCCUCGGCUUCGGAAGGAGGUCUCCGCCUCGCCCGACCCCAGGGCUCAGCCUCAACCUCGGCCUCGGAAGGUGGUCUCCGCCUCGCCCGACCCUAGGGCUCGGCCUCAACCUCAGCCUCGGGAGGAAUCGCGUCCUCGCCCGACCCCGGCCUCGGCCUCAGGAGAAGUCUCCGCCUCGCCCGACCUUGGGCUCAGACCGACCGCACCACGGGGGAUACAUCAUUACCCUACCCCUAGCUAGCUCAGGCUACGGGGGAACAAGACCGGCGUCCCAUCUGGCUCGCCCUGGUAACAAGUAAUGAUGGCUCCCCACGGGCAUCAAUGACGACGGUGGUUCUCAGCCCCCUACGGAAGCAAGGAGACGUCAGCAAGAUCCCAGCAGCACCGACAGCUGUGCUUCUACAGGGCUCAGGCACUCCUCCGACGGCCACGAUACCGCAUACACAGGGCUCUAGCACCUCUCCGACAGCCACGUCGGCAUGUACACAGGGCUCAGGCACCUCUCUGCCAGACACGUUAGCGCAUAGCUACACCCCCCAUUGUACACUUGGACCCUCUCCUUGCAUCUAUAAAAGGAAGGUCCAGGGCCUUCAUGUCGGAGGGUCGCACAGGGGAACAAGCGGACGAACAAGCUCACUCUCUCCCUCUCGCGAACGCUUGUAACCCCUACUACGAGCACACCCCCCUGGUGCGAGAUAACAUGAGCCGCGUUUCCUCCUUGUGUUCCAUCUUGCGCCAACCCAUCUGGGCUGGGACACGCAGCGACAAAUUUACUCGUCGGUCUAGGGACCCCCGGGGUCGAAACGCCGACAGUUGGUGCGCCAGGUAGGGGCCUGCUGUGUGUUAACGAACAACUUCCCGUUGAGUUCCAGAUGGGUAGUCUUCAGCAACCUCUUCAGCCCAGGACGGUGCUCCGCUUCGGGAGUCUCGAGUUCAUGUCCCUCGACGGUAGCUACGACAUGGUACUCCUCCCCCUCGUAGCGCGACAGCAACAACGACGGUCGCCAGCAUGCCCGGCGGCGGCGAACUCGACGACGUCUUCCCCUCGUGACGGAAGAGCAGCAUCCGGGUUUGUCCCGCCACCCUCCUCACCGCAGGAAGAGGAGACGGGGCAACCGUGGCCAGGCAAGAGGCGGCAUCUCGUCGGCUGUCAACGAGUCGACGACGCUGGCACCCCAGCGGGGGACAUGUCGGGCGUUGUCCUCGCGCCUGAGACAACGACGAGUGUUGUUUCCCCGCAACGUGCCAACCCCAAGCGGACAGAUGAUGCCAGCACUCUCGCGAAAGACUUGCUGGGUGUUAGCCUCGUACCUGAGAUAACGGUGCAGUUCGUCCCCGACGCAACUUCGUCACCGUCCAUCGAUCAAGAGGUACCGUCCGUUUUCCACCCUGUGCCUUUUAGAUUCAGCUUCGAUCCACCAAGCGACCCUGCUUCGGUGAGCGCUUUCGUAAAGGCAUAUCCUAACCUUUCGGGGUACCAUAUGUGGUCAUCCUGGGACCGACUGAUGGCCGUCUCGACCUACGUCGAUCUGGGGGGUCGCGACGAAGGCAACCACCUUGGUAUGCCAGAGGAUGACGAUCCCCCUGGGCCUGCUUCUCGCGUUGACAUCCUGCGGGAGCUAGCUGUGGUCCCAGUCCCUGCGGGGGGUCAGGACACACAACUCGAGCAAAUCCGCGAGAUGCAGGCUAAGCUCGACGAGGAAGCAGGGCAACUUGUGCAGCUCCGGCAAAACAUCGAGCAGGAGUGGGCAGGCCGAGCACUCGCCGGAGAAGAGCGUCAUCAGGCCCGGGACGUCCAGCGCCGUAUCGUUGACGAUGCCAGGGCAAGGCUGCCCCCGGCCUCUAGCGGGGUCGGCCAGAAUCUGGCUGCAGCAGCAAUACUGCUCUGAGCAAUGCCGGAGCCAUCUACCACCGAGGGGCGGCGUAUCCAGGGAGAACUCAAGAAUCUCCUAGAGGAUGCCGCGGUCCGACGGGCCAAGAGCUCUGCCUCAUGAAGGCAAGGGUGCCCCCCGGAGCAUCGCGCAACGACUUCCCGACUCGUGCGGGAGGCCUCGGUCCACACCGGGCGCACGCGGGACGCGACGCCUGCAGCCCCGAAUCGCUUCGGCAACGAGCGCCGCCACCGUGACCGUCGAGCCCGCCUCGACGAGAAGGUGCACCGAGGCUACCACCCCAGGCGUGGGGGACACUACGACAGUGACGAGGAUCGGAGCCCCUCGCCCGAACCACUAGGUCCGCAAGCCUUCAGCCGGGCCAUACGACGGGCGUCGUUCCCGACCUGAUUCUGAGCCCCGGCUACCAUCACCAAGUACUCGGGGGAAACAAGGCCAGAGUUGUGGCUUGCGGACAACCGGCUGGCCUACCAGCUGGGUGGAACGGACGACGACAACCUCAUUAUCCGCAACCUCCCCCUGUUCCUCUCCGACGCUACCCGAGCCUGGCUAGAGCAUCUGCCUCCUGCGCAGAUCUCCAACUGGGACGACCUGGCCAAGGCCUUCGCUGGAAACUUCCAGGGCACGUACGUGCGCCCUGGGAACUCCUGGGAUCUUCAAAGCUGCCGCCAGCAGCUAGGGGAAUCCCUGCGAGAGUACAUCCGGCGGUUUUCGAAGCAGCGCACCGAGCUACCCAACAUCACCGACUCGGAUGUCAUCGGGGCAUUCCUCGCUGGCACCACUUGCCGCGACCUGGUGAGCAAACUGGGCCGCAAGACUCCCACCAAGGCGAGCGAGUUGAUGGACAUCGCCACCAAUUUUGCCUCUGGUUAGGAGGCAGUCGAAGCCAUCUUCCGGAAGGACAAGCAGCCUCAGGGACGCCAGCAGGAAGACGUCCCCGAGGUGUCCGCCCCACGUGGCACGAAGAAGAAGGCAAAAAAGAAGUCGCAAACGAAGCGCGACGCUGCCGACGCAGAUCUUGUCGCUGCCGCCAAGCACAGGAACCCUCGGAAGCCUCCCAGAGGGGCCAACCUGUUCGACAAGAUGCUCAAGGAGUCGUGCCCCUAUCACCAGGGUCCCAUCAAGCACACCCUUGAGGAAUGCGUCAUGCUUCAGUGCUACUUCCAUAAAGCCGAGUCCCCGGUGGGAGAUGGCAAAGGCCAAGACAACGACAAGAAGGAAGGCGACAAGGCAGAGGAGUUCCCCAAGGUCCACGGCUGUUUCAUGAUCUACGGUGGGCAAGUGGCGAACGCCUCUGCUCGGCACCGCAAGCAGGAGCGCCGGGUGGUCUGCUCAGUAAAGCUGGCGGCACCAGUCUACCUAGACUGGUCCGACAAGCCCAUCACCUUCGACCAAGGCGACCACCCCGACUGCGUGCCGAGUCCAGGAAAGUACCCGCUCGUUGUCGACCCCGUCAUCGGCAACGCCAGGCUCACCAAGGUCCUCAUGGACGGAGGCAGCAGCCUCAACAUCAUCUACACCGAGACCCUCAGGCUCUUAAAGAUCGAUCUGUCCACGAUCCGGUCUGGUGCGGCGCCCUUUCACGGGAUCAUCCCCGAGAAGCGCGUCCUGCCCCUUGGACAACUCGAUCUGCCUGUCUACUUCGAAACUCCCUCCAACUUCUGAAAGGAAACCCUCACGUUCGAGGUGGUCGGGUUCCGAGGAACCUACCACGCGGUGCUGGGGAGACCGUGCUACGCCAAGUUCAUGGCCGUCCCCAACUACACGUACCUCAAGGUCAAGAUGCCAGGCCCCAACGGGGUCAUCACCGUCGGAUCCAUGUACCGACACGCGUACGAAUGCGACAUGGAGUGCGUGGAGUACGCUGAGGCCCUCGCCGAGUUCGAGGCCCUCAUCGCCGACCUGGAGUGCCUCUCCAAGGAGGUGCCUGAUGCGAAGCGCCACGCCGGCAACUUCGAACCGACUGAGGCGGUUAAGUUUGUCCCUCUCGACCCCAGCAAUGACGUCGACAAGAAGGUCCGGAUCGGCUCUGAGCUCGACCCCAAAUAGGAAGCAGUGCUUGUCGACUUUCUUCGCGCAAAUGCCGAAAUUUUGCGUAGAGUCCCUCAGACAUGCCGGGCAUACCGAGGGAUGUCACCGAGCACUCGCUGGAUAUCCGAGCUGGAGCCCGACCCAUGAAACAGCACCUGCGCCGCUUUGACAAAGAGAAGCGCAGGGCCAUAGGCAAGGAGAUCCACAAGCUGAUGGCUGCAGGGUUCAUCAAAGAGGUAAUCCAUCCUGAAUGGUUAGCUAACCCUGUGCUUGUGAAAAAUAAAGGUGGGAAAUGGAGGAUGUGCGUAGACUACACUAGUCUAAACAAAGCAUGUCCGAAGGUUCCCUACCCUCUGCCUCGUAUCGAUCAAAUUGUGGACUCCACUGCUGGGUGCGAAACCCUGUCAUUCCUCGACGCCUAUUCAGGUUAUCACCAAAUCAAGAUGAAAGAGUCCGACCAGCUCGCUACUUCUUUCAUCACACCUUUUGGCAUGUACUGCUAUACUACUAUGCCAUUUGGCUUGAGGAAUGCAGGUGCGACAUACCAAAGGUGCAUGAACCACGUGUUCGGAGAGCACAUCGGCUGAACGGUCGAGGCUUACGUCGAUGACAUCGUUGUCAAGACGAGGAAAGCCUCUGACCUCCUCUCUGACCUUGAAACGACAUUCAAGUGUCUAAGAGAGAAGGGCGUGAAGCUCAAUCCCGAGAAGUGUGUCUUCGGAGUCCCCCGAGGCAUGCUCAUGGGGUUCAUCGUCUCCGAGUGGGGCAUCGAGGCUAACCCGGAGAAAAUCGCGGCCAUCACCAACAUGGGACCGAUCAAGGAUUUGAAAAGAGUACAAAGGGUCAUGGGAUGCCUUGCAGCUCUGAGCCGCUUCAUCUCGCGCCUUGGCAAAAGAGGGCUGCCCUUGUACCGCCUCUUAAGGAAGACCGAGCGCUUUACUUGGACCCCCAAGGCCGAGGAAGCCCUCGGAAACUUAAAGGCACUCCUUACAAAUGCGCCCAUCUUGGUGCCCCCCUUUGCAGGAGAAGCCCUCUUGAUCUACGUAGCCGCAACAACUCAGGUGGUCAGCGCCGCGAUCGUAGUCGAGAGACGAGAAGAAGGGCAUGCACUGCUCGUCCAGAGGCCGGUCUACUUCAUCAGUGAAGUGCUAUCCGAGACCAAGAUCCGCUACCCGCAAAUUCAGAAGCUAUUGUACGUAGUAAUUCUGACGCGACGAAAGUUGUGACACUACUUUGAGUCUCAUCCGGUGACUGUGGUGUCAUCCUUCCCCCUGGGGGAGAUCAUCUAGUGCCGAGAGGCCUCGGGUAGGAUAGCAAAGUGGGCAGUGGAGCUCAUAGGCGAAACGCUCUCAUUCGUCCCUCGGAAGGCCAUAAAAUCCGAAGUCUUGGCAGAUUUCCUGGCGGAAUGGGUCGACACCCAAUUGCCAACAGCUCCGAUCCAAUCGGAACUUUGGACCAUGUACUUCAAUGGGUCGCUGAUGAAAACAGGAGCAGGUGCUGGCCUGCUCUUUAUCUCACCCCUCGGUAAACAUCUCCGCUACGUGUUGUGCCUCCAUUUCUCGACGUCAAACAACGUGGUCGAGUACGAGGCUCUGGUUAAUGGGUUGCACCUCGCCAUCGAGCUAGGGGUUCGGUGCCUCGAUGCUCGUGGCGACUCGCAGCUUGUCAUUGACCAAGUCAUGAAGAACUCCCACUGCCACGACCGGAAGAUGGAGGCCUACUGCGACGAAUUUCGGCGCCUGGAAGACAAGUUCUACGGGCUGGAACUCAACCAUAUCGCUCGACGGUACAACGAGAGACUGCGGAUGAGCUGGCUAAAAUAGCCUCGGGGCGGACAAUGGUUCCCCCGGACGUCUUCUCUAGAGACAUACAUCAACCCUCCGUCAAGAUCGACGACACGCCCGAGCCUGAGGAGGCCUCGGCCCAGCCCGAGGUAUCCUCGGCCACCGAGGGUGAGGCCCUGCGCGUCAAGGGAGAGCGGAAUGGGGUCACGCCUAUCCCGAACUGGCAGGCCCCGAACCUGGAAUAUCUCCUCCGAGGAGAGCUACCCCUCGACAAGGUCGAAGUUCGACGACUGGCGCGGCGCGCCAAGUCGUUCGUCUUACUGGGUGAUGAAAAGGAGCUCUACCACCGCAGCCCCUCAGGCAUUCUUCAACGAUGCAUAUCCGUCGCCGAAGGACAGGAGCUAUUGCAAGAAAUACACUCGGGGGCUUGCGGUCACCAUGCAGCACCUCGAGCCCUCGUGGGGAACACCUUCCGACAAGGCUUCUACUGGCCGACCGCGAUGGCCGACGCCACUAGGAUUGUACGCUCCUGCCAAGGGUGUCAAUUCUACGCGAGACAGACGCACCUGCCCGCUCAGGCCCUACAGACAAUACCCAUCACUUGGUCGUUUGCUGUGUGGGGUCUGGACCUCGUCGGUCCCUUGCAGAAGGCACCCGAGGGCUUCUCGCACCUGCUGGUCGCCAUCGACAAAUUCUCCAAGUGGAUCGAGGUCCGACCCCUAACCAGCAUCAGGUCCGAGCAGGCGGUGGCAUUCUUCACGAACAUCAUCCAUCGCUUUGGGGUCCCGAACUCCAUCAUCACCGACAAUGGCACGCAAUUCACUGGGAAGAAGUUCCUGGACUUCUACGAGGACCACCACAUCCGUGUGGACUGGGCCGCCGUAGCUCACCCCAUGACGAAUGGGCAGGUGGAGCGUGCCAACGAUAUGAUUUUGCAGGGACUUAAACCAAGGAUCUACAACAACCUCAACAAGUUUGGCAAGCGAAGGAUGAAAGAGCUACCCUCGGUGGUCUAGAGUCUAAGGACGACGCCAAGCCGAGCCACGGGUUUCUCGCCGUUCUUUCUAGUCUAUGGGACCGAGGCUAUCUUACCCACAGACUUAGAAUACGGUUCCCCGAGAACAAAGGCGUACGACGACCGAAGCAACCAGACCAGCCAAGAAGACUCACUGGACCAGCUCGAAGAAGCUUGGGACAUGGCCUUACUACACUCGGCGUGGUAUCAGCAGUCUCUGUGACGCUACCACGCCCGAGGGGUUCGGCCCCGAGGCUUCCAGGUGGGAGACUUGGUACUUCGGCUGCGGUAGGACACCCGAGGGCGCCACAAGCUUACUCCUCCCUGGGAAGGGCCGUUCAUCAUCGCCAAGAUUUUGAAGCCCGGAACAUACAAGCUGGCCAACGAUCAAGGCGAGGUCUACAGCAACGCUUGGAACAUCCAACAGCUACGUCGCUUCUACCCUUAAGAUGUUUCAAGUCGUUCAUAUACCUCGUUCUCUUUACAUACAUAAAUAAAUUCUAACCGUCAAGGAAGGGUCAGCCUUGCCUCGACAAAGCCCGACCCUCCCUCGGGGGCUAGAAGGGGGGAACCCCCUCUGCGUCAAAAUUUUCCUCGGAAAAGUUUUCUACCAAAACGACUUUCGUGCUUUCUGACUAUAUCGAUAAUAUAAUCCUGCAAAGCGAGUAAGAGCGCACGUAAGCGGCAAGGCCGACCAAGCCGAGGGACUCCUACGCCUCCGGGAUACGGAUACCUCACUCGUCACCUUCCGCGAAAAGUAACUCUUGCUCGGAUAAGCGAUUCUGCUACCGACGAACAAGUCCGGAUACUCGAAAUGAGAGGAAAGGAAAUGUAGCUUUAUAACACGACAAUAAGAUGUUUAGGCCUCGGCGAUCGCGAAAAACACAUGCAUACUCCAAACAAACUGCUCCGGCAGAAUCAGACAUCGCCCGGGGGAGGAGCGGCACCCUCGGCGUUGUCUCCACCCACGGCAAGAUCUGGCCCGGCCCUAGACGGCGACGCGAGCGGAAGGAUCUCCACCUCGAAGGAGGACGCCAGCACCGCGCUUGGGCCCGCGACGGCCGCGUCAAGCCUCUGAACCUCGGCUAAGACAGCCUCAUCUUAGUCGGGUAUAAAGUACCCCUUGCUGACCCGCUCCAGAUCCAUGUCGUAGUGGGAAGCGAGCACGGCGAAGGCCCGCCUAACGCCGUGAUGCAGCGCCCCGCGGAGUCUGCUACGCACAUGGCCGCCCAAGGCCCGCAGGCGACUCUGGGGGGAGCUACCCGAGGGGACGUCAUCGAGGCCAAAGGCCUGGCAAAAGGCCGAGAUAGCCUCGGACAUGGCCACGCGGUCGGCCUCCUUCUGCUCAGCCGCUUGGGCAAGCGCCUUGACGGACUCGUUAAGAGCCAUCUCGAACUCUGCAGACAGCCGAACAAAAUUCUUUAGACACGAGUUGAAGAAUGAAGCUGAAUCGAAGUCGCAAAGUGGCCGAAACGUACCUUCGGCCUGGGCACGCUGCUCCGAGGCUACGACUUGGGCGGACUGAGCAGACCGGACGGCCACAGCCAGGUCCUCCGCAAGGGAUAUGGCCUGAGCAGACACCUCGGCCAGCUGACCCCCAAGGGCCUCAGCCCGGCCUAUAGCCUCGAUAGUCUGGCUCCAAGAUUGGUCCCGCUCGCCAAUGACCUGGCCAAGCUCUAGCUGCCGCUGCUGCGCCUCCGUCUGUGCCGACGCUGCCUUUGCCUGCGCCGCUGCUGCCUCUACCUCCAGCUCAUCAUAGAGCAGGAUCAAGGCACACAGAGAAAGAGCCAAAACAGAGGUAUCCUCAGAUACUUACCCGCUCCGGACCAAGGCCAAUCAUGCCUGCGGGGAGGCCCCUCAGGCCUCGAUCCCCGCAGGCGCUGCCGAGGAUUGCCUCGCUGCCGGCUUCGGCGUUGUUCCCACCUCGGGCGCCCGAGGCACCGAAGGGACGACCUGCCCAGGCGUCAUCACGACGGCCCGAGGAUCAACCUCUUGUACAGCCGACGCGGGCGCUUGCUCUUAGGGAGCGAGCGGAUCGACCUGACUCCCCGGAGUCACCUCAAUUACCUUGGCCAAGGGGUCAAGUACCCCCCCGGCCUGCCUCCGCUCCUCGGACCGGGACCUUGAUGUUCCGGCCCCAGAUGCUGAUGGCGCCAGCCCACUUGGCUGGCUCGACGACCCCUAGCCCAGCCUCAGAUCCGGGCUGAGGCCAAGACGGGCCGCCAUGUCGUCGCCCUCGUCAUCAUCAUCAUCAUCGUCAUCAUCGUCAGGCGUCUCCGACGACGGCUCCCUCAGGAGCUCGUCCCUCUCCUGCCUCUGACGACGCUUCUCCAAGGCUGCCCGAGCCCGCAUCCGUUCACGGGCCCGGGCCUUUUCUGUGUCCUUCUUCUCCUUUUUCUUCUCCGCAGCAGUCCACUGCGUCCUCCAGGACCGGUGGCAAGGAGGGUUUGUAAAACCUCAAACACUGAGGACGAACAAAAUCCCCAAUAGUAAGGAUCAAAGGCGACUCAGUGCAAAACAGAAGAAAGAUCGGGCACUUACCAGAGAAACGUACCCGUGGUCGGGGCGCAUCGCGGGCUGGGUAAGGGCGCCGGCAUCCAGCCUCCCUACCGUACCUGCUACCCGCCUGCGGAGGUCAUCGACGGGGAGGGAAGCCGAGGACGUCUGCGAGCCCUCCAAAUCGACACCCGGCUUCAUCUCCGAAAGCGGCAAUCGCCGCUCCGCCAAAGAAGCACCCUUCGGCGAUGGGUAGCGGCGAUGACCCCCGCGGUGGUAAGACCCCCAUCUCGUAACCUCUGCAAGGCCUCCAGAAGAGGCUGGAGCUUCUCCUGUUUCUCGCGCGUGGCCCCCCAGCACCAGUUGCUGUCGGCGGCGGUCACCACUCGUUGAGGAAACGACGGGAGCCUUCCGUUGUUGUUCCAGAGGUAAAACCACCGGCGCUGCCACCCCUUGUUCGAAGAUGAAAGUCGCCUAGAGGGGGGUGAAUAGGGCGAAUCUGAAAUUCUCAAAAAAUAAUCACAACUACAAGUCGGGUUAGCGUUAGAGAUAUAAUCAAGUCCGCGAGAGAGGGCUUAAAACAAAUCGUGAGCAAAUGCGAAGUGAGACACGAUGAUUUGUUUUACCGAGGUUCGGUUCUCGCAAACCUACUCCCCGUUGAGGAGGCCACAAAGGCCGGGUCUCUUUCAACCCUUACCCUCUCUCAAACGAUCCUUCCGACCGAGUGAGCUUCUCUUCUCAAAUCAAAACCGGGAACAAAACUUCCCCGCAAGGACCACCACACAAUUGGUGCCUCUUGCCUUGAUUACAAUGGAGUUUUGAUCACAAGAACAAGUGAGAAAGAAAAGAAGCAAUCCAAGCGCAAGAGCUCAAAAGAACACGGCAAAUCUCUCUCGCUAAUCACUAAAGACUUGUGUGCAAUUGGAGAGGAUUUUAUCUCUUUGGUGUGUCUAGAAUUGAAUGCCUAGCUCUUGUAAGUGGUUGAGAAGUGGAAAACUUGGAUACGAUGAAUGGUGGGGUGGUUGGGGUAUUUAUAGCCCCAACCACCAAACUUGACCGUUGGUGGAGGCUGUCUGUUCGAUGGCGCACCGGACAGUCCGGUGCCCCAGCCACGUCACCAGUGCCGUUGGAAUCUAACCGUUGGAGUUCUGACUUCUGGGCCCGCCUCGAUGUCCGGUGGCGCACCGGACAUGAACUGUUCAGUGUCCGGUGCGCCGGUAUGGGCGCGCCUGCCUUCUGCGCGCGCUGCGCGCGCAUUUAAUGCGUUGCAGGUAGCCGUUGGCGCGAAGUAGCCAUUGCUCCGAGGAUGCACCGGACAGUCCGGUGCACACCGGACAUGUCCGGUGAAUUAUAGCGGAGCAACCUUCGUGAAAUCCCGAGACUGGCGAGUUCCGGAGCAGCGUCUUCGUUGGAGCACCGGACACUGUCCGGUGUACACCGGACAGUCCGGUGAAUUAUAGCGCGCCGGUUCUGGAUUUUCCCGAAGGUGACGAGUUGGAGUUGGAGUCCUCUUGUGCACCGGACACUGUCCGGUGGCACACCGGACAGUCCGGUGCGCCAGACCAGAGGAGCCUUCGGUUGCUCCUUUGCUCUUUUGUUGAACUCAAUACUUGGUCUUUUUAUUGGCUAAGUGUGAACCUUUUGCACCUGUAUAACUUGUACACUAGAAUAAACUAGUUAGUCCAAAGAUUUGUGUUGGGCAAUUCAACCACCAAAAUUAUAUAGAAACUAGGUGUAAGCCUAAUUCCCUUUCAAUCUCCCCCUUUUUGGUGAUUGAUGCCAACACAAACCAAAGCAAAUAUAGAAGUGCAUAAUUGAACUAGUUUGCAUAAUAUAAGUGCAAAGGUUGCUUGGAAUUGAGCCAAUAUAAAUACUUACAAGAUAUGCAUGGAUUGUUUCUUCAUUUUUAACAUUUUGGACCACGCUUGCACCACAUGUUUUGUUUUUGCAAAAUCUUUUGUAAAUAGUCAAAGGUAAAUGAAUAAGAGUUUGCGAAGCAUUUUCAAGUUUUGAAAUUUUCUCCCCCUGUUUCAAAUGCUUUUCCUUUGACCAAACAAAAACUCCCCCUAAAUGAAAUUAUCCUCUUAGUGUUCAAGAGGGUUUUGAUGAAUUAAUUUUGAAAUACUACUUUCUCCCUUUUUUUGAACACAUUAAGAUACCAAAUUAACAAUUGAAAAUUAUAUGUUAAAAUUAGGUGGUGGUGCGGUCCUUUUGCUUUGGGCUAAUACUUUCUCCCCCUUUGGCAUGAAUCGCCAAAAACGGAGUCAUUAGAGCCCUACGAAAUAUUUUCUCCUCCUUUGGUUAUAAAAUGGAUGAGUGAAGAUUAUACCAAAGUUGGAGAGAUGCUUGGAGUGACGGCGAAGGAUGAGUAGUAGAGUGGAGUGGAAGCCUUUGUCUUCGCCGAAGACUCCAAUUCCCUUUCAAUAUACCUAUGACUUGGUUUGAAAGACACUUGAAAACAUAUUAGUCAUAGCAUAUAUAAAAGAGACAUGAUCAAAGGUAUACUUGUGUGCUAUGUGUGCAGAUUAGCAAAAGAAGUUCCUGGAAUCAAGAAUAUUGAGCUCAUGCCUAAGUCUGGUAAAAGAUUGUUCAUCAAGUGGCUUGGUAAAGAUAUCGGCUAAUUGAUCUUUAGUGUUAAUGUAUGAAAUCUCAAUAUCCCCUUUUUGUUGGUGAUCCCUAAGAAAAUGAUACCGAAUGGCUAUGUGUUUAGUGCGGCUAUGCUCAACGGGAUUAUCCGCCAUGCGGAUUGCACUCUCAUUAUCACAUAGAAGAGGAACUUUGGUUAGUUUGUAACCGUAGUCCCGCAGGGUUUGCCUCAUCCAUAGCAAUUGCGCGCAACAAUGGCCUGCGGCAAUAUACUCGGCUUCGGCGGUAGAAAGAGCGACCGAAUUUUGCUUCUUUGAAGCCCAAGACACCAAGGAUCUUCCCAAGAACUGGCAAGUCCCCGAUGUGCUCUUUCUAUUGAUUUUGCACCCUGCCCAAUCGGCAUCCGAAUAACCAAUCAAAUCAAAUGUGGAUCCCCGAGGGUACCAAAGCCCAAACUUAGGUGUAUAAGCCAAAUAUCUCAAGAUUCGUUUUACGGCCGUAAGGUGGGAUUCCUUAGGGUCAGAUUGGAAUCUUGCACACAUGCAAACAGAAAGCAUAAUGUCCGGUCGAGAUGCACAUAAAUAAAGCAAUGAACCAAUCAUCGACCGGUAUACCUUUUGAUCGACGGAUUUACCUCCCGUGUCGAGGUCGAGAUGCCCAUUUGUUCCCAUGGGUGUCUUGAUGGGCUUGGCAUCCUUCAUUCCAAACUUGGUUAGAAUGUCUUGAGUGUACUUCGUUUGACAAAUGAAGGUGCCCUCUUGGAGUUGCUUGACUUGAAAUCCUAGAAAAUACUUCAACUCCCCCAUCAUCGACAUCUCGAAUUUUUGUGUCAUGAUCCUACUAAAUUCUUCACAUGUAGAUUCGUUAGUAGACCCAAAUAUGAUAUCAUCAACAUAAAUUUGGCAUACAAACAAAUCAUUGUCAAGAGUCUUAGUGAAUAAAGUAGGAUCGGCUUUGCCGACUUUGAAGCCAUUAGCAAUAAGGAAAUCUCUAAGGCAUUCAUACCAUGCUCUUGGGGCUUGCUUGAGCCCAUAAAGCGCCUUAGAGAGCCUAUAGACAUGGUUAGGGUACUCAUUAUCUUCAAAGCCGGGAGGUUGCUCAACAUAGACCUCCUCCUUGAUUGGUCCGUUGAGGAAGGCACUCUUUACGUCCAUUUGGUAAAGCUUGAAGCCAUGGUAAGUAGCAUAGGCUAAUAAUAUGCGAAUGGACUCAAGCCUAGCUACGGGUGCAUAGAUUUCUCCAAAAUCCAAACCUUCGACUUGUGAAUACCCCUUGGCCACGAGUCGAGCUUUGUUCCUUGUCACCACACCAUGCUCGUCUUGCUUGUUGCGGAAGACCCACUUGGUUCCUACAACAUUUUGAUUAGGACGUGGAACUAAAUGCCAUACCUCAUUCCUAGUGAAGUUGUUGAGCUCCUCUUGCAUCGCCAUCACCCAAUCCGAAUCUUGAAGUGCUUCCUCUACCCUGUGUGGCUCAACAGAGGAAACAAAAGAGUAAUGCUCACAAAAAUGUGCAACACGAGAUCGAGUAGUUACCCCCUUAUGAAUGUCGCCGAGGAUGGUGUCGACGGGGUGAUCUCGUUGUAUUGCUUGGUGGACUCUUGGGUGUGGCGGCCUUGGUUCUUCAUCCUCCUUGUCUUGAUCAUUUGCAUCUCCCCCUCGAUCGUUGCCAUCAUCUUGAGGGGGCUCAUCUCUUUGAUCUUUGUUGGGGACCUUCGGCAUCCGAAGGUCCUCAAAAACAGGAUUUAAUAGUAUUUCUGGAGUAUAAUGUGUGAACAUGUAUCUUCGGACUCAAGUCGGCAUCACAGUAGACCAGAAUAAUACGAAGGAUGGUGCAGCGCCGAAGGUGUAAGCAGGAAAGCUUCGGCGUGACAGCAGAAGGUGGAACCGACUUAAAGACGAAAAGGCUAUUUAGACCUCGAUAGAUUACUAUAGAAUUAUUAUCAAGUGUAAAGGGCAUGAAUGUAAUUUUGUGUGGGUUGUGUCCCGCGCCUAUAAAUAGGUGAACAGUACCCCCGUACUGGACACGCUGACUUGGCAUUCGCUUUUUGCGUCACGCUUGUAUUGUGAUCUCCUUCCGAUUGAAGGUACACUUGUAAUUCAACGAUACUUCUGUUUAUGCCUGAUAAUAAUAUAUAACUGUUCAUGUUGUCUUUUAUAUUCUUUAUGUUUCAUCCUUCGUCAUUGUUUAAUGAAUUUAUGAAGGUACGUUCUUCAUAACCUUCGUCCGUAAAACCAUUAUAUCCUAAGGGAAAUAAUGUUUCGGAGGACGAAGGACUUUAACGAUUAACAUUUUCUAUGUUGCCUUGUUCUUAACUCAUAGCAUUUGAGAACAAGUCCCCAACAUUGGCGCCCACCUCCGGUGAACUCACUUCCACUCUUUGAAGUUUUUUGAACACCUUCGGCGAUCAUAAAUCUUCGUUAUGGCGCCGAAGAAAGCUUCAGCGACUGGGGCUGCAGCUCUGCAACCACUGGACCACAAUCAGGAGACAGUUUCCCUGCGGGAGGCCCGAAGCCAGAAAAGGAAGGCUGUCAGUCCGACACCACCAGAGGACGAGAUAGAUCAAGAAAUCAGAGAUAUGGAGAUGCUCCAUCAACAAGUACAGAGGAAGAAAGAAAAGAUGGCCAGGCUAGCUGAACUGCAGAGGCAGAUAGACGAAGCCUCUGAAGAAGUUCGUCAUCUUGCUCAGGAUGAGCAACACCGAAGGCCUCAGCACCAAGACCUUCAUCAGGAGGGUUUUCCCAACGAAGAUGACUGGUAUGACAAUUUCCAUCAUGGGAAUUUUGUUUUUGAUGAUGCUUCUCCUUUGUCCGCUGAGCUGCAGGCUACACCUUGGCCUCCGUCCUACAAGCCGCCUCAGCUUCCCGUAUUCGAUGGCCACUCAGACCCGAAGCAGUUUUUGAUGAGCUACGAAGCAACAGUAUCUUCGUAUGGUGGCAAUGCUUCAGUUAUGGCCAAAUCUUUCGUUAUGGCUGUCAGAAGUGUUGCUCAAACCUGGUAUUCCUCCCUUCGACCAGGAACGAUCACUUCAUGGCAGAAGCUGAAGGACUUGUUGUUGACUAGCUUUCAAGGAUUUCAGACGAAGCCGGUCACUGCUCAGGCUCUGUUCCAGUGCACCCAGGAUCACGAAGAAUACCUUCAGGCGUAUGUCCGAAGGUUCUUGCGUUUGAGGGCACAAGCACCAACGGUGCCCAAUGAAAUUGUCAUCGAGGCCAUGAUCAAGGGGCUUCGGCCAGGACCGUCAGCUCAGUACUUCGCCAGGAAGCCUCCUCAAACUUUGGAGAAGCUGCUCCAGAAGAUGGACGAGUACAUUCGGGCCGAUAAUGAUUUUCGUCAAAGAAGGGAGGAGGCUUUCAGGUUUUCUGAAAUAACCAGGGGCUUCGGAGGGAGGUUCUACCCGAGGCACGUGAGAUCAAUUCAUAACUCUACACAAAAUGAUGAUAGAGGAAGCCAACAGCAAAGGCCAUAAAGCUCCUCACAGGCUUCGGGGCAACAGCAAAGCUCCUUCCGACCACCAGCUCCAAGAGGCAGAGGCGCCAGGGGCUUUGGAGGAAGAUUUGGCGAUCAACCGAGAAGAAUCUUUUGCUUAUUCUGCGGAGAGAACAAAGGCCAUACUACCAGGAUGUGCCAUGUUACUAUUCAGAAGCAAAAGGAAAUAGCUGAAGCCGCAGCACAACAAGCUCAGCCGAAGCAGGUCAUGCAUACAGCUUCGUAUCAUUCGCCCUACAUCCCAGAAUAUGUGGGCAAUCAUCCUGCAGUUUCUGUUGCUUCGGCGAGUCAGCCUCAAGCUUCCUGGCAACAGCCUCCGCCUCCACCUCCGUUGCAACAAGGCCAGCAGCCAGAAGGGAGCCAGUAUGCUCCACACCAGAGGGACUUCAGAGAGCAGUCCGAAGCUCGUACAGUCAAUAGCACUGUGCCAGAGUCAAAGCACAUCUAUUGACGAAUAUCCUACCUUAAUAGCAAUCUUUUUCGUUCAGUUUUAUUUUCUGUAAUAAAGGACAUUGUUUAGGUUUCAUGUAAUUAGUUUCGUUGAUUCCUACAAGAAAAAUAUGUUUUCUUCACAGGCUUAAAUUGAUUGAAGUUCAAAGACCUGUGAUAAUAAAAAGGACCUUCGAACUAUCGAAAAUUCUUCGAAGCAACAAAAAGUCGUUCUAAGGAACGCAGAGUAAGUUUGCCGAAGUCACAAAAAGUCGUUCCAAAGGGAGCGCAGUGUAAGUUUUCUGCUCCAAAGUCGUUCCAAAGGGAAUGCAGAGCAUACAGCGAAAAGUCAACGCUGAUACCGCCUAAGUAAAAGGCGAAGCGCGAAAAGUCAACGCGAAUACCACUGAAAGUAAAAGGCGAAGAAGCUCCUAAGGGAGGCUUACAGCGAAAAAUAAACUCUGAUUCCGCUGAAGUAAAAGGCGAAGAAGCUCCUAAGGGAGGCUUAUAAAAGAUUGUGUUUUAUUGCAGGGAUGCGUAUGUAUCUUCGGAAUAAACGUCAUCUCACAUAGCAUAACAUCAUCGCAUCAUUUCGCAUGGCAUAAGCAUCAUACAUCAUUUUGCACAUGGCACAAGAGGUGGGCACAUUAUUAAUCUACAGAAGAACGCUUUGAAAAAAGGGGAGAAAUCAAAGUCACAAAAAGAUACAUCAUUGGUCUUCGGAAGUGUAGCUUCGGAAAAUAUCUUCGGAAGUGUAGCCUGGAUAUUAUUCAUCAGAACAUUGGAUAUUGUUGUGACAAAGAAAAAUUCUUCUUCACGAAGCAUGAAAAGAAGGGAAGGUGUUUUUUCGUCAAAGACUCAAAAGCGGUACGUGUAAAGUUUCAUGCGUCGUAAAGAAUCGACUAACAAAAAUAGGUAUAUUACAUUUGGGGUUACAAAAUGUUACAGCAUAUUACAUUUCAGAAGUUUUUACAAAAAUACUUAAUCUUCUCUCAAAACGACUUCUGCAGCCUCGUUCAGGAGCCGAUUAACGACUUCAUCCAUAAUAUCUUCAGCCAUCUUUUUAAUUUCGUCGUCUCCUUUCGGCUGAGGGCCCGAAGACGCUUUAGCAGGAUCUGAAGUAAGACAGGAUACGGCUACAUUGCUAUUACAAAUCGCAAACAAAUCUUAAAGCCUAAGAUUACAACACAAUAAAAACUAUUAGUUAAUACCUAAUUGACCUUCGGCCUCUGCGCUCUUUUCAGCAGCUUCAGCUACUUCUCUAGCAUCGUGAAUGCCCUUUUCACUUCUUCGAAUAAUUUCUCCGGCCAUUUCUCGACCACCAUUAUCCCAGAUAUCGGUAAAAAAUUUUCCACCAAUUAUACUAGCUUCGGCUGAAGGAUCUCUCGCAUCUUCAAAGGACAGAGCAGCUUCGGAUUGUGCUAAAAUUUUUACAUGUUCGCAGCCCUUCUUCUCUAAGAUGGUGACAAUCCCUCUGACACCAGAGAAGGCACAUAUAUCUCCUCGGCUAUUUAAAAUUUCUUCGAAGGCCUCGGCUUCGUGGUCGAUCCAUUCGAUGGGACCUUCGGGAUUGCCUCUCGUAAAGUUUUCUUCGCUUGAGAAGGCGCCAACCUUGGCGAAGCUAGCUUUUAACUUCUUAACACACUCUAUAGAUUUGUUAUAGCAUCUCUUUCUGGACGAACGAAGCUCUUCAACAGUUAUUUCUAGGUGAUCUGCCCAUUGGUCGCUGAGUUCUCGCUUUGUUUCUUCAAGUAUGCGUUCUUCCUUGGCUCUGGCCAGUUGUUUCCGAAGAUCUUCAAUUUCGUGCUUCUGAGCUUCAGCUUGACCUUUAAAAGCAGCUUCGUCUUCCUUUAUUUUAUUUAUCAAUGAGUGUAAUAUUUUAUCUUUUUCGAGACCUUCGUUCCUCAGUUCAAUAACUUCGGAACGAAGGUUGCUCAGGGCUAUAGAACACCCUUCGUCUUCAGCAUCUUUCUGUGCCCUGAGGGCAUUGCUAAGUAUCAGGCCCUGCAAAGAUGUGUGCGUCAAUAGGUUUAAACAAACGAAAAAUUUUGGACUCAACAAAAAAUACAAGGAUUUCAUUUGUUGCACCUUUAAGCUAUUAUAAGCCAGGCUGUCGGCCAGAUCGUUCUUCGACAGCACUGAGAGCCCGUCUUCUAAAGUUGGGAACCCGAAGCUCUUCCUCAUCUCCCGACAGACAGAAAUCUCCUUGCUGUCGGGGAGACAAUACAAGAAGUCUUAUUCCCCACUGCCAUUGAAUAUUAACGCCCCCUUUGGAUAUUUCAGUUUUUGGGCGUAGUGCUGGGCCUCUUGCUUUUCUUUCUCUGAUAGUUUUUUCCCCGAAGCAUGACGAACAAUAUAAUCACGAACUUUGGGGGAUGCUUCGGGGGCAAUAACACCGGUUUCUUCAACAAAAGUUGGCUUUGUUAUUUUUUCUGCUUCACUUUCCAAGGGUUUUAUCUUUGCGGGCUCUGAGGGCCCAGCUUCGGCUUCAGUCUCUUGCUCUGGAGCUUUAGAACCAGAAAUUUCAGUUGUUGUUUCAGGAAUGACAGCAGCCUUCUUCGGAGGUGUGCUUGAAGAUUUGAUCGUUUCCAGUACAUCUAGCACAUUAGCCAUUCUCUUUCUUUUCGGAGUUACUACUGGCACUUUUUGAUUUUUUACUGUCUCAAUGUUUGCUGCAGGACUCAAAACUUCUGAUGUUUUGGAGCCCUCAGUUGCUUCCUUUACCUCUUCCAUUUUUUCUGUGGACGGCGCUUCGGCUUUCUCUUUCGUUUCUGAUAAUAAAAUCUUUGAUUGUUCCAAUUCUAUCUUUGUUGGCACUUCGGCCGUUUCUGCGACUUCUGGCAGCAAGGUUGGCUCGGUUGGUUUUUCAGCUUCGGUGGCCGAAGAAGUUUCUCCGGUAAACUCAGGCACCGAAGCUGGUUCAAUAUACCGCGGCCGAUGUGUAAGGACCUUUAACUUCUUUCUUUUCGGUUCUGACUCGCUAGGAGCAGUUGCAGCUUCUUCUUUUGCAGAGGUUGUGUUUUUUCUCUUCUGCUUUCGAAUAGGAUAGCAAUAGUCAGGGUAGACAAACCCGAUUGCAUCAAAUACUCGAUUCAGCCUCUUCUUUUUUCGGCCUCCGAAGGCUGCUGACAUUGCAGUGUCUUCGGCCUUCGAAUAAGUCCCAAGCAGUUCAUCACUUAAAUUUUCAAUGCUUUUCAACCAGUCGUCAUCUGGCUCAACGAAUUUAUCUCCAAAUUUAAAAGUGUACUUCAAUCUGAUAAGUCCACCUUCGUCGGCCUCUUUUACGGUUUCUUGUGGCAUUUCCCAUUUCUCCGCGAGCGGCCAUACCCUGAAGGCAAUAUGCUCUUGUACUAAGUCUCUCGUUCCAAUGAAAGAGCAGACUGCGCCGAAGGCCCUCUGGCAUUCUUCGGCGGCUUCAUUCAUUUCAACCUUCGGCCUCCGAAGGCCGAAGCUUUGCCAAAUAGGGCGCAUAAUUAUACCUUUGAUAUCUUCUCGUAUUGUCAGAUCAUUCUUCACAUAGAACCAUUCUGUCAUCCAGUCUCCGGGCCAUCUCUUCCGAAAGGUUGGCACGGGGCAGCUUGACCCGGACCGAGAAACGAAACUGUAGCAGCCAAAAUUAUUGUGAUACUGUUCCUUACCCCAAGGCUUUGUUUCAUAUGAUAAUUCAUGUAUAUUGCAGAAGCUUUUUGCGUCAGGCUUCAGACCUUGGCUUCUCGCGGCCCACACAAAGAUAUUCAGCCUUAUAAUUGCCUCAGGGGUAAGUUGAUGGAGAUAGACUUCGAAUAUUUUCAGCACCUCUACAACGAAGCUGCUCAAAGGAAAUCGCAAUCCAGCUUUCAAAAAGCUUCGGUACACUACGACUUCAUUCUCUUCAGGGUGUGGGCAAGUUUUUUCCCCUUCGUCGGCCCUCACAAUGGACAAAUCCCGAAAAUACCUUCCUCUCAUGUUGAUAAGAUGAUUCUCUUUGAUAGUUGAUUUACCAUAAACUGAAUGGCUUGGUCGCCAGGGACGAUCUUCGGAGUCUUCACCACCACUGUCCACAUCAUAGCUGUCACUGUCACCAGUAUCUUCAGACAAACCUUCCAAAAUCUCCUUGGUAAUUUUUUCUGUGUUGGUCUUUGACAUCGCUAUGAGAAAUCCCAAGUUUUUCUCUUCGUCGAGGCUCAGCUUCAUCUCAGCAGCAGUCUUCUUAUCUUCAGACAUCUUCGGAGACACUAAAAAACUAUUUUCAAAGCCGAAGCUUCAGAACAAAAAGCUUAGCAAAUCGUAGUGCACAAGAGCUAAAAAUUGAGUGAGCGGGAGCAGUUGGCCAGAGAGCGUGUCAAAUGAGUUUGCGGUAUGGGCCGUAUUUAUACGCCAAGUGCGUUGAAAAUUGAAAGACCCCGCUUGUCAGUGAAUGUUGCUAUUCUAGCAAAGGGAAGGUGUUUUUUCGGACCUUCGGUGUGAAACCUUCGUCCAUGUCGCAAUCUAAAUUUAUUAUUUUAAACAAAUUAUUAUUGCGAGGGGCUACUGUUGGGGACCUUCGGCAUCCGAAGGUCCUCAAAAACAGGAUUUAAUAGUAUUUCUGGAGUAUAAUGUGUGAACAGGUAUCUUCGGACUCAAGUCGGCAUCACAGUAGACCAGAAUAAUACGAAGGAUGGUGCAGCGCCGAAGGUGUAAGCAGGAAAGCUUCGGCGUGACAGCAGAAGGUGGAACCGACUUAAAGACGAAAAGGCUAUUUAGACCUCGAUAGAUUACUAUAGAAUUAUUAUCAAGUGUAAAGGGCAUGAAUGUAAUUUUGUGUGGGUUGUGUCCCGCGCCUAUAAAUAGGUGAACAGUACCCCCGUACUGGACACGCUGACUUGGCAUUCGCUUUUUGCGUCACGCUUGUAUUGUGAUCUCCUUCCGAUUGAAGGUACACUUGUAAUUCAACGAUACUUCUGUUUAUGCCUGAUAAUAAUAUAUAAUUGUUCAUGUUGUCUUUUAUAUUCUUUAUGUUUCAUCCUUCGUCAUUGUUUAAUGAAUUUAUGAAGGUACGUUCUUCAUAACCUUCGUCCGUAAAACCAUUAUAUCCUAAGGGAAAUAAUGUUUCGGAGGAUGAAGGACUUUAACGAUUAACAUUUUCUAUGUUGCCUUGUUCUUAACUCAUAGCAUUUGAGAACAAGUCCCCAACAAUCUUCUCCUUCAUCAACUUGAGCCUCGUCCUCAUUUUGGGUUGGUGGAGAAGCUUGCGUGGAGGAGGAAGGUUGAUCUUGUGCAUGUGGAGGCUCUACGGAUUCCUUAGGACACACAUCCCCAAUGGACAUGUUCCUUAGCGCUAUGCAUGGAGCCUGUUCUUCACCUAUCUCAUCAAGAUCAACUUGCUCUACUUGAGAGCCGUUAGUCUCAUCAAACACAACGUCACAAGAAACUUCAACAAGUCCUGAGGACUUGUUAAAGACUCUAUAUGCCCUUGUGUUUGAGUCAUAUCCUAGUAAAAAACCUUCUACAGUUUUAGGAGCAAAUUUAGAUUUUCUACCUCUUUUGACAAGAAUAAAACAUUUGCUACCAAAAACUCUAAAAUAUGAAAUAUUUGGCUUUUUACCGGUUAGGAGUUCAUAGGAUGUCUUCUUGAGGAUUUGGUGUAGAUAUAACCGGUUGAUGGCGUAGCAUGCGGUAUUGACCGCCUCGGCCCAAAACCGAUCCGGUGUCUUGUACUCAUCAAGCAUGGUUCUUGCCAUGUCCAAUAGAGUUCGAUUCUUCCUCUCCACUACACCAUUUUGUUGUGGAGUGUAAGGAGAAGAAAACUCAUGCUUGAUGCCCUCUUCCUCAAGAAAGUCUUCUAUUUGUGAGUUCUUGAACUCCGUCCCAUUGUCGCUUCGAAUUUUCUUGAUCCUUAAGUCGAACUCAUUUUGAGCCCGUCUCAAGAAUCCCUUUAAGGUCUCUUGGGUAUGGGAUUUUUCCUGCAAAAAGAACACCCAAGUGAAGCGAGAAUAAUCAUCCACAAUAACUAGACAGUACUUACUCCCGCCGAUGCUUAUGUAAGCUAUCGGGCCGAAUAGGUCCAUGUGUAGGAGCUCCAGUGGCCUGUCACUAGUCAUGAUGUUCUUGUGUGGAUGAUGAGUGCCAACUUGCUUCCCGGCUUGGCAUGCGCUACAAAUCCUGUCUUUCUCAAAAUAAACAUUGGUUAGUCCUAAAAUGUGUUCUCCCUUUAGAAGCUUAUGAAGAUUCUUCAUUCCAACAUGGGUUAGUCGGCGGUGCCAGAGCCAUCCCAAGUUAGUCUUAGCAACUAAGCAAGUGUCGAGUUCAACUCUAUCAAAAUCUACCAAGUAUAGCUGACCCUCUAACACUCCCUUAAAUGCUAUUGAAUCAUCACUUCUUCUAAAGACAGUGACACCUACAUCAGUGAAUAGACAGUUGUAACCCAUUUGACACAAUUGGGAUACGGAAAGCAAAUUGUAAUCUAAAGAAUCUACAAGAAAAACAUUGGAAAUAGUAUGGUCAGGUGAUAUAGCAAUUUUACCCAAUCCUUUGACCAAACCUUGAUUUCCAUCCCCGAAUGUGAUAGCUCGUUGGGGAUCUUGGUUUUUCUCAUAUGAGGAGAACAUCUUUUUCUCCCCUGUCAUGUGGUUUGUGCACCCGCUGUCGAGUAUCCAACUUGAGCCCCCGGAUGCAUAAACCUACAAAAUAAUUUUAGUUCUUGACUUUAGGUACCCAAACGGUUUUGGGUCCUUUGGCAUUAGAAACAAGAACUUUGGGUACCCAAACACAAGUCUUGGAGCCCUUGUGUUUGCCCCCAACAAACUUGGCAACUACCUUGCCGGAUUUGUUAGUCAAAACAUAAGAUGCAUCAAAAGUCCUAAAUGAAAUGCCAUGAUCAUUUGAUGCACUAGGAGUUUUCUUUCUAGGCAACUUAGCACGGGUUGGUUGCCUAGAGCUAGAUGUCUCACCCUUAUACAUAAAAGCAUGGUUAGGGCCAGAGUGAGACUUCCUAGAAUGAAUUUUCUUAAUUUUGCUCUCGGGAUAACCGGCAGGGUACAAAAUGUAACCCUCGUUAUCCUGAGGCAUGGGAGCCUUGCCCUUAACAAAGUUAGACAAGUUCUUAGGGGGAGCAUUAAGUUUGACAUUGUCUCCCCUUUGGAAGACAAUGCCAUCCUUAAUGCCAGGGCGUCUCCCAUUAUAGAGCAUACUUCUAGCAAAUUUAAACUUUUCAUUUUCUCAGUUAUGCUCGGCAAUUUUAGCAUCUAAUAUUGCUAUAUGAUCAUUUUGUUGUUUAAUUAAAGCCAUGUGAUCAUGAAUAGCAUUAACAUCAAUAUCUCUACAUCUAGUACAAAUAGAAACGUGCUCAACAUUAGAUGUAGAGGGUUUGCAAGAUUUUAAUUCAACAACCUUAGCAUGUAAUAUAUCAUUCUCACUUCUAAGGUUGGAAAUAGUAACAUUGCAAACAUCAAAAUCCUUAGCCUUAGCAAUCAAAUUUUCAUUUUCUACUCUAAGGCUAGCAAGAGAAUCAUUCAAUUCCUUAAUCUUAGUAAGCAAAUCAUCAUUAUCAUUUCUAAGAUUGGGAAUUGAAGCAUCACAAACAUGAGAAUCAACCUUAGCAAUUAAUCUAGCAUUUUCAUUUCUAAGGUUGUCUAUAGUCUCAUGGCAAGCGCUUAGCUCACUAGACAAUUUUUCACAUUUUUCAACUUGUUGAGCAUAAGCAUUUUUAACCUUAACAUGCUUUUUAUUUUCCUUGAUUAAGAAUUCCUCUUGGGAGUCCAAGAGAUCAUCCUUCUCAUGGAUGGCACUAAUUAAUUCAUUUAAUUUUUCUUUUUGUUGCAUGUUAAGAUCGGCAAAAAGGGUACGCAAAUUAUUCUCCUCAUCACUAGCAUUAUCAUCACUAGAGGAUUCAUAUUUAGUGGAGGAUUUAGAUUUAACCUUCUUCCUUUUGCCAUCCUUUGCCAUGAGGCACUUGUGGCCGACGUUGGGGAAGAGGAGUCCCUUGGUGACAGCGAUGUUGGCGGCAUCCUCGUCGGAGGAGGACUCGGUGGAGCUCUCGUCGGAGUCCCACUCCCGGCAAACAUGGGCAUCGCCGCCCUUCUUCUUGUAGUACUUCUUCUUUUCUCUCCUCUUUCCCUUCUUGUCGUCGCCCCUGUCACUGUCACUAGACAUAGGACAUUUUGCAAUAAAAUGACCGGGCUUACCACAUUUGUAGCACACUUUCUUGGAGCGGGGUUUGUAGUCCUUCCCCCUCCGUCGCUUGAGGAUUUGGCGAAAGCUUUUGAUGAUUAAAGCCAUCUCCUCAUUGUCAAGCUUGGAGGCGUCAAUUGGUUGUCUACUCGAUGUAGACUCCUUCUUCUCCUCCGUCGCCUUGAAUGCCACAGGUUGUGCUUCGGACGUGGAGGGUUCAUCAAGCUCGUUGAUCUUCUUUGAGCCCUUGAUCAUACAUUCAAAGCUCACAAAAUUCCCGAUUACUUCCUCGGGAGUCAUUAGUGUGUAUCUAGGAUUACCACGAAUUAAUUGAACUUGAGUAGGGUUAAGGAAAAUAAGUGAUCUCAAAAUAACCUUAACCACUUCGUGGUCAUCCCAUUUCUUGCUCCCGAGGUUGCGCACUUGGUUCACCAAAGUUUUGAGCCGGUUGUACAUAUCUUGUGGCUCCUCCCCUUGGCGAAGACGAAAACGGCCGAGCUCCCCCUCGAUCGUUUCCCGCUUGGUGAGUUCAUCACCCUCGUGAGCGGUCUUGAGAAGGUCCCAAAUUUCCUUUGCAUUCUUCAACCCUUGCACCUUGUUGUAUUCCUCCUUGCUUAGAGAGGCGAGGAGUAUGGUUGUAGCUUGGGAGUUGAAGUGCUCGAUUUGGGCCACUUCGUCCGUAUCAUAAUCCUCAUCCCCUAUGGAUGGAACCUGUGCUCCAAACUCAACAACAUUCCAUAUACUUUUGUGGAGUGAGGUUAGAUGAAAUUUCAUUAAAUCACUCCACCUAGCAUAAUCUUCGCCAUCAAAAGUUGGCGGUUUGCCUAAUGGAACGGAAAGUAAUGGAGUAUGUCUAGGUGUACGAGGAUAGUGUAAGGGGAUCUUACUAAACUUCUUGCGCUCUUGGCGCUUAGAAGUUACGGACGGCGCAUCGGAGUCGGAGGUUGAUGUUGAUGAAGUGUCGGUCUCGUAGUAGACCACUUUCCUCAUCCUCUUGUGCUUGUCGCCUUUCCGAUGCGACUUGUGAGAAGAAGAUUUUUCCUUCUUCUCUUUGUGGUGAGAAGAGGAAGAUCUUUUCUCCUUCCGUUUGGAGGAGUCCUUCUUCUUCUCCUUCCUCUUGGUGCGGGACUCUUCUGAUGAAGUGCUCCCUUGGCUCGUAGUGGGCUUGUCGCCGGUCUCCAUCUCCCUCUUGGUGUGAUCUCCCGACAUCACUUCGAGCGGUUAGGCUCUAAUGAAGCACCGGGCUCUGAUACCAAUUGAAAGUCGCCUAAAGGGGGGGUGAAUAGGGCGAAUCUGAAAUUCUCAAAAAAUAAUCACAACUACAAGCCGGGUUAGCAUUAGAGAUAUAAUCGAGUCCGCGAGAGAGGGCUUAAAACAAAUCGUGAGCAAAUGCGAAGUGAGACACGAUGAUUUGUUUUACCGAGGUUCGGUUCUCGCAAACCUACUCCCCGUUGAGGAGGCCACAAAGGCCGGGUCUCUUUCAACCCUUACCCUCUCUCAAACGAUCCUUCCGACCGAGUGAGCUUCUCUUCUCAAAUCAAAACCGGGAACAAAACUUCCCCGCAAGGGCCACCACACAAUUGGUGCCUCUUGCCUUGAUUACAAUGGAGUUUUGAUCACAAGAACAAGUGAGAAAGAAAAGAAGCAAUCCAAGCGCAAGAGCUCAAAAGAACACGGCAAAUCUCUCUCGCUAAUCACUAAAGACUUGUGUGCAAUUGGAGAGGAUUUUAUCUCUUUGGUGUGUCUAGAAUUGAAUGCCUAGCUCUUGUAAGUGGUUGAGAAGUGGAAAACUUGGAUACGAUGAAUGGUGGGGUGGUUGGGGUAUUUAUAGCCCCAACCACCAAACUUGACCGUUGGUGGAGGCUGUCUGUUCGAUGGCGCACCGGACAGUCCGGUGCACACCGGACAUGUCCGGUGCCCCAGCCACGUCACCAGUGCCGUUGGAAUCUGACCGUUGGAGUUCUGACUUCUGGGCCCGCCUCGAUGUCCGGUGGCGCACCGGACAUGAACUGUUCAGUGUCCGGUGCGCCGGUAUGGGCACGCCUGCCUUCUGCGUGCGCUGCGCGCGCAUUUAAUGCGUUGCAGGUAGCCGUUGGCGCGAAGUAGCCGUUGCUCCGAGGAUGCACCGGACAGUCCGGUGCACACCGGACAUGUCCGGUGAAUUAUAGCGGAGCAGCCUUCGUGAAAUCCCGAGACUGGCGAGUUCCGGAGCAGCGUCUUCGUUGGAGCACCGAACACUGUCCGGUGUACACCGGACAGUCCGGUGAAUUAUAGCGUGCCGGUUCUGGAUUUUCCCGAAGGUGACGAGUUGGAGUUGGAGUCCUCUGGUGCACCGGACACUGUCCGGUGGCACACCGGACAGUCCGGUGCGCCAGACCAGAGGAGCCUUCGGUUGCUCCUUUGCUCUUUUGUUGAACUCAAUACUUGGUCUUUUUAUUGGCUAAGUGUGAACCUUUUGCACCUGUAUAACUUGUACACUAGAAUAAACUAGUUAGUCCAAAGAUUUGUGUUGGGCAAUUCAACCACCAAAAUUAUAUAGAAAUUAGGUGUAAGCCUAAUUCCCUUUCAGAAGACACAAGGAUGGCGGGGAUGUACUGCUGCGCGCGCCCCUGCCUCAACUAGAGGGUGCAGCCACCGGCCCGCACCGCCAUGCGAACCUUCUUUUCCCCCGUCGUCAAGGCGAAGAGCUCCGCGGAGAAGAGAUGGGUCCACAGAUCCCAGUGGGGGUCAAUCCCCAAAAAACCCUCGCAAACCGCCGCGAAGAUGGCCGCUUGCGCAAUGGAGUUGGGGUUGAAGUUGUGCAGCUCCACCCCGUAGUAGAGCAGGAGCGCCCACAUGAAACGGCUCGCUGGCACUCCGAACCCCCGCUCGUGGAAGGAGACGAAACUAACCACAUACCCCGGUGGUGGAGUCGGGUCGGCCUCGCUCGCAGGGGCCAUCCACUCCGGCUGUGGGUCACUGGAGAGGGGACAGAGCAAACCAUCGGUGACGAGGGCCUCCAGAUCGUCCACCGUGACGGUGGAGAAAGGCCACGGAUCGCGCGGUGGAACGACGGUCACCUUGUCAGCCAUCGCUGAACGAAGGGGGUGGAUGCGGAGGGGACAAGAUGCACGAUUUUAUUUUCUCUGGCUAUUCUCUUAGGUUGCAGAAACCAAAGCAGAAGGCAAGCGCAAAUGGCAGAGUAAAGAACCACCGCCGGCCCCUCUUCCGGGUAUAUAAAGGCCCGGGCGAGAUCCAUUCAAAACUUCGCCCGAACACGCCACGAAAUUCAAACUCGAAGGCGAAACGCCCGUUCCUCGAACGACUCGCGCACGCGCAACGGCUACCCCGCGAAUCGCCCGUCCCAUCGCAUUAACUCCUCGGCAGGGCAAGCGACACCUUUGGCAGGCGAAGCGGGCAUCGUUUCACCUCCGCCAUGAUGACCGCAUCAAAAAAGGUGUGCCACACCGUCUAAAUUCAUAUCCUUUUCCUCUUCCCAUUUUCUCUCUCUUGCUAUAGGGACCGGGAAAGGGGAUAUUUCGAAAGGGAUCCUUCUCUGCGAAGGAAGCGGGCCCCGAGCCCUCCUACUGAUCAGGGGUUCGAAGGCUGGCCCCUCGGAGGGGUUCGACAGCCGCCCCAGAGCACUCGGGCUUCAAGCUCAUUACUGAUCAGGGGUUCGAAGGCUGGCCCCUCGGAAGGGUUCGACAGCCGCCCCAGAGCACUCGGGCUCCGCGCCCACUACUGAUCAGGGGUUCGAAGGCUGGCCCCUCGGAAGGGUUCGACAGCCGCCCAGAGCACGUAGAGCAAGGGAUGACUCUGGGUACGUCUGUUACAUGGCCGAGGCUCGGGCUACGCUCCCGAGGUACCCUAGGACAUUUCCGAGACCAGCAGGAGCGAUUUUGUAACGGAAUCCCAACAGAGGGAGGCAUCGAGCCCUUGGACCCUAUUGAACGGGUCCGGGUCCGGCAAAUCACCUGUAGGUACUUUUGGAGCACGCCUCUGGGCCACUAGCCGACCCUUAUCGAACGGGGCACGGGCGUCCACUCGGAUCACCCGUUAGCAACUCACUGGAGACACCAUGUUCGGCGCCCUCCGAGGGCAACAUGGCACUUUCCCCCCCUUCCUCCUUGCGGAAAGGCGACGAAGGGGCGUAUAAUAAAAGUUGAGACAGUCCUUGAUCGUCCUCUUGCUCCGUGCAGAGGCUCGGGGGCUGCUCUCGCAAACCCGGCUACGGCUAAACCAUUGACAGCGUCAACAAACCAGCCUAAAAACUCGGAACCUGACCAUGCACCCGGGCUACGGCCAGGCCGCAUGAGGGAACAACCAGGCCGACCGAGGCGUCACGAAAGGCAUUAAGACCUCAGAGGAGUCAAACUACUCGUCCGAGGCCUCGGGGGCUACACCUGGCGGGUGCGCUCGCGCGCACCCACCGGAACAAAGUGUAACCGAGAAAGGCCGGUCCCCUCGCAAAAAAGUGCUGCAAAGCCUCCAAGUGAGUACCAACACUCCCUUUGAGGCUCGGGGGCUAAUGUCGGGUACCAUAAUUAGGGGUACUCCCAACACUCCUAAACACGGCUGGUAACCACCAUCAGCACAAACCGCAAAGACUGAUGGGCGCGGUUCAGGUCAAGGCCUCGUCUACCAAGGGACGCGAUCUCGCCUCGCCCGAGCCCGGCCUCGGGCGGGAACAGUAGUCUCGGAUGAAUUCACACCUCGCUCGAGGGCCUCCUCAAGCGACGGGCGCACCCUCGACUCGCUCGAAGCCCAGCUCGGGCAGGCUUCGUUGCGAAGCAACCUUGGCCAAAUCGCCUCACCAACCGACCAUAUCGCAGGCGCAUUCAAUGCGAGGAUCGCCUGACACCUUAUCCUGACACGCGUACCUCAGUUGGCCAGGUCGAAGUGACCGCAGUCACUUUGCCCUUUCACUGACCGACCUGACAGGAAAACAGCGCCGCUCGCCCCGCUCCGAUUGCUGUGCCACCCACCAGGAUGAGGCUGACAACAGCCAAGUUCAGCCUCAGGCGCAACAGGAAGCUCUGCCUCGCCCGACCUUAGGCCUCGGCCUCGGAAGGAGGUCUCCGCCUCGCCCGACCCCAGGGCUCGGCCUCAACCUCGGCCUCAGAAGGUGGUCUCUGCCUCGCCCGACCCUAGGGCUCGGCCUCAACUCGGCCUCAGGAGGAAUCGCGUCCUCGCCCGACCUUGGGCUCGGACCGACCGCGCCACGGGGGAUACAUCAUUACCCUACCCCUAGCUAGCUCAGGCUACGGGGGAACAAGACCGGUGUCCCAUCUGGCUCGCCCCAGUAACAAGUAAUGAUGGCUCCCCGCGUGCGUCCAUGACGACGGUGGUUCUUAGCCCCCUACGGAAGUAAGGCGACAUCAACAAGAUCCCAGCAGCACCGACAUCUGUUCUUCUAUAGGGCUCAGGCACUCCUUCGACGGCCACGAUACCGCAUACACAGGGCUCUAGCACCUCUCCGACAGCCACGUUGGCAUGUACAUAGGGCUCAGGUACCUCUCUGCUAGACACGUUAGCGCAUAGCUACACCCCCCAUUGUACACCUGGACCCUCUCCUUGCAUCUAUAAAAGGAAGGUCCAGGGCCUUCAUGUCGGAGGGUCGCGCGGGGGAACGAGCGGACGAACAGGCUCACUCUCUCCCUCUCGCGAACGCUUAUAACCCCUACUACGAGCACACCCCCCCUGGUGCGAGAUAACAUGAGCCGCGUUUCCUCCUUGUGUUCCAUCUUGUGCCAACCCAUCUGGGCUGGGACACGCAGCGACAAAUUUACUCGUCGGUCCAGGGACCCCCCGGGGUCAAAACGCUGACACACAUGCUUUAUUGCAUUAGCAAUUUGUCAUAUUUGUAGUAAUUAAUAUAUAUAACCUGACAAUGUAAAUUUUGUACAUUAGUCAUGAAUUGUUAUUACAUAUCCCUCUUAAAAAUUCCAACUUUAAAUUAGAUAGUUUCAUAUGAUGCUAAAAUAACAUCCAUUUUAUAAUUAUAAGAAGUGUUAGUGAAAAAUUAGAAGUAAACAAAAGUGUGCAUGUUUCUUGAAAUGCUUAAGUUAUUCCUUAAUGCCAAUUCAACGUUUUAUGUUUAUGUCAUAGUAAUAUAGAGCCGAGUAUUAGUAAUACUUUGUUGCCUGCUUGUGAAUUAAGUUGUUGGAUUGCCCACGAACUGAAAUUUCUGCUUGUAAGUUCUCUGAUUGUGGUGAUAAUUAUUGAAGCAAAUAAUUAUUUCUGUAGCUGUAGCUCGUAUGUAUAGAAAUGUAUCCGCAAAAUUAGUACUUUAACUGUGUAAUAUAAACUGAGGACCAAUUUUCCACAAGAUUUGAAUUUAAAUUUGAAAUAAAGCUUUGAAUUUGGAAGGAAGAAAAGAAAAUAAGGAAGGAAAAAGAAAAGGAAAAAUUGAAAAUGCUUGCAUGGGCCCGAACCUCCUGCCUUGGCCCACUUCACUCGUGCGCCGCGCGGCCCAGCCUCACCUAACGACGUCGACCCAUGGUUCCCGCAAGACAGCCCCACUCAAUGCCUCGUGAUCAGUUGCAUUAUAUGAGAGGUGCUAGUGUAUUCUCGAAGAUUGAUCUCCGAUCGGGUUAUCACCAAAUGAAGAUUAGGCCAUCUGAUAUUCCCAAGACGACUUUUUCAACCCGAUAUGGUUUAUAUGAAUUCACAGUUAUGUCAUUUGUACUAACUAAUGCACGAGCCUAUUUUAUGAAUCUGAUGAAUAAGGUGUUCAUGGAGUAUCUCGACAGAUUCGUCAUGGUAUUCAUCGAUGAUAUUCUUAUUUAUUCCAAGAGUGAUAGUGAUCAUGAGGAACAUUUGAUAUUGGUGCUACAAAAGCUAUGGGAAAAUCAACUCUACGCCAAGUACAACAAAUGCGAGUUCUGGAUUGAUGAAGUGCCAUUCCUUGGACACAUCAUCUCUAAUGGUGGGAUAUCAGUGGAUCCUGCUAAAGUCAAGGAGAUAGUGGAGUGGAGCAUACCCAGUACAGUUACUGAAGUCCAAAGUUUCUUGGGACUUGUAGGCUAUUAUCGGUGAUUUAUUGAAGGGUUUUCUAAGAUUGCUAAGCCUAUGACCUCACUUCUAGAGAAGGGGAGAGAGUUUAAGUGGGACUGGAAGUGCCAAGAUAGAUUUAAUCAACUGAAGUUGAGAUUAAUGUCACCCCCAGUGUUGGUUAUGCCAGAUCUACAGAAGGGAUUUGAUAUCUAUUGUGAUGUGUGUGGCCAAGGCUUGGGAUGUGUUCUUAUGCAAGAAGGAUACGUGAUUGCCUACGCGUCUCGUCAGUUGCUGAAACAUGAGUUGAACUAUCCCACUCAUGACUUAGAAUUGGUAGCCAUAGUGCAUGCGCUCAAAAUAUGGAGACAUUAUAUUAUGGGAACCAAGUGCCAAGUGUACACCGAUCACAAGAGUUUGAAAUACAUAUUCACUCAGAAGGAUCUCAACCUUAGGCAACGCCAUUGGUUGGAGCUUAUUAAGGAUUAUGAUUUGGAGAUUCAUUAUCACCCGGGCAAGGCAAAUCUAGUUACGGAUGCCUUGAGUCUUGCAAUUGCAUCUUGAGUUCCGCCAGCUCAUUGGGUGGCAUACGGUACGACCUUCUGGAGAUAAGAGCCGUACCAGGCUUCAAUUAAAUCACAAACUCCACAUCCCUUUUCGGAGGUAACCCGGGAAAAUCCUCAGGGAAUACAUCUGAGAACUCACACACAACCGGAAUGUCCUGUAUCUCUUGCACUAUGGCUUCAAAAACUUGUCCAGAUACUUUAACUGGGACAGAUAUAGGAAUGUACAACAUAACUUCUUCUUGUCCAUGACUUAAUUGAAUAGUCCUUUGAUCCGCAUUGAUGAUAGUCUUAUUCUGGGCCAACCAAUUCAUGCCUAGAAUUACAUCUACAUCUUGUCCCUUUAUAACUAUCAUGUUGGUAGGGAACUCAUGUCCGACCAAUCUCACGAGUACGUGGAAGACUACUUUCUUAGUAAAUAUUUGACCCCCAGUGUCACACCCGGGUUUCGGGGCACCAAGACCCGGGCGCGAACAUAAUCACCAGGUGUGCUGGGACCAAGUCUCACACAUAUGAUGAAUCAUGGCACAGGAUCGAAUGUUACAACUUUACUAUAUAAUAUGAGUUCUAUACAAAAUAAUAAACAAUUACAUUAUAAGGAGACAACGGUCCAGCAACCCAAAGUUGACUGGGAGACGACGACCUAGACCUCUCACGAACACAUCGCAUCAUCCUCCAAGCGCCUCAUCUUGUGGUACCUGUUCUUGACCUGUGGGGGGGUGUGAGACAGCAAGAGUGAGCUCACAUACGUUCAUCGCUCAACAAGUUGUGGGGAAUAAUGUGCAUGAACUCGCCAAAGGUGGGAGCUCACGUGAAGUGUAAGGCUUACCAAAGAGGAUGGUUGAAGCUGAGCAUUGCUUUUAAAGUUGGUCAAAAUUUUAUUAGCAAUUACUAAGUAUAAGUAAAUACCAACCCAAUUAAGUAGUAGAACAGAAGUAACAACAUCACCUGCGAUGCAAUGCAUAUGACAAAUUGAAUUUAAGUUCCAUAAAUUAAUCAUGUGAGGGUCCGAGCUGCUCAUGACCGUGAGCACGGCUAGUAUACCAGUUUUACACUCUGCAGAGGUUGUGCAUCUUUACCCACAAGUCAUGUUACCCAUCUGCCAAGGGAUCGCGACUUCCCAUACACCUCUACCGAGGAGGCGAGGCAGGGUAACACUACGAGGCCUUUACAAAGUUCCACUAGCUUCAGAAAACCCGCUACAGUUUAUAGGAAGCUCCAAUGCAGGAAUCCCUUGCAGGACCGCCAUCGCAGCAAAAUCCUCCCGAGGGCCUCCCUACACUGACCACUCCCCUACUGCCCUUGCCCCUUUCGGGUAAGGUAGUCCUCCACUAGCUUUCCUAAUUAAUCAGCCAAGGGCGUCCCAUUAUACCCUUGUGGUAGCACUGUUUUCCCGGGUGGUCGCUCCAUGUUCCAAUUAACAUAAUGAUCUUAUCAUGAACAGUAAAUAACAACGGAUAACAAAAGUAUAAUCAUGAAUAAUGUAUCUUCAUACCCAAAACCACAUAAAGCACUAGCAAGUACUACCCAAAAAGUUCAGUGGUAAACAAGGUAUAAAGAUAGACAAACUAGGGUAACCUAUUGGGUCCCAUCAAAAUUAACCUAUGCAGAUCAUUAUGAUUAAUCAGAACAUGGCUGGGUAAAAGAAGUGAUCAAGGGCACAACUUGCCUGGGACUUGAGAUUCCAGGUACCAGGAUGAUCUUCAGGUGACACGUGACCUCGCUCUAGUCGUAGCAAUACAAACAAACAUUGUAUAGGCAAAAAUUAACAUUACACCAAACAUAAGAAUAAUUAUGAUCUACACGUUUGCUACGAGAUCGUAGAAACAAGAACAACUAAAUUCGGAGUUACAGUUAUUAAGUUAUGAAUUUUUGAAAUUAUUUAGUGCUUAGAAUAGAUUAAUCCUAAUGAACAAUUUUAACUCAAGUUUCAUGGCUAAACAGUGUUAUUAGUUGAUAGACAAUAUUAACACAAAAUUAUUGCAACUGGAAUGGGUUAAUUUGGAGCUAAAAUAAAUUUUCUAUGAAUUAUAUAAGUUCUAGGAUUAUUUUUAUACUCAAAAUCGAUUUCUAAAUCUCUUUUCCUGUUUUUCUUUAAUUCCUGGACUGUGCGCCAAAUAUCGAAGAGUACAAGGGCAUAACUAUAAGAAUCCCCGAGACACAGAGUUAUACUGUGACGGACUGCGGGUUGUUUUUGAAUAAGUCAAGGGGCUUUUUAGCAAAUGCUACACCGCGAAGGGGUACACUCUAAUUUGGACCGUCAGAUCAAUUCCAACGGUCAGGAUUAGAUCUAUCUCUUUAUAGACCAGCAUUUGACGAGAGCCCGCAGAUCAAUCCUACGUCUUCCGAUCAAAGAUCAACGACCCUGAUUUAAUGUCGCGAAGGGGUAUCGCCUGCUUCUAAUCAGAGCCGUCAACCUGAGAUCCUACGGCCCACGGUUCUUCUUUCUUCCCCAAAUCCGCUGCGCGGCAACACCGAGCACGCACGGCGGCGCACGCCGGUGAGGUAGUCGAUCGAUCACCCCCGAGUACUAAGCACUAAAUUAGACCGAGCUAAGCGGUGCGGGAGACAAAGCGAUCACCAGCGAUAGUUUUCUUACCGAGGGGAUGAAGCUCAGAGGCCCGACCACGGCGUCACGCGGCAGGCGGAAAUGGGUACAGCUUCGGUGAGAAAUCGCCCGUCGCCUGGAGCUUGACUUCACCCGGCGAGUCAACGGGUGGUUUCCGCGGCGGCUGGCGACACUAUCUGCUCACUUUCCCCACGAAUUCAACCGCGACGGCAUCCUUUCUCUCUCUGCGCACGACGAAGCUUUUGAUGACUCUCUGAUGUUGGGCAGGGGUGGCGGUCAUCAAUUUAUAUACCAUGGGCGACGGAAUUCCGACCCAGACUUUCUAGCUCGCAAAUCCGCGCAACCACAACGGCAUCCGCGCAUCGCGCGGGGUUUGGUGGUGCUGCCAUAGCUGGGCGACCGAGGGGGGCUGGCUAGGAAGGCCCGCCGGUCAGACGGCACAAGCAGGGAGAACCAUUCAUGGCGCAAGAUUCCCGGGCGGACUCCGCGCAAGGACUGGCUCCGAUCCCGCCGGGCGUGCGAGUUGUGGCGACGGCGCGGCGAAGGGGAUGACCCUGACAGGCUGGGCCCACACGCAAGACACCCAGGCGAGAGGUGCUGAGGACAGCGUAGGCGCGCACAGACUCUAGCUGAGGCCGCUGGCUUGUGGGGCCCACGGCACGGUGAGAACGGCAGGGCACAGUGGCUGGCCAGGAGGAGAGAAGUGGAAAGGGGAGUUGGGCCGGCUAAGUUCAAUUCGGCCCAUAGGGUACAUGAACUUCAUUUUCUUUUUCUUUUUUUUUUUGAAUUUUUAUUCCAAAUCUAAUCACAAAUUCUAAAUUUGUUCAAAAUUCAAUUUGAUUUGGGGUUCGAAUUUCCCAGUUGAAUGCACACAAGCAAAACCCUAGAAUGCAUGCAACCAUUAUAUUUUACUUAUCUAUUUCAUCUUUUUAAGCAUAGUGGCAUAAAAAUAUAUAAUUCAAUAGGGAUGAUUUUUUUCCAAGCAAAUAUAAUCUAUGUACAGGUAUAUAUAUAUAUAUAUUUUAUUUUAUUAUUAUUAUUUUCUUGAUACAAAAUUUAGGCUUUACAAAUCCUACCCCCUUAACAGAAAUCUCGUCCUCGAGAUUUGUAAGAAAAAGGGGUGCAACCAGUUUGGUUUGAAAUUUAGUUUCUCAUUUGGUUUAGGAAUCAAAAGUUGUGUUUGAAGCUUUUUUUCACGUUAGUAGAUGAUUUGGAAAAUAUUGAUAUACAUGUCUAGGCAUUUAUUAUGUCAGAUGAGGUACGGUUAUGGCAAGUAUAGGUUGUGGCAAGGAAGAGUAUAAUAAGGAAAGACUUCAUCAAAACUGUGGAUCUUGAUUCCGCUGACGAUUCAACUUGAUCUUUGAAGACUUGAGUUGAUGCUUAUCCUUCUUUGAUGUAGUUGGUCUUGUUUGGCAUUUCUUCUUGGAGUUGCCAUCCGAGUUAAGGACAUGUGAGUGGGAUGGAUUAUGUGGUAUAGGUAGGUUAGAAUCUCCUGCUAGGUUAAAAUCAAGGGGUUUUGCAACUAUCGAAUGGUUAAGGUAGUUGCAUAUGGCCAAGUUGGUCUGUCGUUCUUAAUUUAGUGCAGGGUGAACUAAGUUAAGACAUGUUCUAUAGGAGUAGAGUCUAAUCUAUUUCAUCAGUAUUUUCUAACAUGUUUGAUAAGUCACCUUAGAUUAGAUCAGAUCUAGGUUAGAUUGGUGUGACUAGCUUGAACUAGAUAAGAUCUAAUUAAGUUGGAUUGGAUCAUGAUUGUUACUCCGAGGUGAGAUAAGCAAAGUGGUUAGGAUAAGAUAAGAUAAGAUAGAUUCUUUUAAGAUAAGAUGAAUCUAUUAAGGUAAGAGAAUAUCUUUUAAGAUAAGAUGGAUCUUAUGAAGCUAGAUAUAUUUUAAUGGAGGAUAUUCUUAGUUGAUCUAGUUAUAUUAUGAUUUCUUAUGCCUGUAUGUAUAUGUAGAUGGAAUUGUGGACAUUACUCCACAACUCAUCACACUCAAUCAAAGAACCAAAUCAGACAUGUAUCAUAAGAACAAACAUUCAAGUUCAUAGAGGUAAAAAAUAUUUUUGUUUUUGUUCCUAAGAUUAGGUCUCCUAUUCCUAAAAGUCACUUUAGGCACAGGAUUUCAAAGUGUGAAAUCCACAUUUGUCUUUAGAAAAGAAAAGGUAAGAAUAAUCAGAGUAAGCGGAAAUAGAUGAGAAAGAUUAAGAGAAGUUUAGAAAAGAAUCAGAGUAGCAAAGAUAAGUAAGUAUUGGUUGUCCAGUUCCAUCUAGGUUUCGUCCUACAGUCAACAUUCCUCUGAUACCACUUCUGUCACACCCGGGUUUCGGGGCACCAAGACCCGGGCGCGAACAUAAUCACCAGGUGUGCUGGGACCAAGUCUCACACAUAUGAUGAAUCAUGGCACAGGAUCGAAUGUUACAACUUUACUAUAUAAUAUUAGUUCUAUACAAAAUAAUAAACAAUUACAUUAUAAGGAGACAACGGUCCAGCAACCCAAAGUUGACUGGGAGACGACGACCUAGACCUCUCACGAACACAUCGCAUCAUCCUCCAAGCGCCUCAUCUUGUGGUACCUGUUCUUGACCUGUGGGGGGUGUGAGACAGCAAGAGUGAGCUCACAUACGUUCAUCGCUCAACAAGUUGUGGGGAAUAAUGUGCAUGAACUCGCCAAAGGUGGGAGCUCACGUGAAGUGUAAGGCUUACCAAAGAGGAUGGUUGAAGCUGAGCAUUGCUUUUAAAGUUGGUCAAAAUUUUAUUAGCAAUUACUAAGUAUAAGUAAAUACCAACCCAAUUAAGUAGUAGAACAGAAGUAACAACAUCACCUGCGAUGCAAUGCAUAUGACAAAUUGAAUUUAAGUUCCAUAAAUUAAUCAUGUGAGGGUCCGAGCUGCUCAUGACCGUGAGCACGGCUAGUAUACCAGUUUUACACUCUGCAGAGGUUGUGCAUCUUUACCCACAAGUCAUGUUACCCAUCUGCCAAGGGAUCGCGACUUCCCAUACACCUCUACCGAGGAGGCGAGGCAGGGUAACACUACGAGGCCUUUACAAAGUUCCACUAGCUUCAGAAAACCCGCUACAGUUUAUAGGAAGCUCCAAUGCAGGAAUCCCUUGCAGGACCGCCAUCGCAGCAAAAUCCUCCCGAGGGCCUCCCUACACUGACCACUCCCCUACUGCCCUUGCCCCUUUCGGGUAAGGUAGUCCUCCACUAGCUUUCCUAAUUAAUCAGCCAAGCGCGUCCCAUUAUACCCUUGUGGUAGCACUGUUUUCCCGGGUGGUCGCUCCAUGUUCCAAUUAACAUAAUGAUCUUAUCAUGAACAGUAAAUAACAACGGAUAACAAAAGUAUAAUCAUGAAUAAUGUAUCUUCAUACCCAAAACCACAUAAAGCACUAGCAAGUACUACCCAAAAAGUUCAGUGGUAAACAAGGUAUAAAGAUAGACAAACUAGGAUAACCUAUUGGGUCCCAUCAAAAUUAACCUAUGCAGAUCAUUAUGAUUAAUCAGAACAUGGCUGGGUAAAAGAAGUGAUCAAGGGCACAACUUGCCUGGGACUUGAGAUUCCAGGUACCAGGAUGAUCUUCAGGUGACACGUGACCUCGCUCUAGUCGUAGCAAUACAAACAAACAUUGUAUAGGCAAAAAUUAACAUUACACCAAACAUAAGAAUAAACUAUAUAAUUAUGAUCUACACGUUUGCUACGAGAUCGUAGAAACAAGAACAACUAAAUUCGGAGUUACAAUUAUUAAGUUAUGAAUUUUCGAAAUUAUUUAGUGCUUAGAAUAGAUUAAUCCUAAUGAACAAUUUUAACUCAAGUUUCAUGGCUAAACAGUGUUAUUAGUUGAUAGACAAUAUUAACACAAAAUUAUUGCAACUGGAAUGGGUUAAUUUGGAGCUAAAAUAAAUUUUCUAUGAGUUAUAUAAGUUCUAGGAUUAUUUUUAUACUCAAAAUCGAUUUCUAAAUCUCUUUUCCUGUUUUUCUUUAAUUCCUGGACUGCGCGCCAAAUAUCGAAGAGUACAAGGGCAUAACUAUAAGAAUCCCCGAGACACAGAGUUAUACUGUGACGGACUGCGGGUUGUUUUUGAAUAAGUCAAGGGGCUUUUUAGCAAAUGCUACACCGCGAAGGGGUACACUCUAAUUUGGACCGUCAGAUCAAUUCCAACGGUCAGGAUUAGAUCUAUCUCUUUCUAGACCAGCAUUUGACGAGAGCCCGCAGAUCAAUCCUACGUCUUCCGAUCAAAGAUCAACGACCCUGAUUUAAUGUCGCGAAGGGGUAUCGCCUGCUUCUAAUCAGAGCCGUCAACCUGAGAUCCUACGGCCCACGGUUCUUCUUCCUUCCCCAAAUCCGCUGCGCGGCAACACCGAGCACGCACGGCGGCGCACGCCGGUGAGGUAGUCGAUCGAUCACCCCCGAGUACUAAGCACUAAAUUAGACCGAGCUAAGCGGUGCGGGAGACAAAGCGAUCACCAGCGAUAGUUUUCUUACCGAGGGGAUGAAGCUCAGAGGCCCGACCACGGCGUCACGCGGCAGGCGGAAAUGGGUACAGCUUCGGUGAGAAAUCGCCCGUCGCCUGGAGCUUGACUUCACCCGGCGAGUCAACGGGUGGUUUCCGCGGCGGCUGGCGACACUAUCUGCUCACUUUCCCCACGAAUUCAACCGCGACGGCAUCCUUUCUCUCUCUGCGCACGACGAAGCUUUUGAUGACUCUCUGAUGUUGGGCAGGGGUGGCGGCCAUCAAUUUAUAUACCAUGGGCGACGGAAUUCCGACCCAGACUUUCUAGCUCGCAAAUCCGCGCAACCACAACGGCAUCCGCGCAUCGCGCGGGGUUUGGUGGUGCCGCCAUAGCUGGGCGACCGAGGGGGGCUGGCUAGGAAGGCCCGCCGGUCAGACGACACAAGCAGGGAGAACCAUUCACGGCGCAAGAUUCCCGGGCGGACUCCGCGCAAGGACUGGCUCCGAUCCCGCCGGGCGUGCGAGUUGUGGCGACGGCGCGGCGAAGGGGAUGACCCUGACAGGCUGGGCCCACACGCAAGACACCCAGGCGAGAGGUGCUGAGGACAGCGUAGGCGCGCACAGACUCUAGCUGAGGCCGCUGGCUUGUGGGGCCCACGGCACGGUGAGAACGGCAGGGCACAGUGGCUGGCCAGGAGGAGAGAAGUGGAAAGGGGAGUUGGGCCGACUAAGUUCAAUUCGGCCCAUAGGGUACAUGAACUUCAUUUUCUUUUUCUUUUUUUUUUGAAUUUUUAUUCCAAAUCUAAUCACAAAUUCUAAAUUUGUUCAAAAUUCAAUUUGAUUUGGGGUUCGAAUUUCCUAGUUGAAUGCACACAAGCAAAACCCUAGAAUGCAUGCAACCAUUAUAUUUUACUUAUCUAUUUCAUCUUUUUAAGCAUAGUGGCAUAAAAAUAUAUAAUUCAAUAGGAUGAUUUUUUUCCAAGCAAAUAUAAUCUAUGUACAGGUAUAUAUAUAUAUAUUAUUUUUAUUAUUAUUUUCUUGAUACAAAAUUUAGGCUUUACACCCAGGCGAUUGAAUAACAAAACCCUCUUUUGAUUCAGUACUAUGUAUGCAAUGUUCUCAACAAAAGUCUUGCUCAUAAAAGUAUGUGAUGCACCAGAGUCAAAAAGGAUGACGGCGGGAUGGUUGGCAACGAAAAAUGUACAAUCAUCAUCGGUUCUCCUUCUAGGGUGGUCACCACUUGGGUGUAGUAAACUCGCCCAGUUUUCUUUGUAUUUUUGCCCACUGUAGGGUUGGCCACAUUUCCAUUUCCUUGAGUCGCGUUCCCAGAAGCCUGUUAGAAAUUUGAUUUAUUCUGCUUUGGAUAGGGACAGUCCUUGAUAAAGUGUCCAGACUUUUCACAAUUAAAGCAACCAUUUGAGGAACUGGGUAGAGCGGGGAAACGACCACCAGGGGCACUCGGCUGAUUGUUCUGGGCGGGGCAGGAGUGGGACGGAUGAACACUGGUUGCUUGAAAGGAUAUGUGGGUGGACGAGGAGAAGAGCGAUUUGGGUUGAAAGGACAAAUGACCAACGUUGACCGCUUUUUAGACCCUUGGGAUGAUCCUUCACCCCAAUAUCUCUUUGUUUUCCCUUGUCCCAAAUUCUUGGCUUCCACUGGCAGCGCUGUGCUUACAGCCCUGCUAUAAGUGAGAUCCAGGCAUGUGGCCAUCUUGCGCUAGAGUCGAUCNNNNNNNNNNNNNNNNNNNNNNNNNNNNNNNNNNNNNNNNNNNNNNNNNNNNNNNNNNNNNNNNNNNNNNNNNNNNNNNNNNNNNNNNNNNNNNNNNNNNCAACGUUGACCGCUUUUUAGACCCUUGGGAUUGAUCCUUCACCCCAAUAUCUCUUUGUUUUCCCUUGUCCCAAAUUCUUGGCUUCCACUGGCAGCGCUGUGCUUACAGCCUGCUAUAAGUGAGAUCCAGGCAUGUGGCCAUCUUGCGCUAGAGUCGAUCAUUCAACCUCUCAUGAAGCAAUUUUUCUUCUUUAAAUCCGUGUCCACUUGGUCGAUAGCAUACUGGAGAAUGAUUGAACUUGUUGAGAUAUUGCAUUACCUAGUCUCCCCUUGCUUUAAACGUAUAAAUCUCAGCUUCAUCUAUAAAUCCCUUCUGGAACAUAAUGUUCCCUGACCGCCUGCUUGAAUUCCGCCCAUGUGACCAGAUGUCCGGCAGGCUGAAUAGCUGAAAAAUUUGCCCACCAGGUGCUGGUAGGACCUCUCAAUUGUUGGGCGGCGACAGAGGCUCUGGGUCUCAGUACAUCGGAUCAGUCCGAAUUUUUUCUCCAUGACUCGUAUCCAUUCAUCUGCUUCAAAGGUUCUUUAGCUUUAACAAAAAGCGACGGCGAGUUUCAGAAAACUCCAAGUACAUGGUGUCUCGGGGCCCUUAGGGUUGACCUCUGCCUCCAUGUUGCUGAAACUGAUUCCCACCAAUUCACACAGGAAACGAGUGUUGUCAGCGGUGGCAUUAACUAAGGCAGUGAUAGCCUCAGCUAAUGUGGGAGGUACAGGUGGCGGGUUUGGAGUUUCCUCCCAUCGCGGGAAGUUCAUGCCCCGUCUUGAGAACGAGUUCUUGAUGGCAUCUGAGGAAGAAAAAUAUACUAGAUUACUAGUUGGGUGCCCGUGCGUUGCAACGGCAUACAAAUAUUCAAUAAACUUUAUUGCACAACGAUUAUUGUUUAGAUCAUCUAAUAGUGUUUAGACACAAUAAGAUGGUUUAGACAACAUGACAAUGCCAUAAUCUAUACUUAAGUAUAAUCGUUUAGAUCAUCUAAAUAGUGUUAGACACAAUAAGAUGGUUUAGACAACAUGACAAUGCCAUAAUCUAUACUUAAGUUCUCAAUAAAGCAAAAAGAGAAAAACAAUUUUGGUGGUUAUAAAAGAAAAUGCAAAGCUUAGAAACAUUACUAUUAGUUCACAGGUAACACAAAUUAAGAUGGCAUACAACAAUCAAUAGUACAGUCAGAUCUGAGAAAGAAAAGCACUAUUGAUUUUCUAGACAGAUAACGAUGUCAAAUCAUAUUCUAGAAAUAUUAUUUAUUACAGAAAGUAACAAUUAUGUAUACUAUAGUGCUAGCGCAUCUGAACUGGACGAGAACAAGCUGUGGCCAGCUACCAGUACCAUUUUCCACUAAAUUCACUAACUACGCCUUCUAAUUUCAUCGUAGCAGUCAAGCUAGGAUGAGCGCCUGCGCGUCAAUCGGGGCCAGCAGGGAUGGUCUUUGGACGAGAUUUACUGCUAGGUUGCACAUAUGUUCCAAGCGCUUGGACUGAAAGGAUGCCACUUGCUAUUUUGCUGAAAGAAAGAAUAUUCCAACAACUAAAUUAAGAACCUUGUAGUCUAAACUCAAUUCUAAAGAACAAAAUGAAUUAUAACUAUGCUUAAUCUAGAUGAUUCUUCAUUAAGUGAACAUGUAGCUAACCAGGUCUAAUGACUUGACUGCUACAAAUCUUGGAUCCAAUCAACAAACAAAUAAGUGCCACAAGUAAACUCUCCCUGAGAAAUUGGAGCUUGUGUGCUGCCGUUUCAACAAUUGCACUACAUAAAUCCAUAUGAACAAAGAAGAAACAUGAAACAAAAUGAAGAAAAAGGGAGCUGAAUCUACUGUUAGGCUGAAACAUAAGAUCCCACGUGAGAAAUUUAAGAAUAGAGGCAUAUGACUCGACUUUUUAUUAGUAUUUUAGCAACCUUAAUGACUUUUAAGGGAAAUGUAUCAAAUAGGUAACAAAGGCAUAUGGUCAUAGGCAUUAUAGAUAUCUAGUGAGUUUUACAUACACUUGUUCCUGAUUAAAGAAAAUUCACUGUAUGUCGCUGACCACUUUUCUUGAAUCAACUGAAGCUACAAAUCUUAGAUCCAAUCAACAAAUAAAUAAGUGCUACAAGCAAGUUCAUCUACUCCCUGUGCGCUGGAAGAAUUUGGUGCGAAGAACUACACCGUUGGGUACAUGGACCGGCUGAGAUGCAAUUAAGUUCACCUACUUGCUUGCUGCAUGUAGUAUCGUACUCGUACAUACCAGCUAGGCCGGUGAGGAUCCGACGACGGAGCUCGACGAUAUAUCCAUCGACCUCACGUUUUCUUCGCAUUCCAUUCGUUUUAGUAUAUUUGCCAUCCAGCAGAAUGCUCAUCAUCUAUGCAUGCAUGCUGUCGCGUGUCCGUCUCUCGCCACGUCUGCGGCAGUGCGGCAAGAGCUGCCGGCUCCGGUGGACCAACUACCUGUGGCCGGACAUCAAGCGGGGCAAGUUCACGCUGCAGGAGGAGCAGACCAUCAUCCAGCUCCACGCUCUCCUCGGCAACAGGUGGUCAUUCUUCAUCAUCAUGCACUUGUUUCGCUUGCCAUGCAUGACACAGCACAGCUCGUGUGCCUCGUGCUCGCGUCGGCAGGAAUGGUCUGGAUAGCAUUCGUCACCUUCUCGUGCUCAUUUGCAAGAAUGGUCUGGAUAGCAUUGCUUAGAGCACCGAAGGAGACACCCUGUGGUGUAGUUGCAUCGGCUGUUGUUUGGUUAGUCUGGCACCCACUGAUCAGAAUGCCAUUAUUUGGCGCCCAGGCCUUAGUCACGGCAUACACCUCGUCGACACUGUGAACCUCUUGCUCCAUUACCUGCUCUAGCACACAUAGAAUCUAUUACCUGCGCUAGCACUCAUAGAACCUAUACAAUAGAGUGAAAACAAUGCACCUACCCUUAAAAUUAAUGGCGUCAGAUUACGACGAUAUGCAAAAUUCAGUAACCCUAUGUAUUGAUACACUGAAAGCAUCUAGGCCCCUGGUUGGUUUUAGUGAUUAAUGACAACGUAAUAUUAUAUGUGACUAACGUGUGUUUUGCAGAGACAAAUGGUAAGUUAGGUCGCAUGACAGGUAAAAGUACUACAACGGUGAAAACAAUCCCGGAGAUAAGAACUUGAAGCGACGGCUAAAACGACGGAACAAAAGAUGAAGGUCUAAGGAGUCCGAGUGUCAAGGAGAUGUGGACACUCGCGAUUUAGUUAAGUCUUUUAUUCUCUUUUAGCCGUACUAUAAAGAGGGGUUGUCGAUGAGUAGUUUGACCAAGAAAGUUCUAGUGUAGUGUUGGUGCACAAUCACACUCAUAUACAGUGCUAGGUGUCACUCUAGAACUCACACACAAGUUAGAGCGAAAACCGAUUUGAAAAUCAGCUGAAAAACAAGAGGUAGGGUUUCUGGCUUUGGGGCACCGGACUGUCCGGUGUGCACCGGACUGUCCGGUGCACCCUCUGCCAGGUGGGGCCUGGCUGGUCCACAGCAGAGUCUUCCCAGUCGCAGAAACCCGAGAGCGCAGUCUUCGGAGAUGAAUUUUAGUGGCACACCGGACACCACACCGGACUGUCCGGUGUGCACCGGACAGUGGACUGUUCACUGUCCGGUGCACCAUGAGUCCAACGGCUAGCUGUCAGAACUAGCCGUUGGAAGUGACCGUUGGCGCACCGGUGGCGCACCGGACUGUCCGGUGCGCCAUCGCGCAGCACAUUGCCUGUAACGGCUAGUUGGUGGGUGAGGGCUAUUUAUACCCCCUCCACCCACCAUAUUCAAUGUCUUGUACUCCACAUUUAUUCCAACACCUUGGUAGAGUAUUGCAAGCACCAAAAAGCCUAGUGAGGAGAUUAGAGAAUCAUAAUCCGCGCUUGUUCCUCAUUAGCGCUAGUGAGAGCCACCUAGAGCACACACCACUUGCAUUAGGCUUCUCUUGGUCAAGCGAAAGUCUAUGGCUUGUUACUCUUGGUGAUCGGCAUCACCUAGACGGCUUGGUGGCGUUGGGAGCUUGGUGAUCACCGUGAAGAUCUUGUUGGUGACCCGGCUCAAGUUUGUAAGUGGUCUCGAGGGAUCCACCGCGCCGGAGUGGCAAAGGAUCAUCUCGUAGUGAGCACUUGGUUCUUGCGAGGAUCAAGGGGGAGCGAUACCCUUGCGCGGGUGCUCCAACGAGGACUAGUGGAGAGUGCCGACUCUUCGAUACCUCGGGAAAAAUUGGAGGAGUCUUCUAAACUUUGCUUUACAUUCCGCACUUAAUUUAAGCACUUUACAUUGUGUGUUUGUUUAGCAAGUAUUUGAAGUAUUAUCUUAGCUUUGUUACAUUUCUAGUAUUAUAUUCUUAGUGCUAGUUGUUGGGGUGAAGUUGGGCUCUUGUUUAGCUCUUGCUUAGGUUUUAAUUAGUGUUGAUUUUUAGAAAAGCCCAAUUCACCCCCCCUCUUGGGCAUCGUGAUCCUUUCAAUUGGUAUCAAAGCCUUGUUGCUCAUAGAUUAGCUUAAACCGCUAGAGUUACGAUGUCCGGUGGGGAUGGACCUCCUCCCGUUUUUGAUGGUGACGAUUUUCCUUAUUGGAAAAUUCGUAUGGAAGCAUACUUAGAGGCUAUAGACAUUGGUGUCUAUAAAGCCGCCACACAAGGGUUUCCCCAACCUAGAGAUCCCACAAAUCUUGUAGGUGAUGAGUUCAAUUAUGAGAAAUGGAAUGCGAAGGCCAAAAACACCCUUUUUAGAGGCCUUUGCAAAGAUGUGUUCAAUAGAGUUCGGAAUCAUAAAAAUGCUCAUGAUUUGUGGAUGGACAUUUGUGCUCUACACGAAGGAACUAGAAGUGAACGUGAGGAAAGAUAUCACAUAGCUAUGCGAAAGUUAAAUUCUUUUGAAAUGCUUACUAAUGAAAAUGCAAACGCUAUGUACUCACGACUUAAUAUUCUUGUAGAGGAAGUCAAUGGAUUGGGGCUUACUCAAAUCUCACAACCGGAUGUUGUGAGGAAGAUUCUCAGUGUCCUCCCAAUAGACAAAUAUGGACACAUUGUCACUGUGCUACAUCAAAUGGAUCUUUCAGUUACCACACCUACACAAAUUUUGGGAAAGAUCAAUGCCCAUGAAAUGUACAUGCACAUCAACAAAGAAGAAUCAUCUUCCAAAAGAAAGGAUUUGGCUCUCAAAGCAAAUCAUGAAAGAAAAGGAAAAGCAAAAAUACAAGUUGAGGAAGAGUCCCCAAGUGAUGAUGACCUUGAUGCAAACAUUGCCUUGAUGGUAAGGAAGACCACCAAGAUGUUGAAGAAGCUAAAUAGAGAAGGCAUCAAAUUUGAUUCAAGAAAGAAGAAGUUCUUUUCCAACAAAAGAAAGCCCAUUUCUGAGAUGGACUGCUACAACUGUGGUGAGCUUGGUCAUCUUGCUCAUCAAUGCAACAAGCCCAAGAAGAACAAGUUCAAGGGCAAGAAGGAAGAUGACAGCGAUGAUGAAAAGAAGGAAAAGAAGUUCUUCAAGAGGAAGGAUGGGAAGCAAAAGAGGUUCCACAAGAAGAAGAAUGGAAAGGCAUAUAUUGUUGGCGACUGGCUCACCGACAUCGAAUCAUCAAGUGGAUCUUCUUCAAGUGAAGAAGAGGAUGAUGAAAAAGUUGCGGCCAUCGCCGGGGAUUUCUCUUCACCACCACCAUCGCCAUCAUCCACUUCUCACCUAUGCCUCAUGGCUAGGGGUGAACGAAAGGUACAAAAUGAUAUUAAUAUUGAUGAUGAUAGUGAUAGUGAUAGUGAUGAAGAAUUUGCUUCACCUUCAUAUGAUGAGUUAGCUGACUUACUUAAAGAAUAUACUCAAAUCAUUAGAAAGUCAAAAGCUAAAUGUGAUAGGUUGAAAAAUGAAAAUGAAUCUUUAAAUGCCAAGUAUGACAUAGUUAUAAAGGCUAGUGAUGAAAUAAAAGAAGAAAAUAAAACUAUGUCAUCAACUGUAAAUGAGCUCACAAACUCCCUAAAAGAAGCUAAGGAGAAAUAUGACAAAUUAAAUGAAGCUAAUAGGGAAUUGCAAAAUAGACUAGUUAAGAUCAAGGAAGACUAUACUCAAAUUAAAUUUGAUCAUGACAAUCUUCUUGUUGAAAAUGAACUUUUAUCUUGCAAAACACAUGAGGCUAUUAACCCUGUUGUUAAGCUUGAUGUAGCAACCUCAUGUGAUGAUUUGAUUCAAGAAGAGCAAACUAGUCUACAUGCUGAAUUGACUGAAAAAGUUGAAGUCCUGACUUUAGACAACCAAAAAUUGAAGAAUUAUUUGACUGAUGCAACUACUAGAGGAAAAGUUGCUAUUGAGAACAAUGAUUUCAACAUUGAGUUGGCAGUGGAUAAUCAAAGGCUUAAGAAUGAGGUCAAGAAACUAAAAAGUGAAAAUGAACAUCUUGCAACAAGUGUGCAAAAGUUCAACAAGGGUCAAUACCUCCAAAAUGAGCUGCUUAUGAACACUGUUAUGAAAAUAACAAGAGUGGUAUUGGUUACAAUGCUUUUGUGCAAAAGAAAGCUAUCACUCAAUACAAGCCAAAGCAGACUCACAAGCCUAUCAAAUGCUUUGAGUGUGGAAAUGAAGGUCAUUUUGCCCACAACUGCAAAGCUAAACCACCAACUCCCUUGCCUAAGCACUCAAGACCAUUUGCUUUCAAUGCUCACUAUGUUCUAAGAAAGGUUGCAAAUGGAAAGAUUAAGGUUACAUUCCUAGGUCCACCAAAUAAGAGUAGACCUAGACAAAUCUGGGUGGCAAAGUCCUUAAUUGAGAGAGUCACUGGUCCUAUGCAAUAUAGGGCUCUCAAAACUCAAGCUUGAAUUGUCUGUGAAUGUAGGUGAACUACAAGACCGGUGGGAGCCAUUGGGUUAUUGACAGUGGAUGCACACAACAUAUGACAGGCAACCCACGGAUGUUCACCUCAUUAGAUGAGAAUGUUGAUGGUCAAGAUAAAAUCACAUUUGGAGACAACUCAAAAGGAAAAGUACAAGGACUUAGCAAGGUGGCAAUCUCAAAUGACUUAUCAAUAUCAAAUGUUCUCUUAGUUGCACCUUUGAGCUUCAAUUUAUUAUCAGUGGGACAACUCUGUGAUCUUGGACUUCAAUGCUUAUUCACUCCAUCAGAGGUUAUUGUAACAAAAAUGGAUGAUGAAUCAAUGCUAUUCAAGGGUUUUAGAUACAACAACCUCUACUUAGUGGAUUUCACUUCAGAAGAUGCAGACUUAAGAACUUGCCUCUUCACCAAAGCUUCUCUUGGAUGGCUUUGGCAUAGGAGGCUUGCACAUGUUGGGAUGAGCACACUCAAGAAGGUAUUAAAGAAAGAUAUGGUUAGAGGAUUAAAGGAUGUGGUAUUUGAAAAGGACAAGCCAUGCAGUGCAUGUCAAGCUGGAAAGCAGGUUGCUAAUACACAUCCCACUAAAGCUUUCAUGUCAACAUCAAGGCCACUGGAACUACUUCAUAUGGAUUUAUUUGGACCUACAAAUUAUGUCAGUGCCGGUGGCAACCUCUACUGUCUAGUGAUUGUUGAUGACUUCUCAAGAUACACUUGGGUGUUCUUUCUCCAUGACAAAUCUGAAGUUGCAUCUAUAUUCAAGAAGUUUGCCAAGAAAGCACAAAAUGAAUUUGAUUGCAAGAUUAAGAAGAUUAGAAGUGACAAUGGCAAAGAAUUUGACAACACCAACAUUCAUGAGUACUGUGAUGAAAUUGGGAUCAAGCAUGAAGUAUCUGCCACAUAUACACCUCAACAAAAUGGAGUUGUUGAAAGGAAAAAUAGGACCUUGAUCACUCUUGCAAGAACAAUGAUUGAUGAGUAUAACACACCGGAGAGGUUUUGGGCCGAAGCUGUCAACACUGCUUGCUAUGCAUCAAACAGGCUAUUUCCUCACCGGCUACUUGCGAAGACUCCUUAUGAACUGCUAAAUGGGAAAAAGCCAGACGUCUCUUUCUUCUGGGUGUUUGGGUGCAAAUGCUACAUCUACAAAAAACGCCAUCAUCUAGGGAAGUUUCAAAGACGUUGUGAUAUUGGUUUUCUUUUGGGUUAUUCAUUAAAGUCCAAAGCAUAUCGAGUAUUCAACCAUGCCACUGGCGUGGUAGAAGAAACAUAUGAUGUGGAAUUUGAUGAGACUAAUGGCUCCCAAGGAGCACUUGAAAAUCUUGAUGAUGUAGGUGAUGAGCCACUUAGGGAAGCAAUGAAGAACAUGCCUAUUGGAGCUAUCAAACCAAAAGAAGAUGAAGAAGAGGUGCAAAUCAUUGACAGGCCUUCUUCAUCAAAUGUACCACAAGAUGAUGAAAAAGAUGAGAGGCAUGCAAAUGAAGAUACUUUUGUCUCUCAUGAACAAGCAAGGGUACAAGCCGAAGAUGUUGAUGCUCCAGGAUCUUCUUCCCAAGUGGUUGACAGGAGGAACUCAUCACUACUUCAAGCUCAUCCUCAAAACCAAAUCAUCGGGAGUCCUUCACAAGGGGUUAUUACUCGAUCACAUAAACAUGCUAAUUUUAUUGAACAUCACUCUUUUGUUUCUUGUGUUGAGCCUACUUGUAUAGAUGAGGCGCUACAGGAUCCGGACUGGGUGAAUGCCAUGCAUGAAGAACUUAACAACUUCACCCGUAACGAAGUUUGGACCCUGGAGAAACCCCCACAAGAUGCAAGAAUCAUUGGAACAAAGUGGGUGUUCAGAAACAAACAAGAUGAUCAAGGUGUGAUCGUAAGAAACAAGGCAAGACUUGUCGCAAAGGGAUUCUCUCAAGUUGAAGGCUUAGAUUUUGGAGAGACCUUUGCACCGGUUGCUCGACUGGAAGCCAUCCGUAUCCUACUUGCAUAUGCAUCAUGCUAUGAUAUAAAACUUUAUCAAAUGGAUGUAAAAAGUGCAUUUUUAAAUGGCUUCAUAAAUGAACUUGUAUAUGUUGAGCAACCGCCUGGAUUUGAAGACCCUAGAUAUCCUAACCAUGCUUACAGGUUGUCCAAGGCGCUAUAUGGGCUAAAGCAAGCACCAAGGGCUUGGUAUGAGCGUCUUCGCGACUUCCUCAUCGAAAAGGGCUUCAAAAUCGGGACCGUCGACACAACUCUCUUCACAAAGAAACAUAACGGUGAUAUUUUCAUUUGUCAAGUAUAUGUUGAUGAUAUAAUCUUUGGCUCGACAAAUGACUAUCAUUGCAAGGAAUUUGGUGAGUUGAUGUCGAAGGAGUUCGAGAUGUCAAUGAUUGGUGAGCUAACAUACUUCCUCGGCUUCCAAGUCAAGCAAAUGAAAGAUGGUAACUUUCUCUCUCAAGAGAAGUAUACCAAAGACUUGUUGAAAAGAUUCAACAUGGAGAAGUGCAAACCAAUCAAGACCCCCAUGCCUACAAAUGGACAUCUCGACUUAGAUGAGGGAGGUAACCCGGUUAAUCAAACUCUCUACCGUUCUAUGAUUGGUAGUUUAUUAUACCUUACCGCAUCUAGGCCCGAUAUUAUGUUUAGUGUCUGCAUGUGUGCUAGAUUUCAAUCUAAUCCUAAGAAAGCUCAUCUUCGCGCUGUUAAGAGAAUUCUUAGGUAUCUCAAGCACACCACAAGCGUUGGUCUGUGGUAUCCCAAAGGAGCUACCUUUGAUUUAAUUGGCUAUUCCGAUUCGGAUUAUGCCGGUUGCAAGAUUGAUAGGAAAAGUACUUCUGGGGGAUGCCAUCUGCUUGGUAGAUCACUAGUUUCAUGGACAUCCAAAAAGCAAAAUAGUGUUGCCUUGUCAACUGCCGAAGCGGAAUACAUUGCCGCAGGUGCUUGUUGCACACAGAUUUUAUAUAUGAAGCAAACUCUUCUAGACUAUGGCGUAGUUCUAGAAAAAGUUCCUUUGUUGUGUGAUAAUGAGAGUGCUGUUAAAAUUGCUAAUAAUCCUGUACAACACUCUCGCACCAAGCACAUUGAUAUCCGUCAUCACUUCCUUAGAGAUCAUGUUGCUAAAGGAGAUAUCAUUUUAGAAGGAGUGAGGUCGGAAGAUCAAUUAGCGGAUAUUUUCACUAAGCCACUUGAUAAGACCCGCUUUUGCAUGUUGAGGAAUGAACUAAAUAUCCUUGAUCUCAGAAAUUUUAUGUGAAAUGUCAAAUGGUGUUGUCACUUGCAUUGCAUAUUUAAAUUCCUUGUAUUGCAUCUAGGACUUGUGUAACCUAGUUGAGAUAACCGCCAAUAAAGCGAGUGAAAAAGCUUAACUCGGGUCAAACCUGAGAAGUCUUAGUUUUUAAGCUUUUAGCACUUAAAUUCUUACUUUUCAUGCAAUUAUUGGUUCUUGAAAUAUGCAUGAGGUACUGCACUUAGGGGGAGUAUUCAAAACUCAAAUCACUCUUGAAAACCCCUAGUGCAAGCACAAAUGCAAAUUUCACCAUUUGCCUAUUUUCUCUAAAAAUUAUCUAGCCUAUGACAAAAUAUUUUGAAAAGUAUAUGAGGGUGCCAAUACCUAUCCCAACAAGUGUUAUUUUGUGUGAUUAUAAGUUGGGAUUUGGUUUGGUUAGGAGUUAGAUAGAAAAAUUCAAAAUUUUCCAAACUCCCCUCUGUCUGGGCUCACCGGACAGUCCGGUGUGCACCGGACACUGCACUGUGCAAUGUCCGGUGCACCGGCAGCCGCGCGCUAAAAGUCAUUUUCCUGUGCGAUGUCCGAUGGCUCACCGGACAGCUACUGUGCGCUGUCCGGUGUGCACCGGACAGCCACUGUAGACUGUCUGGUGUGCCCAUCUCGCGUUUUAAAAAACCGCCCCCAGCCCGACCAAGCCGAGCCAGAGGCUUUGUUUCUUCUCCGAGCCGCCCAGCUCUCUGCGUCUGGCGAUUUCCCCUCGCCGGCGAUCUCCACCGGCGGCCAUCCUCCCCGGCCGUGCUCCGGUGACCUUGGGCUCCCCUCCUCUUCCCCCUCGGUGAGCAGCCUCUCCUCUCCCCUUCUCUGCUGUUCUCUGUUCUUGGUGGGCAGUGGAGCUCUUCCCUCUCUCCCUUGGUGGUAAACUCAAAUUUCUGUGAAAUCCCUUGCAUCCAGUUGGUGGAUUGUGUUCCCCUGUCCCUAUCUCAUAUCCCUGCAGGUCCUUGGCUCCUUCGGGAGGGUAUUCCUACCUCAAAUGGCCAUAUUCCUAAAACCCUAGCUCCCCGCACACCACGUGUUCGAUGAAAUGCCCAAACCAGCCAAACUUGCUCCAAUUGAACCCAAAUUUUUCAGGCACUUUCACCACACUUCCAGUAACCUACUUGCCAAAUUUCACGUCAAUCCAAGAUCCCAGGCUUAAAUUUCACCAAAAUUCCCGUUUUGCGCGAUCGUUUCCGAGCCGAGUGCCCAAAACCCUAUUUCUUCGCCUAAAUUGAAACCAAGCACACACUUCACUCAUAUUCACCUAUAUAAACCUAUUCGUGAAGUAUCGGCUCAAUCCCAUAUCGUUUCGUGCCUCAAUUCAAAUUCCAAUCAUCCUAUGUCUCUAUUUGUCUGUCAAACGCCGUUUUCACGACGUUUGACUUUUUGAUCGUCCUGUCUCGUGCCAUAUCUCUCUGUGUAUGUAUUUAUUCACAUUUCAUAUGCUUAUGACUAUGUGACUAAUACGUGCUCACCUCUUCUGUCAUUUCAGUGACCUUGUGUGACAGUGUGCCGUCUCCCGUCCUGCCUGGAUCGUCACCUCUUGUGUGAGCUUUCCAGGUAGACAUCUCACUCUUUGCUAAAUCUAUCCGUCACUUUUGCUCUGUGCUUAGUCUCUCUAUCUCCUUUGCAGACUUUAGUUCAGGAUGCCGCGCACGAAGAAUGCGUCGGCGUCAGGGGGUGGCGAUGACGAGGACCCUCGUCGUCCCUUCAGGCAGGUGAAGGGCAAGACUGUCUUUUUGGAGCAGCAGGAAGGCCGCAAGAAGCGGCGUUCGGACAGAGAGGCUCGUGCAGCAGCAGCAGCUGCAGCAGCCGCUGCGCAGGCAGCACUUGGAGAUCAGCCGGAUGUUCCAUCAGAUCAGAUUGCUUUCCGUGCUCGUCGUCUCGCCUCCCGGUCUCGCUCCUCCUCUCACACCUCCGCUUCCACUCCGCCACCCACACUGCCUACUCCAGUCACUCCUAUUGCUCCAUCCACCUCCACCGCCAUACCCACUACCAGCACUACGCCAGCUUCCACUGCUUCCCCUGCCCCCGCUCCCUCUUCAGCUCCUCCUGUCCCUCCACCUCGCUUCCGGGAGCGUGAUGAGACUGAGGUCCGUCCUCUGGUUUCGGAUCCUCGUCUGUUUGACCUUCAGCGUGCUACUGCAGCCCGGGUACGUCGAUUCCGGUACGUACCCGUGGAGUCUUGGCUGCCAGCUCAGAGAGACCCAGCAGCAGGAGUUCUUUUCAGCACACGGAUUCAGGAGUCUUUCUUCAGGGCUCAGAUGUCUGCUUAGAUUGCGCUACGUGUGCACCGCCUAUUGGAUCUUCCUGCUUUCUUGCUAGCAGCCGGUGCUGAGUCUGAGGCGCAUCUCACCUAUUUGCCAGGCCUUCUGUCCUUUCUGACUAUCAGCGGCAGAUAUGUUGAGGAGUGGGUCCGCGUCUUCUACGCCUCUAUUUGGAUUGACCCGGAUCAUCAUUGGAUGAGGUUCCGCUUUGAGCGCGAGGAUGUCACGAUCACUGCCAGUCAGAUCAGACAGCUAUUUGGAUUCCCUGAGUCGACGACUCGCCUUCACAGUCUCUGCUACGGCACUUCAGAUCCUCCACGUCGCCCUCACGGCAGUGUGGCUCUAGGGACAGCUCACGUCACGGCUCUGUUCCGCCCGCCUUUCACAGAUGGGUCGCGACGUUCUCCAGCAGACUUCACUACAGCGGCAAAGUACUUAUAUGAGCUCGUCAGACGGACACUCCUGCCUAGGAUGGGAUACAGGGAGGCUACCACUCAUAUUCAGCUUUGGCUCCUUGGUGCCCUGGUGUCCCACUCUGAGUUUGAUGUUGUGGACUUUCUGAUCUGUGAGAUUGAGGACACCGUUCUGGAUGGGAUUCGUGCUCGUCGGCAGCUACCCUAUGCUCACUACUUAUGCCACAUCUUUGCGCAGCUGAUUCAGCCACCUCGUUUUCAGAGCACCCUUGAGGCCUCAUGCCUUGUAUUUGGAUCUUACCGCCCUGCUCCUGAGAUUCCAGUGCCAGCUUCUGCUUCUGUGUUUGACUCUCAGGCCGAGGAUGCAGCUCUACGACAAUUUGACACUCAGGGUACAGCAGCUGAUGAUGAUGAUGAUGAUGAUGAUGAUGAUUUUGGGGUUCAUCCUCCGCCUCCGCCUCCUAUGCCUCCACGCUCACAUGAUCAUGAGGCUGGGAGUUCUAGUGCUGCCCCUCCUCAUCCUCAGGCUAUGGACCCUGCCCUUGCUUCGAUUCUUCAGACUCUCACCCAGCAGCAGCAGACUCUCACCCAGCAGCAGGCUCUCCUGGCAGCCGAGCAGGCUCGUUUAUCUGACAGGAUGCUCUCGAUGUUUCAGAGCAUGCAGGACAGGCAGGAUGCACUUCAGCAGCAGCUUAUUCAGGAUAGGGCAGAGAAUAGGGCAUUCAUGGCUCUCAUGCUUCAGCAUUCUGGUAUCUCAGCACCUCCGGUUCAGUCUGCUCCGCCUUCUUCGCUUCACGCUCCAGUGGUGCCUUCGAUCUUGUCUGCACCCCCUGCUGUUACCUCUCCGCUCCGGCCGGUCACCUUGGCGUUCACUUCUCCGGUUCUCAGCUCUGUCUGCCCGCAGCCGCCAGUGCCACCAGCAUCUGCUGUUACCACUACCGCUGUGGCAGUAUCUGUGACCGCUUCUGUUCCGGUACCUCCUGCAGCGCUGCCUGCGUCCGAGUCAGUACAAGCUCCAGCUUCUACCGCAGAUCCUGGAUCCGAGACUGACUCUGACCCUCCGUCGGUGUUCGCUCUGCUACCUCGACCUCGACCGGAUGCGCCCCCGCCGCCUCCUCCUGCUUCAGAUGUUUAGGUUCGGGUCCCUUUUGGUGUUUGACGCCAAAGGGGGAGAGAUAUGAGUUGUGAGAGCUAGGGGGAGUUAGAGAGUUAGUAGAGAGUCAGUGUCCUUUUGAUGUAAUAUUUGUGCCUGCUACUCUCUGUACUAGCUUGAUGUUUUUGGCUCACAAACUCGUCAUAUACUCUCAUUGCUUAUGGUUGACUGUGUGUAUUACGUUUUCACUUUAUAUCAUAUCACCAGUCUUCUAGCUCUUGUUUCAUUAAUUUACUUUCUCUUUUAUAUGAACAAGAAUCUUAUGAUGUGUAUGCGCUCACUCUUAUUAUUAUGGUACACAUUCUUUCUGUCAAAAAUUACUGAGUAUAACUAACCAUUCUUUCUAUUGACAGAAUCUUCAAAACAAACUACUCUCACAAAACUUGUAGGGUUGUCAUCAAUCACCAAAAAGGGGGAGAUUGAAAGCAUCUAGGCCCCUGGUUGGUUUUAGUGAUUAAUGACAACGUAAUAUUAUAUGUGACUAACGUGUGUUUUGCAGAGACAAAUGGUAAGUUAGGUCGCAUGACAGGUAAAAGUACUACAACGGUGAAAACAAUCCCGGAGAUAAGAACUUGAAGCGACGGCUAAAACAACGGAACAAAAGAUGAAGGUCUAAGGAGUCCGAGUGUCAAGGAGAUGUGGACACUCGCGAUUUAGUUAAGUCUUUUAUUCUCUUUUAGCCGUACUAUAAAGAGGGGUUGUCGAUGAGUAGUUUGACCAAGAAAGUUCUAGUGUAGUGUUGGUGCACAAUCACACUCAUAUACAGUGCUAGGUGUCACUCUAGAACUCACACACAAGUUAGAGCGAAAACCGAUUUGAAAAUCAGCUGAAAAACAAGAGGUAGGGUUUCUGGCUUUGGGGCACCGGACUGUCCGGUGUGCACCGGACUGUCCGGUGCACCCUCUGCCAGGUGGGGCCUGGCUGGUCCACAGCAGAGUCUUCCCAGUCGCAGAAACCCGAGAGCGCAGUCUUCGGAGAUGAAUUUUAGUGGCACACCGGACACCACACCGGACUGUCCGGUGUGCACCGGACAGUGGACUGUUCACUGUCCGGUGCACCAUGAGUCCAACGGCUAGCUGUCAGAACUAGCCGUUGGAAGUGACCGUUGGCGCACCGGUGGCGCACCGUUGGCGCACCGGUGGCGCACCGGACUGUCCGGUGCGCCAUCGCGCAGCACAUUGCCUGUAACGGCUAGUUGGUGGGUGAGGGCUAUUUAUACCCCCUCCACCCACCAUAUUCAAUGUCUUGUACUCCACAUUUAUUCCAACACCUUGGUAGAGUAUUGCAAGCACCAAAAAGCCUAGUGAGGAGAUUAGAGAAUCAUAAUCCGCGCUUGUUCCUCAUUAGCGCUAGUGAGAGCCACCUAGAGCACACACCACUUGCAUUAGGCUUCUCUUGGUCAAGCGAAAGUCUAUGGCUUGUUACUCUUGGUGAUCGGCAUCACCUAGACGGCUUGGUGGCGUUGGGAGCUCGGUGAUCACCGUGAAGAUCUUGUUGGUGACCCGGCUCAAGUUUGUAAGCGGUCUCGAGGGAUCCACCGCGCCGGAGUGGCAAAGGAUCAUCUCGUAGUGAGCACUUGGUUCUUGCGAGGAUCAAGGGGGAGUGAUACCCUUGCACGGGUGCUCCAACGAGGACUAGUGGAGAGUGCCGACUCUUCGAUACCUCGGGAAAAAUUGGAGGAGUCUUCUAAACUUUGCUUUACAUUCCGCACUUAAUUUAAGCACUUUACAUUGUGUGUUUGUUUAGCAAGUAUUUGAAGUAUUAUCUUAGCUUUGUUACAUUUCUAGUAUUAUAUUCUUAGUGCUAGUUGUUGGGGUGAAGUUGGGCUCUUGUUUAGCUCUUGCUUAGGUUUUAAUUAGUGUUGAUUUUUAGAAAAGCCCAAUUCACCCCCUCUCUUGGGCAUCGUGAUCCUUUCAUACACAAAUUACCCCAAUCAAACUCUGAAUGUCAUGGCACAUAAAUCAUCUCAAUCAAGCUCUGAAACUCGUGACACACAAAGCAGGAACUGAAAUGUCACGUGGUAGACUGGAGGCUGCUGCAUACACACAAGUCCCCCGCCUUGUUCAUCGGACGAGGAUUCUGAUUAAAACAGUGGGCAAAUGUAGGGACACAAAUCGACCCGCCUGAUCCAGCCCCGAUCGAUGAUGCAGUGGAAUAAUCUAAACAUCCAGCGCAAUAACACAUUUUAGAGGUAGGGUCUUAAGCCCUAGGUCGCUUACCCCUUGCUUGCCGGGGAUGGUGCAGUGCCAGAUCAUGAGGUUCAUCAUUCUGUCGGGCGGCUUCACAACGAAACACUGCGCCAGCAGCAUAGCAGCAAAACAGAUUAGGCACCCGACCGCCUGGUGAGUCGAGAGCAGAGCGGAACCAAGGGAGAAUCGUGAGGCGCGUACGUGCGAGGCGGUCGUGGGCGAUUCUACCAUACAUGGCAGCGACAGCUCUUCCUCCUAGGCUCACCCCCGCUGGGGAGUUUGGGGGCUAGACUUUUUUCCAAGCGCGCGACAGAAGGGCUGAAGGGGAGCGAGGCGGUCGCGGGUGGCUCUGCCAUACAUGGUGGUGAUGGCUCUUCCUCUCAGGCUCGCCCCCGCUGGGGAGGUUGGGGGCUAGACUUUUUCUUGAGCGAGCGCGAGGGAAGGGCCGAAGGGGAGGGCGGCGAGCAUGGCGAGCGUCCGACUUGUGCGCGGAGGAGGGCGGGGAUGGCAGGGUGCGUGUAGUCAGCGUGGGGAAGCAGAGGCGGCGAGCAUCACGGACGCCGGAUAGGGAGGGGAUAGCGACGGCUGUUGCGUGGGGGAGCGGGGGCGGCCAGGGUUGAUGGCGUGGUGGUAGCCGAAAUCGAUGGCACGGACUGGAAUAUGGUGGCGAUUGGGGAGCGACUCCCAGGGGCACUCAUGAAUCGCCUUCACCACCAUUUGGUCCUCUACUGUCGCCGAGAUCUGGCUGGAUGGAGUGGAUCUGGUUGAUGCGCCGGUGGUUGGAUGAGGGCGACAUUCACGACGAAUGGAAGGCGGAGCGCGAGCGAGCGAGGCAUGGGGGGCGACGAUGGUCGAAGAUUUUGGGCAUGGAUUUGCAGAGUUUCCAAGCGGGGUGGGGGUAUGGAUGGAAAGGGAAGAUGCGGUCAUCCUGUAAUGGCGUCCGUCGAGGCUUGGGAUCGUGGUCGCUGGGCGAAGUUCGCGGGAGCGGGGGCAGGCAGGGGCACCAGGGCUAUGGACGCCCUCCUUACAUUCUUAAUAGAGUAGUAAUAGAUUACAUGCCGAAAGUACACCACCUUUAUUACAUUAUGCCCAACUAGUACAAAUUAUACAUACUCAUUAGUACAACUCAACUUUCUUAUUUAAUUUACAUAAGGACACCACUUAUACUAGACUACUCUAAUUAUCUUCGUCCUUGGCCGCUCCCACUCCACUGCCAGCUUCGAGAGAACGUUCAUCUGUGAGGUUCAUGGAAGGAGGGGCUCCAAAAAGAUCCAACUCCCCAUCAGGUCCUCCACUAGCUGCUCCAGAUGUUCCGGCUCCCAUUGCUGCAACUUUCGGUGGCACAUUUGGAUGCAGUCGGUCAUAUAACACGUGCACUUCCUCAUGCAGAGUGUUACAGUAUGCUUGCAGAUUCUCCAAGGAUGUGCUUAGUUCCGCUACACGGGCUAGAGCAUUUGCCUCGCAAUCCCAGGCAAAAGAGCGGGAAUUUACGGCCCAGUCGAUAGCCGUGUCUCGUUCCAUGAUUUCUUGCUGCAAGCGGUUAACCUCCGCUAAUAGCUCAGCAAUACAGCGGCUAUCUCAUGCACGCUCCCUAUUUCCAUGGCAUAGUUCUGACAUGAGUUGUUCCACCCUGCCUCUAGAUCCCCUAUGGGAUCAUUGCUUCCACUACUGCUCCCCUAAUGUCGAGGAGCCAACUGGUGUCAGGGCACACCUCGAGGUCUGGUUGCCUUUCGUUAGGUAGUCUUGGUGUGCGCCAUACUUCCAUAAGAAGGGAAGAUUUAUUUAGUAUAGUUUGAACAUGAUGCAUGCAUAACCUAAUCAUUAUGGAACCAACUUUUUCGUUGAUCCCCUAUCUCCUACGUAUACUAUUAUUUGGCACUCUAUUACCCGACUUUAAAAGAUAAGUUACUACCAGAAAGUGGCAAGAUAUGACUGAAAGAAUGUGUCAAGGUAAGUAUUUUAAAACCUUUUGAAGUACUACGUAAUGUCCGAAGAUACGGGUUUUGCUCCGAUGCCAGCUGUGACGGAAGCUUCCAAGGUAUUAGGCCCACCUACAGAUGUCCUUGUCCUAAGGACCUCAGACAAUCAUGUAGGUGUGCAUAAUGACUCGGCAAGUUCGGUUAUCUGUAUCUUCAUCAUAUCACCCAAGAGCGCUUAACCAUCACGCAGACAUUACACAUAAUCGGAGUAGAGAAUGAGCGGAAAGGAUUACAAUAACAUAAUUUACAUUCAUACCAAAAAUAUAGAAAGAGUAGUUAUUACAUAACCGGGUGUUUGAGUGUGGAAUUUAUUAUUACAUUACCGGGAGGCAAAACACCCUCCCCAAAUAAGUUUUAGUGUUCUUCCUCCUGAUUGGGCACCACCUUGGAGCAAAAACAGCAGAACUCAAUUGUUUCAUCACCUACAACAACAUGGGUUCGAAAACCCUGAGUAUGGAGUGUACUUUCACAAGUCUUACCCAUCAAAGGAAAAAGACUCUCGAGGAUAUGCUAGCUUUUGGCAACCAAGGUAAAGCUUAUCAAGAUUCAAAGACUUUGUUUGCAGAAAAGCUUACUAUGAGUGGAUCCUUAAAAAUCAAUUUUUAUUAUCAGGUUAAGUAGUUACCUGCAUCUAGAGUUCUUUCUAUCCUAGAUCAAGCACUCAGUCUAUGCUAGCUGUCUUUUAUCAUUCCUUUAGUUCACUUGAUUGCUACGUGUAGGGCAGUGACCAAGUCUUCAUGUCCGAGAAGUAACGGUGAUCUGAAUCGAUUAAUACCCAGCUGGGGAUCUCCAACCACAUGACCUAUGUAGCACUUAAUCCUUGCAUAUGUCAACUCGCCAUUAGGUUUCUCAAGACCAGAAUGGGUUCACGCCAACUGAGAGCACAGAUACACCACCGUCCAGCCUCUUGCCACGGAGGCAAGGAGGGUACACGCUACUCUCGCCAUCUCUCCACUACCAUUGCAUGGUGGCCUUUCUGGUAUUGGUCCGACCGAGGCAAAGCUUACCCAUGAUGACGCAUGUGGCCAGUUAAAAGGUCCUCGAUCAUCAAGCCUACAUCGGUUUGGUCCUUAAUCGACUCAGAUGGAGACACUACACCGAGACUUCCUUCUCGUGCAAGUCACCCGCCCGGUCUCAUCUUUAUCAUUUACAACCCAAAGUUUGGUACCUUACAGAGGUACAUCUUUUGAGAUGUUGAACCCAUCACGACCAUGAUGGAUUCACCAUCACAAGUCUUUUUUGUAAAAAUCCCCAUCCCAUAUGAAGUAUCACCUUUUGUUUAAAACAAAACAUUUUGUUUUCUAAAGCAAGGCUAAGCAUAAGAAAACUUGUUUGAAUAAAUCAGGUAAUAAGGAAUGGUAAUCAAUUCUCCAAGGAAGGGAAUGCAUCAACUGUUUAUCACACAACUCCUAUCACCUAAUGCAUCAAACAAGGUGAUAAAGUUUUUAAACAACAAGGAAAAGGGAUAAUGCACCGGGGCUUGCCUUGUGUUGCAGGAGGGUCAAGGUCCACUCCACAGAUGUCGAAGUAGAAGUUGUUCUCGGCUGGAGGAUUUUCAGCUUGGGAGACAACUUCUUCAACCAUAGAUUCUUCCUCGUUUUCUAUACAUGACAACACAUGUACAUGAAUGCUUAUGCGAUGUCAUGAAUAUGUAGUUACAAUAGAAACAUACUAAGUUGUAUCUUGAAUACAACUUUCCUUCAUGGUACAAACUAAUCACUAGGGUUUUCUAAGUUGGUAUUCUAUUAGUAUUAAGUAACUUAACCCUAGGAAGCUAGUUAUUGGGUUUGUGACCAAAUAAUGUCCAAAUCAUUUCAAACUUUACUCAGGGUCUUCAAUCAUCAUACAAAGCCUACCCAAAAAGUUUUACAAUUUUUAGAGUUACUAAAUUAUUUCUAAAAUUCUAAAAGGCUUGGUUUGAGCACCUUUAAAGGCUACAUAAUUCUAGGUUUGGGAUAAAAAUCUUGGGACUAUUUUUAUUAAAUACUAUGUGAUUUUAGAGGUCUAGCAAAAAUGGGUCUCAUGAUUUUACCAAUUUUCUAAUAUUUUAUACAACUUUCCUAAACUGUCAGUAAAAAGAAAAAGAGAAAUAAUGAAUAGUGCUAGGCCAAAUCUGACCCAAGCCAGCCCAAUCUCACUAUUUUUCAGAGUUAAGCCAUAUGGGUGCCUUUGAGACUUUUUGCAAUUUACUCCAAAUUGUUCCACAAAACUUGGAAAUAUCCAAAUGUAAAAGUUGCUUAGUUUUUGUUACUCUACCACUUUGAUAUAUGCGCUUUGGUCCAAAAGUGUAUAGAAAUUGAUCUCAUCUCAUAGAGCACUCAUUAGGGUUUCUAGGGUCCUAAUUAGGGUUUUGAGUGUUCUAGGGUUUAUGUUCCACUCAAACUCUCUAUGUUUAGUCUCUUUUGAACAUCUCCACUAACCUUUGAGAUCAUACUCAAUUUGUUAUCACACACCCACAUACCUCUAUACCUUGGUCAAGUAUCCUAUCCUAGGGUUAAGGAUCACUUCAAGUCAUCACAUCACAAUUUGUUUUGAACUUUUAGCCUAGUGGAUGCACUCUAGGUGUAACAUACAUAAUGAAAUGUUAAUGGAUAUGAUGUCAUGCCCAAGUUUUAGUUCUUGUAACAUCAGGGAUGUUACAAUGACGCUUCGAUUGUGUACAUGCAGUAGCUUUCAACAUGUCGAUCCCCAACGGUGGUCACUGACUAUGACGUGCUCAUAGGUAGACUCCCAAUAGGAAGCCUGUAGAUGCCUUUCAUUCGAGGAAUUUGCUUACCCUGACAAAUGAAGGCACUACGAUUAUAUCAUCAUAUACACUUCUACUCUCCCUAUGAUGAGGCGACACGGUCUACGUUUGUUCGAAACCAGAACAAGAUGAUGUAUCAUCUUAGUAGUAGUAGUUGGUUGUUCUCUGAUCUGCUGGCCAUAAGAACCGCUGAGAACCUAGACACAGAAAUGUCUGCCGGCAAGCCAACGAACACUUUCAAUCUAGUUAGCCUCAUCAGUAUGUCAUCAUCAUCAUCGCCGUCCACUAACAUAAUCACAUUCACAGGUGCUCACGAAUUAAAACAAUACCCUCUAGCACUUCACUGUAUGGAGUUGGGCAUCAAAUUCAAAGCAGGCACGACCUCUCCUCUCAUGCACACAUCCACUGGUCCACACACAAUCUGACACCUAUUUGGUAGGAUUUUUGCCCCAGUUUUUAUAUAGGUCCUUCUCAUAACUAACAUCACUGGGAGAAAAAGAAGAACAUUCUAUCUUCAAAAGGUAUUCUUUUUUGUUUCUUGUGCCACAUGUUCUCAAUUAAACCGAAUGAAGCGGAAAUAAUUGUUGAAUUAAUGUGGGUCUGACCCAAAUUAAUAUUCAAUAAUAGUUAAUGCUAAAGGCCCCACUUUAAUGCUACGGUGUACUAGUACUUUAGUACCAUACCACAAGUUCAAGGGACAAUUCAAUCAACUUAAAUAGGUGGACCAUUGGUGCAUCUAUUGAGAAGCUGAGAAAAGGAUGAAGGACUACCACAUGCGCGCGCACCGCUGGCCGGGUUGGGCCGUGGUAGAUCGGACCUUGGUCUGAAUAUUCCUACCUAACGGUUGCACAUUUUGCAUGGAAUUCUUGCAAGCAGACCAUCUUAACGAGGUCGACUAUGGAAGCAGAACUCACAACAUUAGAUACCGCUUCAGUUGAGGCUAAGUGGCUUCGUGAACUCCUUAUAAAUUUACCAGUGGUUGAAAACAUGUGUCGGCUAUUUCUAUGAACUAUGAUAAUCAGACUGUGAUAAUCAAGAUAAAUAGUUCUAAGGAUAAUAUGAAGUCAACAAUGCACAUAAAGAGGCGUUUAAAAUCUGUCAGGAAGUUGAGAAACUUCGGAGUAAUAGCGUUGGACUAUGUGCAUACGUCAAAAAAUCUGGCAGAUCAAAUUACUAAGGGGCUAUCACGUAGUGUGAUAGAUAGUGCAUCGAUGAGAUGGGCCUGAGACCUACCUAAAGUUUAUCAUAGUGGUAACCUGUUCUAUGUAAUCGGAGAUCCCGUGAAUUAGAAUGGUGAAACAAGCUAGUGAUAGACUGAGUGGAAAGACCCUUAAUAAGGUUCAUUUCAUAUGCACAUCUUUCCUUACUAUAAGGUAGGUUGGUGUUUACACCUUAAUAAGGUCCAAGUGGCUUUGUGAAGCAAAGAUGUUGUCCUAUAGAACAUCUUUAGAGGAACAUACCUAUAUGGGUUAACUGCUAGUAACAGUUUAUAAGAUCUGGAUGGUCUCUAGAUACCCAUGAAAGGCUAUGGAGUUUGACUUGUAUGCUCCAACCAGAGGGGAUGUGGUCGUCAAUCUAGUACUAGUAAAGAGUUUAUAUGAAACUUAUUCCACGCAAAACUGCCAAUUCAAGGCCUAGUCCAUUGUGCAGAUGUGGUCAAGUGUAAUCUAGAUUCUAGGUGGAUGUUCAAGUUAACAGUCUCCAUCGAAACACCAGUAUAUUAAACAUUUGAGAUGAUGAGAGCAUUUUAGUGUGACUUAGCAUUUGGUGGGGAUUAUUGAAUUAAUGUGGGCUUGGCCCAAAUUAAUAUUCAAUAAUAGUCAAUGCUAAAGGCCCACUUUAAUGCUAUGGUGUACUAGUACUUUAGUACCAUACCGAAAAGUUCAAGGGACAAUUCAAUCAACUUAAAUAGGUGGACCAUUGGUGCAUCUAUUGAGAAGCUGAGAAAAGGAUGAAGGACUGCCACACGCGCGCACAACGCCGGUCGGGCUGGGCCAUGGCCGUGGUAGAUCGGACCUUGGUCCGAAUAUUCCUUCCUAAUGUUUACACUUUUUUCCUGGAGUGAUGACCGUCCAUUACUGUCGCCCGUUACUGGUUGUUUCCUGUGUUAUGGCUAGUAACAGACGGGUGGCUAGCUGUAACGGUAGCUCUGAUGGUGAAUGUUACUGUUCGUUCGCCUCCCUCUGCGCGUGUACAUAUACAGAGGAGGUGAGGCUGCUUCUGGUUACAGCAUGUACGAACAGUCUCAGACUCGUUGCACACAGCCAUUCCCGUCCCACCUUCUGGUAGCACAGAGGGUGUGGGAGAGCAGGCCUCCGAAAUCGCCAUUCGCAGAGCUACUCUUGCACGGGUGUGCGAGCGAUUAGGUUUUUGGGGAGUGUACUCGUGACUGCUUGCUUCGUCCGCUCGACCAACGCUAAUCAGGUUCCUCGUCGCUGGCACCGUUCGAGGGACUGCACUAUGUACAUUUGCCUUCAUUGACUGCGUACGAAUACAUCAAACAUACACACGAGAUGUCUCAUGUGAAUGGAGCCACUGAUGCCUUGAGCAUCGGUCCCUCCGUAGGGUACAUUCUGUUCUUAGUAAUUGUGCUUGUUUUACUGUUGUUUACUGCUUAUGUGAGUAGUGAUACACACAUGCACAUACAAGUCAUCACAUACAUCACUGUGGUUUUCUCGAUUAAAUUAAAAACUGAAAAUGCCUAUUUCUCUAACAAUCCAAAAACCUGAUAUUAGGCAUUUUUUGUUACUGGUUUUGCUGUUGCGUUAAAACCAAGUGAACCUUUUGAUGGGACAUUUUAUAAAAGGUGACGUAGUAAGAUGAUACUUUGAUUGACUGCAAUGAACUGCUAUCAUGUCGCACAGGGGAAACCCGAACAGUUCACUCCUGAAGAGGAGAGAAUGUUCAAUGUUGCCGAUAACCUAUUUCGAGGCACCGUGAUUGGCGCUCUUGCCAACAAGUAUGUUGAUUCUUCUCUAACGUGCACAUCUACAAAAACGUUAUGUGAUGUAUUAGAUGAGAAGUUAUGUGUUUCUGAUGUUGGUAGCGAGUUGUACAUCAUGGAGCAGAUGUUUGACUAUAAGAUGGUGGAAAAUCGUCCUGUAGUCGAACAGGCUUAUGAAAUACAGGCAUUGGCUAAGGAACUCGAACAGCUCCCAUGUGUCUUGCCUGACAAGUUCAUGGUUGGCGGUAUUAUCGCUAAGCUGCCACCUUCUUGGACAGAUUUUGCUACCACUCUAAAACAUAGGAGACAGGUGUUUAGCGUGGCUGAGCUUAUUGGUUCUCUUGAUGUUGAGGAGAGGGCGAGAGCAAAAGACACUCAUGGAAAAGAAGUUGAGACUUCUAGUGCCAAUAUGGUACAAAAGAAGAACUCCAAUGUGUCACAUAAUAAUAAUAAAAAGAAGAACAAGUAAUAGAAUGCCACGAAGCCCAAUCAAGUAGCCUCAUUUAAAAAGAAGAACAAAGGAGUUGGUUGCUUUGUUUGCGGGAGUACUGAUCACUGGCAAACACUUGUUCAGACCGCAAAUUUAAGUAAGAGAAUAAACCAGCUCAAGAGAAGAAAUCAGUAAACAUGGUUGUUAGUGAGAUCGCAGAAGGAAUAUCAGGGUAUGGUAAUCUUUUACCUACUGUUCUUUUAGUGUGUUAAUCCCCUGAGUGGUGGGCUGACACUGGUGCUAACAUUCAUGUGUGUGCUCAUAUUUCUUUGCAUUCUUCUAAUCAGUGCAAAGAGGUUGGAGCCUUGCUGAUGGGGAACGGAUCACAUGCGCAUGUUCUUUGUGGCAGAACCUCCCAAGUUAUUGGGCCCACAUGCACCUGUCCUUGUCUCAAAGACCUCAGAUGGCUAUGCAUGUGCACCAGAUAACUUAACAGGAUCCGUCCGAUUGCCCCAAGGACAUCGGAUAAACCACUUACAACCAGGACCACAAGAUUAAGUAACACAAAUCACACACCAACAUUUUUGCAGCAAAAAUCUUAAUACCAAAUUUUACAAGUUACAAAUUUUUUUACAUUAUAUUUAUCGGAGUGAUUACAAAAGUAUAAGUUUGGAAUAUAUGCUAGCUCAAAGGACUAUCCUCAAUAAGAAGUAUAGAAGGGUUACUUAGAAUUAUAAGAAGGCCGAGCCCACCGGCACUUAACACCAUCAUCAGCAGCACAAAACUAUAACCUGAAAACAACAGGGAAUAAAACCUUGAGUAUGGAAUUACUCAGCAAGACUUACCCGACUAAAGAAAAGACUCUCAAGGGUAUGCUGGUUUCAAACGGGAUUCAAGGAAAGGCUUAUCAAGAAUCAAGGACUCUGUUUUGCAGAAAUGCUUACUAAUAGUGGAUCCUUAAAAUCCAGUUUUACUUGUCAGGUUAAGUAAAGUUACCUGCAGCUAUAGUUCUUUCUACCCUAGUUCAAACACUUGGCCUAUACUAGCCGUCUUUUCAUCAUCCCUUUAGUUCACUGGAUUGCUACGUGUAGGGCAGUGACCAAGUCUUCAUGUCCGCGAAGUUACGGUGAUCCAAAUCAAUUAUACUCAGCUGAGGAUCUCCAAUCACACGACAUAUGUAGCACUUAACCCUUGCAUAUGUCAACUCGCCACCGGGGUUCUUAAGACCAGAUCAGGUUCACGCCAACCGAGAGCACAGAUACACCACCAUCCAGCCUCUUGCCACGGAGGGUACACGCUACUCUCGCCAUCUCUCCACUCCCAUUGUGUGUUAUCUUAUUCUGGUAUUAGUCUGCCCGAGGCAAAGCUUACCCAUGAUGAGGCAUGUGCCAGUUAAAGGGUCCUCGAUCAGCAAGCCUACAUCGACAAGGUCCUUAAUCGACUCAGACAGAGACACUACACCGAGACUCUCUUCUCGUGCAAGUCACCCGCCCAUUCUCAGCUUUAUCAUUUCAAACCCAAAGUUUGGUACCUGGUAGAGGUACAUCUUUUCCGAUGUUGAACCCAUCAUGGCCAUGAUGGAUCCACCAUCAAAUUUUGUUUUUGAAAACAUCCCACCCACUUUGAAGCAUCAUCUUUUGGGAAAACAAAACAUUUUGUUUUCUAGAGCAAGGCUAAGCAUAAGAAAAACCUUUUGGUAAAUCAAGGAUUAAGGAGAAGUAAUCAAAUCCAAGGAAGGAAAUACAACAACUGGUUUAGCACACAACUCCUAUAACCUAAUGCAUCAAGUAAGUGAGAAAGAUUUCAAAAUAACAAGGGGGUGGCAAAUGCACCGGGGCUUGCCUUGUAUGAUAGGUGAAUCAGGCUCUGUUCCGCAGAUAUCAAAGUAAAAGCAGUUUCCUGCCUGAGGUUCUUCAGGUGGUGGUGGUGAAGUCCUCGCUUCUUCAACUUCUAUUUCCUCCUCGUUUUCUAGAUAUAACCAUAUAUAAUCAUGAAUGCUCAUGUAAUGCUCAUGAAAAUGCUAAGAUAAUAAAAUUUUAUUAUCUAAUGUCUUGAAUAUAACUUUCCUUCACGGAUCUCCGAGAAAUUAGGGUUUUCGGAGUCUAUAGUGAAGUUCAUAGGGCAGGGGCUAGGGUUUUGGGUUCUAAGUAUCAAACAUGGUCCAAAUCAUACCAAACUUUACCCAAGGCUUCUAAAUAUUACUUAAAGCUUGUCUAAAAAGUUUGGUGAAUUUUGGGAUUAUAAAUUACUCUCUAAAAUUCCAGAAGUAUGGAUUUUGGCUAUUUUAAAUGCCCCAAAAUUCCCUAUUGGAACUAAAAAUCAGGAAACUAUUUUUAUUAAAUACUAUAAGAAAUUAGAAGCCUAGCAAAAUUGGUCUGGUAUUUUUAGCAUUUUUCUACAAAUUUUUUAUGGAUUUCUAAAGCUUCUCGGAAAAAGAAAAAGAAAAUCUUUCAAUAGUGUUGGGCCAAAACUGACCCAAACGGCCCAACCCGAACAGAAAACGGGGACGCGUGCGUGCCCUCGUUGGCGGAUUUGCACAGAGGCCCCCGAUGGCUUGGAUAACUCGUUAAGAACCCCUAGCCACUAUUCAUCGUCUCACUGACAAUUACACAGAGGUCCCCAGACUUCUGUUUCUUUACAGUUCGAAGUCCACGACGGCGAACAGCGCGGGGCCGAGCUCCGGUGAGCCUAUACCGGUCGAUUUACUCGAUGACCGGCGUUCUACUUUGGCAGAGACCAAAUUCAAGCUGUCGGGUACCGUAAUUAGGGGUACCUCCAAUGCUCCUUAAUCCGGCUGGAAAACAUCUUCAGAAUAAACCAUACACGGCUGAUAAAGCGCGGUUCAAGUCAAGGCCACGUCUGCCGAGGGACACGACCUCAUCCGAGCCCAGCCUCGGGCGAGAACAGUAGUCCCGGACGGAUUCACGUCUCGCCCGAGGGUCCCCUCAGCCAGCAGAUGCACCCUCGGCUCGCCCAAAGCCCAGCUUGGGUAGACUUUGUCGUGCAGCGACCUUGGCCAAAUCGCCUUACCAGUCGACCGUAUCGCAUGCGCAUUUAAUGCGGGGAUCGCCUGACACCUUAUCCUAACACGCAUGCCUCAGUCGGCAAGGUCGAAGUGACCGCAGUCACUUCGCCCCUUUACUAACCGAUAUGACAGGAAAACAGCGUUGUUCGCCCCGCUCCGGCUAUCAUGCCAACCACCAGGAUAAAACUGAGUCACGAUCUCCCACGAGUUUGGCCUUGGGCGCAACAGGGAGCUCCACCGCGCCCGACCUCAGGCCUCGGCCUCGGCCUCGGCCUCAGAAGAAGAUCUCCGCCUCGCCCGACCCCAGGCCUCGGCCUUAGCCUUGGCCUCGGGAGGAGUCACAACCUCGCCCGAGGCCAGCCUCGGCCUCAGGAGAAGUCUAUGCCUCGCCCGACCUAGGCCUCGGACCGACUACGCUACAGGGGAUACAUCAUUACCCUACUCCUAGCUAGCUGCCUCAGGCUAUGAAGGAACAAGACCGGUGUCCCAUCUAAGGUUACUCCGGUAACGUCGGUUGCUCUCAAACCCCCUACGAAAGCAAGACAACGUCAGCAGGAUCCAAGCCGCGCCGACAGCUGUGCUUCUACAGGGCUCAAGGCACUUCUCCGACGGCCACGUUAGCUCAUCUACAGGGCUCAAGGCGCUUCUCCGCCAGCCACGAUAGCACAUAGCUACACCCCCUUGUACAGCUGGGCAUCUCCUUGUAUCUAUAAAAGGGGAUGUCUAGGACGUUCACGAGGGGACGUCGUGGACAAACGUUGCAACACUGACAAUGUUGGACGUCGAGGACAGGCGGGGCAGACGAGACAGGCAGCACGCAGAGACUCUCUCUCUCUCUUGCUCUCGCCCUCACUCCCUCGCGCGACGCUUGUAACCCCUACUACGAGCACCCCGGUGCGAGAUAACAUAAGACUCAUUUCCCUCUUGUGUUCCAUCUUGCAUCAACCCAUCUGGGCAGGGACACGCAGCAACAAAUUUACUGGUCGGUUGACGGUCCUCGCGGGUCUGAAACGUCGACAGUUGGCGCGCCAGGUAGGGGCUCGCUGCGUGUUAACAAACACUUUCCCGUUGAGUUCCAGAUGGGUAGCCUCCAGCAGCCUAUUCAGCCGGGGAUGCUGCUCCGCUUCGGGAGUCUCGAGUUCAUGUCCCUUGACGGCAGCUACAACAUGGUACUCCUCCCCCCGCAGCGCGACAGCAACGACGAUCGUCGGCUCGCCUGGCGGCGGCGAACUCGACGAUGAAUUCCCACCGUGGUAGAAGAGGAACACCCGGGUUUGCGCCGCCACCUUCCUCACCGGAGGAGGAGGAGACGGGGCAACCAUGGCCAUGCAGGAGGCGGCACCUCGUCGGCUGUCAGGCCAGAGCGAUUCGACGACGCUGGCACCCCUGCGGGGGCCAUGUCGGGUGUUGUCUUCGCACCUGAGACAACAACGGGUGUCGCUUCCCCGCAACGUGCCAACCCCAAGCGGACUGAUGACGCCAGCACCCUCGCAAAGGACUUGCUGGGCGUUAGCCUCGUACCUGAGAUAACGGUGCAGUCCGUCCUCGAUGCGACUUUGUCACUGUCCAUCGACCAAGAGGUAUUGUCCGCUUUCCACCCUGACCCAUUUAGAUUCAGCUUCGAUCCACCAAGCGACCCCGCUUUGGUGAGCGCUUCCGCAAGGGCAUACCCUGACCUUCCGGGGUAUCCUAUGCGGUCAUCUUGGGACCGACUGACGGCCGUCUCAACCUCUGGACCCGCGGGUUCCGAGGAAGACGAUGACUCCGACUUAGUGAACCCAGUGCCAUGCGAGACUUCAUGUCCGCAUGUGACUACUGCCUCUCCGGCUGCUCUGACGAUGGCCAUAGCCUCGGCGACAAGGGUUGCGACCCAAGCCGCGAGUGUUUCCACAUCGAUCAGGGGGAUCACGGUGAGGACAACCACCUCGGCAUGCCGUAAGAUGACAACGCCCCUGUGCCUGCGUCUCGCAUUGACAUCCCGCGUGAGCUAGAUGUGGUCCCAGUCCCUGCGGGGGGGUCAGGCCACACAACUCGAGCAAUUCUACGAGAUGCAGGCCAAGCUCGACGAAGAAGCAGGGUGGCUUGUGCAGCUCCGACAAAACAUCGAGCAGGAGUGGGCAGGCCGAGCACUUGCCGGAGGAGCGCCUCAUCGGGCCCGAGACGUCCAGCGCCGUAUCGUUGACGAUGCCAGGGCAGGGCUGCCCCCGACCUUCAGCGGGGUCGGCCAGAAUCUAGCUACAACGGCGAUGCUACUCUGAGCAAUGCCGAAGCCAUCCACCACCGAGGGGUAGCGUAUCCAGGGCGAACUUAAGGGUCUCCUGGAAAACGCGGCGGUCCGACGAGCCGAGAGCUCUGCCUCCCGAAGGCAAAGGUGCCCCUUGGAGCAUCGCGCAACGUCCUCCCAACUCAUGCGGGAGACCUCGGUCCGCACCGGGCGCACGCGGGACGGGACGCCUGCAGCCCCAGAUCGCCUUGGCGACGAGCACCACCGCCGCGACCGUCGAGCCCUCCUCGAAGAGAAGGUGCGCCGAGGCUACCACCCCAGGAGCGGAGGACGCUAUGACAGUGAGGAAGAUCGGAGCCCCUCGCCCGAACCGCUGGGUUCGAGGGUCUUCAGCCGGGCCAUACGACGGGCGUCGUUCCCAGCCCGGUUCCGAGCCCCGACUACCAUCACCAAGUACUCAGGGGAGACAAGGCCGGAGUUGUGGCUUGCGGACUACCGACUGGCAUGCCAGUUGGGAGGGACGAAUGACAACAACCUCAUCAUCUGCAACCUCCCCCUUUUCCUCUCCGAAGCUGCCCGGGCAUGGCUGGAGCAUCUGCCUCCUACACAGAUCUCCGAUUGGGACGACCUGGUCAAGGCCUUCGCAGGAAACUUCCAAGGCACGUACGUGCGCCCUGGGAACUCAUGGGAUCUCCAAAGCUGCCGCCAGCAGUCAGGGGAAUCCCUGCGAGAGUACAUCCGACGGUUUUCAAAGUAGCGCACCGAGCUGCCCAACAUCACCGACUCGGACGUCAUCGGGGCAUUCCUCGUCAGCACCACGUGCCGGGACCUGGUGAGCAAACUGGGGCGCAAGACUCCCACCAAGGCGAGCGAAUUGAUGGACAUCGCCACCAAGUUCGCCUCUGGUUAGGAGGCGGUCGAAGCCAUCUUCUGGAAGAACAAGCAGCCUCAAGGAAGACAGAAAGAAGACGCCCCCGAGGCGUCCGUCUAGCGUGGCUCGAAAAAGAAGGCCAAGAAGAAGGCGCAAGCAAAGCGCGACGCCAUUGACGCGGAUCUCAUCGCUGCUACCGAGCACAGGAAUCCUCGGAAGCCUCCCGGAGGAGUCAACACGUUUGACAAGAUGCUCAAGGAGCCGUGCCCCUAUCACAGGGGUCCCGUCAAGCACACCCUUGAGGAGUGCGACAUGCUCCGGCGUUACUUCAUCAAGGCGGGACCCUCGGCAGAAGGUGGCAAGGACCAAGGCAACAACGAGAAGGGGGGCGACAAGGAUGAGGAGUUCCCGGAGGUCCAUGACUGCUUCAUGAUCUAUGGCGGACAGGUGGGGAACGCCUCGGCUCGGCGCCACAAGCAGGAGCGACGGGAGGUCUGCUCGGUGAAGGUAGCGGCGUCGGUCUACCUAGACUGGUCCGACAAGCCCAUCACCUUUGACCAAGGCAACCACCCCGACUAUGUGCCGAUCCCAGGAAGGUACCUGCUUGUCGUCGACCCCGUCAUUGGCAACGCUAGGCUCACCAAGGUCCUCAUGGACGGAGGCAGCAGCCUCAACAUCAUCUACGCCGAGACCCUAGGGCUCUUGGGGAUAGAUCUGUCCAUGAUCCGGGCCCGUGCAGCACCCUUUCACGGGAUUGUCCCCGGUAAGCACGUCCUGCCCCUUGGGCAACUUGAUUUGCCCGUCUGCUUCGGAGCUCCCUCCAACUUGCACAGGGAAACCCUCACGUUCGAGGUGGUUAGGUUCCGAGGAACCUAUCAUGCGGUGCUGGGGAGACCGUGCUACGCCAAGUUCAUGGUCGUCCCCAACUACACGUACCUCAAGCUCAAGAUGUCGGGCCCCAAUGGAAUCAUCAACGUCGGAUCCACGUACCGCCACGCUUACGAGUGCGAUGUGGAAUGAGUGGAGUACGCUGAGGCCAUCGCCGAGUCCGAGGCCCUCAUCGCCGACCUGGAAUGCCUCUCAAAGGAGGCGCCUGACGCGAAGCGCCACGCCGGCAACUUCGAACCAGCUGAGGCGGUUAAAUCCGUCUCUCUCAACCCAAGCAACGACGCCUGCAAGCAAGUCAGGAUCGGCUCCGAGCUCGACCCCAAAUAGGAAGCAGUGCUCGUCGACUUUCUCCACGCAAAUGCUGAAAUUUUUGCGUGGAGUCCCUCGGACAUGCCGGGCAUACCAAGGGAUGUCGCCGAGCACUCGCUGGAUAUCCGAGCUAGAGCCCGACCCCGUGAAGCUUAUUGGUUCUCUUGAUGUUGAGGAGAGGGCGAGAGCAAAAGACACUCAUGGAAAAGAAGUUGAGACUUCUAGUGCCAAUAUGGUACAAAAGAAGAACUCCAAUGUGUCACAUAAUAAUAAUAAAAAGAAGAACAAGUAAUAGAAUGCCACGAAGCCCAAUCAAGUAGCCUCAUUUAAAAAGAAGAACAAAGGAGUUGGUUGCUUUGUUUGCGGGAGUACUGAUCACUGGCAAACGCUUGUUCAGACCGCAAAUUUAAGUAAGAGAAUAAACCAGCUCAAGAGAAGAAAUCAGUAAACAUGGUUGUUAGUGAGAUCGCAGAAGGAAUAUCAGGGUAUGGUAAUCUUUUACCUACUGUUCUUUUAGUGUGUUAAUCCCCUGAGUGGUGGGCUGACACUGGUGCUAACAUUCAUGUGUGUGCUCAUAUUUCUUUGCAUUCUUCUAAUCAGUGCAAAGAGGUUGGAGCCUUGCUGAUGGGGAACGGAUCACAUGCGCAUGUUCUUUGUGGCAGAACCUCCCAAGUUAUUGGGCCCACAUGCACCUGUCCUUGUCUCAAAGACCUCAGAUGGCUAUGCAUGUGCACCAGAUAACUUAACAGGAUCCGUCCGAUUGCCCCAAGGACAUCGGAUAAACCACUUACAACUAGGACCACAAGAUUAAGUAACACAAAUCACACACCAACAUUUUUGCAGCAAAAAUCUUAAUACCAAAUUUUACAAGUUACAAAUUUUUUUACAUUAUAUUUAUCGGAGUGAUUACAAAAGUAUAAGUUUGGAAUAUAUGCUAGCUCAAAGGACUAUCCUCAAUAAGAAGUAUAGAAGGGUUACUUAGACUUAUAAGAAGGCCAAGCCCACCGGCACUUAACACCAUCAUCAGCAGCACAAAACUAUAACCUGAAAAACAACAGGGAAUAAAACCCUGAGUAUGGAAUUACUCAGCAAGACUUACCCGACUAAAGAAAAGACACUCAAGGGUAUGCUGGUUUCAAACGGGAUUCAAGGAAAGGCUUAUCAAGAAUCAAGGACUCUGUUUUGCAGAAAUGCUUACUAAUAGUGGAUCCUUAAAAUCCAGUUUUACUUGUCAGGUUAAGUAAAGUUACCUGCAGCUAUAGUUCUUUCUACCCUAGUUCAAACACUUGGCCUAUACUAGCCGUCUUUUCAUCAUCCCUUUAGUUCACUGGAUUGCUACGUGUAGGGCAGUGACCAAGUCUUCAUGUCCGCGAAGUUACGGCGAUCCAAAUCAAUUAUACUCAGCUGAGGAUCUCCAAUCACACGACAUAUGUAGCACUUAACCCUUGCAUAUGUCAACUCGCCACCGGGGUUCUUAAGACCAGAUCAGGUUCACGCCAACCGAGAGCACAGAUACACCACCGUCCAGCCUCUUGCCACGGAGGGUACACGCUACUCUCGCCAUCUCUCCACUCCCAUUGUGUGUUAUCUUAUUCUGGUAUUAGUCUGCCCGAGGCAAAGCUUACCCAUGAUGAGGCAUGUGUCAGUUAAAGGGUCCUCGAUCAGCAAGCCUACAUCGACAAGGUCCUUAAUCGACUCAGACAGAGACACUACACCGAGACUCUCUUCUCGUGCAAGUCACUCGCCCAUUCUCAGCUUUAUCAUUUCAAACCCAAAGUUUGGUACCUGGUAGAGGUACAUCUUUUCCGAUGUUGAACCCAUCAUGGCCAUGAUGGAUCCACCAUCAAAUUUUGUUUUUGAAAACAUCCCACCCACUUUGAAGCAUCAUCUUUUGGGAAAACAAAACAUUUUGUUUUCUAGAGCAAGGCUAAGCAUAAGAAAAACCUUUUGGUAAAUCAGGGAUUAAGGAGAAGUAAUCAAAUCCAAGGAAGGAAAUACAACAACUGGUUUAGCACACAACUCCUAUAACCUAAUGCAUCAAGUAAGUGAGAAAGAUUUCAAAAUAACAAGGGGGUGGCAAAUGCACCGGGGCUUGCCUUGUAUGAUAGGUGAAUCGGGCUCUGUUCCGCAGAUAUCAAAGUAAAAGCAGUUUCCUGCCUGAGGUUCUUCAGGUGGUGGUGGUGAAGUCCUCGCUUCUUCAACUUCUAUUUCCUCCUCGUUUUCUAGACAUAACCAUAUAUAAUCAUGAAUGCUCAUGUAAUGCUCAUGAAAAUGCUAAGAUAAUAAAAUUUUAUUAUCUAAUGUCUUGAAUAUAACUUUCCUUCACGGAUCUCCGAGAAAUUAGGGUUUUCGGAGUCCAUAGUGAAGUUCAUAGGGCAGGGGCUAGGGUUUUGGGUUCUAAGUAUCAAACAUGGUCCAAAUCAUACCAAACUUUACCCAAGGCUUCUAAAUAUUACUUAAAGCUUGUCUAAAAAGUUUGGUGAAUUUUGGGAUUAUAAAUUACUCUCUAAAAUUCCAGAAGUAUGGAUUUUGGCUAUUUUAAAUGCCCCAAAAUUCCCUAUUGGAACUAAAAAUCAGGAAACUAUUUUUAUUAAAUACUAUAAGAAAUUAGAAGCCUAGCAAAAUUGGUCUGGUAUUUUUAGCAUUUUUCUACAAAUUUUUUAUGGAUUUCUAAAGCUUCUCGGAAAAAGAAAAAGAAAAUCUUUCAAUAGUGUUGGGCCAAAACUGACCCAAACGGCCCAACCCGAACAGAAAACGGGGACGCGUGCGCGCCCUCGUUGGCGGAUUUGCAUAGAGGCCCCCGAUGGCUUGGAUAACUCGUUAAGAACCCCUGUUUCUUUACAGUCCGAAGUCCACGACGGCGAACAGCGCGGGGCCGAGCUCCGGUGAGCCUAUACCGGUCGAUUUACUCGAUGACCGGCGUUCUACUUUGGCAGAGACCAAAUUCAAGCUGUCGGGUACCGUAAUUAGGGGUACCUCCAAUGCUCCUUAAUCCGGCUGGAAAACAUCUUCAGAAUAAACCAUACACGGCUGAUAAAGCGCGGUUCAAGUCAAGGCCACGUCUGCCGAGGGACACGACCUCAUCCGAGCCCAGCCUCGGGCGAGAACAGUAGUCCCGGACGGAUUCACGUCUCGCCCGAGGGUCCCCUCAGCCAGCAGACGCACCCUCGGCUCGCCCAAAGCCCAGCUUGGGUAGACUUUGUCGUGCAGCGACCUUGGCCAAAUCGCCUUACCAGUCGACCGUAUCGCAUGCGCAUUUAAUGCGGGGAUCGCCUGACACCUUAUCCUAACACGCGUGCCUCAGUCGGCAAGGUUGAAGUGACCGCAGUCACUUCGCCCCUUUACUGACCGAUAUGACAGGAAAACAGCGUUGUUCGCCCCGCUCCGGCUAUCAUGCCAACCACCAGGAUAAAACUGAGUCACGAUCUCCCACGAGUUUGGCCUUGGGCGCAACAGGGAGCUCCACCGCGCCCGACCUCAGGCCUCGGCCUCGGCCUCAGAAGAAGAUCUCCGCCUCGCCCGACCCCAGGCCUCGGCCUUAGCCUCGGCCUCGGGAGGAGUCACAACCUCGCCCGAGGCCAGCCUCGGCCUCAGGAGAAGUCUAUGCCUCGCCCGAUCUAGGCCUCGGACCGACUACGCUACAGGGGAUACAUCAUUACCCUACUCCUAGCUAGCUGCCUCAGGCUAUGAAGGAACAAGACCGGUGUCCCAUCUAAGGUUACUCCGGUAACGUCGGUUGCUCUCAAACCCCCUACGAAAGCAAGACAACGUCAGCAGGAUCCAUGCCGCGCCGACGGCUGUGCUUCUACAGGGCUCAAGGCACUUCUCCGACGCUCACGUUAGCUCGUCUACAGGGCUCAAGGCGCUUCUCCGCCAGCCACGAUAGCACAUAGCUACACCCCCUUGUACAGCUUGGCAUCUCCUUGUAUCUAUAAAAGGGGAUGUCCAGGACGUUCACGAGGGGACGUCGUGGACAAACGUUGCAACACUGACAAUGUUGGACGUCGAGGACAGGCGGGGCAGAUGAGACAGGCAGCACGCAGAGACUCUCUCUCUCUCUCUUGCUCUCGCCCUCGCUCCCUCGCGCGACGCUUGUAACCCCUACUACGAGCACCCCGGUGCGAGAUAACAUAAGACUCAUUUCCCUCUUGUGUUCCAUCUUGCAUCAACCCAUCUGGGCAGGGACACGCAGCAACAAAUUUACUAGUCGGUUGACGGUCCUCGCGGGUCUGAAACGUCGACAGUUGGCGCGCCAGGUAGGGGCUCGCUGCGUGUUAACAAACACUUUCCCGUUGAGUUCCAGAUGGGUAGCCUCCAGCAGCCUCUUCAGCCGGGGAUGCUGCUCUGCUUCGGGAGUCUCGAGUUCAUGUCCCUUGACGGUAGCUACAACAUGGUACUCCUCCCCCCGCAGCGCGACAGCAACGACGAUCGUCGGCUCGCCUGGCGGCGGCGAACUCGACGAUGAAUUCCCACCGUGGCAGAAGAGGAACACCCGGGUUUGCGCCGCCACCUUCCUCACCGGAGGAGGAGGAGACGGGGCAACCAUGGCCAUGCAGGAGGCGGCACCUCGUCGGCUGUCAGGCCAGAGCGAUUCGAUGACACUGGCACCCCUGCGGGGGCCAUGUCGGGUGUUGUAUUCGCACCUGAGACAACAACGGGUGUCGCUUCCCCGCAACGUGCCAACCCCAAGCGGACUGAUGACGCCAGCACCCUUGCAAAGGACUUGCUAGGCGUUAGCCUCGUACCUGAGAUAACGGUGCAGUCCGUCCCCGAUGCGACUUUGUCACCGUCCAUCGACCAAGAGGUACUAUCCGCUUUCCACCCUGACCCAUUUAGAUUCAGCUUCGAUCCACCAAGCGACCCCGCUUUGGUGAGCGCUUCCGCAAGGGCAUACCCUGACCUUCCGGGGUAUCCUAUGCGGUCAUCUUGGGACCGACUGAUGGCCGUCUCAACCUUUGGACCCGCGGGUUCCGAGGAAGACGAUGACUCCGACUUAGUGAUCCCAGUGCCAUGCGAGACUUCAUGUCCGCAUGUGACUACUGCCUCUCCGGCUGCUCUGACGAUGGCCAUAGCCUCGGUGACAAGGGUUGCGACCCAAGCCGCGAGUGUUUCCACAUCGAUCAGGGGGAUCACGGUGAGGACAACCACCUCGGCAUGCCGUAAGAUGACAACGCCCCUGUGCCUGCGUCUCGCAUUGACAUCCCGCGUGAGCUAGCUGUGGUCCCAGUCCCUGCGGGGGGUCAGGCCACACAACUCGAGCAAUUCUACGAGAUGCAGGCCAAGCUCGACGAAGAAGCAGGGUGGCUUGUGCAGCUCCGACAAAACAUCGAGCAGGAGUGGGCAGGCCGAGCACUUGCCGGAGGAGCGCCUCAUCGGGCCCGAGACGUCCAGUGCCGUAUCGUUGACGAUGCCAGGGCAGGGCUGCCCCCGACCUUCAGCGGGGUCGGCCAGAAUCUAGCUACAACGGCGAUGCUACUCUGAGCAAUGCCGAAGCCAUCCACCACCGAGGGGUAGCGUAUCCAGGGCGAACUUAAGGGUCUCCUGGAAAACGCGGCGGUCCGACGAGCCGAGAGCUCUGCCUCCCGAAGGCAAAGGUGCCCCUCGGAGAAUCGCGCAACGUCCUCCCAACUCAUGCGGGAGACCUCGGUCCGCACCGGGCGCACGCGGGACGGGACGCCUGCAGCCCCAGAUCGCCUUGGCGACGAGCACCACCGCCGCGACCGUCGAGCCCUCCUCGAAGAGAAGGUGCGCCGAGGCUACCACCCCAGGAGCGGAGGACGCUAUGACAGUGAGGAAGAUCGGAGCCCCUCGCCCGAACCGCUGGGUUCGAGGGUCUUCAGCCGGGCCAUACGACGGGCGCCGUUCCCAGCCCGGUUCCGAGCCCCGACUACCAUCACCAAGUACUCAAGGGAGACAAGGCCGGAGUUGUGGCUUGCGGACUACCGACUGGCAUGCCAGUUGGGAGGGACGAAUGACAACAACCUCAUCAUCUGCAACCUCCCCCUUUUCCUCUCCGAAGCUGCCCGGGCAUGGCUGGAGCAUCUGCCUCCUACGCAGAUCUCCGAUUGGGACGACCUGGUCAAGGUCUUCGCAGGAAACUUCCAAGGCACGUACGUGCGCCCUGGGAACUCAUGGGAUCUCCAAAGCUGCCGCCAGCAGUCAGGGGAAUCCCUGCGAGAGUACAUCCGAUGGUUUUCAAAGUAGCGCACCGAGCUGCCCAACAUCACCGACUCGGACGUCAUCGGGGCAUUCCUCGCCGGCACCACGUGCCGGGACCUGGUGAGCAAACUGGGGCGCAAGACUCCCACCAAGGCGAGCGAAUUGAUGGACAUCGCCACCAAGUUCGCCUCUGGUUAGGAGGCGGUAGAAGCCAUCUUCUGGAAGAACAAGCAGCCUCAAGGAAGACAGAAAGAAGACGCCCCUGAGGCGUCCGUCCAGCGUGGCUCGAAAAAGAAGGCCAAGAAGAAGGCGCAAGCAAAGUGCGACGCCAUUGACGCGGAUCUCAUCGCUGCUACCGAGCACAGGAAUCCUCGGAAGCCUCCCGGAGGAGUCAACACGUUUGACAAGAUGCUCAAGGAGUCGUGCCCCUAUCACAGGGGUCUCGUCAAGCACACCCUUGAGGAGUGCGACAUGCUCCGGCGUUACUUCAUCAAGGCGGGACCCUCGGCAGAAGGUGGCAAGGACCAAGGCAACAACGAGAAGGGGGCGACAAGGAUGAGGAGUUCCCGGAGGUCCGUGACUGCUUCAUGAUCUAUGGCGGACAGGUGGCGAACGCCUCGGCUCGGCGCCGCAAGUAGGAGCGACGGGAGGUCUGCUCGGUGAAGGUAGCGGCGCCGGUCUACCUAGACUGGUCCGACAAGCCCAUCACCUUCGACCAAGGCAACCACCCCGACUAUGUGCCGAUCCCAGGAAGGUACCUGCUUGUCGUCGACCCCAUCAUCGGCAACGCUAGGCUCACCAAGGUCCUCAUGGACGGAGGCAGCAGCCUCAACAUCAUCUACGCCGAGACCCUAGGGCUCUUGGGGAUAGAUCUGUCCAUGAUCCGGGCCCGUGCAGCACCCUUUCACGGGAUCGUCCCCGGUAAGCGCGACCUGCCCCUUGGGCAACUUGAUUUGCCCGUCUGCUUCGGAGCUCCCUCAAACUUGCACAGGGAAAACCUCAUGUUCGAGGUGGUUAGGUUCCGAGGAACCUAUCAUGCGGUGCUGGGGAGACCGCGCUACGCCAAGUUCAUGGCCGUCCCCAACUACACGUACCUCAAGCUCAAGAUGCCGGGCCCCAACGGAAUCAUCAACGUCGGAUCCACGUACCGCCACGCUUACAAGUGCGGCGUGGAAUGCGUGGAGUACGCUGAGGCCAUCGCCGAGUCCGAGGCCCUCAUCGCCGACCUGGAAUGCCUCUCAAAGGAGGCGCCUGACGCGAAGCGCCACGCCGGCAACUUCGAACCAGCUGAGGCGGUUAAAUCCGUCUCUCUCAACCCCAGCAACGACGCCUGCAAGCAAGUCAGGAUCGGCUCCGAGCUCGACCCCAAAUAGGAAGCAGUGCUCGUCGACUUUCUCCGCGCAAAUGCUGAAAUUUUUGCGUGGAGUCCCUCGGACAUGCCGGGCAUACCAAGGGAUGUCGCCGAGCACUCGCUGGAUAUCCGAGCUAGAGCCCAACCCGUGAAGCAGCACCUGCGCCGCUUUGAUGAAGAGAAGCACAGGGCCAUAGGCGAGGAGGUCCACAAGCUGAUGGCUGCAGGGUUCAUCAAAGAGGUAUUCCAUCCCGAAUGGUUAGCUAACCCUGUGCUUGUGAAGAAAAAAGGUGGGAAAUGGAGGAUGUGCGUAGACUACACUGGCCUAAACAAAGCAUGUCCGAAGGUUCCCUACCUUCCGCCUCGCAUCGAUUAAAUUGUGGACUCCACUGCUAGGUGCGAAACCCUGUCAUUCCUCGACACCUAUUCAGGUUAUCACCAAAUCAAGAUGAAAGAAUCCGACCAGCUCGCGACUUCUUUCAUCACACCCUUUGGCAUGUAUUGUUAUAUUACUAUGCCCUUUGGCUUGAGGAAUGCAGGUGCAACCUACCAAAGGUGCAUGAACCAUGUGUUCGGAGAGCACAUCGGCCGGACGGUCGAGGCUUACGUCGAUGACAUCGUUGUCAAGACAAGAAGAGCCUCCGACCUCCUCUCCGACCUCGAAGUGACUGUCGGGUGCCUGCACGCAAAGGGCGUAAAGCUCAAUCCCGAGAAGUGUCUCUUCGGAGUCCCCCGAGGCAUGCUCCUGGGGUUCAUCGUCUCCGAAAGAGGCAUCGAGGCCAACCCAGACAAAAUCGCAGCCAUCACCAACAUGGGACCCAUCAAGAAUCUAAAAGGAGUACAAAGGGUCAUGGGAUGCCUUGCGGCUCUAAGCCGCUUCAUCUCGCGCCUCAGCGAGAAAGGAUUGCCCUUGUACCGCCUCUUAAGGAAGGGCGAGCGCUUCACUUGGACCCCCGAGGCCGAGGAAGCCCUCGGGAACUUAAAGGCACUCCUUACUAACGCACCCAUCUUGGUGCCCCCCGCUGCGGGAGAAGCCCUCUUGAUCUAUGUAGCCGCAACCACUCAGGUGGUCAGCGCCACGAUCGUAUUCGAGAGACGAGAAGAGGGGCAUGCAUUGCUCGUCCAGAGGCCGGUCUACUUCAUCAGUGAAGUGCUGUCCGAGACCAAGAUCGGCUACCCAUAAAUUCAGAAGCUACUGUACACAGUAAUUCUGUUGUGGCGAAAGUUGCGACACUACUCCGAGUCUCAUCCGGUGACUGUGGUGUCAUCCUUCCCCCUGGGAGAGAUCAUCCAGUGCCGAGAGGCCUUGGGUAGGAUAGCAAAAUGGGCAGUGGAACUCAUGGGUGAAACAAUUUCAUUUACCCCCCGGAAGGCCAUAAAGUCCCAAGUCUUGGCGGACUUCCUGGCUGAAUGGGUCGACACCCAAUUGCCGACAGCUCCAAUCCAGCCCGAACUUUGGACCAUGUACUUCGAUGGGUCGCUGAUGAAAAUAGGAGCAGGUGUUGGCUUGCUCUUCAUCUCACCCCUCGGGAAACAUGUGCUCUACAUGUUGCGCCUCCAUUUUCCGACGUUAAACAACAUGGCCGAGUACGAGGCUUUGGUUAAUGGGUUGCGCAUCGCCAUCGAGCUAGGGGUUCGGAGCCUCAACGCUCAGGGCAACUCGCAACUCGUCAUUGACCAAGUCAUGAAGAACUCCCACUGCCGCGAUCAAAAAAUGGAGGCCUACUGCGACGAAGUUCGGUGCUUGGAGGAUAAGUUCCACGGGCUGGAACUCAACCAUGUUGCUCGAUGGUACAAUGAGACCGCGGAUGAGCUGGCUAAAAUAGCCUUAGGGCGAACGACGGUUCCCCCGGAUGUCUUCUCCAGGGACAUAUAUCAACCAUCCGUGAAACUCGACGACGCGCCCGAGCCCGAUGAGACUUCGGCCCAGCCCGAGGUACCCUCGACCGCCGAGGGUGAGGCCUUGCGCAUCGAGGGACAGCAGAAUGGGGUUGCGCCAAACCAAAACUGGCAAACCCCAUACCUGCAAUAUCUCUGCCGAGGAGAGCUGCCCCUCGACAAGGCCGAAGCUCGACGACUGGCUCGGCGCGUCAAGUCGUUCGUUUUACUAGGUGAUGAAAAGGAGUUGUACCACCACAGCCCCUCAGGCAUUCUCCAACGAUGCAUAUCCAUUGCCCAAGGACAAGAGCUGUUACAAGAAAUACACUCGGGGGCUUGCGGUCACCAUGCAACACCUCGGACCCUCGUCGGAAACGCUUUUCGACAAGGUUUCUACUGGCCGACCGCAGUGGCCGAUGCCACUAGGAUUGUACACUCAUGCAGAGGGUGUCAAUUCUACGCGAGACAGACGCACCUGCUCGCUCAGACCCUGCAAACAAUACCCAUCACUUGGUCGUUUGCCGUAUGGGGUCUGGACCUCGUCGGUCCCUUGCAGAAGGCACCCGGGGGCUUCAAGCACCUGCUAGUCGCCAUCGAUAAAUUCUCCAAGUGGAUCGAGGUCCGACCCUUAACCAGCAUCGGGUCCGAGCAGGCGGUGGCGUUCUUCACAAACAUUAUCCAUCGCUUUGGGGUCCCGAACUCCAUCAUCACCGACAAUGGCACGCAGUUCACUAGGAAGAAGUUCCUGGACUUCUGCGAAGACCACCACAUCCGUGUGGACUGGGUCGUAGCUCACCCAAUGACAAAUGGGCAGGUGGAGCGCGCCAACGGUAUGAUUUUGCAGGGACUAAAGCCGAGGAUCUACAAUGACCUCAACAAGUUUGGCAAGCGGUGGAUAAAGGAACUACCCUCGGUGGUUUGGAGUCUGAGGACGACGCCGAGCUGAGCCACGGGUUUCUCGCCGUUCUUUCUAGUCUAUGGGGCCGAGGCCAUCCUACCCACGGACUUAGAAUACGGUUCGCCGAGGACAAAGGCUUACGACGACUAAAGCAACCAGACCAACCGAGAAGAUUCGUUGGACCAGCUGGAAGAGGCUCGGGACGUGGCCCUACUACACUCGGCGCGGUAUCAGCAGUCCCUGCGACGCUACCACGCCCGAAGGAUUCGGCCCCGAGGCUUCCAAGUGGGAGACUUGGUACUUCGGCUGCGACAAGAUGCCCGAGGGCGCCACAAGCUUACUCCUCCCUGGGAAGGGCCCUUCAUCAUCGCCAAGAUUUUGAAGCCCGGGACAUACAAGCUAUCCAACGAUCAAAGCGAGGUCUAGAGCAACGCUCGGAACAUCCAACAGCUACGUCGCUUUUACCCUUAAAAUGUUUCAAGUCGUUUUUGUACCUCGCUUUCUUUACAUGCACAAAUAAAGUCUAACCAUCAAGGAAGGAUCAGCCUUGCCUCAGCAAGGCCCGACCCUCCCUCGGGGGCUAGAAGGGGGAACCCCCUCUGCGUCAAAAAUUUUCCUCGGGAAAGUCUUUUGCCAGAACAUCUUUCGUGCUUUUCGACUGCGUCGAUAACAAAAUCCUGAAGACGAGCGAGAGAGACCUUGAACGGCAAGGCCGACCGAGCCGAGAGACUCCUAUGCCUCCGGGAUACGGAUACCUCACUCGUCACCUUUCGCAAAAAGUAGAUCACGCUCAGAUAUGCGAUUCUGCUACCGAACAAGUCCUAACGCUCGGAAACUUUUCUGCCAGAACGACUUUCGUGCUGUUUCGACUGUGUCGAUAACAUAAUCCUAAAAACGACGAGGGACCACGUAAGCGGCAAGGCCGACCGAGCCGAGGGACUCCUACGCCUCCGGGAUACAGAUACCUCACUCAUCACCUUCCGCGAAAAGUGACUCACGCUCGGACAAGGGAUUCUGCUACCGAACAAGUCUUAACACACGAAACGAGAGGAAAGAAAACGCAGCUUUAUAAUCCAACGACUAAAAUGUUUAGGCCUCAGCGGCCGCAAAAAACAUACGCAUACUUCAAGCAAACUGUUCUUGCUGGCUCAGACAGCGGCAGGGGGAGGAGCGGCACCCUCGGCGUCGUUUCCACCCUUGGCAGAAUCUGGCCUGGCCCCAGGCGGUGACACAGGCGAAAGGACCUCCACCUCAAAGGAGGAAGCCAGCGCCGCACUUAGACCCUCGACAGCCGCAUCAAGCCUCUGGACCUCGGCUAAGGCAGCCUCUUCUUCGUCAGGUAAGCAGUACCCCUCGCUAACCCGCUCCAGAUCCACGUCGUAGUGGGAAGCGAGCACGACGAAGGACCGCCUAACGCCGUGGUGCAGCGCCCCGCGGAGUCUGUUGCGCACAUGGCCGCCCAAGGCCUGCAGAUGACUCUAGGGGGAGCUACCCGAGGGGACGCCGUCGAGGCCAAAGGCCUGGCAGAAAGCCGAGAUGGCCUCAGACAUGGCCACACGCUUGGCCUCCAUCUGCUCAGCCACCUUGGCAAGCGCCUUGCAGUUCUUGGCAGCCUCGUCAAGAGCCGUCUCGAGCCCUGCAGGCAGCAGGACAACAUUCUUCAGACGAAAGGAGAAGAAUGGAGACAAAAACAAAGUCACAGAGCGGGCAAAACAUACCCUUGGCCCAGGCACGCUGCUUUGAGGUCGUGCCUCGGGUAGACCGAGCAGACCCAACGACCACGACCAGACCCUCCGCAAGGGUCCCAGUCCAAACGGUCGCCUCGGGUCUAGAAGGGGGAAGCCCCCUCUGCGCCAAAACUUUCCUCGGAAAAGUUUUUCGCCAAAACGACUUUCGUGCCUUUCGACUGCGUUGAUAGCGGAAUCCUAAUGACGAGCAAGAGAGACCUUGAGCGGCAAGGCCGACCAAGCCGAGGGACUCCUACGCCUCCGGGAUACGGAUACCUCACUCGUCACCUUCAUCGAAAGGUAGCUCAUGCUCGGAUAAGUGAUUCUGCUACCGACGAACAAGUCCUAAUGCUCGAAACAAGAGGAAAGAAACACGGCUUUAUACCCAAAUGAUCAGGCAUCAGCAGCCACAAAGAACAAACACACGUACUUGGGGUAACAAUGGUACCUAGACUCAGACGUCGGCAGCACCCUUGGCGGCUGUCCUGACCUACGGCAGAUGUCUUAGUACCUAAAGCUAUUACAUCUUGCUCUCAAGAGGGUACCAUUACAAACGGGACUCUGGGUCCAUUCCCGCAGGAAUGAACAACCUCCACACCAGAAGGCCUGCGGGAUAACAAACUCCAGGUGGCUCGCCGGCAACCACUGCACCAGCAGCGCGACAACGACCUCCGUCUCGGACGGCUAGACAGCAGCAGCGAUGGCCUCAGGGCAAACGCUACCACUGGAAGGCCCUCGUUCACGUCCCCUCAUGGGGGACGAGAACUAGCCAUUAAAGCCAAAGAGCCAGAGGCCCAGAGCGCAGGUGGCACUGACGGUCUCGUCGACGGAAGCAACCACAGCUGCGGUGGGAAGCCUCGCUAGCGGUAGCCGCCACUUCAGCACCGGCGACAGCAGCCGCUUGCGCACGACACGACCAUCGUCCGGAUGGAGGACGGACAGCUGCACCCUGGCCAGGUGUAACAUCCCAAAAUCCCAACCAAGGUUUGACACCCUAACCUCCAAAUCUCCCCCCCCCCCUUAUUUUAUUUUUCUCCCUUAAACUCUACCCUUAGAACCCCUUCUCAUGUGCAUACACUUGAAAUAAUUAGAGCACCUCACAUAGACUAUAUUUCUCACUCAAGAUCACUUAGAAAAUAUUUUUGGUCUCAAAGGAGAAAGAAACGAAAAGAAACAAAAAUAGAAAAAGGAAAGGAAAGGAAUUAGAAUUAGAAAAAGAAAAGAAAAAGAAAACUCCCCUCCUCCCUCGGCUGGGCCGAAUUUCGGCCCAACCAGCCCUGCGCGCCCGCGCUCCCCUCCUCUCUACCCAGCCCAGCCGCUCCCUCUCGCUGACAUCCGGGCCCCGCCCGUCAGCGCCUUGUCCCCCUCCCUCUCGCGCCGCUUCCUCUCGCUGGCAGCCAGGGCCCGCUUGUCAGCUUCGUCCCUCUCGCCCAUCCCUGACCGGCGCAUCUGCCGCCGAGCCCCCCCUCGCCUCGUUGCCUCGCCAUUAAUGCUCGCCUAGCCUCCGCGACAACCCCGCCACUGUGCUCGAGCUGUCCCCUCACCCCCGCCUGCCCGAGCCAUCUCAAUCGGCAUUAGCACCAUUCCCGCCGUCAUGGCGAGCUCGCCGGUGCUCGCCGUCACCUCCAUCCCCCCUCCCUCCCCCGAGUGCCUAUAAAAGGACCCGCCCGAGCCCCGUCUUCACCCCACAGCUCCGGCCCCUCCACUGCCUUCUUCCCUGAGCCUACCGAGCUAGCGCCGUCGUGCUCCCUUCGUCGCUCCGGUGAGCUCCCUUCCCCUUCUCUAGCGAUCCUCUGUCCAAUUAAGCUAUGAUCGAAGCUCCACCACACUCUCACGGUCAUAGGGCGCCACUUCCCCCCCUAUUGUGGUCGGCGACCUCACCGGCGGCAUCACCGCCGCGGGCACCCGCCACCGUGCCGCCGACAGGCCACCAUAGGCCCCCGCAGGCAAAAUUCGCCCCACCCCCGUGACCCCCUUCACCCGCCCGUGCUUCGCCACCACCUCCCCGUCAAAGAACCGGACCCACGGCGGAGAACCACCGCCGGACUCGCCGCCGGCCGGACCCCGGUCAAGCUUCCCCCCUUCCUCCGUGCCGUUAGCGCCGUCCGCCCCUCCCUCUCUCUGGCGUGCGGGCCCGCGCCACGGCGCCGUCCCCCGCCGUCACCCCGCGCGGCUGGGCCAACUGGGCCGAAAGCACGCCCGCCCCCGCACGCUCGCGCCAACUGGGCCGAAAUCCCCCCCCCCUCGGCCCGGCUAGCUGGAAAAUCCUUUCUCUUUUUCCUUUCCCAUUUCUUUUUCCCAUUUUCACAUAUAUAUUUAGAUGCUAAUAUUUUAUGCACCAAAAAUAGUCUAAAUAAAUUAUAGGGCACAAAAAUAAUAAAGUAUAAGAACUUGCACACCCCACUAAAGUCACUAUGUUUGAUGUAUUGUUAUUAUCUGUGUUUGAUUAGCGGAAGAGGGAUCCGAUCCUCCGGAACUUAUAGCUCCGGAAGAAGGGCAGAAACCCGACCCCUCCGAGAUAAACCUCUUAUGCCAGGAAAGCUUUGACGAAGGCAAGUCCAUCCUUCCCUUGAUGCAUUAUUUACCUAUUUCUCUCUACCACUGCCUAAGCCUGGAUUAUGGGAUGGGAAUCGAAUUGCAUGGUGAGCAUGAGAAAGCCCGCAUUAACUAUUACUUUGAUUAAAAUAUAUGGGGCAAGUAAAAAGGGUACAAGUGACAUGUUUUCCAAAAGUGUGCGAUGAAGGGUAUUCACCCUCAUCACCUUGUGAGCAGGAUGAUCAGGGACUCCCUGGUUUAGGGGAGGGCCUAAGGUGUUGGCUCAGCUGGUUUAGGCGUGAGCAGAAGGAUUGUCCUCUCGUAUAAGGACCGGUUUGUCAUCUUUCAUUACCUGUACUCAUAAAAAGUACAACCACUCGAGGUUGUGUGGGCAGCCACUCGAUCUGAACUCGUACGGUCCAACCCCAGGGUUAUGAAGGCUGGGGUAGCACCGGGAGGAUAAGGAGGGGGAAUGUUUUGUCCGGUUUGGACAUGGCGGUGGCCUGACUCCUUCCGGUAUAACCGUUAAGGUUAGGACGUGCAAGGAAGGAAAGAGUUUCGGAUUCGGAUCUCAUUGGCCAUGAGAUCGCAGAGCCGGACUAGUGGGUAAAGUGUACCACUCUGCGCAGAGUUUAAACCUAUUCGAAUAGUCCAUGUCCACUAGUAUGGACGAGUCUGGUAUGGUAUGACAAUUAGUGUUUCUACUACAACCGGGAACUGGGAAAUGUGUGUGUAUGUUCUGGAAAGAAAGUGGUACCACGGGAGCGGGAAGCUCAGUGGUGGUCAAGCAAGUGUUACUUCUAUUGUCUUGGGAAAACCUUAAACAUUGAGUACUGCCUUUCUCUGAAAAAGUAUGAGUGACUUCAACUCCACCAUAUAAAGCAUGUACAAUAUAGGUCACUUUCUCUUUACGGGAGCCGGGUGGGCUUGCGGAAUACCUAGUGUAUUCACCCAGAUUUAUUUAUGUUUUUCAGCAGCUGAAGACUUCUUUUCUGCUAUGCUUGAUUGAUGGGGCUGUGUCUUCACCCAGUUCUGCCUGUGGCCUGGGCUAUUUUAUCUUCCACUGCGCUUUAUGAUUUUCGGCUCACUCUCGAGCUUGUAUCCCCGGUAUUGUAAUAACAUUAUUCAGACUCUCUAACUAUUUGAAGUAAUGAAUGUGGUUACUAGCCUCCUAGGACUAGUAAUUGUGUCACAUUUGAGUCCCAAAGGAUCGGGACGCUUCAGGUGGUAUCAGAGCCUAUAGGACUGGCCGUAGACCGCAGCCCUGACCUUAAAAGUUGCCUUAACAAGAAAACACCUCUUACCCCCAAGAAACACUUCCCCCUUUCCCCGAUAUUAACAGACCCUUCUUUUCUUCUACCAGAUGGAAGGCCCCUGGGUUAUUAGGACAUCCUAUUGCUCAGAGGAGGAAGGCUUUCUUCACCUUCUUCGAAGUUGCACGCUACGCAUGGGGAUCCGCAAGAAGCCCGAAUAUGUCUGGAAGGAAUACCGCGAAAAUGGAAUAGAAAAGUGCUCUAUGGCAGUCUACCUGGGAGAAAGCCGAAACUACCCAAACCACCCUCCCUUCCAAAUCACCUUCAUCGGGCACCGCUUUCCAGACACUUGCUAGGGUGUUGCCCGAAAAGCCCUUAAACAGCUGUGCCAAAACUACAGCCGAGAGAUCUUUGAGACCCCCUUCGAUAUUUUCCACCCAGCAACAAAAAUACCCCCACCUGGAGGAAAAGACUCCAGGCUCUGUCAGGAGGAGAUCCCACAGAAGAUGACCCCACCAUCGUCUACAUGGCCGGAUACCUCCACACCCUCGACAACCACUAUGAUGAGCUCUCCUCCCACUGCACCCACCUAAACUCCCGAGUGGAAAGCCUAGAGCAGCAGGUCAAAGAGCUUAAGCAAGAGAAGGCAUCUCUCCAGGAGAGUCUCAACAUAGCAGAAGGCGAGGAAGCCAACACUCGUGAGGCCUAUCGAACCUUAAAGAUGGACUACGACAAGAAGCUAUGGAAGCUCGCUCCCAAGAAGAAAAUCCAGAAGAAAACCACCAACCAAGGAUGCCAAACAUAGAAGAAGUAGAAGAAGACCACUCCAGCCCCACCUCCCCCUAGAAUCGAUGAUUGGUCCGACGCCGAGGAUAUAUCCCUAGCAAGCCUUGAUGAUCUUCUCAAGGAAUUUGGGGAUACCUUAGAGAAAGAGUUCGGUAGUACCUCAGGGAACGCUCUCGUGUAGUUCAACCUGUAGUAGUCUUAUGCUUGUAAUGUAUUGGUGUAAUGAAUAAAAUAACUUGGUUGAAAACAAUUUGCAUGUGCAUAAUAGUGACUCUCUUCCCUGGCAGAUGGCUUCGGAUAAAACCACGCCUACCGCCUCCAGGAUUGGAGCAGGGUUUCCCCUGAGAGCUGAAGGGGAAGCCGUUAGAGAGGAAAGUGAACCCACCUCCCCGCACCUCCACCACUACCCUUAGACCUAGCCCAAGUUCUAGCCAAUCAAACCCGACUCAUCAAGGUCCUCACUCGAAGUCUGGAAAAUCAACGGCCAAAUGGUGGAAGACCGCAAGACAUAAUGGGGGAUUUCCUAAGACUCAAACCUCCCACGUUCGCCGGAUCAAGCAACCCCCUCGAUGCAGACGAUUGGAUGCGCACGAUCAAGAGAAAGCUGGAAGCCAUUGGUUGCCCAGAAAACCAGCAUGUUCAACUGGCUGCCCACCAACUUUCCGAGAUGGCCUUAGCCUGGUGGGACACCUUCAACGUCACCAUCAGAGAUGCUACCUGGGCGGAAUUUGAAGCAGCUUUCCGGGAGCACCAUGUGCCCCAAGGACUGGUACAGCUUAAGGAAGACUGUAACACCCCUGGUGUUACUGUAACUAAAACUUGAGCAUGGCAUCAUAAGCAUUGGCAUUGCAUAUGUUUGAUACACCUAGAGUGCAUUCACUAGGCAAAAAUUUCAAACAAGUUGUAUUGUUAUAGCACUUUGCAAAUAGAACCCUAGAUAGGGAACUUAACCCUAAAUAGGGAUUAAAGGGGUAAGACCUAACCCAAAUUGAGAAAACCUAAAGGCUUUAGGGAAAUAAUUAUAAAAUGUCCCCAAAAAUAAAGUUAAAUCACAUUUAUACCCCUGGGAUGCCAAAAACCCUAAUUGGAACCCUGGAAAACCCUAAAUCCAAACCCUAGGGGCCUAUGUGCAUAAUUAGUCCACUUUUGGACUAAAGUGCAAAAACCAAGUUAAAUAAGUGUCUUAAGUCAUUUGGGUCACUCAUAUGUGAAUUUGCAAUCUAAACCCUAAGUUUUGGGCUUAUAUGCAAAAAGCCACACUUUUUCUCAAAUGAUUAAGUCUGAUUUUCAGUGAUAUUGGCUCAACUUUGGAGCUCUACAUCUUCCAAAUUAUUAAGAGUUUGCCCUGGGUCACCACAUCAAAAUUGUAACCCAAUUAUAGGAGAACAACUUUGCUUAAGAGUGUGAGCAUUGUUGUUAAGAAAAUAUUGGAGAUAAUAUAGCCUAAAGUUUGACUGUGAGGCUGGUUUCACUCUGAAGUUCAGGUUUUCAGUGUAGCAGAGCCAUCUUUGGAGUUGAAUUAAACCUUGAUCUAGUGCUCAAAUGAGUUCAACCCCUAUAGUCAAAGUGUUGCUGGUUUGUAGCUCUACAAAUUUGCUGCAGAGCCUCGGGUAGGUUGCUAUGGAAAUUUGAGAGAAAACGUGACCUAAAUAUGAUCUGUCAGGUGCUCUGAUGAGGUCUCGCCAUGGUACAGUGUCCUGAAAUGGAUCAGAUUGCCAGCGCCGCGUGUUCGCCGCCGACGACCUCCCUGCACGAAGAUUCGUGCCGUCGCCGCCGUGAUUGUGACCAAAGCAACUGGAUAGCGCUUGGUUCUUAGAAAUAUCGUCGUCGUGGAUAACUCUGGCCAGUAAACAAUUCCGGCCGUCAUGUCCACUUGUCGUGCGGUCGGUCGAAGUUAUCCUCGCCGGAGUUGGCUGUCCGACGACCGAACGCCACGUGCCUCUGUUGUUACCACGUCGCAACCCCGGUGCCAUACUGGUCUGAUGACCGCCGGGAGGGCCGUCACGGUAAGGAGGCCACGAAUCACCAUGCCGGUGACUCACUUCUUCUCCGGCCGCCAACACAUCGCGGUCAAAUUGAGAGCUACCGACCUCGGGGUCUAUAAAUUGAGUGUGUCCUCAACUCCGUCAAGUAUUCACGCAGCUAUAGCACCCACUCUCAUCUCCACUCGUUCACCAUAGCCCCGCAAUUCGGGUUUUCCCCUAAAUCAACUCUCCGCCGCCGUGAACCAUACAUCACCGCGGCCAGCCCUUUCCAGGUCAGUUCAUCCCUCACUCUCCUUCGUUCGAGCACUCUUGUCGCUCUGGGAUGCUUACCGUGUCACCAAUUCGCACUGGGAGUCCACCAAUCGUCGGGAACACGAUCAAGUGUCCGUAGUCUCCGCGGUUCUCGUGGACAGAAGAGAGUAGAUCACCAUUUGCACAAUUAAGUUAGGGGAAAUGCUGAUUGGGACAUGAAUUUGGUUUAGUCCAUAGCAGGGCGCCGAUCUUGGAGCGAUUUGGACGGUGCGCGAGCUCACCGGAGCUCUGCGCAACGCCGUUCGACGUCAGGGGUUUAUCUGGUGAAGAAACGGAAGUUGAGGGACCCCUGUGUAAAAUGUCAGCGACUGUUUAAAUAGUGUUUGGGACUUGGUUCGGGAUACUCAAAACCGCGGGGGUCUCCAUGCAAAGUCUGCAGGCGCGCGUGCGCGGGCGCGCUUCUGCGUGGAGUUGGGCCGCUUAGGCCAGUUUGAGCCCAAUACUGUUGAGUCUUUUCCUUUUUCUUUUUCAGAAGAACUUUGGAAAUCUAUUAAAAAUUGUAGAAAAAUCCUAAAAUUGUGAAACCAAUUUUCCUAGGUUUCUUAUUUUCCCUAGAAUUUAAUAAAAAUAGUUUCAUGUUUUUUAGGUUAAAUAAGGAAUUUUAGGGCAUUUAAAAUGGCUUAAAGAAAUAGUUUUGUAAUUUUAGAGAAUUAAUAGUAAUGCCAAAAAUGUUCAAAAUUUUCAUAUGAACUCCCCACAUUAUUUAGAAGCCUUGGGUAGAGUUUGAAUUGAUUUGGACCAUGUUUGAUAACUAGAACCCAAAACCCCCCUGCCCUUUGAACUCCUUUACUGACUCCGGAAACCCUAAGUUCUCGGAGUUCCAUGAAGGAAAGUUGUAUUCAAGACUUAGAUAAUAAAUCUUUAUUAUCUUCGCACUCUCAUGAGCAUUACAUGGCAUUCAUUCUUAUAUAUGUAUAUAUAUGGUUAUGUUAGAACGUGAAGAAGAAGUGGAAGUCACUGAAGAAAAGACACCACCACCCUCGAAUUCUCAGGCAGGAAACUGCUUCUACUUUGAUAUUUGUGGAUCCGAGCCAGACUCACCUACGAACGAAGGCAAGCCCCGGUGCAUUUGCCACCUCCCUUGAUGUUUUUAAAAUCUUUCUCACUUGCUUGCUGCAUUAGGUGAUAGGAGUUAAUUGAUAAAACAAUUCUUGCAUUACCUUCCUUGAACUUGAUUACCUUCCUUGAAACCCUGUUUUUACAAAAAGGUUUUACUAUGCUUAGUAUUGCUCUAGAAAAACAAAAGGAUUUGUUUUACAAAAGAUGUUUGGCAAAGUGGGAGGGUUGUUUUCAAAAAUAAAACUUGAUGGUGAAUCCAUCACGGCCGUGAUGGAUUCAACAUCGGAAAAGAUGUACCUCUGCCAGGUACCAAGUUUUUGGGUUGAAAUGAUUAAGCUGAGACCGGGCGGGUGACUUGCACGAGAAGAGAGUCUCAGUGUAGUGUCUCCGUCUGAGUCAAUUAAGGACCUUGUCGAUGUAGGCUUGAUGACCGAGGACCCUUUAACUGGUCACAUGCCUCGUCAUGGGUAAGCCUUGCCUCGGGCAGAAUAAGGUCAGAAUAAGAUAACACGAAAUGGGCGUGGAGCGGUGGCGAGAGUAGCGUGUACCCUCCGUGGCAAGAGGCUGGACGGUGGUGUAUCUGUGCUCUCGAUUUGCGUGAACCUGAUCUGGUCUUAAGAACCCCGGUGGUGGGUUGACAUAUGCAAGGGUUAAGUGCUACAUAUGUCGUGUGAUUGGAGAUCCUCAGCUGAGUAUAAUCGAUUCGGAUCGCCGUACCUUCGCGGUUAUGAAGACUUGGUCACUGACUUACACGUAGCAUUCCACUAAAGAUGAUGGAUUUUUGUUAAGAAAUUGGCUAGUGCAGGACCAGUGAUUGAACUAGGGUAGAAAGAACUCUAGUCACAGGUAAUUCUACUUAACUUGACAAAUAAAACUGGAUUUUUAAGGAUCCACUUUAGUAAGCAUUUCUGCAAAACAGAGUCUUUGAUUAUUGAAAAGCCUUACCUUGACUCCCUUAAACCAGCAUACCCUUGAGAGUCUUUUCUUUAGUCGGGUAAGACUUGCUGAGUAAUUCCAUACUCAGGGUUUAUCCCUUCGUUGUUUUUAGGUGGGGAAGUAGCAGAUUUCUGUUGCUUCUAUACCAAGGUGGUUCCUAAGGAAGAGAAACAAGACUGAAGUGCGGGAGGACUUGGUCCUCCAUAUAGAACUUUUGUUUAAAACUAUUGGGAGGAGUUUUUACCUCCCUUAGUAUUGUAAUAAUACUACUCUGCACUCAUUUUAUAGCUCUGGUCUGUAAUAAACAACUCGAUCUUACUUUUUAAAUAAAUAUAAGUUAUGUAAUCGCUUCCGCAUUUCUUUAUCUCCGAUGUUCUGUAAUGUCUGCAAGACGGGUGAAACAUUCCUGGAAAGGUAAGAAAGAAGAUACCGAACUUGUCAAGUAGUUCAGGGGCACCUACAGGGUUGUGUGAGGUCCGUUGGACAAGGACAACUGUAGGUGGGCCUAAUUACUUGGGAGGUUCCGUCACAUCUGGUAUCGGAGCGUAACCCUUCUUCGCAGAUAUUAUUAGGCAUCUUCAAAAGAUUUUCUAAAAGCUUAUCUAUAAAAUCUUUUCCCUUCUUAUCUAAGUAAUUCUGAAGAGUUUAUCUUAAAGACCAGAUAGGAAGAGUGCAACAUAUAGAAGGUGUGAAUCAACUAAGGUUGAUUCUGUAAUUAUACAUGCAUCAUGCUAAGAACUAUACUAAAUAAAGUUUUCCCCCUUAGUGAAAUGCUGUCGCGCACCAGAAAGACCGCGCGCAAAUCUACUAGACCCAUUGGCAUACCCCGCCAUUAAUUUGUCCCAAGACAUGAAGAAAGUAGCAGUGGUAGCAACGAUCCUAUCGGGGAUCUGGAAGCACAAGUCGAACUGCUUCAAUCAGAACUCCGUCACAGGAAUGAUCUAUGGGUCGCGGAUGCAGCCAUCCGCUACUUGCAAGACCAACUCGCAAAACGAGAUUUAGCGCUCGAUUGGACAGUUAACUCUCGUCUACUCGCCUGGGCUAAGGAAGCCAAAGCUCGAGCCCGCGUGGAGGAGCUUAGCUUAGCCAUGGAUAACUUGCAGGUAUAUUGCAAUGCACUACAUGAAGAAGUUCAUGUGUUGACAACUGCACCCGAACGUCCCUGCGAAUCAUGUCGGGAUGGAAGCCGGACCUUCUCAUGUAGCGGGAGAAGCACUUGAUGGUGAACUGGACCUUUUCAGGCCCCCUCCCUCUAUGAAGUUGGUUGAUGAAUGGUCUUCUACGCCCGACAGUAAAGCUACCAAAAGUGAAAAGAAGUGGCUUACCAAGUGCCCAUAACAUUGGCCGGACGGGACUUUCCUACAAAUAUGAUUGUUCCAAAAGGCCAAGACAUAGAUGUCAUCUUGGGCAUGAACUGGUUAGCCCAGCAAAAAGCAAUUCUCAACCCUGAUCUGAGAACCAUCAGGUUGAGUUAUGACCAAUAGAGAGUUGGUGACUUGAUUGCCUAAACCCAAGAAUUAGGCUAUAUUAGUAUUUAGUGAACCAUGACCCACCCCAAAGUUGAAUUUUCUGAUAUCACUCCAUGACCAAACACGUACCAAUCGAUGCCUAGAUAAUUUCUUUGUCGGACCUAAGGUGUACCUAGACUUCAAACAAAGAUAUCAAGUCAUGUCUUCUUUUAGAACCAUUCUCUUAUUCAGUUGAUGCAGGUUUAGGUCUCCAUUGUAUUUGGCCUCUCCUUGCGGAUCACCAUGUUGCUUUAGUAACCCAACCUAGGAAAAACAUGUCCGACCAUUUUCUUGAAUUUGAUGCCUUUGGUUUCUUCAUAUCUAUCGAAGGCAUACCAACUUAAUCCUUGACCUUGUGAUCUCUAUGAUGGGCAUAGAAAUAUGCCUGGGGCUGGAUUAACAGUCUCCCAUCAUACUUCUUUCCUCAAGUUUAGAUUAUGGCCAUGCCUUGGGCCAUGAUCUAUUUGGCGCUCUACUUGUAACCAUUUUUACUAGUAGAGUAUCUCUUUGUAUAUUGUCACCCUUGCUCAAUCCAUUGGUGUCGCGUGAGAUUUCUUAUUGGUUAUGUCUGGUAAUGGUGUUAUGACUAAAAUCAGUGACACCACGCUGAAACCGAGGGCCUCCUGUGGGUGCACACACAUGGUUGCGCUACUUGGCACGCGCUAGUAUCACAGUUAGUAGUCAUAAUCCAUUAUAAGACUAUAUUGAUAUGUUAUCUCUACCCAAAUUAUUCUUACCACGUGAGAUUCAGUAUUGGUGUCAGUUUUGGAAUGGUGUCAUGGUUAAGGACUUAUGGUACUGCAGCGAAACUGAGAGCCUCCUAUAAAUGUGCACACAGGAUUUUGCUGCUUGGCGCAUGUCGGUAUCGAGGUCUCUAGUCAUGAUCCAUUCUGGAAUUACACUGAUGUGUUAUCUCCCAUUGACCUUUCCUUGAAACAAUUUCUAUGUUGUUUGUGAAGAGAUCAAGCAACAUCUGUCAUUUCUGUUGGAUCAAAAGGACAUACCACUUUCAUGUGUGGUCUUAUUUCUUUUGAUCUUGGUAGUGACUACUCAUGCAAGUUCCCUUUACAUCCUUUGUGUAAAGAUGAAGCCCUGGAGCUUUUUAGUUAAGAAAACAACUGAUUAGCUCUCAAAAUAGAGAUCUGCUUCCCCUGCUGCUGAAAUGCAGGAGUUUGUUCAUUCGUUCUCUUAUUUAAUCCAUGUAUUCCCUAACCAAGUGGAUAAUUCAUCUCGCAUGAGAAAACGGAUGAACAACUUGACCAAAUAAAUUUUUACCCACAUACAUAACCUCUUAUUAACAAAGAGUGAACUCUCAACCCUUGGUUUACCAAUGGUAUUGAGGGGAUUUGCUUAAUGUCAAAAGUAGUUCAACAAGUUGGUAUUGACUAACUUGUAACUGCCCGUUGAACGAAGGCUGAGUUUAGAGAUCGUUUUAUUGAGUUAUCUAAACUCACUUUGAUUCAACCCACCCUAAAGAAAGUACUUACCAAAAUCAAAUUAAGUCAGCCAGUAACCACCUAGUCAUCACUCUAGUCAUGCCUCGACCCCCUCAUGCGUGCUUUUCUAGCGUGUGUGAUCAUGUCGAGCCAUGCCUAGUGCUUGAUAAAAUGGACUGGUUGUAAAGUCCGCAUCUACAGAUCCCUCCGCUGGUGAUUUUUCUUGAAACUAUAUCACCUUUCGUGGACUUAGAUUCCUUGGCUAACACGAGUUGACAGUGAUGUUAUUCGACAUUCACACCCGUCUCGUGUGCUAUGAACUUACUGUAACCACUUGUUGGUAAACCUCUUUCUGUGUGUUUUACCCAAGAUGGUGCAUCUAAUUCUGUUUGGGUAAAAUUGCGUAAUUGCCACCCGCCCAACAGACUCAGAUAGUACAGUGUCAUCAGAAAAAGCAAAUUGCACACAUGGAACCUUGUGUGUUCUUCUGGUGGGCAAGGAUGAAAAUUGAAAUUGCACGAUAUGUGGAUAGAUGUGACACUUGCAGACGUGUCAUGCCAUAUACAUGAAGACUGUUGGUCCAUUACAAUCUUUACCUAUCCUAGCAUGAAAAUGGGAAGAUAACAGUAUGGACUUCAUUGUGGGAUUACCCAGGACUACAAAAGGGUAUGACUCUAUCUGGGUUAUUGUUGAUCGACUUACAAAGAUUGCUCACUUUCUCCCAGUCAAGACAUAUUACCCAGUUCUUACCUAUGCGGAAUUAUAUAUUGCUCGCAUUCUCAGUUUGCACGGUGUUCCAAAGACUAUAGUGUUGGAUCGUGGACCACAAUUUGUAUCCAAAUUCUGGGAAGAACUCCAUAAAUCCCUGGGUACUAAGUUGCUCCACAGUUCGGCCUAUCAUCCCCAAACGAGUGGAGAGACUGAGAGGGUUAAUCAAAUACUCGAAGAUAUGUUGCAAGCAUGUGUUCUGGACUUCUCACAAAAAUGGGAUGAAUGUUUGCCCUUGGCGGAGUUUUCAUAUAAUAAUAGCUAUCAAGAAAGUAUCAAGAUGGCACCCUUUGAAGCUUUAUAUGGACGACGAUGUCGUACUCCGCUAAAUUGGUCUGAACCUGGAGAGAGGUACUUCUUUAGGCCUGAUAUGGUGAAAGAGGCCGAGGAAAAGGUUCAGAAAAUUAUUCACAAUAUGAAGAAAGCACAAGCUCGUCAGAAAGGUUAUGCAGACAAACGGCGAAUGCCCUUGUAUUUUCAUGAAGGGGACUAUGUCUACCUGAAGGUUUCACCAAUGAAAGGAGUAUCACGUUUCGGGGUUAAAGGGAAGCUUGCAUCUAGGUACAUUGGUCCAUUCCCGGUACUUGAGCAAUGUGGACCAGUGGCGUAUCGACUGCAACUCCCCGAAACUUUGUCUGCUAUACAUAAUGUGUUCCAUGUGUCACAAUUGAAGAAGUGUCUUCGGGUUCCCGAUCGAACCAUUGAAGUAACAGAUGUUGUCCUUGAACCGGACUUGACAUACUUUGAGCACCCUAUUCUCGUCUUGGAUCAAAAGGACAGGGAUACCCGAAGAAAAACUCUCAAGUUUUAUAAGAUACAGUGGAACCAGCAUUCCGAAGAUGAGGCUACAUGGGAAACUCAGGACUUUUUAGAUAAGAAUUUCCUAGGCUUUUUAGCCUCUUGUAAAUUGUAAAGCCUGUAUAGCUGUUGUAAUAAAGGAGUGAUUCCCAAACCACCCCAGCCUUGUACCAGAAGUAAGGAAAUAAAAGUAUGUCGUGUUUCUUUUUCCAUUACUUACCCUAAGACUUUUAAUCUCGGGACGAGAUUCUUUUAUGGGGGGAAGGAUGUAACACCCCUGGUGUUACUGUAACUAAAACUUGAGCAUGGCAUCAUAAGCAUUGGCAUUGCAUAUGUUUGAUACAUCUAGAGUGCAUUCACUAGGCAAAAUUUUCAAACAAGUUGUAUUGUUAUAGCACUUUGCAAAUAGAACCCUGGAUAGGGAACUUAACCCUAAAUAGGGAUUAAAGGGGUAAGACCUAACCCAAAUUGAGAAAACCUAAAGGCUUUAGGGAAAUAAUUAUAAAAUGUCCCCAAAAAUAAAGUUAAAUCACAUUUAUACCCCUGGGAUGCCAAAAACCCUAAUUGGAACCCUGGAAAACCCUAAAUCCAAACCCUAGGGGCCUAUGUGCAUAAUUAGUCCACUUUUGGACUAAAGUGCAAAAACCAAGUUAAAUAAGUGUCUUAAGUCAUUUGGGUCACUCAUAUGUGAAUUUGCAAUCUAAACCCUAAGUUUUGGGCUUAUAUGCAAAAAGCCACACUUUUUCUCAAAUGAUUAAGUCUGAUUUUCAGUGAUAUUGUCUCAACUUUGGAGCUCUACAUCUUCCAAAUUAUUAAGAGUUUGCCAUGGGUCACCACAUCAAAAUUGUAACCCAAUUAUAGGAGAACAACUUUGCUUAAGAGUGUGAGCAUUGUUGUUAAGAAAAUAUUGGAGAUAAUAUAGCCUAAAAUUUGACUGUCAGGCUGGUUUCACUCUGAAGUUCAGGUUUUCAGUGUAGCAGAGCCAUCUUUGGGGUUGAAUUAAACCUUGAUCCAGUGCUCAAAUGAGUUCAACCCCUAUAGUCGAAGUGUUGCUGGUUUGUAGCUCUACAAAGUUGCUGCAGAGCCUCGGGUAGGUUGCUAUGGAAAUUUGAGAGAAAAUGUGACCUAAAUAUGAUCUGUCAGGUGCUCUGAUGAGGUCUCGCCAUGGUACAGUGUCCUGAAAUGGAUCAGAUUGCUAGCGUCGAGUGUUCACCGCCGACGACCUCCCUGCGCGAAGAUUCGUGCCGUCGCCGCCGUGAUUGUGACCAAAGCAACUGGAUAGCGCUCGGGUUCUUAGAAAUAUCGCCGUCGUGGAUAACUCCGGCCAGUAAACUAUUUCGGCCGUCAUGUCCACUUGUCGUGCGGUCGGUCGAAGUUAUCCUCACCGGAGUUGGCUGUCCGACGACCGAACGCCACGUGCCUCCGUUGUUACCACGUCGCAACCCCGGUGCCAUACUGGUCUGAUGACCGCCGGGAGGGCCGUCACGGUAAGGAGGCCACGAAUCACCAUGCCGGUGACUCACUUCUUCUCCGGCCGCCAACACAUCGCGGUCAAAUUGAGAGCUACCGACCUCGGGGUCUAUAAAUUGAGCGCGUCCUCAACUCCAUCAAGUAUUCACGCAGCUAUAGCACCCACUCUCAUCUCCACUCGUUCACCGUAGCCCCGCAAUUCGGGUUUUCCCCCAAAUCAACUCUCCGCCGCCGUGAACCAUACAUCACCGCGGCCAGCCCUUUCCAGGUCAGUUCAUCCCUCACUCUCCUUCGUUCGAGCACUCUUGUUGCUCUGGGAUGCUUACCGUGUCACCAAUUCGCACUGGGAGUCCACCAAUCGUCGGGAACACGAUCAAGUGUCCGUAGUCUCCGCGGUUCUCGUGGAUAGAAGAGAGUAGAUCACCAUUUGCACAAUUAAGUUAGGGGAAAUGCUGAUUGGGACGUGAAUUUGGUUUAGGCCGUAGCAGGGCGCCGGUCUUAGAGCGAUUUGGACGGUGCGCGAGCUCACCGGAGCUCUGCGCAACGCCGUUCGACGUCAGGGGUUUAUCUGGUGAAGAAACGGAGGUUGAGGGACCCCUGUGUAAAAUGUCAGCGACUGUUUAAAUAGUGUUUGGGACUUGGUUCGGGAUACUCAAAACCGCGGGGGUCUCUGUGCAAAGUCUGCAGGCGCGCGUGCGCGGGCGCGUUUCUGCGUGGAGUUGCGCCGCUUAGGCCAGUUUGAGCCCAAUAGUGUUGAGUCUUUUCCUUUUUCUUUUUCAGAAGAACUUUGGAAAUCUAUUAAAAAUUGUAGAAAAAUCCUAAAAUUGUGAAACCAAUUUUCCUAGGUUUCUUAUUUUCCCUAGAAUUUAAUAAAAAUAGUUUCAUGAUUCUUAGGUUAAAUAAGGAAUUUUAGGGCAUUUAAAAUGGCUUAAAGAAAUAGUUUUGGAAUUUUAGAGAAUUAAUAGUAAUGCCAAAAAUGUUCAAAAUUUUCAUAUGAACUCCCCACAUUAUUUAGAAGCCUUGGGUAGAGUUUGAAUUGAUUUGGACCAUGUUUGAUAACUAGAACCCAAAACCCCCUGCCCUUUGAACUCCUUUACUGACUCCGGAAACCCUAAGUUCUCGGAGUUCCGUGAAGGAAAGUUGUAUUCAAGACUUAGAUAAUAAAUCUUUAUUAUCUUCGCACUCUCAUGAGCAUUACAUGGCAUUCAUUCUUAUAUAUGUAUAUAUAUGGUUAUGUUAGAACGUGAAGAAGAAGUGGAAGUCACUGAAGAAAAGACACCACCACCCUCGGAUUCUCAGGCAGGAAACUGCUUCUACUUUGAUAUUUGUGGAUCCGAGCCAGACUCACCUACGAACGAAGGCAAGCCCCGGUGCAUUUGCCACCUCCCUUGAUGUUUUUAAAAUCUUUCUCACUUGCUUGCUGCAUUAGGUGAUAGGAGUUGAUUGAUAAAACAAUUCUUGCAUUACCUUCCUUGAAACCCUGUUUUUACAAAAAAGGUUUUACUAUGCUUAGUAUUGCUCUAGAAAAACAAAAGGAUUUGUUUUACAAAAGAUGUUUGGCAAAGUGGGAGGGUUGUUUUCAAAAAUAAAACUUGAUGGUGAAUCCAUCACGGCCGUGAUGGAUUCAACAUCGGAAAAGAUGUACCUCUGCCAGGUACCAAGUUUUUGGGUUGAAAUGAUUAAGCUGAGACCAGGCGGGUGACUUGCACGAGAAGAGAGUCUCGGUGUAGUGUCUCCGUCUGAGUCGAUUAAGGACCUUGUCGAUGUAGGCUUGAUGACCGAGGACUCUUUAACUGGUCACAUGCCUCGUCAUGGGUAAGCCUUGCCUCGGGCAGACUAAGGCCAGAAUAAGAUAACACGAAAUGGGCGUGGAGCGGUGGCGAGAGUAGCGUGUACCCUCCGUGGCAAGAGGCUGGACGGUGGUGUAUCUGUGCUCUCGGUUUGCGUGAACCUAAUCUGGUCUUAAGAACCCCGGUGGCGGGUUGACAUAUGCAAGGGUUAAGUGCUACAUAUGUCGUGUGAUUGGAGAUCCUCAGCUAAGAAUAAUCGAUUCGGAUCGCCGUACCUUCGCGGUUAUGAAGACUUGGUCACUGACUUACACGUAGCAUUCCACUAAAGAUGAUGGGUUUUUGUUAAGAAAUUGGCUAGUGCAGGAUCAGUGAUUGAACUAGGGUAGAAAGAACUCUAGUCACAGGUAAUUCUACUUAACUUGACAAAUAAAACUGGAUUUUUAAGGAUCCACUUUAGUAAGCAUUUCUGCAAAACAGAGUCUUUGAUUAUUGAAAAGCCUUACCUUGACUCCCUUAAACCAGCAUACCCUUGAGAGUCUUUUCUUUAGUCGGGUAAGACUUGCUGAGUAAUUCCAUACUCAAGGUUUAUCCCUUCGUUGUUUUUAGGUGGGAAAGUAGCAGAUUUCUGUUGCUUCUGUACCAAGGUGGUUCCUAAGGAAGAGAAACAAGACUGAAGUGCGGGAGGACUUGGUCCUCCAUAUAGAACUUUUGUUUAAAACUAUCGGGAGGAGUUUUUACCUCCCUUAGUAUUGUAAUAAUACUACUCUGCACUCGUUUUAUAGCUCUGGUCUGUAAUAAACAACUCGAUCUUACUUUUUAAAUAAAUGUAAGUUAUGUAAUCGCUUCCGCAUUUCUUUAUCUCCGAUGUUCUGUAAUGUCUGCAAGACGGGUGAAACGUUCCUGGAAAGGUAAGAAAGAAGAUACCGAACUUGUCAAGUAGUUCAGGGGCUCCUACAGGGUUGUCUGAGGUCCGUUGGACAAGGACAACUGUAGGUGGGCCUAAUUACUUGGGAGGUUCCGUCACAAAGACGAGUUCCGAGAACUGACUCAAGGCGGAAGAUCUGUCAUCGAAUAUGUGCACAAGUUCACAGAGUUAGCCCGCUAUGCGCUAGAGGACGUCAGUACCGAGGGCAAAAAGAUGGCCCGUUUCCUGAAGGGACUUAGGCCAGAACUCAAGACAAUUCUGGCUAGCCAAGACUUCCUCAAUUUCUCUCACCUUUCCAACAAAGCCAUGCAAGUUGAAAGGGCAAAGGAGGAAGAAAAAGGGCACCUCAAAAGAAAGUUUCAGGUUCUCCGGGCACAGCAGUAGGACCGGCACCAGAAGACUCGAUCAUUCGGACUUCCACCCAAGGGGCCAAACUUCAGUAGACCAGUUGGACCCACCUCGUCACGAUUCAGCCAGCAGAGUCAGAGCUCUUUCCAUUCCCCCUAAGUGGCAAGCAACCAACCCCCGGCGAAUGCAUGUUGGCACUGCGGUGAUCCCAGUCACUUCAAGAACAACUGUCCGCAGCUGAAGCCACCAGGACCCGCCUACUCCAACUUGGUGAAUGGCCCCAAGAAUACCUCGACAUCCGCCCCCAAGGCGCCCUCCUCCGUCAGCCAGCAGAACAAGGCCCCGUACCAAGGAAGGGCACGAGUGAAUCACGUCGAUGCCUAGGAGGCUCAGCAAGCUCCGGGAGUAGUGCUCGGUGAGUUCCUUGUUGAAUUUACUCCCGCUCGAUUCUGGAGCAUCCCACUCUUUCAUAGCCACUAGUUUUGUGGAAAAGCAUGGCAUUCCCUCUACUCCUCUAGAGAUUCCCUUGGUCACCCAAACCCCAGGGUCCAACCUUCUAUGCCAGCUCAAAUGCUCCCAAGUCAGAAUCCUUUUAAGUGGGGUAGUAUUCCUGGCAGACUUAACCGUCUUGCCAUCCAAAGGAAAUGAUGUGAUCUUAGCGAUGGAUUGGUUAACCAAACACAAAGGCAUCAUCAGUUGCGCAGACAAGACAGUCCUCCUCACCGACCAGCAGGGAAAGUCAGUCUCUUGUCAGGCACAGCCACCCGCCAGUGACCCAAUGAUGUUUAAUCUAGCAACAGAAAGUAUAUCAGUGGUAGAAGAAUUCAUGGAUGUGUUUCCAGAAGAAUUACCAGGAAUGCCACCAGAAAGAGAAGUGGAGUUCUACAUAGAUCUGAUCCCUGGAACGGCACCCAUCGCAAAGAGACCAUACCGCAUGGCUCCAACCGAGUUAGCAAAACUGAAGCUUCAAAUCGUAGAUCUUCAGCAAAAGGGAUACAUUCGUCCCAGCUCAUCCCCUUGGGGAGCACCAGUCCUGUUCGUCUUUAAGAAAGAUGGAAGCAUGAGAACGUGUAUUGAUUAUCGAUCGUUAAAUGAAGUCACCAUCAAGAACAAGUAUCCACUUCCUCGGAUUGACGACCUCUUCGAUCAGCUUCAAGGAGCCAAGUACUUCUCCAAGAUAGACCUAAGGUCUGGUUACCACCAACUGAGGAUCAAGGAAGCAGACAUCCAGAAGACUGCAUUUGUCACCCGGUACGGGCAAUAUGAAUUCACAGUGAUGUCGUUCGGACUGACCAACGCACCCGCCUUUUUCAUGAACCUCAUGAACAAAGUGUUUAUGGAAGAGCUAGAUAAGUUUGUUGUAGUCUUCAUUGACGACAUCCUUAUCUACUCCAGGAACUACGAAGACCAUAAGCGUCACCUUUGGAUCAUCCUCGGAAAACUCAGAGCUCACCAACUUUAUGCCAAACUCAGUAAAUGUGAAUUCUGGUUGGAAAAGAUAGCCUUCCUUGGGCAUAUCUUAACCGCAGAAGGAAUAGAAGUGGACCCUUCCAAGGUGGAAGCAGUAUCAAAAUGGAGGCAGCCGACCAACGUCAGUGAAGUUCGGAGAUUUCUGGGAAUGGCAGGGUAUUACUGCCGCUUCAUCAAAGGAUUCUCCAGCAUAGCAAGACUGAUGACAACUUCUCAAGAAAGACCAUAAAUUCGUGUGGACCCCAAAAUGUGAAGGAAGUUUCUAGAUCAUAAAGGAGAAACUCACAACAGCACCUGUUCUAUCGCUACCAGAUAUCCAUCAAGAUUUUGUCGUCUUCUGUGAUGCCUCGAGGCAAGGCUUAGGGUGUGUGCUGAUGCAAAACAAGAAGGUCAUUGCUUACGCAUCGCGCCUACUCAAGCCGCACGAACAGAAUUACCCCACCCAUGAUUUGGAAUUGGCAGCCAUAGUGCAUGCUUUGAAGAUAUGGAGGCAUUACCUAAUCGGGAACAAAUGUCACAUUUUCACCGAUCACAAGAGUUUGAGGUACAUAUUCACUCAACCAGAUCUCAACCUCCGUCAGCGAAGAUGGUUAGAGCUAAUCAAGGAUUAUGACCUGGAAAUUCAUUAUCACCCCGGGAAGGCCAACGUGGUAGCAGACGCCCUCAGUCGAAAACCAUUCGGAAUAAAGGGGACCAACUUUUUAGAAGACUGGAAGAAAGAAUCAGCUCAACUGAAUGCGUGUCUGGGAAACAGUGACAGUCUCGAAGUCAAACCAAUGCUGGAAGACCUCAUAUGCAAAGCUCAACGUCUAGACCCAGAGACAGCAAGACUUGUGGAGAAAGCCCGCAAGGAACAACUCCCGGACCUCAGGACAGAUGACCAAGGAGUCCUUUGGUUCAAAAAUCGUCUAUGUGUACCAAAAGGGGAGGCCCGAGAAGUCCUGCUCAAAGAAGCUCACAACUCGGCCUACUCCAUCCACCCAGGAACUACCAAGAUGUACCUAGACCUCAAAACCAGAUACUGGUGGAGAGGGAUGAAGAAAGAAAUAGCUCAGUAUGUGGCCCGAUGUGACAUCUGCCAACGGACGAAGGCCGAGCACCAAAAACCUGCAGGCCUAUUGCAACCCCUCCCGAUACCUGAAUGGAAGUGGUAAGAAAUAGGCAUGGACUUCGUAACCGGACUGCCCCGGACGCAAAAAGGGAAUGAUUCCAUCUGGGUAAUAAUAGAUCGCCUCACCAAGGUAGCCCAUUUCAUCCCAGUGAAAACUACCUUUGGAGGAGCCACCCUUGCCCGGAUUUAUCUCAAGGAGAUAGUCAGACUCCAUGGCAUCCCAAGAAAGAUAGUGUCAAACAGGGGAACCCAGUUCACCUCCAAAUUCUGGACAAGCCUUCAGAAAGCUAUGGGCACCAAGCUAGAUUUCAGUACCGCUUAUCACCCUCAGACAGAUGGGCAGACAGAACGAGUCAACAAAGUCCUUGAAGAUCUAUUAAGAGCAUGUGUGCUAGCAUUUGAUAGAAGUAGGGAAUCCAGUCUACCCUACGCAGAGUUCUCAUACAACAAUAGCUAUCAGGCCAGCAUCAAGAUGUCGCCAUUCGAAGCACUGUAUGGACGGAAAUGCCAGACCCCUCUCAUGUGGUCCAACGUAGGGGGAAAAGCACUAGAAGGACCUGCCUUUGUCAAAGAGGCAGAAGAGAAGGUUGCACUGAUCCGCAGAAGGUUACUCGAAGCUCAGAGUCGGCAGAAGAGUUAUGCAGACAACAAGUGGAGGGAACUCUGAUUUGAGGAAGGAGACUUCGUCUACCUCAAGGUUUCUCCAAUGCGUGGUGUCAGGAGGUUCCAAGUAAAAGGAAAGCUAGCCCCACGUUUCGUCGGUCCCUAUCCCAUCAUUGGCAGGGUAGGAUCCGCAGCAUACCGCCUGGAAUUACCGGAAUCCAUGUCCAACAUCCACAAUGUGUUUCACGUAUCCCAGCUCCACAAAUGCCUGCAAGCACCAGAAAGUCACCUCGAAGAAGAGACAGUGCAGAUUCAGAAAGACCUUCAGUAACGUGAGAAGCCAGUGAAGAUUCUUGAUUCCACAGUCAGAAAGACCCGCACCUUGGAGGUAAAGCUCUGUAAAGUUCAGUGGAGCAGAGAAGGAGAAGAGGAAGCUACCUGGGAGAGUGAGGACUCCUUGAGGAGGGAAUACCCUUAUCUUUUCUCAAAUCCAGUCUAAAUCUCGAGGGCAAGAUUCCUUUAAGUGGGGUAGGUUUGUAACAUCCCAAAAUCCCAACCAAGGUUUGAAACCCUAACCUCCAAAUCCCCCCUUAUUUUAUUUUUCUCCCUUAAACUCUACCCUUAGAACCCCUUCUCAUGUGCAUACACUUGAAAUAAUUAGAGCACCUCACAUAGACUAUAUUUCUCACUCAAGAUCACUUAGAAAAUAUUUUUAGUCUCAAAGGAGAAAGAAACAAAAAGAAACAAAAAUAGAAAAAGGAAAGGAAAGGAAUUAGAAUUAGAAAAAGAAAAGAAAAAGAAAACUCCCCCCUCCCUCGGCUGGGCCGAAUUCCGGCCCAACCAGCCCCGCGCGCCCGCGCUCCCCUCCUCUCUCCCCGGCCCAGGCGGCCCAGCUCCGCGCGCCGCUCCCUCUCGCUGACAUCCGGGCCCCGCCCGUCAGCGCCUCGUCCCCCUCCCUCUCGCGCCGCUUCCUCUCGCUAGCAGCCAGGGCCCGCUUGUCAGCUUCGUCCCUCUCGCCCAUCCCUCACCGGCGCAUCCGCCGCCGAGCCCCCCCUCGCCUCGUCGCCUCGCCAUUAAUGCUCGCCCAGGCUCCGCGACAACCCCGCCACUGUGCUCGAGCCGUCCCCUCACCCCCCCCCCCCCGCCUGCCCGAGCCAUCUCAAUCGGCGUUAGCGCCAUUCCUGCCAUCAUGGCGAGCUCGCCGGUGCUCGUCGUCACCUCCAUCCCCCCUCCCUCCCCGAGCGCCUAUAAAAGGACCCGCCCGAGCCCCGUCUUCACCCCACAGCUCCGGCCACCUCCACUGCCUUCUUCCCCGAGCCUACCGAGCUAGCGCCGUCGUGCUCCCUUCGUCGCUCUGGUGAGCUCCCUUCCCCCUCUCUAGCGAUCCUCUGUCCAAUUAAGCUAUGAUCGAAGCUCCGCCACACUCUCACGGUCACAGGGCGCCACUUUUCCCCCCUAUUGUGGCCGGCGACCUUACCGGCGGCAUUACCGCCGCGGGCACCCGCCACCGUGCCGCGGACAGGCUGCCAUAGGCCCCCGCAGGCAAAAUUCGCCCCACCCCCGUGACCCCCUUCACCCGCCCGUGCUUCGCCACCACCUCCCCGCCAAAGAACCGGACCCACGGCGGAGAACCGUCGCAGGACUCGCCGCCGGCCGAACCCCGGUCGAGCUUCCCCCCCCCCCCCUUCCUCUGUGCCGUUAGCGCCGUCCGCCCCUCCCUCUCUGUGACGUGCGGGCCCGUGCCAUGGCGCCGUCCCCCGCCGUCGCCCCGCGCGGCUGGGCCAACUGGGCCGAAAGCGCGCCCGCCCGCGCGCGCUCGCGCCAACUGGGCCGAAAUCCCCCCCCCGGCCCGGCUAGCUGGAAAAUCCUUUCUCUUUUUCCUUUCCCAUUUCUUUUUUCCCAUUUUCACAUAUAUAUUUAGAUGCUAAUAUUUUAUGCACCAAAAAUAGUCUAAAUAAAUUAUAGGGCACAAAAAUAAUAAAGUAUAAGAACUUGCACACCCCACUAAAGUCACUAUGUUUGAUGUAUUGUUAUUAUCUGUGUUUGAUUAGCAGAAGAGGGAUUCGAUCCUCCAGAACUUAUAGCUCCGGAAGAAGGGCAGGAACCCGACCCCUCCGAGAUAAACCUCUUGUGCCAGGAAAGCUUCGACGAAGGCAAGUCCAUCCUUCCCUUGAUGCAUUAUUUACCUAUUUCUCUCUACCACUGCCUAAGCCUGGAUUAUGGGAUGGGAAUCGAAUUGCAUGGUGAGCAUGAGAGAGCCCGCAUUAACUAUUACUUUGAUUAAAAGAUAUGGGGCAAGUAAAAAGGGUACAAGUGACAUGUUUUCCAAAAGUGUGCGAUGAAGGGUAUUCACCCUCAUCACCUGGUGAGCAGGAUGAUCAAGGACUCCCUGGUUUAGGGGAGGGCCUAAGGUGUUGGCUCAGCUGGUUUAGGCGUGAGCAGAAGGAUUGUCCUCUUGUAUAAGGACCGGUUUGUCAUCUUUCAUUACCUGUACUCAUAAAAAGUACAACCGCUCGAGGUUGUGUGGGCACCCACUCAAUCUGAACUCGUACGGUCCAACCCCAGGGUUAUGAAGGCUGGGGUAGCACCGGGAGGAUAAGGAGGGGGAAUGUUUUGUCCGGUUUGGACAUGGUGGUGGCCUGACUCCUUCCGGUAUAACCGUUAAGGUUAGGACGUGCAAGGAAGGAAAGAGUUUCGGAUUCGGAUCUCAUUGGCCAUGAGAUCGCAGAGCCUGACUAGUGGGUAAAGUGUACCCCUCUGCGUAGAGUUUAAACCUAUUCGAAUAGUCUGUGUCCACUGGUAUGGACGAGUCUGGUAUGGUAUGACAAUUAGUGUUUCUACUACAACCGGGAACAGGGAAAUGUGUGUGUAUGUUCUGGAAAGAAAGUGGUACCACGGGAGCGGGAAGCUCAGUGGUGGUCAAGCAAGUGUUACUUCAAUUGUCUUGGGAAAACCUUAAACAUUGAGUACUGCCUUUCUCUGAAAAAGUAUGAGUGACUUCAACUCCACCAUAUAAAGCAUGUACAAUAUAGGUCACUUUCUCUUUACGGGACUCGGGUGGGCUUGCAGAAUACCUAGUGUAUUCACCCAGAUUUAUUUAUGUUUUUCAGCAGCUGAAGACUUCUUUUCUGCUAUGCUUGAUUGAUGGGGCUGUGUCUUCACCCAGUUCUGUCUGUGGCCUGGGCUAUUUUAUCUUCCACUGCGCUUUAUGAUUUUCGGCUCACUCUCGAGCUUGUAUCCCCAGUAUUGUAAUAACAUUAUUCAGACUCUAUAACUAUUUGAAGUAAUUAAUGUGGUUACUAGCCUCCUGGGACUAGUAAUUGUAUCACAUUUGAGUCCCAAAGGAUUGGGACGCUUCACCAGGCAGCAGCAGUUCACCUUCCCCCGCAUGGCUGGAGGACGCCUCCUUCGCAGAGCUGGAGGAUGCCCUUCUCCCCCGAAUGCUAGAGGAAGAAGCGGGUCGCCGGCCCACGCGGAGGCAGGCCCCAACUCGGUGUGCCCUCCUCCCCAGCCCGGAUGAUGAAGAUCAUUGAAGCUGAGGGCGGGGCAGAGGCCACAGCCCAGCUUGAUUCUCCCCACCACAAGGCUGGUGAUCAUCCCUACGGAUGACCAUUGGUGAGGGACUGCAGCCGGGCUGCAUGAUGAAAAUCCUUGAAGCCGAGCGGUGACUGAAGAGUGCCAACCCCCACGGGGUCGCGCUCCUCAAACAGCAGCAAAAAGAAGGCAACACAGAUGCACCCCAUCUGAGGGCUCGGAAGGUGGAAGGGCACGAUGAAUGCGAGAAGUGUGAAGGCAUGGCUACUGCCCAGGGGAUCGACCCCUUUUUAAAGGCAGACCUCCUCACUCGCACCCCCAAGCGUCACGGGCAAAGUCUCCACCGACGUGUUCCAGGGUUCUCACCCUCCGACGCGGGGGCUGGGUCCCACACGUCAUGCGGGCUGACCCGAAACAGAAGAAGCCAAAUCACCGCACACGAAGCAUGUAACCGCCCCGCGGUUAUAAGCAUUCCCCCAUCCUCGCUGAAACCAGCGGUCGAAAGAGCGGACCGCCACGCGGGGAGCAUGCAACCGCACCGCGGUUGUGCACCCUUUCGGCCCGUCGCAUCCGGCGAACCAGCAUGGAGGCUUGAACCCACAUGUCAUGUAAUCGACGCAAUGGUUACUGCGUGCAAGGAAACCGCACCGCCACUCGCGCCAAUGUCGCGUCUUCUCGACUGCGGAACCAGUACCAUGACUCGAGGCAGCCCUGCGCGUGACCCAACAGUACCAAUUGAGAGCAACGAUCACGGGUCAGUCAGCCGCGGGGAGAGGCGCGACGGUCGAUAUGGCCAAAGGCGGGCCGGCAGUAAUUGCAGCAACAGACGGGCGGAAGCAGCAGUCCAAUCACCUACGGGCUCGCAUCCUCUCCUGAAACGGCGAGGGAGCCCCCUCCCACGGAGUAAAGACGACGCGCCCGUGUUCCGUUCCUCGAACGGCUCGCGCACGCGCAACAGACGCCCCGUGAAUCGCUCGUCCCGUCGCAUUAACUCCUUGGCAGGGCAAGCGACACCUCCGGUAGGAGAAGCGGGCGCCGUUUCGCCUCCGUCAUGAUGACCGCGUCAAAAAAGGUGUGCCGCCUUAUUUAAAUUCAUGUCCUUUUUCUUUCCCUCUCUCUCUCUCUCUCUCUCGCCACAGGGACCGAGAAAGGGGGUAUUUCGAAAAAGGACCCUUCCCAGCGAAGGAAACGGGCCCCGAGCCCUCCUACUGAUCAGGGGUUCGAAGGUUGCGCCCUCCGGGGUUCGGCAACCGCCCUAGAGCACUCGGGCUCCGAGCCCUUUACUGAUUAGGGGUUCGAAGGCUGGCCCCUCGGAAGGGUUCGACAGCCGCCCUAGAGCAUGCAGAGUCAAGGAUGACCCUGGGUACGUCUGUUACAUGGCCGAGGCUCGGGCUACGCUCCCGAGGUACCCUAGGACAUUUCCGAGACCAGUAGGAAUGAUUUGUAACGGAAUCCCACCGGAGGGAGGCAUCGAGCCCUCGGACCCUAUUGAAUGGGUCUGGGUCCAGCAAAUCAUCUGCAGGUACUUUUGGAGCGCGCCUCUGGGCCACUAGCCGACCCUUAUCGAACGAGGCUCGAGCGUCCACUCGGAUCACCCGCUAGCAACUCACCAGAAACACCAUGUUCGGUGCCCUCCGAGGGUAACAUGGUGCUUUCUCCCCUUCCUCCUUGUGGAAAGGCGACGAAGGGGCGUACAAUAAAAGUCGAGACGGACCUUGAUCGUCCUCUCGCUUCGUGCAGAGGCUCGGGGGCUGCUCUCGCACCAGGCUACGGCCGAACCGUUAACCACGUCAACAAACCAGCGUGAAAACUUGAAGCCUGACCGUGCACCCGGGCUACGGCCAGGCCGCAUGAGGGAACGACAAGGCCAUCCGAGGCAUCGCAAAGAAUUAAGACCUCAGAGGAGUCAAACCACUCCUCCGAGGCCUCGGGGGCUACACCCGGCGGGUGCGCUCGCACGCACCCACCAGAACAGAAUAUAACCGAGAAGGGCCGAUCCCCUUGCAAAAAUCCGGCAGAACCUCCAAGCGAGUGCCUGCACUCCCUUUGAGGCUCGGGGGCUACUGUCGGGUACCGUAAUUAGGGGUACCCCCAAUGCUCCUUAAUCCGGCUGGAAAACAUCUUCAGAACAAACCAUACACGGCUGAUAAAGCGUGGUUCAAGUCAAGACCACUUCUGCCGAGGGACGCGACCUCAUCCGAGCCCAGCCUCGGGCGGGAACAGUGGUCCCAGACGGAUUCACGCCUCGCCCGAGGGUCCCCUUAGCCAGCAGAUGCACCCUUGGCUCGCCCAAAGCCCAGCUUGGGUAGACUUUGUCGUGCAGUGACCUUGGCCAAAUCGCCUUACCAGCCGACCAUAUCGCAUGCGCAUUUAAUGCGGGGAUCGCCUGACACCUUAUCCUGACACGCGUGCCUCAGUCGGCAAGGUCGAAGUGACCACAGUCACUUUGCCCCUUUACUGACUGAUCUAAGAGGAAAACAGCGUUGUUCGCCCCGCUCCGGCUACCGUGCCAACCACCAGGAUAAAACUGAGUCACGAUCUCCCACGAGUUCGGCCUCGGGUGCAACAGGGAGCUCCGCCACGCCCGACCUCAGGCCUCGGCCUUAGCCUCAGCCUCGGAAGAAGAUCUCCACCUCGCCCGACCCCAGGCCUCGGCCUUAGCCUCGGCCUUGGGAGGAGUCACAACCUCGCCCGAGCCCAGCCUCGGCCUCAGGAGAAGUUUUCGCCUUGCCCGACCUGGGCCUCGGACCGACUACGCUACAGGGGAUACAUCAUUACCCUACUCCUAGCUAGCUGCCUCAGGCUAUGAAGGAACAAGACCGGUGUCCCAUCUAAGGUUACUCCGGUAACAGGUAAUGAUGGUUCCCCGCGUGUGCCCAUGACGUCGGUUGCUCUCAAACCCCCUACGGAAGCAAGACAACGUCAGCAGGAUCCAUGCCGCGCCGACAGUUGUGCUUCUACAGGGCUCAAGGCACUUCUCCGACUGCCACGUUAGCCCGUCUACAGGGCUCAAGGCGCUUCUCUGCCAGCCACGAUAGCACAUAGCUACACCCCCUUGUACAACUGGGCAUCUCCUUGUAUCUAUAAAAGCGGAUGUCCAGGACGUUCACGAGGGGACAUCAUGGACAAACGUUGCAACACUGACAACGUUGGACAUCAAGGACAGGCGGGGCAGACAAGACAGGCAGCACGCAGAGACUCUCUCUCUCUCGCUCUCGCCCUCGCUCCAUCGCGCGACGCUUGUAAACCCUACUACGAGCACCCCGGUGCGAGAUAACAUAAGACUCAUUUCCCUCUUGUGUUCCAUCUUACAUCAACCCAUCUGGGCAGGGACACGCAGCAACAAAUUUACUGGUCUGUUGACGGUCCUCGCGGGUCCGAAACGCCGACACAAGCCCUAACGAGAGUUUCCCCUCAACUAAUUUCACUAAUGGCGCUCUAACCUGUUCUGUCCACGGUGACCGUAUGAUCAACGGACAUUCUAAUGCGUUCCCAGUGAUCUAAGGUAGCUUAGCUCAAUCGAGUUGGUCGAGGAGUAUCAGGGGCACAUAAGAACACUAAAGCGAAAGCGUAGAGGGUAUGAGCGGACCUGAGACGAGCUGACCACGGCGAGGUCACACCGCUCGGUGUUCUUGAGUGAUUUGGGGGAAAUCCCAAAUUGAGGAGUUCUAGUGGAUGAUUCAAGGCACGGGUUGCUCUACUGGGUGCACAAUUACUUAGCGGAGCAGGCGGGGUCGGUAAUUUAUAGGCUCCCAUAGCGGUGGCGUCCAAUUUCACGAAGUUGCGCUGGCGGCCGGAGAGGAAGAAGGUUACUAGCGCGGUGAUUCGUGGCCUAUUAGCAUGGCAAGCUCCCCGACGAUCACCGGGCAUGCACGAUGUGAUUCACUGCGACGUGGUCAAGCGUUUUAGCAUGUGGCGCACGGCGGUAAUCGGCCAACGGCGGCGAGGUCUAUCCGACCGAUAGACGAGCAAGUGGGUACGGUGAGCUUAGCUGUGACCGAGCCCGAGUCGAUCCAGGCGCCAAGAUCUUUACUCGCCCACGGUUAUCCGCAAGUCACGGCGCAUGAAUCAUACGGCCGGCGUGAAUCACGGCGUGACGGUCACCGGCGGCGAAGGGGGAUGAAUCCGUGAUCUGUUUCAGUUACUGUACCCUGGGAUUGUUCUUCAGUCAGCCUGAUAGCCCAACUUGCAAGGCCUGGAUCUUAAUUUUCCAUGUAGCGACUUACUAAUCCAUCUUUAAGGAAGUUGUUGCUUUACUAUCCAGCUUCAAUCUUACUAUAGCAGUCACUCCCAAAUUCUUACUAGAUCAUGCUCGAAUCCCAGCUCAAAGAUGGCAAAAUCACACUGUCAGUCUGAAUUCAGACUUAAGGCAGUCUGACAGCCCAUCUUUGGGCCUAAUUAUCUCAAAACAUUUCAUGGUACCAAGGCAUAAUUCCUAUAGCAAAGUUGUCCUCCUUUUAUAGAUCUACAAAUUUGAUGUGUUGACCUAGGGCAAAAUCUACAUAAUUUGGAAGAUAUAUGGCUUCAAAGUUGACCCAAUUCUACUGAAUUUCAGACUUAACUCAAUAGAGGUGGGGCUUUUUGCAAAUAAGUCCAAAUCUCAGGGUUUAAGUUGAAAAUCCACAUACAUGUGAAUCAUAUGAGUUAAGGUACCCUAAUUUUAUGGUUUUUGCACUUAAGUCCAAAAUGUGCACACUUUUACAGACAACCCCCUAGGGUUUCAGUCCAGGGUUUUUCAGGGAUCUAUUUAGGGUUUCUGGUACUUCUAGGGUUUGGAUGCCACUUAAGUCUAUUCAUGGUGACAUUUUAUGAUCAUUUCAACUAAGUUUUGAAGUUUUCUCUUAGUUAAGCUUUGUUUAUUCUUCUGAGUCCAGUUUAGGGUUAAGUACUGUAUCCUAGGGUUUCACCCAUGAAAUGUCACAUCAAUACAACUUUGUUUGAAAUUUUUGCCUAGUGAAUGCAUUCUAGGUGUGACAAACACAUGAUAUGACAAUGCUUAUGAUGUCAUGCUCAAGUUUUAGUGGCAGUAACACCAGGGGUGUUACAUCCUUCACCCCAUAAAAGAAUCUCGUCCCGAGAUUAAAAAUCUAAGGCAAGUAAUGGAAAAGGAAAUGUGUUAUACUUUUAUUCCCUUAUUUUUGGUACAAGGCAGGGGUGGUAUGGGGCUCAUUCUUCUAUUACAACAAAUGUACACAUCUUUACAAUUUACACGAAGCUAAAAAGUCUGGGAAAUUCUUUUCUAAAAAGUCUUGAGUUUCCCUAGUAGCUUCAUCCUCUAUAUGUUGGUUCCACUUUAUCUUGUAAAACUUGAGAGUUUUCCUUCGGGUAAUCAUGUCCUUUUGAUCCAAGACUCGAAUAGGGUGCUCUGAAUAUGUCAAGUCUGGUUCUAAGGCAACAUCCGUUACUUCAAUGGUUCGAUCGGGAACCCGAAGACACUUCUUCAAUUGAGAUACGUGGAACACAUUAUGUACAGCAGACAAUGUUUCGGGUAACUGGAUUCGGUAUGCCACUGGUCCACAUUGUUCAAGAAUAGGGAAAGGACCAAUGUACCAGGGUGCAAGCUUCCCCUUUGCCCCAAAAUGUGAUAUACCCUUCAUUGGUGAGACUUUGAGGUAGACAUAAUCCCCAACUAGAAAGUACAAGGGUUUUCGUCGCCUAUCUGCAUAACUCUUCUGACGAGCUUGAGCUUUUUUCAAAUUAUGAAUUAUUCGUUGAACUUUCUCUUCUAUCUCCUUUACCAUAUCAGGCCUGAAGAAACUUCUUUCACCUGGUUCAGACCAGUUUAACGGAGUACGACACCGUCGUCCAUACAAGGCUUCAAAGGGUGCCAUUUUGAUACUCUCUUGAUAGCUAUUAUUGUACGAGAACUCCGCCAAUGGCAAACAUUCAUCCCAUUUCUGUGAAAAUUCUAGAGCACAAGCUCGUAACAUGUCCUCAAGUAUUUGAUUCACCCUCUCAGUUUGCCCACUGGUUUGAGGAUGAUAGGCUGAACUAUGGAGCAACUUAGUAUCCAAAGCCUUGUGAAGUUCUUCCCAAAAUUUGGACACGAAUUGUGGUCCACGAUCCGACACUAUGGUCUUCGGAACACCAUGCAAACUGAGAAUACGGGCAAUGUAUAACUCUGCAUAUGUGGCCACUGUAUACUUUACCCUGACUGGAAGGAAGUGGGCAAUCUUUGUAAGUCGAUCAACAAUGACCCAGAUGGAAUCAUACCCUUUUGUUGACCUGGGCAAUCCCACAAUAAAGUCCAUGCUUAUAUCCUCCCAUUUCCAUGUAGGGAUAGGUAAAGAUUGUAAUGGACCAGCAGCUUUCAUGUGUAUGGCCUUGACAUAUCUACAAGUGUCACAUCUUGCCACAUAGCGUGCGAUUUCAAUCUUCAUCUUUGUCCACCAAUAAUGUUGUUUUAGAUCAAGAUACAUCUUAGUGCUUCCGGGAUGAAUAGAAUAGCGACUAAGAUGUGCUUCAUCUAGGAUUUGCUGGCGGAUCUCAUCAUUCUUAGGCACAACUAUGCGGUUGUUAAACCAUACAACACCUUGAUCAUCUCUUCUAAAGCAGUUGGCUUUACCGGCCUCCAUUUUCUCAUGAAUGUGUUUCAUUCCCUUAUCAUUUCUUUGUGCGUCGAUUAUUCUUUGCAGGAGGACUGACUCAAGCUUCAAGUGAUUUGAAGUUCCAUGUUGUAUCAUUCCCAGGUUCAACCUCUUCAUUUCUUGGCAUAAUGUAAUGUCAAUGUUUUCAUCGUCAGACAAUGGCAGGAAGCCUUGCGACUUAACGCAUCUGCCACUACAUUAGCUUUGCCUGGGUGAUAGUGAAUCUCCAAUUCAUAAUCCUUAAUAAGCUCAAGCCAUCUCCUUUGUCUCAUAUUCAACUCUGACUGGGUAAAGAUAUACUUCAAGCUUUUAUGAUCUGUAUAAAUACGAUAGAUAUUCCCUAGUAGAUAAUGACGCCAUAUCUUUAGGGCAUGAACCACAACAGCUAACUCCAAGUCAUGAGUUGGAUAAUGCUCCUCAUGCCGGCGCAACUGCCUUGAAGCAUAGGCUACCACUCGACCUUCUUGCAUUAGGACACAGCCGAGACCACUGCCUGAUGCAUCACAAUACACAUCAAAGGGCCUUUCAAUGUCCGGUUGAGCCAAUACCGGAGCAGUGGUCAAUAAUACUUUCAGCUGCUCAAAGGCUUCAUUACACCUUGAAGACCAAUUAAAUUUAGUAUCAUUCUUCAAUAAACUUGUGAUUGGUUUCACAAGCUUGGAAAAAUCUAGAAUGAAUCGGCGGUAAUACCCAGCCAGUCCAAGGAAACUUCGGACUUGAUGUACAGUGGUUGGGGGUUUCCACUCCAAAAUAUCCUUGACUUUGCUGGGAUCCACCGCAAUCCCCUUGGCAGAUAAUACAUGUCCUAGAAAUUGGAUCUCCUCCAGCCAGAACGCGCAUUUACUGAACUUAGCAUAUAAUUGGUGCUCCCUUAAGCACGUUAAUACGAUCCGCAAAUGCCGAGCAUGCUCCUCUUUAUUCUUGGAAUAUAUUAAGAUAUCAUCAAUGAAUACCACCACGAAUUUAUCCAACUCGGGCAUGAAUAUCGAGUUCAUAAGAUAUGUGAAGUGGGCAGGAGCAUUUGUUAGUCCGAAAGACAUAACCAAAUAUUCAAAUAAUCCAUACCGCGUAGUGAAUGCGGUCUUGGGUAUAUCUUUGGGUUGGAUACGGAUCUGAUGAUAAUCCGACCUGAGGUCAAUCUUAGAAAAUACCCAGGCUCCGGUAAGUUGAUCAAAUAGAAUGUCAAUCCGGGGAAGAGGGUACUUAUUCUUGAUUGUGACCUCAUUAAGGGGUCUAUAAUCCACGCACAUCCGAAGUGUUUGGUCCUUCUUCUUGACAAAGAUGGCUGGACAACCCCAAGGUGAUGAACUUGGUCGGAUGAAUCCCUUUUCUAGUAGAUCUUGUAAUUGGAUCUUGAGUUCUGCCAAUUCAUUCGGAGGCAUUCGGUACGACCUUCUAGAAAUAGGAGUUGUACCGGGCUUCAACUCAAUCACAAAUUCUACAUCUCUUUCUGGAGGCAACCUAGGCAGAUCUUCCGGAAAGAUGUCCAGGAAUUCACAUACUACCGGGAUAUCUUGGAUCUCCGGUAUGAUGGCUUCAUAUACUCUGCCAAAUGGUUUAGCUGGAAUAGCUACGGGGAUGGACAAGAGAACCUCUUCUUGGCCAUAACUCAACCUGAUGGUUCUCAGAUCAGUGUUGAGGAUAGCUUUAUGUUGGGCUAACCAAUUCAUGCCCAGAAUUACAUCUAUAUCUUGGCCUUUUAGAACAAUCAUGUUGGUAGGAAAGUCUCGUUCAGCCAAUGUUAUAGGCACAUGGAAAGCCACUUCUUUAGUGAAUAUUUGUCCCCCAGGCAAAUGAAUUAUAAACCCUUCCCUUGAUUCAUUGUAUGGAAUGCAAUAUUGCUCCACAAACUUCUUGCUUAUGAAUGUAUGUGAAGCACCGAAAUCAAAAAGAAUAACUGCAUGGUGAUUGGCCACGAGAAACGUACCCAUCAUAACCGGUUCUCCUUCCGGUGUCGUGGCCACUUGCGUAUAAUAAAUCCGCCUAGUUUUCUUCAUAUUUUUGCCCGUUGUAUUGUUCGCCGCAUUUCCCUUGCCUUGAGCGGAACUCCCUGAACUCUGCUGAUUAUUUGAUCUGAUCUGCUUCGGGUAUGGACAGUCCUUAAUAAAAUGUCUGGACUUUCCACAAUUAAAGCAGCAUGUUGAAGAGCUUGGGAGAGCAGAGAAACGAGUACCAGGGGCACUCGGCUAAUUUGUUGAGGUGGGGGCAGUGGCAGGAUGGAUAAAGACCGGUUGUUUCAAAGGGUAGGAGGGUGGACGUGGUGAAGAACGGUUCUGAUGAAAAGGUCGGAUCACCAACCUUUGUCUCUUCUCAGGCCCCUGAUUGGGCCUGUCGCCUCCAUAGCCCUUUGAUUUUCCCGGGCCUGCAUAUUUGGCUUCAACUGCCAGCGUCGUGCUGACAGCCUUACUGUAAGUAAGGUCGAGGCAAGUGGCCAUUUUCCGCUGCAACCGGUCAUUGAGGCCUCUCAUAAAACAAUUUUUCUUCUUCAGAUCAGUGUUGACCUGAUCAAUGGCAUACUGGGACAAGUGGUUGAAUUUGUUGAGAUACUAAGUGACAGUAUCUCCACCUUGUUUGAGCUUCAUAAAUUCUUCCUUUUUCAUAUGGAGCACUCCUUCAGAAAUAUAGUGCUCCCAGAAAGCCAGUUUGAAUUCGUCCCAGGUAAUUUGAUGACCAGCAGGCUGGAUAGCCACAUAAUUUCCCCACCAAAUGCUGGCAGGGCCUCGCAACUGUUGUGCCGCAAAUAACGGCUUUUGAGUCUCCGUGCAUCGGAGAAGCCCAAACUUUUGUUCGAUAACCCGGAUCCACUCAUCCGCUACAAGAGGAUCUUCAGCCUUGACAAAUAAUGGGGGAUGUGUCUCUGAGAAGUCCAAAUAUGAAGUUUCGCGGGGUCCUUGCGGAUACGCUCGCCCGCCUUGUUGUUGCAUUUGUUGCCCCACCAUUUCCCGCAGAAAGCGAGUGUUAUCGGCUGUUGCAUUGACUAAGGCAACGAUAGCCUCAGCCAAGGUUGGGGGUACUGGUGGUGGGUUAGUAGUAGCUUCCCUCCCACGGGAGGUUCCUGCACCAUCCUGUCCACAAGUCCUGGACGACAUCUGAGGCAAAGAACAUUUAGAAAAUAUAAUAUGCCAAAGCAAACCACCCAUUUUACAUUACUUAAAAGGGUAAUGAUACAGACUCGAAUUUACAACAGGAUUACAUUACCUAUUACGCAUUAUCACUAUUUCUAUACUACAUUACUCUAGCUUCUUAUCACUUUUGGUAGCUUCGCUGUCGGGUGUAGGAGACCAUUCAUCGACCAGAUUCAUUGAAGGAGGGGGCCUGAAAAGGUCCAGUUCCCCACCAAGGGCUUCACCCGCUACUCUAGAAGGUCCAGCUUCCAUCCCGACAGGAUCCGCAGGUACGUUAGGGUGCAGUUGUGAAUACAAUACAUGAACUUCCUCAUGUAGUGUAUUACAGUAAACCUGCAAGUUGUCCACGACUGUGCUAAGCUCCUCCACGCGGGCUUGAGCUUUGGCUUCCUUGGCCCAAGCAAGUGAACGUGAGUUAACAACCCAAUCGAGCGCUAAAUCUUGUUCAGCAAGUUGGUCUUGCAGGUGGCGGAUGUCAGUUCUCAACUCGUUUAUUCGCUGACCAUCCUCAACCCAUACUUCGUUCCUGUGACGGAGUUCCGAUCGAAGCUGCUCUACUUGAGCUUCCAGAUCUCCGAUAGGAUCAUUGCUACCACUACUACAGUCCUCAUGCCUUGGAGCUAGUUGAUGGCGAGGUACGCCAAUUGGCCCGGUAUACUUGCGCGUGGUUUUUCUUGUGCGCGGCGGCAUAUCUCCAUGAGGGGGAAAAUCUUAUUAAUAUAGUUUUUAUCAUGAUGCAUGCAUAAUUACAGAAUCAACCUUAGUUGAUUCACAACCUUCUAUACAUCGCACUCUACUAUCUGGUCUUUAAAAUAAGUACUUCAGAAGGUACUUAGAUAAGAAGGAAAGAAAUUUUCUAGAUAAUUCUUUGAAAAUUCUUUUUGAAAAUGUCUCAUAACAUAUGUAGAGAUGGGCUUCGCUCCGAUACCAGUCUGUGGCAAAACCUUCCAAGUUAUUGGGCCCACAUGCGCCUGUCCUUGUCUCAAAUACCUCAAAUGGCUAUGGAUGUGCCCCAGAUAACUUAACAGGAUCCGUCCGAUUGCCCCAAGGACAUCGGAUAAACCACUUACAACCAGGACCGCAAGAUAAAGUAACACAAAUCACACACCAACAUUUUUGCAGCGGAAAUCUUAAUACCAAAUUUUACAAGUUACAAAUUUUUACAUUAUAUUUAUCGGAGUGAUUACAAAAGUAUAAGUUUGGAAUAUAUGCUAGCUCAAAGGACUAUCCUCAAUAAGAAGUAUAGAAGGGUUACUUAGACUUAUAAGAAGGCCGAGCCCACCGGCACUUAACACCAUCAUCAGCAGCACAAAACUAUAACCUGAAAAACAACAGGGAAUAAAACCUUGAGUAUGGAAUUACUCAGCAAGACUUACCCGGGUAAAAAAAAAGACUCUCAAGGGUAUGCUGGUUUCAAACGGGAUUCAAGGAAAGGCUUAUCAAGAAUCAAGGACUCUAUUUUGCAGAAAUACUUACUAAUAGUGGAUCCUUAAAAAUCCAGUUUUACUUGUCAGGUUAAGUAAAGUUACCUGCAUCUAGAGUUCUUUCUACCCUAGUUCAAACACUUGGCCUAUACUAGCUGUCUUUUCAUCAUCCCUUUAGUUCACUGGAUUGCUACGUGUAGGGCAGUGACCAAGUCUUCAUGUCCGUGAAGUUACGGUGAUCUGAAUCGAUUAUACUCAGCUGAGGAUCUCCAAUCACAUGACAUAUGUAGCACUUAACCCUUGCAUAUGUCAACUCGCCACCGGGGUUCUUAAGACCAGAUCAGGUUCACGCCUGUCACACCCGGAUUUCAGGGGCACCAAGACCCGGGCGCGAACAUAAUCACCAGGUGUGCUAGGACCAAGUCUCACACAUAUGAUGAAUCAUGGCACAGGAUCGAAUGUCACAACUUUACUAUAUAAUAGGAGUUCUAUACAAAAUAAAUAAAUAAUUACAUUAUAAGGAGACAACGGUCCAGCAACCCAAAGUUGACUGGGAGACGACGGCCUAGAUUUCUCACGAACACGCCACAGCAUCCUCCAAGCGCCUCAUCCUACGGUACCUGUUCUUGACCUGUGGGGGUGUGAGACAGCAAGAGUGAGCUCACAUAUGUUCAUCGCUCAACAAGUUGUGGGGGAUAAUGUGCAUGAACUCGCCAAAAGUGGGAGCUCACGUGAAGUGUAAGGCUUACCAAAGAGGAUGGUUAGAGCUGAGCAUUGCUUUUAAAGUUGGUCAAAAUUUUAUUAGCAAUUACUAAGUAUAAGUAAAUACCAACCCAAUUAAGUAGUAGAACAAAAGUAACAACAUCACCUGCGAUGCAAUGCAUAUGACAAAUUGAAUUUAGUUCCAUAAAUUAAUCAUGUGAGGGUCUGAGCUGCUCAUGACCGUGAGCACAGCUAGUAUACCAGUUUUACACUCUGCAGAGGUUGCGCAUCUUUACCCACAAGUCAUGUUACCCAUCUACCAAGGGAUCGCGACUUCCCAUACACCUCUACCGAGGAGGCGAGGCAGGGUAACACUACGAGGCCUUUACAAAGUUCCACUAGCUUCAGAAAACCCACUACAGUUUAUAGGAAGCUCCAAUGAAGGGUUCUUGCCUGACCGCCAUCGCAGCAAAAUCAACCAAGGACCUCCCUACACUGACCACUCCCCUACUGCCCUUGCCCCUUUCGGGUAAGGUAGUCCUCCACUAGCUUUCCUAAUUAAUCAGCCAAGGGCGUCCAUAAACCCUUGUGGUAGCACUGUUUUCCCGGGUGGUCGCUCCAUGUUCCAAUUAACAUAAUGAUCUUAUCAUGAACAGUGAUAAUAAAUAGAUAAUAAAAGUAUAAUCGUGAACAAUGUAUCUUCAUACCCAAAACCACAUAAAGCACUAGCAAGUACUACCCAAAAAGUUUAGUGGUAAACAAGGUAUAAAGACAGACAAACUAGGGUAACCUAUUGGGUCCCAUCAAAAUUAACCUAUGCAGAUCAUUAUGAUUAAUCAGAACAUGGCUGGGUAAAAAGAAGUGAUCAAGGGCACAACUUGCCUAGGACUUGAGAUUUCAGGUACCAACUUGCUCUUCAGAUGACACGUGUCCUCACUGCUAAACGUAGCAAUACAGACAAACAUGGUAUAGGCAAAAUUAACAUUACACCAAACAUAAUAUCAACUGCAUAAUAAUAAUCUACGCGUCGCUACGAGCUAGUGGGAACAAGAAUUACUAAAUUCGAAGCUACGGUUAUUGGGUUAUGAUUUUUUAGGUCAUUAAGCUCCUAGAAUAGAUUAAUUCAAAUGAACAAUUUUAAUUCAAGUUUCAUGGUUAAAAAGUGGCACUAGAUGAUGAAAAAUAUUAAAACAAAAUUAUUGCAACUGGAAUGACUCAAUUUGGAGUUAAAAUGAAUUUUCUAUGAAUUAAAUAAGUUCUAGAAUUCUUUUUAUAUUGGAAAUUCAUUUUCUAAAUUCAUUUCUCCUAUUUUCUCUGAGUCCCGGGCUGCCACACAAUAACAGAGAACCCAGGGUCUAAAUCAUAAACUUGCUUAAGACUCAGUUUUCCCCGCACAGGACGGCGGGUUUAUUACGUUAAAUCCGAGGGGCUAUUUUGUAAACAAACGCGCGCGAAGGGGUAUCAACCUGUCAGAGCCCUCGGAUCCGCGACCAACGGUACAGAUUAAAUCUGGGCACAUUAUGAACGAAUUCGCACGCUCGCUUUCUAUCCGCCCGAUCUGGAAUCGACGGACGGGGUUCCAUCCAGGCGAAGGGGUAAACUAAAUCUAAUCUAAGACGUUCAUCAUCCAUCGGACGGCCCUAGACCAUCGUCUACCACCCAGCAGCAGCGGCGGGGCCAGGCUCCGCGUGACGGAGUUUGCGCCGGUGAGUUAGCCACCGACCGCGAUGGGGUUCCCCGAGUUAUUACCAACAUGCCUACUCGAAGUACAGAACAAAGCGAACCAUGUGGGUGAGGUCAUACCCCACAGCGACGAGUCGGUGUUGCAGUCCACGGUGAGGCGCACCUCCGCCACCAAGGAGAAGCUCCGGCGAGCGAUGCACCGACGACUCCGCCGUCAAGCCCGCCCGGAGUGCAACCAUACCAUCCACGCGGCCCCGCGAAGGUCACUGGCAUGAUUCACGGGCCUCAUACGCCGUCGCUGAAGAAGUCCCCCAAAGCGGCGGCCCUCCAUUCCUGCCGCCGAUUACAGCGGCGCAUAGCUCCACAACGCCUACUCGCGAUAGAUGAGGGGGAGGAAGGAGAGUCGCGGGCUCGAUUUUAUAGCCCAGGUCAAGAACGGACUCGGUCAGGUUGGUCCCGAGGUUCUAGCGCGGAGUUGUUUGGCGACCGCGUGAUUGGCGCAGUCCGUUGUGAGCACCACGCGCGGAUAGGGAAGAAGGCACCUGACACAGGGGUCCCAGUGGGCAGCGGCAGCAAGGCUGACCCAGCCACGUGAACGCGGGAGCCACAUGGCGGCGACCACGAAAACAUUCGCGUACGCGCAGGAGAGAGCCAGGGGCUGACCCAGGUGUCGGCGCGAAACGGUGGGCGAGAGCGGGAGACGUAGAGUUGGGCCGGCCGGCGGCCCAUGCAGGCUCGAGGGAGAUGGGUCACGGGGCGAGUGGGCCAAAAUGGUUUCCUGGCCCAAGCGGCGGCUCUCUCUUUUUUUCUUUUUUUAUUUUGUUUUGAAUUUCUUUCUCCAUUUCCUUUUGUAUUUUCUUUCUUUUUUUAAUUUCUAAAAUUCAAUUUGAGUUCAAUUUUAAUUGUGAACUCUUGCUCAUUUUAAAUUUACAAUCUGAAUAUACUAAUAUAGAAGGACCUAACUAUUUUUAUAUACAUAUUUCUUUAUUUUUACAUAACAUUUUCUUUCUCUUCUCUAAACUCCAACUUGCAAAUUAGGGUUGAAUCUCCAAAUUUGGAUUUUGAAUAUAUUUCUUUUUACAUUAUUUUUAUAUUGUCACAAAAUGCACACAAAAUAAAAAUCUCAGCAUGAUGCAAUGAUUUAGUGGCAUAUAUUUUAUAAUUAUCUGUUUUAAAAUAUGGUGUUUGUUGGAACUUGCUCUCUAUUGCAAGGGGAUCCAACGGGGGUGUGUAGUGACGUAAACAGGGUUCUCGCGCAAGAUGGCAAUAGCUCUGUUAAUCUAGCCUCUCAAGAGCACUGCGCGGGGGUAUUUAUAGGUAUCUGAGUGCCCAGCGUCCUGUGUUAAGGACGCAUGUGCCCUCAGACACCUAGGUUAUCCCUGGAAUAUUCUCAUAAAGCGGGGUUACAGACCGUAAUUACAGGGAUGCCUUUACAAAUUAGGCCCGUAACGCGCAGCGGCCACGCAGGGCCUGUUACAAUGGGUCGGAUCAUACGUGGGCCUCUACGCAGGACGAGGUCGCGAGAUGGGAAGACCUCAUCACAGGUCUUCGUCCGAUGACGUAUGGGACGAAGGGUGAACCUGUCCGUUGUCUUGUCUCCGUUGGUCCAAUGACUGAGACGAAGGCAUCGAGAGAAGGGUGGCGUCUUCGCCUUCGCCCCAACAUUUGCCCUCCGAGGGACCAGUUCGACUAAGUCAUCUGGUGCCGAAGACGUCGCUAGAUGGCGGAGACGCUGCCCUCACUCGAAGUGGUUCCGCGGGGGUUUUUGACAUGACCGUUGAUUUGACACCGUAAUGUUGGACUGCAGGGUUCCCGAAGCGCCACGCCCUGUGUAUAAAAGGGGGCGGGGGCGGCGCGUUUUAAACUUUAUCUUUCCGCGUUCCGUGAAAACCCUAGCCGCCUUUUCCACCAUCUUGCUGCUCGUCUGCCCUCCUUGCUCUUGUUCGCCGGAGAUCUGGCCCGAGUGAAGCAGACCGCCCGCCGCCGCCGACGGUACGUAGCGAUGCCGACCUCUUCUUCUGCUGCCGCUACGCCGCCGGCCGACGCGUCGUCUGAGGAGACGCUGAGUACAGUGGCGGCGGAGGAGUUGCACGCCGGCGAGACGGUGGAUUUCGGUGUGUCGCGGAUGUCCUCGGUCCGCGUGCAAUAUAUGCAGCAGCUUGGUUACUUUGGCGGGGGAGUCGCUCGUGUUCAGGGGAUGGAGGAGGUCCCCGAGCCGGAGGGCGAGUUGGUUGUGUUCAAGGCGUUCUUUGUCGCUGGUCUUCGCCUGCCUGCGCACCGAUUUGUGGGAGAAGUCCUGCACAGAUUUAAUGUUCAGAUCCAUCAGCUGACUCCGAACGCUGUGGUGGCUCUGUCGAAGUAUGUCUGGGCGACGACUUCAUACGGCGGACAGCCAUCAGUCGAAGUCUUCGCGAAGUACUAUUGCCUGCACUGGCAGAAGAGGAUGAUUGGAGAUGAAGUUGCCCAGUUUGGGUCCUGUACAUUUACGCCGAAGACCAGCAAGACCACGAUGGAGGUAGUUGAGUUGGUGCCUUGCGCCCGCAACAAGUGGGGCAAUUGGCAUGAGUUUUGGUUCUACGUCGCGGAGGGCACAGUCGAAGACCAUCCGGGGCUCCCCGUGUCCGAGAUGUGCUCGCAUUUUUACUCAGCAUACCCGCCGUUUGAAGUGGCGGAGGAGGAUGCAGACGAAGGGGCCCUUCGGUGCGCCGCCGGCCUGAGUAGCGGGCGCGAUUUGGUUGAGGAGUUUGUGGCGUACGGGGUAUGGCCUUUGGCACAUGGCUGGGCGUUGGGCGAAGUAUGCCCUCGCCAGAUGCCUUCCCAUGGUGGGAAGCUGGUGCGAAGUCCCGCCUUCGCGCUGGAUCUGCAUAGCCGCGAUCCGGCCGCCUUUGUGCGUGAGGCGGAGGAUGGGGCGGUGCGGAUCGUUGGUCGGUACGUGCCGAAGACAGAGGGCCAGCGUAGUUGGGAUAUUCGCGGGUCUAAUGACCGCUUGAAUAGGGUUUUUGAGUUGAAUCGUCUGCCGUAUGGCGGUUAUCCCGGCCAAGACGAUGUAGAUCGUCGCGGGAAGAAACCGGUGGUAGAGACUGGAGACGACCCCGCGCCGGCGGCCGCCCCGUCCUCUAAGAAGAGGAAACUAGGUACUGCUAUGGGAGGACUUGGGGUUUCCGAUGGUUUUGCUAGGGAGUUGAUGAGGACAUGCGCGGCCCCGGGGGGAAGGAUGUCUUCGCCCGAGCUCCGGGAGUCUUCGGUGCGGAUGCUGAGGGUUACCAGGGGUUGGUGGCCUAAGAAUGUUCCUAUCCCCCGCGCGGCCAGCGAAGACUUUUUUACAUCUCGCAUGGUUCAUGAUUGGAAAGUGUUUCCUUACGAGCGGAAUAUUGCUGUUGUUGUGUCGGCAGUGAUGGACAAGGAUCGUCAGGGAGCUGCACAGAAGCGCCAGGCGGUCGUCAGUCUUCAUGAGGCCAGGCCGAAGAGGCAGCGGGGGGCUACGAAGGCUACUGCCCCCGGCGGAGGCCAGCCGCCGCUGGCGGCGAAGUCGGCCGUCCCUGCAUCCAGCAGGGCGCCGCAGGCUGCAAAGUCGGCUGUCGUCGGUGGUUCCAAGUCUGCGAAGGCUACCCCUGCGUCCAGUAGGGUGCCGGAGGCCGCGAAGGCGGCCCGAGGGUUGCCGCCGCCGGGCAAGCGCGUCGCCGACUUCGCCACCGACAUUAGUGUGGACGAUUAUCUUGUUGGUAAGUCGUUGGCUCGGGUUUUUUUUAAUUUGUUGAUACGUCGCAGGGUCGGACGAAGGCCAACUUGUUGUUGUUCCGCCUGCCGCGGCGACCACGGCGGCUGCCAUAGUGCCAAAGGCGAAGGGCGGUGCUCUUAGUGCCGGCGGCGAGAUACCGGCACUCACUGCCGUCAGGGACGAGGCGGGUGCUAUGUCCCGCCGGCUGAAGGAGAUGAAGGAGGCACUAAGUCAGGUACGUUGAGCUAGACUUUGGUUUUUUACCGGCUUCGUUGGUGCUGCGGCCUUAUGUGUGUCUUGUAGGCGGCUGACUUCGCAGACCACGCGGCGUCGGGAGCCCUCACGGCAGUUGUGUCUGCCGAAGUCGAGAGACUUCGGACGCAACAUGCUGACGCCGUCCGGGAAAAGUCGGCCGCCGACAGUAAAUGCCGCAAGCUGGCGGAUAAGGUGGUUGCGCUGGAGGGUGAGAAGACUGACCUCCGGCGCCAACUGGCAGAGGAGAGGGAGGAGGCCAAUGAGGCCCUCGCCAAGGCGCAGUCUGCGCAGGCGGAGGCCAAUUUGGCGCGGGCGGAGGGCAGUAUUGCCAAGCAGCGCGCCGAGUAGUUGGAGGAGCGGCUCAGCGCUCUGCAGGCUCGUGUGGAGAGGGCCGAGGCCUCGACACGCUCGGAGGCUGAGCGGACACGCAAACAGCUUGUGGAUUCAUACCAUGAGCUGGGCGCGCGGACCGCUGACUUCGAAGUGCCGGACCGAGAGCCCGGACUUCGCUGCCUCGAGUGGAUACAGGAGGAGUUGGUGGCGCUUCCCGCCAUCGUGGAGGGGUUUAUGUCAUAUGCCUCCCUGGUCACCUGCGAGGGGGCGAUGAACGCGCUCUCUCGCGAAGGCUGCCGGCACUAUGAGGUCUUCGACCAAGCUGAUGAGGACUUCGAGCGCGAUAUCUACAAGGUUGAGGACCCUAUGGUGAAGGAAUCUGCGGGAGCCCUCUACGACCGGAUGUGGGGCCCCCACGGUCGGGAGGUGGUCACGGAGCGGGCCGAGACGGUGAGGGGUCAGGUAAUGUUUGGCUUUUGUUUGGUGUUUGUUGAAUGUGGGCUAUGUAUGGGUUUGCUGAAUUUGUGUGCUGUGUCUCAGGCGGCGCGUGGCGAGAGGGUGGAUGACUUCGGGGCUUUGAACAGCGAGUUGCCUGAGCCGGAGCCGAUCCCGGCGGCGGCUGUGUCCGAGGCCACCCUGGAGCCGCCCCCGGAAACCGCCGAAGGCGUUCCUGAUGUCCCCGCAGCCACUGUGACCGGCGGAGGCCCGUCGCCAACAGCCGCGCCGAGGGCUGAGGAUCCUGUGAAGGUGGCGGCGGAGCCGACAGCGGAGGAUCCCGCGACGGCCGGGUCUUCGCAGGUGGCUUAGUCGGUGUGGGUAGUUAGGGAAUUUUGGAUAUGUUGCUGAAUCUUGGUUGCUGCGCAGGUUCAAGAUUUUGGGCCUGCGCACGCAACCGGUACUACUAAUUUUUUGGCGGCUUUGACCGUGGAUGAUGGUAAUAAAUCGGAUCGGUCUGCAUCUAAGUUUUCUGAUUUUGGUGACUCUGGGAGCUCGAUUGAGUGGACUGAGGAGUCAUCGGAUGAGGACUUGGACUACUUUGCGGCCUUGGAUGUGGCUGCGGCGGAGGCUUUGCCGCAAGCUGCGGAUGCUGAAGUUGUGCCUGGUCCGAGUAUUGGGCGUAGGCGGCGAAGGGCGGUUGCGAAGCGUAGAGUGAGUGGGGCGGACGGCGGUCGGCUUCGUGUGAGUAGGGCUGGCAGGCAGGAACUGUUGUCCUUGCCGGCCGCUGUGAGUGUAGGUGAGGGGGAGUUGCGAAGUCUUUUUGCGGGUGAGGAGCUUAGGAUAAUGUUAUUUAACUAUAGGGAGAUGGGAAUUAUCCCGAAGGUUGAGCCGAUGUAGAGUGUGUUGCCCUCGCUUGUACAUGUGUAAUGGCUUGUAUGAUGAGGUUGUGUGCCUUCGCACACUCGGCUAUGUUCGCGAAGGCGUUACGUACUUGGUCUGGUGUAUUUGUUAUGUUGGUCUGGUGCACAUGUAGUCGGUCUUUGUGCGGACAGUUUGGUGUAGUCGUUUUCGCACUUGUUAAGCUUCGUCCGGCUGUACCCUUAAGCAAUUGUUGCACGGAUAGUCUUUGCGGAAGACUUCGAUUCGUCGCACUUGUUGCGCUAUCCCUACUGCACCCUUAGGCGACUUCUGCACGGAUAGUCUUCGCAGAAGACUAUGAUUUUUCGCACUUAUUGUGCUAGUCCGGCUACACCCUUAGGCGACUUCUGCACGGAUAGUCUUCACGGAAGACUACGAUUUUUUCGCACUUGUUGUGCUAGUCCGGCUGCACCCUUAGGCGACUUCUGCACGGAUAGUCUUCGUGGAAGACUACGAUUUUUUCGCACUUAUUGUGCUGGUCCAGCUGCACCCUUAGGCGACUUCUGCACGGAUAGUCUUCACGGAAGAUUUUGAUUUUUCGCACUUGUUGUGCUAGUUCGACUGCACCCUUAGGCGACUUUUGCACGGAUUGUCGCACGCGAGGGUAGCUAGCGCUGGGCCUCGCGGUGACUUUGUAUUUGUCGAAUGUCGAAGACCGUUGGCGUGGUCUUUUUUCGACGUAGAUUUUUGCGGGGGAUUUUUCACUUGUAUAUUACAUGACUCCGCCUCGUUAAAAACCUCACCCCCCCCAGAGGAAAAGAGUGCGGGCCGGAAUAAAAUUGUUUUUGCAAACUACAAGGGCGAAUCGGCCCUGAUGAGUCAAACAAAAACUUUGCGGAGAUUGUCGAUGUUCCGGGAGUGCUCCAGGUCUUCGCCGUUUGGCGUUGCGAGCCUGUAGGCGCUGGGGGAAGCCUUCGUCUUGACAAUGAAAGGGCCCUCCCACUUGGGCUCCAGCUUGCCCCUAGACUCUGUCCGAGCUGUUCGGACGAGUACGAGGUCCCCUUCGCUGAAUUCCCUCGGGAUGACUGCGUGGUCGCGCCAUGCUUUUGUCUGGGCUUGGUAUUUAUUUAGAGUCUGUAGGGCGAAGACUCAGUCUCCAUCGAUGAGAUCCUUCGAAGUGGGCUCGUCCACGUCGGGGACGGCUGACGGAACUGUUCGUGGGGACCCAUUUUUUAUUUCUUGUGGGGUCAUGGCCUCCGAUCCAUAUAGAAGGCGGAAAGGGGUGAACCCGGUCGCCCUGCACUCAGUCGUGUUUAGCGCCCAGACCGCCUCAGGUAGCAAAUCGGCCCAUUUGCCCUUUUUCGUCGAGGAGCAUCUUUUUGACAGCUGUGAAAAUUUUUCCAUUGGCGCGUUCCACAACUCUGUUGGACUGCGGGUGAUAUACUGAGGCGAAGGCAAGCUUGGUGCCGAUGGAGAAGCAAAAAUCCUUGAAGUCUUGGCUGUCAAACUGCUUGCCGUUGUCAACUGUUAGUUCGGACGGUACUCCGAAGCGGCAAACAAUGUUUUGCCAAAAGAAUUUCCGUGCAGUCUUUGAUGUUAUUGUGGAAACAGCCCUCGCCUCGAUCCAUUUGGUAAAGUAUUCGACAGCGACGAAGGCGAACUUAAGGUUCCCCUGAGCCGUGGGCAGGGGCCCGACGAUGUCCAGGCCCCAGCGCUGGAGAGGCCAGGUGUGGGCGAUCAGCUUUGUGAAUUGCGAGGGGCUGCCUGAUCGAGGAGAAAACUUCUGGCAGGCUUCGCAGGACCUUGUAACCCGAUUUGCGGCGCAGAUCAUUGCGGGCCAGUAGAAACCUUGGCGAAUCACCUUGGCGGCUAGGGCCCUUGGCCCUGCGUGAGAGCCGCAAGUACCACUGUGGACUUCGCGCAGGAUUUGGAUGCCUUCGGUCUCGGUGACACAUUUAAGCAUUGGCUGACUGACCCCUUUCUUGUAGAGUUGGCCCUCAAUCAGUGCGAAGUCCCGGCUUCGAUGUUUGAGGCGCUUGGCCUCGUUGAUGUCGGUUGGGUGGUAGUACCCCUGUAGGAACAGGGUUAUUGGUGCCCGCCAGUCUUCGGUCAUAAUAAGGUUGACUAUGCGGUGGCCCUCGCUGUCAUUGGUUAUUUGGAGCCCUUCGGGACUCCGGACGGCUGGCAUGCCGAUGACAUGGUAAAACACGUCGGAGGGGGACUCGCCUCUAGCGGCAGCCUUGGCCAGUACGUCGGCCUCUUCAUUCUUGGCCCGGUCCACAUGCUGCAAGGUGAAUCCCUUGAAUUGUCUCUCGAGACUUCGGAUGGCCGCGAGGUAUUGCAUAAGUGCGGGGUCCUUUGCUGCAUAGUCUUUCUCGACUUGGCUGGCAACGACCUUGGAGUCUGUUCUGAUGAUGCAGGUGGUGACCCCAAGGGCCCUCAGCUUGCGGAGGCCGAGGAUGACUGUUUCGUAUUCUGCUAUGUUAUUUGUGCAUCUGUCGGAUUCCAGAGCGAAGCUGAGGCGUGCUGCGUAUCUGUGCUUGACCCCGGCGGGUGAGGUGAUGACCGCAGCGGCGCCUGCCCCCGCAUGGCACCACGCGCCGUCGCAGUGGAUCGUCCAAACCUUCUCUGCGGACGGGUCCGGCUGUGUUAUUGGCCCAGUCCAGUCGACGACAAAGUCUGCCAGGACUUGUGACUUGAUGGUUGUCCUGGGCUCGAAAUUGAUGUGGUAGCCGGAGAGUUCGGCCGCCCACUUGGCAAUCCUCACCGAUGCCUCUGGGUUUCUGAACAAUUCACCGAGUCCCCUGUCUGAGGUGACCCGGACCUUGAAUGCUUCAAAAUAAUGGCGCAAUUUGCACGAAGACAUAACAACUGCGUAGGCAAUCUUCUCCAGUUCUGUCAUGUUGCAUUUGGACGGUGUCAGCACUUUGGAGACGUAGUAAACUGGGCACUGCCUGAUCACACCCGCAACUGUCUGCUCCUGCACCAGUGCCGCGCUGACCGCAUGCGGCGAAGCCGCAACAUAGAGCAACAGGGGUAGCGAAGAGUCGGGGCUUGUAAGGACUGCCAACUCCGAUAGGUACUGUUUUAAUGAGGCGAAGGCCGCUGCCUGCUCUGGUCCCCAAGCGAAGUCUUUUGCGCCACGGAGAGUUUUGAGGAAAGGGAGACUUCGCUCAGCGGAUUUUGAGAUGAAUCUGUUGAUGGACGUCUCUAGCGGACUGCGGAGGUGUCAUGUUGAUGAUGGCCUGAAUUUUGGUUGGGUUGGCCUCGAUGCCGCGGUGUGAUAUGAGGUAGCCCAAUAUUUUGCCUUGGCGAACGCCGAAGACGCACUUUUCCGGGUUCAGGCGAAGUCGUGCGUCUCGCAUGUUCGCGAAUGUCUCGGCGAGGUCAGCGAGAUGGUCCUCCUUGCUCUUGCUGGCGACGACGAUGUCGUCCACAUAUGUGAAUAUAUUUUUGCCAACUUGCCCUUCGAGCACUGUUUUGGUAAGCCGGGAGAAGGUGGACCCGGCGUUCUUGAGUCCCUCCGGCAUUCUGAUGAAGCAAUAUGUGUCGAAGGGUGUUAUAAAGCUGGUGCUAGCCUUGUCUUCCUCCUUCAUGUAUAUCUGGUGGUAACCGGAGAAGCAGUCGAGGAGUGACAUGACUUCGCAUCCGGCCGCGCUAUCGACUAUUUUGUCGAUCCGCGGCAACGGGAAGUUGUCCUUUGGGCAGGCCUUGUUGAGACUGGUGAAGUCGAUGCACAUUCGCCACUUGCCGCUCUUUUUCUGCACCAUCACAACGUUGGAGAGCCACGUGGGGUAAGCCACCGGCUCGAUGAAUUUGGCUUCCAGGAGGCGGUGUACCUCUGCCUUGGCGGCCUCUGUCUUCUCGUCGGACAUUUUGUGAAGCCGCUGUUUUUUCGGUCUCACCGAAGGGUCGAUUCCCAGGUUGUGCUCAAUUAUGGAUCGGCUGACCCCGACCAGGUCGAGGGCUGACCAGGCGAAGACAUCUUUGUUCUUGGACAGGCAGCAGAGGAGUUUCUCCUCUUCAUGCGAAGUGAGGUCUUCGCUGAUAGUGACUGUCUGCUUGGGCGUGGCCUGGUCGAGGGGAACGGUCUUGGUCCCGUCGUUGCUUUGCAGCUGUGCCUUGUCGUGCUCUUUGUUGGUUGGGCUGACGGACGCAGAGACCUCACGCUGAGCCGUGAGGUAGUGCACAUUUCUUUGUCCGGGGGCGAAGUCCCGCUCUAUGUUGCGUGCAGUCUGUUGAUUACCGUAGACCGCAAUGGCGCCUAACGGACCUGGUAUCUUCAUGCACAGGUACAGUCCGUGAAUGGCUGCCUCAAACUUGUUGAUAGAGCCCCGGCCCAUGAUGGCGUUGUACGGAUACACCAUAUCGACGAUAUCAAAAGUUAUUUGCUCACUUCGGGCAUUGGGUGCUACACCGAAGGAGAGAGGCAGCUCUAUUUUACCGACAGGGAAAGUGCCCUUGCCGCCGAAACCAUACAAUGGGUUGUCCAAAGGCUUGAGCAGACUAUGGCUUAUGCCCAUGCGGUCGAAGGCAUGGAGGAAAAUGAUGUCUGCUUGACUGCCAUUGUCGACUAGGACUUUGUGCAGGUCCUAGCCUGCCACGCUGCAGUUAAUAACCAUGGCGUCGAUGUGGGGGGCGCUGCGCAGGUCGACGUCUCGUGCGUCGAAGGUUAGCGGUACGUGGGACCACUUCGUCUGCACUACUGGGCCGGUGAUGGCGACGUGGUUGAUGCUGCGGUAGUGGUCCCGCUUCUGCCGCUUUGUGUCGAAGUCGGUGCUGGACCCCCCAGUGAUCAUAUGGAUGACUCCGCGAUACGGCUGAUCGGCGAAGUCUUCUUGUUUCGGGGCGUGGGGGUGAGGGAUGUUCUGAUGUUGCUGGUGUGGAGGUGGGGGUGGAGGAGGUACGAUUUGUACUUCCUGGUGUUGGUAUGCGUGGUGCGGUGGAUGCGGGGCGGGGGCGUGGAUGUAUGGUGGAGGGGGUUGCUGAUAAGUGUGCGUGACAACUCUGGGGUUGUCGGCUGGCUGCGCCCGUGCCAUCCUGUCUUUGGUGGCCUUCGUUUCUAGGCAGUCUUUGGUUUGGUGGGCGCAGUCUUCACCAUGAAAAAGACAGUAGAAUCGGCGUGGCGGCUGCGCAUGCCCCCGACCCCUACCACGGGUUCCGUUUCCGCGGCCCUGGGGGGAUACUCCUGGCGGCGAGGGGCGUCAGCAGCGGGGUGCUGGUUGGCGAUGUUGUGCACUUGCUGCUGAUUGCGGCCGUCUCGACCGGAGUCUGGUUGCGGAGUCCUCGUCCACGUGCGGCUGGACUGUGGAGCAUCUUUGGGUUUCCGCUGAGACUCAACCUUGCGCUGGUGGAGCUCUUCGGACUUGGCAUAUUUUUCAAAGAGCUAAUAUAAUUCCUGGAGGUUCUUGGGCGGGUCCCUGAUGCAGUGGCUGUAAAGGACGCCGGCGCGAAGGCCACUGAUGGCGUAGUGGAUGGCGAUCUGGUCAUCAACUGAGGGCAGUUGUGACUUGAGUGUAAGAAACUUGCGGUAAUACUCCCGCAGAGUCUCUUUUUCCAGCUGCUUGCAGAGUGAGAGUUCGGCCAAGGCGUCGGUGUCUGGGCGGUACCCUUGGAAGUUGAGCAGGAAUUUGUCCCGGAGGCUUCUCCAGGAGUCAAUGGACAGCGGAGGCAACCUGGUGAACCAGGUGAGAGCUGGGCCUUCGAGGGCGAUGAUGAAAGACUUGGCCAUUGUGGCGUCGUCCCCUCCGGAAGAUGCAACGGCGACCUGAUAACUCAUGAUGUAUUGUGCUGGGUCAGUGCUGCCGUUGUACUUGGGACAGGUCCCUGCCCGGAAGUUGGCGGGCCAGGGCAUCACUUGCAGAUGUGGCGCCAGGGGACUUCGCUCGUCGAGGUAGUUGACCCCUUGGAAUGGCACGGCGUGUGGGAAGGUGUGGUCGCGCUGUUGCAGGGGUGGCCCAUGCUGCAGGCCAAGGUGGCCUUCGCGCAUGUCUUCCAGUUGUGCGCGCUGUUGCAGGGGUGGCCCAUGCUGCGGGCCAAGGUGGCCUUCGCGCUGCAUCAGCGCGAUCUCCCGCUCGAGGUCCUGGGCCUUCUGCUCUUCGUCACGUAUCAUUUGCCGCACCUUGGCUAGUGCGGACACGCGCUGGCGCUUGGCCUCCAGUAUCUCUUUUUGCCUCUGGAGAUUGCGGUUCUUGAGGCGCAGGGCACGCAGUUGUAGCUGUUCUUCCGCUGAGACGCCGAGGACCUCGCCGUCCUCGGUGAGGUCCGCGCCCUCCAGUGGGGCGAAGCCUGGGGGGUUGCGAUUGUCCUUCAGGGCCGCAGGUGCGAAGAGCAUCGUCUUCGCAGGUGCGGAGAACGUCGUCUUCAGUAGCCUCGUGGUGAGUGGAGUGGGUGAGGGCGAGGGCCUUGCCCUUUUUUGCGGCCAGCAGUGCUGCCUUCGCAGCCUCGUCAGCCUUCGAGUUAACUUUCUUUGGUGCCAUCGCGGGUGGUUUUUUUGUCGCACGAACGGUGGGCGCCAAAUGUUGGAACUUGCUCUCUAUUGCAAGGGGAUCCAACGGGGGUGUGUCGUGACGUAAACAGGGUUCUCGCGCAAGAUGGCAAUAGCUCUGUUAAUCUAGCCUCUCAAGGGCAUUGCGCGGGGGUAUUUAUAGGUAUCUGAGUGCCCAGCGUCCUGUGUUAAGGAUGCAUGUGCCCUCAGACACCUAGGUUAUCCCCGGAAUAUUCCCAUAAAGCGGGGUUACAGACCAUAAUUACAGGGAUGCCUUUACAAAUUAGGCCUGUAACGCGCAGCGGCCACGCAGGGCCUGUUACAAUGGGCCGGAUCAUACGUGGGCCUCUACGCUGGACGAGGUCGCGAGAUGGGAAGACCUCGUCACAGGUCUUCGUCCGAUGACGUAUGGGACGAAGGGUGAACCUGUCCGUUGUCUUGUCUCCGUCGGUCCAAUGACUGAGACGAAGGCAUCGAGCGAAGGGUGGCGUCUUCGCCUUCGCCCCAACAGUGUUCACAUGUGAUGGCAUAAAAAGUUCAAACACCCAUACAGAUAAAGUGAACUUGUUUCUCGCUUUGAUAUUAGCUCUUGCAAAUUACAAAUUGGGUAUUACAAAUCCUACCCCCCUUAAAAAGAAUCUCGUCCUUGAGAUUUGUAAGCAAAUGGAUACAAUAGGUUUGGUCUAGAAUUUUAGUUUCUUAUUUGGUUUUGGGAAUCAAAGUUUUGUUCAAGUUUCUACAUAACUGUUAGUAGAUGAUUUAGAAAUUAUGAAUAUUGUAUGUCUAGCCAUUUAUUAGGUCAGAUGAGGUAUGGUCAUGGCAAGUAUAGGUUGUGGCAAGGGUAUAAUAAGGAAAGACUUCAUCCAGAUUCCUAAACUCUGGGUCUUGAUUCCUCUAGCGAUCCAAUUUGAUCUUUGAAGACUUGAGUUGAUGUUUAUCCUUCUUUGACGUGGUUGGUCUUCUUUGGCCUUUCUUCUUGGAGUUGCCAUCCGAGUUAAGGACAUUUGGCUAAGGAUAUGUGGUUAAGAUAGCCGGAGUACACGAGGUAGGUAGGUCAGAAUCUAUGUUCGAUUAAAACAGAGGGGUUAUGUAACUAUCAUGUGGUUAAGUGAGUUGCAUAUGGUCAGGUAGUUGUGCAUGGUCAAGUUAGUCUAAUGCACCAAUUUAUCUUAAGACAUAUUUAUAGGAGUAUGGUCUAAUCUAUUUCAUCAGUAUUAACUUUCCUCUUAAAUAACUUACAUUGGAUUAGCUCAACUUAAGGUUUAGCCUUCGUUAGGUUAGAUGGAUCCAUCACAUAAGAUUGAAUCUAGGUUAGAUUGGUAUUACUAGUUGAGCCUAGAUCAGAUGUACUUAAUUUGGUCUAGAUCAUGACCAUGGUGGGAUAAGUCAGGUGGUUUGGAUAAUAUGAAUCCUUCAAGGUAAAAUGAAUCUAUUAAGAUAAGAGAGAAUCUUUUAAGAUAAGAUGGAUCUAUUAAAUAUAUUUUAGUGGGAGAUAUUCUUAGUUGAUCUAGUUUAUCUUAUAAAUAUAUCUAGUUUAAUAGAUCCUAUUCUUAAUAGGGAAUAUUCUGUGUUGUCUAUUUUAUAAAUAUUUUCCCUUAUGUUUAGGUGUAUAUGUAAAUGCAAUUGUGGACAUUACUCCACAACCCAUCACACUCAAUCAAAGAUCCAAAUCAGACAAGUAUCAUAAGAACAAGCAUUCAGGCACAUAGAUACCUAUAAAAAUAGUUUUUUUUUGUUUUUGUUCCUAAGAGUAGGUCUCCUAUUCCUAAAGGUCACUUUAGGUAUGGGAUUUCAAAGUGUGAAAUCCACUUUUGUCUUUAGAAAGGUAAGAAUAAUCAGAUUGAAGUGGAAAUAGAUGAGAAAAGAUUAAGAAAAGUUUAGAAAAGAAUCAGAGUAGCAAAGGUAAGUAGAUAAUGGUUGUCCAGUUCUAUCUAGGUUUCGUCUUACAGUCAACAUUCCUCUGAUACCACUUCUGUCACACCCGGAUUUCAGGGGCACCAAGACCCGGGCGCGAACAUAAUCACCAGGUGUGCUAGGACCAAGUCUCACACAUAUGAUGAAUCAUGGCACAGGAUCGAAUGUCACAACUUUACUAUAUAAUAGGAGUUCUAUACAAAAUAAAUAAAUAAUUACAUUAUAAGGAGACAACGGUCCAGCAACCCAAAGUUGACUGGGAGACGACGGCCUAGAUUUCUCACGAACACGCCACAGCAUCCUCCAAGCGCCUCAUCCUGCGGUACCUGUUCUUGACCUGUGGGGGUGUGAGACAGCAAGAGUGAGCUCACAUAUGUUCAUCGCUCAACAAGUUGUGGGGGAUAAUGUGCAUGAACUCGCCAAAAGUGGGAGCUCACGUGAAGUGUAAGGCUUACCAAAGAGGAUGGUUAGAGCUGAGCAUUGCUUUUAAAGUUGGUCAAAAUUUUAUUAGCAAUUACUAAGUAUAAGUAAAUACCAACCCAAUUAAGUAGUAGAACAAAAGUAACAACAUCACCUGCGAUGCAAUGCAUAUGACAAAUUGAAUUUAGUUCCAUAAAUUAAUCAUGUGAGGGUCCGAGCUGCUCAUGACCGUGAGCACAGCUAGUAUACCAGUUUUACACUCUGCAGAGGUUGUGCAUCUUUACCCACAAGUCAUGUUACCCAUCUACCAAGGGAUCGCGACUUCCCAUACACCUCUACCGAGGAGGCGAGGCAGGGUAACACUAUGAGGCCUUUACAAAGUUCCACUAGCUUCAGAAAACCCGCUACAGUUUAUAGGAAGCUCCAAUGCAGGGUUCUUGCCUGACCGCCAUCGCAGCAAAAUCAACCAAGGACCUCCCUACACUGACCACUCCCCUACUGCCCUUGCCUCUUUCGGGUAAGGUAGUCCUCCACUAGCUUUCCUAAUUAAUCAGCCAAGGGCGUCCAUAAACCCUUGUGGUAGCACUGUUUUCCCGGGUGGUCGCUCCAUGUUCCAAUUAACAUAAUGAUCUUAUCAUGAACAGUGAUAAUAAACAGAUAAUAAAAGUAUAAUCGUGAACAAUGUAUCUUCAUACCCAAAACCACAUAAAGCACUAGCAAGUACUACCCAAAAAGUUCAGUGGUAAACAAGGUAUAAAGAUAGACAAACUAGGGUAACCUAUUGGGUCCCAUCAAAAUUAACCUAUGCAGAUCAUUAUGAUUAAUCAGAACAUGGCUGGGUAAAAAGAAGUGAUCAAGGGCACAACUUGCCUAGGACUUGAGAUUUUAGGUACCAACUUGCUCUUCAGAUGACACGUGUCCUCACUGCUAAACGUAGCAAUACAGACAAACAUGGUAUAGGCAAAAUUAACAUUACACCAAACAUAAUAUCAACUGCAUAAUAAUAAUCUACGCGUCGCUACGAGCUAGUGGGAACAAGAAUUACUAAAUUCGAAGCUACGGUUAUUGGGUUAUGAUUUUUUUAGGUCAUCAAGCUCCUAGAAUAGAUUAAUUCAAAUGAACAAUUUUAAUUCAAGUUUCAUGGUUAAAAAGUGGCACUAGAUGAUGAAAAAUAUUAAAACAAAAUUAUUGCAACUGGAAUGACUCAAUUUGGAGUUAAAAUGAAUUUUCUAUGAAUUAAAUAAGUUCUAGAAUUCUUUUUAUAUUGGAAAUUCAUUUUCUAAAUUCAUUUCUCCUAUUUUCUUAGUCCCGGGCUGCCACACAAUAAUAGAGAACCCAGGGUCUAAAUCAUAAACUUGCUUAAGACUCAGUUUUCCCCGCACAGGACGACGGGUUUAUUACGUUAAAUCCGAGGGGCUAUUUUGUAAACAAACGCGCGCGAAGGGGUAUCAACCUGUCAGAGCCCUCGGAUCCGCGACCAACGGCACAGAUUAAAUCUGGGCACAUUAUGAACGAAUUCGCACGCUCGCUUUCUAUCCGCCCGAUCUGGAAUCGACGGACGGGGUUCCAUCCAGGCGAAGGGGUAAACUAAAUCUAAUCUAAGACGUUCAUCAUCCAUCGGACGGCCCUAGACCAUCGCCUACCACCCAGCAGCAGCGGCGGGGCCAGGCUCCGCGUGACGGAGUUUGCGCCGAUGAGUUAGCCGCCGACCGCGAUGGGGUUCCCCGAGUUAUUACCAACAUGCCUACUCGAAGUACAGAACAAAGUGUAACACCCGGGUUUUAGGGGUCCAAAGCCCGGGCGUAAACAUAAUCACCAGGUGUGCUGGGACCAAGUCUCACACAUAUGAUGAAUCAUGGCACAGGAUCGAAUGUCACAUCUUUACUAUAUAACAGGAGUUCUAUACAAAAUAAUUAAAUAAUUACAUCAUAAGGAGAUAACGGUCCAGCAACCCAAAGUUGACUGGGAGACGACGGCCUAGAUCUCUCACGAACUCAUCGCAGCAUCCUCCAAGCGCCUCAUCCUGCGGUACCUGUUCUUGACCUGUGGGGGGGUGUGAGACAGCAAGAGUGAGCUCACAUACGUUCAUCGCUCAACAAGUUGUGGGGAAUAAUGUGCAUGAACUCGCCAAAGGUGGGAGCUCACGUGAAGUGUAAGGCUUACCAAAGAGGAUGGUUAGAGCUGAGCAUUGCUUUUAAAGUUGGUCAAAAUUUUAUUAGCAAUUACUAAGUAUAAGUAAAUACCAACCCAAUUAAAUAGUAGAACAGAAGUAACAACAUCACCUGCGAUGCAAUGCAUAUGACAAAUUGAAUUUAAGUUCCAUAAUUUAAUCAUGUGAGGGUCUGAGCUGCUCAUGACCGUGAGCACGGCUAGUAUACCAGUUUUACACUCUGCAGAGGUUGCGCAUCUUUACCCACAAGUCAUGUUACCCAUCUGCCAAGGGAUCGCGACUUCCCAUACACCUCUACCAAGGAGGCGAGGCAGGGUAACACUACGAGGCCUUUACAAAGUUCCACUAGCUUCAGAAAACCCGCUACAGUUUAUAGGAAGCUCCAAUGCAGGAAUCCCUUGCAGGACCGCCAUCGCAGCAAAAUCCUCCCGAGGGCCUCCCUACACUGACCACUCCCCUACUGCCCUUGUCCCUUUCGGGUAAGGUAGUCCUCCACUAGCUUUCCUAAUUAAUCAGCCAAGGGCGUCCCAUUAAACCCUUGUGGUAGCACUGUUUUCCCGGGUGGUCGCUCCAUGUUCCAAUUAACAUAAUGAUCUUAUCAUGAACAGUGAUAAUAAACAGAUAAUAAAAGUGUGAUCAUGAAUAAUGUAUCUUCAUACCCAAAACCACAUAAAGCACUAGCAAGUACUACCCAAAAAGUUCAGUGGUAAACAAGGUAUAAAGAUAAUCAAACUAGGGUAACCUAUUGGGUCCCAUCAAAAUUAACCUAUGCAGAUCAUUAUGAUUAAUUAGAACAUGAGUGGGUAAAAAAAAGUGAUCAAGGGCACAACUUGCCUGACACUUGAGAUUCCAGGUACCAACUUGCUCUUCAGAUGACACGUGUCCUCACCGCUAAACGUAGCAAUACAGACAUACAUGGUAUAAAUAAAAUUAACAUCACACCAAACAUAAGAACAAACGGUGCAAUAAUAAUCUACGCGUUGCUACGAGGUCGUGGAAAUAAGAACCACUAAGAUCGGAGUUACGAUUAAGGAGUUAUGAUUUUAUAGAAGAUAUGUGAUUAAAAUAUUAAACUAUAUUAUAAAUUGAUUAGUAUAAAUCAUAUGAGAGAAUAUAUUAUAAAUCAUUAACUGACUUUGAUCUAAGUUAUAAAUGGACCAUAGAUUAUAUUCUAGUAUAUUCUAAUGAUAGGGAGAUUAACAAGACUAACCAACAUAAGUUAAACAGAGAUCUAAUUAUCAAAGAAUGGGGCAUGAUAUAAUAAAUGCUACUAUUUCGUAGUAAAUAUUUAUACGAAACUAACGCAACUAAAACGGAUCAAAUCGGAGUUAUAACGGAAGAGUUAUGAAUUUCUAAAGGUUCUAUAUAUUUGAUAUGAGAUUGAUUAGGAGAUCAAUUUUAUUAUUGAUUUCAUGUAAAAACAGUGGUACUAUUUGAUAGAGAAUAAUAUUACAAAAUUAUAGGAACUGGAAUGGACCAAUUUGGAGUUCAUAUGCAUUUUCUAUGAAUUAAACUAGUUUCUGCAAUUAAAUUUGUACUAAAAACCAUUUUCUAAACUAUUUUCCUGGUUUUAUUAAUUAUCUGGACUGGGCGCACUAUUACAUAAAACAGCAGGGACCUCGGGGCAAUAAUCCUAAGACUCAGUGAACAACAACUGGAUGGCGGGUUUAUUUCCUAAUACAUGAAGGGCUCUUUUGCAAAUCUUGCGGCCGAAGGGGUAUGAUGUGAUCUGAGCCGUCAGAUCACCAAUCCACGACCCACAACAGAACGCGAACUGGUAUUCUAUUUCCGCCCUUGGAUCAGAAUCCAACCGCCCACGAUCGAUACACGGAUUGCAACGCAGGGCCGGAUCCAUCCGCCAGUUUCCAAUCGGACGAUCACGAUCCAAUGCCACGAAACGGUAUCCCGCCGCCGAUCCUAGCCAUUGGCUAUGCAUCCAACGACCCUGAUUCAAUAGGCAGCACUUAACCUAAUCUCAGCUGUACACUAGGAAAUCGACGGCGCCCGCCAACUCACUCCCAGCUCGACCCCGGGCGGCGGCGCACACGCCCGGUGCGGCGGUGGCCAUGGCUGGCCAAACCGGGAGCGCAUCGAGGAGUCCUAAUCCUAGCGCAACCUUGUGCGAAACGGAGAAGGGGAGACGGCGGGUAGGAAAAUGUUAGCCAUACCGCAGAUUAAGCUCCCGGGCGACUCGACCACGGCGCAAGGCGGAAGUAUUCGAAGACGGGACUCCGGUGAGGAAUUCGUCGCGCUCCGUUCACCAAUUCCGCACGUUGAGGCCCCGGUUAUGCUCGCCGCACCCAGACGAGUUGCCAAGACCCCGCGAUGACUCUGAAACGACGGCGGUCAAGCGAUUCAAUGGUGGCGGUGGUUUUUCUGGAUCUCCUCCGGAGCGGAGGCGAUGCGGCUCAGGUAUAUCGUCUUGCACCGAGUUGAGGGGGAGGACUUCGCGUAUAUACGCCGCACGGGAAUACCGAACCGGAUGGCAGGACGGUUGCGCACAAUGCGGCGGGGAGAUCGCGGCGGCAUUCUCGCGGUUCGGUUGAAGGAGAAGAGGAUAGGGGUGACAGCUGGGACCCACCCGUAGUGGCUCAUCACGCGACGAACGCGACUGACCACCUCGGUCCACACACCAGAGACCCAUCCGACGCGCGCGCGCGUGGAGGACACUGACAGAUGGACCCCAGGUGUCGGCGCCCACCUGACGACUUGGGCCGUGCGGGUGUGUUAGGGUAAAAUGGGCCGAAAGGGGGAAUCCGAGGCCCAGGCAGGGUUUUCCUUUUUUUCUUUUUCUUUUCUGUUUUUAUUUUCCUUUCAUUAUUCCCCUUUUUUUAUUUUUACUUUCUCUUUUCCUUUCUCUCUUAAUUUUCUUAAUUUCGAAUCCUCAUUUGAAUUUCAAACUUGAGGUGAAUUUGUACUUAGAUUAAUUAUUCACCUUGAAAAUACUAGUGUGGUAUUUGCUCAUUUAUGAUUUUAUUUUGCAUUUCAUGGUAUUUCUUUCUCCUUCACCAUUUAAAUCUCAAAUUCAAAUCUAGGGUUCAACCUAAAUCCUCUACUCAAUGUAAUAUAUUUAUUCAUGUUAUUUUGUUUUGAAUGCACAACAAAAAUCCAAUAUGAUGCAAUGAUUUAUUUGUGUCUUAGUAAGGAUUUACUCAUUUCUAAACAUGGUCAGUCACAUGUGAUGAUAAAUAAUGGUCACCAAACAUUGAGAUCAACACUAUUUUCAUGGUUUACAUAUUUAGGUAUUACACAAAGCGAACCAUGUGGGUGAGGUCAUACCCCACAGCGACGAGUCGGUGUUGCAGUCCACGGUGAGGCGCACCUCCGCCACCAAGGAGAAGCUCCGGCGAGCGAUGCACCGACGACUCCGCCGUCAAGCCCGCCCGGAGUGCAACCAUACCAUCCACGCGGCCCCGCGAAGGUCACUGGCAUGAUUCACGGGCCUCAUACGCCGUCACUGAAGAAGUCCCCCAAAGCGGCGGCCCUCCAUUCCUGCCGCCGAUUACAGCGACGCAUAGCUCCACAACGCCUACUCGCGAUAGAUGAGGGGGAGGAAGGAGAGUCGCGGGCUCGAUUUUAUAGCCCAGGUCAAGAACGGACUCAGUCAGGUUGGUCCCGAGGUUCUAGCGCGGAGUUGGUUGGCGACCGCGUGAUUGGCGCAGUCCGUUGUGAGCACCACGCGCGGAUAGGGAAGAAGGCACCUGACACAGGGGUCCCAGUGGGCAGCGGCAGCAAGGCUGACCUAGCCACGUGAACGCGGGAGCCACAUGGCGGCGACCACGAAAACAUUCGCGUACGCGCAGGAGAGAGCCAGGGGCUGACCCAGGUCUCGGCGCGAAACGGUGGGCGAGAGCGGGAGACGUAGAGUUGGGCCGGCCGGCGGCCCACGCAGGCGCGAGGGAGAUGGGUCACGGGGCGAGUGGGCCAAAAUGGUUUCCUAGCCCAAGCGGCGGCUCUCUCUUUUUUUUCUUUUUUUAUUUUGUUUUGAAUUUCUUUCUCCAUUUCCUUUUGUAUUUUCUUUCUUUUUUUUAAUUUCUAAAAUUUAAUUUGAGUUUAAUUUUAAUUGUGAACUCUUGCUCAUUUUAAAUUUACAAUCUGAAUAUACUAAUAUAGAAGGACCUAACUAUUUUUAUAUACAUAUUUCUUUAUUUUUACAUAACAUUUUCUUUCUCUUCUCUAAACUCCAACUUGCAAAUUAGGGUUGAAUCUCCAAAUUUGGAUUUUGAAUAUAUUUCUUUUUACAUUAUUUUUAUAUUGUCACAAAAUGCACACAAAAUAAAAAUCUCAGCAUGAUGCAAUGAUUUAGUGGCAUAUAUUUUAUAAUUAUCUGUUUAAAAUAUGGUGUUCACAUGUGAUGGCAUAAAAAGUUCAAACACCCAUACAGAUAAAGUGAACUUGUUUCUCCCUUUGAUAUUAGCUCUUGCAAAUUACAAAUUGGGUAUUACAACGCCAACCGAGAGCACAGAUACACCACCGUCCAGCCUCUUGCCACGGAGGGUACACGCUACUCUCGCCAUCUCUCCACUCCCAUUGUGUGUUAUCUUAUUCUGGUAUUAGUCUGCCCGAGGCAAAUCUUACCCAUGAUGAGGCAUGUGACCAGUUAAAGGGUCCUCGAUCAGCAAGCCUACAUCGACAAGGUCCUUAAUCGACUCAGACGGAGACACUACACCGAGACUCUCUUCUCGUGCAAGUCACCCACCCAUUCUCAGCUUUAUCAUUUCAAACCCAAAGUUUGGGACCUGGUAGAGGUACAUCUUUUCCGAUGUUGAACCCAUCAUGGCCAUGAUGGAUCCACCAUCAAAUUUUGUUUUUGAAAACAUCCCACCCACUUUGAAGCAUCAUCUUUUGGAAAACAAAACAUCUUGUUUUCUAGAGCAAGGCUAAGCAUAAGAAAAACCUUUUGGUAAAUCAGGGAUUAAGGAGAAGUAAUCAAAUCCAAGGAAGGAAAUGCAGCAACUGGUUUAGUACACAACUCCUAUCACCUAAUGCAUCAAGUAAGUGAGAAAGAUUUCAAAAUAACAAGGGGGUGGCAAAUGCAUCGGGGCUUGCCUUAUGUGAUAGGUGAAUCAGGCUCUGUUCCGCAGAUAUCAAAGUAAAAGCAGUUUCCUGCCUGAGGUUCUUCAGGUGGUGGUGGUGAAGUCCUCGCUUCUUCAACUUCUAUUUCCUCCUCGUUUUCUAGAUAUAACCAUAUAUAGUCAUGUAAUGCUCAUGAAAAUGCUAAGAUAAUAAAAGUUUAUUAUCUAAUGUCUUGAAUAUAACUUUCCUUCACGGAUCUCCGAGAAAUUAGGGUUUUCGGAGUCUAUAGUGAAGUUCAAAGGGCAGGGGCUAGGGUUUUGGGUCUAACUAUCAAACAUGGUCCAAAUCAUACCAAACUUUACCCAAGGCUUCUAAAUAUUACUUAAAGCUUGUCUAAAAAGUUUGGUGAAUUUUGGGAUUAUAAAUUACUCUCUAAGAUUCUAGAAGUAUGAAUUUUGGCUAUUUUAAAUGCCCCAAAAUUCCCUAUUCGAACUAAAAAUCAGGAAACUACUUUUAUUAAAUACUAUAAGAAAUUAGAAGCCUAGGAAAAUUGGUCUGGUAUUUUUAGCAUUUUUCUACAUUUUUUUAUGGAUUUCUAAAGCUUCUCAGAAAAAGAAAAAGAAAAUCUUUCAACAGUGUUGGGCCAAAACUGACCCAAACGGCCCAACCCGAACAGAAAACGGGGACGCGCCCGUGUUGGCGGAUUUGCACAGAGGCCCCCGAUGGCUUGGAUAACUCGUUAAGAACCCCUAGCCACUAUUCAUCGUCUCACUGACAAUUACACAGAGGUCCCCCGACUUCUGUUUCUUUACAGUCCGAAGUCCACGACGGCGAACAGCGAGGGGCCGAGCUCCGGUGAGCCUAUAUCAGCCGAUUUACUCGAUGACCGGCGUUCUACUUUGGCAGAGACCAAAUUCAAGCCCUAACAAGAGUUUACCCUCAACUAAUUUCACUAAUGGCGCUCUAACCUGUUCUGUCCACGGUGACCGUAUGAUCAACGGACAUUCUAAUGUGUUCCCGGUGAUCUAAGGUAGCUUAGCUCAAUCGAGUUGGUUGAGGAGUAUCAGAGGCACACAAGAACACUAAAACGAAAGGGCAGAGGGUAUGAGCGGACCUGAGACGAGCUGACCACGGUGAGGUCACACCGCUCGGUGUUCUUGAGUGAUUUGGGGGAAAUCCCCAAUUGGGGAGUUCUAGUGGAUGAUUCGAGGCACGGGUUGCUCUACUGGGUGCACAAUUACUUAGUGGAGCAGGCGGGGUCGGCAAUUUAUAGGCUCCCACAGCGGUGGCGUCCAAUUUCACGAAGUUGCGCUGGCGGUCGGAGGGGGAGAAGGUUACUGGCGCGGUGAUUCGUGGCCUAUUACCAUGGCAAGCUCCUCGGCGAUCACCGGGCAUGCAUGAUGUGAUUCACUGCGACGUGGUCAAGCGUUUUAGCAUGUGGCGCAUGGCGGUAAUCGGCCAAUGGCGGCGAGGUCUAUCCGACCGAUCGACGAGCAAGUGGGUACGGUGAGCUUAGCUGUGACCGAGCCCGAGUCGAUCCAGGCGCCAAGUUCUUUACUCGCCCAUGGUUAUCCGCAAGUCACGGCACACGAAUCACAGCGGCCGGCGUGAAUCGCGGUGCGACGGUCACCAGCGGCGAAGGGGGAUGAAUUCGUGAUCUGUUUUAGUUACUGUACCAUGGGAUUGUUCUUCAGUCGGCCUGACAGCCCAACUUGCAAGGCCUGGAUCUUAAUUUUCCAUGUAGCGACUUACUAAUCCAUCUUUAAGAAAGGUGUUGCUCUACUAUCCAGCUUCAAUCUUACUAUAGCAGUCGCUCCCAAAUUCUUACUAGAUCAUGCUCAAAUCCCAGCUCAAAGAUGGCUCAAUCACACUGUCAGUCUGAAUUCAGACUUAAGGCAGUCUGACAGCCCAUCUUUGGGCCUAAUAAUCUCAAAACAUUUCAUGGUACCAAGGCAUAAUUCCUAUAGAAAAGUUGUUCUCCUUUUAUAGCUCUACAAAUUUGAUGUGUUGACCUAGGGCAAAAUCUUCAUAAUUUGGAAGAUAUAUGGCUUCAAAGUUAACCCAAUUCUACUGAAUUUCAGACUUAACUCAAUAGAGUUCAAGUGGGGCUUUUUGCAAAUAAGUUCAAAUCUCAGGGUUUAAGUUGCAAAUCCACAUACAUGUGAAUCAUAUGAGUUAAGGUAUCCUAAUUUUUUGGUUUUUGCACUUAAGUCCAAAAUGUGCACACUUUUACAAACAACCCCCUAGGGUUUUUCAGGGGUCUAUUUAGGGUUUCUGGUACUUCUAGGGUUUGGAUGCCACUUAAGUCUAUUCAUGGUGACAUUUUAUGAUCAUUUCAACUAAGUUUUGAAGUUUUCUCUUAGUUAAGCUUUGUUUAUUCUUCUGAGCCCAGUUUAGGGUUAAGUACUGUAUCCUAGGGUUUCGCCCAUGAAAUGUCACAUCAAUACAACUUUGUUUGAAAUUUUUGCCUAGUGAAUGCAUUCUAGGUGUGACAAACACAUGAUAUGCCAAUGCUUAUGAUGUCAUGCUCAAGUUUUAGUGGCAGUAACACCAAGGGUGUUACAUUCUUGGUGUUGGUACAGUCAUUCUGAAGUUUAUUUCAGCAAAGACUGUACUAUUGAAGAACGUGCAACAUGUCCCCCCAUCAAAAAGAAUCUUGUUAGUGGCUCAUUGCUAUAUCGACAUGGCUAUAAACUUGUGUUCGAGUCUAAUAAAUGUAUACUAUCAAAGUAUGAGAUAUUUAUUAGAAAAGGCUAUGACAGUGGAGGCUUGUUCCACUUAUCUUUGCAUGAUGUGUGUAAUAAGUUUGUGAACAAUGUGAUUUUGAACGAGUCGUAUAUUUGACAUUCACGACCUUGUCACAUCAAUUUUGGUUGUGGGUCGCGGUUAGCAAAUUUAAAUUUAAUCCCGAAAUUUGAUUUAGUCAAAGGUUCUAAGUGUCAGGUGUGCGUGCAAUCUAAGCAACCUCGCAAGCCUCAUAAGGCUGCGGAGGCGAGGAACUUGGCACCACUAGACUUAAUACAUUCUAGUUUAUGUGAGAUGGACGGAAAAUUGACUAAAGGAGGCAAACGAAAUUUUAUUACUUUUACCGAUGAUUCUACUAGAUUUUGGUAUGUGUAUCUCUUAAAAUCAAAAGACGAAGCUUUGCGUUAUUUUAAGACCUACAAAGCUGAAGUUGAAAAUCAACUUGAGAGGAAAAUUAAACGGUUAAGGUCUAAUCAAAAGACGAAGCCAACGGCGGCGAGGUCUAUCCGACCGAUGAUUCUAUUAGAUGGUAUUAUUCAUGAGAGGACACCGCCAUACUAUUAUAAACUCUGGAGUGCCGGACAUGUUGGUUGAUACUAUUAUGGAGUCUAGAGAUGCUACGUUUUUUUAGGAUGAAUUUCCUAUGAAAGCUACACAUGAUACGUCUAAUGAUGAACCAACGAUACCCCAUGAGCAUUUUAUUCUGGUAGAACACACUGAGGAAUUCCAUAUACAUAAUCAUGUGGAAGAUGACAAUGUAUCAACUCGAAAGAGUAAGAGACCAAGGAUAGCAAAGUCCUUUGGUGAUGAUUACAUUGUAUAUCUUGUGGAUUACACACCAAGUACCAUUGAAGAGGCAUAUUCCUCUCCUGAUGCUGACUUUUGGAAGGAAGCAAUAAGGAGUGAGAUGGAUUCUAUUAUGUCUAAUGCAACUUGGGAGGACAUUGAGCGUCCUUAUGGGUGUAAGCCCAUUGGGAGUAAAUGGGUGUUCAAGAAAAAGCUUAGGCCUGAUGGUACUAUUGAAAGGUAUAAGGCGAGGCUUGUAAUUAAAGGCUAUUCACAGAAGGAAGAUGAGGAUUUCUUUGAUACUUGUUCACAUGUGGCUCGAUUGACAACAAUUCAUGUGCUACUUUCUCUGGCUGCCUCUCAUGGUCUUCUCGUCCAUCAAAUGGAUAUUAAGACAACAUUCCUAAAUGGAGAGUAGAUGAGGAAAUCUACAUGGAGCAGCCAACUGUGUUUGUAGCAAACGGUCAAGAAGGCAUGGUGUGUAAGUUAUUGAAAUCUUUAUAUGGCCUAAAACAAGCACCUAAGCAAUGACAAGAAAAGUUCAAUAGAAUGUUGACAUUUGCCGGCUUGUUGUGGACGAAACAGACAAAUGUGUAUAUUAUCGGUAUGGUGGAGGCGAGAGAGUAAUUUUAUGCAUGUAUGUUGAUGACAUUCUAAUCUUGGGGACAUGUCUUAAUGUGAUUAAAGAGACAAAAGACUUUCUGUUUAAUAAUUUUGAAAUGAAAGAUUUGGGAAAAGCUGAUAUUAUUCUUAACAUUAAGCUACUGAGAGAAGGCAAUGGUGGGAUCACACUGGUGCAAUCCCAUUAUGUGGAAAAUGUUUUGAGUCGCUUUGGUUAUAGCAAAUGUGAACCUGCUCCAAUACCUUAUGAUCCUAGUAAGCUUUUUAAGAAAAAUCGAAGGAUAUCUAGAGACCAAUUGAGAUAUUCCCAAAUAAUUGGUUCACUCAUGUACUUAGCUAGCGCUACGAGGCCUGACAUCUCGUUUGUUGUGAGCAAACUUAGCCGGUUUGUUUCAAAUCUGGGAGAUGAUCACUAGCGUGCUCUUGAGAGAGUUCUGCGCUAUCUAAAAUGUACUAAGAGUUUAGGCAUCCACUAUAUCGGGUACCCAACUGUACUGGAGGGUUAUUGAGAUGCUAAUUGGAUAUCUGAUGCUGAUGAGAUAUAUGCCACAAGUGGAUAUGUGUUUUCACUUGGAGGUGGUGCUUUUUCAUGGAAGUCUUACAAGAAGAACAUUUUAACAAGGUCAACUAUGGAAGCAGAACUCACAGCAUUAUAUACUGCUUCAGUUGAGGCUGAGUGGCUUUGAAGAACUCCUUAUGAAUCUACUGGUGGUUGAAAAACAUGUGCCGGAUAUUUCUAUGAACUGUGAUAAUCAGACUGUGAUAAUCAAGAUAAAUAGUUCUAAGAAUAAUAUGAAGUCGACAAGGCACAUAAAGAGGCAUUUAAAAUUGUUGGGUCUAUGCUUCGUCGCCGAAGGUCUUAUAGAAAGAAGCGAUCCUCGGAUGAAGCUGUUUGUACAAGAUAGCCGAAGGUUCCUCUUCGUAAAGCUUCGGCAUUACAAACCGACUUAAAGAUAGAAUGACUUUUUAGUCCAUAAAGGUCUGAGUCAAUGUUGUAAGUUUUUAUAAGGGGCAUACUUGUAAUUCCUCACAGGCUGCGUCCUGUGCCUAUAAAUAGUGAACAGUAUUCUGUUACUGUUCACGCAUUCUGACAUUUGCAAUCGCAUCUUUCGGAAUACAACCUUUGUCAAGGCAUAGGUAUCAUUGUAUUUAAUGAUUUCAUAUAUUAAUGAAUAUGAUAUGAUACAUCAGUGAUUCAUUCAUCCAUUUUAUACCUUUUAUUUUACAUUACUUUAUAAUAUUUAUUGAAAAUUUAUUACGAAGGUUCAACUUCGUAACAAUACUCUCAUCAACCUUCGUCCAAGACCUAUUAUCCUCAAAAGGAAUAAUGCUUCUUGGACGAAGGACAGUUUCAUUUAACAUUUUAUGUUGCCUUGUUCUUAAUUCAUAGCAUUUGAGAACAAGUCUCCAACAUUGGCGCCCACCUCCGGUGAACUCACUUCCACUUUUUCGAGCUGAUGGCUUCGUUCAACGACCAAGCUGGAGCUGCUUCGGACUCGAAGCUGGUGCUCCCGAUCACAGGUGGCUCGUCCUCAGAGCCAGCUAACAAGAAGCAGAAGAAAGAAGCACAGAGAAGGGUACAGCAUGUUGGGGUGCAAGGACCCUUCAUCAAGUCGAGAUGGUCUCACAUUCCUAUUACCUUCUCCCAAGAGGACCUUCAGCUCAAAGAUUACCCACACAACGAUGCCAUGGUUAUCUCUUGUGUUAUCAAAGGAUUUAUGGUCCACAAUGUCUUGGUUGACACAGGCAGUGCAGCUGAUAUCAUUUUUGCUAAGGCCUUCAGACAGAUGCAAGAGCCAGAAGAUAAGAUUCAUGAUGCUACACAUCCUCUUUGUGGCUUCGGAGGAAGACAGAUCGUAGCAUUGGGCAAGAUCACCAUGUCAGUGACCUUCGGGUUCAUCAACAACACUAGAACUGAGCAAGUUGUGUUUGAUAUUGUUGACAUGGAAUACCCUUACAAUGCAAUUAUUGGUCGUGGUACUCUUAAUGCCUUCGAAGCAAUCCUUCAUCCUGCCUAUCUUUGCAUGAAGAUACCUUCGGAUCAGGGACCCAUUGCUAUCCAUGGAAGUCAGGAAGCUGCAAGAAGGGCCGAAGGCAAUUGGACUGACUCAAAAGCAAUCCAUAACAUAGAUGGAGCUGAAGCUUGUGAACAGUACAAAUUCAGAAGGGAGAAAGCAGCUUCAGCAGAUCAGCCGAAGCCUAUGCUCUUAUGUGAGGACAUAGCAGAGCAGAAGGUGCUGCUAGGCUCUCAGUUAUCCGAAGAGCAGGAGAAAACCUUGAUAAGGUUUUUGUUCAAUAACAAGGAUGUUUUUGCAUACUCGCUCAAUGUCGAUCCAUCCUUCAGACCCAGAAAGCAAAGGCUUCGGAAAAUGUCAGAUGAUAAGGCCGAAGGUGCUCGCAACGAAGUCAAAAGACUCCUCAGUGCAGGAGUUAUUAGAGAAGUAAAGUACCCAGAAUGGCUGGCUAACACUGUUAUGGUAAAAAAGGCCAAUGGCAAGUGGCGAAUGUGCAUCGAUUUUACAGAUCUUAACAAGGCCUGUCCGAAGGAUGAAUUCCCAUUACCAAGGAUAGAUUCUUUAGUUGAUGCAGCAGCUUCGUCAGAGCUCAUGAGUCUGUUAGACUGCUAUUCAGGCUAUCACCAAAUUUGGAUGAAAAAGGAAGAUGAGCCGAAGACUAGCUUCAUCACCCCAAGUGGCACAUAUUGUUAUCUUCGGAUGCCUGAGGGGCUCAAAAACGCUGGAGGAAGUUUCAGCCGAAUGACUGCGAAGGUUCUUCAAUCUCAAAUAGGCAGAAAUGUGCUAACUUAUGUUGAUGACAUCAUUGUCAAAAGCACGAAGCAGGAGAAUCAUAUUGCUGAUCUGCAGGAGACCUUCGCCAGUUUCAGGCAAGCUGGCUUAAAGUUAAAUCCAGAAAAAUGUGUCUUCGGAGUGAAGAAGGGGAAAUUUCUUGGAUGCUUGGUUUCAACAAAGGGAAUUGAAGCCAAUCCAAGUAAAAUUGAAGCUAUACUUCGGAUGGAGCCACCAACUACAAAGAAGGGGGCUCAAAGAUUGACAGGAAGAUUGGCAUCUCUCAAUAGAUUCAUAUCCAGAUCAGCAGAGAGAAAUUUACCAUUCUUCGAAGUGCUGAAGUCGGCCGAAGUCUUUCAAUGGGGACCAAUCCAGCAGAGGGCUUUCGAAGAACUGAAACAGUAUUUGAUAGAUCUAACAACACUGACUCCACCAAUGCCAGGGGCUCCUUUAUUAUUAUAUGUGGCAGCUUCGCACUCAGCGGUAAGUGCGGCGCUUGUCCAAGAGAAGCUUGAUGGUCAAGUCAAAAGGCAGGCCCCAAUAUAUUUUGUUUCCGAGGUCCUUAGUUUAUCAAAGAAAAAUUAUACAGAGUUGGAGAAGAUACUGUAUGCUGUCUUGAUGGCCUCCAGGAAGCUUCGGCACUAUUUCCAAGCUUACAACAUAAUUGUUCCUUCAUCACAACCUCUGAAGGAUAUUAUGAGGAACCGAGAAGCUACUGGAAGGAUUGGAAAAUGGGCUGCAGAGCUCAAUGAAUUUUGUAUUGAAUAUGUUCAUAGAUCUUCGAUUCAGUCACAGGCACUGGCAGACUUUAUUGCUGAUUGGACGCCAGGGGCUCAGGAGGAGGAAACGAAUAAAGACAACGAAGCCUGGACAGUGUUUUGUGAUGGAUCUUGGGGAACCUUCGGAGCAGGAGCGGCUGCUGUGUUGGUUUCACCUUCCAAAGUCAAAACUUGUUAUGCGGCAAAGCUUGAUUUUAAUUGCACAAACAACAUUGCUGAGUACGAAGCAUUGAUUCUAGGUCUUCGGAAGUUAAAAGCAAUGGGAAUCAGAAGAGCCAUACUUAAAACUGAUUCCCAGGUUGUUUCGGGUCAUAUUGACAAAAGUUGCAAGGCUAAGGAUCCGAAGCUUGAAAAAUAUCUGGAUAUGGUUCGAAGAGUUGAAGCUUCCUUCGAAGGGUUUUCUGUCAAAAAUAUCCCUCGAGGACAAAAUGAGCAUGCUGAUUUGCUAGCUAAGUCAGCAGCACAGGGGCUGCCUUUACCUUCGGAUGUAUUUUUCGAAACAAUAAAAGCACCUUCGGUGGAACUUCUUGAAAGAGCAGUUCUUAAUAUAUCUCCUGUUUUUAGCGAAGAUUGGAGAACCGAGAUCAUUUCUUACCUUCAGGGUAAAUUUCUUUCAGAUGACGAAGCUUAUAACAAGAGGAUAGAAGCAAGAGCUCGUCCAUAUGUCAUGAUAGAAGGGGAGUUGUAUAAACAUGGAGUUUGCGCUCCGCUGCUCAAAUGCUUAUCCAGAACCGAAGGUAUAGAGUUAAUGAAAGAAAUACAUGCAGGCCUGUGUGGAUCUCACAUCGGAUCCAGACCGUUACUAGGAAAAAUUUUCCGUCAAGGGUUUUAUUGGCCGAAGGCAGCUUCGGAUGCAGCAGAAUUGGUUCAAAAGUGCGAAGGUUGUCAGAAAUGUGCAAGAGAUCAAAAACAACCUUCGUCCUUAACACAGCUCAUACAACCCACUUGGCCAUUGCAAAGGUGGGGCCUUGACUUGUUAGGUCCGUUACCACCGGCCCAAGGGAACCUGAGAUAUGUUGUGGUAGCUGUUGAAUAUUUUUCUAAAUGGAUCGAGGCGAAGCCUUUAGCCACAAUAACUUCGGCUACUGUCCAAAAGUUUUUCUGGCAGAAUAUUGUUUGUCGUUUCGGGGUGCCAAAGGCUAUUACUGUGGACAAUGGGACACAGUUUGACUCCGAAGCUUUCAGGAAUUUCUGUGACCAAAUUGGUACGAAGAUCCAUUUUGCAUCAGUCAGGCACCCGGAGUCAAAUGGACUCGUUGAAAGAGCCAAUGGCAUUAUAAUGACAGGAAUAAUGAAGCUAAUCUUCAAUCAACCUAGAGGAAAAUGGCCAGAUCAGCUAACCAAAGUGGUGUGGAGCCACAACACGACAACAUCAAGGUCUACAGGCUUCACUCCAUUUAAGUUGUUAUUCGGUGACGAAGCAAUAACUCCAGAAGAAGCUAAAGCCGGAUCAAUAAGGAUAAUAGCUUCGGCAGAAUCAGAUUCCGAAGCUGCUGAUUCUAUAGAAAAAGAUGCUUUAGAAGGGAUCAGACUGCAGGCCGUGGAGAAUAUUAAUAAAUAUCAAGCUGAAACAGUCAAAUGGCGGGAUAGAAAGGUUCGGCUAAAAAAUAUUGAGCCAGGGCACUUGGUGCUUCGGAGGGUGGCCAACCCGGAAACAGUGGGCAAAUUGCAGUUGAAAUGGGACGGGCCUUUCUUAGUAGUAUCUUCGUCAAGGCCCGGUUCAUACAGAUUGAAAGAUAUGGACGGCAAUGACAUUCCUAGAUCUUGGAAUGCGGAUGAGCUUCGGCGAUAUUAUGUAUAAUUCGAUGUAAUUUUUCAUAUUUUUUAUUUUUUCCUUUCAUGGCACCCUUUUCCUUUCUCAAGGGGGAGAAAGGUUUUUAAUGGGGCCAGCAUAUGUAAUUUCCUUUUUUAGUCUUAUAAGAGCAAAAUCCCCAAAGAAUGUAAAUGUAAAAGCUGAGAGUGCACCAUCGAGUGCCCAAAAAGUAAAAACGAAGAAGCUCCAAAGACGUUCCUAAGGGAAUGCAGAGCUUACAGCGAAAAGUCAACGCUGAUUCCGCCAAAAGUAAAGGCGAAGAAGCUCCAAAGACGUUCCUAAGGGAAUGCAGAGCUUACAGCGAAAAGUCAACGCUGAUUCCGCCAAAAGUAAAGGCGAAGAAGCUCCAAAGUCGUUCCUAAGGGAAUGCAGAGCUGAGGUGUGAUUGUUUUCAAGAAAAUAAUGGCUAUGAAUGUGACUUCGAUACGUGUUUGGCCAUUCAUUUGCACGUCACAUUACAUCAUAGCAUUUGCAUUCAUAAACAUUCAUCUAGGCAUAUGUAGGAUAAUCAUCUUCAUCGCAUAAAAUGAUUGCUUUGGCAAGAAGUGAAAAAAAAAGAAAGGGAAAAAAGAGCUUCGUGCACAAAGAAGAAGGGAAAAUGUUGUUUUCUAUGCUUCGUUGCGUACGAAAAGAAGGGAAGGUGUUUUUUCGCCUUCGGCUCAAAAAAGGAAAUUUCGUCCACAUCAAAGCAUUUCUCACACAACAGUGAAAGGUUAAGGAUAUAUUACAAGGUAUGAACAGCAUACAUUAAAAACAAGUUUUGUUUACAUUCACAAAAGUUAUCUCAAAAGUUUUUCAAGUACUGUCUGCAGUCUACUAUCUAAAUCUCCAAAGAGCUUCGGCUUCGGCAUUAUUUUUGAUCAUCAGCUUCGGCUUCGUCAUCCUACAUGAAUAAGGUCGUUGGAAGUCAAAAUUAAGUUUACAAAAAAGGUAAGCACAAGGUAUGAAUUCUUACUGGAGUAAGGUGGCUUCGAGCUUCGUCUCCAGCUUUCUCUCGACCACCUUUUGUCCAUAUCAUUUUUACAAAUCGAUUCGAGAUGCUUCGGGCGAGAUCAGGGAUGUCAUCCAGGAUUGAUGGUGACAAAGUGAAAUUUGGCCUGUUGACAAUUUUCCCAUGAUCACAGCCAGCCUUCAUGAAGGCUGCAGCAGUCCCUCGAGAAGCCACCCAGGCACAGAAGUCGCCAUGCCCAGCUAUGACUUCGUCGAGCUCGUCAAUCUCCCCCUCAAUAUGUUCGAAGGUUUUUUGUAGAUCUUCAGCUGAAGGGGUAAAUUUUUCGCUGCUGGCUCCAACUGAGUGAAAAAUCUUCCUUAGUUGUUGAAUACACUUGUUGCUGAAUUCAAGGCAUUUUUCUUGAAGAUUUGUUAGUAGUUUUCUCAAAUCCGAGUUUUGCUGAGCUUCAGCUUCAAGCUUUGCAUUGAGAUCUUGUUUUUCUUGUUCGAACUGCUCAGACUGGCGGAGAAGCUUCGUGUUUAGUUCUGAUAUUUUUGCUUCAGCUUCCGCCAGUAAACCUUCGGCUGCCUGGAGCUCAAAGUUCUUUUUCUCAAAAGCAUCUGACUGCUCCUUUAUUUUGUUUUCCAAAUUUCCAAUUAUAACUUCAUGCUUUUUAUCUUCAAGAUCUUGUUGCAUUUGCAAGGCUUUGCUCAAUAGCAUACUCUACAUAAGCACAACCUUCGUCAGACAUGUUUUUAUUAGAAGCAAUAAAAGUUAAGGGACAAGUCAUUCACCUUGAAGUUGGAGAAAAAUAAACUACCAACGACAUGUUGUCGUCGGUAGCGGCUGAUGUCUGUUUCCAGCUUUGGGAAUCCAAUACUCCUGGACAGAGUGCUGAUGACUUUGGCCCCUGUUUGGUCCCGAAUACACUCUAAUUUCUCAUCAUCAACGCCUCCAAAGAGGAGUGCCCCAGGUUUGUAUCCACAGGAUUGGGCAUACUCUUUAAGCUCUUCUAUUUCAGCUUUUGUUAGAUGUUCUCCAACUAAGUUUUUGAACGCAAAGACUUCGUUUUCCGAAGCUUCAUCAGCAAUUUCUUUUCCUUUCUUUGACGCUGCGGUCACAGUUUCUUCGGCAGCAGUGGCAGCUUCCUCUGCAGCCAUGUCUAGCAGCAUUUGGUCAAUAUGUUCAAUUGUGCUCUCUAAAUUCAAAUCUUCAGCUGGGGUAACUUCGGCGGCUGCGGCCUCCGAAGGUGCAAUUUCAAUAUCUGCCCCCUCUGCUGCUGUUUGUGUUUUUUGGGCCGAAGCUCUUGGCGGCGUUUUGUCAAUUACCUCCGUCACGGUAAUGAUUCUUUGUUUCUUUGCCUUGAUUGUUUUCCUCGAUUUCUCGGGCUCUUUGUCCUUCUGAAAAAACUUUGUCAGUUCAGGACCCAGUGGACUUAGCUUCGCAGGUAAGGAUUCAGUCAUUACCUUCAGAAUUUCCUCAACAACAGCAGCAAAAGGUGAUGCAGGGGUUUCUUCUGCUUCGGAUACUUGUUGCUUCGGAGAAGAAGUUUUCUUUUUCUUUGGAAUUUUCUUCUUUAUUGGCUCUUUUUCACCUUCAUCUAAGGCUUCAGUUACCCUUUUCCUUUUUUGGCCCCUGGCACCUUUGUUCAGAUCUUCGUAGUCUGGGUAUUCGAAACCUAAGGCGUCCAACACUCGAUUCAGCCUUCGUUUCGGACGGGUGCCGAAGGCUGCGGUCAUCAAUUGAUCUUCCUUUUUUGAAUAAUUGCCAAGUAUCUCGUUGCACAUCACUUCAAUUGUAUCCAGCCACUCUUGGCAGGGAGUUUUAAAGUAUUUUUUAAAUUUGAAGUAGUAAGGCAAACGUACAAGUUCACCUUUCUUCUUCUCUCCCGUCAGCUUCGGCAUUUCCCACUCCUUUACACUAGGAAAAACCUUGAAGGCCAAGAAUUCCUGGACCAGGUCCCUUGUACUGAUAUUCUCUGCAAUUAUUUUGAAUUCAUACAUUGCUUUUUGAGUUGGACCCUCUGGUAACAUGUGGCACUGGGGGCGAGUUUCUCCGAAGGUCAGUUCCAGUGGACUUUGCACAAGCUUUUCUUUAUCAUCAUCAACCUUAACAUAGAACCAUUCUGAUUUCCACCCUGCUGCCCAUUUGCUUCGGUAGCUGAUCACAGGAUACUUCGUAGUUUUCCGGUAAGCAAAAUUAUAACAACCAAAAUUCUCGUGUAAUCCAUCCUUUCUAGCCUUUGUCUGAUAGUGCAGUUCGUGAACUCGGCAAAAGCUGUCAGCAAACGGUUCCACCGCCUGGCUUCGGAGUGCCCAGAUAUAAACAUUGAGCCUAACGAUAGCGUUAGGGGUUAGCUGGUGAAAAUAAAUUCCGAAGUUCUUCAGUAUCUCUGCAAUAAUCCCAUGAAGAGGGAAUCUUAGCCCAGCCUUUAGGAAGCUUUUAAAAAUAACAAUUUCAUCUUUCUCCGGCUUUGGGGUAGUCUCUUCUCCCCCGAAGCGUAAUAGCUUCUUUUGAUUCUCAGUAAAAUAGCCUGACUUUACCAUCUUGGACAAGUCAGCCUUCGAAACAGUAGAUUUCCCGAAGUCCAAAUGGCUGGGUUUGCUUGGUGUGGCAAGGUGAUAAUCAUCUUCAGGGUCAGUUUCCUCAGCAUCUUCUCCUUCUGCUUCAGCGAUUGCUUUUUCUGCAUCAUCAAUAGGAAUCUUUUCCGAAGUCACUAGCCCGGAUCGUUGCAUGGCUUCGGAGAUAGGGACAGUCUCCGAAGCUUCCGUUUCAUCCCCCUCACGUUCAACCCUGGCGGUGGAGCGGACUCUGGCCAUUUAACUAUGAACUUGUGAAACUUUAAUACUUUUUUCCUCCGAAGCAGGUUUCAAGAUGGAGCUUCGUUUGAUUUCGACAGACAAGCUUCGGCGGUGGUUAAAAAUUUUGGCAGCAAAACAGUGCAAAUAGCAGUAAAUGCUGUGGUAACUUCACACCUACUCGUCUGUUUAUAUAGUGCCGCAGGUAAGAAGGCGAAGCGCCAGAAGUUUUACACCAGGCGGACACCCGCUCGCACUCGCUGUACGGUGGACCGCAGAGACCGAACAGUAAUUCUGCACGGUGGAGCCGCUACGCGCAGGGAAAUUAAAUCGUUUCUCGACAACGAGCUCAGGGAAGGUGUUUUUGAAGACCUUCGGCGCUCCGAAGCUUAAGAAACUUUUUUCACGGAUCAAGCUCGUUACGAAAAACGAUCUAGCACCGCGAAAGGGGCUACUGUUGGGUCUAUGCUUCGUCGCCGAAGGUCUUAUAGAAAGAAGCGAUCCUCGGAUGAAGCUGUUUGUACAAGAUAGCCGAAGGUUCCUCUUCGUAAAGCUUCGGCAUUACAAACCGACUUAAAGAUAGAAUGACUUUUUAGUCCAUAAAGGUCUGAGUCAAUGUUGUAAGUUUUUAUAAGGGGCAUACUUGUAAUUCCUCACAGGCUGCGUCCUGUGCCUAUAAAUAGUGAACAGUAUUCUGUUACUGUUCACGCAUUCUGACAUUUGCAAUCGCAUCUUUCGGAAUACAACCUUUGUCAAGGCAUAGGUAUCAUUGUAUUUAAUGAUUUCAUAUAUUAAUGAAUAUGAUAUGAUACAUCAGUGAUUCAUUCAUCCAUUUUAUACCUUUUAUUUUACAUUACUUUAUAAUAUUUAUUGAAAAUUUAUUACGAAGGUUCAACUUCGUAACAAUACUCUCAUCAACCUUCGUCCAAGACCUAUUAUCCUCAAAAGGAAUAAUGCUUCUUGGACGAAGGACAGUUUCAUUUAACAUUUUAUGUUGCCUUGUUCUUAAUUCAUAGCAUUUGAGAACAAGUCUCCAACAAAAAUCUGUCAGGAAAUUGAGAAACUCUGAAGUAAUAGCAUUGGACUAUGUCCAUACGUCUAAAAAUCUGGCAGAUCAAUUUACUAAGGGGCUAUCACGUAGUGUGAUAGAUAGUGCAUCGAGUGAGAUGGGCCUGAGACCCACCUAAAGUUUAUCAUAGUGGUAACAUGUUCUAUGUGAUUGGAGAUCCGUGAAUUAGAAUUGUGAAACAAGCCAGUGAUAGACUGAGAGGAAAGACCCUUAAUAAGGUUCAUUUCAGGUGCACAUCUUUCUUUAUUGUAAGGUAGGUUGGUGCUUACACCUUAAUAUGUUCCAAGUGGCUUUGUGAAGCAAAGAUGUUUCCUACAGAACAUCUUUAGAGGAACAUACCUAUAUGGGUUAACUGCUAGUCACAGUUUAUGAGAUCUGGGUGAUCUCUAGAUACCCUUGAAAGGCUAUGGAGUUUGACUUAUAUGCUCUAACCAGAGGGGAUGCGCUCGGCAAUCUAGUACUGUUAAAGAGUCUAGACGAAACUUAUUUCACGCAAAACUGCCAAUUCAAGGCCUAGUUCAUUGUGCAGUUAUGGUCAAGUGUAGUCUAGAUUCUAGGUGGAUGUUCAACUUAACAGUCUCCAUCGAAACACCAGUAUAUCAAACAUUUGAGAUUAUGAGAGCAUUUUAGUGUGACUUAGCAUUUGUGGGGAUUGUUGAAUUAAUGUUGGCCUGACCCAAAUUAAUAUUCAAUAAUAGUCAAUGCUAAAGGCCCACUUUAAUGCUACGGUGUACUAGUACUUUAGUACCAUACCGGAAGUUUAAGGGACAAUUAAAUCAACUUAAAUAGGUGGACCAUUGGUGCAUCUAUUGAGAAGCUCAGAAAAUGAUGAAGGACUACCACAUGCGCGUGCACCGCCGGCCAGGUUGGGCCGUGGCCGAGGCCGAGGCCGUGGCCGAGGCCGAGGCCGUGGCCGUGGUAGAUCGGACCUUGGUCUAAAUAUUCCUACCUAACGGUUGCACAUUUUGUUUGGAAUUCUUGCAAGCAGACCAUCUUAACGAGGUCGACUAUGGAAGUAGAACUCACAGCAUUAGAUACCGCUUCAGUUGAGGCUACGCCGCCUACCAGGCCGGGCCAUAGUAGAUCGGACCUUGGUCUAAAUAUUCCUUCCUAACGGUUGCACAUUUUUCCUGGAGUGAUGACCGUCCAUUACUGUCGUCCGUUACUGGCCAUUUCCUGUGUUAUGGCUAGUAACAGACAGGUGACUGGCUAUAACGGUAGCUCUGAUGGUGACAGUUAUUAUCUGUUCGCCUCCCUCUGCGCGUGUACAUAUACGGAGGAGGUGAGGUUGCUUCUGGUUACAUCACGUACGAACAGUCUCAGAUGCGUUGCACACAACCAUUCUCAUCCCACCUUCUGCGAGCAUAGAGAGUGUGGGAGAGCAGGCCUCCAAAAUCGCCAUCCACAGAGCUACACUUCACGGGUGUGCGGGCGAUUAGGUUUUUGGGGAGCGUACUUGCGACUGGUCGCUUCGUCAGCUUGACCAACGCUGAUCAGGUUCCUCGUCGUCGGUGCCGUUCGAGGGACUACACUACAUACAUGUGCCUACAUCGACUGCGUAUGACUACAUCGAACAUACACACGAGAUAUCUCAUGUGAAUGGAGCCACUGAUGCCUUGAGCAUCGGUCCCUCCAUAGAGUAUAUUAUGUUCUUAGUAAUUGUGCAUGUUUUACUAUUUUUUAUUGCUUAUGUGAGCAGUGAUACACACAUGCAUACACAUGUUGUCACAUACAUCACUGUGGUUUUCUGAAUUAAAUUUAAACUGAAAAUACCUAUUCUCUAACAAGAAUAGUUUUUUUCUAACUUUGUCUCUGUUAUCUUCUCUCAGAAGUAGUUUUACCAAACAUCUAUAAAAAUAUAUAUAGAUUUGCCUCUACAGAUAAUCCUGCUUUCCGAGACAAAACCAGUAAAUUUCUCAACGUUGCCCCGUCACAUGUUCACAAAAAUAAAAAGUAAAAUCCUCAACCCUCACCCCACUGCCGCAAUCUCAGUUCCUGUCUAUCAUUUCCUCAGAAAAAACAAGGGCCAACACCUGCAGGGCCGAUGUAAGACCCAAAAUUUGUAUAAUUUUUUUUAAACAAAUAUAGUUAUUAUAGUACAUUGGGGAAUGAGAAAAUUAAUUUGUAAUUGAGUCAACUAUUGUUAGAAACAAAUAUGAGAAGGAGAAUAACAUAGUAAUAUUUAAAAUGAGGUGGUUUAUAUUCACAUUUGUAUUUCAAUUGAUACAUUUGGCAAAUCUGAAAAUUAAGACAAGAGUAUAAAUUUGAGUUUGAAUAAUUGAAUUUGGAAAUAAGCUAGAAGUAAGAAAUGAGUAGACACUAAAAAGAGAAUAAAAUAAAAUAUAUUAUAAACAAAUAAAUAAUAGGUGAUAUCUUUAUAUUGGGAUUUUUAAUGAAGUUUGGAAUCUGAAAUUCAAAACAGGAAAUUGAAUUUGGUUUAAGCAUUUCAAAUUAGAAUUAGAAAAGAAAUUAAAAAAAAGGGGGGGAAAUGGACAAACUGGAUUCUGGGCUGAAUUCCCUCCCCUCAGCCCAUCCCUCUCACCGCGCGGCCCAUGAAGGUAAAAGUGCCGACAUGUGGGCCACUACCGUCAGUCGCUCCCUCCCCGCGCCUGCGUAUUCCCUCUUUCGCUGACGUUGCGGGGCCACUGCUCAACCUCUCGGCCGCGCGCGCCACGGUGCGCUCCAGUCUCUCCCUCGUAUCACUGCUAGUGGGCCCGUGGUGUCGGACCUAUCUUCUCUACCAGAACACCGUAGUCGCCGCCAUUGUUUCCGCGCGGAGUCGCCGGGUUCCGUUACAACCACCGCGAACCGACCUCCGCUGAAGCUAUAAAAUCGUGACGAGAGCGCCUCCUUCCCCACCUCUGCUCAAUGGAACGAUUGGCACUGGGUAACUCCAUCGCUCAGUAGAAUGUCACCGUCACGAGAGAGAAAUCGUGAGAUGCCGCUGCGGGUGAUUUGAGCUAAUGGCAAGGGCGGGUCUUCGGAAUUGGACCCAUGGGCCUCAUCAUGCCGCCCGGAAUACCGUCAUAACAUCGCCUGGGUGGGUUCAUGCUCUGAACAGCCGCAAUUUUCUCGUCGUGUUUCCUCCGCCGUCGCAGCUCCGCGGACAACCGUGGUCGACCCCCUGCGCGACACAAUCAACCGGUAAAGUCUUCCCCAAUCGAAUCGCCUCGCUCCCCUCAACAUGUAGCACCAUGCGAUUAAAGAAUUACGAUCCGGGGUAGCUGGAUCGCUUGUCUCCGGCGCGGAUCCGCCGUGUCACUGGGCGGCGCCGCCGUCCGGUUGCUCUGUUGGGGGGGGGGGAAGACAACACGCGUCGCGACCGUCGAAUCUUGCAAAAACGGCCAAGAUCAUAUCGUGCGCGGCGAUGUGUUGUGACCGUCUGAUCGGAUUUGGAUGGAUGGGAUUAUAUCCUGAGGAUACCGAUUCAGCUGGAUAGAUCUGGGCCCUCAGUUCUGGAUGGGCGGCUCAGAUUCCAUCUUACCCCUUCGGUCGUUGCUUUUUGCUAAAGAAACCUCGGGGAAAGACAUAAUAAACCCGCCGUCCCUCGCUACUGUGCUCUGAGUCUUAGGUUUAUUUGCGCCGAGGCCCCUCUAGUUUUCUGUUUUUAUGCGCGCGAACCAGAGACCCGAGUAAUUCAAUAAAUAAAUUUAGAAAUUGAUUUUUAAUGUAUAAAUAAUUCCUAGAUAUUGUUUAAUUCCUAGAAAAUUCAUAUUAAGUCCGUUUUGAUCCAUUCCAGUUGCAUUAGUCUCACAAUAAUAUUUAUUAUCAUCUGGCAACUUUGUUUUGUCAUGGAAUAGAGGUUAAAAUGUUGCACUUAGGCUAUUCUAUAUUUAACCGUGGAUCUUUGGAAAACCAUAACUUCUUAACCGUAACUCCGAAUUUAGCGGUUUCUGUUUCCACGAUCUCGUUACGAUGCAUAGAUUAUUAUUACAUAGUUUAUUCUUAUGUUUGGUGUGAUGUUAAUUUUGCCUAUACUGUUUGUUUGUAUUACUAUGAUUAGAGUGAGGUCACGAGAAUUUGAAGAAUCAUCCUGGUACCUGGAAUCUCAAGUCUCAGGCAAGUUGUGCCCUUGAUCACUUCUUUUUACCCAGCCAUGUUCUGAUUAAUCAUAAUGAUCUGCAUAGGUUAAUUUUGAUGGGACCCAAUAGGUUACCCUAGUUUGAUUAUCUUUAUACCUUGUUACCACUGAACUUUUUGGGUAGUACUUGCUAGUGCUUUAUGUGGUUUUGGGUAUGAAGAUACAUUACUCAUGAUUAUACUUUUAUUAUCCGUUGUUAUUUAUCGUUCAUGAUAAGAUCAUUAUGUUAAUUGGAACAUGGAGAACCACCCGGGAAAAUAGUGCUACCACAAGGGUUUAAUGGGACGCCCUUGGCCGAUUAAUUAGGAAAGCUAGUGGAAGACUACCUUACCCGAAAGGGGCAAGGGCAGUAGGGGAGUGGUCAGUGUAGGGAGGCCCUCGGGAGGAUUUUGCUGCGAUGGCGGUCCUGCAAGGGAUUCCUGCAUUGGAGCUUCCUAUAAACUGUAGCGGGUUUUCUGAAGCUAGUGGAACUUUGUAAAGGCCUCGUAGUGUUACCCUGCCUCGCCUCCUCGGUAGAGGUGUAUGGGAAGUCGCGAUCCCUUGGCAGAUGGGUAACAUGACUUGUGGGUAAAGAUGUGCAACCUCUGCAGAGUGUAAAACUGGUAUACUAGCCGUGCUCACGGUCAUGAGCGGCUCGGACACUCACAUGAUUAAAUUAUGGAACUUAAACUCAAUUUGUCAUAUGCAUUGCAUCGCAGGUGAGGUUGUUACUUUUGUUCUACUACUUAACUGGGUUUGGUAUUUACUUAUACUUAGUAAUUGCUAAUAAAAUUUUGACCAACUUUAAAAGCAAUGCUCAGCUUCAACCAUCCUCUUUGGUAAGCCUUACACUUCACAUGAGCUCCCACCUUUGGCGAGUUCAUUCACAUUAUUCCCCACAACUUGUUGAGCGAUGAACGUAUGUGAGCUCACUCUUGCUGUCUCACACCCCCCCACAGGUCAAGAACAGGUACCGCAGGAUGAGGCGCUUGGAGGAUGCUGCGAUGUGUUCGUGAGAGGUCUAGGCUGUCGUCUCCCAGUCAACUUUGGGUUGCUGGACCGUUGUCUCCUUAUAAUGUAAUUAUUUAUUUUGUAUAGAACUCCUAUUAUAUAGUAAAGAUGUGACAUUCGAUCCUGUGCCAUGAUUCAUCAUAUGUGUGAGACUUGGUCCCAGCACACCUGGUGAUUGUUCGCGCCCGGGUCUUGGUGCCCCGAAACCCGGGUGUGACAGAAGUGGUAUCAGAGGAAUGUUGACUGUAGGACGAAACCUAGAUAGAACUGGACAACCAAUACUUACUUACCUUUGCUACUCUGAUUCUUUCUGAACUUUCCUUAAAUCUUUUCUCAUCUAUUUCCGCUUUACUCUGAUUAUUCUUACCUUUUCCUUCUAAAGACAAAUGUGGAUUUCACACUUUGAAAUCCCGUGCCUAAAGUGACCUUUAGGAAUAGGAAACCUACUCUUAGGAACAAAAACAAAUCUAUUUUCAUAGGUAUCUAUAUGCUUGAAUGUUUGUUCUUAUGAUACUUGUUUGAUUUGGAUCUUUGAUUGAGUGUGAUUAGUUGUGGAGUAAUGUCCACAAUCACAUCUGCAUAUACAUAUAGAAAAAAAACGGUUAUAAAAAUAUCUAAAUGAACUAGGUUAUCCCUCAUCAAAGAAUCUAGCCUAGCAAAAUCCAUCUUAUCCUGAAAAAGUCUAUCCUACACUCAUAGAUCCAUCUUAUCCUAAAAAAAUAGAUUCUCAUCUUAUCUUGAAAAGAUUCAGCUUAUCUUAAUAGAUUUAACUGACCUCAAAAGAUUCUACCUUAGUCUUAUGGAUUCAUCUUACCCCAAUAAGCAUAUUCAUCCCGCACCGGUGUAACAACCAUGAUCUAAUCCAAAGUGAUUAGAUAUUAUCUAGCCUAACCUAAUUAUAUUGAUCUAAUCUAGACCCUAUCUAAUAUAAUAUGAUCUAAUCUAAUGUGAGUUACUUAAUGGAUUAGUUAAUACAGGUGAAAUACACUAGACCCUACUCCUAUGAUAAUGAUUUAACCUAAAAUUGGUGUCCUAGACCAACUCGGCCAUAUACCACUAUUUGACCUACAUAAUCUGUAUAGAUCAACAUAAAUUAAAAAUGCCCGAGAUUUUGAACUAUCUCAUAAAACCUAUCCUACCCACAUGGCCACAUCUAUCUACUUGUCCAUAAACUCAGAUGAUAACUCCAAGAUUAAAGACAGAAGAUGAUCAACCUCAUCAAGGAAGGAUAAGCACCAACUCAAGUCUUCAAAGGGCAAAACGAAAUCACCAGAUGAGUCAAGAUCCACCAUCCAUAAUGAAAUCUUUCUUUGCCCUAAUCCUUAUUACCGAAACCUUCUCUACUUCUGCCUAACAGCUAAACAUAGUAUACCCAUGUGUUCCUAAUCAUUUCCUUACUUAAAAUGACUUAAAUAUAUAUAUAUAUAGAAAACAUUUGUGCUUAAAACCAUUUGGAAAAAAAACUCGAGGCUAAACUGCAACCAAACAUUUGACUUUCUAUAUCCAUUUUCUUACCAAUCUCGAGGUCGAGAUUUCUGUUAAGGGGGGUAGGAUUUGUAAGACCCAAAAUUUGUAUAAUUUUUUUUAAACAAAUAUAGUUAUUAUAGUACAUUGGGGAAUGAGAAAAUUAAUUUGUAAUUGAGUCAACUAUUGUUAGAAACAAAUAUGAGAAGGAGAAUAACAUAGUAAUAUUUAAAAUGAGGUGGUUUAUAUUCACAUUUGUAUUUCAAUUGAUACAUUUGGCAAAUCUGAAAAUUAAGACAAGAGUAUAAAUUUGAGUUUGAAUAAUUGAAUUUGGAAAUAAGCUAGAAGUAAGAAAUGAGUAGACACUAAAAAGAGAAUAAAAUAAAAUAUAUUAUAAACAAAUAAAUAAUAGGUGAUAUCUUUAUAUUGGGAUUUUUAAUGAAGUUUGGAAUCUGAAAUUCAAAACAGGAAAUUGAAUUUGGUUUAAGCAUUUCAAAUUAGAAUUAGAAAAGAAAUUAAAAAAAAGGGGGGAAAUGGACAAACUGGAUUCUGGGCUGAAUUCCCUCCCCUCAGCCCAUCCCUCUCACCGCGCGGCCCAUGAAGGUAAAAGUGCCGACAUGUGGGCCACUACCGUCAGUCGCUCCCUCCCCGCGCCUGCGUAUUCCCUCUUUCGCUGACGUUGCGGGGCCACUGCUCAACCUCUCGGUCGCGCGCGCCACGGUGCGCUCCAGUCUCUCCCUCGUAUCACUGCUAGUGGGCCCGUGGUGUCGGACCUAUCUUCUCUACCAGAACACCGUAGUCGCCGCCAUUGUUUCCGCGCGGAGUCGCCGGGUUCCGUUACAACCACCGCGAACCGACCUCCGCUGAAGCUAUAAAAUCGUGACGAGAGCGCCUCCUUCCCCACCUCUGCUCAAUGGAACGAUUGGCACUGGGUAACUCCAUCGCUCAGUAGAAUGUCACCGUCACGAGAGAGAAAUCGUGAGAUGCCGCUGCGGGUGAUUUGAGCUAAUGGCAAGGGCGGGUCUUCGGAAUUGGACCCAUGGGCCUCAUCAUGCCGCCCGGAAUACCGUCAUAACAUCGCCUGGGUGGGUUCAUGCUCUGAACAGCCGCAAUUUUCUCGUCGUGUUUCCUCCGCCGUCGCAGCUCCGCGGACAACCGUGGUCGACCCCCUGCGCGACACAAUCAACCGGUAAAGUCUUCCCCAAUCGAAUCGCCUCGCUCCCCUCAACAUGUAGCACCAUGCGAUUAAAGAAUUACGAUCCGGGGUAGCUGGAUCGCUUGUCUCCGGCGCGGAUCCGCCGUGUCACUGGGCGGCGCCGCCGUCCGGUUGCUCUGUUGGGGGGGGAAGACAACACGCGUCGCGACCGUCGGAUCUUGCAAAAACGGCCAAGAUCAUAUCGUGCGCGGCGAUGUGUUGUGGCCGUCUGAUCGGAUUUGGAUGGAUGGGAUUAUAUCCUGAGGAUACCGAUUCAGCUGGAUAGAUCUGGGCCCUCAGUUCUGGAUGGGCGGCUCAGAUUCCAUCUUACCCCUUCGGUCGUUGCUUUUUGCUAAAGAAACCCCGGGGAAAGACAUAAUAAACUCGCCGUCCCUCGCUACUGUGCUCUGAGUCUUAGGUUUAUUUGCGCCGAGGCCCCUCUAGUUUUCUGUUUUUAUGCGCGCGAACCAGAGACCCGAGUAAUUCAAUAAAUAAAUUUAGAAAUUGAUUUUUAAUGUAUAAAUAAUUCCUAGAUAUUGUUUAAUUCCUAGAAAAUUCAUAUUAAGUCCGUUUUGAUCCAUUCCAGUUGCAUUAGUCUCACAAUAAUAUUUAUUAUCAUCUGGCAACUUUGUUUUGUCAUGGAAUAGAGGUUAAAAUGUUGCACUUAGGCUAUUCUAUAUUUAACCGUGGAUCUUUGGAAAACCAUAACUUCUUAACCGUAACUCCGAAUUUAGCGGUUUCUGUUUCCACGAUCUCGUUACGAUGCAUAGAUUAUUAUUACAUAGUUUAUUCUUAUGUUUGGUGUGAUGUUAAUUUUGCCUAUACUGUUUGUUUGUAUUACUACGAUUAGAGUGAGGUCACGAGAAUCUGAAGAAUCAUCCUGGUACCUGGAAUCUCAAGUCUCAGGCAAGUUGUGCCCUUGAUCACUUCUUUUUACCCAGCCAUGUUCUGAUUAAUCAUAAUGAUCUGCAUAGGUUAAUUUUGAUGGGACCCAAUAGGUUACCCUAGUUUGAUUAUCUUUAUACCUUUUUACCACUGAACUUUUUGGGUAGUACUUGCUAGUGCUUUAUGUGGUUUUGGGUAUGAAGAUACAUUACUCAUGAUUAUACUUUUAUUAUCCGUUGUUAUUUAUCGUUCAUGAUAAGAUCAUUAUGUUAAUUGGAACAUGGAGAACCACCCGGGAAAACAGUGCUACCACAAGGGUUUAAUGGGACGCCCUUGGCCGAUUAAUUAGGAAAGCUAGUGGAAGACUACCUUACCCGAAAGGGGCAAGGGCAGUAGGGGAGUGGUCAGUGUAGGGAGGCCCUCGGGAGGAUUUUGCUGCGAUGGCGGUCCUGCAAGGGAUUCCUGCAUUGGAGCUUCCUAUAAACUGUAGCGGGUUUUCUGAAGCUAGUGGAACUUUGUAAAGGCCUCGUAGUGUUACCGUGCCUCGCCUCCUCGGUAGAGGUGUAUGGGAAGUCGCGAUCCCUUGGCAGAUGGGUAACAUGACUUGUGGGUAAAGAUGCGCAACCUCUGCAGAGUGUAAAACUGGUAUACUAGCCGUGCUCACGGUCAUGAGCGGCUCGGACACUCACAUGAUUAAAUUAUGGAACUUAAACUCAAUUUGUCAUAUGCAUUGCAUCGCAGGUGAGGUUGUUACUUUUGUUCUACUACUUAACUGGGUUUGGUAUUUACUUAUACUUAGUAAUUGCUAAUAAAAUUUUGACCAACUUUAAAAGCAAUGCUCAGCUUCAACCAUCCUCUUUGGUAAGCCUUACACUUCACAUGAGCUCACACCUUUGGCGAGUUCAUUCACAUUAUUCCCCACAACUUGUUGAGCGAUGAACGUAUGUGAGCUCACUCUUGCUGUCUCACACCCCCCCACAGGUCAAGAACAGGUACCGCAGGAUGAGGCGCUUGGAGGAUGCUGCGAUGUGUUCGUGAGAGGUCUAGGCCGUCGUCUCCCAGUCAACUUUGGGUUGCUGGACCGUUGUCUCCUUAUAAUGUAAUUAUUUAUUUUGUAUAAAACUCCUAUUAUAUAGUAAAGAUGUGACAUUCGAUCCUGUGCCAUGAUUCAUCAUAUGUGUGAGACUUGGUCCCAGCACACCUGGUGAUUGUUCGCGCCCGGGUCUUGGUGCCCCGAAACCCGGGUGUGACAGCCGAGGGGGCCUGCAGCCACAGCAGCACAAACAAGGCCGGGAAAGAAGAAAAAAAGAAACAACACUCCAUGCUCUCUCUCUCUCAUCUGUUUGCUUAGUUCUGGUGGGUUCUGCUCACCAACCUCCUCCCUCGUACAAACGCCCUAGUGAUGUAGACAGUGGUGUGGUGCAAGGACAUAGGUGGAGUAGUGAGCUGCUUAGCUUCGAAUAUAACCUUGCGCAAAUAGCACAACACAACUGUCGAGCACAAGCAGCAAGCAUUUCAUUCCUCGGCUUCCCUUUGCUUGCUCCAAGAAAGCUUGAGCUAGCUUAGCAGGGUCGUAGGAGGAGGAGAAGACAGCAAGGCACCCACAGCACCACACCAUCACCAUGAGAAGCAUCACGGCGAGGAACUCGCACGACUCGCUCUCCAUCUCCAGGCGAUACUUCAAGUGGCCCGUUCUCGGCAAGAGCAAGAGCCACGACGAUACGACGUUCUGUAAGGACGAGGAGUACAUGAAGAGCUCGAAGGCGGAGGAGGAGGACGAGUCGACCAUGGCCUUCUCCUCCGCCUGCCCGUCCUUCCACUCUGAUGGCUUCAGCGUGUCCCCUCUGUUGAAGGCAGCGUCGGCGCCGCACCAGCCACCUGCGCUCCCUCCUCCACAAAGGAGGAGGAAGGUACGAACAACCAUGUCGUGGUUGUGGUCGGCGCGGGCCAACGUCGUGGUCGGGCGGCACCGGUAGGUGGGGCUAGGCGCGCGGCUGACCGGCAUGCGGUACAGGCAUAGGCACAACCACGUGCACCUGGCGUUCCAGGUGGACCCACGUGCGUGCCCCGCGAUGCUGCUGGAGUCGGCGGCGCCCACGGCGGUGCUGGUGCGGGAAAUGGCGUCGAGCCUGGUGCGCAUCGUGCUGGAGUGCGAGCGCGCCAAGGGUCCACCAUCCACCACGGGCAGCAGGAGGAGGCUAGUGGAGGAGACGGUGUGAUCCGCCUACUACAACGGCAGGGGCUAUGGGUACGCGGUGCGGCACGAUUGCGGUGCCGCAAACUGGCGCGUGCUCAGCACGCUGGAGCCCGUGUCCAUGGGCAUCUUCCCCGCCACCUCUGCGCCGGCGGUGAGGGCAACUUCAUGUACAUGUGCGCUCGGUUCGAGCGUGUCGUGGGAUCCUGCGACUCGGAGGCCUUCUACAUGAUGAACUAAGCUCAUCGUCUACCUCCUCAGAGUCUGAUCACUCGGGCACCAUGCCACUCACACAUCGGAUCAGUUUUGUUUGCGUCGAUCACGCCUCCUGGACCCAGCCCAUGUUAUUUCUUAUUUUUUGUGCAUGACAAGCUAUGAAACUGGAUUAGGCUCCUAGAUGGUUGCAGCAAGCUUCAAGCCUAGCGUACUUAGAUGAUGAUGGGGAUGCACAUGGAAAUGUUUUUUGUUAGAUAGUAAUCUGAAGCUGUGUAGUUGUAGUAGUAGUAGCAGCUUGUUAUUGUGUGUAAUGCUUCAACAUCUAGGCUUCCCUUAUCGGUGGAGAGAUUGGAUUGCAGCCAUCCUCUCAACAUCCACCUUAGGGCUUGUUCGGUUCUACCCCAAUCCAUAUGGAUUGAGGGGGGAUUGAGGGGGUUUUAAUCCCUGGUAAGUCAAAAUCCCUCCCAAUUCGUAUCAAUCCCCUUCAAUCCAUAUGGAUUGAAAAUAACCGAACAAGCCCUCAAGGGUCUUUGUUAAUGGGUUCCCGAAUCACCCCUUGUCUCAUGAUCAAGGACUUAGAUAGGGAGACCAACUCUCACCAUUGUUAUUUGUGCUUGCCAUUGACCUGUUGUAGAAAAUUUUAGACUUGGCAAUAGAGACGGGACUUCUCAGCAAAAUCAGGGGCCGCUCGCCUUGCCUUCGUCUCUCAUUGUAUGCUGAUGAUGCAGCCUUGUUUAUUGCACCAAAAAAAGAGGAGGUCGAGACAAUACUAAAGCUGCUCGGGCUAUGUAGUGAGGCGUCAGGGCUGUUGACAAACUUCCACAAGUCCACAGUGGUACCUAUCCAUUGUCAAGGUAUUGACCUCAACGUGAUCCUAAGGAAUAUGCUGGCCAGAAGGGCUACCUUCCUGUUGGGGGUCUGCUUCGUCGUCGAAGGUCUUGUGAGAAGAAACACCUUCGGAAGGCCAGAACAGGAACAAUGCCGAAGCUACCAGUCAGGGAGCUUCGUAGCAUAUUUCUAGAUGCACCGACUUAAAGAUGAAAUGACCAAUCGGCCCAUGAUAACAUGUGUUAUGAUUGUAAUCAUUUGUAGAGGACAUGAAUGUAAAUUCACACAGGCUGCGCCCUGUGCCUAUAAAUAUGUGAACAGUACCCUCGUACUGUUCACGCUUUCGCAUCUCACUUUUACCUUUGCCCUUUGUCAAGCUCAAGGUACAAAUGUAAUUUGAUAUUGCUUUCAUGUACUCAUGAUUAUUUAAUAGUCGAUGUUUAUAUUAUGAUAUUAUAUAAUUGUUUAUGUUGUUUUCCUAUGUUUCAUAAGCUUCAUCCUCUGUAUAUACAUGUCAUAUUUAUGAAGGUAUGCCCUUCAUAACCUUCAUCCUAAGGGAAAUAAUGCUUCGAAGGACGAAGGACAUUAACAUUUAACAUUUUGUGUUGCCUUGUUCUUAACUCAUAGCAUUUGAGAACAAGUUCCCAACAUUGGCGCCCACCUCCGGUGAACUCACUUCCACUGUUGAGUUGAUGGCUUCGUUCAACAAUCAAGCUGAAGUUGCUUCGGCUACGAAGCUGGUGCUCCCGAUAAUAGGUGGCUCAAGUUCAGAGCCGGUUAACAAGAAGCAGAAGAAGGAAGCACAAAGAAGAGUGCAGCAUGUUGGGGUGCAGGGACCCUUCAUCAACUCAAAAUGGUCCCACAUCCCAAUCACCUUCUCCCAGGAGGACCUUCAGCUCAAAGAUUACCCUCACAAUGAUGCUAUGGUCAUAUCUUGUGUCAUCAAGGGAUUUCUGGUUCAUAAUGUUCUGGUUGAUACAGGCAGUACAGCGGAUAUCAUAUUUGCUAAGGCCUUCAGACAGAUGCAAGAGCCAGAAGACAAGAUUCACGAUGCUACACAUCCUCUAUGCGGCUUUGGAGGAAGAUAGAUUGUGGCACUCGGUAAAAUCACAAUGCCAGUAACCUUUGGCUUUGUUCAUAACACAAGGACUGAACAGCUUGUCUUUGACAUUAUCGACAUGGAAUACCCCUACAAUGCAACAAUUGGCCGAGGAACACUCAAUGCUUUUGAAGCAAUACUUCACCUAGCAUAUCUAUGCAUGAAGAUACCUUCGGAACAAGGGCCCAUUGCUAUUCAUGGAAGUCAAGAGGCUGCCAGAAAGGCCGAAGGAAAUUGGACAGACUCAAAAGUGAUCCACAAUAUAGAUGGAGCCAAAGCUUGUGAACAGUACAAGUACAGAAGAGAGAAGGCUGCUUCGGCUCAUCAGCCGAAGCCCAUGCUUCUAUGUGAAGACAUAGCAGAGCAGAAGGUACUGCUGGGGUCUCAACUAUCUGAAGAGAAGGAGAAAACUUUGAUAAGGUUUUUAUUCAACAACAAAGAUGUUUUUGCUUGGUCGGGCAAUGAUCUCUGUGGUGUCAACAGAGACGUCAUUGAACAUUCACUCAAUGUCGACCCAUCCUUCAGGCCAAGAAAGCAAAGGCUUCAGAAAAUGUCUGAUGAUAAAGCCGAAGGUGCUCGGAAUGAAGUAAAAAGGCUUCUCAGUGCUGGUGUCAUCAGAGAGGUAAAAUAUCCAGAUUGGCUAGCCAAUACUGUUAUGGUGAAGAAGGCCAACGGCAAAUGGAGAAUGUGUAUUGACUUCACAGAUCUUAACAAGGCAUGUCCAAAGGAUGAAUUUCCAUUACCAAGAAUAGACUCUCUUGUAGAUGCAGCAGCUUCUUCAGAGGUUAUGAGUCUACUGGAUUGCUACUCAGGAUAUCAUCAAAUAUGGAUGAAGAAGGAGGAUAAGCCGAAGACUAGCUUCAUAACUCCCAGUGGCACCUAUUGCUACCUUCGGAUGCCUGAGGGGCUCAAGAAUGUUGGAGGAAGCUUCAGCAGAAUGACAGCCAAGGUCCUUCAUUCCCAGAUAGGCAGAAAUAUGCUAAUAUACGUUGAUGACAUCAUAGUAAAAAGCACAAAGCAAGAAAAUCACAUUAUUGAUCUGCAAGAAACAUUUGCUAAUUUCACGCAAGUUGGCCUGAAAUUAAAUCCAGAAAAAUGUGUCUUUGGAGUGAAGAAGGGUAAGUUCCUUGGCUGUCUAGUUUCAACGAAGGGGAUUGAAGCUAACCCAAGCAAGAUCGAAGCUAUCCUUCGGAUGGAGCCGCCAAGCACAAAGAAGGGGGCCCAACGGCUGACAGGAAGACUGGCAUCAUUGAAUAGAUUCAUAUCUAGAUCAGCAGAAAGAAACUUGUCAUUCUUUGAAAUACUAAAGUCAGCCAAAGUUUUUCAAUGGGGCCCAGCUCAACAGAAAGCCUUCGAAGAGCUGAAGCAAUACUUGAUUGAUCUAACAACAUUAACUCCACCUGCGCCAGGGGCUCCAUUACUAUUGUAUGUGGCAGCUUCGCACUCUGCAGUGAGUGUGGCGCUUGUACAGGAGAAGCUUGAAGGACAAAUUAAAAAGCAAGCCCCAGUAUACUUUGUCUUCGAAGUUCUAAGUUUAUCAAAGAAAAACUAUACAGAAUUGGAGAAGGUGUUGUAUGAUGUGUUAAUGGCCUCUAGGAAGCUUCGGCAUUAUUUUCAAGCAUACCACAUAAUUGUUCCUUCAUCACAGCCUCUGAAGGAUAUUAUGAGGAACAGAGAAGCUACUGGAAGGAUUGGAAAGUGGGCUGCGGAGCUUAAUGAAUUUAGUAUUGACUAUGUGCAUAGAUCCUCAAUUCAGUCUUAGGCGUUAGCAGACUUCAUUGCUGAUUGGACGCCAGGGGCUCAGGAAGAAGAAGCAAAUAAAGAUACCGAAGCUUGGACAGUGUUCUGCGAUGGUUCCUAGGGAACCUUCGGUGCAGGUGUGGCUGCUGUCCUAGUUGCACCUUCCAAAGUCAGAACAUGCUAUGCAGUAAGGCUUGACUUUAGUUAUACAAAUAAUAUUGCUGAAUACGAAGCUUUACUUUUGGGGCUUCAAAAGUUAAAGGCAAUGGGAAUAAGAAGGGCAGUCCUUAAAACAGACUCUCAAGUUAUUUAUGGUCAUGUUGACAAGAGUUGCAAGGCAAGAGAUCCGAAGCUUGAAAAUAUCUGGACACAGUUCGAAGGAUUGAAGCUUCUUUCGAAGGAUUUUCUGUUAAGAAUAUUCCAAGAGGGGAAAAUGAGCAUGCUGAUCUGCUAGCCAAGUCAGUGGCACAGGGGCUUCCUCUACCUUCAGAAGUAUUUUUUGAGACAAUAAGAGCACCUUCGGUUGAACUCCUCGAAAGAGCAGUGCUCACAAUAUCUCCUAUCCAUAGUGAAGAUUGGAGGACUGAGAUUAUAUCUUUCCUCCAGGGUAACUGUCUCUCGGAUGAUGAGGUUUAUAACAAAAGAAUGGAGACAAGAACAAGACCAUAUGUCAUAAUAGAAGGGGAAUUAUAUAAACAUAGAGUUUGUUCUCCACUUCUCAAAUGCUUAUCCAAAAUUGAAGGUAUAGAACUGAUGAAGGAGAUACAUGCAGGAUUGUGUGGAUCUCACAUUGGGUCUAGACCUCUUCUGGGAAAGGUUUUCCGAUAAGGAUUCUAUUGGCCGAAGGCAGCUUCGGACGCAGCAGAUUUGGUUCAAAAGUGCGAAAUUUGCCAAAAAAAUGUGCAAGAGAUGAGAAGCAACCCUCGUCAUUGACACAGCUAAUACAACCAACCUCGUCGUUGCAAAGAUGGGGCCUAGAUCUGCUAGGUCCACUUCCACCAGCGCAGGGCAACUUUAGAUAUGUCGUGGUGGUGGUAGAAUAUUUUUCUAAGUGGAUCAAAGCAAAGCCUUUGGCUAUAAUAACUUCGGCUACAGUCCAAAAAUUCUUCUGACAGAAUAUAGUUUGUCGCUUCGGUGUGCCGAAGGCUAUAACUGUGGACAAUGGAACACAGUUUGAUGCUGAAACUUUCAAAGAUUUUUGCGAUCAGAUCGGCAUGAAAAUUCAUUUUGCAUCAGUCAGGCACCCGGAAUCAAACGGACUAGUUGAAAGGGCAAAUGGUAUUAUAAUGACGGGAUUUAUGAAGUUAAUCUUCAAUCAGCCCAGAGGAAAGUGGCCAGAUGAGUUGGUUAAAGUGGUGUGGAGCCACAAUACAACUAUAUCAAGGUCAACAGGUUUUACACCAUUCAAGUUAUUGUUCGGUGACGAAGCCAUAACCCCCAAAGAGGCUAAAGCAGGGUCAAUAAGGAUAGUAGCUUCGGCAGAAGACGAAGCUAAUUAUUCUGUGGCAAAAGAUACUAUAGAAGGCACCAGACUUCAGGCUGUGGAAAAUAUCAACAAAUAUCAAGCCGAAACAAUAAAAUGGCGUUAUAGAAAAGUUUGGUUGAAAAACAUUAAGCUAGGACAUCUGGUGCUUCGGAGAGUAGCCAACCCUGACAUAGUAGGAAAGCUUCAGGUGAAGUGGGAAGGACCCUUUCUGGUAGUAUAUUCGUCAAGACCCAGUUCUUACAGGUUAAAGGAUAUGGACGGCAACGACAUUCCUAGAUCUUGGAAUGCAGAUGAGCUUCGACGAGACUAUGUGUAACUUGACGUAAACUUUUUUAAUUUUUCCUAUGGCACCCUUUUCCUUUCUAAAGGGGGAGAAAGGUUUUUAAUGGGGCCAUAGCAUGUAAUUUUCCUUUUCUUAUUCAGCUCUACGAGAGCAAAAUCCCCUAAAAAUAUGUAAAAUGUAAAAUCUGAGCAUGCACCAUCGAGUGCAGAGAGAGAGAAAAAAGAGCAGGGAGAAGCUCGAAAGUCAUCCCUAAGGGGAUGCAGAGCACGACGAAGUUACAAAAAGCCGGUCCUAAGGGAGCGCAGCGUAAGUUUUUUGCUCAAAAGUUGUUCAUUAGGGAAUGCAGAGCCAAAUACCACCAAAAUAUAAGGCGAAGCGCGAAAAGUCAACGCGAAAAAUACCACCGAAAUAGAAGGCGAAGAAGUUCAAAAGACGUUCCUAAGGGGAUGCAGAACUUACACCGAAAAAUAAGCGGUGAAGCCGAAAAAUAAGCGGCGAAGAGAAUUCAGUCAUUCCUAAGGGAAUGAAGGUUAUGGAUGUGGCUUCGUAUGUGUGUGUUUGGGCAUUCAUUUGCACGAUACAUUACAUCAUACAUUGCAUACAUAUACAUUCAUUUCGACAUCUGUAAGAUCAUCAUCAUCAUAUCAUAGAGUACAGACAACUGCUUCAGCUCCAAUAACAAGGCUUCGACAAAUAUGAAAAAAGCAGAUUUAUGCUUCGUUAUGUACGAAAAGAAGGGAAGGUGUUUUUCGCCUUCGGCUCAAAAGGGACAAGUUUCGUCCACAUCAAAGCAGUUCAUUCAGGGAUGGAAAGGUAAAAUAUAUUACAAGGUAUUGACAAAUUUACAGAGCAUUGUUCGAUUCUUAAAUUACAAUAUUCUUCACAAGGAUAAUACAAGAGUUUUUCUAGAGAUUUUUCACAGCAAGGUUUUCAGCUUCAUCAUCAUUCGCUAAGCUUCGGAUCAUCUGCCAAGCUUCAGCUCAUUGUUCCUCGGCUUUGUCAUCCUGUACAUAUCAAAGUGAUAUAAGGAAAGUACAAAUUUCAAGCAGAAGGUAAAGCAGCAGGCACAAGUUUAUUACCGGCUUGAGGUGGCUUCGAGCUUCGUCACCAGCCAAAUUUCGCCCGCCCUUUGCCUAGAUUUGAGUGACGAAUCUGUUUCUGAUGCUUCGGGACAGGCCGGGGAUAUCAUCCAAGUCUCCUGGUGACAGGCUGAAGUUUGGUCUGUUUACAAUGUUUCCAUGUGUACAACCAGCCUUCAUGAAAGCAACAGCUGUGCCUCGAGAAGCUAGCAGAGCAUAAAAGUCACCAUGACCAGCUAUAACUUCGUCGAGAGCAUCAACUUCACCUUCAAUAUGAUCAAAUGUGCCCAACAGGUCUUCAAUCGAAGGUUUAAACUUUUUGGAACUAGCUCCAACUGAGUUGAAGACCUGCUUCAGCCGUUGAAUGCAUCGGGUGCCGAAGCCUAAACAUCUUUCUUGAAGAUCUUUGAGUGAUUUCUGCAAAUUUGAACUUUUUUCAACUUCAGCUUCGAGUUUUGUUUCGAAAUCUUUCUUCUCUUGCUCAAAGAUUUUGGACUUCAUGGAAAGUUCACCGUUCAAUCUAGCGAUCUCGGCUUGAGCUUCUGCCAGCGAACCCUCCAUUGUCUGAAGCAUGAAAUCUUUCUUCUCCAAAGCAGCUUCGUGCUCUUUAAUCUUGCCCUCUAAGCCCUCAAUUAUAAUUUCGUUUUUCUUGUCCUUGAGGUCUUGCUGCAUCCUCAAGGUUUUGCUUAGCAAUAGACUCUGAGAAAAUAACCUUCGUCAGGAGUAACCUUCACCUCAAAAACAAUAAUAAAACUUAGGUAAGAAUUUCACCUUGAAAUUAGAAUAAAACAAACUGUCGGCGAUAUGUUGCCGCCGGUAUCUGCUGAGUUCAGCCUCAAGCUUCGAAAAGCCAACACUCUUUGAUAGAGUGUUGACAACCUUCGCCCCAACCCGGUCCUAGAGGCAUCCUAAACUCUCUUCGGCAACACCACCGAAGAGCAGCGCCCCUGGCUGGUACCCGCAAGAUAUAGCAUAGUCCCUCAACUCUUCUUUUUCAGCCUUAGACAACUCUUGCCCAAUUAUGUUUUGAAAGUUGAAAUUUCUUUAUUCCGAAGCAUCUUCGGCAAACUCCUUCUCUUUUUCAGGCACUGCAGCCGGGGUUUCCUCAGCAGCCGCAGCAGUUUCUUCCUCAGCCAUAUUCAAAAUCAUUUCAUCAAUUUCAGUAAGUGUGUUUUCCAAAUUUGUGGCUUCGGCUGCUGCAGCUUCAGAAGUAGAAGCUUCGGCAGGAGCAACUUCGGCUGCUGCUGUUUUCGGCGCUAAGGCUGAUGGCGAUGUUUCUUCAAUGGCCUCAAUGACAGUAAUAAUCCUUCGCAUUUUUGGUUCAGCGGGCUUCUCGGCAACCAAAGGCUCCUUCUUCUUCUGUAAAAGCUUCAUCAGUUCUGAUCCCAACGGACUUAGCUUAUUAGGUAGAGAUUUGGUCAUUACCUUUAAAAUCUCUUCUGCGUCAGUGGCAGAAGGUGUUGAGGAAAUUUCUUCUUCUAAAUCAGCUUUUGGCUUCGGAGCUGUAGCUUUUCUUUUCUUUUCUUCGAAACGGCCACCUUCGGCUCAGGGCUGGAUUUUUUAUUUUUUGCUAAAUUGUUAUCUUCUUUUAUCAUUCUGGCAGCUUGUCUUUGCAUAACACUGACAGCUCUUUUUUGUUUUGGCCCUUCGACACCUUUGCUUAAUCGUUCAUAGUCUGGGUAUUCAAAUUUCAGAGCGUCCAUUACUCGGUUCAGCCUUCGUUUUGGUCGGGUGCUGAAGGCUGUUGUCAUCAAUUGAUCUUCUUUAUUCGUAUAAUUGCCCAAGAUUUCAUUGCACAUAACUUCAAUCGUAUCCAACCAUUCUUGGCAGGGUUCUUUGAAGUGUUUCUUGAACUUAAAAUGGUAGGGCAGUCGAACAAGUUCAUUCUUUUUCUUCUCUCCUUUAAGCUUCGGCAUACUCCAUUCCUUUAACAUCGAAAAUACUCUAUUGGCUAAGUAUUCCUGAACCAAAUCCCUAGUACCGAUAUGCUCAGACACAACACUAAAUUUGCCCACAGCAUCUGGGCAUGAUGACCCCGGCGUCAUGCAACACUGGGGCCUAGUUAACCCAAAGGUUAGCUCUAGUGGGCUCUGAACUAGCUUCUCCUUUUUCUCAUCAACCUUAACAUAAAACCAUUCAGUUUUCCAGCCAGUUGGCCAUUUGGUGCGGUAGCUAACCACCGGUGUCUUCAUGUCUUUGCGGUAGGCAAAAUUAUAGCAGCCGAAAUUCUCGUGCAGUCCAUCUUCUCUAGCCUUCAUCUGAUAGUGAAGUUCGUGCACUUGGUAGAAGGCUUCGGCAAGCGGCUCCACUCCUUGGCUUCGAAGAGCCCAGAUAAAGACGUUGAGCCUAACGAUAGCGUAAGGAGUCAGCUGAUGAAGAUAAAUUUCGAAAUUUUCCAAAACAUCCGCAAUCAUUCCAUGCAGAGGAAACCUCAGUCCUUCUUUAAAGAAACUUCUAAAAGCUACCACAUCAUCAUUUUCUGGCUUCGGAGUAAUUUCUUCUCCGUCAAAACGAAUCAGCUUCUUCUCGGCUUCCCAGAAGUAGCCUAGAUUUGUCAUCAUGGGCUCAUCAGCCUCGGAGACUGUAGACUUUCCAAAUUCCAGGUGGCUGGGUUUAGAUGGCAUGACGGAAUAAUCUAUCUCUUCCUCAUCAGCCUCACCUUCUUCAAUGUUAGCCUGCUCAGUUUCGGCAGCAGGUGCACCUUCGUCAGAAGCACCCUCUGACACAACCAGGCCUGAUUAUCUCAUUAUUUCGGAGAUUGGGGCAGUCUCGGCAGCUUCAGUCUCCUCCCCGUCGCGUGUGACUCUGGCAGUUAAACGCACCCUGGCCAUUUGGUGCUAAAUUCCUUGCGGUUUUGACGAAGUUGAUUACUUUUUUAUUUUGCCGAAGCUCCUUCUUAUGACGAAGCUAAAAAACAAGAUGAUGCUCUAAUUGAGAAUACGAAGAAUAAGCUUCGGCUAUGGUCAAAUUUUUCAGCAGCACAACAGUAUGAUAGUAAUGAAUGUUGUGGUAAUUUCACACCUACCCGUCUAUUUAUAUAGUGUUGCAGGUGGGAAGGUGAAUCGUCAAACCACCUGAACCCACCGAACAGUCUCGCAUUCACUGAAUGGGGGACCGCAAGGCGCGAGAAGAAGAAUCACCAGAUCGUGUGUACCCGUCCUAUGGUGGGACCACCUCGCACUCGGAAUAUUUAAAUCGUUUCUCGACAACGAGCUCAGGGAAGGUGUUUUUCGGACCUUCGGCAUUCCGAAGCCUAAAAGAAUUUUUUACGGGUCGAGCUCGUUACGAAAAACAAUUGGCACCGUGAAGGGGCUACUGUUGGGGGUCUGCUUCGUCGCUGAAGGUCCUAUGAGAAGAAACACCUUCGGAAGGCCAGAACAGGAACAAUGCCAAAGCUACCAGUCAGGGAGCUUCGUAGCGUAUUUCUAGAUGCACCGACUUAAAGAUGAAAUGACCAAUCGGCCCAUGAUAACAUGUGUUAUGAUUGUAAUCAUUUGUAGAGGACAUGAAUGUAAAUUCACACAGGCUGCGCCAUGUGCCUAUAAAUAGGUAAACAGUACCCCCGUACUGUUCAAGCUUUCACAUCUCACUUUUACCUUUGCCCUCUGUCAAGCUCAAGGUACAAAUGUAAUUUGAUAUUGCUUUCAUGUACUCAUGAUUAUUUAAUAGUAGAUGUUUAUAUUAUGAUAUCAUAUAAUUGUUUAUGUUUUUUUCCUAUGUUUCAUAAACUUCAUCCUCUGUAUAUACAUGUCAUAUUUAUGAAGGUAUGCCCUUCAUAACCUUCGUCUGAAGAUCAUUAUAUCCUAAGGGAAAUAAUGCUUCGAAGGACGAAGGACAUUAACAUUUAACAUUUUGUGUUGCCUUGUUCUUAACUCAUAGCAUUUGAGAACAAGUUCCCAACACUUCCCUUUAAAAUAAUUGGGCCUCCCACUCUCAUCAUCGAGGCUGAAGAAGAGCGACUUUUAGUUCUUAAUUGACAAAAUUUCGAACAAGCUCAGUGGCUGGAAUGAGAAAAACCUCUCUAUGGCUGGCAGACUAACUUUAGUUAAGUGAGUCAUUACCUCUCAAACAAUCUACCUUAUCUCUGCUUUACGGGCUCCUAAGGAAAUAUUGAAUUUAAUUGACUCAAGAAGGAAAAAAUUCCUUUGGGCUGGGUGUGCGCAAAUUACGGGAGGUAAAUGCAAGGUAAAUUGGAUCCGUUCCGCAAGGCCAAAAGAGUGUGGAGGCCUGGGUAUCCUUCAUUUUACCAAAUUUGCAAGGGCAUUGCGUUUACAUUGGCUAUGGCAAGAAUGGGCUUCAUCAGCUAGGUUUUGGACGGCAUCGGAACACCCUUGCACGACAAAAGAUCGACAGCUCUUCACCGCAGUGACAUCGAUUUCGAUGGGAGACAGGACAAAGGUGUCUGUCGGAGAGUAAAUCUCCGGCCGGGUGGCGGAGUACACCCGCCCUAAAUCCUGAGCUGAGGAGGGGCUUAGGCGUUUUGCUUGAUCGUUGGAAUGAACGGGGAGAACUCAAGAACGCACAAGGAUUUAGAGUGGUUCGGGCCAUCUGAGCGUAAUACCCUACUCCACUGUGAGAUGUAUUGCUUGUGAGCUUGCAAGUCUAAGGUGUGACCUAAGAUUGUGUGUGAGUGUAACAUCGCAUGCCUCCCCUUUUAUAGCUGAAGGGGGGCAUGCACAAAGGGACUGACAUGUGGGCCUAGGGACAUAAGGAAUAUAGUGCUUGGAGCCUACUAAUGUCUGUUGCCGAGACAAUCUUCUUGUGCCCUGACACCCGAGAUAUGUGUAUCCUUGGCGUGCAGGGGAAGCUUCUUGUAGAAGGGAGGAUGAGUAUAGCGAGCCGCUCGGCACGGGCGCACUGUUUGCCAGCAGACCCAGCAGGCGCGCCGCCUGCUGGAUGACCUUGACACCGCUUGCCAGCGGAUGGGACGGGACACAUUAAAUGCUGAGAGGGCACGUCACCCAUCAGCGUAGUGGUAGGCGGCGCGUACUUUCCUCAAUAAAUGUAGGGGCUGCAUGACUUCACGUCAGGUUCGGCUCGAUAGCUUAUGUCAUGGGCCACAAGCAGCGGGUCUCCGCCUGAGCAGGACGUGAAGGGCAAGGCCCAGACACGUGUCAGCACCGGACCCCUGCUCAUACUAGGGUCCUCCUUGUUCCGGGACCCUGCUAAGGUUCAGACCUACCCAAAGGCUCCGGACUUAUAUGUAUAGGCGUCCGGUGUCCUUCGGUGGGGGUCCGGACUUAUCGGGGUGUGUUGUCUUUCCUUGCCACGUGGCGCCCUUUGGCCUGCUGAUGCGGGGGGGUCAGGCGCCGUCCCUCGCGUGGCUAUGAGACGUUGCAUGGGUGCGGCGUCUUCAUGCUGUAGUAGAGGGUACCCCUGAUUCAGGGUACCAACAGUGUCCUUUUGGAAUGAUGCGUGGGUGCAAGGGUUAAGACUGAAGGACAUCGUGCCUCUCAUUUUCAAUGUGUCCCGAAAAAAGAACAGAUCUUUGAGUGAAGCGAUGUUGAAUCAUACUUGGAUUAUGGACCUCAACUUGUUUUUUGCUGAGGUGGCAGAGCAACACAUUGUGAAGUACUGUAGGCUUUGGUCAAUAUUGCAAAGAAUAUCCUUGCAACCGGGUAUUUGUGACUCUAUUAGUUGGAAACUCUCAGCAGACUGACAAUAUUCAGCGAAAUUAGCAUACCUUGACUAAUUCCUUGGCUCUGAGCUUACAAAUAUGAACUGGAUCAUUUGGAAGGUAUGGGUGCCACUGAAAUGCAAAUUCUUCAGUUGGUUAGCCAUUCAAAAUAGAAUUUGGACAACGGAUCGUCUUGUGAAGAGGGAUUGGCCCCACAACGAUGCAUGUGCAUUGUGUGGGCAAACUUUGGAGUCAGGAUUGCAUCUCUUUGUUGAGUGUCGUUUAACCAAGCGGAAUGGAAGUGGUGGCUCUAUGGACAGCGAUGGAGGGUCUUAGUCCAAGUAACUGGGACCGCAGUGAGUCUGCCCUACAAUGGUGGACGUCCCUAGCUACAACUCAAGAUUGCAAUAGGAAGGGUUUGAGAAUCCUCUUAAUUCUAGUGAAUUGGACUAUCUGGCUUGAGAGAAAUGCUAGGAUAUUUGACCACAAGUCCUCCACAUGUGCUCAGGUUCUCGCAUCUAUUAUAUCUGAGGCAUCAGCUUGGAUACGUGCAGGAGCCAAACAGCUGGCUAAUCUCCUAGCCUCUCUUUAAUUUUGCGUGUUUGAGCUUGGCUUUUCUCCUAGUCUCCUUUCAGUUUAGUCUUGUGUAUUUGUGUUUUUCGGCUUGGUCCUGCUUUUGUGGGGUGUCUUUGUAUUUUAAACCUCACCCCUUUGGGCUCCCCUCUUUUUAAUAUAACCGGCAGAUCUCCUGCUGGUUCGUUUCAAAAUAAAAUAAAAUAAAGCAGUAUGUAUUACUUAGGUUAUAUUUGGAACCUCUAAAACUAGUAGUUAUCUAAUUUAAAUUUAAUAGAUCAUGCAACACACGUAGACCUUAGUUUGAGCUACCCAUGAUUCUUCCAAGCCCACGUACAUAUUUACAUGGUAAUCAAAGUCAUGAGUUCAUCAUUAUCUACCUUUGUGAACAUUCUCCUCGGCAUACCUAACUCUAAGAAGAUGACGAGGUCUAACCAUACAUAGGUUAUUGCCGCUAUGUGUGGAAUAGAGACGCUCCACCAAAAUCUAGAGACUAGAAAGAUAUUGAGGUGGACAAUGUAGAGCAUACAGAUUGCAAAGUCAAAUAUGAACGAGUCAUGAACUAUUUCCUCUCAUAUAUAGUUAUCAAAAGACACCUAUUGGGGGCCUUCCUCUUCUAAAGGUUCUCAAAAACAUGACUAAUCAUGUUUUCAGCAUGAUUAUGAAUAGUUACAAGAAGCUUCGGCUUUGGGAUGGAGGACUUCUCUCAUGAUAGGACGAAGGGAAAUAAAGAAUAAGCGAUGAAGCUGGAAGCCAAAGGACUUCGGCUGGACUUGUUGAUGAAGCUCAAGUAUGAUGAUAAUCGGAAGAGGAUAAAGACCAUACAGUCCUUAAUAAUUCAUGUUAAGAUCAUAAAUAGUUACCAGGGACAUAAAUGUAGUUUUAUCCAGGCUGUGUCCCGUGCCUAUAAAUAGAUUAAUAGUAACACUGUACUGUUCACGCUGGAUUGUAAUCACUCUCGCAUCAUUCUCGCACCCUUACCUUCUGGCAAGCCGAAGGUACCAAUGUAAUAUGAAUGUUAUUAAUGUUUAUUCAUGUUUAUGAAAUACAAGAAUGAAUAGAUCAUUGAUAUAUAGUUAUUAUAAUCUUUAUUCCUUUGUGUUUCUUUACUUUCUUAUUUAUAUUCACAUUCAUAUGUUGAAAUGAUGAAGGUAUGCCCUUCAUGACCCUUCGUCUGAAGAUCAUUAUAUCUGAGAGGAAAUAAUGCUUCGAAGGACGAAGGCCUUUAACCAUUAACAAUUGUGUUUCCUUGUUCUUGAUUUAUAGCAUUUGAGAACAAGUGGCCAACAUUGGCGCCCACCUCCGGUGAACUCACUUCCACAAACCUUUGGUAAAGCAUCCACCUUCGACAUGUCGUCGAAGAAAGCAACGGUGCCAGGGACUGCCCAGCAACCACUGGACACAAACCAGGAUGCACUCUCUCUGCAAAAGGCCAGGAGCCAAAAGAGAAAGGCCACCAACACAACUCUUCAGGAGGAGCAGGUUGAUCAGGAAAUCAGGGAUUUAGAAGCAAUCCAUCAACAAGUGGAAAGAAAAAAGGAGAAGAUGCUGACCUUCAGAAGAAGAUUGAUGAAGUUGCUGAGGAGAUGCGACAUCUUACUCAAGAUGAACAAGACCGAAGGCCUCACCACAGGGAGCUUCGUCGGGGGAGCUCAUUCAACGAAGAUGAAUGGUACGAUGACUUUCAUCAUGAUAACUUUACCUUUGAUGAUGCUUCUCCUCUGGCAGCAGAAUUGUAGGCUACUCCGUGGCCACAAUCCUACAAGCCACCUCAGUUGGCCAUGUAUGAUAGGCAUUCAGAUCCAAAGCAAUUUCUGAUGAGUUACGAGGCAACAAUAUCCUCGUAUGGGGGCAACGCUGCUGUCAUGGAAAAAUCCUUCGUCAUGGUGGUCAGAAGCGUGGCUCAGACCUGGUAUUCCUCCCUUCAGCUAGGAACAAUCACAUCAUGGCAGAAGCUCAAGGAUAUGCUAGUCACCAAUUUCCAAGGCUUUCAGACAAAGCCAGUCACUGCUCAGGCUUUGUUUCAACGCAUGCAAGACCAUGAGGAGUACCUUCACGCGUAUGUCCGAAGGUUUCUGCGUCUGAGAGCACAAGCACCUACAAUGCCUAAUGAAAUUGUAAUUGAGGCCAUGAUCAAGCGGCUUCGACUAGGACCUACAGCCCAAUAUUUUGCAAGGAAGCCCCCACAGACCCUAGAGAAGCUCCUUCAGAAGAUGGAUGAGUAUAUCCGGGCCGAUAAUGAUUUUCGCCAAAGAAGGAAGGAAGCGUACAGGUUUUAUGAAAUGACCAGGGGCUUUGGAGGAAGACUUCAUCCUAAGCAUGUUCGGUCAAUUCAUAACUCUAAUGCCAAUGAUGAAAGGGAUAAUAAUGCUCAGAACAGCCAUCAUAGCUCAUAGUCUACGAGCAUGCAGCAGACUUCUUUCAGACCACCAACUCCGAGAGGCAGAGGAGGAAGAAGCUUCAGUGGAGGAAGGUUUGGCAAUCAACCCAGAAAGUUGUACUACCUCUUUUGUGGCGAGGACAAGGGCCAUACAACAAGGACAUGUCAGGUCACAAUUCAGAAGCAAAAGGAAAUUGCUGAAGUCGAGGCGCAGCAGAGUCAGUCGAAGCAAGUCCUCCAUACUGCUUCAUGCUACUCUCCAUACAUCCCAGAAUAUGUAGGCAAUCAACAACCUAUGACUUCUGUCGCUUCGGCAAAUCAUUCCUGAGCUUCUUGGCCUCAGUUGCCACCACCACCACCGCUGGUUCACAAUCAGCAGCCAGAAGGGCACAAUCAUACUCGGCAACAGCGUGACCUUUGGGAGAAGUUCGAAGCUCGCACAGUCAAUAGCACUAUGCCUGAAUCGAAGCACAUCUACUAAAGGGACUACAGUGGCUCAGCCAAGGAAUAUGUCGAUCUAAUGUAUCUUAACUCUUUCUGCCUUUAUAUUUUCUUGCAAGAAAAACAAUACAAGAGGGAUUAACUUUCAAAUUGAUGCAAUAAUACUGUGAUUACACCAUCGAAUGUGACAAAAUUAAGUUUCGAAGCUCAAAAGACGUUCCUAAGGGAGCGUAGAGUAAGUUCCGAAGCUCAAAAGUCGUUCCUAAGUGAGCGCAGAGUAAGUUCCAAAGCUCAAAAGUCGUUCCUAAGGGAAUGCAGAGCCAAAAUGCCACCAAAGUAAAAGGUGAAGAAGCUCCAAAGUCAUUCCUAAGGGGAUGCAGAGCUUGAACUCCACCUAAAUAAAAGGUGAAGAAGCUCCAAAGUCGUUCCUAAGGGGAUGCAGAGCUUAGCUCCAAAGUCGUUCCCAAGAGAAUGCAAAGCUAAAAUACCACCUAAGUAAAAGGUGAAGAGACUCCAAAGUCGUUCCUAAGGGGAUGCAGCGUCUGGGUGUGUAUUCAUGUGGGUUUUUUAUCUUCGGCAUAAACAUCAUUCCGCAUCAUACCAUCAUAACAUAUCGCAUAGCAUUGCAUCAUACAUCAUCUUGCAUCAGAAAAAGGCUGAGGAGAAAGAAGGGAGAUUGCUCCUUCACAAAUACUUAUCAAAUUGCAAAAGGAUGUGAUAUGCCACAACAUGUGUUUUUAGCGGAUAUAACUUAUUAUACGAAGCCAACCUUCGUCACCAUUGGCAUAAGGAAAUUCUCUUUGCGACGCAUGAAAAGAAGGGAAGGUGUUUUUUCGCCGAAGGCUCAAAAAUGGAAUGUACACAAAUUUCAUGCAUCACAAAGAAAUAUAUUACAUUACUAUACAUACAAAUAUUUGAUGUUUGAUCCAUACACAUGACGACAACCAUACACAAGCAUUACAUUUCCUAGUAUGCAAGAAUUUAAUCUUCUUUCAGUAUUUUUUCAGCGGUUUCAUGUAAUAGUCUGUCGACGACUUCGUCAACAACUUCGUUAGCAAUCUUCAUUACAUCUAAAGCCUCUUUCAUAACAGGGUCAGCGUCAGGGUUGUAUGGUUCCGGUGGUGGCGAAAGGCUGACUGUGAUAAAGAGCAUAAUGGUGAAUUUCGAAGCUAGAAACAAACAAUGAGACAAAAGUUUUAAAAAGAUACCUAUAAUCAUUGCGUGUUCAGCAACUUCUUCAGCUUGCUUUGCCUCUUCUCGAGCGUCGUGAGAUUCUUUUUCACUCUUUUUAUGGCUUCAUCGGCCAUCUCAUGGCCUCCCUUCAUCCAAACAUCAUAAUAGAACUUUCCGCUCAUCAAAGAAGCUUCCGCCGAAGGUUCCUUCGUGUCGUCCGCUGAGAAAAUGGCUUCUGCCUGGGCUGCAGCCUUAACAUGUUCACAACCGGUUUUCUCCAAAAUUGUUGCAACCCCUCGUGCACCGGCGAAGGCAUAAAAGUCCCCACGGUCGCUGAUUAUUUCUUCAAAAGCUUUGACCUCUUUGCCAAUCCACUGGAUAACCCGUUCGGGAUCACCACAGAUAAUUUUUUGCUCUGAUGAGUAUGCUCCUACCUUUGCAAAGCCAUCUUUCAGUUUCUUCGUGCAUUCCAUGGAUACUUUGUAGCAUUUUUCUUUAGAAUCCUGAAGUUCUUCAAUGUUCUUCUGCACCCUGGCUCUUUCCAUUUCACUUAUUUCUUGCUUAGCCUUCGCAACUUCGAAAUUUUCAUUUAUUUCAGCAAGUUUUUUCUGUAAAUCUUCAACCUCAGCUUUGUGAGCUUCGGCUUGUGCGUUAAGCUUGGCUUCGCUGGUUUUCAGCUUAUCCACUAAGGAGAGUAGUAUUUUGUAUUUUUCAAGAGCUUCAUUCCUCAGUGUAAUAACCUUUGAUCAAAGAUUUCUAAGAGCCAACUGGCAGCUUUGAUCUUCUGCUUUCUUCUGGGCCUUUAAAGCCUUGUUUAGAAUUAAGCCCUACAAAAACAAAGGAUGAGCACAUACUGAUAAAGAAAUAAACUACAAAAAUAAUCUGUUUUCCAACAAGUUAAAAUAUUCUCACCUUCAGGCUGUUAUAGGCAAGGCUAUCUGUGAGCUAGUCCUUUGUCAUUGUAGACAAGCCUAGUUCAAGCUUCGAAUAUCCUACAUUGUCUGCCAUUUCCCGACAGACAUGUAUCUCCUUAUUGUCUGGCAGACAAUAAAGGAAGUCAUCUUCGUCAUCGCCACUAUAUACCAAGGACCCUCGAUGGUACUUCAGAUCCCUGGCAUAAUGUUGCUCUUCGACAAUUUGCUCCUUCGAUAAUUUUUUCCCCGAAGCAUGUCGCACUAUGAAUUCCAAUUCUUUGAUAGGCGCUCCGGGGGCGGGAGAUUCAGAUUCUUCAUCAUCACCUUCUUUUUCCAACAAUAAUGGUGCUCCGGCAGCCUCCGAAGGUCUUGUUUCAGUACCUUCUUCAGCAGCCUUCGAAGAUCUUGCUUUGGCGGGGACUGAUGGUCCAGCUUCAGCAGUGGUCUGUGCCCUGGUAGCUUCGCUAGAUUUCUUUAGGGCUUCGCCCUCUGCAGCGGGUGCUAAGGCAGGAGUUGACACCUUUACAGAUUCUAUAACAGUGUCUAAUACGUUGGCCAUUCUUCUCCUCUUCGGAUUUAUUGCAGCAAUCUUUGAUACCUUCGGUAGUUCUGUCUCUUGCAAUGGACUCAAAGCUUUCAGCUUUUCUACUGCCAUCUUCGGUUUUGGCUCUUCGGCUGAUUCUGCCUUAGUUUCAGUAGGAGUGGAGUGACUUGACUCAAAAGCAGAAGAAGACUCUUUAGCAGGCCUCGGCUCUUCGGUCAUCUCAGCGCUUGGGACGAUGUGUCAAAACUUUAACUUUUUUCGGCUUCGACUUAUUAGAGAUAGCCGAAGCAGCAGCUCUUCUUUUCUUUCCUUGCUUUCAUGAAGGAUAACAGUAAUCUGGGUAUACGAACCCAAUGACAUCAAAAACCCUAUUCAGCCUCUUUUUGCCUCGACCCCCGAAGCCCGCUGUCAUAGCAUCAUCUUCGGCCCUUGAAUAAGCACCAAGCAAUUCAUCACUGGUUGCUUCAAUGGCAUCUAGCCAGUCGUCAUUUGGCUCAUCAAAUUGGCUCAUGUAUUUGAACAUAUACUUCAAGUAAAUUAAGCCACCUUGGCUAGACCCAGCAGUAGCCUCCUUCGGCAUCUCCCACCCACUUCCGAGUGGCCACACUUUGUAAGCAAUAUGCUCCUGGACUAAGUCCCUGGUACCUAUGUAAGUGCAUACUGUGUUAAAAGCAGCUUGGCACGCUUGUAUGUCGUUUCCAAGGGCAAGGGAUGGUCUCCUAAUGCCGAAGUGAGACCAUAUAGGACAUUGGAUUAUCCCCUUGAUGUCUUCCCUUUCAACUAGAUCAUUUUUUACAUAGAACCAUUCUUGCAUCCAGCCCCCCGGCCAUCUCUUGCAAAAUGUUGGAACUGGGUUGCUCACCUCAGAGCGGGUUACGAAGCUGUAGCAACUGAAGUUGUUGUGAUAUUGCUCUUUUCCGGUGGCCUUCGUCUCAUAAGACAAUUCGUGCAUGUUGCAGAAGCAUUUUGCAUUUGGUUCUAACCCUUGGCUCCUCAUGGCCCAAAUAUAGAUCCCCAUCUUGAUGAUGGCUUCGGGAGUAAGCUGAUGAAGGAAAAUUUCAAAAGUUUUCAGGACUUCGACCAGCAUCUUAUCAAGAGGAAACCGAAGCCCUGCUUUCAUGAAGCUUCUAUAGAUGACCACCUCGUCAACUUCGAGCAGAGGAGCAUUAUUCUCCCCUCCAGCCCUCACAAUAGAAAUGUCACGGAAGUACCUUCCCCUCAUUGCAUCAAUCUGUCCUAGCUUGAUUGUUGACUUCCCAAAGACAACAUGGCUUGGUCUCCAGGGACGUUCUUUGGCACCCUCAUUUUCACUUUCUGCAUCAAAGUUUUCACUAUCACUAGUAUCUUCAGAUAUCCUAGCCAAUGUCUCAUGUGCAAUCUUUUCGGCAUUUGUUCUUUCCAUAGCUUCGUAAAACUCGGACAUCGCCGGGUCGACAUUUUUCUUCUCAUCAGCCAUCAAAUCAAACCUUGUUGAAAUGUUGAAGCUUAAAAUCCGAUCAAAACUCGACAAAGCAGGAAAGUUUAAAAUGACGAGCACAGUGUCAGUAACUGAAAUGGCACAAGAAACGCUUUCAAUACAAGCUCUUAUUUAUAUACCUAGCGCCCCACGGUUUCGUGGGUCCGGCAUGUCAGUGUUAUUCGCUAUUCUAGCGAAGGGAAGGUGUUUUUCGGACCUUCAGGUAAAGGCCUUCGUUCAUGUCACAGUCUAAAUUUGUUACCAAGAAACAAAUUAAUACUGCGAGGGGCUACUGUUGGGGGCCUUUCUCUUCCGAAGGUCCUCAAAAACGUGACUAUCCAUAUGUUUUCACCUGGUACAAAUGCGGACGUCCGCGAACCCUGAAGCCCCUACGCCCUCACAUGCCCUGCCGCCCUGUCACCGUGAAAACCGCACCGCAAAGGUAGUCCGCCGUCCACCGCCACGAGCUCGUGUGUUGGGGACUUGUUCCCAAAUGCUAAGAGUUAAGAACAAGGCAACAUAAAAAGUGUUAAGUGUUAAAGUCCUUCGUCCUUCGAAGCAUUAUGUCCCUUCGGGAAAUAAUGAGUUUCGGACGAAGGUCAUAAGAGACAUACCUUCGUAAACAUAACAAGUAAUGACGAAGGAUUUAUAUAAAGCAUGAAAUAUAAUAUAAGCAUCAUCAUAGAAUCAUUUCUAUUUUAUUAACAUGGAAAAAUAGAAAUGAUUUCAAAUUACAGAUGUACCUUCGGUCCUGAGAGAAGGUAAAAAGUACAAGCGUGACGCAAAAGCAAAUGCCCAGUCAGCGUGAACAGUACGGGGAUACUGUUCACCUAUUUAUAGACACGGGACACAGCCCUUACAAAAUUACAUUCAUGCCCUUUACAUCUGACAAUAACUCUAUAGUAAUCUAUUGAGGUCUGAAUAGCCUUUUCAUCUUUAAGUCGGUUUCACUCUCUGCCGUUACGCCGAAGCUUUCCUGCUCAACACCUUCGGCUCUGUAUCAAGCUUCGUAUUAUUCCGGUCUGCUGCAAUGCCGAUUUUAGUCUGAGGGUACCUGUUCACAUAUUGUACUACAGAAAUACUGUUAAAUUCUGUUUUUGAGGACCUUCGGACGCCGAAGGUCCCCAACAGUAGCCCCUCGCAAUAUUAAUUUGUUUGAAAUAAUAAAUUCAGAUUGCGAUAUGAACGAAGGCUUUAUGCCGAAGGUCCGAAAAAACACCUUCCCUUUGCUAGAAUAGCAACAUUCAAUGACAAGUGGGGUCUUUCAACUUUCAACGCAUCAAGCGUAUAAAUACGGCCAUACCGCAAACUUAUUUUGCACGCUUUCUGGCCAACCACUCCUGCUCACUCAUUUUUUAGCUCUUGUGCACUGUGAUCUGCUGAGCUUUUAGCUUUGAAGCUUCGGCUUUUAAAACAGUUUUUUAGUGUUUCCGAAGAUGUCUGAAGCUGCUAAGAAGGCUGCUGCUGAGAUGAAGCUGAGUCUUGAUGAAGAGAAGAACUUAGGGUUUCUUAUAGCAAUGUCGAAGACCAACACAGAAAAGAUCACCAGGGAAAUUCUGGAAGGGCUGUCUGAAGAUACUGGUGACAGUGAAAGUUAUGAUGUGGACAGCGGUGGUGAAGACUCCGAAGAUCGCCCCUGGCGACCAAGCCAUUCAGUUUAUGGUAAAUCAACUAUCAAAGAGAAUCAUCUUGUUAAUAUGAGAGGAAGGUAUUUCCGGGAUCUGUCCAUUGUGAGGGCGGACGAAGGGGAAAAGACUUGUCCACACCCUGAAGAAAAUGAAGUUGUGGUGUACCGAAGCUUUUUGAAAGCCGGAUUGCGAUUCCCCUUGAGCAGCUUCGUCGUGGAGGUGUUGAAAAUCUUCGAAGUCUAUCUUCAUCAACUUACUCCAGAGGCUAUUAUAAGGCUAAAUAUCUUCGUGUGGGCCACGAGAAGCCAAGGUCUGAAGCCUGACGCAAGAAGCUUCUGUAAUAUACAUGAAUUAUUAUAUGAAACAAAGCCUUGGGGCAAAGAACAGUACCACAAUAACUUUGGCUGCUACAGUUUCGUCUCUCGGUCCGGGGCAAGCUGUCCCGUACCAACCUUUCGGAAGAGAUGGCCCGGGGAUUGGAUGACAGAAUGGUUUUAUGUGAAGAAUGACCUAUCAGCACGAGAAGACAUCAAAGGUAUAAUUAUGCGUCCUAUUUGGCAAAGUUUCGGCCUUCGGAGGCCGAAGGUGGAAAUGAAUGAAGCUGCCGAAGAAUGCCAGAGGGCCUUCGGCGUCAUCUGCUCUUUUAUUGGAACAAGAGAUUUAGUACAAGAACAUAUUGCCUUCCGGGUGUGGCCGCUUGCGGAGAAAUGGGAAAUGCCACAAGAAACCAUUAAAGAGGCCGACGAAGGUGGACUUGUCAGGUUUAAGUACACUUUUAAAUUUGGAGAUAAAUUUAUUGAGCCAGAUGAUGAGUGGUUGAAAAGCAUUGACAAUUUAAGUGAUGAGCUGCUUGGGACCUACUCGAAGGCCGAAGAUACUGCAAUGUCAGCAGCCUUCGGAGGCCGAAAAAAGAAAAGGCUGAAUCGGGUAUUUGAUGCCAUCGGGUUUGUCUACCCUGACUAUCGCUACCCCAUUCGAAGGCAGAAGAGAAAAAAUACAACCUCUGCAAAAGAAGAAACUGCAGCUGCUCCUAGCGAGCCAGAACCGAAAAGGAAGAAGAUAAAGGUUCUUACGCAUCGGCCGCGUUAUAUUGAACCAGCUUCGGUGCCUGAGUUUACCGGAGAGACUUCUUCGGCCACCGAAGCUGAAAAACCAGCCGAGCCAACCUUGCUGCCAGGAGUUGCAGAAACAGCCGAAGUACCACCGAAGACAAAAUUGGAGCAAUCAAAAAAUUUGUUACCAGAAACGAAAGAGAAGGCCGAAGCGCCAUUCACAGAAAAAAUGGAAGAGGUAAAGGAAGCAACCGAGGACUCCAAAACAUCAGAAGUCUUGAGUCCUUCAGCAAUUAUUGGGACAUCGAAAAAUGAGAAAGUGCCAGCUGCAACUCCGAAGAGAAAAAGAAUGGCUAAUGUGCUAGAUGUACUGGAAACGAUCAUAUCUUCGAGCACACCUCCGAAGAAGGCUGCUGUUACUUUUGAAACAACAGCUGAAAUUUCUGGUUCUGCAGCUCUAGAGCAAGAAAUUGAAGCCGAAGCUGGGCCCUCAGAGCCCACAAAGGCAAAAACCUUGGAAAGUGAGGUAGAAAAAAUAACAAAGCCAACUUUUGCUGAAGGAACUGGUGUUGUUACCCCCGAAGCAUCCCCCAAAAUUCGUGAUUAUAUUUUUCGUCAUGCUUCGGGGAAAAAAUUAUCAGAAAAAGAAGAACAAGAGGCCCAACACUAUGCCCAAAAAUUGAAAUAUCCAAAGGGGGCGUUGAUAUUUAAUGGCAGUGGAGAAGAAGAUUUCUUGUAUUGCCUCCCCGACAGCAAGAAAAUUUCUGUCUGUCGGGAGAUGAGCAGAAGCUUCGGAUUCCCAACUUUAGAAGACGGACUUUCGGUGCUGUCAAAGAACGAUCUGGCUGACAGCCUAGCUUACAACAGUUUAAAGGUGCGACUAAUGGAAUUCUUAUAUUUUUGUUGAGUUCAAAAUUUUUCGUUUGUUUAAAACUAUUGACACAGACAUAUUCCUGUCUGCAGGGCCUGAUACUCAGCAAUGCCCUCAGAGCACAGAAAGAUGCUGAGGACGAAGGAUGUACUAUAGCCCUGAGCAACCUUCGUUCCGAAGUAAUUGAAUUGAGGAACGAAGGUCUCGAAAAAGACAAAAUAUUGCAUUCCUUAAUAAAUAAAAUAAAAGAAGACGAAGCUCUUUUCAAAGGUCAGGCCGAAGCUCAGAAGCGUGAAAUUGAAAACCUUCGUAAACAAUUAGCCAGAGCUAAAGAGGAAUGCAUACUUGAAGAAACAAGGCGAGAACUCAGCGACCAAUGGGCAAAUCAUUUAGAAGAAACUGUUAAAGAGCUUCGGUCAGCCAAGAAGAAAUGCUUCGACAAAUCUAUAGAGUGUGUCAAGAAAAUAAAAACUAGCUUCGCCAGCGUUGGCGCAUUUUCGCAAGAAGAAAACUUUAUAAGAGGUAACCCCGAAGGUCCCCUGGAAUGGAUCAAUCAUGAGGCGGAGGCCUUCGAGGAAAUCCUGAGUAGCCGCGGUGACAUCUGCGCUUUUUCGGGCGCCAGAGGAAUUGCUACUGUCUUGGAGAAAAAAGGUUGUGAACAUGUAAAAUCUUUAGCUCAGUCCGAAGCUGCCUUAUCCUCCGAAGACAUCAAAGACCCCUCGGCCGAAGCAAGCAUGGUUGGCGGUAAAUUCUUCACUGAUAUCUGGGACAACGGCGGCCGAGAAAUGGCGCAAGAAAUUAUUCAAAGAAGUGAAAAAGGCAUCCAUGAUGCCAGGAAAGUGGCAGAAGUUGCCGAAGGGCAAAUAGGUAUUAAUUAGUCGCACUUAUUGUGUUGUAAUUUUUAUUUCAAACUUUACUCGCAGUUUGUAAUAGUAAUGCAAAAAUAUUCUGUUUCCUCAGAACCUACUGGAUCGUCUAUUGACCCUCACAUCAAAGAGGAUGACGAAAUCAAACAAAUGGCCGAAGCUAUCAUGGAUAAAGUUGUUGAACAACUUCUAAAUGAGGCUGCCGAAGUAGUAUUAAGAGAAGACUAGAUGUUAUUAGAAAAAACAUUUGAAGUGUGAUCUAUGUAAUAUUUUGUACAUUUGAAUGUAAUAUAUAAGUCCCUUUUCAUUAUUCAAUUCUUUACGAUGCAUGAAAUUCUACAUACAUACCAUUUUUGAGCCUUCGGCGAAAAAACACCUUCCCUUCUUUUCAUGCUUCGUGAAGAAGACAUUCUCCGAAGCUGUACAAUUUCGAUAUUACUCUGAUGAAGCUCAUCCAUGCUUCGUAAAAACAUUCUCCGAAGCUGUAUUCCGAAGAUUAUCAUUGUAUUUCCUCAUGACUUUACACAAUUUUCACUUUCUCAAAGCGUCCUUUCGAAGGUUGAUACGGUGUCCCCUUCUUUUGCCAUAUGCAACAUGAUAUAUGAUGUUUAUGCUAUGCAAAAUGGUGUGAUGAUGUUAUGUUAUGCAAAUGACGUUUGUUCCGAAGAUACACACAAAAUAUCUCUGUAAACUCUGCAUUCCCUUAGGAACGUCUUUGGAGUUUCUUCGCCUUUUACUUAGGCGGUAUCAGCGUUGACUUUUCGCUGUAAGCCUCCCUUAGGAGCUUCUUCGCCUUUUACUUAGGCGGUAUCAGCGUUGACUUUUCGCUGUAAGCCUCCCUUAGGAGCUUCUUCGCCUUUUACUUAGGCGGUACCAGCGUUGACUUUUCGCUGUAAGCUCUGCAUUCCCGUAGGAACGACUUUUGAGCAGAAAACUUACACUGCGCUCCCUUUGGAACGGCUUUUUGUGACUUCAUCAACUUACUCUGCGUUCCUUAGAACGACUUUCUGUUGCUUCGAAGGAUUUUUAAUAAUUCGAAGGUCCUCCUUGUUAGCGCAAAAAAAUUUUAAGCUUCAGGGACUUAAGCCUGUGAAGAAAAUGGGUUUUCCUCGUGGGAAACAACGAAAUUAUUACAUGAAAACUAACAAUGUUCUUUGUUUCACAGAAAAUAAAACUGAAUAGAAAAGACUGCUAUUAAAGGUAGGAUAUGUGUCAAUAAAUGUGCUUCGACUCUGGCACAGUGCUGUUGACUGUGCGAGCUUCGGAUUGUUCUCUGAAGUCCCUUUGGUGUGGGGCAUAUUGACUCCCUUCUGGCUGUUGACCCUGUUGCAGUGGAGGUGGAGGCGGAGGCUGCUGCCAGGAAGCUUGAGGUUGACUUGCCGAAGCUACAGAAGCUGCAGGGUGGUUGUCUAUGUAUUGUGGGAUGUAAGGUGGAUGAUACGAAGCAGUAUGCAUGACCUGCUUCGGCUGAGCUUGUUGAGAUGCAGCUUCGGCUAUUUCCUUUUGCUUCUGGAUUGUAAUAUGGCACGUCCUGGUGGUAUGGCCCUUGCUUUCUCCACAGAACAAGCAAAACAGUUUCCUUGGUUGAUCUCCGAAUCUUCCGCCGAAGCCCCUGGCGACUCUGCCUCUUGGAGCUGGUGGCCGGAAGAAAGUUUGUUGUUGCCCCGAAGCCUGUGAGGAGCACUGCGGUCUGUUCUGCUGACUCCCCUUAUCAUCAUUCUGAGUGGAGUUGUGGAUGGACCUGACAUGCCUCGGAUAGGAUCUUCCUCCGAAGCCCCUGGUCAUUUCAGAAAAUCUGAAGGCCUCCUCCCUUCUUUGGCGAAAGUCAUUGUCAGCACGAAUGUACUCGUCCAUCUUUUGGAGCAGCUUCUCCAGGGUCUGAGGAGGCUUCCUAGCAAAGUAUUGAGCAGCAGGUCCAGGACGAAGCCCCUUGAUCAUGGCUUCGAUGACAAUUUCAUUGGGCACCGUUGGUGCCUGCGCCCUCAAACGCAAGAACCUUCUGACAUACGCCUGAAGGUAUUCUUCAUGAUCCUGAGUGCACUGGAACAAGGCUUGAGCAGUGACCGGCUUCGUCUGAAAUCCUUGAAAGCUGGUCAAUAACAUAUCCUUCAGCUUCUGCCAUGAAGUGAUCGUUCCUGGCCGAAGGGAGGAAUACCAGGUCUGAGCAACACUCCUGACGGCCAUAACGAAAGACUUUGCCAUUACUGCAGCAUUGCCACCAUACGAAGACACUGUUGCUUCAUAACUCAUCAAGAACUGCUUCGGGUCCGAAUGGCCAUCGAACAUGGGAAGCUGGGGUGGCUUAUAGGACGGAGGCCAAGGUGUAGCCUGCAGCUCAGCGGACAGAGGAGAAGCAUCGUCGAAAACAAAAUUUCCAUGAUGAAAAUUGUCAUACCUACCGACGAUUGGUGACUCGUGAGGUGUCCGGGGCGUUCGUCGGUGUGUGCGGAUUGCUGGCGUGAAGUAUUAAGCCCAGGGGACCGUUCUCGUGCCCGGAAUUCCUCGCCGUUGACGGACUCCGCCGUGCACCGCGGAUGUCUCUGCUCGACCAUUAAUUGUCGGUAAUACUCCCUUUCCGCGUCUCGCUUUCCGCUGGACAUCGCGUAGGGCUAGACUCAUGCGGUUUGGACCGCUAGGGUGCGAGAAUGUCGUGUCUGGCCAUGGCGUUGUCGUGUUGCCUGGCAGCGCCGCCGCCGUUGGGGUCGUUUGGAGGAGAUGAGCACUGGGCGUCGAUCUGUUCACCGAUGGCUGUGAUCGGGUAAGAGAAUACUGCUUCGAUCAAUUGGAUCGUAAUCGUCCGAUCGGGAUCGGAUGGUGCAUACUUACACUGGGUUUCAUUAAAUCGUGGGCGUAGAUCGGGAAUCCAAGGGCCAGAGUGUUUACCGAAUUCGUGCAGGCCAUAGAUAUAAUCGGAGCCAGUCGUUUCUGAUCGAAUGGCUGGGAUCCGCGCAUACCCCUUCAGCUAGUUAAGUUAACAAUUAGGCCCUCGGUUUUUAGGAAAUAAACCCGCCGUCCAUUACAGCUGUUCAUUGUGACUAGGAAAUCUUGCGGCGAGGCCCUAGUGUUCUCUGGUAUUUGGCACGCAUUCCAGGGAACAUAUAAAUUGGAUAAAUAAAUAUGGAAAUGGAUUUUUAGUGUAAAAAUAAUUGCUAGAAUUUGUUUAAUUCAUAGAAAAUUCAUACUUAGUCCAAAUUAAUCCAUUCCAGUUCCUAUAAUUUUGUAAUAAUGUUGUUUAUCAUAUAGUGUCUCUGUUUUGACAUGAAAAUCAUAUUAAAAGUUAUCUCUUAAUUAAUCCUGUAUCAAAUACAUAAAACCUUCAGAAAGACAUAACUUAAAAUCCAUAACUCCAAAAUUAAUGAUUCAUGUUCCUAUGAUCUUAUUUUCAUAUGUAGAUUAUUAAUAUGUAUUUUGUAUACAUGUUUGGUGUAAUGUUAAUUUCCUCUUUAUACUAUGCUUAUUUGUAUUGUGGCGAGUAGAAGAGCCAGUGGCUGGGGAUCCCAGUGUUCAGCAGAUAGAAGUUGUUGAGCAGGAGCUCAUUGAAGGCAAGUUGUGCCCUUGACCACUUUUAUUACCCAAUAAUGUUAUUUAAUACCACUUAUUCAUGCAUAGGUUUAAUUUUGAUGGGACCCAAUAGGUCACCCUAAACUGGUUAUCCUUUUUACCUUGUUUACCCCUGAAUCAUUAGGUAGUUUUGCUAUUACUUUAUAUGGUUUUGGGAUAAUAUUACAUUAUAUCCAUGUUCCAAUUAUUCUGUUAUUUUAUUUAUGUUCAUGUCAAGAUCAUUAUCUUUAAUUGGAACAUGGAGCUUAACUUGAGAAACACGUGCCACCACUAGGGUGGUAUGGGACGCCCUUGGCUGACUAACUAGGAAAUCUAGUGGAAGACUACCUUACCCGAAAGGGGCAAGGGCAGUAGGGGAGUAGGCAUGUAGGGAGGUUCUCGGGUUGAUUUUGCUGUGAUGGCGGUCAGACGAGGGAUUCCUGCAUUGCUCUUUCCAGAAACUGUAGCGAGUUUUCGGAAGCUAGUGGAACUUUGUAAAGGUCUCGUAGUGUUACCCCGUUUCGCUUACUUGGUAGAGGUGUAUGGGAGUCACGAUCCCUUGGCAGAUGGGUAACAUGACUUGUGGGUACAGGGUACAACCUCUAUAGAGUGUAAAACUGGUAUACUAGCCGAGCUCACGGUCAUGAGCAACUCAGGACUCUCGCAUGAUUAAAUUAUGGAACUUAAAUUUAAUUUGUCAUUUGCAUUGCAUGAGAUUUAUUAUUAAUUUUGUUCUAUUCUUAUUAUGGUUUGGUAUUUACUUAUAUUUAGUAAUUGCUAAUAAAAUUUGACCAACUUAUGAAAAAGCAAUGCUCAGCUUUAACUCCUAUCGUUGAUCAGCCUUACACAUCACGUGAACUCCCACCUUUGGUGAGUUCAUGUACAUUGUUUCCCACAACUUGUUGAGCGAUGAACAUAUGUGAGCUCACCCUUGCUGCCUCACACCCCCACAGGAGAAGAACAGGUGGCCCAGGAGGAGCCGCACAACGAGGAGUUUGACUUGAUCUAGGUGGUAUCUCCUAGUCGACUUUUUGGCGCCAAGGAUGGACUUCAGUUCACUUUAUGUUUAUCUUUUAUUUUGUAAGACUUCCGCUAUGUAAUAAAUAAUUUUAUGAUAUUGUGACAUUUAUCUCUAUACACUAUGUUAUCAUAUGUGUUGUCUUCUUUGGCGCAUAUAUGAGAUGCACUCGGUUUUAUCCCUUAAAUCUGGGUGUGACAUUAAUGUGUCAAUGACACAUGAUUAAAAAUAUUUUUUGUAAGGAUGACAAAUAGUUAAAUGUGUGGAACUGAACACGCCCAUAAUCAUCACACCUAGCUCAUGUCAAGUCGCAGCCGCAUCGCCAUUUGCCAUACCGAGGCAUGUAUCGCGCGGACUACAGUGUUGCACCCCUACCUGUCAAUCAGUGGUACUGUACGGCAGGGCAACAUCGUAGCCCACUAGGAAGUACUCAUAGGCCCACACCACACACAUUGCCUUUGCUCGUUACUAUAGAGGCGUAAUGACUAUUCCUACCGUCAUAUUUGCUUUGGCAGGGGCGUAGGGUCACCUAGCUCUGAAUUCUUUUUGAUGCAGUGAAGCUGAUGCCCACACACACAUGCACUCAUCAAGUAGUACAAAGUGGGCCUGCUGCCUGUCGGUGAUUAUUUAGCGCAACAUUUGGGUCUUUGGAGAAUUGGAGAAGAGGAGGAUGCAAUGGAUGAUGGAAGAAGUCAUCAUUGUUGCAUCAUUACCGCUAGACGAUGAUAAUGAUUACCAUGCAUGGUGGGGUGGCAGCGGCGCCUGUUUUUGUAGGAUCCUAUAUAUAGGUGUCUAUGGACCAAAUAGUGUGACAUGUGAUGUGAUCCCUCAACUCUCUCUCUCUCGCUUUGGCUGACGAUCCAAGAAGCAAUGCAACAUAGAGCCGAACAUACAAGUUGUCUUGUCCAAAGAGCAGGUGCUCGACAUCUAUGACAUCCUAAAGCUAUCUCCAACAACGUCCUCUAUAUCCAUCCUCUAUAUCUGUCAUUUACAGUCUUCUCUAAAAGAUUCUAUCAUCUAUAUCUUCUUCCUCUCCAACAACGUCCUCUAAAUGACGUCCACUAUACUCAAAUACCUAUAUUAGAGACAUUUUUUAUUUUUAUUUUUUGUACAUACCUAUUUAUCAUACUCUCAAAUGUAUUGUACAUAUUUUAGUUUUGCUAAACCGGUUAUUUAAAGUAUUAAUAUAGAUAGAGGAACGUUUAGAGAAACUCUAUAUAUAGAGAAUCCAGCAGCGUUCUCUAAAUUUAGAGGACCGUUUAGAGGACGCUGCUGGAGUGCGUAGAGAACCAUUUGAUCCUCUAUAUUUAGAGUAGAGGACCCUUUAGAGUUUGGAGCCAGCCUAAUAGGGUGACCGGUCAGAUUCCGGACUUUAGAGCCCGACGCGGCUGAGGCCAGCGUCUCUGAAGGUGGCACAGGCGCUCGCCCGAGGCAGCUCAUAGAAACGGUAGUUUUUGGCCCGAGCUAAGGGGCUGCAGCUCGGGUCUAGCCUAAGGCUGUCUCCAGCAGCGUCCUCUAAAUUCUAUCCCCUAAAGGAAUAUUCUGUCUUUUACAUCACACUCUAAAAGAUUCUGUCCUCUAUAUCUUCUCAGUCUCCAGCAACGUUCUCUAAAUUCGGUCCUCUAAAGUUAUAGUGUUAACAGAUUUUCUUUUUCCAUCCAUUUAGCUUUAUUUUUGUUUUAUUUCCAUUACACACAAUAAAAUGGAUGCGCAAAAUUGAAUUACAGACUAAUUAAAUUAAUUGCGUUUGGUAACCUAUAUUACUAAUCUUUUUUUAAAUGCUACUAGACUUUAUUUUAUACAUUUUAUUCAGUAUUGGACAAAAUCAUAGACCUGCUGAAAAAUAUUGACCCACUACAAAAUAUUGUUUUUUUUCAAAAUGGCAAGAGCAGUACUUUAUUUUAUGAUUAAAAAACGAGCAAUAAAUGAGAAGGGAGCGUCCACGUAGGCUUGCUGCAAAAAAUGACAAAGUGAGCGAAUGAACCUGACACACAUAGCGAACAUGAGGGCUCCUCCACGUUUACAGGCCGACGGAGGCAUCCGGUAUCAUAGCGCACCGUUUACCCAUCGCUGCUGUAGGGAAAAAGGAGCCAAAGAAACGGUAAAUUUAGAGUACCGGACCUUUUACCGGGCCUUGCUGGAGAGAGUCUAAUAACAUGCGAUGUCCGGACCGGCCCAGUGAAGGCAAUAUGCCCCACUGAAGCCCAGAAGCUACCUAAACUUCCAGCCGUCUCCUCCGCACGCGAAAACCCUAGCAGCUCCGUAGUCCCUCUCCUCUGGAGGUGGCGGCGCUCCUCCCGUCUUCUUCUUCUUCUUCCUGUACUAUAUAUAUAUAGCUUCCCCUCGCAAAUUGUCACUGACGUUCAUUCGGCUUGCUUGAUUGUUCCAGGUAUUCGCAGUCGACCGUGUCCUCGGAGCACGUAAGUUACGAAUCUUCGCUUCUUCUUGUGAUAGUGUUUCGAGUUGCCUCAUGUUUACCUUGAGUCGUCUGCCGGCUCGCCACAUGGUCAAGGCGCAUCGCCGUCGAUGCCCGCUCGAUUCCACCGUCAGCCAGAUUUUUCUGGCUCGAUGUACCUGCGACGUAGUGUGGAGAUGAGACGCGCAGGUGACGCCGGAUGCUAGGGAACCGGAACUAGAUCCGGUCCCUGCUACUGUGGUGGCUGCGCUGGUUUCUGAAUUCUCAUAUUGGGAUUUGAAUGAAUCCUUGAAACAUUUAUAACAUGCCUUGACCGCUUGUUUACUUAGGUCUCUAGUUGAGGAGGGCAUUGUUAAGAUUUGCUCUGGUCCAUGAGCGUGUAUGUUUACUUGUUGUGGUCUGUAGUACGUAUUCACCAAGUAAUUUUUGGUGUUUUCACCGUAGAUACUGGUCUCUAAUUCUCUAUGCUCUUCUGUUUGGUUGUCCGUUAAGCCUGUUGGUAUUUUUUCUGAUGCUUCAGUAUGUCCUGCUGUCUGACACCUUCAACAUAACUCUUGUUAUCAUACAUUAGUGCUUGAGCUUUUCUUUGGAUUCUAACAGACAAUAGAUUCAAGGUACUCUGGUAAUUUGAUUUUUAGGUUGAUUUGCUUUAGUUCCUUGGUUCAGUUGCUUUACCAUUUUAUUACCUGACAUCACUGUCAUGUGGCUAAAGAGUUAACUUAACUGAUACGAUGAUUUCUGAUGGCUUGAGCAGGAUGAAGGUUGUUGCUGCCUACCUGCUUGCUGUCCUCGCUGGGAAUGCCAGCCCCUCCGCUGAGGAUUUGACUGGCAUUCUGGAGUCAGGUAAUUUCAUUUAACUGUUAUUCCAAUGUAUAACUAUUAUUACUAUUAACUCUGCUUUGGUUUAUGGAAAAGACUAAAUUCUGACAAUAGCAUUGCCUGCUUCUUGAAUGUAGGGUUUUUAUGUUUAACUAGAAGUUAACAAUUAUUUAGCACAAUUGGUUUGAUUGUAUUCAUCACAAUAAUGGUCCUGUAUUCACUGAUUUAUUGUUCUGCUCUUCUGGUUGUACUUGGUCGCAUGGCUCAUGUAGCAAAAGCAUCUAAUGCAAUCAUUCCUACUUGUUCAUGUUGCAGUUGGCUGUGAAGUUGACAAUGAAAGGAUGGAACUGCUGCUGUCCCAACUGAGCGGUAAGGACAUCACCGAGCUCAUUGCCGCGGGCAGAGAGAAGUUUGCUUCAGUCCCAUGUGGCGGCGGCGGUGUGGCUGUUGCGGCAGGUGCACCUGCUGCUGGCGGAGCUGCUCCUGCAGCUGAGGCAAAGAAAGAAGAGAAGGUGGAAGAGAAGGAAGAAAGCGAUGAUGUAAGAUCGUUGUUCUCCAAUUCUGGCUGCACUUUUUCCCCCUAUCAGAACAGCAGUAAUAAAGUACUCUGUUCUGGUAUUAUCAAUAUACUACUUUCAAUUCAUCUUGAUAUCAAUGGCCACAUAUUCUUUUAUACUGUUGUUUCCUUUGCUGUCGACAACAUCCAGAGACUUUAUCAUGUUCAUUAUCUUUUAUGCAGGAUAUGGGCUUCAGCCUCUUCGACUAGGUUGCACAGUCAUCACAGUAUUGUUUCGGGCAGUGAAAUCAAAGGGAAACCAGAGUCAUGUUUAGAUUUUAACCUUAUUUUAUGUUGGAAAGUACUGCAAAGACUGCUAAUUGUCUCUGUAUUUGGUAAUUCAGCUGUAGAUUGCUAUGAUG
rnacentral:lncRNA from 1 species